rnacentral:lncRNA from 1 species
CGCGUCGGAGGCCGGGUUCUACGACCAGUUCGACGUGGUCGGCUCCGGCAACAACGUCCGCGUGAACGACGACGGCAUCGCCCAGCAGGUGGCGCUCACGCUCGACCAGGGCAACGGCGGCUCCGGCUUCAGCUCCAAGGACAAGUACCUCUACGGCGAGUUCAGCGUCCAGAUGAAGCUCAUCGGCGGCAACUCCGCCGGCACCGUCACCUCCUUCUACGUAAGUCUCGUCUUUUUCAGAGGACCAAGCGAGGGAAGACUAUGGUCUGACUCUGGCUGACCUGUGCUUGUGUGGUGCACAGCUGACGUCUGGGGAGGGCGACGGCCAUGACGAGAUCGACAUCGAGUUCAUGGGCAACCUCAGCGGCGACCCCUACGUGAUGAACACCAACGUCUGGGCCAGCGGCGACGGCAAGAAGGAGCACCAGUUCUACCUCUGGUUCGACCCCACCGCCGACUUCCACACCUACAAGAUCGUCUGGAACCCCAAGAACAUCAUGUACGCACCCCGCCCAUCCAUUCCCCAAACCAUCUUGGUCUUGCAUCCAAGUUCCAUGUCUAAUAACUCUUCCAUUGAUUGAUCUUAAAACCAGAUUCCAGGUGGACGACGUGCCGGUGAGGACGUUCAAGAAGUACGACGACCUGCCGUACCCGAGCAGCCAGCCGAUGACGGUGCACGCCACGCUCUGGGACGGCAGCUACUGGGCCACCCGCCACGGCGACGUCAAGAUCGACUGGACCCAGGCGCCCUUCGUCGUCAACUACCGCGGCUACACCUCCAACGGCUGCGUCAGCAACGGCGGCUCCUCCGCGUGCCCCGCCGGCAGCGACGCCUGGAUGAGCACGGAGCUCGACGCCAAAGCCCUCGGCACCGUCGCCUGGGCCGAGAGCAAGUACAUGUCCUACGACUACUGCACCGACGGCUGGCGCUUCCCCAACGGCUUCCCCGCCGAGUGCUCCCGCCGCAACUGAUCCAUCAUCACUUUCUUCUUCCUUCCUUCCCUCCUCGUCGUUGGUGUUCUUGUUUGUCCAUUCGAUUGGAGCGAGACGGACACACGUUGGCUCAUUUCCCAUGUAAGUACAUUUUACCAUGGAUUUGAUUGUUACAGUGAGUGUUACAGUUACAGAGAAAGUUAAGGUGACUUCUUGUGGGUUUCUCUGCUUGGAGAGACAGAGAGAGAGAGAGACAUGUGAUCGAUCGGUUAUGUAUGUAUGAACAAACCAUAAUAAAUUAUAAAUAAUCCUUGCAUCUCCUUUUCUUUUUUUGAGAGGGGAAUUAUAUCUCUCUGAGAUAUUGUUGUGGAUUCUUGUGAGUUUGAAUUGUCGCUGCGUGACGCAAGUAGACAAGCAACAGCUGCGCGCUUCGCUGUUCAGCUGCCUUCAGUCGUACACAUUGAACGGCCUGAUUUUUAUGUUCACUUUGCCCUACCAUGUUCAAUCUAGAUGGGAGUUAGCAAGGUGACUGUGUAUUUCACGUCAGUAAAUUGGGGUGCAUCUUCAGCUGGCUGAAUUUGAAUCAAAAUACACCGAUGAUGAAAGAGAGAAAAGACGGGGACCUGGCUUCCUGGCAAGAACAAGAAGGACAUUCAAAUUUAAAACCAUACAUAAACGUAUGUGGAUUAGAAAACUCAAAGCUUAUGAAAUCAAAAAUCACUUUUUUUUCUUUUUGUUAAAGUACAAGGGGAAAUUUUGAGGACUAGUUUCCGUUUUAUGAUUGGUUCUAUACAAAGUACUCCUAGAUCUUACGAUUUGACUUGGCGGAUGAAAGAAAUCGAAAGGCAGAGUGCGCGAAGUUUUGGAGGCCGAGCUCUAGGCACCUCCGUAUUUUGAAAAGAAUAAAUCAAAAAGUAUAUUUAAAAGUAUAAAAAAUCCAAUAAUAAUUCCUCUGAAAGAUAUAUGUGUUCCGCAAGAACGUAUUAAAUUUCGUCAAAAAAUCUUGUGAUUUGUAGGUUGUACAAAAAAACUCCAGCCCAACAACAGCAAUAUAAAGUAUGUUAAAAAUGUGUAUUUCUCUUUUUUCUGUACGCCACAUGUGGAAGUAUUCCCUUCUUUCCUAAAUAUAAGUCUUUUGAGAGGUUUCACUAGAAGACUACANNNNNNNNNNNNNNNNNNNNNNNNNNNNNNNNNNNNNNNNNNNNNNNNNNNNNNNNNNNNNNNNNNNNNNNNNNNNNNNNNNNNNNNNNNNNNNNNNNNNNNNNNNNNNNNNNNNNNNNNNNNNNNNNNNNNNNNNNNNNNNNNNNNNNNNNNNNNNNNNNNNNNNNNNNNNNNNNNNNNNNNNNNNNNNNNNNNNNNNNNNNNNNNNNNNNNNNNNNNNNNNNNNNNNNNNNNNNNNNNNNNNNNNNNNNNNNNNNNNNNNNNNNNNNNNNNNNNNUGUAGUCUUCUAGUGAAAUUUUUAAAAAGACUUAUAUUUAGGAACGGAGGGAGUAUAAUGCUACAAAAUUUUGCACAUAUGCGGUAUGCAUGUGUGUUCGUGUCCACAAAUAAAUUCGAAUUUUGUUGCACUCUGGAAAAUAGAAUUUUGGAAACGAGCUUCAUGUAGCUCGGGCUCCAAUUGCAUCUUCCGUCGAAAGGCAUCACUCGUUGUCUGAAUACGGAGUAUAUCAAUCCUCUACAGAAAGAUCGAAAGGCAUCACCUGUGGUCUGAAUACAACGGAGUAUACCAAUCCUCUUGUUUGUUCUAUGCCAUCUGUUGCAAUGAUUGGCCAGAGAUACAAGGCAUUUGGUGCUAAGCAAAAGUGCCAAUGACUUGAGCGAGUGGAAGACGGAAUAAUGCCUAUCUUUCAGCUCAGCUUCCAGAAUGGCUUAUCAAGACGGCCCUGGAAUGGUCCAAGAAAGUUGUUCAAGGGGCCAUUGCUGCACUGGAUGCUAGAAAAAUGGCAUAAAGCUUCUACCACUUGCCUAAGUAAUGUAUUUUGAUUUUCAAAAAAGGGAGUUCCACCAAUCAUCACGUUAAAGUGAUAUAAAUUUUCCUAGUCCAAAUCCACCUCUGCAUAACUAGAUGUACAAUAUUAGUAACAUGUCCAACGAAAUACUAUUUCGACAUGGUUUGACAUUGGGAAAAAAACUAGGGCCCUAGAGGACCGAUAUGCAGACUAAAAUGCCAUCAUUUGUUAGGUAAACAGAUGUGUGGCAGUAUGCUCUAGUCGGAUAGACAUAAUUGAAAAUGGCGCCCUAUCCACCUGCCUUUUUACGGUAGACGAUAUGUGAAACCAAUGUGUGUGUGUGGGCGUGCGUGCGUGGGGUAAAUCAAGUCCAUUAGUUAAUCCAAGAUGAAAAAUUAUGUUUUCCAAUUUAGAGCCAAUCUAAGAUGGAUUUUGGUGACUUUAUUGGUAGUUUUUAGAAGUUAUUUUAAGAAUGGAAGCUUCUUAAAAAUAGAGCAACAUCCGAGUUAUUUAAAAGAUGGAAAAGGUACGUCACAACAGACGCAAACAGGGUCAGAUAUCCCUUAUCGUAGUAAACCCUUAUAGAAAAUGAAACUACAACCAAGACCCUAAGGGUCGGCGAGUAACCACUACUGGAGACACAUAAAAACAUGUAGAUUUUUGGUAGGCACACGUGUAGCCCACCCCAACACAUGUGAACUUGAAGAAAAUGAAUGCUUCUUGGAUGGGAAAUCACUCUUCGCUUGGCAAGUCGCCACGAUUGAAGAAGCAACACUUCGGCACAAAAAGAUGACAAACCUAAAACCAACCAAUCCACAUUUGAAGAGCCACGGCUAGAACGAAACCUCAUCCACCCCCUUCGGUGCUAACAAAGACAUCACUUAGGCUAGGGUGGAGCUAGAAGGACCUUAUUCCACCUCAAUUGCCUUCGUGAUCACUUUGUUGGGGAACGUCGCAUGGAAAACAAAAAAUUUCCUACGCGCACGAAGACCUAUCAUGGUGAUGUCCAUCUACGAGAGGGGAUUUUUGAUCUACGUACCCUUGUAGAUCGCACAGCGGGAAGCAUUAAGAAACGCGAUUGAUGUAGUGGAACGUCCUCACGUCCCUCGAUCCGUCCCGCGAACCGUCCCACGAACCGUCCCGCGAUCCGUCCCACGNAACCCAUUCGUCACUCCCGGUACAUUCCCGGUAAUGCCGAAAACUUUCCGGUAAUCAAAUGAGGUCAUCCUAUAUAUCAAUCAUCGUCUCCGGACCAUUCCGAAAACCCUCCUGACGUCCGUGUUCUCAUCCGGGACUCCGAACAAUAUUCGGUAACCAACCAUAUAACUCAAAUACGCAUAAAACAUCGUCGAACCUUAAGUGUGCACACCCUGCGGGUUCGAGAACUAUGUAGACAUGACUCGAGAGACUCCUCGGUCAAUAUCCAAUAGCGGGACCUGGAUGCCCAUAUUGGAUCCUACAUAUUUUCCAAAGAUCUUAUCGGUUGAACCUCAGUGUCAAGGAUUCAUAUAAUCCCGUAUGUCAUUCCCUUUGUCCUUCGGUAUGUUACUUGCCCGAGAUUCGAUCGUCGGUAUCCGCAUACUUAUUUCAAUCUCGUUUACCGGCAAGUCUCUUUCCUUGUUCCGUAAUACAAGAUCCCGUGACUUACACUAAGUCACAUUGCUUGCAAGGCUUGUGUGUGAUGUUGUAUUUCCGAGUGGGCCCCGAGAUACCUCUCCGUCACACGGAGUGACAAAUCCAAGUCUUGAUCCAUACUAACUCAACGAACACCUUCGGACCUGUAGAGCAUCUUUAUAGUCACCCAGUUACGUUGUGACGUUUGAUACACACAAGGUAUUCCUCCGGUGCCAGCGAGUUAUAUGAUCUCAUGGUCAUAGGAAUAAAUACUUGACACGCAGAAAAACAGUAGCAACAAAAUGACACGAUCAACAUGCUACGUUCAUUAGUUUGGGUCUAGUCCAUCACAUGAUUCUCCUAAUGAUGUGAUCCCGUUAUCAAGUAACAACACUUGCCUAUGGUCAGGAAACCUAGACCAUCUUUGAUCAACGGGCUAGUCAACUAGAGGCUUACUAGGGAGAGUGUUUUGUCUAUGUAUCCACACAAGUAUUGUGUUUCCAAUCAAUACAAUUAUAGCAUGGAUAAUAAAAGAUUAUCAUGAACAAAGAAAUAUAAUAAUAAUUGAUUUAUUAUUGCCUCUAGGGCAUAUUUCCAACAGUCUCCCACUUGCACUAGAGUCAAUAAUCUAGUUCACAUCACCAUGUGAUUCUAACGAAUCUAACACCCAUAUAGUUCUGGGGUGUGAUCACGUCUUGCUCGUGAGAGAGGUUUUAGUCAACGGUUCUAAAACUUUCAGAUCCGUGUGCUCUUUACAAAUAUUUAUGUCAUCUUAUAGAUGCUACUACUACGUGCUAUUCGGAAAUACUCCAAAUAUCUACUCUACUAUAUGAAUCCGUUUCACUACUCAUAGUUAUUCGGGUUAGUGUCAAAGCUUGCAUCGACGUAACCCUUUACGACGAACUCUUUAACCACCUCCAUAAUCGAGAAACAUUCCUUAGCCCAUUAGUUACUAAGGAUAACUUUGACCGUUGUUCAGUGAUUCAAUCCUGGAUCACUCUCUAUACCUCUUAACAGACUUGUGGCAAGGCACAUAUCAGGUGCGGUACAUAGCAUGUCAUAAUGUAGAGUCUAUGGCUAAGGCAUAGGGGACGACCUUCGUCCUUUCUCUCUCUUCUGUCGUGGUGCGGUACACAACCAAGAACUCCUUCUUUGUUGAUCUAUUUUGAACUCCUUCAGAACUUGUCAAGGCAUGCAUCUUGUUGAAACUUCUAUUAAGCGUUUCGAUCUAUCUCCAUAGAUCUUGAUGCUCAACAUUUCAAGUAGCGUAAUCCAGGUAUUCCUUUGAAAAACUCCUUUCAAACAACCUUUUAUGCUUUACAGAAAUUCUACAUUACUUCUGAUCCACAGUAUGUCAACCACAUAUACUUAUCAGAAAUUCUAUAGUGCUCCCACUCACUUCUUUGGAAAUACAAGUUUCUCACAAACCUUGUAUAAACCCAAAAAGCUUCGAUCAACUCAUCAAAGCAUAUAUUCCAACACCGAGAUGCUUGCACCAGUCCAUAGAAGGAUCAGUGGAGCUUGCAUACUUGUUAGCACCCUUAGGAUUGACAAAACUUUCCGGUUGUAUUACAUACAACCUUUCCUCAAGAAAACCAUCGAGGAAACACUGUUUUGACAUCCUAUGUGCAAUAUUUCAUAAAUAAUGCAGCAACUACUAGCAUAAUUUCAACAGACUUUUAACAUCGCUAUGAGUGAGAAAGUCUCAUCAUAGUCAACUCUUUUGAACUUUGUCGGAAACAUCUUUGCGACAAGUCAAGCUUUUCUUAAUAGUGACUUAUCACCAUCAUCGUCUGUCUUCCUUUUAAAGACCCAUCUUUUCUUAAUAGUCUUACUACCAUCAAGUAGUUCUUCCAAAGUCUACACUUUGUUUUAUACAUGGAUCCUCUCUCGGAUUUCAUGGCCUCCAACAAUUUGUCGGAAUCCGGGCCCACCAUUACUUCUUCAUAACUCGUAGAUUCAUUGUUGUUCAACAACAUGACCUCCAAGACAGGGUUACCGUACCACUCUGUAGUAGUACGCGACCUUGUCGACCUACGAGGUCUGUAAUAACUUGAUCUGAUGCUCAAUGAUCACUAUCAUCAGCUUCCACUUCAAUUGGUGUAGGCACCACAAGAACAACUUCCUGCGCCCUGCUACACUCUGGUUGAAGUGAUGGUUUCAAUAACCUCAUCAAGUUCUACCACCCUCCCACUCAAUUCUUUCGAGAGAAAGCUUUCCUCGAGAAAGGACCCGUUUUCUAGAAACAAACACUUUUCUUCCGGAUCUGAGAUAGGAGAUGUAUCCAACUGUUUUGGAUAUCCUAUGAAGAUGCAUUUAUCCGCUUUGGGUUCGAGCUUAUCAGACUGAAACUUUUUCACAUAAGCAUCGCAGCCCCAAACUUUCAAGAAACGUCAGCUCAGGUUUCUCCAAACCAUAGUCUAUACUGUGUCAUCUCAACGGAAAUACGCGGUGCCCAAUUUAAAGUGAACGCGGUUGUCUCUAAUGCAUAACCCAUAGACGAUAGUGGUAAUUGGAUAAGAGACAUCAUAGUAUGCACCAUAUCAAAUAGGGCGUGGCUAUGACGUUCAGACACAUCAUCACACUAUGGUGUUUCAGGUGGCAUGAGCUGCGAAACAAUUUUCACAUUGUCUUAACUGCGUACCAAAAACUCGUAACUCAGAUAAUCAUCUCUAUGAUCAUAUCGUAGACAGUUUAUCCUUUUGUCACGACGAUCUUCACUCUGAAAUAGCUUUGAACUUUUUAAUAUUUCAGACUUAUGAUUCAUCAAGUAAAUACUCAUGUAUCUACUCUAAUCGUCAGUGAAAUAAGAACAUAACGAUAUCCACUGCGUGCCUCAGCACUCAUUGGACUGCACACAUCAAAAAUGUAUCACUCCCAACAAGUUACUCUCUUUUUUCAUGUGGCAUGAUUUGGAUUUCUCAAGUGAUUCAAAAUCAAGUGAAUCCAAACGACCCAUCCGCAUGGAGUUUCUUCAUGCGUUUACACCAACAUGACUCAAGUGGAGUGCCACAACUAAGUGGUACUAUCAUUAUUACCUUGUAUCUUUUGGCACCAAUAUUAUGAACAUGUGUAACACUACUAUUGAGAUUCAAUAAACCAUUGAUGGUAAUUAUUCAAGCAAAUAAAAUAACUAUUAUUCUCUUUAAAUGAAUAACCGUAUUGCAAUAAACACGAUCCAAUCAUGUUCAUGCUCAACGUAAACACCAAAUAACAAUUAUUUAGGUUUUACCACCAAUCCCGAUGAUAGAGGAAGCGUGCGACGUUUGAUCAUAUCAACCUUGGAAACACUUCCAACACAUAUCGUCACCUCGCCUUUAGCUAGUCUCCGUUUAUUCCGUAGCUUUCAUUUCGUCUUACUAAUCACUUAGCAACCGAACCGGUAUCCAAUACCCUCGCGCUACUAGGAGUACUAGCAAAGUACACAUCAACAUCAUGUAUAUCAAAUAUACUUCUUUCGACUUUGCCAGCCUUCUUAUCUACCAAGCAUCUAGGGUAACUCCGCCUCAGUGAAAGUUCCCCCCAUAACAGAAGCACUUAGUCUCAGGUUUGGGUUUAAUCUUGGGUCUCUUCAUUAGUGCAGCAACUGUUUUGCCGUUUCACGAAGUAUCCCUUCAAGCCCUCGCCUUUCUUGAAACUUAGUGGUUUUACUAACCAUCAACUAUUGAUGCUCCUUCUUGAUUUCUACUUUCGCAGUGUCAAACAUCGCGAAUCGCUCAAGGAUCAUUAUAUCUUUCCUUGAUAUGUUAUAGUUCAUCACGAAGCUCUCACAGCUUGGUGGCAGUGACUUUGGAGAACCAUCACUAUCUCAUCUAAAAGAUUAACUCCCAUUUGAUUCAAGCGAUUGUCGUACUCAGACAAUCUGAGCACACGCUCAACGAUUGAGCUUUUCUCCUUUACUUCGUGGACAAAGAAUUUUGUCGGAGGUCUCAUACCUCUUAACAAAGGCACAAGCAUGAAAUCACAAUUUCAUCUCUUCAGAACAUCUCUUAUGUUCCGUGACGUUUUAAAACGUCUUUGGCGCCUUGCUUCUAAGCCAUUAAGUAUUUUGCACUGAACUAUCGUGUAGUCAUCAGAAACGUGUAUGUCAGAUGUUCACAACAUCCACAGAUGACACUCGAGGUGCAGCACACCGAGUGGUGCAUUAAGGACAUAAGCCUUCUGCGGAGCAACGAGGACAAUCCUCAGUUUUACAGACUCGGUCCGCAAAGUUUGCUACUAUCAACUUUCAACUAAAUUUUCUCUAGGAACAUAUAAAACAGUAGAGCUAUAGCGCAAGCUACAUAGUAAUUCGCAAAGACCAUUAGACUAUGUUCAUGACAAUUAGUUCAAUUAGUCAUAUUACUUAAGAACUCCCACUCAAAAAGUACAUAUCUCUAGUCAUUUGAGUGGUACAUGAUCCAAAUUCACUAUCUCAAGUCCGAUCAUCACGUGAGUCGAGAAUAGUUUCAGUGGUAAGCAUCUCUAUGCUAAUCAUAUCAACUAUAUGAUUCAUGCUCGACCUUUCGGUCUCUUGUGUUCCGAGGCCAUGUCUGCACAUGCUAGGCUCGUCAAGUUUAACCCGAGUGUUCCGCGUGUGCAACUGUUUUGCACCCGUUGUAUGUGAACGUUUGAGUCUAUCACACCCGAUCAUCACGUGGUGUCUCGAAAAGACGAACUGUCGCAACGGUGCAUAGUCGGGGAGAACACAAUUUCGUCUUGAAAUUUUUAGUGAGAGAUCACCUCAUAAUGCUACCGUCGUUCUAAGCAAAAUAAGGUGCAUAAAAGGAUUAACAUCACAUGUAAUUCAUAAGUGACAUGAUAUGGCCAUCAUCAUGUGCUUCUUGAUCUCCAUCACCAAAGCACCGGCACGAUCUUCUUGUCACCCGCGUCACACCAUGAUCUCCAUCAUCAUGAUCUCCAUCAACAUGUCGCCAUCGGGGUUGUCGUGCUACUCAUGCUAGUACUACUAAAGCUACGUCCUAGCAAUAUAGUAAACACAUCUGCAAGCACAAACGUUAGUUUAAAGACAACCCUAUGGCUCCUGCCGGUUGCCGUACCAUCGACGUGCAAGUCGAUAUUAACUAUUACAACAUGAUCAUCUCAUACAUCCAAUAUAUCACAUCACGUCGUUGGCCAUAUCACAUCACAAGCAUACCCUGCAAAAACAAGUUAGACGUCCUCUAAUUGUUGUUGCAUGUUUUACGUGGUUGCCAUGGGUAUCUAGUAGGAUCGCAUCUUACUUACGCGAACACCACAACGGAGAUGUAUGAAUUGCUAUUUAACCUUUCUCGAAGGACCUCCUCGGUCAAAUCCGAUUCAACUAAAGUUGGAGAAACCGACACUCGCCAGUCAUCUUUGAGCAACGGGGUUGCUCGUAGCGAUGAAACCAGUCUCUCGUAAGCGUACGAGUAAUGUCGGUCCGAGCCACUUCGAUCCAACAAUACCGCGGAAUCAAGAAAAGACUAAGGAGGGCAGCAAAUCGCACAUCACCGCCCACAAAAACAUUUGUGUUCUACUCGAGAUAACAUCUACGCAUGAACCUAGCUCAUGAUGCCAUUGUUGGGGAACGUCGCAUGGGAAACAAAAAAAUUCCUACGCGCACGAAGAUCUAUCAUGGUGAUGUCCAUCUACGAGAGGGGAUUUCCGAUCUACGUACCCUUGUAGAUCGCACAGCAGGAAGUGUUAAGAAACGCGGUUGAUGUAGUGGAACGUCCUCACGUCCCUCGAUCCGCCCCGCGAACCGUCCCACGAACCGUCCCGCGAUCCGUCCCACGGUCCGCUCCGAUCUAGUNNNNNNNNNNNNNNNNNNNNNNNNNNNNNNNNNNNNNNNNNNNNNNNNNNNNNNNNNNNNNNNNNNNNNNNNNNNNNNNNNNNNNNNNNNNNNNNNNNNNNNNNNNNNNNNNNNNNNNNNNNNNNNNNNNNNNNNNNNNNNNNNNNNNNNNNNNNNNNNNNNNNNNNNNNNNNNNNNNNNNNNNNNNNNNNNNNNNNNNNNNNNNNNNNNNNNNNNNNNNNNNNNNNNNNNNNNNNNNNNNNNNNNNNNNNNNNNNNNNNNNNNNNNNNNNNNNNNNNNNNNNNNNNNNNNNNNNNNNNNNNNNNNNNNNNNNNNNNNNNNNNNNNNNNNNNNNNNNNNNNNNNNNNNNNNNNNNNNNNNNNNNNNNNNNNNNNNNNNNNNNAGUCCAUCACAUGAUUCUUCUAAUGAUGUGAUCCCGUUAUCAAGUAACAACACUUGCCUAUGGUCAGGAAAUUCAGACCAUCUUUGAUCAACGCGCUAGUCAACUAGAGGCUUACUAGGGAGAGUGUUUUGUCUAUGUAUCCACACAAGUAUUGUGUUUCCAAUCAAUACAAUUAUAGCAUUGAUAAUAAACGAUUAUCAUGAACAAAGAAAUAUAAUAAUAACUGAUUUAUUAUUGCCUCUAGGGCAUAUUUCCAACACACUUUUCUAGAAUAUUCGCCCCCUUGUGGAGGUAUUGUGCACUAUAAUCGUUAACACGUGUCGAUACCAUGUUCCAUGACUCUGGGUUGCUGUCCUGGAUUGAGGAUCGGGGUCGAGUCUGGGUCAGUAUCGAUGGAUGGCCAUGACAUGACCCCGAACACCCUGGUACAACAUGUACUCUUGUCAUGCAGCGGGACAAUGUAAUCUUGGUAUGAACUCAAGCUCGAAGCUCGCAGGCCAUGAACAAAUAAGCUUGGCAUUAUAGGAUCCUACCUCGCCCAACGAAGUCAUUGUUUCCUUCCAUCUACAUGAACGUGGCCAACCAACCAUCUCACCAAAUGUGCCCAUGCCGUCACGUAGGUAUGUGCCCGGAAUGAGGUGAGAAGUGUGCAACAUGGCGAGAUGAGUGUUAGUGCAUCCGCUUGCGCUCCACCUAUGAGAUUCACCUGGGCACUAAACUCGCCGUAGAGGUGCUUGUCUUUGGAGCCGAAGUGAGGGCCACCAUUGCCGCAGUCCAGCAUGAGCACUAAAAUAAUAGUAUUAUCCUGUUUGUAUUAGGUCGAGAUGUUAGGAUUAUGUUUCUUAAUUCGAGACAACAAUUAGUGUUUGUACUUGCAUUAAUUUAUGUAUGUGCAAAAUAUUAUGUUUAUGUAUAAAUAAUUAAAUAUGUGGGGUUUAUAUGAAAUAGAUGUGAAAUCUUCUAACUACAAAAUAUUAUGAAUGAUUCCAAAAAUAGUUUGGCCACUUUCAGAAUUAUUUGAUAACACAGUGGCAUCAGAUUGUUAACCUUCAGAAUUGGUCAGUAGACUUUAAUAAAUAGCUAUGUCAUCCUGUUGUUAUCUACCUGAACUAUAUACAUGUGUUUCACUAUCAAUGUGAUUGCCAAAUUUGAUAUUUAACCUGUAUUAGGUUAGAACAAAGCACAUCUUAUAUAUCAUCCGGAUUACUGGUUUCAUAUGAUUUGGCUUUUGCACCAUGGGGGCAGUAGGUCAUCUAGUCUAUUUAGAAGAUGGUAUGGAUGGUGUUUUAAUUGAAUCUCAAGCUAUAGACUCUUUGAACAUGAAGAAUACGCCAAUCUCUUGGCCAUCAUGUGUCAUCCUUACAUCUACAAAAAUUGGUAUGUAUUCUUGCACUCCAUAUUUCAAGGAAAACCACAAGCCAAUAUAAUGUUCCGACAUCUAGAGUAAAAUGCACAUGCAGUCCCUAAACUUGUCUGUCUAUGUCACCUAGAUCCCCAAACUUGGUAAGUAUUUCACUUGAGGCCUUCUACUAUAUCAUAUCAUAAGUAAGGGCGUCUUCAAUGUCGACCCGCAAACACGAAUGCCGGAGCCAAAAAUCAUUUGCAUACAUUUGACAUUGGGUUUCAACUAACCGAUCAAAUUUCAUCAAAUACGAAAAAAUUCAUCAAAGUUCAGAUAGAAAAUAGAUGUCUAAUACAACAAAAGUUCAAAUUCAACCGAAUGUUCAACAAGUUCUUCAUGGAUAUAUAAAAUUCAACGAUACUAGCUAGCUCCAAUUCUGGCACAUGUUGUCCCACACAUACCGUCCCUUGAGUUUCAACCAACAAUGCAUGUACAUGAAUGGCUUGCCCUCUGCCAUGUAGUACAUCACGGCCAUGCAUGCAUGCUACAGAAUAUCUAGAGCAACAAUGAGUAAAUGAAUCAAUCAGUGCGUAGAGCAAGAUUAUUUUUUUCAAAACUUACGAUCUCCAUGAUUUGUUGCGCGCAAUGGCCACAUUGUCACCAGGCGAUCAAUCGUGCCACAAUACUUUGUGAGGAAGUUCUGGAUGGUGUUCCAUCGAUACAACUUCAUACUAUGUUCAUGGAUGAUAUGCAUGUUAUAGGACACAAUGUGUUAUCGCACAUGAAACAAAAAGGAAUCAUGCACGCGCUGCCAAAAGAGCCCCCUUCUGCUCUUGCUUACGAAGUCCGUAUGUACGAUCAACCAUGCAUCGUACAAUAACUCACCGUCCAUGAUCGAGUACCCCGCCAUCCUUCUUAAUUUCUUACUCUAAACAACCUCAUUGACAUUUACCGAACAUCUACCGGGCAUGGUGUCUCAUGAACGUGGGCAAAGGGUGCCUAGCUGCGGACUAAUCAUGUGUGGAGUUUAUCCAAAAUGAAAACCCUAAAGCGCCCCUAGUUUUUUCUUUAGGGCUUAAAACGCCCCUAGAUAUAGCGGCCGACGCUUUGCGGGCCUCCCGUAUAUAUUCUGCUGGACAGGGUAAUGUUUGGCGCACCUGUUACGGCCUGAAAAAGCCCGAAAACGAUAAAACGGCCGCAAAUACACGGGCCGGCGGGAAAGCGCAUCUAGCAGCUAGAGUUGCUCUAACCCCCGGCCCGCAAGAUUCAUUUCCCCGAUUCUCCUCAUCCAGAUCGCGCCGCCGCCGCCGCCGCCGCGCCCCUCCUCCACACCGCCACCGUCCCAGCUCCAGCUGCCAGCCCUCCGCGCACAUCCGGCUGCCCAGCAGCCACUCCACGCCGCCGGCCUCCACCACCGCGCCUCCCCCGAGCCCCUCUGCUUCCUCUGCGCGCCGUCCAAGGUGAGCUCCCCUGCUCCUCCUCCCUCUCUCCCCGUUACGUUCCGGACACCGUUGAGGGAGCUCCGCUCGAACAGAGAGGUACGGAUGCCAUGGCUUCCAUGUAAGCAAGCUCCAAGCCGGCCCUGUUUCCCUGUUUUCUUUCCAUCAGCUAGUAACCGAGGCUAUCUUUGUUACUGUACUAAAGUACAUCCAUACAAUGGGCUGAAGAUAAUAGUUUUGUUAGAUAAUGUGCUGAAGAAACAUAUCAUGUGUAUAUAAAUGAUACAGAGCAUCCUAGUACCUAUCUUUCUUACUAGGAUUGUAAUGCAGCACUACAGUUUAAUCAGAACAACAGUACAAUGCAUACAAUGGUACGUAUUAAGAUAUCUAAUUGUUAAUGAUGAGCUAACUUUGAAUUAAGUUUUACCUGAUAUAUGUUCAUAUGGGCAGCAAAAUGGUAAAAGAUAACUCCAUAUCGUUUAAUCAGAACAACAAUACAGUCCACGGGCAUUACCAGCUUUUCACUGAUUAUACCACAUAUAAGCUGAAAAAACAGGCACUAGAAAGAACGAGCUUAUUUUCGCAUGAGCUUACCUGUAGCUUAUUUUCACAGGAUAACUCAAAAGAACUGACCUCGAUGGCGCUCCUCCGAGCCCUCCGCCGAGCCCUUCCGCCGCUCUACUUGCCGGCGGCGCCUCUUUCCCGGCGCGCCCCAGGUCCUCCUGCGCUCCCUCCCCAUCCUCUCUGGCUCCUGGAUCCAAUCGGGUUCCGGCCGUUCUCCGCCGUCGCGGCCACCACCACCGCCGUCGCGCGGGCGCCGGAAAUGGGCGCCAGCCUCUUCAGAGGGCUCACGGAGACCAGGUCCCCCAAGCGACGGCCUGGAUUCGUGUCCCGGCGCAAGAGGGCCAGCCUGCGACCCAAAGGUGCGGUGAACCCUGCCAUUCCAUGUUUCAUAGGUGUCACGAUUCAAAGAUCUGCAUGGUUAAUUUGCAUUAUCACCAUUUUAAUUGUGCGCGCCUGAUGUGCUGAUUUGUGUGAUUCAUUCGAACUGUGCGCUGCUCUUGCAGUUUCAGUCUGGUUAACACUGCUGAUGCUGCUGUUAUUGGUUGGCAGGUCCGCACUACUGGGUGAAGUGCAAGCCGGGGGAGCCUAUCCCUUCGAGUCAGCCGAAUGAGGGCAGCGUACAGGGGAGGAAGGAGAAGAAGCGAAUCAAGCAGCGCAAGGACUUUAUCAUGGUGUGCAUUUUGUUCAGUUCCCUGCAAUGCUUGUUUUGAUUGUGUGAUGGGUUUAUGCAAGGUUAUCAAAAUCUAUCUGUGUCUCUGGAGUAGAAAACGUAAAAGGCCGAUGGAAUUAUGAGAAUGUGGGUAGUUUUAACCGGGGAAUGAAAUCCUGAGAACACAAGUAGUUUUUUCAUGCUACCGAGUAGCUAGAUAUCAUGUUAGAAUGGAACUAGCUAAUCAUAGGAGUGAAAUGCAUGGCUAGUCCAUAAACUGAAACUGAAAGCACACUUUAGGCCACAAGCUCAAAAUCUGCAUGGAUUAGGCCAUAAACUGAAUUAAGAGCACACCUUAGGCUAGAAACCGCUUCGGGGUGAUUAAACCUGCACACGUGGCUGCCAGCUCGGCUGUGGCUGGACCUACCCGAGUCAUAGAUUUCAUAGGGGGCUAUUUGCAAAAGGGCCACAACUGCAAAAUUCCCUCGAGAUCCCCAAUUCUUCUGGUCACAGGGCGGCGGUGGCGACUCCCGAAAGAAAAUAAUUAAAUUUCUGCACUUAAAGAAAGCAAAGAAACCAAAAAAAUCAGUUUUCGCAAUGGUUUCUGUACUAAUUCAGUUUGUGCACUAAAAUUCAUUUUCUGCGCUGAAAUAGAGUGUAUCUAAAGAUUCAGUAUCUAAACUAAAGAAGGUUUGUGGAACAACUGAACUUUUAAACUUAAACGUAGAUCAACAGUAAAUUUUUGGUCUUUUCAGUUCCUGUAGUAAUUCAGUUUGUGCACUAAAAUUCAUUUUCUGCAGUAAAACAGAGUGUAUCUGAAGACUCAGUAUCUGAACUAAAGAAGGUUUGUGGAACAGCUGAACUUUUAAACUUAAACGUAGAUCAAAAGUAAAGGUUCAGUCUUUUCAGUUCCUGUACUAAUUUAGUUUGUGUACUGAAAUUCAUUUUCUGCACUAAAAGGGAAUAUAUGUAAAGGUCCGGUAUCUGAACUACAGAAGGUUUGUGGAACAGCUGAAUUUUUAAACUUAAACAGAGAUCAAAAGUAAAGGUUCAGUUUUUCUACAUAAACAGAGCACAUGUUCAGAUCAAUACAAACAGGAACAAAACCCUAGGCAUGCUUAAAAAAUAAACCUCAAUACCAUAAUUUCACAUCAUUCCAUUGUCAUAUACAUGAACGCCACCACAGAGAUGACGCAAUCGACCUUGAUCAUAGAUGGGAAAAAAAAACUACUGAUUGGAAGAGGACAGGGAUGGCGGAGAGAAGAGGAGGAGAAAAACAUACUGUAGCCGGCGUUGAGCCGCCGUCUGUGAUUAUCGAUCAAAUUCCUCUGGUCAUGGUGGCUAUGGUGUCGAGGCAGAGAGGAGAUGAGAAGAGGAAAACGGAAGGGGUUCGCUCCAGCCGGUGCGGUAGGCGCGACUCUUUACUUUCGAUAAUUUGAACAUAGCACACUGUCAAAGCUAUCUCUCGCAGAUGCGGUACAAUGUUAGCCGAGCUUGCAGCCAUGUGUGCAGGAUCAGGCCCGGCGAAGCGUUUUCCGGCCUGAAGUGUGCUCUUAGUUCAGUCCAUGGCCUAAUCUGUGUAGAUUUUGAGUUUAUGGAGUAAACUGUGCUUUCAAUUUGAGUUAAUGGACCAACGAUGCAUUUCACUCUAAUCAUAGUUUAGACGGGUAGUCGAAUAGGUAUUUUAAAGGCAUCGUGCUAAUACAAACACCUACAUUUCUAUUGCUUACAUUCAUUCAUUCAUGUUGCUUGGGCAGGCUGAGAAGAGGAAGCGCAAAGCACAGUAUUCUGUUGCUGUGAAGAGGAAGGAGGCGGAACGGACAGAAAGGAAGAUGGCUGCUGUGGCAAGAGACCGCGCAUGGGUGGAAAGGCUGGCAGAGCUAAAACAGAUGGAGGCAAAAAAGAGAGCUGCAAUGGCUUGAGGAGCUCCUCUCUCUGGAAACAAACGGCAAGGCAGGCGUCUAACUUGUUUCUGCUGCUGCCUUUUGUCCCUGUUUUUUUUCCUCCCCUUAUAGCCUGAAUUUGUUCUGUGUGAACAGUUGUCACAACCAUUGUGGGUGGGUGGAACUUUGGCUGGCUGUACCAAACGCAACCUUAGUAAUUCAUGUGGAAAUUAACAGAUUGUUGGCCGCUCUAACUUGUACAGGUUUUUUUAUUGUGCAUAUAUAGUGGAAAAUAUAUCGUGUACUGAACAUAACUUUAUAUUUGAAUGCCACUGGAACUUUAUAUUAUAGUAACAGGAAAAAAAAACGGCUAAGCAUUCCUUCACGCGUGUAAUUCCAUUGCCGAUUUAGAUGGGCAAUUAGGUGACAGUUUGGGCAAUUUGCAUGGCACUUCUGCCUCCUUUUUAUGCCAACACGCUUUGCCCGGCAGAAAGGGGCAGCAGUAGCAUUCUUCGUUGUAGAAUUCCUGAUUGGCAUUGCUGCAGCGUGCAGUCCCUUUUCAGACACCAAUUCAAGGUGAGUUUGGUUGAUUCCACAAAAGUAGAAUUUGCACUUAUUAUGUUGGCAUGAUGAUCCUGGUAACUUGUUCUAGCUAGCUAACUUUAUUAUGUUCGACCUAUCAUAUAGCCAAUAUGCAGCGUUUGUUAGUGCACAUAUACGUCUCUGUAACCAGAGGGAACAAUUUCUUAAAGGCAGUAAAUUAGAUGAACAUAUACAAUGAGAUAAUGGUUUCAUGCUUACAUUGUCCAACCACAGCAAGGCACACGAUGAAGAAGAGAGGAACCGCGUACACCAGACUGCUCCCUCUCAUGUUUGAUCCUCAACUUCCAACGAUCUAAUGAAUUUUAAGAGAGAGGUGUAGAUGCAAAAGAGGCAAUGGCCACAGACAAACCCCUCUCACCUCCAUAUAGGGAUUGACUAUUCAUCACCCAGGAUGAAGAAUUCUUAUUCUUCAUCCCACCUCCUCACGCACCCUAUAGUCACCGUAAGAACCAAAAUGCAUGUGAGGUAAUAUUACGGUGUGUACUUAAGUGCUUCUUAACAUCCACCGUGAGAAACAAAUAUAUCAUACACGUGAGGUAAUAUUACGACAUGCAUGUGUGAAGUGAGGUAAAGUUAUAACACGUUGGUGAGAAUUCAAUACAUGUGAGGUAAGAUUAGACCAUGUUGGUGAGGUAAGAUUAUGAGGUGCGUGUGAGGUAAAAUUACGAUAUCCAACCAGAAAUAUAUUUUGAGAGUUUUUCACCCUCAAUGAUGAAUAGACUUUCUAUUUUCCAUACGAGACGCCUGCAAGCCAUAUUUGCAGAUCGCACAAUUGUCUCAUAUAUGAAUGCGUAUAAUCAGCAGGAUUUUGCCAAUCAACAGAAUUUUGCCAAUCCCGGAUGUAUAUUUCUGGUUAUAUGCGAAUGCGUAUAAUAAGGAUGUAGAUUUACCUGCACCCGGGCCCUUCUAUCCUGGCUCUAUAAUGUUGCUUUAAGAUCUGUGUGACACAACUAACUUUUUACAUGAUUUUUUUUUCUUUUUUGGUUCUCUCGUAUAAAACAUGUCUUGAAGUUCAAACACUUACAGCGUGGCAAAGCUUUCUAUCUAGAAUCUUGUCUAAAUCUUUCAGAACUUUUUGAUCCGACAUAAAUAGUAAAAAUAAGAUUUUUUAAUCAAAUAAAACCUAUUUUGUAUAUUUAUAUUGUACCAAAAAAUCUAAAAGUCUUAUCCUCGAUUCUAGUUAGAAAGCUUUGUUGUUCUGCAAAGGUUUGGAUAUCUAGACAUGUUCCAUGUGAAAGAAACAAAAAAAGAAAUGUACUUGCAUGAGUCGCGAUGUGAAGAUGGGUGGUUAGGAUAGAAGGGCCCGGGUGCAGAUGCUCUAAAACCUGUUUUCGGUAUAAUCAGCAGGAUUUUGCCAAUCGCACAAUUAGCACAUACUCCCUUCGUCCCAAAUAAGUGACUCAAAAAUGACUCAAAUUUACAUUAACUUUAAUACAAAGUUGAUUUAUUUUUGAAUCACUUAUUUUAAAACGGAGGGAGUCCAUGGUACGUGCAUAACGUGAGGUAUUUCUGAAGUCGUGGUUAUCUCCCCUAAUAAUAAAGUACGCACUGCUUCUGACGUCCGUCGCGGCAUUUUUGUAAAAACAUCCCUGUAGUUUUCUCUAAUUAACCCACGGUAUGUUUUUAAGUGAGGCCGAAUCGUUUUUUUCACAUUUUACACAAAACCCUCUUACUUUCGUGCUAAAUAACCCGCGGUUCAAAUUAUAUUCAGAGCGAAUCGUUUUUUAAAUUUUGUACGUACACCCCUCACAUAUGCGUUAAUAACCUCGAAGUCCAUUCAGAAUAAAUAUGUAUUUUCAAAUAACAAUAUCUUUUAAACCGCAAAUUCAAUUUAAACAUGUUAUAUAUAAAACUUGAUUAGAAAAAUGUGUAGAGUUUGAAUAUGUUGUUAUUUUACAUAUUAAAUAUUUAAAAAAAUACUAUUAUAUACAAUGCUAAUCAAUAUUUGUCUUUAUUUCGUACCGACUAUUUGUAUUGUAACAUGUUAACUUAAGCAUCAAUAUUUAGGAAAUGUUAUAAUCUUUGGACAUGAUAUACUUGCACUAGGUUCUUUCUUUGUACAUAUUUUAUAAUCUAAGACCUUACGUACGUGUUUUUUUUUACAGUAUCCACGCGCGUUUUUAUCAAUGGACUACAUUUUUUUAUUUUUUAUUUUUCUCCUGUUGCAACGCGUGGGCAUUUGUGCUAGUGAAUGCUUACACGGCAAGAUAUAUUACCAUGCGUGCGUCAAAUCACGAUGAAUAGCAUCUUAUGCACCUGGUGAGUGGUGAUGAGUCUAAGGAAAGGAAGAAUUCCAUUGCAAACGCCGAGCUCAAUUCGAGCUCCAGACGCCCCACGCCCAGGAGCCAAAUGGAGAGCUCCAGCUCAGCUCACGAACUUCACAAUUAACUCAGGCUCGGCGACCUCGCAAAACUCGUCUUUCCAGGACAGUGUGCAGACAGUAGCCUCUCCGAUCCGUAGGCAAGACAAAGGCUUCAGUAACUAGUUUUACAUAGAGCUUCUUAUUUUCUGAAAGAUACAUAGAGCUUUACUGCUGACAGUAGGAGGAAGAGCAAUGCUUGAAAGCUCUUGCUAAAGCAAGGGAGUGAGCUACCAAGUUGCUGAUUUUAGGAAUGUGGGAGACUUUGUAGGAUCUCAGAGAAGAAGCCGCAUGGAAGCAGUUUGCUAGAAGCCGGCUGAUGAUACUCCAGUGGCCGGGCUUUGAUAGUUUUUUUUUUACGGAACCUCGUCACAGGGGAAGGAGCUCUCGCAUUGUAUUAAGAGCAACUUUAGCACACCCCGCAUCUGUCCAACCCGCAAAACGUGUUUGCAGUUCGCGGAAAAACACCUUUGCGGGUCGGCGCGCACGGCCGCGGAUGCAGAUCCCUCAUAACGGACCCCUAAAAAAGCGUAUUCUUUUUUAGGGUCAUCUUUGCGGGGUCUGAUCUGGCGCAGCUCCUCCCGACCCGGAAAACCUAAAUUUGCACCUUAAUUUGAUCCAACAUAAUGCAUUUCUUUGCUUUUUCAACAACAUUGAAUACAUAAGCCGCAACACUGUCUUCGUGCAUUCGUCGUACUGUAUGAGCGGCAACGACGAACCACAGAGCCGCUGCGCGAGCGCCGAGCCCGGUGGACGGCCGGACGAAUCCCUGCCCGCAAAUCGUCGGCGGCGCCGGGAGGACGAACCCGUCCCUGCAUGCGGUGAUGCGCCCUUGCCGGGGCUGCGGGAGAUGCUCCACGACCACUCCAUCGCUUGGCCCAGCCACCGGCGGCCGGCAAAAGCCAAAUCCGGCUGUCCCGCGAUGAAGGUCCGCAGAUCCGCAAAUCCAGCAACCCGCCGACGCACGGGGGAGGGGAGGCCUCGUGCGUGUGGCGGCCUUUCGGCGAGCUCCUGCCGGCUGCUUUCGUCAGAAUCUUGGGCGACGGGGUGGCGGCGGCGCGAGGGGGGAGAGGGGAGGUGGUUGGUGGGGGAAAGCGCGGGCUCCCCCCACCAACCGCUUUCAUUUAUAUGCAGGGCACCGCAACAACGAGGGGAAACCCGCAAAUACGCGGGUUGGGGCCGAGAUUUUGCCGCGCCCCCCAAAUUUUUUUACGGGCCGGGGCGGGAUGCGGGGUCUGAUCGGGCAGGGUUUUCCGCCCCAACCCGCAUUUUGACGGUUAUUUUCCGGAUCGGGGCGGGAUGCAGGGUCUGCUAGAGUUGCUCUAAGAAGAAGAGAAUUGAUCUAGUUUAUAAGGAAAACCGUAUCGAAAACCUCAUAAAAUGAUCCGGUUUAUCAGGAAAACCAAGCCAAAAAACCGCACAUGCAGUGUAGCCUCGUCGACCACCCAACCCAAGACCACAAUUGCAACAAACACACACGACCGGCUCCGGAGCCGCCGCCCCGACAUCGCUCGCGAGCCGCAUCGUUGCACGACACAGACACCUCCUAGCCCUUGCUACACGAGAUGCCCACCCGUAGACCACAAACGUUGCGCUAGACUUCUGGGGCUGUCGCCCGACGUGUCAGCCAGAACGACCCCACAGAUCGCGUCGACCGAGCCGAAGAACUCGCUACCCUUGUAACGACAUAGGUGUCGAUGUUUUACAUCCAUCGUCCGGGGUCGCUGCCCUGGCAUCCACCACCCUGACCACAAAGCAACCAUGCAACUGCCAUAAACCCGCCAUCCCAUAAGCGUCAAGGUUCCAAGGCAACGCCACCAAGAAGGUAACGACAUAGGUGUCGAUGUUGCCCGCUCCGAUGGAGCUUGGGUUUUCACCCGGAGAUCACAUGACACUUGUGGCAGUAGAGGUAGCUUCACAAUAAGGCCUUCACGAAGGAAUGUGACGCCCGAGAGCGACGCCAUCAUCGACACUGACCAAGCAAGUGCAAGGCAUUCACCCGGAGCACCUUCUUCACCGCUGAGCCACACAAGGAAGCCCAGAGCAUAUGAGCGCAGCAAACUGAGCAGUGAGAAGGGGGCAUCGUUGACGACCACCAAUCCACAUCUUCCUUGCGGGCCGGAGACCUAUCUCCACAACCCACGAAGCACACCCACCCAGUAUGCGACACUGCCACACCGCCAUCCAUAAUUGUGUCUCACCGCCGCCCCCACAGCUCCACAAGCCAAGGGAGGAGCCCCGGGCACCCGAGGGCGCCCUGUCGCUACCACAUGAGCACAUCCGAGCGCCACCAUCGACAGAUUUGGGAGUUGGACCCGCGGCGGUCAACCACAUCACGUCCCCACCCAAUCCCAGACGAGGGGGUAAGAGGAAGGUGCCUCCACCAUGUCGAGGGCCGCCGCCCUGGCUCGCAUCUCCGGCAAGGCGUAGCUUCCACAAGGGAAGCCAGAUCCGUCGAUCUGGCCCCUCUGGCUGAGCAGCUUCAAGCAGCGAGAGAGCCUCCACAGCCCGCAAACUCCGACAUUGGAGCGCCCACCACCAGCGCCCUCACAGCCACCGGAAUUGCCUCCACCGCGCACUACCAGAUCCUUCACGACGACGCCACCGCGCGCCCACGAACCUCACAACCGGGUCCACCACAGCUCUCUCGCGCCACCUUCGAUGGCGAGGGCCGCCAUCACCGCGGCGAAGCCAACGACAGCUGUUAGAGCAUAUAUCUCCAUAUGUGGUUUUGGUAAUUGAUGACAAUUCCUAUGGACUAAUGGUUGCCUUAAGUUACAUUCAUAGGAUUUGUCCAUAGGCACUUCUUGAAGUCCAUCUGUUGGGUUCAAGGAGUUUAUAUGAUGACCAAGAUGGUAUUCAAGGUAUUAUCCAAAGAAUGGUCAUAGAGACACAUGGUUGAUCAAGAUCUCAGACAAAGAGUAAAUCAAGAUGAUCAACANNNNNNNNNNNNNNNNNNNNNNNNNNNNNNNNNNNNNNNNNNNNNNNNNNNNNNNNNNNNNNNNNNNNNNNNNNNNNNNNNNNNNNNNNNNNNNNNNNNNNNNNNNNNNNNNNNNNNNNNNNNNNNNNNNNNNNNNNNNNNNNNNNNNNNNNNNNNNNNNNNNNNNNNNNNNNNNNNNNNNNNNNNNNNNNNNNNNNNNNNNNNNNNNNNNNNNNNNNNNNNNNNNNNNNNNNNNNNNNNNNNNNNNNNNNNNNNNNNNNNNNNNNNNNNNNNNNNNNNNNNNNNNNNNNNNNNNNNNNNNNNNNNNNNNNNNNNNNNNNNNNNNNNNNNNNNNNNNNNNNNNNNNNNNNNNNNNNAAGAUGAUCAACACACAAAGCGUACAAGAUGUACCGAGAGGGAUCAAGUGAUCCCAUGGUAUGGUAAGCAUUGUCCAUUACGUGUUUAUGUACUAACCCAUGGUCUUCGUGAGAGUUCUAUGUGGGGGUUAGGUGUGUUUCCAUGGGCUUGCGUCAAAAGGAAGAUCUCAUACAACCCAUGAAGUAUGACGUCAAGUUGUGAUCGUAUUAUCCAAAGAAUGGUCAUAGAGACACAUGGUUGAUCAAGAUCUCGGACAAAGAGUAAAUUAAGAUGAUCAACACACAAAGCGUACAAGAUGUACCGAGAGGGAUCAAGUGAUCCCAUGGUAUGGUAAGCAUUGUCCAUUACGUGUUUGUGUACUAACCCAUGGUCUUCGUGAGAGUUCUAUGUGGGGGUUAGGUGUGUUUCCAUGGGCUUGCGUCAAAGGGAAGAUCUCAUACAACCCAUGAAGUAUGACGUCAAGUUGUGAUCGUCAUCAAGAUUGCGAUGUGCAAGUUCAAGUGGAUCAGCACGAAGAUAUCAUGCAUGAAGCUUGCCAUCCAUUGUGGUGGCAAUGGACUUGUGAAGAUAUGCUGAAGAGUGGCUCACCCAUAGUGAGUAUGGGGGAGCAAUCAAUUAGUCUUCAUCAAGCCAACACAAUCAAGAAAGGUGGUCCAUCUUGAGGAAUCCAAGAUCAUCAUCAUCUAGCUCAAGAGGACGAGGUGCAAGGUAUAGGUUUGCCCUUGAUAGGUUUUCUGUUUAGGAUAGAUUGCUAUACUAUCAAGGGGGGCUAUCAAGUGAGUAGCUUGAUCGUAUCGUUCGUUGAGAGCUCAAACCAUUUGCAUCCUUGCAUCAUACUUUUUGGUUCUUGUUUGGUGUUUCUCUUUGUGAGUUUUAGAGCUUAUGGUCAUCUUUGUGACAAGCUCGAGUUCAUCGAAAACGGAGUCCAUAUGCAUCUACUAUGAUGUUUUCGAUGUUGGUGUUUUUGCCGGUUCUUCAUUCAUAGAGGACUCACAUCUCUAUAUCAUUGGCAUUUUCAUCGCUGUUUGGAUAGCUCUUGUCGUCCUGAAUCCAACAAGCUUGGGUUUGCUCGAUUCGGAGCUCGUAUGCGAAAGUUAUGGUUGUUUCAGUGACGAGCGGUAGUACCGCUGGACCUAGCGGUAGUACCGCUAGAGUUGGCGGUAGUACCGCUGGCCCUAGCGGUAGUACCGUUAGAGCUGGCGGUGGUACCGCUGUCCAACGGUAGUACUGCCCCUGGCCAGCUGUAGUACCAUCAUCUUUGCGGUUGUACUGCGUCGGACCUUUUUGCGAAGACUUUCUUGGCGGUGGUAGUGCCUUUGCACUACCAGGGGCCUAGCGGUAGUACCGCUGGGAUGAGCGGUAGUACCGCUGGAGUGCCAGCGGUAGUACCGCUGCAGCCAGCGGUAGUACCGCCCCUGGUUAGCGGUAGUACCGCUGGAGUGCCAGCGGUAGUACCGCUGCAGCCAACGGUAGUACCGCUGGGCUCGGGCUGUAAGUGGGGGUAACGGUCUGAUUUGUUCCCCCACUAUAUAAAGGGGAUCUUCUUCCCCUUGGCCUCAUCCAUUCGUUGAGAUCUUGUUCUACCUCCAUUGUUGACAUUCUUAGAGCUUGCUUGCUCUCAAUCCCUCCAAUGAUUCUUGCUUGUUCUUGAGGGAAAAGAGAGAGGAGAUCUAGAUCCACAUCUCCAUCAAUCACUUUCUCCUCUAUGUGAGGGGAACCCCUUGGAUCUUGAUCUUGGAGUUCUUUGUGAGCUCCUUGUUCUUCCUCUCAUAUUUCUCCAUAGCUUUCGUUGUUGUGGAGGGAUUUGAGUGUGAGGGACUUGACCACUUUGUGUGUUCUUGCCAUUGCAUUGGUUGCAUCGGUUUGAGUUCUUCACGGUGAUACGUGGAAGUGAAGGUUGAGAAGCUUAUUACCUUUGGUACUUAGUACCCUAGAUAUUGUUCUUCGUGGAUGCUUUGGCGUCCUAGAAGCUUGGUGGUGUCUCGAAGCUCAAUCAUAGUGGUGUGAAGCUCCGGGAAAGCGUCGGGGUCUCCAAUUAGGUUGUGGAGAUUGCCCCGAGCAAUUUGUACGGGUACCGGUAACCGCCCCCAAGGGUUGCCACGUGUACGGGUUCGGUAACCGCCCCCAAGGUUUGCCAUUUGUACGGGUUCGAUGACCGCCCUCAAGGGUCCCUUAGUGGAAUCACGACAUCUUGCAUUGUGCGAGGGCGUGAGGAGAUUACGGUGGCCUUAGUGGCAUCUUGGGGAGCAUUGUGCCUCCACACCGCUCUAACGGAGAUUACAUCCGCAAGGGUGUGAACUUCGGGAUACAUCAUCGUCUCCCCGUGCCUCGGUUAUCUCUUACCCGAACCCUUUACUUAUGCACUUUACUUUGUGAUAGACAUAUUGUUUAUUGUAAUAUAUCCUGCUAUCACUUAGUUGUUUAUCUUGCUUAGCAUAAGUUGUUGGUGCACAUAGGUGAGCCUAGUUGUUUGUAGGUUUUGUGCUUGACAUAUUAAACGUUAGUUUUAUUCCGCAUUUGUUUUAGCAUAAACCUUAAUUAUUUUAAAGCGCCUAUUCACCCCCCCCUUCUAGGCGACAUCCACAUCCUUUCAACAGCGACAAGAGGAGGGCGCUCAGAGGGGGGAGCCCGGCGGCGUCGGACUAGGUUCCCCCGAGUCGCCCUAUGAGGAGCGACGUGGAUUGGGAUCUGUAUCCUUUGAAAAAUAACGGGAUUGGAUAGUGGGUCCCUUGCUUUUCAACUGCAUAUGCAAGAAUCUUGCAAUCUACUCUAUCUGUUUUUAAAUAUAAGUCUUUUUAAAGAUUUUACUAGAGGACUACAUACAAAAUAAAAUGAAUGAAUCUACACUUUAAAAUAUAUCUGUAUACAACCAUAUAUAGUCUUCUAGUGAAUUUUUUUAAAGACUUAUACUUAAGAGCGGAUGGAGUAUGAGAAAAGAGACUUUGAUCCAUAACAAAGCCUUGAGCCUACAAAAUAGAACUCACAUUCGCAAAGAAAGCCCGAAGAAAAUAGUCAUCUGAAGAAGGUAACUUCAGCCACGCUCCCAAGUCCAGUGGUAGCAUCGUUUCCCUACUUUGGUAAAAGCAACUCUAGCAGACCCUGUAUAAUCGUCGAAACUGUAAAAUUCCGGCGACUUUACGGGUUUGGGUUGUUUUUCCUACCAGAGCAGAUACUGUAAACGCAGCCCGAUCGUAAAACUUUUGCGGUGGCCCGUAAACGCGAGCACUCGACCACUAUAUCUACGGGUUCGGCCGCUGGAUGCAGGUCGAAACCCUGUCCCUCCGCCGCCACGAAAAGUCCCCCCACCUCACCGUCGGCGCCUUCAAUCCGCCGUCGCGCGCCUCCAUUCUGCCGCGUAGCCGCUCCAUUCCAUCGCCCUUGAUGGCCAACUCCGGUAGCCGUAGGAAUGACGACCCCGAGAGGGCUCGUUGCGUCAGAUCCGACGCCGCCCGUAAGCGCACCACCCGCCGGUACACGCAGUGGGGCCAGACGCCGCCGCUGUCGCUCCUCCGUCGCGAGACAGAGAAUUACGACCGCGCGCGGCCGCCUCUUCUCCGGCAGCUCCUUUGAGGCGUCGAGCUCGCGCUCGUGCUCAUCCCUCCCCCCGGUGAAGAGGGAGCUCGAAGAGCUCCCGUCGAUGAAGAUGAAGCUGGAGGCCGAGACGGUGCCGGAGCGACAUGUCGGGGCCGUCGUCGGACUGGAGGAUUUCCUUCCUCCGGCGGAGGCGGAUAGCCUUUUACCCGUGCUGCUGGCGCGAAGUGCACGAGAGGCAAAAGAGGACAAGCAGCGCCGCCGGAGGGAGGAGGAGAUCGACACCAUGCUCUACGAGCAGGGUGUCGCGUCGGCCCUCGCCUUCGGCCACAAGGUGAAGGAGUGGCGCCGCGAAGCGACUGCGCGGAAGCACAUCUACGUCGAGCUCUCCUCCGACGAGGACGACGACUGAGCGCACUGCGCAUCUACUACUGCACGAGCUCGACUCCGGUGAGCUUAAUUUUGUGGAGUGCGGUAGGAUAGCUAGUAGCUCUAGUGAGCUCCAGUAGAUGUGAUUUACCUCUGCCCCCCUCUAAUAAGUGAUAGUAAGUGAUGCAGUCUGAAUGUGGUUCCAAUUUCAACCGCGAAUGUUUUUAUUUCUAAUUAUGCAGUUUGAUUAUACGGGUUCUAUUCUGCAACCCAACAUUUCGUCCCGCAAAACCCCACUUCAUCGAACUGUAAAACACGUUUGCAGGUCGCAAUUAUACAAGGUCUGCUAAAUGCUCUAAGGGUUGAAAUCUGCAUCCGCAGAAGCCUUUGGACCUGCAGGGCGGGUGGGAACAUUUCAAGCAAAUGAAGAAAGCAAAGCUCGACACUGCGAGAACUGAUGGCUGGGCUCUCAACGCUGUGAACAGAGAUUGUCACAAGGGGAGAUGCAUUGCUGAAAAACAAGGCUCAGGAAAGUUUCAUGCAAGCGAAAGAAGAAAGCAAAUCGCACAUGGUCCUGAAGAACAAAGUCCACAAACCAAGUCCCACACCAAGUUACAUAUCCUGUUUUACAUUCUGACCUAAAACGUGUCACCAGCACACGACGCUGCACGAAAUCUAGAAUUAGCACACGAGGAGUUAAAAUGCUGUUACAUAUUGUGGAGGAAGAAGCAGUCAAGCGCCGCCAACGAUGUGCUUCUCAUACAAGGCGACAAUGUCCUUCUUGUUGGGGUUCUUCAGCUGCAGCAGCUGGGCGCCGAACCCUUGCUUGGUCAGCUCCUGCUUCAGCUUCAGCACCGUGAACUUGGUGUAGUCCUCAGUCUCCGUCUCUGUCCCCUCCAGCUGCUGGCUCCCGUUGUUGGUGUCCUCUCCGAAGAACACGGAUCCACCAUCCUCCGUGUGAUUGUUCUUGAACGGGCUCGUUGUGCUCUUCGAUCUUUUCCUUCGCCUCCCAGUGUCGUCAUCAUCGACGUCCAUGUAAUGGACUGACUCGGUGGCUUCACCCCUCGCACGCCUAGAGUAUGAGGCCUUGACCUUGCUGUCAAGCGCAGUUUCAUUGAGCCGAACAGAGGUGAGCUCCUGCUGGAGCAUGUCCAGCUUGCCUUGUGUUGAUUGCAGCUGCAGUGACAGGGACUCGGCUCUCUUGUUGGCUUCAGCACAAGCUUCACGCUCUGUUGCCAGUAGACUCUCGAGCACUUGGACCGUGUUGGAUCUUUGCUGGUUGUUCUGUUCCAACAUCUCCCCAAUCUGUUUUUCCCUCUCGUCAACCCUUUCGUCAAGCAUUCUGACCUUGGAUAGAGCAUCCAACUCAGACUGAUGAAGUCGCUCCAUUUCUUCCACCAUCUUACUUUUCUCUCGCUCUAGAGUUUCAACCUGUCUCUCCAUUCUUUCUAUCAAAGUGAGUCUCUCCAUUGCUAGUCGCUGUGCUUCACCCUUGUCUCUCUGAGCAGCAGCAGCUUCUACACGAGCUAAAUCAGCCAACUCUACUGCUCGUUUAGCCUCCCUUUCAGCAUCCUUGCACCUCAUGUCUGCCUCGUCAAACUUUUUGCACUCAGAUAGGAACUUCUCCUGAAGAUGGUUCUUUUCUUGUUCCAGGAUCCCCACUUCCUUCUCACGUGACUGAGCUUCAGUUUUAAUAGACUCCAAGUUAUCAGUCAAUAAUCUGAUUUCUUCCUUCAGAGCCACCGAAUCUGACUCAUGGUUCUUCAACUUUGCUUCAGUAACCUGGAUUUGGUCAUCAUUAGACAUGAGAUGUUAUAUCACAUUUGAGGGUGGGAAAGGAGGGAUGGAGGGAGAGAGGGGGGUACCUCAAGCCUAGACAUCAAACUUGUCUUGUGAACUUCAGUUUUGUUGAUUUUUGCAUUCAAUGUAGAUAUCAGUUCUUCCUGUUGAUAGAACAAGAAACCAAAAAGGUAAACAACCAGGCACCCACACAUCUACGAAGACUUAAAAGGUAAAAUGUCGAGUGCAAGAGAAAGGUUUACCUUCUCGUGCAGCUGGGUAGCAAGUUCCGCCCUCAAUGCAUCUUCCCUUUCUUGCACUUUCUUAUUUGUGCGUUCCUGUGCUGAAGCUGCUCUCUCAAGAGCUGUUUUGGCCUCAUUGGCAGCAUAUUCAUAUUUACGUUUCCACUCAGAAGCUUCCUCUUGAGCAGAUUCAGCCUGCUCUCGUACAGCAGAUAAUCUGCCUUCACUAAUGCUUACCCUAGAUUCCAGAGAAGCAAUCAGGGAUUUUAACUUGCUUUCAUCUGCCUUCUGCUGUGAAAUGCAGUGAUCGUAUUUGCUCUUCCAAUCAGCACAUUCGCGUUUUGCUUGUUCAAGAGCUGAAGACAAGCUCUUACAGCGUUCAUCCAACUUGCUAACCUUGUUUUGAAGUUCAGCUAUUCGAACAGAGUAGUCCUUUGACAUCUUCUGCUUAUCAUUGAUAGUUUCCUCAUAGCGCCUUAAAUACUCAGCUCUGUGCCCUUCACUUGCCUCUAGUUGCUUCCUGAGCAAUGAUAACUUAUCAUCGCUUGAACUGCAUUUCAAUCUCAGGGCAUUCCUUUCAGCAUCGAUAUGCUCCAAUUGUUUUCUGAAAAGGUCUAGCAUUGGGCCCGCCAAACUGCAGCAAUUCAUUGGCAUAUGAUGAAAUUUAAGUGAAUACAGAAGCAAAUGAAGUAAAUGAGGACCAUGGUUAAGACGUUCAGCAAAACAGAUACUGUAGAGAUGGUAACAGAGGAUCGAUUUGGUUCCUACAAGUAUAUCAUGCAGCUAAGGUUGCAAGUGGAGUGUCCACUAAGCCCACACUUAAUGAAGUAGAUAGUACAAUGUAAACUAGCCCAGCAAAUACAAGCUAUAACUGAUUUGAGCAGUUUUGAAUAGGAAACAGGCAAAAAUGUGCGCCGCUUGUAUCCCUACAUGCAGCCAACUUGAACCGUGUAGCUUCAAAGUUAUAUUAUCAAGUUCAAAGUGCAAAUUAUGAUCUAUCAUGUCCCAAAAUGAGAACAUUACGAAAAAUGAUGAGGUGCCUACCACUGAUGCAGAAAUGUAACAAGCUUUGUCCAUUUCUUCGGCCCAUAAGAAGUCGCCUCAUACUCCAUGAGGAGGCCAUCGAGGAGCUGCAUUAUAUCAAACAUAAUUGUGUUAGUAUUAUUAAAUUUUAAGCCAAAAUGAAUACAGCAUUCCAAAGAUUUGCAUCUCAGGGAAAAGCUUAAAAUAGUCUUACCCUGACUACAUCAUCCAACUUUGAAUCAGGACGGUUACAUGCUGCCCGCACUUUUGACUCCAUGCUCUGUAUUUUAUUUGAACAUUGCAAGUCGGCCUCCAGAAAAGCAUUCCUUUUAAAAUCCUGCAUUCAUAGCAUUACCAUUUAUCUGCUGGCACACUUUGGUACUGAUGUACUCCCUCUGAUUCACAAUAUAAGUAGUGCACAUAUUACGAAAAACCACUUAGGUCAUAAAUUUAUCAAACAAACAUAAUCAUAUAUUAUGAUAUUAUUUGCAUUGGUAAUUCUUUUUUACAUCAAUGAUCAAGCCUAAAACUCUAUGAAUGGCAGAACUUCUAAAACACUCAUAUUAUGAAUUAGAUGGAGUGAUUUAACAGCAAGCACCCAUGGAUUGAUUGAACUUGAUUAGAAAGACAAGUAAUAGCAGGCAUAGUCAACUGAAGUAGUAGAUGAGGAGCAGCAGUCACCUCAAAUCUCUUCCUUAGAGUAGUCUGAAGAAGCUUUUCGAAUUUAGAACGAGCUGACCCAGCACCAAAAGCAGAGGCAUUAAAAACACUAAUGGCCUUGUUCACUGCACGUUCAUGUGCUUCUCGCAAAGCAUCCUGCCAAAACCGACCUAUCAGAACCUCCCAAAAAAGCGGAAGGAGAAAUGCAUCUUGCUUAUUAGCAAUGCCUACCUCUUCUGCUGGCUUUUUGCAGUCAAAAGAAGAAUUGUAAGUAUCCACAGCAGAAUCAUAUGCUCUACGACAUUCGGCUUCCUCCACACUCUGCAUAACAAAAAACUAUGAGACAGCUCCUCCACAACAAAAAUAAGAUAUCGAAAUCAUGAUAAAACAGUAGAGAUACAGUAACAAAAGAGCAGUGAAUCAGUAACCCCACCCCUCAAAAAACGAAUGACUGUAGUUGCUCACCAGACCAGUUUUGUCACCUCAUAUCACUACAUAUCAUUUCUCUAAAAUGUUCAUAACGAAUAACUGUAGUUGCUCACCACAGCAUUUUUGUCACCUCAUAUCACUGCACAGUGUCAUUUCUCUAAAAUGUUCAUAAAGUCCUUUCAUCCGCUGCCUCAAUAUACUUUAAGUCAGUUCUCUAAACAGUUCAUAUCUUACCUUCUUCCUCCACUGAGCAAUUAUGUAAGUUAAGUGAUAAAUUCACAGCAUGCCAUCCAUAACAUCCAUUCACUAAGGGAUAUUUAUAACGACAUAAAAAUCUAGCAGAUAUAAAGCACACACCAUUUGCUACAAAUAUUACCUUCUGCAAAUGAGCUCUACAACAGUUUAAACUCUUUAAAUGCUUAUGGAUUGGAAUGGACUAAAAAGGUAGAAAGCAAUUUAAAUGAAUAUAAUGCAGAACAGGUAUGUUCUUCAAUAGCAUGGUCGUAAUUAAAUUGCAAGCAAUGCCAACAGUUGGUUGUGCGAUUUAUACAUAAGACAUAAAUCAUAAUGCCGUCAUCAAUUUGGGCAUACCUGCCAUGACGAAGAUAUUGUCGGGACUGCACCAGUAUUAAUCGCAUCAAGAAAUGAUUGUGUCAAUCCAGCAAGGAUGGGGCCUGUCAUGGUACUAGCUCCAAGUUGUUUAGGUCUUGUUCGAUCGAACACAAAUUUUGUGAAAGCAUCCAGGCCAGAUGUAAACUCUGGACGAAAUGUAUUCAUCUGCAAACAAGAGACAAACUAAGCAGACAAAAAAAUAGUACAGAAAUGAAAGCAUUCGUCAAGAACAAAAAAUUGGUUUUUUGGCAUCCAGCUGUCGGUACAAAUUUUAAUUAACUUUGUUGCCCUGUACUUCUAACUUAGCCUAGAUUAGCUUAGAUUUAGCUAUAGCUUCAGUUUUCAUUUGUACAAUUGUAAGAAAAAAUAUACUCCCUCCGUUCCUAAAUAUAAGACCUUUUAGAGAUUUCACUAUAAACUACAUAGUGAUGUAUGUAGUCAUAUUUUGGGAUGUAGAUUCAUUCAUUUUGCUCCGUAUGUAGUCUAUAGUGAAAUCUCUAAAAGGUCUUAUAUUUAGGAACGGAGGGAGUAUAAAUAUGUGCAGUAGAAUGCAACUGCUUUCUUCAGGAAAAUAACGAGCAUUUAUCAAGAAGAAACAGUUAAGAAAAUAAGACCAUAACGAAUAUGUACUAAAAUUACAAUGUGCAAAACUCUAUAAGGGAACACGCAAAACAUUCAUUUACACUAUAUCUUGCUAAACCAUAUACAAUCUUAAGAGAAUUUUCCUGCAACAACUGUUACUCUUAAGCAAAAAAGCAUUCAUUGUCUAACAAUGAACUGCAUGGAUAACUCUCCUAGUCUUACACUAGGCAUUAUAGAUAGUCUAAUAAGAAAAGCUUCGCAAAAAUAAGAUUCUACCCGAAUGGUAAUGAUACAUGGUCUGCUUCUUGCGGACAUUGCCAUAAAAUGUCACUAUGGUAGGUUAUCUAUUGCAGUUGACAGGAAUAAUACUUACAGGAAGUUGGUCAAGGCGCUGGAGAUCUUUCUCAUUGUUCACAGGUCGCACAAGCGUAAAGCAUUCCCUGUCUGGAAAAAGAGCGCGGAUUGACUCCCGUAUCUUUCAGAUAUGUUGAGAAAAAGAUGCAUCAGUAUCUUUUAAGAUAUGUUACAAAAAAAAAAUUACAACAGUAUGUAUGCAAAAUUUACUUAAGCAGAAAUGCAUUAGAACGAAGUGCUGCCACCAUACCCCAUUCUUAGAAGAUACAUCUCUUCCGCCACUUUGAACAGGCCUUAGAGCUAGUUCAAGGUAAUCUCUUGGUGUAAUUUUUCUGUUGUCUUCCGACAGAUCCAAGUAGAAGUCCUGUUGGAACCAAACCAACAAGCCAGUGAUUUUCAAAGAUGUACCAAAGGAAAUGCAGGUAUGGUUAAAGACCAGAGAUGUUUCAUAGAACAUGUGUGUACAAUUACAAAACCAUCAUGUGAAGUGUGAAUAGACUUUAUAUUAGGACAAAAUAAAGACAAUGUCUUACCCUCAACAGCCAAAUAAAGACAGGUGAGAAGUGCCCAAGUUCAGAGGCACUGGACCUUCCACCUGAGGCCCUAACCCGUAUGUGCUUUGUCAUUUCUGUGACUAGUGAAAGACGGUCAAUCGAGGCUUCAUCUAUUCCUCCCAUCUGGAAGAAACAACAAGGUUUCGAGAAAAUAGAUUAGAGUAUGAAAGAGAGAGGGGGGCUUCUGCAAUAUUACUGUAGCAUGCCCUCCCAAAGAAUAGAUGCCAGAAACCUUAGUCAUUCAGUCAAAAAUGUACCUGGUUGUAUAUGAACAUGCUUGAUAACAGAACAGCCAACGAAAAUAUUUGGAUACUGUAGGUGCCCUGUCAAAAAAAGGAAAGAGUAAUAAGACAAUAGAAUAGAAAGCAGAUAGAAAAUUAUAUCCUAAUGCACAUAAGCAACCAUAAAAAAUCACCAGAAGCAAAAAAAAAAAAAAAAAANNNNNNNNNNNNNNNNNNNNNNNNNNNNNNNNNNNNNNNNNNNNNNNNNNNNNNNNNNNNNNNNNNNNNNNNNNNNNNNNNNNNNNNNNNNNNNNNNNNNNNNNNNNNNNNNNNNNNNNNNNNNNNNNNNNNNNNNNNNNNNNNNNNNNNNNNNNNNNNNNNNNNNNNNNNNNNNNNNNNNNNNNNNNNNNNNNNNNNNNNNNNNNNNNNNNNNNNNNNNNNNNNNNNNNNNNNNNNNNNNNNNNNNNNNNNNNNNNNNNNNNNNNNNNNNNNNNNNNNNNNNNNNNNNNNNNNNNNNNNNNNNNNNNNNNNNNNNNNNNNNNNNNNNNNNNNNNNNNNNNNGGAAUACAGAAAAGCUAUUCACUUAGGAACCUAUCUUUGAACAAAUAGCCAACUAGCAGAGAGAAGGUUGAUGUCCUAACCAGAGUUGUGAACAUCUCAAAAUUACAAUUAGAAAACAUGAAAUUGCGUAAACGGAAUACAGAAAAGCUAUUUACUUAGGAACCUAUCUUUGAAUAAAUAGCCAACUAGCAGAGAGAAGGUUGAUGUCCUAACCAGAGUUGUGAACGUCUCACUAGGAAUAGUUGGAGAGAAAAAAACACUCCAGGAUAAGAUAUACUGAAUCUAAAUGUGGUAAGAAUGUCAACAGAAAUGAGCAUCGCACUUUAAAUAUAUAGCUUUUGUAUAUACUGAUGGGGAAAAACUACUAACUGCACAUCGCCUGCUGAGUUAAAAAGAAAAGCACCACAUGAAAUUUGCAGACUGUAUUGUAUGGACAAAAAUAGAAUCAACAAAAUUGACAUGAGAAAUCUGUAUGUCCAAAUAAGUCAUAGUCAUAACCAUGGCAUUGAAGGAAAACCCAUAAAUAUUGGAAGUAGAAAAUCUUUUGACCAUCUCAACAUCAAAAUUCAACUAGCCACUCAAAUAAAUGUGAUCCCAAAUAAAUAAAUACAUGCUCCAGGAACAUUUAGCAGACCAUGACAUAGUCAUUAAACCAAAAAAAGGGUCAGUUUCAAAGUAAAGUUACACGGCAUACCGUUUGGUCAUAAGCAUCAAUGCCUUCAGUGUCCAACAAUACAAGAUUGUAUUCAGUUCCAUCAAGACCAGUCCUCUUCAAAGGUGCACUCCACAUCCAAAGUCCCUUGGUGCAAGGUUUAUGCGUCGAUGCAACUUGAAAACCACUGCUUCGCCCUAGAAGCUGCAUACGUAGAUAAUCAUUAUCGUCUAAUGAUGAAAUGGAGAACGAGGUUCAAAAGCAUGCAGCAAAGAAGUAUUAUUUAGCAAAACAAACACAAAGGUUCAAGUACGUCCAUAGAUCCAUCCAUCCAAGAUAAAUGUUCUGACACAGUCUGAUGGAUUAAUACGAUAUAAGGAUUUGAAUGCGAGGUUCAUCUGAUGGAGCUGAUAGAACUUAACUGGAUAUGUUUUAUUCGGUACGUACUACACACCAUGCUAUGAUAUGUCAGCCUCUAUUCAUGUGUUAGCAGUUUCUUUUUCCAAGUACAAAAUACUUUUAAUCCAAAACACUGUGCAUUCAAUGAUCCAGCAAUGUAUUGUCUCUUACCGAUGUGGUUCAACGUUCUUGUUUUAUCUUUCACACUUUCCUUUAUGCCUUAUUUUAAUCAAGCAUGUCAUUCAUGUACUCUGCAACAGAAGUACAUACAAUUUCAAAUAUAUCCUGGAUCCUGGUAUUUACCACCAAAAUCAUGUCAUUACGGCCAGAGGCACCUAACAGCAGUACCAAUGAUUUUGUCAAGAUGACGGCAAUCACUGUAUUUCCAUCUCAAGUGAUUGUUUGAAUUAACUUUUGCUGUUCUCUCAUACGCUUUCCUUUAUGACUUAUAAUCAAGCAUGCCAUACAUGUACUCUGCAAGAGAAGUACAUAAGACUUAGAUAUAUCCUGGUAAUUUACCACCCGAAAUUGUGUCGUUAUGGCAAGAGGAAACCUAACAAGUGCACCAAUGAUCUUGGAAAGAUGACGCCAAUCACUGUAUCUCAAUCUCAAGUGUGUUUGUUCUACCAAUUUCGUAGUUCAACUGUUGGAGCAGUUGGAACUAGAGUGGUUUGCUACUGAUGUCCUCACAAAUACUGACACAAGAAAUAUACUUCAUGAGUAAACGUUAUAUCCAGCCCCGGACCAGCUGUGAAAUCAGUUCCAAAUCCCAAAUCGUUCGCUCCAGCAGAGCGAGUUGACGGCAAAACCCCAACCGAACCCCGCUCCCAUUCGAUUCCAACAAAUAAGUAAACCCUAGAACCCCAAAUCCACCCUAACCCGCUGGCUCGGGGUGGCCAAACCACCCCUUUCCACCCUCCCGAGCAUCCCCGCGCCGGAGCUAAACGCGCCGAUCUACCGAGCCGCGCAAACCCUAGGCGCGCAUUCGCCAAUCCACGAAGGGCCCAGAGAGAGAGAGAGAGAGNNNNNNNNNNNNNNNNNNNNNNNNNNNNNNNNNNNNNNNNNNNNNNNNNNNNNNNNNNNNNNNNNNNNNNNNNNNNNNNNNNNNNNNNNNNNNNNNNNNNNNNNNNNNNNNNNNNNNNNNNNNNNNNNNNNNNNNNNNNNNNNNNNNNNNNNNNNNNNNNNNNNNNNNNNNNNNNNNNNNNNNNNNNNNNNNNNNNNNNNNNNNNNNNNNNNNNNNNNNNNNNNNNNNNNNNNNNNNNNNNNNNNNNNNNNNNNNNNNNNNNNNNNNNNNNNNNNNNNNNNNNNNNNNNNNNNNNNNNNNNNNNNNNNNNNNNNNNNNNNNNNNNNNNNNNNNNNNNNNNNNNNNNNNNNNNNNNNNNNNNNNNNNNNNNNNNNNNNNNNNNNNGAGAGAGAGAGAGAGAGAUGGUACCUGGUUGAGGACGAAGCUCUUGCCCUGGCGCGCGCGGCCGCAGACGGAGACGACCCCUACGGGGCCCUUGACGAGCUGCAGCGCGGCGACGGCCUCCGGGUCCAUGACGAACUUGCCCUUGUCGUCGCAGUAGACGAGCCGCAGCGGGCGGCCCAGGCCCCCCGCCGCGGCGGCGGGCGCCGCGGGGGAGGCGGAGGCGUCGGCGGCCGCCGCGGCGCUGGGGCUCCCGCGCAGGCCCAGCCUCUGGAGCAUCGCGUCGUCGCUCGCCGUCAGGGGUCGCGCUGCUUGUGUUUCAAAAGGAAAAAGGGGGAAUGGAGCGGAGGAGGAGCCAGGCGUGUCGUCCGUGGGGGUUCUUGGACAAGUGAGUAGAAAGAAAGAAGGCGGUGUUGGACAGUUUGGAGGCGACGUGGCGGCCGCCUUUUGGGCUGGAGGCGACGCCCGUUGCGCUGGACCUGGGUGUUGGGUGGGGCCUUGGUCGGUUCGCUUCGUUGGUCUUGGUCGGUGCACUCCACGAGGUUGGGUUCGGACCUUGGUCUCCUGCUCGAUUGCAAGGGUUGAUAUCCACGAGCCUAGAAUCACAUUCAUGCGAGCCGGGCUUCCACAGUUUCUUCCCCAUUUUUUCCAUCUUCUUUGNNNNNNNNNNNNNNNNNNNNNNNNNNNNNNNNNNNNNNNNNNNNNNNNNNNNNNNNNNNNNNNNNNNNNNNNNNNNNNNNNNNNNNNNNNNNNNNNNNNNNNNNNNNNNNNNNNNNNNNNNNNNNNNNNNNNNNNNNNNNNNNNNNNNNNNNNNNNNNNNNNNNNNNNNNNNNNNNNNNNNNNNNNNNNNNNNNNNNNNNNNNNNNNNNNNNNNNNNNNNNNNNNNNNNNNNNNNNNNNNNNNNNNNNNNNNNNNNNNNNNNNNNNNNNNNNNNNNNNNNNNNNNNNNNNNNNNNNNNNNNNNNNNNNNNUUUUUUCCAUCUUCUUUGUUGUUUUGCUUUUUGAUCAGGUUUUCUUUGUUUUCGCUGGGUUUUUUUCUUUUCUUCUUUGCUUUUUGUUGUUUUUCGUUGUACUUUCUCACUUUUUCACUGGGGUUUUUAUUUUUUUUCUUUGUUUCUUUUUUCCAUCUUCUUUGUGUUUUUUUGGUUCUCUUUUCACCUUUCUUUUGAUAUUUAUUUUUUUAUUUGGGUUUCAUUCUAUAUUUAUUUCGUAUAUGCCCACAACAUUUUUAAUACAUGUCUAGCAUAUUUUCAAUACAAAUCUAGCAUUUUCUAUUAUUUUUUAACAUUUUUUUCAAAUGCUUGAUUAAUAUUUUUGAAAUACAAUAAUAAUAUUUUCUAAUAAAUUGUCAACAUUUUGCCUAUGCAUAUUUAACAUUUUCCAAAUGCUUGGUUCAUAUUUUCUAAAUGCAAUAUUAAACAUGUUCAACAUUCAAACAAAUUUAAAUGUUUUAAACGCUUUAUUAAAAAAUUUAAAUACUUGUUCAAUUAUUUUAAAUACUUGAUUAACAUUUUUAUAAUACUUUUUCAACAUCUUUUAAAUGCAUGUUUAAUAUUUAUCUAAUACUUGUUCAAUAUUUUUUAAAUGCUUGAUUAACAUUUUUCUAAUACUUGUUCAACAUUUUCUAAAAUGCUUGAUUAAUAUUUUUGACAUACAUGUUGAAAAUUUUCCAUCACUUUUUUAACACAUGGCAAACUUUUUUAUAAAUACGUUUUAACAUUUUUAAAUGGUUCUUUAACAUACUUCAAAUAUUUUUAACAUUUUUUAAAUACUUUAUUAGCAUUUUUAUAUAUAGUCAAACUUUUACAUCAUUUUUAAUACAUGUUCAACAUUUUUCUAUAUAGAUUAACAUUAUUCCAAUGCUUGAUUAACAUGUUCUAAAUAAUUGUUCAACAUUUUUUUCAAAUGCUUGAUUAACCUUUUUUGUACAUCAUCAAUUAUUUUCAUUAUUUUAAAUACAUGGUCAAUAUUUUUCUAUACACAUUAAAAUUUUCCACAUGCUGGAUUAUCAUUUUUCAAACACUUGUUAAACAUUUUUCCAGAUGCUUGAUUAUCAUUUUUCAAACACUUGUUAAGCAUUUUUCCAAAUGCUUGAUAUACAUUUUGUUGGAAAUAUGCCCUGGAGGCAAUAAUAAAUUAGUUAUUAUUAUAUUUCUUUAUUCAUGAUAAUCGUUUAUUAUCCAUGCUAGAAAUUGUAUUGAUUGAAAACUCAAAUACAUGUUUGGAUACAUAGAAAACACAGUGUCCCUAGUGAGCCUCUAGUUGACUAGUUCGUUGAUAAAAGUUGGUCAAGGUUUUCUGGUCAUAAGCAAGUGUUGUCACUUGAUAACGGGAUCACACCAUUAGGAGAAUCAUGUGAUGAACAAGACCCAAAUUAUGAACGUAGCAUGUGAUCGUGUCAUUUUGUUGCUACUGUUUUCUGCGUUUCAAGUAUUUGUUCCUAUGACCAUAAGAUCAUGUAACUCACUGACACCAGAGGAAUACCUUGUGUGUAUCAAACGUUACAACGUUACUGGGUGACUAUAAAGGUGCUCUAUAGGUAUCUCCGAAGGUGUCCGUUGAGUUAGGAUGGAUCAAGAUUGGGAUUUGUCACUCCGUGUGACGGAGAGGUAUCUCAGGGGCCACUCGGUAAUACAACAUCACAUACAAAGCCUUGCAAGCAAUGUGACUCAAGUACUAGUCACGGGAUCUUGUAUUACGGAACGAGUAAAGAGAAUUGCCGGUAACGAGAUUGAAAUAGGUAUAGGGAUACCGACAAUCAAAUAUCGGGCAAGUAACAUACCGGAGGACAAAGGGAAUGUUAUACGGGAUUAUAUGAAUCCUUGGCACAGAGGUUCAACUGAUAAGAUCUUCGUAGAAUAUGUAGGAUCCAAUAUGGUCAUCCAGGUCCCGCUAUUGGAUAUUGACCGAGAAGUGUCUCGGGUCAUGUCUACAUAGUUCUCGAACCCGCAGGGUCUGCACAUUUAAGGUUCGAUGAUGUUUUAGUAUAGUUGAGUUAUAUGUGUUGGUGACCGAAGGUUGUUUGGAGUCCUGGAUGAGAUCACGGACGUCACUAGGGUUUCCGAAAUGGUCCGAAAAGGAAGAUUGAUAUAUAGGAUGGUUUCAUUUGGUCACCGAAAUUUUUUCGGUCAUUACCUGCAAUGUACCGGGAGUGACGAAUGGGUUCAGGAUAUUCAUCGGGAGGGGCCCAACCACCCGGGAGUGAGUCCAGUAACCCUAUGGUGGCGCACCAUCCCUUAGUGGGCUGGUGAGUCCAGCCCAAGAGGGCUAUGGCGCCACAAGGAGAAAAUACCAAAGGAAAAGAAAAAAAAAGGAAAUAGGGAGGUGGGAAGGAAGGAGUGGACUCCUUCCCCCAAACCGAAUUGGGGUGGAAGUCCACCUCCUCCUCCUUGGCCGGCUCCCUUGGGGUUCCCUUAAGCCCCAAGGCUAUCCCCUCCCCUCCUCCUAUAUAUAUUGGUGGUUUUAUGGCUUUUUGAGACACAACUCUGCCACGUGCAACUCAAACCUAUACCACGUAGUUCUUCCUCUAGAUCGGAUUUCUGCAGAGCUCAGGCGGAGCCCUGCAGGAGUAGAUCAUCACCACCACCGACGCGCCGUCACGCUGUCGGGUAACUCAUCUACUUCUCUGUCUCUCUUGCUGGAUCAAGAAGGCCGAGAUCGUCAUCGAGCUGUACGUGUGCUNNNNNNNNNNNNNNNNNNNNNNNNNNNNNNNNNNNNNNNNNNNNNNNNNNNNNNNNNNNNNNNNNNNNNNNNNNNNNNNNNNNNNNNNNNNNNNNNNNNNNNNNNNNNNNNNNNNNNNNNNNNNNNNNNNNNNNNNNNNNNNNNNNNNNNNNNNNNNNNNNNNNNNNNNNNNNNNNNNNNNNNNNNNNNNNNNNNNNNNNNNNNNNNNNNNNNNNNNNNNNNNNNNNNNNNNNNNNNNNNNNNNNNNNNNNNNNNNNNNNNNNNNNNNNNNNNNNNNNNNNNNNNNNNNNNNNNNNNNNNNNNNNNNNNNNNNNNNNNNNNNNNNNNNNNNNNNNNNNNNNNNNNNNNNNNNNNNNNNNNNNNNNNNNNNNNNAGGUGUCGUCCGUUCGGCGCUAGAUCGGAACGGAUCAUGGGACGACGGUGAUUUGAAUCACGAAGCUGUAUCACUACAUCAACCGCGUUUCUUAAUGCUUCCCGCUUAGCGAUCUACAAGGGUAUGUGGAUCAAAUCUCCUUCUCGUAGAUGAACAUCACCAUGAUAGGUCUUUGUGUGCGUAGGAAUUUUUUUGUUUCCCAUGCAAUGUUCCCCAACAGUGGCAUCAUGAGCUAGGUUCAUGCGUAGAUGUUAUCUCGGGUAGAACACAAAAGUUUUUGUGGGCGUUGAUGUUCGAUUUGCUGCCCUCCUUAGUCUUUUCUCGAUUCAGCGUAUUGUUGGAUUGAAGCGGCCCGGACCGACAUUACUCGUAUGCUUACGAGAGACUCGUUUCAUUGACUAACAUGCAACUAGUUGCAUAAAGAUGACUGGCGGGUGCAUGUUUCUUCAACUUUAGUUGAAUUGGAUUUGACCAAGGCGGUCCUUGGAGAGAGGUUAAAUAGCAAUUUGCACAUCACCGUUGUGGUGUUUGCGUAAGUAAGAUGCGAACAUACUAGAUACCCAUAGCAGCCACGUAAAACAUGCAACAACAAAUUAGAGGACGUAUAACUUGUUUUUGCAGGGUAUGCUUGUGAUGUGAUGUGGCCAACGAUGUGUUGUCAUAUAUUGGAUGUAUGAGAUGAUCAUGUUGUAAGCCAAUGACAUGAUGUGAUAUAUUGGAUGUAUGAUAUGAUCAUGUUGUAAUAGUUAAUAUCGACUUGCACGUCGAUGCUACGGCAACCGACAUGAGCCAUAGGGUUGUCUUUAAACUAACGUUUGUGUUUGUAGAUGCGUUUACUAUAUUGCUAGGUUGUAGCUUUAGUAGUAAUAGCAUAGAUAGCACGACAACCUCGAUGGUGGCACGAUGAUGGAGAUCAUGGUGUGGCGUCGGUGACGAUGAAGAUCAUGCCGGUGCUUUGGUGAUGGAGAUCAAGAAGCACAAGAUCAUGGUCGUAUCAUGUCACUUAUGAAUUGCAUGUGAUGUUAAUCCUUUUAUGCACCUUAUCUUGCUUAGAACGACGGUAGCAUUAUAAGGUGAUCCCUCACUAAUUUUUCAAGAUGAAAUUGUGUUCUCCCCGACUGUGCACCGUUGCGACAGUUCGUCGUUUCGAGACACCACAUGAUGAUCGAGUGUGAUAGACUCAACGUUCACAUACAACGGGUCCAAAACAGUUGCACACGCNNNNNNNNNNNNNNNNNNNNNNNNNNNNNNNNNNNNNNNNNNNNNNNNNNNNNNNNNNNNNNNNNNNNNNNNNNNNNNNNNNNNNNNNNNNNNNNNNNNNNNNNNNNNNNNNNNNNNNNNNNNNNNNNNNNNNNNNNNNNNNNNNNNNNNNNNNNNNNNNNNNNNNNNNNNNNNNNNNNNNNNNNNNNNNNNNNNNNNNNNNNNNNNNNNNNNNNNNNNNNNNNNNNNNNNNNNNNNNNNNNNNNNNNNNNNNNNNNNNNNNNNNNNNNNNNNNNNNNCAAAACAGUUGCACACGCGGAACACUCGGGUUAAACUUGACGAGCCUAGCAUGUGCAGACAUGGCCUCGGAACACAAGAGACCGAAAGGUCGAGCAUGAAUCGUAUAGUUGAUAUGAUUAGCAUAGAGAUGUUUACCACUGAAACUAUACUCAACUCACGUGAUGAUCGGACUUGAGUUAGUGGAUUUGGAUCAUGCACCACUCAAAUGACUAGAGCGAUGUAUUUUUGAGUGGGAGUUCUUAAGUAAUAUGAUUAAUUGAACUUAUUAACAUGAACAUAGUCAAAAGGUCUUUGCGAAUUAUGAUGUAGCUUGCGCUAUAGCUCUACUGUUUUUUAUAUAUUCCUAGAGAAAAUUUAGUUGAAAGAUGAUAGUAGCAACUUUGCGGACCGAGUCUGUAAAACUGAGGAUUGUCCUCAUUACUGCACAGAAGGCUUAUGUCCUUAAUGCACCACUCGGUGUGCUGCACCUCGAGCGUCGUCUGUGGAUGUUGCGGAUAUCUGACAUACACGUUUUGAUGACUACGUGAUAGUUCAGUGUGUAAUACUUAAUGGCUUAGAAGCAAGGCACCGAAGACGUUUUGAAACGUCACGGAACAUAAGAGAUGUUCUAAGAGAUGAAAUUGAGGUUUCAUGCUCGUGCCUUGUUGAUAGGUAUGAGACCUCCGACAAGAUUCUUUGUCUACAAAGUAAAGGAGAAAAGCUCAAUCGUUGAGCAUGUGCUCAGAUUGUGUGAGUACAACAAUCGCUUGAAUCAAGUGGGAGUUAAUGUUCCAAAUGAGAUAGUGAUGGUUCUCCAAAGUCACUGCCACCAAGCUGCUAGAGCUUCGUGAUGAACUAUAACAUAUCAAGGAUAGAUAUGAUGAUCCUUGAGCGAUUCACAAUGUUUGACACCACGAAAGUAGAAAUCAACACCUACCCACCUGCUUGUUACAUGGCACGAGUUCAUGCAUGGCCCCGUCCUCAACGCUACCCCGACACUAUGCGCGCGGGACCGCCUACACUUGCAGCUGCGACACACGGACAUACAUAUUCCCUCAUCACUUGCAGUAGAAGAGUUGAGUUGCCGCUGCUCUCACUCACACGCGCGUGCCCACACACCAAAGAUUUUCCCCAUGCUAACUAAAAGGUUGUGACGUACGCCCUUCCCUUCCCUGCUCUCACAAGAUGAAGGACGCAGCGAAGUAUUUGAUCAUCAUCGUCGCCGGCGGAGCUGCGCUCGUCGGCUGCUGCAGCGGUUUUGCGGCGGCGGCGGAGUGCUGGGGCGGUUUGGAAGCGGCGGCGGAGUGCUGCGGCGGUUUGGCGGCAGUGACGAGUGCGCUGCAUCCGCGUCGUCGUGGCCGAUGUCGAGGAGCGCGCCCCACGCGCGGCGGCAGUGGGGGAUGGAGCAACCCUAGCGGAGCUGGACGGCGGUGGGGGAUGGAGCAGCCGUGUCGGAGCUUGGUACAAAUUGUUGGGGGAGGGGGCCUCAACAUAGCACCGCCAGUGGCCCCGUCCCAAUGCUCCCCCGAUACGGUCGAUUUUCGUGUUUUGAACCUUCUUCAGAAUUUAAGCAAAUGUCUGAACGUCCACAAUACCCUUCCACCGUGUUUGCUUUCGGUUUGUGAGGAAAACGAAUGUCCGAACUGAUCCGCGGACGGAUGCGGAACCGUGUCUUAUCCGAGCGGAUCAUAUCACAGGCCAAAGGCAGCGGGAGCGUGGGAUAUGAUCCACCUGCAUGUCCAAACUGAUAGCAAGAAUAUUUGGCAGUCCUAACACUGAUCAGUAGCAACACACCUCUGCUCACUGCCCGCAAAACAGACACACACACCUCUGUUCACGCAAAAAAAAAAAACAGCAACACCUCUCAUCUACUAGAGCAUCUCGAGUUGUCCUCAUCUACACGGGGAUCUGUUCCUUGUUUUUACUCCCUCCGUCUCAGUUUACAAGUCCGUCACAUAUACAUAGGUCGCUAGUAUGAAAAAUCAACGUAUAUAAAAGAGUCCGUCACAUUUACACGGCAAAAUUCAUAAAAUUGUUCGUGUUUAUCAUUUAAAAAAUCAAAAUGUGUUCACUUUUUGUUCUCUUCUUAUUUAUUAUCUUUAUUUUGUUUUCCCAAUUUUUUGUUUUUCCUGUUCACUUUAAUUCAAUGUAUAUAACAGAGUUUUCUUUUGGUUCAUCGUAUAUUAAAAAAAUUCACUAGUCGUUAAAAAAUGUUCAAUGUAUAUUGCAAAAAAGAAUUGUGUGGAUUCAAAAAAUGACCAUCAUAUAUUAAUGGAUUGUUCACUGUAUAUUAUAAAAAAUUGGUAUUCAUUAACAUUUUCUAUAAUUUGAAUUUUUUAUGUAAAUUCCCAAACAUGUUUUUUAAAAUAUGAUUUGACCAAGCUUUCUUCCUUAUGGAAAAUUAUUAGAAAUAUAAGCAUGAAAAACGCAAAAAUAAAAAACAAAAACAAAUCACUAUUAGCCUAGAAGCUAGCGAUGAGAUACAUACUUGUAAAUGUAUUACGAUCACACGCAAAAUCUAACAAAUCGAUUUUAGCUAGCUCGGUAUUUUUUCCUAAAAAAGACUAGCGAUCAGAAUUUUUUGUACGGGCAGCUAGCGACCAGAUCAGAGUAUAGGCCGCCCAACCAGGCGAACACGGAGUGAGCUGGUUUCUAGUUUGGGCUUUGAAAAAUUAAAAUCAAACAAACAUGGGAAACAAAAAGAAUUGAGGUGGCGUUGAUAUCAUACUUAAAUGUUACCCCCUCCGUUCCUAGAAUUAAGUAUAAGUCUUUUUAAAUAUUUCAAUAGUUGACUAGAUACGUAGUAAAACGGAUGAACCUAUACUUUAAAAUUUGUUCAUAUACAUACGUAUGUAGUUUUUUAUUGAAAUGUCUAAAAUACUUAUAUUUAAGAACAAAGGAAGUAGGUACUAUCUUACAUCCAGGUGUAACAAAGACGGACCCAAUAUUAAAUAUGGUACAAAUUUUGCUAGCAAUGCAGUAUGUAUAUAUUGUUAGGUCAUAGAGUUGUCAACAUUGAAUUGUUGAUGUUGAAUAAAUUAUAGUUGAGGUACCAAAACUGUUAAGCCAAACAACAGCGGUAUUAUUAAUGUGGUGAGUUCUUUAGUAGCAGGGAGAUAAUCGACUAUAUUUUCUUCAUGCCGCCUUGAGUUUUACUGAUGCCGCUCUGACCGUCCAUUGAGCAGUGAGAGAAAUGCAUAUUUCAACUCUCAACUCUUGCUCUAGUCUAAUCUACAACCCUCUUCUCUUAAAAACCAGCCAGGAUUCGACCCUCCCCUCCCCAUACCCUGGUUUUAACCUGUUGAGGAUCCAGUCAUCAUGUCGAAUCAGCAAACCAUGUGCGAAUAAAAUAAAAUUUUCCGGAAAAAAAAAACAAGAGAAUUUUUUUUAAAAAAAUCUGCAAUUUUAUAAUACUUAUGUGAAAUAAAAAUAUAUUUUCUUUUUUUUCUUUUGUGAAAUACAUUUUUCUAGAAAAUGAAACUGAUGAUAAUUUCAUUAAUUUAAGAAUUUGUUUUUGAAACUUUCCUAGAAUGCUUAUUAUUAAUUUCUAAAAUUUACUGAUUUUAUUCAAAAAUUCCUAGAAUAUUUAUUUUUCUUAUAAAUUUUGGUAAAACAUUUUGGCAGAAUAUUAUGACAAAAAAUUGAUAUUUUUUUAUUUCCCUAAUUUAUAGUAUUUUUCUAUUUUUAGCUUACAAAUUUUUUUCGUAUUUUUCUGGGGACUCUAUUUUUUUUACUCGGGUGGCUUGCUGACUUGAUGGUCAACAGGUUAACUAGAUGGCGUGGGCCUACAAUUCAACAAAUCACUAUUGAGGCAAGUUGCACAUGAGUCAAGAUGUACUUGGGACACGUCCCCAUAUCUUCAUGUUACAAGCACAUCAUAGCAAUUGUCAUCCAGAGCACAACAUUGUAUCAUUAAAACCGCGAGAACAAAUAUAAGGUUGUGAGAGUAAGAACCCAUACCGGUUGUUAAAGGUCCUAUUAAAAAACUAGAAUUUAAUUCGUUAACAAAGACUUACCAGAGCCUUUAUCAUAGUGCACCAUCUCUCAUGGGUUCGAUAACUCAGUGUCUCUCCUUAAGAAAAAGGGAGAGAACCUUCGCUAUCCAAACUGAAUCUCAAAGGUCAUAAGGGGCUAGAAGGUAUAUCAGGAGAAGCACAAGACUCAGUAAAUUGGGUUGGGUGGAAAUAGGAUUCGCAGACAGAAGCUAACCUAGCCCGUCUUUCAGUAGUACCAGGAGCACUUUUCUUGUUUGCCAUGUCCAAUUUAUCAAUGGCAUCACCCUCAUCAUUAAGCACAUAUUUAUCCAAGGGGUUAGUUCCUCAAUAUCCACGGGCCUUGAAUCCUCAUUGGGACCAUCAGUACCAUUUUGUUCAAAAGCCUCCACGGAGAAUGAAAGAAGAUAGAGCUACUUUUUAUUUCCACCAACAUCUCAAAAGGAAUUUCAGUUGGUCCCUACAAACAAUUUUAACUCUCGGUCUCAUAAAAGUUCCACAUCCACCAAAAUUCCAAAACUGAAAACAAUUUGAGCUAUCACCUUCGAAGAAUACCAUUUAGGAGGGAUCACUUGAAUAGUAAGCCAAGCUUCAACUAGCUCAUCGAAGGGAUCAAUUGAACUAAUUCAUUCCACCACCUUAACAGAAAUACCAUCAAUAGGCAAGUCAAAAGUUGAGAAUUCAAUCAAAUCUUCCACUUUCUUCCAUCGGGAAGACUUUGUCAGGAAUGACUCGGGAGAAACUGAACGAAUAUUCCAUGGCCACUGUUUGAUUUUGCAAAAGAUGCCAUCCGGCUUUUCAACUGAAUCAUCAUUGAAAAUCUCUCCUUUAACCGCAUUGACCACUCCACAAUUUUCGAAAUUAAGCCAUUUUGACUCAUCCCUAACAUGCACAUCCAAAUGAUAAACCCUAAACCCAGAGCAGAUUGACCAAAAACUGCAACCACAAUGUGUAACUGAGUCCAACCAAUGUAGUUAUCCACAUUAUAAUCUUUUAAGCCACAGAUGAUACAGAUCUUUGAAGCUAAUGCAUUUACCCACAUAGUGCCCUCGACAACCACAAAUAAAGCACAUCAUAUCUUUAAUCCGCAAAAUCUUGUUGUUUAGCCAAAAUCAUAUGAAGAGCCUUGCCAAAAAAAUAGGAUCCCGAUAUUCACCACACGUGUGGCAUAGUAGAUAUCCGCCCACACACGGUGUGUGUCAUACGCAGGAGGUAGCCCACACUCGUUGUGUGUGGACGAACAGUAGAACUCCCCACAUGUGUGGGCGCAGCUAUUGUGCCAUACGCCCAACAAGUACUACUCAUUCCACCCGCGCGUGUGGCACGAAGCAAAUCUGCCCACACAGUCUGACGCAGCUAUGUUAGUUACCCGCGGUACGACACUUUAGUUAUCCUAGGGAUGACAACUCUUGUUACCCGGGAUGGCAAAUGUAAUUGUAAAAGCAUGGCAACUCUCUCCUUUGGUUAACUAUACUUACCCUCGGGACGACACUUUAGUUACCCCGGGAUAAUUGUCAUGUGUGUUUAUCUAGUUGUCGUGUGUGGUCCAACCAUAUUUUUCAUGUAUGGUUAAUUAUAGUUGACAUGCAUGUUUACUUGGUUGCCAUAAACGCGCAAUUGUGGUUGCCAUCUAGCAACGAAUCAUAGUUGAUAUAUGUGUUACGUAGUUGCCAUGUACGUGCAACUGCAGUUGCCUUCUAGCAAUGAAUCAUAGUUGACAUGUGUGUCACGUAGUUGCCAUGUACGCGCAACUGUAGUUGUCAUCUAGCAACAUACAAGCGUCGUGUGGGCGAAGAGCAGUUCAUCCACACACGCGUGGACUGUUGGAAAUAUGCCCUAGAGGCAAUGAUAAAUUAGUUAUUAUUAUAUUUCUUAGUUCAUNNNNNNNNNNNNNNNNNNNNNNNNNNNNNNNNNNNNNNNNNNNNNNNNNNNNNNNNNNNNNNNNNNNNNNNNNNNNNNNNNNNNNNNNNNNNNNNNNNNNCCUCAGUGCCAAGGAUUCGUAUAAUCCCGUAUGUCAUUCCCUUUGUCCUUCGGUAUGUUACUUGCCCGAGAUUUGAUCGUCAGUAUCCGCAUACCUAUUUCAAUCUCGUUUACCGGCAAGUCUCUUUACUCGUUCCGUAAUACAAGAUCCCGCAACUUACACUAAGUUACAUUGCUUGCANNNNNNNNNNNNNNNNNNNNNNNNNNNNNNNNNNNNNNNNNNNNNNNNNNNNNNNNNNNNNNNNNNNNNNNNNNNNNNNNNNNNNNNNNNNNNNNNNNNNNNNNNNNNNNNNNNNNNNNNNNNNNNNNNNNNNNNNNNNNNNNNNNNNNNNNNNNNNNNNNNNNNNNNNNNNNNNNNNNNNNNNNNNNNNNNNNNNNNNNNNNNNNNNNNNNNNNNNNNNNNNNNNNNNNNNNNNNNNNNNNNNNNNNNNNNNNNNNNNNNNNNNNNNNNNNNNNNNNNNNNNNNNNNNNNNNNNNNNNNNNNNNNNNNNNNNNNNNNNNNNNNNNNNNNNNNNNNNNNNNNNNNNNNNNNNNNNNNNNNUUGCAAGGCUUGUGUGUGGAAGUCGCCCAUUGCCUGGGCAUCCGCGCGCUUAGGGAGGAGGGAGAUCAUGGCCUGGUUGAGGCGUUGGAAUCCUCGGCCCCGAAGCUGAUGCAGCUGUUGGAACACGGCGAUGAAGUCCGGCUUUACAGUAUCCCAGCAAGCGCGGAGAAACUCCGCGGUGAAGCCGUCUGGUCCGGGCGCCUUACGCGCCGGCAUGCGCGUGAUCGUGUGCCAGAUUUCCUCCUCCGGGAAUGGGGCGUCGAGGUCAUGCAGGCCAUGAUCCGUCUCGAUAAGGUGCUCGAGGUUAAGCGCGCGCUCGCGGUCUGGGGCCGUGCCAAUGAGGUCAUCGAAGUGGCCGAAGACGGCCUGCGCCAUCUCGUUCUGCCCCGUGUGGGUCUGCUGGCCAGAGGACAGGCUGAAGAUGGAGUUCUUCUGGCGCCUGUAAGAGCACUGCCGAUGGAAGAAGGCAGUGUUGGCGUCCCCUUCCCUGAGCGAUGCAAUGCGCGCACGCUGCCGGGCCAUUGUGCGCUCGAGAGAGGCGAAGCCCAGGAAGCUAAGUUUCAGACUUUUGUGCAGCCAGACCUCGUGUGGCGAGAGCGUCCGGUCCUCCUGGGCUUUGUCGAAACUGAGGAUGAGCACCCUCCAUAGCGCGAGCUUGUGCUUUACGUUGCCCACUGAUUUGGCACUCCAGCUAGUGAGCCUUUUGGCUGUCGCUUGCAGGCGCAGCUGGAGGCGACGGAAUGGGUCAUCGUCGUGCACCGAGGCCCAGGCUAGCGCCACCGUUUCCUGGAAUCCGUCAAGGCGCAGCCAGAACUCCUCAAAGCGGAACCUGCGGUGAGCUGGGGGUGUGAGGGAGCAAUCCAGCGGGAGGGGGUUGUGGUCAGACACCACAGAGGCGAGGCAGCGAAAGUGGCAGUCGCCGACGGCGUCAUCCCAGUCUGACGUGCACAGGACCCUGUCCAGGCGCACCAGCGUUGGCGGAGAUUGCGCGUUGGACCAGGUGUAACGGCGGCCAUUGAGGUAUACCUCCCUCAGGGCCAGAUCGCUAAUGCAACGCCGGAAGCGGCCCAUCAUUCUCCGGUUAAGGUUCCCGUUGUUCUUAUCCUCGUCGCGCAGGAUAAGGUUGAAGUCGCCGCAAAGCAUCCACGGGCCCGUGCAGUCACGGCGCACGUCCCGGAUCUCCUGGAGGAACGCGACCUUGCCGUCCUCGUCUUGGGGGCCGUAGACAACGGAGAUCCACCACGGCGUGCCCGCAGGAGAGGCAACCCUAGCGGUGAGUGCAUUGGUGGUGAGCAGUGGGUCGGAGAUCGUCAUGACUCUGCUCUUCCAAGCAAGGAGGAUGCCCCCACGUGUGCCCUCCGCGGGCAGGGACAAGAAGCCGUCGAAGUCGAGGCCUAGGGUCUCCAGAACAAUCGAGGGGUCAAUGAGGGCCAUCUUCGUUUCUUGCAGGCACACUAUCGAUGCGUCGGUCGUGGCGACGAGCGAGCGGAUCGCCAGGCGGCGCGCCCUCGCGUUCAGCCGCGCACAUUCCAGAUCAGCAAAUUAAGGUUGUGAGACAUAAAGAACUAAUUCGACAGCGGGAUACAACGGCGGGCUAGACCUCCACGAGGCAGCCAUCGUGCACGGACAUGCAUGGGAUCGGGGUUACAAUCGCGGGCAGCUCGCGAUCGACCAGCUUGGCGAUAGCGGCGAGCACGUCCACCGAAAUUUCCGUCGCGAACACGCCGUCGUAAGCUUUCAUCGCGUCCGCCGUGAUCACCUGGUUGGCACCGAUGAUGCCCAGGGUGCGCAGAAUUUGCACGCGAGCCCGCCGCUCAGCUGUGGGGGGCACCGAGGUCGCCACCUUCGGGGUGGCCGAGCGGCCGCGGUGCGGCGAGAAGCAGAGGGUGGGGCGACGAGGGCGCUUCCCCGGGAGUUGGCAGGGCGGCUUUGAGCUGGCCAGUGGCAGCCGCGAGGAAGUCCCCCAGCGUCUAGGCGAUGGGGCGCUGUUCGGGUCUCGGGCGCGAUCUCCGCAGCGUGAUGGGCGGCGAGGCGAAUCGGCAUGCAGUGGGGCGAGGGGUCUCCAUCGAGUGUGGGCUGGCUGGCAGGGGCGCAUUGCUGGGCGCAAGGCUGUCGUCAAGGCCCGGCCCAGCCGAGGUGUUGCCAAGGCCCAGCCCGAGAUGGGAGGGUGGCCCAUGCGUCAGCUGAGGGGAGCCCGCGUCUGGUACGAGGGCUGUGGGAUUUGAAUCCGGCGUGGGGUCGUCCUCGGGGUCGACAGGGCGGGAGGGCGAGGCCUCCUCGGAGACGUCAUCGCGCGGGCUGGCAGCGGGUGACGCUGCCAAAGACCCCCUUUGGCCCGACAGGAUAUCCUCCUCAGGUGCCGCGGACGGGGGAGGCAGGGAAUCGGGGACCAUCUCGUCCCCGAGCGGGUCAGGGGUCUCAUCGUGCCCAGCACGCCUUGGAUCCGGGGCCGGUGGGGCCGGCGCAGCGGCCGAGCCAGGCGGGGUGCAGAGCGGAUCGCGCUCGUGCGCAGAAGGCGACAAGCCUGGCCGGUGGGUGGCGGGCCCUGUCCCUGGCGAGGAAGGGCGGCUGAGCAAUUGGGGGCCGCCAGCUGUCCCCGCCGAAAGAACACCGGUCGCAUCUUGGACCGUGGAGGGCCCGGCCGCACUUUGGACAGGAGAUCGGUCAUUCCUCUGCCAGGUUGCUUUAUCUUUUGCAGGUUGAUGACGGUUGCAAUGGGGCCCAGUCCUCCCGGGUCAUGGCAACAUGCCUCUCAUGCGCGCAGUGGCAGCCGCCGGCGCCGGCGGCCGGAACGUACGGAAGCGGUGAUCGGCGGACUUCCAGAAGGGGUCGACCGCGACCCCGUCAAGACGGCGCGAGCCCCCGGCGGUGGCCCACGCCAGGGAGUCGAGCGGCGCACCGUCGGCAUGGCCAGCGGGCGCACCCGGCGCGUUGGGGCGUCGGCGCUUACGGCCGCGGCGGCGACCAGGGCCAUGACCAUCAUUGCGCCCGGGGGGAGGAUCCCCUCCGGCGUCCCCAGGGCCGCCGGCGUGGCGGGCGGGAGGGGCCGCGUGCCGGCUGUUCUCAUCGUGCACCACCCUGAUGGCGAUCUGGUAGGUGAGGGAGCGCACUGUGGGGGCCUGGGAGGGGGCACGCGCCGGGAUGCAUUCGACGAUCUCGAGGACGACGUGGCGGCGAAUGGACGACGGGUCGCGGGUGCGGCCAGAGAGCCGGAAGGUGGCGAGGUCGGACCUGGAACGAGUCUCGGGAUGGAGGCGCUCCACCCAGCAGGAGUCGCUGAGGAUGCGCUCGACCGUGCUCAAGUUCCAAGCUUGCGCCGGGAUGCCGCGGAGCUCGAGCUCGAUGCGGUGUCCCAGGCCAUCAUAGCCGGCGUGGGCGAGCUUGCUCCAGGGGCGCAGAGACAGCGAGAAGGAAGGGCCCUCGAUGUGGUGAUCGCCAUAGAUCCUGUCCUUGAUGGCCUGCGAGGCGUAGACGAUGAGGAAGUCCUCGGGGUGGCGGAGGUGGAUCGAGAAGUCGCCGGGCUACAGCUCGAGGUUGUUGAAGAGCGCGUCCGCGACCUCAUCGGUGGCGACGGGCGGCCUAGGGCCGGUGAUGGUGGCCACCAUCCCACGUUGCAGCACCGCCUCGGCUUCCUCGAUCUCAACGGAGCGGGGGACGAUGACGCGCGCUGGGCCGAGGGGGGUCAACAGCGGGCGUCGCAGCGCGGGGCGGCGGGGGUGGGGGCGUCGCGGCGCGGGGCGACGGAGGGGGUGGCGUCGGAGCCGCAUGCCGCUGGGGCGGAGCGGCCGAAGCCAGGAAAGCGCGGUCGCGAGCGCAACUCGUAGGGGUGCAGUUCCGGGAAUCGUGGCCAAGGAGGAGGCAACGCCGGCAGCGGAGCCCGUUGGUGCGGUGGCGGACGGUGUGGCCCGGGUCGAGGCAGCGGAAGCAGAGGCCCGCCGAUUCCUCCGGCGUAGGGCUGCGGCUGAGCUGCAGCGUGGGCGCGUCCGCACGCCGGUAGUUGCGGCGAUGCCGGCUCCUUGGUUGCCCCCAGGCUCCGCCCGCGUCCGGCGCUGGCUGCGUCGCGUCCUCCACGCGGUGGACCUCCGAGCGGGGGCCCAGGCGGGUAGAAGCAGGGGCGCGCGGGGGCGGGAUGGGGGCCGCCUGCGGCUGGCGCACCGGCGGCGGAGGAGGAGGGGCGGUGCGGGCGACGUCGCGGUAGGAGCGCGCACCGGAGGAGGAGCUGUCCGAGUCCUUCCAUCGGUCCUCGCGGUGGUGGCCGCGCGGGUCGCGGCCGUCAUCGGAAGUGGCCAUGGCGCGGCGGAAGCGGGGGCGACCGGCGGGCAGGACGGCGGCGGGGCUGCUCGUCUAGGCGCGGGCGCUGGCUAGGAGCGGGAGCUGCGAGGAGCGGAGGGGGGGGGGNNNNNNNNNNNNNNNNNNNNNNNNNNNNNNNNNNNNNNNNNNNNNNNNNNNNNNNNNNNNNNNNNNNNNNNNNNNNNNNNNNNNNNNNNNNNNNNNNNNNNNNNNNNNNNNNNNNNNNNNNNNNNNNNNNNNNNNNNNNNNNNNNNNNNNNNNNNNNNNNNNNNNNNNNNNNNNNNNNNNNNNNNNNNNNNNNNNNNNNNNNNNNNNNNNNNNNNNNNNNNNNNNNNNNNNNNNNNNNNNNNNNNNNNNNNNNNNNNNNNNNNNNNNNNNNNNNNNNNNNNNNNNNNNNNNNNNNNNNNNNNNNNNNNNNNNNNNNNNNNNNNNNNNNNNNNNNNNNNNNNNNNNNNNNNNNNNNNNNNNNNNNNNNNNNNNNNNNNNNNNNNNNNNNNNNNUUAUGGACACAUGGGUAGAUUUUAAUUAUGGACACAUGGGUAGAUUUGAACAUUGCCCUAUUGUAGCAAGGAAUGGGUUAAUUAAAUUAAAAGAUGUGCUAGAAACUAUCCAUCAUUGUGUAUCUAGUGACUCACGACGGCCUUAUUUGCAAUAAAAGCAGUUCUAGGAGCUUCUCUGAUGCACUCUUCCAUUUUUCGUGGCAUGUAGGAAGAUGGCUUGCUGUUGUACUGCUGAAUUUGGUCCGGACUGUAGACAACUCAUCUCUAUUUCACCAAAAAGAAUUAGUACUGCUAGCCCCCUGAUGCCAAAGUUGGUUGAGUUCACGAUGUUGAUAAAAUACUGGCAGCCAAUCUGUUCAUUAACAGCAAGCAACUUGCUGAUCAGCACUGAGCUGUGAUGAAACCCACAUGUCUUCCGUCACUGCCAUGGUCAGCCGUCAUCGCAGCCACCAACAGCGCUCGACCCAGGGAUCUUUGACAACCGUGCACCCUUCAUCACCUUCCUCAGCCUGUCCACGUCCUGCCACCUCCCAGCAUCUGCAUAUAUGUUGGACAGCACCACAUAAACGCCAUGGUUGUUCGGGUCCAGUUUCAGCAUCUCUUGCACAGCCCGUUCCGCUACAUCAAUGUCACCGUGGCCCUUGCAGGCUGUAAGCAGAGCCCCCCAGAUCAUAGUAUCCGCCUUGCAUGUCAUCCCACGUAUCAUCUCUUCAGCCUCCGAUAGGAGUCCACUCCGACCGAGGAGGUCGACCAUGCACCCAUAGUGUUGGAUGCUCGGAGUCACACCAAAGUCUUCCAUAGAUGUGAAAACUCUGCGGGCCUCAUCAAGCAGCCCUGUGUGACAGUAUGCUGACAGAACCCCGACAAGCGUGGUUGCAUUAGGCGGCACGCCCUCACGGCGCAUCUGCUGGAACAUCGCGAGCGCGUCCUUUCCAUGCCCAUGGUGUGCCAACCCUGAGAUUAGGGCAUUCCAUGUUGCUGUAUGCCGCUCCGGCAUCCCCUUAAACACCGUUACCGCCUCCUCGAUCGCCCCAUUCUUUGCAUACAUGUCGACUAAUGCCGUGCCAAGGAUCACCCCCACAGGCGCCGCCAUCCCCCUCCUCUCCAUGAUAUCAUGCACACGCCGCCCAAUCACGAGCCCGCCCGACUUUGACCGUGCGCAGGCUGACAGCACCGAUGCCAGCACCACAGCGCCGGGCUCGAACCCCUCGUUGAGCAUCUCAUCAAAUGCUCCCAUGGCGUCCUGGUACCGCCCGUUCUGCGCAUAGCCAGAGACCAUGGUGGUAUACACCACCACGCUUCGAAGUGGCAAUUCAUCGAACACCUUCCGCGCGACACCAAUGAGUCCAGCCACCGAGUACGCGCGGACAAGGCCGUUGGCAACGUAGGUGUCGCGAUUGAGCCCGUGCUUGACGACGAGCGCGUGGAUCUGCUUGGACACAGGAAGGGGGAGACGAGCGGAGGCCUUGAGGAGGAAGGGGAAGGUGUGCCGGCCGGGAGAGUAGGAGCCGGCGGAGUAGCGGAGGUGCGAGAAAAAGGCGAGGGCGGAGGCGGGGUCGGGGGAGGAGGCGAGGGCGCGGAGGGAGGUGUUGAGCAUGAAUGAGUUGGGCGCGUAAGGGAGGGAGGAGAGGAAGCGGAGCACGGCUGCCGGAGGGGAGAGCGAGGCGUAGGCGUCGAGCAGGCGGGAGGCCGCGAAGGCGUCGUCGGCGAUGCGGCCGGAGACGAUCAUGGCCGCGUGGAUGAGGGUGAGGCCGCGGAGGGUGGAGCAGCGGUCGGCGAGGAGGGAGAGGCUGACGUGGCCGCGGACUCCGGCGGCGCCGCCGCCGCCGCCGAGAAGAUGUGUCGCGGGCAUUUGGGCGUGUUUGAAUGCGACCGAAGUUGUGUAAGCUGAGCACAAAGUAACUCCGCGUCAUAUUUCAUACUCGGGAAAUACUUGUUAUAGAAAUGCAUGUAUCUAGAUUUAUUUUAGUUAUAAAUAUAUCCAUUUUAUUUAUUUCUGGGACAAAUAUUUCCGGACGAAGGUAGUAUAUUCAAACAUACACAAUGUCAGUCGAAAUUCGCUGGUUUUGGUUAUUGGCCAUUUUUUCUUUAGGUAACAAAAUAGAUCAACAAUCUAGCUCUAUUGAUUGAGGAAAGAUGUUGUACCACAUGAAAAACUGAAUAAAAAUAUAUCAACAAAUUAUCUUUAUUCACUAGAAAAGACUGAAUAAAAGUGUGUAAGAAAGCGAAUCAAUUUGUGAUUGGAUGGUUAUAGAGACAAUGGUAUACCCAUUCUAUCAGGAUUUAAGACUUGGUGCGCGUAUUAUUUUUAGAUUUAUUUUAGAAUUUACACCGAUGUGUAUUUAAUGAGAGGAGACGUUCCGUCGACGAUGAGGCGCAUACGAUGACUUCGUAAAUUUUAAAAUGAUAUAUCGACUCGGUCUCUCAGAUGUGCUCACAUUGUUAGGAUAAGCAUGCGUGCCUUUGUAAGAAUGAAUAUAUGCGUGUUUAUAUAAACGUGUGCAUCUGUAUUAAUUAACAAUGUAUGUAUUUAGAAUAUUAGAAAUUCAAAGUUGUCGUUGUUUCAUUAAUCACAUAUUGUUAAAGGAUAAGCAGAACACUGUGCCUAACUAAUUUUGACUAAUCUCAAAUAUGUUAAAGGACAUGCAUAGAUUUUCAUUCUGGGGCGUGUGUAUAUGAUUGAUGAUUGCUCGUUCCAAACGGCUCGAUCGCACGUAGGACUGGGCAUUCGGUUCCCCCGGACCGAUCGGUUCGGUUUUUUGGUCUAUUAAAUAUUUCGGUUUUGAAGAAAUACUAACCGAUCGGUCAAUGUGAAAUCAGCUAACCGAGCAUACUAUGCACAGAUAUUUCGGUUCGGUCAUCGGUUUGACCGCACAACACCCAUAAAUAUUCAAUGCUUUGUUCUGAACGUGCAGCGGCUGAAUUACAAAGCAUGCUUGCUUGACCCUGUUCAAGCAGUAAGGGAUCACUAUUUUAUUUUGAUGUACAGUGCGUGUAGUUGUAGCUCUGCGCCUCUGUCUACCUCCCAUACUUGGAUGCGAGUAUACAUGGAUUAAAACGGAGGACCCAUGGCAGAGCGUCUUGUCACUUGUGGGUUGUGGUCAUAGUUGUUCUCCAGGUGCGGAGGCAAUGGAUGUGUGGCGCCAUCGAUGCUGCCGGCGACACUGCUACUAGUUCAUCUGGGACGAGUCGGCUAGGAUUUGGGGCGCCUCAUCUCCGGUGAAUAAUGUGUAGCCCGCGCGUCAGGACCACCCCCCCUAAUAUAAAAGAUGCGACCAUCGGGAAUGCCAGGAAGGGCUAGAACACCAUGAAUUAGGGAUUAAACUUCAUGCGGGAGGCGGUGGGUAGAGGACCAGGGGUCUGGCUCUCAAUGCGAGAUGCGGGAUGUGGAAGACGGCUGCGGGACUAGUGGCCUGCACUACACACUUCUUUCUAGGGGAGCGCACUGGUAAUCGAGCGCAAGCCCGUGGGCGGUGGGACGGGCCUUUGUUUUAGUCGGUGUUCGGUUAGUUCGGUUGUCGGAGGGAUUAACCCGAAUUAACCAAACUAAUUUCGGUUUUCUAGCAUUUGAAACCGAUCGUAGUACCGAAGUUUUCGGUUUCGGUGUAUUCGGCUUCGGUGUCGGUUAUUUCGGUUCGGAAAAUCGGUUUCGGGUUAUAUGCCCAGCCCUAAUCGCACGAACCAAAAACCGGUGAUGUGUAUGCGCUGGCCACGGCGCCAGCUCAGUUUGCUUCAUAAUUGGGAAAAACUGUACUUCCUUUAUAUUUAAAUAUUUAUAGUUAAAGAAAAAUAAAGUUAUUUUCAAUUACUCCUUCCUUUUUUAAUAUAAGUUUUUAAAAAAAUUAUUAAAAGACUACGUACGGCUGUACAUAGACAUAUUUUAAAGUAUAGAAUCAUUCAUUUUGCUUCGUAUAUAGUCCCUUAAAAAAAUUCAAAAAACUUAUAUUUGAGAACAGAUGCAGCAUAAGUAUUUAGAUACAGAAGGAGUACCUUCUUAUUGGCCCUCCCAAUCAACACUUGGUAAACAUUUUAACUACAUAAAAAUGCCAUGAUAAACUAUAAGACCCCUUCUGAAAAUUGCCAUAGUAAACUGUACAAAAAAUUUCCUACAUGGCCAAAAUGAUAUAGUAAAAUCUGUAAAAAAAAAGAAGAAGAAACCAGCAGAAAAUGUCAUAAUCCAAAAUACAGAAAUGAAAGUAUCGUGAAAGCAUGAUCAAUGUAAAUAAAAUUGCCAUACCAUUAGAACUGAAAUGGCCAUGUUAUUAAAAUUGAAAUUGUCAUGCUCUUAAUAAUAAAAUGGCCAGGAUCAAAAUAGAAAAAAAAAAAAUUCCUACAAAGAAAUGACAGCUAUGUGUAACAAGUACAUCAACGGAUCAUGAAGGCUACGUCAUGAAAAAAAUGAAAAAGUUUGUUACAAUAAAAAAGUUCAUACAUGGUUGCAUUUUAAUUAAAACAAGACAUACAUUAAUUUGCCAUGGUAAGCUAAAAAAAUAUGAAAAAUGAUGUACUUUAAUUUACCGUGUUUGUAUAGUUUAAGUUGCCAUGAUAAUAAAAAUUAUUUGGCCAGGGCAUCAUUUUUUUUGGUUUUGGAUGAUACGGAUGCAAAAUUGAAAUGUUAUAAACAAAAACAAAUUUGCCAGGAUAGAAAUAUUAAAAUGGUAAUCUUACCUGGUUGGUGUUCACUAGGAGAACGGUAACAAACAAACCUUUUUUAUGGCCGUUUUAAUUUGACACGGGCUCAAACGAUGGCAAUUUUAAUACGAAAAUUGCCGUUUCUCACAGAAACUGUCAUGUCACUCUGAAGAAUCUAUCAUCCCCUCAUGACCAAAUAUUGUCAGCAAAUCGUUCGUAAAUACCACCCCUUCCUGGCGAACGUUCGCCAUGUAAGCGGACCCUAUUAAAAUUGGCAUGCAAUAAAAAAUAAAUUUCCUACAAAUGGGCCUGUUUUUUGUCAUAACAUAACAAUCACACAUUAAAAAUUGCCAUCAAUUAAAAAUAAAAAAUGCCAUUAGAAAUGAUUUGUUCGCGCUCUUGAUGAUAUAUGGCCAUGAUAAAAAAGCUAAUAAACAUAAAAAGACAUGACAACUAUGUGUAACAAGUAUAUGAAUGGAUCAUGAAAACAUAAAAUGCAAGUAUAUGAAUGGAUCAUAACAUAAAAAAGUUUGAUAUGAGUGGGUCCCACGUCCUACGUCAAGCAUUCUCGGCAAAGCUAACGAAUAGCAAACUGCCAUGUGUCCACCACCUGAGGGCAUCUUCAAUGGUUUCUAUGUAGUUUUGUUGGUAAAAUUAUCCAUGUCAUCAACCAACAAGGGAUCAUACAACUACUCCAAUGGUAGCAUCUAAAUUAUCCAAUAGAAGAAGAGGAAAUAAAUGCAAUUGCUCUUUAUGUAACCUUGGAGCUUGUGCAAGAGCUGUUGGUUAAUCUACAUAUAAUUUUUCUCCCUCUCUCAUCAUUUAUUUAUUGCCACAUCAUCAUAUAUUCUAGGUGGCAAAGUUAUCAACAACUAUCUUACAGCCAUUGAAGAUGCCCUGACAGGUAGAUCACACGCCCUACGCUGAGCAUGUGCUUUACCGGGGAGCUACUCUUCGCAAAGUUGACAAAUAGCAAACUAUCAUGUGUCGAGCUCGUGCUUUGCCGAGACCUGGCACGACAAAGUUUAUUUAGUUUACUGAGACCUUGGUUGCUGACCUGCUGUCAACAAAGAUGCCAGGCUCUAUAGGUCGGCACAUUUUAUCGAGAGCUUAAUUCGGCAAACUUAGCAGCGUGCUCCAGUUCAAGAGUCUUUACCGAGAAGAACUCUUGGGAUAACAUAUGUUGCUGAGUGUGACUCUCAGUAAAGUUUUGUCCAGCAACCUUUUUUUUCUUAUUUUGGUUUAUCCCUGCGGAAAAACAUAUACAACAACAGUUUAUUUUUCUUCUUUCUUUGUUCUUUUGUUUUUCUUUUUUUCUUUAUUCGUUUAUUUUUUAUUUUUCAAGUUUAAUAUCUUUUUUUACAAAAGUUCAUAUUUCCAAAUUUCUUGGGAAACACAAAAAAUUGCACAUGCUUUAAAAAAAUGUUGAUAUUUUCAAAAAAUGACCGUGUUUUCGAAAGUUGUUCAUAAAUUUAACAAGCAUUUACAUUUCUAAAAGAGAAUUCGGGAAUUUCACAAAAAAAUUCUAUUAUUCCAAAAUUGACCGGAAAUGUUUCCUGUUUGAAAAAAAGUUCAUGUUUCAACAAUUGUUCGCAAAAUGUUCAUUUUUUCAUGAUUUCAAAAAAUGUCCACGAUUUUUAAAAGAUGAUCAGUUUUUGGAAUUUUUGUUCUGUAUGUUUCUCUUUCAAAUGGUCACAACUUCUCAAAAAUAAUUCAUAAAUUAAAAAAUUGUUCCUGCUUUCAAAAAUAGUUGACAAUUUUUUUAAAAUGUUCUUGAUUCCAUUUUUGCGGGAGUUCCCAAUACAUAAUUUUUUUAAAAUGUUCGUGUUUUUUCAAAAAUGUGCUUUUCAGAAGUUGCUCUUAAGGUUAUUUAAAAAUUAUUUGGAACUUAAAAAAUGUUACUUUUAAAAAAAAUGUUCAUGUUUCAAUUUUUAGUAGUUCUGAAAAGCUUCAUGCUUUAAAAAUUGUUCAAAAUUUUCAAAAAAUCUCCGUGUUUUAAAUUUUCUUCUACAUUUUGAAAUGUUUUCAUGUUUUGAAAAUUAGUUCUGAAAUUCAAAAAAUGUUUGCCUUUUUAUUUUUGCUCACAAAUUUAAAUUACUAUUGAGGUUUGAAAUAAUGUUCUAGGCUUACAAAUUUGUUUAGAAGUUCAAAAUAUGUUCAGAUUUUAAAAUUUUGUUCGCAAAUCCAUAAAAUGUCUGAGUUUUGAAAUAAUUGUUCGCAAUUUUGAGAAAUGUUUCUUGUUUUCAAUGUUUAUUUCUUUGUUUUCAAAAAAUGUUUGGCUUUGUUGGAAAAAAAUUCAUAAUUUUGAUAUUUUUUAUUUUUUGCAAUUUUGGGUUUUUAUCAAACUUUAAGUUUUAUUGCUGUUGUUGCUGUUUCUUUUACUGUUGCAUUGCACAUUUAGAACAAGACCUAGUUGGCCACAGCGGGUAAACAUUUGUGAAAUAUGAGUAUGUGUAGUUGCCAAGUUUGAUUUCCUAUGUCCAAUUUAGAGCACACGUUGAUCUGUUUGUUUUUAAUGUGCCGGUUCAUGGCCUUCCAGAUACGCUCCAACAACGUCAAAACAUGAAGGUACACUAUUUUCUCCGUCACAAUUUAGAAGACAGAGUUAAAUUUACGCGCACCACAAUAGACAAGAUUUAAAAUGCAUUGCAUUUACUCUUAUGCUCCUAGCAGCUAAUUAGUACUUUGUUGUAUUAUUUUUGUAUAGAUGUGUAAUGUGAAUGUUAUUUUUCAACCUAUCUCACAACCAAUCAAUAACCACCUAGGUUCCGGAGGAAUUGCAAGCACACCUUCUAAACCGUGACGGAGGGAGUAUAAUAUUUCUCCUUGUUGUUAUUGAUAAAUUUAUUACAUUGAAUGGUGCUAUGCUGCCUAGGAUAUAUAGAUAUGCCUCUAGUUAACCUACAACAGAUUAAAUAUGAUAGAGGAUAUGAUAUGCUUAAAGGAAAAAAAAACAAGUGUUGAUGUUGAUGGUUCUUUUGUUGUGCCAAAUGGAGAAGGCCGUGUUCAGGAGCUUAAGCCAUGGCCACCACCCUCAGUUUUGCCACCAACUGGAGGUUAUCAAGGAAGACUGUAAAAAAUAAAAGGCACCGUCGUAUAUUUACUCUGUACCACUCGAUGACUGAGAGUUUACAACUUGUUAGAACGACAGUAGUAGUAGUAUAUUACAGUACAUGGCGGUGAAAAAAUGAACUAAUGCUUCGAGAGCGGGAAGCCGAUGCCGUGCCGCGUGGUGGGGAAGGUGACGAAGAGCAUGCUCCCGACGACCCCGAUGGCGAUGGGCAGCACGGUGAGCACCUGCGCGGCGUCCUCGGAGGGCACGGGGUAGAAGCAGGACACGACGUUGUGGUCGAAGAGCGCGACGGCGACGAAGACCAUGACGGUGACGACGGCGUGCACGAAGUCGAUGAAGCGCAGCCUGUACGUUGCUGCGGCCUGCGGGUCGAUCGGAGCGCCGCCGUCGAUGACCCAGAGCCCGCGGCGCGUGGCGAAGCCGUAGCGCACGGCGCCCUUGGCGUCCCGGAAGCUGUCGGUGAAGCUGAGCGCGAAGCAGGAGAUGCCGCAGAGCGCGACGAGCGCGGCCGCCAUGGCCCGGUUGGCGCGCACGCAGUGGCCCUGGUCCGUGACGAUCGGGGACAGCAGCUGGAACGCCAGCACGGUGCCCGUCGGCAGCAGCGUCGCCAGGUGCGCCGUGCUCUGGUACGUCUGGCUGAUGGCCCGCUGCAUCGGGCUCAGCCCGUCGCCUGCGCCGUCCCCGUCGCGGACGGCCGGCGGCCUCGCCAGGAGCGGCCGCUCCUCGUCGACCUCGUCCGCGCGCCCCUGCCGCGCCACCGCCUCGCUCUGCGCCGCCAUUGCCGCGUCGAUCCAAGCUCCGAAAGAAAGAAUCCUGGCUACGAACGAGUGGAGUGAAUCGGGGAUGACAGAGGGGAAUGCGGAUUGAUUGAUGUGUGACAGCCGGUGCAACGGAGAAGGGAUUUAAAGGGGGGUUACGGGGAGUGCCGCGCGCGGCAUGACGGCAUGGGUGGAGCUUGCCGGGGCGUUUGUGGCUUGCCGGCGGGCGCUUGCGCUUGGCUUGCAAGAAACAGGAACCUUGAUUGAAAGAAACCGGAACAAAUCGGUGGAGGUUUUGGCCGUUGCUUGCAAGGGAGGUGGACCGUAACGCGGGACGCGACCCGACCCUUGCCGCUUCAAGUCAAAGCCGUCGGUUACCUCCUGCAGCCAGUGGCCACGUAACACUAGCAGCUGCAGAGCAGAGCACCGCGGCCGCGCGCGCAGUGGAGUAACGCAAGGGGCAACGCGAACACGCUUAGCUAUAGAUAGAUAGUUGGUAGAUAGAUAGAUAGACACUGCUUUGCUGCGCGUGAAUGCUUUGGCACGAUGAUCCGAUUAAGCAAAGGGUCGAGCAGGUAGCGUGCGGACGCCAUGGGCGAUCCAAAUACGUAAGAUAGAGAGCCAUUGCUCGUGCUGUGCAUUGCAUGCCGUCCAGUGCGUUUUUGUGUGCGUGGGUGAAAGGCUUUGGCACGAUGCGUGUUACUACUACUGUAUUAGGCAAAGACUUGAGCGGGUAGACGUGCGUCCGUGUCGUGCCGGCUGCAUUUGUGCGGCCCACUACGGCGCCACAAGGACACGAGUCUCGUAGGGGGAUUGUUUAUAGGAUAUUUUUUGGGAAACUCUUGUGUUCUUUCCAUCCGCAUCGACCUCCUCCGUGGGCGCGUAGCAGUCUCCAUAUUUUUUCCCAAAUCCUUUAUUCUUAAAUAGCUACAAUCCACUAGCUAUUUUUCUCUUCACGCGACAAUGCCACGUCAUCAAGUCGUGUAUAGAGUCAUAAGUUAUUUUUUCUAUUAGUCUCUUCAUGCAAAACAUACCACCUCAUGCAUUAUUUUUUUCAGGGAAUUAAAUCAUGUAAGAAAGUUUUAUACUUGUUUUUGUUUUAAUUUUGGUAUUCUACCAAUUAUUCAUACAUUUUUUAACAAGGUUCCCCGCUGCAACGCGCAGGGCAUCGUCUAGUUAUAACGUCCACACGUACGGUAGAUUUGCAUUUCACUGGCACGUCUUUAUCCACGUUAAUUGUGUUUUGCAUGAAUUUUAAAGGAAUCUUUUGCAUUUUCAAUGUCACGUAGACAUCAUCGUGUGUGUGCGUUGGAGAGUUAUUCCAUACGGCCCACCACAUGCAGUUGCCAGCUCUGUUGUGUGGACGAACCAUUUUCUGCCCACAGUCGCACCUAGUCCAUGUUGGGGAACGUCGCAUGGGAAACAAAAAAUUUCCUACGCGCACGAAGACCUAUCAUGGUGAUGUCCAUCUACGAGAGGGGAUUUCCGAUCUACGUACCCUUGUAGAUCGCACAGCAGAAGCGUUAAGAAACGCGGUUGAUGUAGUGGAACGUCCUCACGUCCCUCGAUCCGCCCCGCGAACCGUCCCACGAACCGUCCCGCGAUCCGUCCCACGAUCCGCUCCGAUCUAGUGCCGAACGGACGGCACCNNNNNNNNNNNNNNNNNNNNNNNNNNNNNNNNNNNNNNNNNNNNNNNNNNNNNNNNNNNNNNNNNNNNNNNNNNNNNNNNNNNNNNNNNNNNNNNNNNNNNNNNNNNNNNNNNNNNNNNNNNNNNNNNNNNNNNNNNNNNNNNNNNNNNNNNNNNNNNNNNNNNNNNNNNNNNNNNNNNNNNNNNNNNNNNNNNNNNNNNNNNNNNNNNNNNNNNNNNNNNNNNNNNNNNNNNNNNNNNNNNNNNNNNNNNNNNNNNNNNNNNNNNNNNNNNNNNNNNNNNNNNNNNNNNNNNNNNNNNNNNNNNNNNNNNNNNNNNNNNNNNNNNNNNNNNNNNNNNNNNNNNNNNNNNNNNNNNNNNNNNNNNNNNNNNNNNNNNNNNNNNNNNNNNNNNNNNGCAUUUAGGAUUUGUGCUUGACAAGUACCCUCUUAGUUUAUUUCCGCAUCAGGUUCAAGCCAAAUCUGAACAAGUUUUUAAAUAGCCUAUUCACCCCCCCCCCUCUAGGCGUCAUCGAGGUCUUUUCAAUUGGUAUCAGAGCUAGGUCUCUCUUUAAUUAGGUUUCACGACCUAGAGAGUAUCGAUGUCGACUAUUGGAUUAGUGAACAAUGGCAUCUUUGACUUUGAUGGCACAAAUUAUACCCUAUGGAGAAUUCGUAUGCUUCAUCACUUUCGGGCCAUGGGCCCAAAUACUUUACGAAUUGUUCUUGUAGGGAUUGCCGACAAAAAGGAUGAUGCAUCUUCAUCUACUAAUGAAAUGUAUCUUGAUUGUGAGGCCUUUCUUGCCAUUCAUCGAACCAUAAGUCCUGAAGUGUUUAAGUCUAUCUCGACUUGCAAGUCAGCUCAUGAAGUUUGGACUAAACUUGAAGAUAUAUAUGGUGGGUCCAAUCUUGAUGAAGACGGUAUUAUGAUGAAGGAGUUGGUGCAUGAACUCUUCACUCUUUUCGAUCUUAAAGAGUCCACCACUACUUCCAUAUCCGAUUGCUUGCACACCUCAACAUCUUCAAUCUCACAAGGUAAUGACAUGGUGAGUGAAGAAAUAUAUGUUGAUGAAAAUGUCAUAGCCUUUAUGGACACGAGCAUAUCUAGCACCACACAUAGCGUAAAUUAUUGUGCUGAUAGGUCAUGCAUUUCACCUAAAGAUUCCUUGACAAAUGUCUGUGGUGAUAUGCCUGCUUCCUCGUGUCCUCUUGAUCAAAAUAUCUUAUUUCUCCCUAGUUGCUCUAUGACUAAUCAUUUAGGGGAUAUCAAGAAAUAUGAAGUACUUUUGACUAAUAAAGAAUCUGAUUCACCAAAAGAAUCGUCAUCAACUCCUCCAGUUCACAUGUGCCUCAUGGCAAGAGGUAAUAAUGAGGUAUCAUCUUCCCUGUGCAAUAACGAUGAUAUUUGCGAUGAGGAUGAUGAUGAUGACUUGACUGAAAAUAUCUAUGUGAUCAGUAAAAUUCUUCAUAAAGCUAAAAAUAACGCUCUUCAAAGAUUCCAAGAUGUUCUUGCUUACUUUGAAAAUUGUAAUGAUUCACUUAAUCAUGAACAAGCUAAAAGUGAACAACUUGAACAUGAACUUGAGAAGAGUCAUCAAGCAUGUAGAGACUUAAGAUCUUCAAAAGGAGAGAUUGAAGUUGCUCAUGAUAAACUUAAAAAGGAUUUUGAGUUCCUUCUCCUUGAAUGCAAUAAUGUCAAGGGAGAGCUCAUCAAAACCUCUAAGAUCUAUGAGGAGCUUCAAUCUACUCAUGAGAAGUCUCUAUUUGCUACUUACUCCUCUCAUAGUGUUGAUGAUACUUGUACAUCUAACUCUACCUCAUUUGGAGUAUCAACAUUGAAGGAGAAUGUUGAGCUACGUGCUCAACUUGAUUUACUAACUAGCAAUUAUGGGAAGUUGGAAGAAAACCAUGUAAUGCUCACAAGCUCUCAUGCUGAUCUUCUGACAUCCCAUAAUGUGCAAAAGUGAGCUCAUGAGGCUAUCAUCACCAAGGUAACAUCAAGCGAGCCUCAUGUGGACAAUGGCACUACUUCUAGUCAAAGUACUAUAUUUCCAUGUGCUAGUCCUCGUAAUUCGUCUACUCAUAAUGUUGCUACCUCAUGUGAUGAAUUACUUUCCUUGCCUUGUUGCUCUAACAUUGAAGCCUACACUUCCUCUAGUACUUGCAUUGAUACUAACCGUGCAGAGGAAAUCAAAGAGCUCAAGGCCCAAGUCACUUCUUUGAAGAAAGACUUGGAACAGUGUCAUGAAGGGAUGCCCACAUUCAACAACGUCCUGUGUGAGCAAACAUCUCCAAAUGACAAAAAUGAGUUUGGAGUAAACUCAAACAAGAACAAGAGGGGCCUAGAACAAGUCAAGAAUUCGGCCAAAAUCAUUUGCUUCAAGUGCAAAGUUAAAGGGCACCAUGUUAGAUCUUGCCCUCUGAAGACGAAGUCUCAAAGUCACAAGCAACAAGGGAAGCGGCCACAAACUCAAUCACAUAUUCAACUACAAGUUGAAGGAAGGCCUCUUCCCAAUAAGACCCAAGCCAACACUCCCCAAGGUGAGAAAUCAACUGGGAAGAAAACAAAGGGUAGAUGUUGCUACUUAUGUCGUGAGAAGGGUCACGUCGCUUUGUCUUGCACGAAAGGUAACUUAUCCAACCCAAUCACUAUUGAUGAUACAUAUUCCCUUGGGAAGGAUAAGGUUGGCAAUGUGUUUGCCAAGUUUGUUGGUACUCAAAAUGGUGUCAAGAAAAGAACCAUUUGGGUUGCCAAGCCUAUUGUGUUUAACCUCUUAGGACCCAAUGUAGUUGGGGACCAACAAGCUCAAACUUGAUCAAUAGGUGACCUUGGAGGACAUUAGAGACUUGGAUACAUAAUGAAGAAUUAAGGGGUCUUCAUCAUUCAUAUUAUCUCAAGCCAAGUCAUUUGGAUUAUCGAGUUCCUACCUUAUAUCCAAUGUGCCUCCUUUACGAUAACUUAUACUUAAACUGUUUACAUUGUUAGGUGCUUGCCCCUUUGCAUGUUGUGGUUUUGUACCUUGCAUGCGUUUGUAUAUGUUGUGCUUCCAACUUGCUUAUCUUGAGUAAUCGAGUAUGUGUAUGUUGUUUUGCACAUCAUGUACAUGUGAGUCCUGUAUUGAGCCUAUUUGCAUCUUGUCUGUAUUUUUGUUGGCUCUUGUGAGAGAUUAAUGGACUAUCCCAUUGUGGGGGAGUGAUGUGCUUUGCACACCUCACAAUCCUAUAAAUGUGUAUACAUGGGGAAUACCACUUAGUUUUGAUGCUUCAAGAUUAUCUAGUGUCUAUGUGGUAUGUCUUACUCAUGAGAAAUUCAAAUUCUAUAUGGUCCAUUAAGUAUCUCUUGUUGAUUUUAAUUUGCCACUUGUUAAUGUUAUUGGUUUAUCACAUUAUGGGGGAGUAAUAUGCUAUGUGCAUAUUACAAACCUAGAAAAUGUGUACAUUUGACGUAUUGCCACUUAGCAUUGAUAUUGUAAACUAUCUUGUUCCUAGGUGGCAUGUUAGCUCUACAAGUGUCAUUUGCUUGCGUUUUAUGGGUAAAGAUGAUCUUGGAUAUAUUUGUGAUCUACCAAUGAGUAUCAUUUCAAAAAUACUUCUUGUCCUUGACAAUUGGUAUUCCCAUCAUAUGAUUGGAAUUGAUAAUCAUCUUUACAUUGGAUUUUGUGUUUCGUGUGUCUUUCUUGCCUCUUAUGAAUCUAUUUUUAACAUGUCUAGUGUGGUUAUAGAUAUAGAGAAAGUGAUGAUCCCAUCGUGUGCGUUUUGAAUUCAAAUGCAAAUUCUAUAUAAUGCACGUCCCUUGGGGGAUCUAUCCUAUUCCCUUUUAAAAACACUCUCUUUAUUCACCCAUCAUAAAAUCAUUUGAUCCCCAUCAAGUGUGUGUUGAUGGGAGGCAAGUAUUGCUCUUUAUGAUGCUUUGUGCCAUCAUGAAAAUUUGUAGAGGGCUUUGUUUGUUGGAACCUAGCUCUCUCUUAGAAACUAGAUACCUCUGUUUGUUUUCCUUCAAAUGGUUUCUUGUUGCCUUCUAUUUGACAUGUGUCAAUGGAUAUCUCAUUCCUUGAUGUAUCUUUUAAUUGAUAUCUUUCAAGUGAUAGUUCUUUUGUUUUAGGAUCUUAUUGUCACUUGAUAUCUUGUCUUUUGAUGACUUAUCAACUUUGUGUUGAGUUGAUUCUUGAGAGUCUUGAGCAUGCAUAUCUAGCUACUAUAUACAACUUCUUUUGCUUGCUUUCCUCCUUUGACCCAAUAUAUAAGGGAAACUCCACCCUGUCAUAAAUUGGCUAAAGUGUGCAUGAAAUUCAAAUUCAUAUCUAUAUGCACAUAUGUGUGUGGAGUUUGUCCUAUGUAUUGCUGGUCUUCUAACUCUUUGGUCCCAAUGAGUUUGGGCACCAUUUUGUUUAUUUUGUUGUUCCAGGAACAACUGGAGAUGCAUUGGAUGCUCGGCUCACCUAUAAGGAAGAUGUUGAGACCAUGUGAUUAUUGGAGCCAAGUUAGGAUGAUCAAAGAACAACUAUCUACUACAUCAAUCCAAUGUUGUCUCGGUAACAAGUAUCCACUUCAUGCAUUCUUUUCUUGCAAAGGACCCAACCUGUCUUUUCUUUUCCAGGUUGCAUCAUGGCAUGAAUCUCUUGAUUUAUUCUCAUAGUACUUGUUUGCUUUCUCAAAGCAUCCGAACGAUGAUGUCUUACUGCUAGUUGGGAUGUCUUUGAUGUUCGUAUGUUGGAAGUUCAUAUUAUACAAUAAAAAAAUAUUAGGCCAUGUGCUAUGCUUCCAAGCAAAAGAUCUCAUUGAUAUAUUUAUGACUUCCCUUUUGGAUAUCUAGUGUUCUUCCUUCUUGUAACCAUUUCGUGUGUACAUCCUUCUUUGUGGAUAUAUAUAUCAUCAUGAUUGUCUUCUACUUAGAAUCUUGGUCACAUGAGAGAAGUUACAUCUCUAAUUGAUAUCCUCUUUUCUUUCACGUCCACCGCUGCAUUUCCUUUUUCGGUUUUGGUGGCAACGUGAAAGGUUUGUUUUGAGUGCGUAUCUUAUUUUCCUACAUCUUUGGUGCACUCUUUGGCCGUGAAGAUUAUUUUUCCUCAUGCUUGUCUUGAUGAGGGUUUUGCCAUUUUCAAUUAUUAUCCCUCCUCUUGACAAGAUCCUUACUUCCUAUCUUCACAAUGGGUUGUCACAAGCGUUGGUUCUUAUUUUGUUUAUUAGUAAGCUUGUGAACCCAUUUUCUAGUAUGUGUGUGUGGGAAUGAUAUGUCUUGCACUUUGUAUCUCAUAUUCAUCAAGACUAUGUUGAUGAGCAAUGCUCAUCCUUAUCUUAAGUCUUCUCAAGUGCUUUGCCAUGACUCACACACAUUACUUUGGUUGAGCUUAUUCUUAAGUUGCUUCCUUUACAUGUUGCUCAACCAUUAGUUUUGUGCAAUUGAUAUGCCUAUUUUCUCAUCUAUCUUCUUGCACUCGUUGUGUGUUUCUAUUAAUUCUGGGGGAGCAACGAUCCUAUUUUGUGCACCUGUGUCAAAUACAAAAAUCUCAUAUUAGUGCACAAAUCAUGGGGAGCUUCUCUAGUUUUUUUGAUAAAGCACUAUGUUGCCUUUAUCAUAAUAUCUUUUAUUCAUGUGGUUCGAAGGAACAUAUGAUUGUUUGUUCCAUCUGGGAUCUUUUGAUUGCUUGCCUCUAUCUUUGUAUGUCUUUGUGGCAUAUGAUUCCUUUUUGCAAUUUUUGGGUCCUUAAUAUAGUUUGUUUUCCUCCAACUACUUAUCAUUGUAUUUGUGUAUUUUUCUGCACUCAUUUGCCGAGAAAUACACACUUUUUGGAGGACCACCUACUAUAUUUGCUUUCUAAACUUUUCGUCUAUUUUGGCAAUCGAUGCCAAUGGGGGAGAAGUUUAGAGAGUUUACUUUGGAUAUGUUUAGAGGGUUUUGCUUUUAUUGCGUAAGCAUUUACAUCUUGCUCACAUGCACUAUUACCUUGUAUGUGUGCGCUUGGUUAUGCUUAUUUCCUUAUAUAAACUCUCUUGAAGUGGUUGUCUUCAAUUACCAAAAUGGGGGAGAUUGAUAGAGCAUAAUAUAUCUACAUCUGUGGUUUUGGUAAUUGAUGACAAUCCCUAUGGACUAAUGGUUGCCUUAAGUUAUAUUUAUAGGAUUUGUCCAUAGGCACUUCUUGAAGUCCAUCUGUUGGGUUCAAGGAGUUUAUAUGUUGACCAAGAUGUUAUUCAGGUAUUAUCCAAAGAAUGGUCAUAGAAACACUAGGUUGAUCAAGAUCUCAGACUAAGAGAAAAUCAAGAUGAUCAACACACAAAGCGUAUAAGAUGUACCGAGAGGGAUCAAGUGAUCCCAUGGUAUGGUAAGCAUUGUCCAUUACGUGUUUGUGUACUAACCCAUGGUCUUUGUGAGACUCCUAUGUGGGGGUUAGGUGUGUUUCCAUUGGGCUUGCGCCAAAAGGAAGAUCUCAUACAACCCAUGAAGGAUGACGUCAAGUGGUGAUCGUCAUCAAGAUUGUGGUGUGCAAGUUCAAGUGGAUCAGCACGAAUAUAUCAUUGAAACUAUUGUCAAUGAUCAUGUGUUGAUAAGGACAAUCUCAUGUGCUAACAAGGACAAGAUCAAGAUAAGCAUUCCUGAGCACUACAUGCUUGAUUCUUGUGGAUGUUCACAUGGUGGACAGGACAAGAUCAAGAUAAGCAUUCUUGAGCACUACAUGCUUGAUUCUUGUGGAUGUUCACAUGAUGGACAAAUGAAGAUAAAUACAUAAGCUAGGCUUUCCACAUUGUGUAUGGGAAAGCUACUUGAAGACUUCAUCAUGUCCUGCUUUCAACUUGAGCCAAGAAGGAACAACAACAUCAAGCUCAGGUGAAAGGGCUAACACCCGAGGACCGGAUGUCCGACACCCAUCGGAAAUCCGGAAGCCACCACUAGUAGAACUUGUGAUGUAUAACACGGACUUCCGGGCCACUCCGGACGUCCGUAUACUGAUGAAUUCAAAUAUGUUCAGGCACACCUACAGGCCUCGGACGAUCGACCCCUGUCGGACGUUCGGUCGCUGUUUAAUUCAAAAUAGUUUCAGUCGUAUCUACAGGCCCCGGAAGACCGACCCCUGUCGGACGUCCGACCCCUCGCGGUCGCCCGGACUUCCGACAACUGUCGGACGUCCGGACCCUGUGUGACUUAAAGUGUCCCCAACGGCUCUUUUUCUCUCCCCACUAUAAAUACCCCCCUCCCACUUCGUGAGAGGGCGGCCCAACACAGCCUUAUCCUCAUAAGAACACAUUUCCACCUCACACACAUUUGCUCACUCCAAAUCUUAGAUCCCAAGAGCAUUUGUGAGCCCCUUUGAGAGUUGUUCCAAUCAAAAGAUAGAUCUUCUCCCUUUCCUUCUCUCAACCCAAGCUAUUUGUGAUUUGAGCAAGUUUUGAUCAUUCCCCGUGAUCUUGUUACUCUUGGAGGUUGGAGACUCCUAGGCGGUAGGAGUUCUUCGGAGAGGAAUCAAUCCGUGUGAUUUCCCCCCGAAAAGUUUGUGAGGGUUUGGAAGCCACCUCAAAGGCUUACCACUAGUGGUUGAGAAACGCCUUCGUGGAGUUAUCUCAAAGGGAGAAUAGGGUGAGCCUUCGUGGCGUUGGUGUGCCUUCGUGGUAACAUCCACCUCUCUAACGGUGACUAGCUUCCCUCCAAGGAAGUGAACAUCGGGAUACAUCUUCGUCUCAGUGACCUUGGUUAUCCUUAACCCUAACUCCUUACUUGUGGUUUACUUGUGUUAUUUGAGCAUACAUACAUUGCAUAUUGCUUGUGCUCAUUAUAUUGUGUUGGCCAUUUCUUGUACAAGAUUAAUCAUUCAAGCAUACCCUCUAUAUUCACACGUACAUACUUGCAGCCCUUGAUAUAUCGUGUGAUAUAGUGUGAUCUAGUAUCUUGUGUUGUUCACCUACUUGUCGUGUGAUAUAGCUCAAGUAAGUUUGUGUAACUUACUUGUGCUUGUUAGUAACUGCAUUGUGUCCAUCUUAGUAGAUCGUGUUGUUGAUACACGUUGCAGUGCCUAGUGCAUUUAGGAUUUGUGCUNNNNNNNNNNNNNNNNNNNNNNNNNNNNNNNNNNNNNNNNNNNNNNNNNNNNNNNNNNNNNNNNNNNNNNNNNNNNNNNNNNNNNNNNNNNNNNNNNNNNAAUAACAAAAUAGUUAAUAGUUUGGAUAGUCAAAAUAAUUAAUUUUGAAAAUAGAAAAUAGUUUUGAAUUAUUUAUUCAAUUUCAAACACUUUUCAUUAUCAUAGUUUUGUCAAAUUCUCAAAUAUGCAAAAAGAAUUUUAAUAAACAUAGUUUUUAAUUGAAAAUAACAAAAUAGUUAAUUUUGAAAAUAGAUAAAAAUUGAAACUAUAUGAGAAUUUAUAGAGAAAAUUAAACCUAAAUUCAAAGUGACCUCACUUUGAAUUCAGGUUUAAUUUUCUCCAAAAUUUCAAAUAUAGUUACAAUUUUUAAAUUUACAGUCAGUUUAGGCCCAUAAUCCUGCUUUAGAGAGGAGCUCGAUGGUGAUGUUGCGACGGGGCUUAUAAACUAGUGUUAGUCCCCCUCGCUGGGCGAGGUGGGACUAAACUUAUCGUGCAGCCAGCGGAGGGGCUUUAAUCCCGGUUCGAGCCCCGAAUCGGGACUAAAGAUCCACCUAUAUAAGCGGGAGUUAGAAAAUUUCCAACCCAAAUCGCAUUUCGUUCUCUCUUCUUCCUCGUUCUCCUCCCCGGCGCGGCACCGACGAACUCGACGACGCCGUCAGGCUGCCCACCGUCCUCCUCGCCGCCGCCUGCCGUCCUCCUCACCGUCGUCCUCGUCGUCCUCGCCGCCGCCGUCCUCCUCGCCGACGCCGUCGUCGACGCCUCCGGCCGGUAAGCCCCCCGCCCCCUCCUCCCGAACACUCCGGCCAGUAGAAGAAAAGAAGAAAAANNNNNNNNNNNNNNNNNNNNNNNNNNNNNNNNNNNNNNNNNNNNNNNNNNNNNNNNNNNNNNNNNNNNNNNNNNNNNNNNNNNNNNNNNNNNNNNNNNNNGAGGUUGGUGAUGAUCUAAUCUCGGCAGGGCUCCACCCGAGCUCCGCAGAGACGCGAUCUAGAGGUAAAACCGUGGAGGUAUGUGGUCGGGCUGCCUUGAAAAAGUUGUCUCAAAUCAGCCCUAAUUGCUCCAUAUAUAUAGGAGGAGGGAGGGGAGGCUUGCCUUGAGGCUCAAGGAAACCCAAGGGCUGCGCCACCAAGGGGAGGAGGAGUCCUCCUCCAAUCCUAGUCCAACUAGGAUUGGAAGGUGGAGUCCUUCUCUCCUUUCCCACCUCCUUUUUUUUCUUUUCUCUUUGAUUUUCUAUCUAUGGCGCAUAGGGCCUUCUUGGGCUGUCCCACCAGCCCACCAAGGGCUGGUGCGCCACCCCCAAGGCCUAUGGGCUUCCCCGGGGUGGGCUACCCCCCCGGUGAACACCCGAAACCCAUUCGUCAUUCCCUGUACAUUACCGGUAACUCCGAAAACCUUCCGGUAAUCAAAUGAGGUCAUCCUAUAUAUCAAUCUUCGUUUCCGGACCAUUUCGGAAACCCUCGUGACAUCCGUGAUCUCAUCCGGGACUCCGAACAACAUUCGGUAACCAACCAUAUAACUCAAAUACGCAUAAAACAACGCCGAACCUUAAGUGUGCAGNNNNNNNNNNNNNNNNNNNNNNNNNNNNNNNNNNNNNNNNNNNNNNNNNNNNNNNNNNNNNNNNNNNNNNNNNNNNNNNNNNNNNNNNNNNNNNNNNNNNGUGCUGAACGCGGAGGUGCCGUCCGUUCGGCACUAGAUCGGAGCGGACCGUGGGACGGAUCGCGGGACGGUUCGUGGGACGGUUCGCGGGGCGGAUCGAGGGACGUGAGGACGUUCCACUACAUCAACCGCGUUUCUUAACACUUCCUGCUGUGCGAUCUACAAGGGUACGUAGAUCGGAAAUCCCCUCUCGUAGAUGGACAUCACCAUGAUAGAUCUUCGUGCGCGUAGGAAUUUUUUUGUUUCCCAUGCGACGUUCCCCAACAAUGGCAUCAUGAGCUAGGUUCAUGCGUAGAUGUUAUCUCGAGUAGAACACAAAUGUUUUUGUGGGCGGUGAUGUGCGAUUUGCUGCCCUCCUUAGUCUUUUCUUGAUUCCGCGGUAUUGUUGGAUCGAAGUGGCUCGGACCGACAUUACUCGUACGCUUACGAGAGACUGGUUUCAUCGCUACGAGCAACCCCGUUGCUCAAAGAUGACUGGCGAGUGUCGGUUUCUCCAACUUUAGUUGAAUCGGAUUUGACCGAGGAGGUCCUUCGAGAAAGGUUAAAUAGCAAUUCAUACAUCUCCGUUGUGGUGUUCGCGUAAGUAAGAUGCGAUCCUACUAGAUACCCAUGGCAACCACGUAAAACAUGCAACAACAAUUAGAGGACGUCUAACUUGUUUUUGCAGGGUAUGCUUGUGAUGUGAUAUGGCCAACGACGUGAUGUGAUAUAUUGGAUGUAUGAGAUGAUCAUGUUGUAAUAGUUAAUAUCGACUUGCACGUCGAUGGUACGGCAACCGGCAGGAGCCAUAGGGUUGUCUUUAAACUAACGUUUGUGCUUGCAGAUGUGUUUACUAUAUUGCUAGGACGUAGCUUUAGUAGUACUAGCAUGAGUAGCACGACAACCCCGAUGGCGACAUGUUGAUGGAGAUCAUGAUGAUGGAGAUCAUGGUGUGACGCGGGUGACAAGAAGAUCGUGCCGGUGCUUUGGUGAUGGAGAUCAAGAAGCACAUGAUGAUGGCCAUAUCAUGUCACUUAUGAAUUACAUGUGAUGUUAAUCCUUUUAUGCACCUUAUUUUGCUUAGAACGACGGUAGCAUUAUGAGGUGAUCUCUCACUAAAAAUUUCAAGACGAAAUUGUGUUCUCCCCGACUAUGCACCGUUGCGACAGUUCGUCUUUUCGAGACACCACGUGAUGAUCGGGUGUGAUAGACUCAAACGUUCACAUACAACGGGUGCAAAACAGUUGCACACGCGGAACACUCGGGUUAAACUUGACGAGCCUAGCAUGUGCAGACAUGGCCUCGGAACACAAGAGACCGAAAGGUCGAGCAUGAAUCAUAUAGUUGAUAUGAUUAGCAUAGAGAUGCUUACCACUGAAACUAUUCUCGACUCACGUGAUGAUCGGACUUGAGAUAGUGAAUUUGGAUCAUGUACCACUCAAAUGACUAGAGAUAUGUACUUUUUGAGUGGGAGUUCUUAAGUAAUAUGACUAAUUGAACUAAUUGUCAUGAACAUAGUCUAAUGGUCUUUGCGAAUUACUAUGUAGCUUGCGCUAUAGCUCUACUGUUUUAUAUGUUCCUAGAGAAAAUUUAGUUGAAAGUUGAUAGUAGCAAACUUUGCGGACCGAGUCUGUAAAACUGAGGAUUGUCCUCGUUGCUCCGCAGAAGGCUUAUGUCCUUAAUGCACCACUCGGUGUGCUGCACCUCGAGUGUCAUCUGUGGAUGUUGUGAACAUCUGACAUACACGUUUCUGAUGACUACACGAUAGUUCAGUGCAAAAUACUUAAUGGCUUAGAAGCAAGGCGCCAAAGACGUUUUAAAACGUCACGGAACAUAAGAGAUGUUCUGAAGAGAUGAAAUUGUGAUUUCAUGCUUGUGCCUUUGUUAAGAGGUAUGAGACCUCCGACAAAAUUCUUUGUCCACGAAGUAAAGGAGAAAAGCUCAAUCGUUGAGCGUGUGCUCAGAUUGUCUGAGUACGACAAUCGCUUGAAUCAAAUGGGAGUUAAUCUUUUAGAUGAGAUAGUGAUGGUUCUCCAAAGUCACUGCCACCAAGCUGUGAGAGCUUCGUGAUGAACUAUAACAUAUCAAGGAAAGAUAUAAUGAUCCUUGAGCGAUUCGCGAUGUUUGACACUGCGAAAGUAGAAAUCAAGAAGGAGCAUCAAUAGUUGAUGGUUAGUAAAACCACUAAGUUUCAAGAAAGGCGAGGGCUUGAAGGGAUACUUCGUGAAACGGCAAAACAGUUGCUGCACUAAUGAAGAGACCCAAGAUUAAACCCAAACCUGAGACUAAGUGCUUCUGUUAUGGGGGGAACUUUCACUGAGGCGGAGUUACCCUAGAUGCUUGGUAGAUAAGAAGGCUGGCAAAGUCGAAAGAAGUAUAUUUGAUAUACAUGAUGUUGAUGUGUACUUUGCUAGUACUCCUAGUAGCGCGAGGGUAUUGGAUACCGGUUCGGUUGCUAAGUGAUUAGUAAGACGAAAUGAAAGCUACGGAAUAAACGGAGACUAGCUAAAGGCGAGGUGACGAUAUGUGUUGGAAGUGUUUCCAAGGUUGAUAUGAUCAAACGUCGCACGCUUCCUCUAUCAUCGGGAUUGGUGGUAAAACCUAAAUAAUUGUUAUUUGGUGUUUACGUUGAGCAUGAACAUGAUUGGAUCGUGUUUAUUGCAAUACGGUUAUUCAUUUAAAGAGAAUAAUAGUUAUUUUAUUUGCUUGAAUAAUUACCAUCAAUGGUUUAUUGAAUCUCAAUAGUAGUGUUACACAUGUUCAUAAUAUUGGUGCCAAAAGAUACAAGGUAAUAAUGAUAGUACCACUUAGUUGUGGCACUCCACUUGAGUCAUGUUGGUGUAAACGCAUGAAGAAACUCCAUGCGGAUGGGUCGUUUGGAUUCACUUGAUUUUGAAUCACUUGAGAAAUCCAAAUCAUGCCACAUGAAAAAAGAGAGUAACUUGUUGGGAGUGAUACAUUUUUGAUGUGUGCAGUCCAAUGAGUGCUGAGGCACGCAGUGGAUAUCGUUAUGUUCUUAUUUCACUGACGAUUAGAGUAGAUACAUGAGUAUUUACUUGAUGAAUCAUAAGUCUGAAAUAUUAAAAAGUUCAAAGCUAUUUCAGAGUGAAGAUCGUCGUGACAAAAGGAUAAACUGUCUACGAUAUGAUCAUAGAGAUGAUUAUCUGAGUUACGAGUUUUUGGUACGCAGUUAAGACAAUGUGAAAAUUGUUUCGCAGCUCAUGCCACCUGAAACACCAUAGUGUGAUGAUGUGUCUGAACGUCAUAGCCACGCCCUAUUUGAUAUGGUGCAUACUAUGAUGUCUCUUAUCCAAUUACCACUAUCGUCUAUGGGUUAUGCAUUAGAGACAACCGCGUUCACUUUAAAUUGGGCACCGCGUAUUUCCGUUGAGAUGACACAGUAUAGACUAUGGUUUGGAGAAACCUGAGCUGACGUUUCUUGAAAGUUUGGGGCUGCGAUGCUUAUGUGAAAAAGUUUCAGUCUGAUAAGCUCGAACCCAAAGCGGAUAAAUGCAUCUUCAUAGGAUAUCCAAAACAGUUGGAUACAUCUCCUAUCUCAGAUCCGGAAGAAAAGUGUUUGUUUCUAGAAAACGGGUCCUUUCUCGAGGAAAGCUUUCUCUCGAAAGAAUUGAGUGGGAGGGUGGUAGAACUUGAUGAGGUUAUUGAAACCAUCACUUCAACCAGAGUGUAGCAGGGCGCAGGAAGUUGUUCUUGUGGUGCCUACACCAAUUGAAGUGGAAGCUGAUGAUAGUGAUCAUUGAGCAUCAGAUCAAGUUAUUACAGACCUCGUAGGUCGACAAGGUCGCGUACUACUACAGAGUGGUACGGUAACCCUGUCUUGGAGGUCAUGUUGUUGAACAACAAUGAAUCUACGAGUUAUGAAGAAGUAAUGGUGGGCCCGGAUUCCGACAAAUUGUUGGAGGCCAUGAAAUCCGAGAGAGGAUCCAUGUAUAAAACAAAGUGUAGACUUUGGAAGAACUACUUGAUGGUAGUAAGACUAUUAAGAAAAGAUGGGUCUUUAAAAGGAAGACAGACGAUGAUGGUGAUAAGUCACUAUUAAGAAAAGCUUGACUUGUCGCAAAGAUGUUUCCGACAAAGUUCAAAAGAGUUGACUAUGAUGAGACUUUCUCACUCAUAGCGAUGUUAAAAGUCUGUUGAAAUUAUGCUAGUAGUUGCUGCAUUAUUUAUGAAAUAUUGCACAUAGGAUGUCAAAACAGUGUUUCCUCGAUGGUUUUCUUGAGGAAAGGUUGUAUGUAAUACAACCGGAAAGUUUUGUCAAUCCUAAGGGUGCUAACAAGUAUGCAAGCUCCACUGAUCCUUCUAUGGACUGGUGCAAGCAUCUCGGUGUUGGAAUAUAUGCUUUGAUGAGUUGAUCGAAGCUUUUUGGGUUUAUACAAGGUUUGUGAGAAACUUGUAUUUCCAAAGAAGUGAGUGGGAGCACUAUAGAAUUUCUGAUAAGUAUAUGUGGUUGACAUACUGUGGAUCAGAAGUAAUGUAGAAUUUCUGUAAAGCAUAAAAGGUUGUUUGAAAGGAGUUUUUCAAAGGAAUACCUGGAUUACGCUACUUGAAAUGUUGAGCAUCAAGAUCUAUGGAGAUAGAUCGAAACGCUUAAUAGAAGUUUCAACAAGAUGCAUGCCUUGACAAGUUCUGAAGGAGUUCAAAAUAGAUCAACAAAGAAGGAGUUCUUGGUUGUGUACCGCACCACGACAGAAGAGAGAGAAAGGACGAAGGUCGUCCCCUAUGCCUUAGCCAUAGACUCUACAUUAUGACAUGCUAUGUACCGCACCUGAUAUGUGCCUUGCCACAAGUCUGUUAAGAGGUAUAGAGAGUGAUCCAGGAUUGAAUCACUGAACAACGGUCAAAGUUAUCCUUAGUAACUAAUGGGCUAAGGAAUGUUUCUCGAUUAUGGAGGUGGUUAAAGAGUUCGUCGUAAAGGGUUACGUCGAUGCAAGCUUUGACACUAACCCGAAUAACUAUGAGUAGUGAAACGGAUUCAUAUAGUAGAGUAGAUAUUUGGAGUAUUUCCGAAUAGCACGUAGUAGUAGCAUCUAUAAGAUGACAUAAAUAUUUGUAAAGAGCACACGGAUCUGAAAGUUUUAGAACCGUUGACUAAAACCUCUCUCACGAGCAAGACGUGAUCACACCCCAGAACUAUAUGGGUGUUAGAUUCGUUAGAAUCACAUGGUGAUGUGAACUAGAUUAUUGACUCUAGUGCAAGUGGGAGACUGUUGGAAAUAUGCCCUAGAGGCAAUAAUAAAUCAAUUAUUAUUAUAUUUCUUUGUUCAUGAUAAUCUUUUAUUAUCCAUGCUAUAAUUGUAUUGAUUGGAAACACAAUACUUGUGUGGAUACAUAGACAAAACACUCUCCCUAGUAAGCCUCUAGUUGACUAGCCCGUUGAUCAAAGAUGGUCUAGGUUUCCUGACCAUAGGCAAGUGUUGUUACUUGAUAACGGGAUCACAUCAUUAGGAGAAUCAUGUGAUGGACUAGACCCAAACUAAUGAACGUAGCAUGUUGAUCGUGUCAUUUUGUUGCUACUGUUUUUCUGCGUGUCAAGUAUUUAUUCCUAUGACCAAGAGAUCAUAUAACUCACUGGCACCGGAGGAAUACCUUGUGUGUAUCAAACGUCACAACGUAACUGGGUGACUAUAAAGAUGCUCUACAGGUAUCUCCGAAGGUGUCCGUUGAGUUAGUAUGGAUCAAGACUGGGAUUUGUCACUCCGUGUGACGAAGAGGUAUCUCGGGGCCCACUCGGUAAUACAACAUCACACACAAGCCUUACAAGCAAUGUGACUUAGUGUAAGUCAUGGGAUCUUGUAUUACGGAACGAGGAAAGAGACUUGCCGAUAAACGAGAUUGAAAUUGGUAUGCGGAUACCGACGAUCGAAUCUCGGGCAAGUAACAUACCGAAGGACAAAGGGAAUGACAUACGGGAUUAUAUGAAUCCUUGACACUGAGUUUCAACCGAUAAGAUCUUCGGAGAAUAUGUAGGAUCCAAUAUGGGCAUCCAGGUCCCGCUAUUGGAUAUUGACCGAGGAGUCUCUCGGGUCAUGUCUAAAUAGUUCUCGAACCCGCAAGGUCUGCACACUUAAGGUUCAACGAUGUUUUAUGCGUCUUUGAGUUAUAUGGUUGGUUACCGAAUGUUGUUCGGAGUCCCGGAUGAGAUCACAGACGUCACGAGGGUUUUCGGAAUGGUCCGGAGACGAAGAUUGAUAUAUAGGAUGANGUGCUGAACGCGGAGGUGUCGUCCGUUCGGCACUAGAUCGGAGCGGAUCGUGGGACGGAUCGCGGGACGGUUCGUGGGACGGUUCGCGGGACGGAUCGAGGGACGUGAGGACGUUCCACUACAUCAAUCGCGUUUCUUAAUGCUUCCCGCUGUGCGAUCUACAAGGGUACGUAGAUCAAAAAUCCCCUCUCGUAGAUGGACAUCACCAUGAUAGGUCUUCGUGCGCGUAGGAAAUUUUUUGUUUUCCAUGCGACGUUCCCCAACAAAGUGAUCACGAAGGCAAUUGAGGUGGAAUAAGGUCCUUCUAGCUCCACCCUAGCCUAAGUGAUGUCUUUGUUAGCACCGAAGGGGGUGGAUGAGGUUUCGUUCUAGCCGUGGCUCUUCAAAUGUGGAUUGGUUGGUUUUAGGUUUGUCAUCUUUUUGUGCCGAAGUGUUGCUUCUUCAAUCGUGGCGACUUGCCAAGCGAAGAGUGAUUUCCCAUCCAAGAAGCAUUCAUUUUCUUCAAGUUCACAUGUGUUGGGGUGGGCUACACGUGUGCCUACCAAAAAUCUACAUGUUUUUAUGUGUCUCCAGUAGUGGUUACUCGCCGACCCUUAGGGUCUUGGUUGUAGUUUCAUUUUCUAUAAGGGUUUACUACGAUAAGGGAUAUCUGACCCUGUUUGCGUCUGUUGUGACGUACCUUUUCCAUCUUUUAAAUAACUCGGAUGUUGCUCUAUUUUUAAGAAGCUUCCAUUCUUAAAAUAACUUCUAAAAACUACCAAUAAAGUCACCAAAAUCCAUCUUAGAUUGGCUCUAAAUUGGAAAACAUAAUUUUUCAUCUUGGAUUAACUAAUGGACUUGAUUUACCCCACGCACGCACGCCCACACACACACAUUGGUUUCACAUAUCGUCUACCGUAAAAAGGCAGGUGGAUAGGGCGCCAUUUUCAAUUAUGUCUAUCCGACUAGAGCAUACUGCCACACAUCUGUUUACCUAACAAAUGAUGGCAUUUUAGUCUGCAUAUCGGUCCUCUAGGGCCCUAGUUUUUUUCCCAAUGUCAAACCAUGUCGAAAUAGUAUUUCGUUGGACAUGUUACUAAUAUUGUACAUCUAGUUAUGCAGAGGUGGAUUUGGACUAGGAAAAUUUAUAUCACUUUAACGUGAUGAUUGGUGGAACUCCCUUUUUUGAAAAUCAAAAUACAUUACUUAGGCAAGUGGUAGAAGCUUUAUGCCAUUUUUCUAGCAUCCAGUGCAGCAAUGGCCCCUUGAACAACUUUCUUGGACCAUUCCAGGGCCGUCUUGAUAAGCCAUUCUGGAAGCUGAGCUGAAAGAUAGGCAUUAUUCCGUCUUCCACUCGCUCAAGUCAUUGGCACUUUUGCUUAGCACCAAAUGCCUUGUAUCUCUGGCCAAUCAUUGCAACAGAUGGCAUAGAACAAACAAGAGGAUUGGUAUACUCCGUUGUAUUCAGACCACAGGUGAUGCCUUUCGAUCUUUCUGUAGAGGAUUGAUAUACUCCGUAUUCAGACAACGAGUGAUGCCUUUCGACGGAAGAUGCAAUUGGAGCCCGAGCUACAUGAAGCUCGUUUCCAAAAUUCUAUUUUCCAGAGUGCAACAAAAUUCGAAUUUAUUUGUGGACACGAACACACAUGCAUACCGCAUAUGUGCAAAAUUUUGUAGCAUUAUACUCCCUCCGUUCCUAAAUAUAAGUCUUUUUAAAAAUUUCACUAGAAGACUACANNNNNNNNNNNNNNNNNNNNNNNNNNNNNNNNNNNNNNNNNNNNNNNNNNNNNNNNNNNNNNNNNNNNNNNNNNNNNNNNNNNNNNNNNNNNNNNNNNNNUAACCUUUGUAGGGAUAUACUCCCUUCGUCCGGAAAUACUUGUCCUAGAAAUGUAUAAAAUGAAUGUAUCUAUAACUAAAAUAAGUCUAGAUACAUCUAUUUCUAGGACAAGUAUUUCCGGACGGAGGGAGUAUAUAGGAGUACAUGAGGGGUAGAGGCUUUGACUACUACGUCAUGGUUCAGUCGUACCGGUCCACCUACCGAAUCAGGGACAUAAACCGGUCCACCGCACUCUCAUAGGUCGUCGCUGCCGCCUUCCAUCAAUCCAUUUUCAGAACAGUUACUGACACAUCGACCUUGCAAGGCCUGUCGUCGAUGCCCCCAUGGCGCCAGACAGCGCCUCCUCCUUACGCGCGCUCAUCGUCACUCAUCCGUCGUCGAGACUUUGCUGCGCCUCGCCGCCGAGACUCCACGACGUCGAUGUGUGACAGGGAACGCCGCUCCACCGUAGAUGGCGAUCAAAGGUCCCUCGAGCCCGUGUGUACCUCCAUGAAUGAUGCCCCCAAAGGGGAAACGGCACCAGAGUGUCGCCGUCAUCCGAUCUACUGAUCUAGGGUUUCCCCCGGAGGUAGCAGAGAGUGGUCUUGAACUUCUCCUCGGGGAUGCCUUCAGGAAGGGAACGACGUAGACGUCGCCGCCAUCGCCGGCCUUGUUAGUAGUCGAAAGCAAGCUUUCACCCAGAUCUGUUCGAAGAACCCAUCUCUCCUGCACGGACCACCACAUCCUGCAACGUCUCCGGGAGCGGGAUCCCAAGAUCCGCCGCCACCGGCGGCGCCACAAGGACCCACUACUCUGUUGGGAUAAAAAAAAGCUAGGAAGUCUUUUGUUUCAAACUCUUUACUCUGUUGGGAUAAAAAAAGGUAGAAAGUCUUUUGUUUCAAACUCUUUACUCUGUUGGGAUGGUGAUCCGCCUGAGUUUUUCCUAGCUGAUUUGGUUAGAGAUGUAACUAUCAUUUGAGUUUAAUAAAGUGAGUCACACCUUAAAAAAAAUGCUACCGUAGCACUUUUGAAUACUACUACUUGUCUUUCAUUUCAAUGUAUUGGAAAUGCCCUUCCCCCUUACAUUUUUUAUAUAUUUAUUUUCUUUUCUUUUUUAUUCUUAAAUGUGUGAACCUUUUCAAAUCAUUUUUAAACAGGAUUAUGUAAUUUUUCAAAUUUGAUUUUUUUAAAUCAAUUAACUAUUUUUUAACAUUUUCAUGAACUUUUUUUUAAAAACAAUAAACCUUUUUUCAAAUCCAAUGAACUUUUUUUAAUUCAACAAUUUUUUUCCAAACCUACUGAAUUUUUUUCUACUCGAUGAACUUUUUUCCAAAUCCGAUGAACUUUUUGAAAUCCAAUGAACUUGUUUUCAAAUCCGAUGAAUUGUUUUCAACACUGAUUAACUUCUUUUAAAAUCGAUGAAUUUUUUUAAUAAUUCAUUAUUUUUUGUGUAUUUUCCCAAUUUCGUGAACUUUUUAAAUCCACGAACAUUUAUAAUAAAUUGAUGACCUUUUUUUUAUUUCAUGAACAUAUUCGAAAUCAUAAAAAACCCAAAGGCCGGUCUUUCUCUUGAACCAUCAGGGCUGUACAGCUAGAAAACAAAUGCUAGCGUGAGUCAAUGGAGGGAAAGAUUUUUUUUUCAGCGAGGGAGGGGCAGCGAAUCCGUAAAGAGCGAUUGAGCGAGGUUAAAUGGGUCACGACCCGUUGCUGGUCGUUGUAGGCGUCACUUCUCCAACGAGCGCCUACAACGCCAAAUAGGGGCUCCCGACUCGACCCAGCCUGGCUCAUUGAAAAUAAUCGAUUCGGCCGUUCCUAGCAAACCUGACUAAGGAUUGUUGUAAAUUUUGGGUGGGUCAACAUGUAUAAUCGACUAAGUCAAUCAAAUGGAUCAAAAAAUUUAUGCACGAAUCUGGUUGGAAUAGAUGCGGGCAACAAAACGCAUCAUAAGUGCUUCUGUGCUUGUGACAUGGUCAGUAUACUCCAAUGCAGCCCCGACAAGAUAUGUCGGCUAGUCUCCGCCAGAGGGACCCGGUGCUCAUGUUGGUGGUUGGCGACGGUCUAUGUAGCAUCAUCGUACGAGCAGCAGAAGAAUUCUUCACAUACAAGUUCGUCAGGCAAGUUAUGUCCGCCAGCCUCGCGGGAUUGAAGCGGCAUAUGUUUGCUCUAUCGGACAUAGCGUCACUCUUUGAUGUCGUCGAAUUUCACGGAUAGGCUUGUGACAGCUCGAAUUGAUACAACGGUUUUUGGUAUGCACUUUGGUAGCAGCGAAAGCGUUCGAGUGCCCUGGCGGAUGUGUUAUGGGGUGUCGGCCUUCUGAGGUAUUGUAUGUGCUAUGGUGUUUUAGGCCUAGUUGUUAGUCGUUAUUUAGGUUUUCAUUCGGUUUUCCUUGAUAAACUGAGCACCAUUUUUCUUUCUUCUUCUUUUGUCAUUCGUUUUAUGCAGUGCAUUCCUGUUCUAGGAUGUUAUUUAUAAUACUUCUUCUUAUCAAUGAUUUUGGCAACUCUCUUGCCAACAUUCGGAAAAAAAAAUGUCGGCCAGUCGCCGACCAUCGCAGCAGGCUACCUUUUUUUUUAGGAGACGCAGCAGGCUACGUGUGCAGCGCACCCCCGGCUUCUUGGGGAAAUUUAGGUCAUCGCUUCAGCUGCUAAAAAAAAAAAAAAAAUAGGCCGUCGCUUCCCCGUUCGCACAGGCUUAGCCUAGCUUAGCUUAGCAUGGUCCAUGACUUGCGAGACUUCAUCGCUGCUCUGCUUGCGAGACUGGCCAAGCCUCGCUUAGCAUGGUCCAUGACGGGCAGCAGCUGCUGCUGCGUCAUUGCACAUUUGCAUGCAUCCGCGAUGCCCUGCCAAUGGCAGCACGCACGCCGGCCGGCUUGUACUUCCUUUGUUACUAAAUAUAAGUCUUUAAUUUUUUUACUAGAGGAGUAUUUAGGAAGCAAAACGAGUUAAUCUAUAUUCUAAAAUAUGUUUAUAUGCAUCCGCAUUUAGUUUUUUAGUAAAAUCUCUAGAAAGAUUUAUAUUUAGAGAUGGAGGGAGUACAACACAAGGACAACACGCACGGAUCACGACGAGCAUAUCUACACCAGACUUAGCAAAUAUGAUUCCAAAAUAUUUAUAGACAUGUCUGACCGGAUGUGUUUGUUUUAAAUCUUUAUUUUUUUGUGCGUAUAAUUAUUUUUUCUCAUAUGUUUGAUCACUUGCAUGUGGUUGAUAAAGAAAAAAUGAAUAAGAAAAAAAAAACGCCCAGAUGAAAUCGCGUCCUACGUGACGAACUGACCGGACAUUCCGGAUCGCGUUCCUUAACCCUUAUAUCAUUUUCAGAUUUAAGAUGUAUACGAGGGGUGUCGGUUAGUCCAGACGUUUAGGAAGAAAGUAAUGAUUUAAUUGGGUCAGAUUUUUUUAACCACGGCAAAAAAACAUUUUAAAUAUUUGAAAAAUAUAAGAAAUCCGGCUAUAGAUACUCUUAUUACUUGUGCAGUGACUCGAUGAGAUCGAGCUGGAAGUCGGAAGCUUAUCUACAUCCUGGCAUGCAAGUAGACCCGUAGAUCACUCAACGUGCUGGCAAGUGAGUGUAGUUUGUGGAGUGGUUUGGGGUGUCCCCGUUAUCCCGGGAAAUGCCUUGGAGUCUGCUCAUUUGGGUGUAGGUUUGGGUUAGUUAAGGAUUGUCUCGUAUUAGCCUCGCAAGGAGGUCCACCGUUGUUUAUACCAGUAUAUCAUACUAUGAUUUUUGAACACUUUGCAUCGUCUAACGAUCUAACCAAACAUGAAGCAUAAUCUAUUGCUCGGCACCCUACAUGGGGAUGAUAACACUAGCAUUAGAGCAUCUACAGUCAGACUGAUCAAAUCCCGCGGAAGCAUCUGGACUUUCUCUCGUAUUUUGCUCUGUGCAUUCAGAUACCUCUUAUCCGGACUCUCAAAUCAAUACAAAGCAUCUCAUCUCCCCCAUCCCGACCAUGUCACCAACGGUAUCUGCCGCAGUACCAAGUGCAAGCAUCCUCAUAGCAGCCGUGCAUUUCUGCUUGAAAGAAAAAGAGAGUUGACCGCAACAAUCUCUUGUGAGCUUGAAGUAGUCAUCGUAUGCCUCCACUCCCUCCAUAAUGCGCAAGAACAAUGGUUUUCGCAUACGAAAACGACGAUGAAAAAAUGUAUCAUCCGGAAAAGUUGGUUCCGGAUCAAAGUAAUCCUUCUGCAGUAGCUUUGCUCCGGAUACUCUAUCCCGAUUGAUGACUCUUCUUCCUUUGAUUGAUCUCUUGAAAUUAAGAAUGUAUUUCAUUUUUCGGUCUAUUUCCUCUUGCAUGCUCAUGAGUAUCAUCAUGUUCACUUCUUCAUCCGAAUUCGAUGAAUCAAAGAACUCAUCUUUAAUCAGUUGAUCAAGCUCCGUUUGUCCAUACUAUUCGCCGGACGAAACAUCAGAAUCCAUCGUUUUCCCUAAAAAUUUGACCAACAUAUCCGGUCAGAUAUUCUAUCGAACACAUCCGGUGCAAGAGACAGCCAGAGAGUUGUCGGACGAACCGCGAUGUCUUCCGGGCCGACGAUGUCGUUGUGCGCGGAGAGGUAAGGAGAAAUGAUCCCUGUGACCGAGCGGUUGAGGUGGAAGAGGCUACUAGGCGACGGAUCCGACAGUUCAACGGGUUGAAUUUGGUGCAAUUUGCGAUAGGGUCGGGCUGUCGGGUCCGGCGUGGCGGACGUGUCCACGUGCGCACGGACUCCCCCAUAUCCGCGCCAUGUUUGGACUGAAAAUGAGGGUGCCGGUCAGUCCGGGCGUUUGAGGCCGGUUUGAGAGGCAUGCAUGGAUCGGAUUUUUAUGACCGGACAGUGACCGAGCGGUCUGCCGAGACGUUUGAGGAGAAUUUAAAGGGUCCGGUUGUAGAUGCUCUUACUAGCUCUCUAGCUAUAAACUAGCUUGAUACCUUGGUUUUGUUCUGGUUUUAGAUCGAGGUGAGUGUAGAACCUCAACGCCGUACAGUAUCGAUUUGCUUUGGCAAAGAGAGCAUAGAAAUGAAUGGGGGCUUUGAGAGCAUCUGCAUCGGACAUUACUAAUUUGACCUCUCAAACGCCUCUCGACAUAUCCGGACAGUGAUCAGACGUGUUUUUUAACUCUUCAUAUAUGUUGUAAAAUAACCACGUUUCGUAAAUUCUUCUCUUAUUUUGUUAGUCAUUUUGUCGAGUACAUCGCGUGCGAACAGACAGAGAGCACAUACCAGGCCUAGCAAGCCCGUGAUUGCACUAGGGAAUGAUUGGCACUCCAGCAAAAUUACGAUGCGAAGAAGCAACGACAACAAACACUAGCAUGGUGACCGGCGCAAAAUUACAACGCCCGACACGCAAAAUUACAAUGCCCCGGCUCCGGCAAAGCAGCAACGACAGCAACAUACGUACAUGGUAGCAGCACACUAGCAUGGUAAUCGACGCAAAAUUACGAUGCCCCGACACGUAAAAUUACGACGACCCGUCACACUCAUGAGCUCUCGCCAAGGGCUCAAGAGUUUCGGUGUAUGACUGCUUGUGGGACAGACUGAAAUAGCUAUUACGUGGAGUAGAGCGCCCGGGGGUGACCGGACAGCCUUAUAUCGUCCUCAUAUUUGAGACGGAUUUGAGGAGUGCCGGUGAGUCCGAACGUAUAGGGAUGAAAUGAGUUGUCCGGUUAGGUCAUUUUUUUUACUGGACACUAACCGGAAUGGCGUUUCGGUCGUAGGGGUCCGGCUGAAGAUGCUCUUAUCUUGGGUUUAGUUUUUUUUAACAGGGAACGACACCGAAGGGCCUAGAUACUGCAUUUAUAUUUCAAUGGAGUUGUACAACUUACAGUAUGGAUCUUCAGAAAUACAACAAUACAAAAACGGCCCUUGACAAUUAGAGCACACACCCUGGACAGAAGAGAAGAAAAUCAAUCGAGUCCUUCGUCGUCGCUGAAGAAACGAGGCCUCAAACGACGGCCUCCCACACAAGCAUCUGGGACAAAACCACUUGAAGAAAGGCGGGAGUGAAGGGCCUCCGCUAGUCCUCCAGAAUGCCUCCGAUGGAAGUUGAUAAAGACCUCAUGCAGUGCCGGCGUCAAGGUUCAGAGCUGUUGCCUGCCAGCAUCUUGAGUGGGCAGCCAAACGCGGACCACCGAGAAUCUUCUCCAUCUAUGUGCAGUAUCACAACUUUCUAGGCAUCCUCUGCCACCGCAUAUCACCGCAUCUAGCAGCCCCUUCCCCUCGCCACCACGAAUUUUUGUUCAAAAGGACCCCCUGUCGAAUGAGAUUGUCAAAAGAGAUCAUCCGCGAGUGAAAAGGAGCGAAAGGACCCCCACCUCGGGUGGCGGCAGGCGCGCCAGGCGGCACGUGGCACCUGCCGCCACCGCAGGAGGCGGCUGUGGGGCCUGCCGCCACCGCCCCAGGCGGCUGGGGCCUGCCGCCACCGGCUGAGGCGGCCAGCGCCGGAUCCCGUUCCCGCCACUCCUGUCCGUAACGAACAGCGCCGGGUGGGCCCUGCCGCCUCGGGAGCAGGCGGCCAGGGCACUGUUUCCGCGCGGCCGACCGGCCGACACUGUUGCUGAUUGCGCUGAUUUCCGUACGCGCUGAUUCCCAGGCUUAUUUCCCGCUCCCACCGACGAAACAGUGCGAAUUUUUCCCCCUCCCACCGACGAAACAGUGCGAAACUUCUUCUUUAUAAGCGAACCGCGUCGCUGCCUCCUCUCUCACUCUCUUCUCCUGCCGUUGCCUCCCGUGUCACUCUCUUCUCUUUCUCUUUCUCACUCUCUUCUCUUUCUCUCAAGAGCUACUCCGUAUGAAUGUUUAUGUGGCGAUUUAGGACGGUUUAAAGUUAGAUUUUGAAGACGUUGUAGUUGAAGAAAAGAUAGAUCAAGGUAAGAGCUUUCCAUUUGUGUUGGUCGUGUUUGCAUGCAUGAUGUAUUUAUUUUGUUUGAUUAGUUUCUAAGUAUGUGUUUUCUUUUGUCUUAGGGAGCGUAUUAUCACUUUUGUGAAACUAUUUUGAAGACGUUGUAGUUGAAGAAAAGAUAGAACAAGGUAAGAGCUUUCCAUUUGUGUUGGUCGUGUUUGCAUGCAUGAUGUUUUUAUUUUGUUUGAUUAGUUUCUAAGUAUGUGUUUUCUUUUGUCUUAGGGAGCGUAUUAUCACUUUUGUGGAACUAUUUUGUCAUGCGAUAUGAACUACUAAGUUGAAGAUCAAGGUAUGAGACUUUGUUCAUAUUUGUGUUCAUGUGAUAAUAGGUCGACUAUGUUCAUAUAUUACCGAUGAUUUGUUCGUGUUUGCAUGCAACUGGUAUUUAGAAAGGAGCCGGAAAAAUGCCUAUGUAACUAGCAUUUUUGUAAAAAGCAUGUAAUAAUAUGUUAGCUCCAUUAGUAUUAUUACACGCAAGACGCGUGUGUAAUAUAUUUGUUUAUUUGAUAAUUUGUCAACCCCGUAGAAAUAUGACUCGUGAUACAUAUAUAUAUAUAUAUAUGCAUGCAGUAUGUAUUUUUAGACUUUUGCUAGCACGGAAAUAAUUAUGUGUGUAAUAUUUUUGUUCAUAUGAAAAUAGGUGGAAUUCGCUGAUAUUAUUCUGGUGAUAUAUUAUAUUCGGAAGGAUAUCCUUAUUUAAACCAGAGGUAUGAAUGACAUAUUGUAAUUCAUCUUCUAUUUAUUUUAUAGAUGUAGUGUCACGAUAAAUGAUACAAUAUAAAUUAUUAUGCGUAGAUGUAAUGGAUGUUGUUAAAUUGUUAUAUGUAAAAAAGAUAAGUAAUGGAUGUUGUUAUUACAAUGUAAAUAUAAAAAUAUGAUUUUUAAUGGACUAACGAUGUAAAUAUGGCUGCUCGUUAGGUACUAUGGAAAAUUUGUUAGUGUUUUAUGGGCACAUCGUACGUGAGGAUCCUUCUGGUGUGGAUGUGUCUAGGUGCGGGAUGACUACGGUUGUAGUGAAAGACAUGGUUAAUGUAGAGUAUGCGGCAGUUAGAAGGUGCAUCCGAUCGGUGUUUGGUUCAGCGAUGAAUGGAAAAAAAUGACCCUGGAGGCUUUCGUGGUUGAGGGAGGAAAUCGUUGGGUUCUGCGACGGGUUACUGGUGAAAGAGCAUGGGCGUCGUACAUGGAUUUUGCAAGCAAUCCCAAUAACUCCAUGUAUGGACAACCCAUGGUUUAUGUGGAGUUCAUUUCUGCCAGUGAUGUCGCCGAGUGCAGUAGCGGUGCCGGUGAGGCCGAGUUGGCCAUAACUGUAGCCCCCGACGCCGGCCCAUCGGAACCAAGUGGUGGCAAACAUAUGGCCAUAACUGUAGCCCCCGACGCCGGCCCAACGGAACCAACAGGUGGCCAACAAGUGUAUGACACGGGAUAUUGGUCUGCGGUCGUUGACAUGAGCGAACAUGUCGAGGGAUUGCCGGAGGCGCUAGAUGAUGACGAUGAUGGUCAUUCUUCCGCGUCUUCGGAAUCAGAUGAUGAUGAAGUUGUUCCUCCUGAGAAUGCGGUCGCUGCAGCAAUCAACCCAGAGUUUUUACAGGUUAUGAGCAUCACCAAUGAAUUUCACUCUGUUGCUGGCCUAGACGCGGGGAGUCUGGCCGUUGGACAGAUUUUCCCAGAUAAGAAAUCUGCUAAACAAGCAAUACAUAGCUAUGCAAUUGCUAUACACAGGCAACAUAGAGUGAAGCAGUCUGAUAAAAAGGAGUUGAAGCUCAUAUGCAUCCAUCGCGAAGCGGGUUGCGCGGAAGAGUUAUUGCUCGCCAGAAGCCUGGGGUAUGUCAGCCAUGGCAUGUCACAAAAAUAGAGCAACAUGGUUGUGAGCAAACCGGCACUCUUUCAGAGCACCGCAACGUGACUGCAGAAUAUGUGUCACAGGUGAUGCAAACCAUUGUGCAGCAAAGUCUUAAUAUUAGUAUUAGGGCUUUGCGUGCAACUGCAUCUGAUCUGAUUGGUUUCCCUGUCAGCUAUAGCAAGGCUCGUCAUGCAAAGGAAAAGAUAUUUCAGAGGUUGUAUGGAACCUAUGAGGAGGCGUACUCUUUUGCCCCUAGAAUGUUGCAUCAGAUUUCAGUUGCUAACAGGGGGACUCAAGUUUUCCGGAAAGAACGUCCAAAUCCAUUGAACCCGGACGAGCAAAUCCUGGACCGCUUAUUCUGGGCAUUCGCCCAGACUAUACAAGCAUUCAAGCAUUGUCGUCCGAUUGUAUCAAUUGAUGGUACAUUUCUCACUGGAAAGUACAAGGGCACACUCUUAGUGGCGAUGGUAGCUGAUGCAAACAAUCAACUUCUUCCUAUUGCCUAUGCACUAGUGGAGAGCGAAAACAAACAUAGUUGGCUAUGGUUCCUGUGUUGCCUGAAGAUGGGUGUCAUCAAAGAUCGGGAAGGGGUUUGCAUCAUCUCUGAUCGCAACACCGGACUAUUAAGCGCGCUUGAGAUAAUUAAGGCUUCACAAGAUCCAGAUUGGGGGUGGCCCGAUCUGGAGACAAGGUGGUGCAUGAGGCAUUUGACAGCUAAUUUUUAUUCGAAAUUCAAAAACAAAGAUUAGUUCAAGCUAUUCAAGAGGAUGUGCAUGCAGAAAACUACAGCAAAAAUGAAUGCUAUCUGGGCAGGUAUCAAUGGUCAGAUCGAGCGCGCAUCCCUCCCGGCGAGAGAAGACCGGAGGGGUCGUCGAACAGCAAUAAAUUUGAGCCAGUGGAUUAAUGAGAAUUGUCCCAAUUUGUACAAGUGGGUGCAUUCUCAUGAAACUGGCGCUAGAUACGGUAUAAUGACAAGCAACAUGUCCGAGGUGUACAAUGGUGUUCUUAAAGGGGUGAGGGCACUACCUAUCACAACACUAAUUGAUGAAACUUGGAACCGGACUGUGUCAUACUUUGCAGAUAGAGUCACCGUUGCCAAGGCACUAGUUGAUUUGAACAAGACCUGGUCUGAGAAGAUGCAAAGACAUCUUGAUGACAAAGCAAAGAAGUCGCAAAGACAUGGGUGCAGGCAGGUAGAUGCACUUAGGAAUAAAUGGGAAGUUAGUGUGCGAGCAAAGUUUGUGAAGGGUCACCACAGGGGAGAGAAAAAACAAGCUGUGACGCUUGGCGCAACCUCGUGUGAGUGCACUUGCAACAAGCCCAAGCUUCUGGGAUAUCCUUGCAGUCACGUAUUGCGGGCAGCUGCAGAUCAACAAAUUAGUGUCGAGCCAUACGUAUCACCAUACUUCAACAUGCACAAUUUGUACAACACUUGGAACGGUGAGUUUUGGGCAUGGGGCAUUGAUACGAACUACAAGCAAUUAUGGCCAGAAGGCACCACAUGGGUUCCAGAUCCCGCAUUGAUGCGAACCAGCAAGGGACGGCGUCAGUCUAGGCGUCAUCGCAAUGACAUGGACCAUAGCCAGUUGGGAGAACCAAGGCGAUGCCGUGUAUGUAGGUGUGCUGGUCACCCGCGUAGGGAGUGUCCGUAUCGUAACAACAACACUGCGUGAUAUGUAAUCAUGCUAUGUAUUCAUCUCAUCAAGAAAAGCCCUCUGCUCCACACAGUAAUCUUCCCAUUCUUUCUUCUGCUCUGCUUUCUCCUCUGCUUCAGCCUUCUCACGACGCUCUUCCAAGUCCAAGCUAGCCCAUGCACGGCGACCUCUUUCACGAAUCUCGGUCACCGCCCAGUCCGGCAUUUCCGUGUCAAUCCAAUGAUAGUACAUGCACAGAGGAGGAGGAGACUAAAGGAUGGAUCAGAUUCAAGUAAACAAUAAUAUCAAAUAACAAUAAUCUGGAUGACUUGAGCAUACCGGAGGCCUGACGUACGCAGAAAUAGAUUCGGGUGGAUCAGAUUCAUAAUUGGCGCACAUGAAAAACUUCAUGCCCAACCAAUCUGAAAAAUCCGUCACCUCCUUCACCUUGCAGACAUCUCCGCACCAACAUCGAACUGCUUCCACCCCCCGAGGCAAGCUUGCACUCUGCAUUUUCCUAGGCCUAAUGCUCUGAUCCGAACAAGGCAAACUCAUACUGACUAUGGAGGUGCAGGUGCUUUGAAGUCUGUCUGAUGGUGAAGAGAGUUUCACUCCCUGCCUCCUUUUAUAGGCUCUGCCGGAUGUCUACGCAGGAAAAAAGGGCGCGAAAACGAGAAACUGCAGCGGGAAAAUUUGGCGGGAAAAUAACGCGGGAAAAUUAGGCGGGAAACUAUUGCACUGCUCGUCCGUCGUUAUCGCGUGUACAUUCUAAAAUAAGUCCAUAUACAUCCAUAUGUAGUCUUGUAGUACGAACUCUUAAAAGACUCUUGUAGUUACUUUUGUAUAAAUGAUAUUUUUUUCAAACCAUGAAAGAUAAUUGUGUGUGAUCAUUAUAGAAGAUAAAGAAGAAACAAGUACAAAGCUCUAAGCGUCAUAAAAAAAAAGACCAACUUUACUAAGAGCAUCAUUAUAGAACCAUGAAAGAGAAUUGUGUGUGAUUAUACGAACAAGGAUUCAAAAUCAUUUACUUUCAUGUAAAUGAUAGUUGCAUUUUACGUAUUAAGAUUACAUAUUAUGGCGACCAACGAGAGCAUCAUCACCAAGUGAUUAGUUAGUAAUGUUUUCUACUUUAUUCCAUGGCAGUGUCACUGCUGCGAUAGCAAUCAAAGAUUCACUCCCAAAAUAUUUGACCGAGAGCUAAAACAUACUUUCUCUAUAAAUAAAUUUAAGAAACGCUAUUGUAAACAAUGUCGACCUAGAGAUAAAAGCCCCACGAAACCACCGUAACGAACAGUGUCGACCAGGAGACAAAGAGUCCCUCUGAAAUCGCCGCGGUGAACAAUGCUGACCCGAAGAUGAGAGCCCCGUGAAACCACGGAAAAAACCGCCCGCCUUCACCGGCGUGGAUAUCUUGGUUUGGUUCGAGGGAUGGGGGAUAACCACGGCCCAACAAAAUAUCCGUAGUAUAUGCCUCCCAUGCACUUAGCCAUCCGUGCAACUUGCACAAUAUUUUUGUUCAAAAGGAUUGCAAGGUCGGAACCGGAGCAAGUUGGCAGGAGUAAAUUUUGGCUGUUUUGUCGGUGGAGAGCAGGAAAAAUUCGCACUGUUUCGUCGGUGGGAGCGGGAAAUAAGCCUGGGAAUCAGCGCGUAAGGAAAUCAGCGCAAUCAGCAACAGUGUCGGCCGGUAGCGCGGAAACAGUGCCCUGGCCGCCUGCUCCCGAGGCGGCAGGGCCCACCCAGCGCUGUCCGUUACGGACAGGAGUGGUGGGAACGGGAUCCGGCGCUGGCCGCCUCAGCCGGUGGCGGCAGGCCCCGCGGCCGCCUCCUGCGGUGGCGGCAGGUGCCACGUGCCGCCUGGCGCGCCUGCCGCCACCCGGGGUGGGGGUCCUUUCGCUCCUUUUCACUGGCGGGUGGUCUCUUUUGACAAUCUCAUUCGACAGGGGGUCCUUUUGGACAAAAAUUCCGCCACCACGGCAGGUCGGAAGGGGGAUUUGUGAAACAGCACAGUAGAAACAGAGAAGGAGAAAACGACGCUUAUUGAAUUGAGUCACAACCGAGCACCUCCUAACUAUCUCCCUUAUAUCCAUCUCAAAUGCCCGGACAUUUGAAACGGGUUUGAGAGGCCCGGCCGAAGAUGCUCUUAUCCUGGGUUUAGUUAAGUUUAGGUGCACGGCAUUCGAUUGCUAAAGGUGUAAAAUGGACUGGUCAUGCACGCAUCUUUUUGCCAAACCGGGGAUCAAAAUCAUUAGGUCGGGCAUUCACCUCUUAAUAAUGUGAGGACGGAUAUUUGCACUGUAUGGACUCCAUCCAAGUUCACAAUCAUCCUACUGAUCUUGACGCCUUAAGAUUCCCCUUUGAUCUCAUGACACCAUCAUUGAACAGCGAAAACACAUGACCCACAAGGCAACAAAGGGCACGUACAUUUGUGUUCGAGUUACUUUCCAUCACUACAUGCAUCCUGACGAACCACCACCCCUUGGCCCAUGUUUCUUUGCCCUGAAAUGAAAGAUAAACCUUCAAUUCAGAGCGCGGCAUGCACCACGGAAAGAGGAAGAGACCUUUCAAUCCCGUGAAACUGAAGCAGGUGGUGGUAAUAGCUGAUCACUGCUAGGAUCGUGCCACGAAUGAAAAGGCCCGGCAUAUGAUCCAAUCGUGCAACUAGCAAACCCUACACAGUACCCCUGCUCUGGAAUUGACAUGUCUUUUUCCCUUAAAAAAACUGCCUGGCUUGUCUGAGCCUGCUUCGUUUGCUCUGCUUGCCCGGUCGAAAUAAUGCGGCCGAUCGUUGAUGGGCCACGGCGUGGUUGCACUUGCAGGCAGCAACUGCUCCCGGAUCAGCGACGCCUGUCUGCCUAAUUAAGCUUGCCCGGGUUAAGCUCGCUUCUGUCACUCUUUGCCGGCAGUGUCUAUUUUACUUAAUACAGUACUACCUACGGCCAUUCUUCUUAGUAGUCACAACCAGAGUCCAAAGGAAGAAGAUUCUCAACGCACAAGUCACGAGUAAGUUUCUUUUUCUUUAAGUAUCCAGCGACUGACUUGCCCAUUUAUCCAGCAGGCUUUCUGCUUUACCACCUGCAUCACAUGUCACGUCGUUUGUUUUUUACAUUUUCGGUCAAGAUUUUGGGUAGCCUCAGUCAGCAGCGCAACAUAGCCCGAAAAUUCAGCUCGCAGGAUGGGUGACGAGGGAAGCAGUACGUGCUUGCCACAUAAUAAAGGACGAAAAAUUCUAAACAUACGGAGUAAUACGGGGGGUUUUAUGGACUCCUUCGUUAGCUGAUCUCCACCGCCCUGAUUCUAAGGGGUGUGGGCCCCCUCGCCCUUAUUUCUUUUAAUCAUCUUAGCCCAUCUAAUCCUUUCCGUAAAUUUCCGUAAAAACUGUCCGUACUUGUAGCGUCGCUUAUAAAGGAGUAAAGGACCUGUCUCUUCUGGCCCGUUUGGAAAGGGGUUUUUUCACUGUUUUGAUCCGAGGGGUGUAAGUUAAUCACGCAACGAACUCGUUUCGAAAGAAUUUCACGUUUUGACCCUUUUUUGAAACGCCAUAGACCGUGACGUUGCAGCCCUCUUAAGAAGCGCCACUCUAUUGUGGUGUUGCAGACCUUCCUUGAAACGCCUGUCUAAUAUGGCGUUGCAGGCCUGAGGUGAAACGCGAGUUGAUAUGGCGUUUCUUGGCUUUAUAUUCUUCCACCCCGACCCCCUCACCCACCAACCACCAUUUCUCCUCUCAUCUUGUUCUUCCUUGCACGAAAAAGCUCUCCCUUGUCCUCAAGAUCCCCCCUUCAAUCUCCCUCCUCCCUCAACCCUUUAGUUGGUUCUUUGGGGUAAAUCAAAGAGGCCGGUAAGCUCCUCCAAUCCCUCCAAUUAGUUUUUGCAAUGAUUUUCUAUUUGUGUAGAUUUUUUUUGCACUAGGUGUUCUAUUUAUGUUGCAUUGUAUUGGUUGGUUUUUUAUUAUUGAGGAGAUUUAGUGUUAUGGUUAGGGUUAUGCCUANNNNNNNNNNNNNNNNNNNNNNNNNNNNNNNNNNNNNNNNNNNNNNNNNNNNNNNNNNNNNNNNNNNNNNNNNNNNNNNNNNNNNNNNNNNNNNNNNNNNGCCCCCGCCCCCGGCCCCGUCAUGGCGCCGCACGGUGGCCGUCCAGGCCGCGCUCUCAACCUCGGCGAGCCGCAGCUCCAGCCGCGGGGCGGGGACGCGCUGGGUGUCGGCGGUGGGCGGCGCGGCGGCGGAGGAGUCUCCUUCCUCAGCGUCGCGGGCGUGCGCCUCUGUCUAGGAUCGGCACCUGCAGGUGCGUGCGUGCGCCUCUGUAUCGACAGUGGCAUGUAUUUGCUAACAGUGCUAUAUUUGCCAUCGAGAGUGGCCUGUAUUUGCUGACAAUUUAUGUUUAUUAGAUUAUCGUCAAGGUCAAAUGCUGACAGUUAGUGUUGUUAGGCAGAGCUAUAAAGACAUUUGUGAUAAUCUUAAACUAUUUUGUCACUGGUCCAAACCUCCCAUGCAUAAAUAGGAGCUGCAAUCUAACUCCACCUGACAUUGCUUUAGUUGUUUGCGGAUAAGAAGUGCACCCAUACAUUGUUCUUAAGAGAAAGUAUGCUAUUCGAAGCUGCCAUGAUUUUCUUUGUUAUGCAAGAACAAAAACUUUGCGAUUAGAGACAAUUUAAAUGUUCAUUGUGUGAUUUGUGUUAGGGGUCGAAGUGAUAUGAUGAUUGUGUGAUGUAAACUAUUAAACCAUGCAUCAAUAAUCUUCUUUUUCGUGUUUGUUUGAAGGUUUAUUGUGUUUUUCUACUGAAAAUUGUGAUAUGUCAAAUGACAGUUUUAAGGGUUGGGGUUGGGGCAAAGACUAGAACCCUCAAACCCAACCCUUAUAACGGAAUAUUCUGUUAUAAGGGUUGAGUUUAAGGGUUCUAGUCUUUGCCUCUGUUUUUCAAUCCUUAAAAGUGUCAAAAAUGAUCAAUUCUUAACCCUUAAAACUGGUUUUAGAUUUAAGGGUUUGAGGGUUCUACUAGAAAUGCUCUUAUCAUCUCCAUACAUGGUGUUGAGCGAGACAACGCAAAAUGUAGCACGCAAAAAUUGUACGGUUGACCUCCUUGCCGGCCGGGCUAGUACUUAUUAACUAACCCAAACCAACACACAAAUGUGCAAACUCCAAAGUUAGCAUUUCCCACACAAACCGGCCGGCGUCCGGGACACCACAAACCACUCCACACGAACUACUUCUACUUGUUAGCACGGUGAGUGAUCUGCGGGCAUGCCAGUGCCAGCACCUCACUCCUCACCGGCUCACCGAGUCACCGCGCCAGUUAACAAUCCACCUCCUGUCGGUGUUGUUGUCUCGCUACUGGCUCUCAAUGACCUGUGCAUGGAUGUGGAGAUGAUGUUAGGCUAGAAGAAAUCUGAUGCCGUUGCGGACGAUGGCGACGUCCGUGAACGUCGUGAUCUUUUUGAAGACGUCGUCUAGGCCCUUAUCCUUCUCCUCCCAUGCAACGGGGAUAACCCCAGAUCGAGCAAGUUGGUUCAGACAGUGACGAUGCUAUGACGUCGUUACCGGAUCAAUCCUUCUUUCAUUCAUUGAAGGGAUGGACUAUGCAGCGGCGCCGCACCUUGGCGCUCCCAUGCGGCCGCUGUUGUACGCAUGCAUAUACAUGCAGUGCAAAUCUAUGAUCUAUUAGUAUUACUAAGUUAAGUAUUGUCAUCACUUAAAAAAGUGAGCUAAAUAUUGCCAUAAUGCGGCUAGUCCCCUCUCUCUCUCCUAUGCAUGCAUGGGAUGAAGUCAACAAAGAUUCUCAUUAAUGUUUGAGAUUCAAAAAGUUUUAUCUACAAAACCGUUAAUUCAAUCAAUGAUCCGAUUUCAUCAUUGACUUUCUCGCGAUGAGUUUAUCGAAACUAGAUCCCAUGUCGACAUGUUUCGUCAACUAUUUUUUUCCAUUCAUACUUGCCAUAUUUUUUGACCCACUUGCCAUAUUAUUGAUCACUUACUUGCAUGAGAAAAAUAACUUGAUUGACACUUUUUAAUAUUGUUUCGUACAAAGGCUUGUAGCAGUUUUCAUUAUACAUGAUAUAAAAAAAUGUCAUGGGUUGUGUUUGCCAAUUUAAAUAUGUCAACUUGUCAUGUUUACAUAUAACUUUGCCAGAAAACUAUUUUGUGUGCUUGUUAGUUUAACUAUGCCGAGUUGUCAUAUUUAGAAAUGAUGAUCAAAAAAGAUUUCCUGUGGUCACCGGUUCUAAAUAUGUUGAGUUGUCAUAUUUUUACCCGUAAUCGCCUAAAAAAAGUUGUUUGUUCUUGUCAUUUUGAUUAUGUCAAGAUAUAAUAUUUAUACGCAAUUUCAAAAAGUUUAACGAUUAUGUUAUUUUUAUCACACAAGUAAGUACUUACUAAUAUGAUAAGUAAAUGCAAAAAAAAAUGUGAUAAAUAUGAAAAAAAAAAGUUAUCAAAACAUGUCAAGAUAGGAUCUAGUUUUAAAGAUUUCGUCGAAACAAAGUCAACGACGAAAACGGAUCAUUGAUCGAAUUAAUGGUUUAAGAGAUAAAGUUUUUUAAAUUCCGGUCAUUUAGUAUAAAUGUGACGACAUCAUGUAUGCAUGCAUGCAUGCAUGACCCCCCCCCCCCCCCCCCNNNNNNNNNNNNNNNNNNNNNNNNNNNNNNNNNNNNNNNNNNNNNNNNNNNNNNNNNNNNNNNNNNNNNNNNNNNNNNNNNNNNNNNNNNNNNNNNNNNNNNNNNNNNNNNNNNNNNNNNNNNNNNNNNNNNNNNNNNNNNNNNNNNNNNNNNNNNNNNNNNNNNNNNNNNNNNNNNNNNNNNNNNNNNNNNNNNNNNNNNNNNNNNNNNNNNNNNNNNNNNNNNNNNNNNNNNCCCCCCCCCCCCCCCCACGGUAUGUCGAGAAUAGGGCGCUUCUGGAUAGAUUUUUGGUUCAUUGAAUUUAACAGUGAUACUGUUGAUAUUAAAAAAAUGUCACAAGGCCGGCUGGCCGGUGGCGGUGCGUGUGCUGCCAUUGGCAUUUGGCAGGGCAUGGCGGGUGCAAAUGUGUGCAUGCAGCGCCUGGCCCUGCACGGCUGCACCACCCUGUACCAUGCUAAACUAAGCCAGGCGCGCGGACCCUCCCAUGCACGAACCUACCUGACCGGACCUCUGCGAACUCGAAAGCGAUCCCCUGUAUUUUCCCGAAGAAGCCGGGGGGCGCGCUACACACAUAGCUAGCAAGCAUCUGCUGCGACGGCCAGCGAAUGGCCGGCAGAUCUUGCCAGGCAGGGGCUGCUGUAUGAUAGGGGUAGAAUGUGAGUGGAUGAGUGAUCUUAAGAGCAACUCCAAUGAAUUGACCUAAAUGAACCACGAUUUUUUUUUUCAUUUGGGUCGGCCAGGCGGACACGAACGUCCGCUUCCGCAAAUGGGUCGACGUCUGCGUCCAACGCUGACUAGAUUUAUUUUUGCUGGCGUGCGUAAAAAAUACAUAAGUGCAUAAUUAAAAAUUAAAAGCCGGUCACGAAUGCCGGCGAGAGUACACGCGUCCACAAUACAUUAAUUAAACAUAAAAAAUAUAUAUAACUACGAGGGCAGCCCUAGACGUCGUCGUCGUCAUCGGGGCCGGUGAGGUCGACCAGCGUAGGCACAGGGCCGCCGAGGGGAACGCUGUGUUCUAGAGCGCAGCUGCCUGCGCCUCCGUUGUCUGUCCCGCCGGCGCGAGUUGUGCUAGUGGCGGUGGCAGCACAGCAGCAAGGGCAAGCUCCUCCGCCUUCACCUCCCGCCGUUCCACCUCCACCUCCUUCUCCAGCUCCAUCAGCCGAAGGCCUUCGGCGCGCUACGCCAGCAGGUGAUGCGCCCUCUAGUGCUUGAGGUAGACUUGCUCCUGAUGCAGUGUCGCGCCUAGCUAGAUGGGCGGCGCAGCGGCGAACUCGUGGACGAUGUCGGUCCACUGAUAGACCUCCCGCGGCUCCGUGGGCUCAGGUUUCGGCGGAUGUGGCACGACGUAGUCACCGACGUUCGACAGGAAGAUAGCCUCCGCGAGCUGCUGCUCGUACGCCGCCUCCUCGUCAGCCCUACACCGCGCUUCCUCCUCACUGUCGCGGAGAACAGCUGCGAGCGUCGCCUGGCAGGCGGCCUCAGCCUCCUGGUCCUUUUCGCUGAUGAUAGGCGGGUGCGGCGGAUGGCCUCCUGGCUGCACUUCGCACACGCCACGGCGGCGCUGCUCCUCGUGCUCCACCGCGAGCCAAACCUUCCAGUUAGGGGAGUCGGCCGCGUACGCAGGGUCUCGCCGUUGCUCUGUCGUCAGCAGACGCCGACGUCGGCUCACCUCCUCCACAUGCACCCGCGCCGACCGCGGCAUGGCCGGCACCGGAAUCCUCUUAGGAUCCACAUGCCAGUCGUGCGGCAGCGUGACAUCGGGGUAAGGAAGCGGCACGCGGUGUUCCCAGUGCCACCGCGCUUGGUGCACCGGGACGAUCACACGCUGGCAAGGCCGAUGGGAAGACGACGGCGGAGAGAUGGCGCGGGGGUAGAGCGGGGUCUUGCCCUUGUUUGGGAAGCCGCCGGCCAUGGUGCUAGGGUUUUGGUCGCCGAGGAGGUGACUCGAUGUGGACGGACGGGGUUCUGGAAGAAGGUGGCAGAACCCACGCUCAGAUUAAAAAAGACCGGCCGCGGUCGCUGACGCGUGGGCCUGAGGGUGGCGGCCGUCAUAAAUAUUGUUGACCGCGGUGGUUGGCACGGACACCGAGAGGGUGCACGCGUCCGCGCCGACGCAUUUUCGUCCUAAAUUUGGGCAAGAAAUGGGUUGGCGCGGACGCAAAGCGGACGCGUUUUGACAACGGGUCGGCGCGUUGGGCCUUCAUUUUUAUCUACGCCGAUCCAAACGGACGGAGGCGGACGAAAUGAAUGGGCCCAUUGGAGUUGCUCUAAGCACACUCACUUCUAGAGUAUAAGUACAUCUACAAUCAGACAUUCAAAUAUGACCCCUAAACGUUUAUAGACGCGCUCGAUCAAUGAUCGGACGACGGGCGUGCCCCGUCGGUCCGCACAGUCACACUCUUUUUUUUUUAUAUAUCCGGUCACUUGCAUGUGAUUGAUUAAGAGAAAGAGAAAGAAAGAACAUAAUGAAUAAAGAAAAGGAAAAUAUGAUCCGGAAUGGGGUCGCGUCCUAUGUGACGGACUGGCCGGACGCGUCCCAACGCGUCCGCAAGCCCUCGUAUCCUCUCCAUAUUUGAGAUGAAUAUGAAGGUUCGUGGACAACCUGGACAUAUAGGAACGAAAUGAAGGGUCCGGUUGUGUCUUUUUUUUCUUUCCUUCUUUUGUCCGCUCAUUGACCAGACACAUCCGUACACGUAUGAGGGAUCAUUUGAGGAGUACCGUUGUAGAUGCUUUAAGAGCACCUACAGCCAGAACUUGCAAAUUCGGCUCCUCAGUCGCUCGUGGAAACGACAAGUCAGUGACCGGGCGUGUCCGUUUUAAAUCUUUACUUUUUCAUCCACACAACUGCACUAUUCAUAGUUUUCCUUGUAAGUCCGGUCACCUGCACAUGACUGAUAAAUAAGAAAAGAGAGAAAGAAAAAAUGAAUAAAGGAACAGAAAAGGUGGUCCGAGAUGGGGUCGUGCCCUACGUGCUGAACUGACCGGACGUGUCUGGACGCAUCAGCAAGCUUUUACAUCGUCCUCAUAUUUGAGAUGAAUAUGAAAGGUGUUUGUGAGUUUCAACACUUAAGAUGGAUAUCAGGGGUCCGACUGUGUUAACUUUUUAUGAUCGGUCAAUGACCAAACGAGCUGCCCAAAUGUUUAAGACGAGUUUAAAAGGUCCUGCUCUAGAUGCUCUAAAGAGGACAUGAAUCUUAAUCCAACAAAUACCGAUUACUACAACAGGCAAAUGCACUAUCUAGCUGCAGGUUUACAGAAUGAUACAUUAGCUAGCUAUAUAGGCUAUCUAGACAAAACGAAGUUGAAACUUUCAAUCUCGCGCAUUCUCCUUUUCAGUAGUACUCCCUCCACUCCUUUUUACUUCGCGUAUUAGAUUUCUGUCAAGUUAAACUUUGCAAAGUUUAAUCAAAUUUAUAUUAAAAAAUAUCAGUAUCUACAAUAUCAAAUAUAUACAUUAUGAAACUGUAUUUUUUAAAGAAUCUAACAACAUUAAUUUGCCAUGGUGAAUGUUGAUAAUUUUUUCUAUAAGAUUGGUCAAAAUAGAGAUACUUUGACUUUGGACAAAACUUAUAUGCAGACUAAAAGGGAUCGAAGGGAGUACUCCAAAAAGGAAUUACUAGCAUAUAGCUAAUCAUCUAGCAAGAUUAAGGAAGUGCUCUAGCCAAUCAGAUAGGGAACCUAAUCUAGCUAGCUAUUUCUGGAUGCCGAACACACUAUGGAGAUGUCAGCUUGGGGCUUUUCCUUUUUUUCCAGCUGAACCUUUUCUCCCUCAGCAUCUUGCUUUCAGUUUCUCAGGAUUGGCCUACCCCCUACACUUUCCCGGCUUAUACGGAACACUAAUCAUCUACCAGCAACGUUCUCUUGUAGCCCCAACUCAGUCAUGUCGCCAUUUCCGAAAGCACUGUCUCCCACUUCAACUCCCGCCGUCUCAGUGCUGCAGAUCUAUACAGUGUGAUGGAAAUCUGAAGCUGUGAUGACUGUGAGCGAUAUAUUUUUGCUGUUCAUGAUGCAACCAGCAGUGCCUAUCAAUAGUGCAAAGUAUAAUCUUCACUUUCUUCCCUGUGUAAAAGCGUGAUCGAUUGAGAUUUGAAGGGCACGCAUCGCACCCGACCAAACGGCGUCUGUGAGGUUCUGUUGCAAAUGGUCCUGCAUAUAGAAAAGAGAAACCCAACCACGGGUGCAAUUCCGGCAGGGCCACAUGGCAUUUCUGAAACCAUCUUUUGCUAAUCUGGCAACGAUGGGACGUGUCUUUGGCUCAGACCCGGACAGGUAGCAGGUUUGCUUUGCAUGAUCUGGUAAGCCAAUAAUCGCUCUGUCAAAAAUGAGAACAAAAAGGUAUAUAUGACUUUUCCUAAAAAAAGCAAUGUAUAUGACUAGAUGCAACAAUGUCUACAUCCACAUUAGUUAAUCCAAGAUGCAUGUAGAUGCAGCCGUUAUUGGUCAGUGCUAUUAUUUAGCUUUUCUUUACCAGGUUUGUGCUAAUCUUUUUUUCUUUAGCAGGUCUGUGUUAAUCUUUUUUUAGGUGCUCAGUGCUACUUUUUCUAUGAACCUGCAACUUACACUGGCCGUAAAAAAAAACUUACAGCUAAUUUUUCAUGAAAAGAAAUACAAAUUCUUUUUAUAUUUUCCUUUCAUUUUUAUUGUAUCUCUAUAUUUAUAUUUAUUCAUGUCUUUUUUCCUUUUGUAUUUUAAUUAAUAAAUAUUUGUUUUUAUGCAUGAAAUAUUUUUAAAAUAUGUUCUAAUUUACUAAUAACAAAACAUGAAUAUUUUAUGAUAAGAAUUUUUCAACACUCGAUGAGUACAUUUUGAAUACUUGGUAAACAUUUUGCAAAUUUGCAAGGAAUUUUUUUCAACACAGGACUGACAUUGCUUAAAAUACAUAAUGGACAUUUCACAAUACACGAUAAUUUAUUCAAGAAAAACUUUAGCACAUUUUUUUCUCAUUUCCAAAAAUAUCCAUGCCAUUUCAUAUGCUCGCACUUUUCAACAAGUGGUCAUGUAAUUUUAAAAUAUCACACAUAUUAAGAAAAUAUGCAUGUUAAUGAAAAUUAAUAUAAACACACAUGAAAAAUGUUCAGGUAACUGAAAACAUAAUUAGAUUUCAAAACAUAAGCAUGUACCAUGGAAACACAAAAAUAGGAGUUUAAAACCGGAGCAAACCCCCAAAAUUGUGAAAACAAGCACUAGAAAACAACACUUGAUAAUUUACAAACAUAGAAACGGAUAAACAAAAUUCGCUAGACACUCAACUAGAUGUGAAGUAAAUAUAUGACAAGGUAAGCAAUGGCAACAAGCUGCCUAGAGAACACAAACAUAGAGUAAAGCAGGGUGGAACAUAUUAAUCACAAUUUGGAGUUGAGAAUUUAUCCUGAAGUUCAUACUCUCAUGGAAUGGUUAUUUGAGUUGGAUGGAUGUGAGAGCCAAGGCCUCCUGGACGCAGCGUAGGUUCACCCUCUUCUCCUUCCGCCCAUCGAAGGAAGUAUCUCAAUCACUAGUGGUUGAUCUUGAAGUGACCACUAACAUUUAUGGUUUCUUUGAUCUACAGGAUUUUAAAAACACAUAAAUAGGAAAAGUAUAGGAUUGAAGUGGCAUUUCCAUUUGAACCCUAAGGAUUAUCAAGGAGUGUUUGAUGUCACAGAGAAACAAAGAAAUUGUCAAAAGAGGUUGAAGUUGAUACUGGCUUUUCUAUGAAAUACAGUAUAAAAGAUUUCAUGGAAAAAUUUCCUAUGGGGUACAACCCUAUGAAUCAAAGGACCAAUGUAGGAAAAAUUCCUAACAAUUACAAUCCUUAAAAAAUACUAUGAAAUUCCUUUGAAUCAAAGGAUUCCUUAUAAUUUUCACCGGAGCAUACCAUAAUAGGGAAGCUUCACGAUAUCGUUCAAACUGACUAAGGUUAGAUCAUCUACAACCACACUUGGCAAAUCCACCCCCUAUACGUCCAUGGACGCGCCUGGGCAGGUCCACCGGUGCAUCGAGGUGGCUCCUUAUAUCUCGUGCCCCGCAUCCACAUAUCUUAAAUUUGGACUCUCAAAUACAUGGAAAUCCAUGCACAUGUAUCAUACACGCCAAUGUAGCACGAAAAUAAAAAAAUGAUUGAUAGUAAAAAUACUUGAUUCUUACAAUUUUUUUAUUUAAAGUGCACAACUAAAUCAUCAGCUCUUUAGUUUCCAUUAUGGUCACAUAUGCUCCAUAAUAACAUUGAGUAGUUGUGCAUGCACCUGAUGAUGUCAAAGAUUUUGAUGUAUUUGCAGAAAGUUUAUAAGUUGGUUUGCAUCUUGAUCUUCAAGGAUUUAAACUUGUUCUCCAGUCGCUUCAAUAGUAUUGGUUUGGGCAACACCAUCACCCUCAUCCUAGACAAUCAUGUUGUGAAAAAUAACACAACAUGUUAUCACGUGCCACAAAGUUUCUCAUUCCCACAUCAGUGCAGCUCCACGAACAACUCCGAGUGAGUUUGAAGCACUCUGAAUGCCCUCUCCAGGUUCUUCCUAGGUGUUUCAUGUAUUUUUGCAAAGUGGCUUUGUUUGCCACCGUAUGGUUUUGAUAUGGUCUUCAAAAACGUCGCUCGCUGAGGAUAGAUGCCAUCGACAAGAUAGUAUUCGAUGUUGUAGUCAUGGUUGUUGACAUUAUAGUUGUACGGUGGCGAUUCUCCAUUACAAAUCCUCCGGAACACCGGAGACUCUUGAAGCACGUUGAUGUUGUUGUGAGAAUGCGAGAUUUCACACAAAGCAUGCCAAAUUUACAAGUCAUGUGAUACUACUGCUUCCAGUAUGAUGGUGGUCUCUUUGGUGUGACCAUGAUACAUUUCUCCCAAACCUUUAGCGCACUUCUUCCAUUGCGAAUGCAUACAAUCAAUUGAUUAGAGCAAUCCUCAAAACCCUAUGGCCUCUCCAAUAGUCAACAACUUUUCUGUGUUUUGCACAUUUGGUUCUCUAAGAUACUCUCCUUCAAAUACUUGCAAAAUGGCAAGUGCAAACUUGACAGUUGUCUUUAGGCAUGUGCUCUCCUCCACUAAGACCAUCUCACCAACAGCAUCUACGGCAAUACCAAGUGCAAGCAUCCUCAAAACAAGUGUCCAUUUAUGCUUAACAGAGAAAAAAAGUUGGUCACAUCAAUCCCCUUUGAGCUUGAAAUAGUCAUCGUAAGCCUCCAUUCCCUCCACAAUCCCAAAUACAAUGAUUUUUGCAUGUGAAAACGGUGACGUGCCAUGGAUCAUCCGGAGAAGUUUGGUCUGGAGCAAAGUAGUCAUUCAACAAUAGCCAUGCUCUGAAGACCCUAUCCCGAUUGAUCACUCUCCUUCUUUUGAUUGAGCCCUUCAAGGUGAGAAUAUGCUCCACUUGCCGGUCCAUUUCCACCUGCAUGCUCAUGUCCACUUCUCGUUCAAAUCUGACGAAUCAAAGAACUCAUCUUGAAUCCUUUGAUCAAGCUCGGUUGAUCUAUACUCCUCGUCCGAUGAAUCAUCAAAAUUCAUCGUUUCCCCUAAAAAUCGCAAGAAAUCGGGUGAGACAAUAUGUCGAAUAACAUAGAAUGCAAGGGGCAUCCCGAGAGUUGCUUGAUGUACCAUGGUGACGUACGGACCGGCGACGACGUCUGUGGCUGCGAGGACGGGAGAGAGGAGUGUUGUGCCGAAGCUGUCGACAUAGAGGCUCGAAACGACCACGAAGGGGGCGCGACGGCGGGCAUCAUGGAGGAAGAAGAAGAGAAGAUGGCAAAUGGGUGGAGGAGGUAGACUUGGUGCAAUUUGUGGUAGGUUAGGCCUGUCAGGCGGACCCACCUGGACACCUUCAUAUAUGCCCUAGAUUUGGGCCGGAUAUGCAGGGUGUCGGUCAGUUCGGGUGUUUGAGGACCGUUUGAGACGUGUGUCUAGAUCGCACUCUUAUGACCUAUAAGUCAUCGGACGGUCCGUCCGAGCAUUGAAGACAUGUUUGGGACGUUCAGGUGUAGAUGUUGUUACACUAAGUCGUCUUUUCUGUGUCCCGUGUGCGUCCGAAACAUUAUGGGGAUGCCCCGCAAAACCAAAAAAAAGUAAGGCCAACUUCAACGCAUGAUCCGAAACGGACGAACAUCUGAAUUUUUCCCAUUAGGAUAUGAGAAUGGGGCAGCGUCCGAUCGUUUUACUGGAUGCGUCGAUCAUGUGCCCAACACGUAGCUGCAUCUUGUUCGGCUGCAUGCAAAACGAUCCAAGCAAAGAUUACACCAUGCCAACGGCAAUAGGUUACGCCGGCAACAAAGAUAGCGACCGGCAUACUAGCGAGCCUUCAAAAUGAACAUGUAUUUUCACGCUGGCAACAAAAGACAGCAAUCGCAGCUUUCUUCUUUGCCGCAAUGGUCUGUCGUGCUCUCCUCUUGGCAGAUUCACGAUCGAGGUGCAAUUGAUCCUCCGACUUGAGCUCCGACCGCGGGUUCUUCGGGCCCUUCUUCUUCGUCGGGGCAUGCGGUGGCGGUCGGGUCGUCGAGUUUUUUCGGGGCCAUGGAGGAGGGAGGGGAAGCGCAUGAUGGUUUUGGAGAAAGAAAGGAAAAUGAGGGUGUUAUGUCCUCGACGAACGGGUCAGGGAAGGAUAAGGGCACAUCCAUCCGUGUGAUGUCCGUUUUGACACAAAUACGGUACAAAUUCAGGCUGGUAAUGAAUAAAAAUGACAGAAAACAGAUAUUUACACGUUUGCUCUCAUAGGUUGAACAACGUUUUACUUUUUUUUACCUCUAAACAAAGCUAGGUGGUCGGAUCAUUUGGGUCGCGCGUUGCCCUAACUACUGCGUCCCGUGUGUGUUAAAAAAGGAUGCGCCUCGUACCACUUGCUGUGUCCUUCACUUGGGGAUAUGCCGGGCAACUUUUUUGUUCUUUCCAAAGGGGUUUUUCACUGUUUUGACCUUCUCGGGUUAAGUUAAUCACGCAACGUACUCGUUUCGAAAGAAUUUCACGUUUUGACCCUUUUGAAACGCCGUAGAUCGUGGCGUUGCCGUCCUACAUACAAACGUCACUCUAAUGUGGCGUUCCUGGACAUGCACAAAACGCCUGUCUAUUGUGACGUUUCUGGCCGUGUGAAACGCCAGCCGUUGUGGCGUUGCAGGCCUGACAUGAAACUCCACGCACCCUGGCGUUUCUUACCUUUAUAAUUUGCCAGCCCGACCCCGUCGGCCACCAACCUCCUUUCUCCUCUCUCUCGUUCGUUUCUUUGGCGAAAAAGAGAGUCUCGGCCUCCAGAUCCCCCCCCCUUCGAUCUCCCUCCUCCCUCAACCAUUUUGUUGGUUCUUUGGGGCAAAUCGAAGAGGCCGGUAAGCUCCUCCAAUCCCUCCAAUUAGUUUUUGCAAUGAUUUUGUAUUUGUGUAGAUUUUUUUUUUGCACUAGGUGUAACGUAUGUUUUGAAGUAAAAACUAUUUUGUGAUGGUUAAUAGGUGUAGUUUAUGGUGGUUCUAGGUCUAGUUUGUGGUGGAUGUAGGUAUAACCUAGUUGUACUUCAUAUUAUUGAUAUUAGAUGAAUGCCUAGGUUUAGUUCAUAUUAGUGGCAUUCGGUGAAUGUCUAGAUUUAGUUCAUAUUAGUGGCACUAGGUGAAUGCCUAGAUUUAGUUCAUAUUAGUGGUAGUAGGUGAAUGCAUAGCUUUUUUGGCACACUAGUUUAAUGCCUAGAUUUAGUUCACACUAGUUUAAUGCCUAAAAUAAUUUUGUUCAUAUUAUGUAGGAUGUUUCAGCCGAAUAAAUAUCCGGGACUUGAUGAGUUCUACGAGCAGAAGCAUCGUGCGGUGCUGGUUGAAAGAGGAGAGGUAAUUAUGAUGGUCUUGAUGAUUAUUUUUCUAUAUUCCAUGAUUUUCAUAUUGUGACAAAUUAUGUGUUUGAUGAUUUAGGUUCCUCCAGUACUUCGUUUGAGGGGGCACAACCCGAAUGAAUCUCUGCUAUAUGACCCUCGGUACGAGCCCUAUUUUAGAAGAAUGGAUCUUCUUCAGUUUGUGCUCAACUUUAAAGGCACACCACCAUGGUUGAACUCCACAACCCUUACCGCCCUUACGGACCGUUGGAGGCCGGAGACGCACUCUUUUCACCUUCCUCUUGGUGAGAUGACAAUAACUCUGGAGGAUAUUGGUAUGAUCACCGGGUUUCCUAUCGAGGGCAGGGCUCUUACAGGGAAGGUUAGGUCCGAUGGAUGGCGACAACGGGUUGCAGCAUUGGUUGGUGUUGAACCCGAGCCAUGGACUAAUGAAGCCCGGAAGGAUCCUAGGCCAUCCGGUGUGUUGUUCUCUUGGAUACAGAGAUAUUUUCGCAAGUGCCCAAGGGAUGCUAGUCCGCUUGUUGUGGAGAGGUUUGCCAGGGCUUACCUCUGGAAUCUUUUGACCCAAGUGGUGUUUCCGGAUAGCACGUGGGACACAGCCUCGUGGAUGUUUUUGGAUCCUCUCCGUGACUGGGAUGUCAAGUGGAGUUGGGGUUCGACGGCACUAGCCUUCUUGUACCAUCAGGUACGGUUUAAUAUCAUGCAUUUUUUUAUUCAAUUGGUAUAUGAUGCAUUUUCAUUAUAUUAAAUGGGUAUAUGAUGCAUUUUCAUUUUAUUCAAUUUGUAGUUGGAUGGAGCAUGUAUGAGGAGCAAGCCAACGUCCACUCUUGGAGGUUUUGUUUGGGCCCUACAGGUUUGGAUGUGGGAGCGUAUGCAUGUUGGUCGUAACCUUAGCCUUCCUCCGGAAGAACCUUGGAUGUACCCGUUUGACGGAGAUGAGGAGCGGUACCCCACUAUCGCACACACAUGGGCUAAUGUCCAAUGGACGAGUAUCGCAGCUAUGGGGCGGUAUAAGGCAUACAUAAGCGAGCUAGACAUGCUGACUUAUGAACAGGUAAAUGCUUUCGAAAAUUUGUCUGGAAAUUUUUCAUGGAUGGUCGAGUGACUUGUCGUUAUGUACGUGAAUUGGAGGCCGUACACGGUACUUAGGCAGUUUCCUCUGAGCAACAUGUGCCUUCGUGACCAGCAUCUUUGGCGUGUGCGGUGCCCCAUGAUAUGCUUCUUUGCGGUGGAGUGACAUCUUCCUCAUCGUGUUUCAAAGCAGUUCGGGGUACAACAACGCACCCCGCCGGAUUACGUCGAGACAAGUGUGCAGCUACAUAAGUGAGUAUAUUGUAUCACGUGUUUAUCCUGUUGAUCAAUGUCUAACACGAAAAAAUGGAAGUGAUAUAGUAUUGAACUAUUGCUUUGUAGGACAAACCGGCAAACCAGUAAGAGUGUCAUCAAUUGGGAGGAGCACCACAUGAUUUGGGUGGACAUGUGGAAUGCUCAGAGACAUGCUCGAGUUGAAAAUGAUCAAACACCCGACACUGACGAGGCGGCAUAUUUAAGGCAUUUGGAGUGGAUGCAUACAGAGUAUAGAGUUAUCCAUAAGGCAGCCUGGACUCGUUCCGAUUGCUUGGACUUACUGCCGAGUGGGGCUGCUGAUGCUACAUUCAACAAUUCUAUUAGGGAGACAGUUGGAGCGCAUCUUGACUAUGGCCCUCUUCAUGACCGAGUGGUACAUUUAUUCUUGAAAAUAUGAACAAGUGUCAUUUAUUCGUGGGUUGUAUGUCACAUAUGUUUUAUCCAGGGCACGAAGCCAUGGAGAUGUAUCAACGAUAGUAACGUGGCCCUUGGUCGUGCCCCAUCUUCACAAACGGACGGGUUUGUUAGAACUACUUUGCAGGUUAGAUGCCUUGUUAACCUUUGUUUUAGUUGUCGUAGCUUUCUUAGCAUAUUAACAUGUCAUUAUCUUUUCCUUGCGCAGAAGGUCGCCAAUCGGUGUCGCACACUAGCGGCUUUACUUUCUUGCCACGGUGUUUCGUCCACCGAUGUGAGGGCACGUGCGCAGUACACGAUGGAUGUGCAGUCUUCCGCUCGUCUGUCUGCCAGCCGUCCACGGGCCUCUUCCGCUCGUCCGUCUUCGAGUCGAGCACGUGCUUACUCUAGCCGAGCACAUGUUGAGGAGUUUGAAGAAGAAGAAGAGGAGUCAGACAACGAGGCCGCGGAUCCGGACUUCAUCGAGUUUGGGGCUUCGUAGAUGGAAGAUGCUCCGCAGCCAAGUCAACCCACUCAGGCGACGGAAGAAACACGUCGAGCUAGCUCAAGGAACGUCCGACGUCCUGGCUGGCAGAAUACUCCAGAGGGCUACGUCCUGGCUGAAGUUUGAACUAUCAACUUGUCUUGUCAUGCUAACUUGGGUUAUGAAGUUUUAAGUAUCAACUUGUCAUGUCAUUCUAACUUGGGUUUUAUAGUUUGCAGUUCAAAGUAUUCAUAGAAAUUUUGGUACUGGAGUAAGGAAACGCCACACGGGCUGGCGUUUCUUGUACAUCCUGCAACGCCAACAGGCCUGGCGUUUCUUGUAGGGCUGCAACGCUGACGAGGACAUGAUAUUUGCAGUACUGGACUAAGGAAACGCCGCAGAGACUGGCGUUUCUUGUAGAGCGUGCAACGCCAUCAGGCCUGGCGUUUCUUGUAGGGCUGCAACGCUGACGAGGACAUGAUAUUUGUGGUACUGGACUAAGGAAACGCCGUAGAGACUGGCGUUUCUUGUAGAGCUUGAAAUGCCAAUGAGGGUGGCGUUUCACAUACAUGAUCUUGCCCAUUAAGCAUUUUCACACAGACAUCAUACAUACCACAUUUAGCACAUGCACAUAGACAACAUACAGAUGACAUAUGCAACUAAGAACAAAGAAUACACACAUCAUAUAAAGAAUACACACAACAUAGCCCAUAUAAAGUACAAACAUCACAAAGAGUUCCCAUUAAAGUUCACGUCGAAAGAUGCAUAAUAGGUUCUUAAAGUACAUAAUAGUGGAUUUCAUAGUCAGAUAGCACGCAAGCGAACAAGGUUCAACACAUAGGGUUCAAACAUGAAAGCGCGCAUGAAAAUAUAAGCCUCCGGCUCUAUUGUGUCGAGCAAGGCCCCUUCCCCUUUUUCUUCUUCCUCUCUUCAUCCUCUUCGUCUUCCCUUUUGCGCAUUUUUGAAGCCUCUUCCAGCACCCUCUCCAUGAAGAGUUCAUUCUCCCGCUCUCUCUUUGUUGCACCCUCUGCCAUAGCAAUCUUAAAUUUAGCUGCCCAUUCAUUGUGACGUUGCUCCAUCACCUUCUUGUGAUGCUCCUUCAUCUUUUUCUCAUAAGCACGUUGCUCAAGAAACAUUUUGAGGUCCUUCUUCCUCCUUGCUUCAUUCUCCUUGUACUCGCGCUCCCUCUCCAUCUUCUUUGCUUCGGCUGCGUCCUGCUCUCUCAACUUCUUUGCAGCCCUCUCCAUCAACCGCUGCUCCUCACUGGUUGCAUCCUUCUCCGCCCCCACUCCAUUUUCUCCUUGUUGGGUUGAGACGCCGCCAUACCUACAUAAAAACAUCAAGGCUCAUAGUUAAUACAAUAACAUACAAGUAGCAUGAAAAACAACAUUAUAGAUAAACUUACGGAAAUGGUCCUCGUAGGUAACCAAACAUUCCUCUACCACCACCCGAACGUCUACCCAUAAAACCACCACGUCUACAACCACCGCCGGAUCCUCGUCCCAUAGCAAGGCCACCACGUCUACCACCGCUGGAUCCUCGUCCCACAGAAAGGCCACCACUUGAACCACCACGUCUACCACCGACGGAUCCUCGUCCCAUAGCAAUGCCACCACUUGAACCACCACGUCUACCACCGCCGGAUCCUCGGCCCACAGGAAGGCCACCACUUGAACCACCACGUAUACCACCGUCGGAUACUCGUCCCAUAGCAAUGCCACCACUUGAACCACCACGUCUACCACCGCCAGCACUUGAACCACCUCUGCCCCCCCCCCCACACAUCACUAGUAGAUGCGUUGUUUCUUUUGCAAGUCCUCUUAUUAUGUGUCGUUUAAUUGCAAUCACCGCAUUGGUUCCUAUCACAUGGCUCCAUGAAAUGUCCACUACCAAACUCUCUGGUGCUCAUCAGGUCAUCCAUAUCAUUCAUGUAUCGUUUUGUUCUCCUUCUACCCUUCGGUUGAACCAUCAUCUCUGGAUCCGGCCUAAUAUUAGGGCAGUGAUACUCUGGCCACUGUGAUGGGUCAAUAAAAAGGUGGAAUCUCCACACCCAUGUUAACUGAUGAGUUUGCAAGUUGAAUUCAUGCAACCUCACAACUACACCAUCAGAGAAGGGCAAAUUCCUCAUGCGACAUGCCAUCAUCAUGUGCGAGCAUGUCCAGUGGUACUUACUAGGCCGCUCACAAGUGCAAUGCCGCGUCCGAAGGGAAACCAUAAAUGAGCGACCACCAUAUGAUUGCACAUCUCUCGUUGAACCGCCUGGCUCAUCCACUUGGUAUUUCAUUUCAGUGUUAUCGAAACAAGUGGCUCGCUCCAUGGCUGACUUCUCCUUUUGAAACUCUAGCCACUAGGCAACCUUCUUCGGAUAGAUCUCAUUGGGAGGUUUCUCACUCUCACUAAUCAACUUGUCAAAUUCUUCGAAGUGCUUCAGAAAAUACUCAUUUAGCUUGUAACCUCCGGCUCUAUUGUUCAAUUGUUUCGUGAACGACUCAAUGGAGAAGGCCACACGUGCGGAGUUAAGAUCCUUCGCCAGAUCUUUGUUCUUACAAGCCCAGUAAAAGUUUGCAACAAAGUGCCUCAUGCACCAUCGAUGGUGAAGCCUCGCAAGCCCUGGAAUGUGAACAUUGUGACGCCCUCGGCUUAAUCGUACGCUAACCAAACACGCAAUUGCGUACGAUCAAACCCAAGGACUCACGGGAGGAUAUCACAACACAACACUAGACACAAAUAAAAUAACAUCAGCUUCAUAUUACAAGCCAGGGGCCUCGAGGGCUAGAAUACGAAAGCUCGAUAAGCACACGAGUCAGCGGAAGCAACAAAUAUCUGAGUACAGACAUAAAACAUGGGGUGCCUUAGAGAAGGCUAGCACAAAAGAUACAACGAUCGAACGAGGCGAGGCCUCCUGCCUGGGAACCUCCUAACUACUCCUGAUCAUCAGCGGCCUCCACGUAGUAGUAGGCACCGUCGGGGUAGCAGUCGUCGAUGGCGGGGACCUCCAUCUCCUGGGCUUCAUCAUCUGGUCGCAGCAAACGGAUCAAGGGGACAAGGGGGGAGCAAAGCAACGGUGAGUACUCAUCCAAAGUACUCGCAAGUCUUACAUCAGAACUAUUCUAAUUAUGCAUCAGUAUCAAAGAAGGGGGGGGUUAUAUGUGGACUGACUGCAGCAAUGCGAGAAUAGAGAGAGAAGGCCUAGUCCUAUCGAAGACUAGCAUCUUCAGGGUCUUGCAGCAAUAGACGAGAGUAGAACAGAGGUAAACAUUAAUAGUCAUAUUGUUGCAGCAAAAUUAAAGUGAGGUCACGCCUAAAGAUCCUCCCUCGACUCCCUGCGAGGAAGCAAUCCCGAGGCAAACUAAAUCCAGUUAAGUAACAAUUGUAGUUGUAUAAGAUCGGGGCACAACUCCAAGUCGUCCUGUAACCGUGGACACGGCUAUCCGAAUAGUUAAUUUUCAUCCCUGCAGGGGUGCACCACAUGUCCCGUCACGCUCGAUAACACUCUGGCCGGACAUACUUUUCUGGGUCCUGCCCGGCCUCGGAAUAUCGACACGUCGCAGCCCCAUUUAAGACUAAUCAGAGAGGCCAGCCCGCCGGUCUAUAUCCUAAGCACAAAGGGUUCAUGGGCCCAGUUCCCCUUCACGCUCCUGCACGUGGCGUGGGCGGCCGACGUCAGUCCUAGCAUCCCUUAAUCACAAGCGCGAUGCAUCUCGGGACCACUCGGGCGCGCGCCGCUACACUGCUGGCAUCUGAAAAGCUUCGGCUGAUACCGCGACGCCGAGUACCCAUAAUUCUUCCCGCGUAGCCGGUUAGUGCGAAAAGGUCUCCGACCAACCCAGAUCAAAUACCCAAAUCCAUUAGCAUUUUAAUUAGGCCAGCAACACAGUCUCGCGGGAAUCCACCCGGCUUACAACUAAUCACCAAUGAUCCCAGUAACAUGGUCGAGUAACUGUGUGGUCGUAACAUCGGGGGGAAUCCGAGGUAUCACCCUCGUUGGAUUCCGAACGAUGUACCCGUCAAGGUGGGCUUAGAGGAAUCACCCUCGGGGGUCCCACACUCACGGGGUGGCACGACAGAGACGUCAUCGGGAAUGGUGAAAGAGGAAUCACCCUCGAUAACCACGACCGACUAGCUAUACUACAGAGAUAUCAUCAGGAGUACUUAGCGAGGUGUCACCCUCGGUACCCGACAGUAUCCCUGUAGCGUCGUACAACGAAGGGGGGUGCAUAUGCUGUGUCAGGUCUGGCUCGUCGAUCAGAGAUCGAGAAUUGAAAACAAGCGGGGCAACUGAGCUACGGGGUCAGAGGGGAUGACUGCUCCACCUAUACUAAGCAUAUUAAAGGUACAGGACUGAAAGUAGCAGUUCAUCAAAAACAGGCUAUGCAUCAGAUAUAGGAGCUAACUACAACAGUAGCAAAAUACUAAUGCAAGCAGUAGGAAGAAAGACAUAGGCGAUAUAGGAAUGAUCAAGGGGAGUUUGCUUGCCUUGCUGCUCUGCGGCAAAGGACUGAUCGGCAGGGUCGUAGAUGUACCCGGCAGCAGCGUCAGUCUCGGGGUCUACCGGUAAGAAGAGGGGGAAGAAACAAUAAAUAAUAGCACCGAUGCAACACAAAGCAUGACAUGGAAAUAUGCAGGCUAGACAUGAGCUAACGCAGCAACAUCCGUCAUAGACAGGUCGGAAGAAUAUCUGACGAUAUUUUCCGGGUCUCGGGCUACUACCGGUUAUACUGGAAAUGAUGGAAAAGUUCCAUGUUUGCUAUGCUAGGGACGCGUGACAGACGAACGGACCGUGUAUCCGGGUUCGUCUCGCUUUGCUGAUCAACUUUCAUGUUGAAAAUAUUUUGAUCUGACUUACGGAUUAUUUAAUAUUAAUUUUCAAAGUUUUAUUAAUUAUUUAAGAAUUAAAAACAGAUUUAAAAGGUUUAGUAAAAUCCUAUUACGACAUCAUCGCGAUGUCAUGCUGACAUCACAUUUGACUGGUCAACUGACCAGCGGGUCCCGAACGUCAUAGGCACAAGUUUUUAUUAAGAUUAAUUAUUUAUUAAUCAGAUUAAUUCAACGAGGGACCCACGUGUCAUACUCUCAUUAGGUUAAUUAAUUAUUUUAACUAAUAUAUCUAUUUAUUUAUUUAUUUUAAGAAAAACAUUAUUUUUAUAAUUUAUAUUAACUCUCGCGUGGGGCCUCCCUGUCAUAGACAGCGGGUGCAUUGGCCCCACCGGUAAGUGACCCUAGGCCAUUUACACAUUUUAAUCACAAUUAAAUAACCAUACAAAUGUCGUAUCUCUCCACAUGCCUAUAUACGCAAACACAUACAUAAUACGGGUAUCGAAUACAUAUAUACAUACAUACGGAAUACAACAUUUGAUUUUAUUUCUUUUCUCUCAAAAACUCUCAACACUCAUCUCUCUCUCUCUGUUAACAGAGACAGAGAACUCUCUCUAACUCAACCUAGAGGAACUAAAUACUCAAAUCCUCCUACCGGAGUCCACCGUCGACGGAUCGAGGCCCCGUUUGCCGGAACGGAACCGGGACGUCGAGGAGAACGACAAGGUGGGAGGAGCCCGAGGAGGGGCUCACCGACGGUGACGGGACGGCCCGGUGAAGCCGGAGUUUGCACGAAGGUGGCGGUGGAGAAGGCGUGGAGGCGGUGACGGUGACGGUGACGAUGGUGGUGACGUGCCGGCGAGGGGGAGCCGGUCGGAUCCGGCGAGAUGAUGACGUCUCCCCUGCCCGGUCCCUCCCGGACCGAGCGGGAGAUGGCCGACGGGGGCCGGGGCUGUUGGUAGGCCGGCGAGGUUGGAGGGGCGCCGGCCGAGGUGAGGGGGGUGCUCGCCGGCCGGGAGAGAGGAGGGGCUCGCCGGCCGGGAGAGGGAAGCCGCGAGGUGGGGGGGCCGCCGGGGGAAGGAAGGCCGCCGGCGGGAGGAGGAGGCUCGGUGGAGGGAGGAGGAGGCUCGGUGGGGAAGCUCGCCGGCGGGAGGCAGGGGAGGGCCCGCCGAGGGGUGAGGGGGAAGGCCGCCGGCGGGAAGGAUUUGGGAGGGAGGAGGCGAGGUGGAGUGAAGGGGGGCGACGGGAUGGGAUCUGGCUCGGUUCGUGGGGAGGAGAGGGUCGUGGGGGUGGGGGCUGUCUCUCGUGGGGUGGGAGGACCGAGAGAGAGAGGGAGUGUCGGUGGGGGGUGGGGCCCCCCACGAGGGGGGGUGGCUGGCGGCGGCGGUGGGAGUAGCGAGGGAGGGGCUCGCCUCUCGCUAGGGUUUGGCGAGAGGGGCGCGGGAGGUGGCCGGCUGGGCCUUGAGCCCAGUUGGGCCAGGGGGUUUGUUUACCUUUUUUUUUGAUAUGUUUUAUUUUGUUUUCGUUUGUUUUCCCUGUUUCCUUUUUUUCUUAUUAUUUCUUUCUUUCAAUUUUCUUUUCUUUCUCUUAUCAUUUUUUUUAUACUUUCCCUUUUUUUUACAUAUAUGUUCUUUCGAUAUUUGUCAUGAAUUUAUAAUACACUUUUCUUUUGUCCUCAAAUUUUGAACCCGGAUAGGCUUGAAUCAACGCGGGUCUGAGAUGGAAAUUCGGUGAUGUGGCAUCAUUAGCGGUUGAUCACUGUAGCUUAAUUACAAUCACUACUGUAGUAAAAGUCGAGGAUGUCACAAACAUCCACGGCCUUCAAUAUGCCUUGGUGCCGAUCGGAUAUGAUGCAUACCUCCCUAUUGGGAGGAAUCACCGUGCUUCUCACAAGUCUCAUGAACCAUUUCCAGUUGUCUUGGUUCUCCACUAACACCAAAGCAAAUGCUGUUGGAAUUGUGCCCUAGAGGCAAUAAUAAAUAUAGUUAUUAUUAUAAUUCAUGUAUCAAGAUAAUCGUUUAUUAUCCAUGCUAUAAUUGUAUUGAAUGAAGACUCAUUUACAUGUGUGGAUACAUAGACAAAACACCGUCCCUAGCAUGCCUCUAGUUGGCUAGCCAGUUGAUCGAUGAUAGUCAGUGUCUUCUGAUUAUGAACAAGGUGUUGUUGCUUGAUAACUGGAUCACGUCAUUAGGAGAAUCACGUGAUGGACUAGACCNNNNNNNNNNNNNNNNNNNNNNNNNNNNNNNNNNNNNNNNNNNNNNNNNNNNNNNNNNNNNNNNNNNNNNNNNNNNNNNNNNNNNNNNNNNNNNNNNNNNAGACCCAAACUAAUGAACGUAGCAUGUUGAUCGUGUCAUUUUGUUGCUACUGUUUUUCUGCGUGUCAAGUAUUUAUUCCUAUGACCAUGAGAUCAUAUAACUCGCUGGCACCGGAGGAAUACCUUGUGUGUAUCAAACGUCACAACGUAACUGGGUGACUAUAAAGAUGCUCUACAGGUCCGAAGGUGUUCGUUGAGUUAGUAUGGAUCAAGACUUGGAUUUGUCACUCCGUGUGACGGAGAGGUAUCUCGGGGCCCACUCGGAAAUACAACAUCACACACAAGCCUUGCAAGCAAUGUGACUUAGUGUAAGUCACGGGAUCUUGUAUUACGGAACAAGGAAAGAGACUUGCCGGUAAACGAGAUUGAAAUAAGUAUGCGGAUACCGACGAUCGAAUCUCGGGCAAGUAACAUACCGAAGGACAAAGGGAAUGACAUACGGGAUUAUAUGAAUCCUUGACACUGAGGUUCAACCGAUAAGAUCUUUGGAAAAUAUGUAGGAUCCAAUAUGGGCAUCCAGGUCCCGCUAUUGGAUAUUGACCGAGGAGUCUCUCGAGUCAUGUCUACAUAGUUCUCGAACCCGCAGGGUGUGCACACUUAAGGUUCGACGAUGUUUUAUGCGUAUUUGAGUUAUAUGGUUGGUUACCGAAUAUUGUUCGGAGUCCCGGAUGAGAACACGGACGUCAGGAGGGUUUUCGGAAUGGUCCGGAGACGAUGAUUGAUAUAUAGGAUGANNNNNNNNNNNNNNNNNNNNNNNNNNNNNNNNNNNNNNNNNNNNNNNNNNNNNNNNNNNNNNNNNNNNNNNNNNNNNNNNNNNNNNNNNNNNNNNNNNNNAUGAUCAUGUUGUAAUAGAAAUAUCGACUUGCACGUCGAUGGUACGGCAACCGGCAGGAGCCAUAGGGUUGUCUUUAUACUAACGUUUGUGCUUGCAGAUGCGUUUACUAUUUUGCUAGGAUGUAGCUUUAGUAGUAAUAGCAUGAGUAGCACGACAACCCCGAUGGCAACACGUUGAUGGAUGAUCAUGGUGUGGCGCCGGUGACAAGAAGAUCGUGCCGGUGCUUUGGUGAUGGAGAUCAAGAAGCACGUGAUGAUGGCCAUAUCAUGUCACUUAUGAAUUGCAUGUGAUGUUAAUCCUUUAUGCACCUUAUUUUGCUUAGAACGACGGUAGCAUUAUGAGGUGAUAUCUCACUAAAAUUUCAAGACGAAAUUGUGUUCUCCCCGACUGUGCACCGUUGCUACAGUUCGUCGUUUCGAGACACCAUGUGAUGAUCGGGUGUGAUAGACUCAACGUUCACAUACAAUGGGUGCAAAACAGUUGCGCACGCGGAACACUCGGGUUAAGCUUGACGAGCCUAGCAUGUGCAGACAUGGCCUCGGAACACAUGAUACCGAAAGGUCGAUCAUGAAUCAUAUAGUUGAUAUGAUUAGCAUAGGGAUGCUUACCAGUGAAACUAUACUCAACUCACGUGAUGAUCGGACUUGGGAUAGUGUAAGUGGAUCAUGAACCACUCAAAUGACUAGAGAGAUGUACUUUUUGAGUGGGAGUUUAGCAUAUAAUUUGAUUAAGUUGAACUCUAAUUAUCUUGAACAUAGUCUAAGUCCACUUUGAAUAUAUUUGUGUUGUAGAUCAUGGCUCACGCGACAGUCAUCCUGAUUUUUAAUACGUUCCUAGAGAAAGCUAAGUUGAAAGAUGAUGGAAGCAACUUUGUAGACUGGGCUCGUAAUCUUAAGCUAAUCUUACAAGCUGGGAAAAAGGAUUAUGUCCUUAAUGCUGCGCUAGGAGAUGAACCACCCGCUACGGCUGAUCAGGAUGUUAAGAACCCUUGGUUAGCACGUAAGGAGGACUACUCAAUAGUUCCAUGUGCAGUCUUGUAUGGCUUAGAACCGGGACUUCAACGUCGCUUUGAGCGUCAUGGAGCAUUUGAGAUGUUCCAGGAGUUGAAGUUUAUCUUUCAGAAGAACGCCCGGAUCGAGAGGUAUGAGACCUCCGAUAAAUUCUAUGCUUGCAAGAUGGAGGAAAACUCGUCUGUCAGUGAACAUGUGCUCAAAAUGUCUGGGUACUCAAACCGUCUAGCUGAGCUGGGGAUUGAACUCCCGCAAGAGGCUAUCACUGACAGAAUCCUUCAAUCACUGCCGCCAAGCUAUAAAGGCUUUGUGUUGAACUACAACAUGCAAGGGAUGAACAAGUCUCCCGGCGAGUUGUUUGCGAUGCUGAAAGUCGCAGAGUCUGAACUCCGUAAAGAGCAUCAAGUGUUGAUGGUGAAUAAGACCACUAGUUUCAAGAGAAACAGCAAAGGCAAGCAGGGAAAUUCGAAGAAGAGCGGCAAGCCUGUUGCCAAUCCGUCGAAGAAACCCAAAGCUGGACCUAAGCCUGAAACGGAGUGUUACUAUUGCAAGGGUAUGGGUCACUGGAAGCGCAAUUGCCUCAAGUAUCUGGCAGAUAAGAAGGCGGGGCAAAGAAAAAUCAGGUAUAUUUGAUAUACAUGUUAUUGAUGUGUACUUAACCGGCUCUCGUAGUAGUGCCUGGGUAUUCGAUACCGGUUCUGUUGCUCAUAUUUGCAACUCGAAACAGGAACUACGGAAUAGACGAAGGCUGGCGAAAGAUGAAGUGACGAUGCGCAUAGGAAAUGGUUCCAAGGUUGAUGCAAUCGCCGUCGGCACAGUGUCACUUCAACUACCGUCGGGAUUAGUGAUGAACUUAAAUCAUUGUUAUUUAGUGCCUGCGUUGAGCAUGAACAUUAUAUCUGGAUCUUGUUUAUUGCGAGACGGUUACUCUUUUAAGUCAGAGAAUAAUGGUUGUUCUAUUUCUAUGAGUAACAUCUUUUAUGGUCAUGCACCGAAUGUGAGAGGAUUGUUCAUAUUGAAUCUUGAUAGCGAUACGCAUAUACAUAACAUUGAGACAAGAGUUAGAGUAAACAAUGAUAGCGCCAUAUUUUUGUGGCACUCCCGCUUAGGUCAUAUUGGUGUAAAGCGCAUGAAGAAACUCCAUGCUGAUGGACUUUUGGAGUCACUUGACUUUGAUUCACUUGACAUGUGCGAACCAUGCCUCAUGGGCAAGAUGACUAAGACUCCGUUCUCCGGAACAAUGGAGCGUGCAAGUGACUUAUUGGAAAUCAUACAUACCGAUGUGUGUGGUCCGAUGAGCGUGGAGGCACGCGGCGGAUAUCGUUAUUUUCUCACCUUCACUGACGAUUUGAGUAGGUAUGGCUAUGUCUACUUGAUGAAGCACAAGUCUGAAACAUUUGAAAAGUUCAAGCAAUUUCAGAGUGAAGUGGAAAAUCAUCGUAACAAGAAGAUCAAGUUCCUACGGUCUGAUCGUGGGGGUGAAUAUCUGAGUUUCGAGUUUGGUGAUCACUUAAGAAAAUGUGGAAUUGUUUCACAGUUGACACCGCCUGGAACACCACAGCGUAAUGGUGUGUUCGAACGUCGUAGUCGUACUUUGUUAGAGAUGGUGCGAUCUAUGAUGUCUCUUACUGAUUUGCCGUUAUCAUUUUGGGGUUAUGCAUUAGAAACAGCUGCAUUCACUUUAAAUAGGGCACCAUCAAAAUCCGUUGAGACGACACCAUACGAACUGUGGUAUGGCAAAAAGCCAAAGUUGUCGUUUCUUAAAGUUUGGGGAUGUGAUGCUUAUGUCAAAAAGCUUCAGCCUGAAAAGCUGGAACCCAAAGCGGAAAAGUGCGUCUUCAUAGGUUACCCAAAAGAGACAGUUGGGUACACCUUCUAUCUCAAAUCCGAGGGCAAAGUGUUUGUUGCUAAGAACGUAACUUUUCUCGAGAAGGAGUUUCUCUCAAGAGAAUUGAGUGGGAGGAAGAUAGAACUUGACGAGGUUGUCGAACCUCUCAUCCCUCUGGAUGGUGGCGCAGGGCAAGGGGAAACCUCUGUAGUUGCGACGCCGGUUGGGGAGGAAGUUAAUGAUGAUGAUCAUGAAACUCCAGUUCAAGUUUCUGUUGAACCACGCGGGUCGACGAGAUCACGUGCUGCUCCAGAGUGGUACGGUAAUCCCGUCUUAUCAAUCAUGUUGUUAGACAACAAUGAACAUGCAAAUUAUGAAGAAGCAAUGGUGGGCCCAGAUUCCAACAAAUGGCUAGAAGCCAUGAAGUCCGAGAUAGGAUCCAUGUAUGAGAACAAAGUGUGGACUUUGGAGAUACUACCUGAGGGCCGCAAGGCUAUUCAGAACAAAUGGAUCUUUAAGAAGAAGACGGACGCUGACGGCAAUGUGACCGUUUAUAAAGCUCGACUUGUGGCAAAGGGUUUUUCACAAGUUCCAUGAGUUGACUACGAUGAGACUUUCUCACCCGUAGCGAUGCUUAAGUCCGUCAGAAUCAUGUUAGCAAUAGCUGCAUUUUUCGAUUAUGAAAUCUGGCAGAUGGAUGUCAAAACGGCGUUCCUUAACGGUUUCCUUAAGGAAGAGUUGUAUAUGAUGCAACCCGAAGGUUUUGUCGAUCCUAAGAAUGCUAACAAGGUGUGCAAGCUCUAGCGAUCCAUUUAUGGACUGGUGCAAGCAUCUCGGAGUUGGAACAAACGCUUUGAUGAGGUGAUCAAUGCAUUUGGGUUUAUACAAGUGGUUGGAGAAUCUUGUAUUUACAAGAAAGUGAGUGGGAGCUCUGUGGCAUUUCUAAUAUUAUAUGUGGAUGACAUAUUACUGAUUGGAAACAACGUAGAGCUUUUGGAGAGCAUAAAAGGUUACUUGAAUAAAAGUUUCUCUAUGAAGGACCUAGGAGAAGCUGCUUACAUUCUAGGCAUUAAGAUCUAUAGGGAUAGAUCAAAACGCCUGAUAGGACUUUCACAAAGCACAUACCUUGAUAAAGUUUUGAAGAGGUUCAAAAUGGAACAGUCCAAGAAAGGGUUCUUGCCAGUUUUACAAGGUACGAGAUUGAGUAAGACUCAGUGCCCAGCAACUGAUGAAGAUAGAGAGCAUAUGCGCUCCUUCCCCUAUGCUUCAGCCAUAGGUUCUAUCAUGUAUGCAAUGCUGUGCACUAGACCGGAUGUUAGCCUGGCCAUAAGUAUGGCAGGUAGGUUCCAAAGUAAUCCAGGAGUGGAUCACUGGACAGUGGUCAAGAAUAUCCUGAAGUACCUGAAAAGGACUAAGGAGAUGUUUCUCGUAUAUGGAGGUGACGAAGAGCUCGCCGUAAAAGGUUACGUCGAUGCAAGCUUUGACACAGAUCCGGACGACUCUAAGUCGGAAACCGGAUACGUAUUUAUUCUUAAUGGGGGUGCAGUAAGCUGGUGCAGUUCCAAGCAAAGCGUCGUAGCAGAUUCUACAUGUGAAGCGGAGUACAUGGCUGCCUCGGAGGCGGCUAAGGAGGGUGUCUGGAUGAAGCAGUUCAUGACGGAGCUUGGAGUGGUGCCAAGCGCACUGAAUCCAAUAACCUUGUUCUGUGACAACACGGGUGCCAUUGCCUUAGCAAAGGAACCACGGUUUCACAAGAAGAUCAGACACAUCAAACGACGCUUCAACCUCAUCCGCGACUACGUCGAGGAAGAUGACGUAAAUAUAUGCAAAGUGCACACGGAUCUGAAUGUAGCAGACCCGCUGACUAAACCUCUUCCACGGCCAAAACAUGAUCGACACCAGAACUGUAUGGGUGUUAGAUUUAUUACAAUGUAAUUCACAUGGUGAUGUGAGGGCUAGAUUAUUGACUCUAGUGCAAGUGGGAGACUGUUGGAAUUGUGCCCUAGAGGCAAUAAUAAAUAUAGUUAUUAUUAUAAUUCCUGUAUCAAGAUAAUCGUUUAUUAUCCAUGCUAUAAUUGUAUUGAAUGAAGACUCAUUUACAUGUGUGCAUACAUAGACAAAACACCGUCCCUAGCAUGCCUCUAGUUGGCUAGCCAGUUGAUCGAUGAUAGUCAGUGUCUUCUGAUUAUGAACAAGGUGUUGUUGCUUGAUAACUGGAUCACGUCAUUAGGAGAAUCACGUGAUGGACUAGACCCAAACUAAUAGACGUAGCAUGUUGAUCGUGUCAUUUUGUUGCUACUGUUUUCUGCGUGUCAAGUAUUUGUUCCUAUGACCAUGAGAUCAUAUAACUCACUGACACCGGAGGAAUGCUUUGUGUGUAUCAAACGUCGCAACGUACCUGGGUGACUAUAAAGGUGCUCUACAGGUAUCUCCGAAGGUGUUAGUUGAGUUAGUAUGGAUCAAGACUGGGAUUUGUCACUCCGUGUGACGGAGAGGUAUCUCGGGGCCCACUCGGUAAUACAACAUCACACACAAGCCUUGCAAGCAAUGUAACUUAGUGUAAGUUGCGGUAUCUUGUAUUACGGAACGAGUAAAGAGACUUGCCGGUAAACGAGAUCUAAAUAGGUAUGCGGAUACUGACGAUCGAAUCUCGAGCAAGUAACAUACCGAAGGACAAAGGGAAUGAUAUACGGGAUUAUAUGAAUCCUUGACACUGAGGUUCAAACGAUAAGAUCUUCGUAGAAUAUGUGGGAUCCAAUAUGGGCAUCCAGGUCCUGCUAUUGGAUAUUGACCGAGGAGUCUCUCGGGUCAUGUCUACAUAGUUCUCGAACCCGCAGGGUCUGCACACUUAAGGUUCGACGUUGUUUUAUGCGUAUUUGAGUUAUAUGGUUGGUUACCGAAUGUUGUUCGGAGUCCCGCAUGAGAUCACGGACGUCAUGAGGGUUUCCGGAAUGGUCCGGAAACAAAGAUUGAUAUAUAGGAUGACCUCAUUUGAUUACCGGAAGGUUUUCGGAGUUACCGGGAAUGUAUCGGGAAUGACGAAUGGGUUCCGGGAGUUCACCGGGGGGGGGCAACCCACCCCGGGGAAGCCCAUAGGCCUUGAGAGUGGCACACCAGCCCUUANNNNNNNNNNNNNNNNNNNNNNNNNNNNNNNNNNNNNNNNNNNNNNNNNNNNNNNNNNNNNNNNNNNNNNNNNNNNNNNNNNNNNNNNNNNNNNNNNNNNUGGUUAGGGUUAUGCCUAGUUUGGUUGGACAAGGGUUAGGGUUAGUGUUAGGUUUUGUGUUAUGCCUAAUUUGGAUGGACAAGGUUUAGGGUUAGGGUUUGUGUUAAUGCCUAAUUUGGAUGCAAAUGGUUAGGGUAAUGUUNNNNNNNNNNNNNNNNNNNNNNNNNNNNNNNNNNNNNNNNNNNNNNNNNNNNNNNNNNNNNNNNNNNNNNNNNNNNNNNNNNNNNNNNNNNNNNNNNNNNNNNNNNNNNNNNNNNNNNNNNNNNNNNNNNNNNNNNNNNNNNNNNNNNNNNNNNNNNNNNNNNNNNNNNNNNNNNNNNNNNNNNNNNNNNNNNNNNNNNNNNNNNNNNNNNNNNNNNNNNNNNNNNNNNNNNNNNNNNNNNNNNNNNNNNNNNNNNNNNNNNNNNNNNNNNNNNNNNNNNNNNNNNNNNNNNNNNNNNNNNNNNNNNNNNNNNNNNNNNNNNNNNNNNNNNNNNNNNNNACAAAUAUGAGGAAGUGUUGACAUUUCUUGAUAGUCCUACUUAUGAAGAGGUUGUGGCAGAAACUCGGAUAAGAUUGAAGUGGGUUGAUCCAAGUGACCACGUAGAAUUAUUAGGAACAUAUGAUGUUGGGUCGACACACAAGUGUCGAAUGAAGACAAUGCCUAUCAAGUCUAAUUUGCAUUGGCUUGCAUACAAGGAGGAUGUUGCAUCCUCGAUAGACAAGUCACUCGAAGUGUUUGCUAGUACGGUGCUCAAUGCUCCUCUUCAUGUUGACUUGAACCAACCCUUAGUAGAUGAUUUGAGCCCGUAUAAUGGUGUGGCACCUAUUGUUGAGCAUAAAGUAGAAGUGCAAGUCAAUGAGUAUCCCCAAUAUGAGUUUGGAGGUAGUGCACCGAUCAAAGAUGAUGGUCAUGAGUCCGACGAAGAGUAUGAGAGGCAACACAACAUUGUUGGUGACGUAGAGGCUCAAGUAAGGCAUGAUGACAUGGAUCCUGACAUUGUUUAUCAGCGUGCUUGUGUGGANNNNNNNNNNNNNNNNNNNNNNNNNNNNNNNNNNNNNNNNNNNNNNNNNNNNNNNNNNNNNNNNNNNNNNNNNNNNNNNNNNNNNNNNNNNNNNNNNNNNACACUAAUGAUAGCAAUGACACAUGAUGAUAAUGAUCAGGUGUUGCCUGUGGCAUUUGUUGGGGAACGUCGCAUGGAAAACAAAAAUUUUCCUACGCGCACGAAGACCUAUCAUGGUGAUGUCCAUCUACGAGAGGGGAUGAGUGAUCUACGUACCCUUGUAGAUCGUACAGCAGAAGCGUUAGAGAACGCGGUUGAUGUAGUGGAACAUCGUCACGUCCCUCGAUCCGCCCCGCGAACUAUCCCGCGAUCAGUCCCACGAUCUAGUACCGAACGGACGGCACCUCCGCGUUCAGCACACGUACAGCUCGACGAUGAUCUCGGCCUUCUUGAUCCAGCAAGAGAGACGGAGAGGUAGAAGAGUUCUCCGGCAGCGUGACGGCGCUCCGGAGGUUGGUGAUGACCUUGUCUCAGCAGGGCUCCGCCCGAGCUCUGCAGAAACGCGAUCUAGAGGAAAAACCGUGGAGGUAUGUAGUCGGGCAGCCGUGGAAAAGCCGUCUCAAAUCAGCCCUAAAACCUCCGUAUAUAUAGGUGGGAGGGAGGGGACCUUGCCUUGGGGCUCAAGGAGCCCCAAGGGGGUCGGCCGAGUCCAAGGGGGAGGACUCUCCCCCCCCCAAACCAAGUUGGACUAGGUUUGGUGGGAGGGAGUCCCCCUUCCUUCCCACCUCCUCCUUUUUUUUUCUUUCUCUCUUGAUUUUCUUCUCCUUGGCGCAUAGAGCCUUUUGGGCUGUCCCACCAGCCCACUAAGGGCUGGUGUGCCACNNNNNNNNNNNNNNNNNNNNNNNNNNNNNNNNNNNNNNNNNNNNNNNNNNNNNNNNNNNNNNNNNNNNNNNNNNNNNNNNNNNNNNNNNNNNNNNNNNNNACUUAGUGUAAGUUGCGGGAUCUUGUAUUACGGAACGAGUAAAGAGACUUGCCGGUAAAUGAGAUUGAAAUAGGUAUGCGGAUACUGACGAUCGAAUCUCGGGCAAGUAACAUACCGAAGGACAAAGGGAAUGACAUACGGGAUUAUAUGAAUCCUUGACACUGAGGUUCAAACGAUAAGAUCUUCGUAGAAUAUGUGAUAUCCAAUAUGGGCAUCCAGGUCCCGCUAUUGGAUAUUGACCGAGGAGUCUCUCGGGUCAUGUCUACAUAGUUCUCGAACCCGCAGGGUCUGCACACUUAAGGUUCGACGUUGUUUUAUGCGUAUUUGAGUUAUAUGGUUGGUUACCGAAUGUUGUUCGGAGUCCCGGAUGAGAUCACGGACGUCACGAGGGUUUCCGGAAUGGUCCGGAAACGAAGAUUGAUAUAUAGGAUGACCUCAUUUGAUUACCGGAAGGUUUUCGGAGUUACCGGGAAUGUACCGGGAAUGACGAAUGGGUUCCGGGAGUUCACCGGGGGGGGCAACCCACCCCGGGGAAGCCCAUAGGCCUUGAGGGUGGCACACCAGCCCUUANNNNNNNNNNNNNNNNNNNNNNNNNNNNNNNNNNNNNNNNNNNNNNNNNNNNNNNNNNNNNNNNNNNNNNNNNNNNNNNNNNNNNNNNNNNNNNNNNNNNGGGCGGGGCGGCCACGGCGGCCGGGGUGGAACCCUCCAUGGCGGCGACGGCGCGGGACGAGCUGGGAAGGCGAGGCAGUUUUGCCUCCCGCGCGAUUUGGGAAGAGGACUGUGGGUUGGGGGCAGUCCCCCCCCCCCCANNNNNNNNNNNNNNNNNNNNNNNNNNNNNNNNNNNNNNNNNNNNNNNNNNNNNNNNNNNNNNNNNNNNNNNNNNNNNNNNNNNNNNNNNNNNNNNNNNNNNNNNNNNNNNNNNNNNNNNNNNNNNNNNNNNNNNNNNNNNNNNNNNNNNNNNNNNNNNNNNNNNNNNNNNNNNNNNNNNNNNNNNNNNNNNNNNNNNNNNNNNNNNNNNNNNNNNNNNNNNNNNNNNNNNNNNNNNNNNNNNNNNNNNNNNNNNNNNNNNNNNNNNNNNNNNNNNNNNNNNNNNNNNNNNNNNNNNNNCCCCCCCCCCCCAACCCUCACUUCUAUAGGCUGGGAAGGGGUUUGAGGGUUCGACCUCUAAUUUUUUUUACGGUUUUAAGGGUUUAAGGGUUCUAUUCUACACCAUUUUUUCGAUGAAAACUGUAAAAAAAACGUUUAUUUUUAAGGGUUUGAGGAUUUGAGGACUCUACUAGAGAUGCUCUAACACUAGCAACAAGCCAAUAAACCGUUACAACAACUUCAACGGGCCGAUCCAAAUGGACAGCGAUGUCAUUCGCUUUUUGUCCGUUUGGGUCGGUCGUCCGUCCAGCGUCCGCCCUGUUUUAGAUAUGAGUCGACAGCACGUCCAACGCACCGACUCAUAUGUGCCGGCGUGGUCGGCUAACCGUCCUAUGUUGCAUGAUUUUUAUAGUUUGAAUCAAAUAACAUAAUUUGAACCAAAAAUAGCAUAGUUAUUACAAGCCGAAUAAAAAUAAAAAUACAUCACAUAGUUCUCACAUAGUUUUGCAAACGAAUAAAAGAAGAUAAAUCUAUUAGUUUCCAACAUGAGCCCACAUAUGCUCAACCAAAUCAUUUUGCAGUUGCACGUGAGUUUCCCAAUCACGCAUGUGUGGAUGAAAUUGGAUGAACUAUUCAAACGUUGCCGCUCCUCCAUGCUCAGGCACAACAUUCUCACCCUGAAACUGAAACCCUUGAUCGUACAGACGUUCCGGGCGGUCGUCUUCUACGAUCAUAUUAUGCAUAGUCACACAAGCAAUCAUCACUUCCCACAGUUUCUACGUGCUCCAGAUAUUAGCAGGAUACCGAACGAUGCUCCAUCGAGAUUGCAAAACACCAAAGGCACGCUCGACAUCCUUCCUAGCACCAUCUUGCUCUUGGGCAAAUCUUUUCCUCUUCUCUCCGACAGGGUUGGGUAUUGUCUUGACAAUAGUGGUCCACUGAGGAUAGUUACCGUCACCCAAGUAGUAUCCUUUGUCGUAAUUGUGGCCGUUGAUAGUAAAGUUCACCGGUGGGCUGUUGCCUUCGGUAAGCCUAGCAAACACCGGCGAGCGCUGAAGCACGUUCAUAUCAUUGUGUGAUCCGGCCAUGCCAAAGAAAGAGUGCCAGAUCCAGAGAUCUUCAGACGCAACGGCCUCUAGUAUGAGAGUGCAAGCCUUGACAUGGCCCUUAUACUGCCCUUGCCAAGCAGAAGGGCAGUUCUUCCACUCCCAGUGCAUGCAGUCCAUGCUACAAUCAUCCCUGGGAAGCCCCUGCUGGCAUUCAUCGCCAACAAACGAGCUAUAUCUUCAACAGUCGGCUCUCUCAAGUACUCAGGGCCAAACACAACAAUAACAACCUUGCAUAACUUAUACAGGGACUCUAGGCAAGUAGACUCUUUCAUACGGAUAUACUCGUCAAUAAGAUCACCAGGCACUCCGUAUGCAAGCAUUCGGAUGGCGGCACUGCAUUUCUGAUAAGAGGAAAAACCUAUCUUGCCAACGACAUCCUCUUUGCACUCGAAAUAGUCAUCAUAGCCGACCACCCCCUCUCUAAUACGGUUGAAAAGAUGCCUACUCAUACGGAAACGACGACGUAAUUUUUGAUGCUUGUACAACGGGUUUGUUGUAUCAAAGUAGUCCUUCCAAAGAGGGAAAUGCCCGCUCUCUCGGUUAUGAUUCAACACCGGAAGGUGGCCCGGAAUGGAGCUACGGAACAACGGCUGCCGGCUGUUGAGAUAGUGAUGGACCAACACGGCAACCAAUAUCUCCUCAUCAUCAUCGGGCCAUGAUCGAACGAUCGUUCCCUCGUUACAACAGAAGCGCCCUGAUCAGGGCCACCCUAAUUACCAACGCGGUUUUGGUUCCCUCUCGCCAGCGCACAUAAAAGGAUGGAGAGUAGCCGACACCUACGUGAGAUAUCGAUUCCCGUAUGGUCUACUCCUACUCCUUCUAUCCGUAAAACCCUAACCGAUCUGGGGGAGCGCUGCACGAUUGGAAGACCAUCACCAAGCUAUGCUCCUGUUCCACAGUAGCGCCGGUGGCACCCGGAGGGCCGCCGCUUCCCGCUACGACCGUCUGCCCCGAGCCUGCAUCACGUGUGCAUCGAGCAGGCACGGGACAUCGCAUCGCCUACACCAAUGACCUCAACCAUUGGUGGUAAGAACCAAUAUCUCUCUCACUUGUUAUGAUUAGGUGAUCUAAUGGCUAGGCAUUAGAUCCACUCGUGUUAAUCUUACGGGAUUAUGACUAUAAAUGGUAUCUUGAGCCGGUUAUGCCUAGAUUAGAUCCCUAAGUAUGAUCAAAUCAGGUUCUCCUAGUCUCAUUAUGCCACGUUUCCGCUUCAUGUUUUAAGGAUUAGGCCAUAUUUUAUGUUCCUGUUAAAGCAUGUAGAAGUAGGGGAUUCGAAUGUUUUAAGAAUCAGGAAAUUACCCCAAAUUGACAGAAUCCGAAACCCUAGGUCAAUCCCCAUUUUUUUUGUGUGCAAAUCCCAAUCAGAACGAAAUGUAUGAAUUUUGGGGAUAGAUGGUUUGGGGCUCACCUAGUUGACGUCGGCCCUCGGGUCCACGCAGCCGCCGCGGUGCGUGCGCCCAUGGCCGAAACGCCACCAUCUCUCGGGACGACGUGCAGGAAGAUGCAGCCGCGCCGCUGCGCUCACGGACGCAUGCGUCACAUGGCCUAUGCGCCUUGCACGUUGUCGUGGCCGACGAAAUGCAUCACCGGAGCCACGCUCGACGGAGGAGCACGCGGGACGAAGUCCCCUGCACGCUGCUCCGGCGAGUGCAGCUGUCGCAUCGCCAUCUCCAGCGCCCUUGCUAUCGCCGAAGCCAACGAAGUUGGCCACCCGCGUAUACGACUUUUCGUUGCGGUCGUUUUGGCAGGCCGUGGAGUUCAAACGGAGUUUGUAAGACCAAAUUUCACCCGUUCUACGGAUACAACCUAAAUGGAUCUUAGCACCGGGGCAGACCGUGGGUCGAGUUUCAAAGGUAAGUUGAUCGCGCCGGGGAGCCAUCUUUCACCACUAAGAAUGACCUUUUAUUUUGCAUGUAAAUGAUAAGAGCGCAGAAGAGCUGUAUGCACAUUUUUGUCCAAGAAUGACACAUGUUCUUGCCCAAACAUGCGGAUGGCAGCGGGAUGGGUGAUAGAGCAUGCAAAACUUCAUUUUUGGGGGUUUUGGUGCACCGAGAAGCGUCCUCCUUCUAUCCAGACUAACAUGUAGGCCUUGUUGGAGCACAAAUAGAAUCAUAUCACAUUAUUAUGUAUGUUAUUGUCCCAAUAUGUGUCCGUGGGAGAGCUUACGAAACGAUGGUAGAGGCUAGGAGUGUGCACGCCAAUGAUUAAAUCAUCAGGAACUCAAAUUUUCAAGCCGUUUUUGGGCUGUGAAAAUUGCCGAAGUCGACGAAGUUGGCCAUCGGGGAAUCCGACUUUCGUUGUGGUUGUUUUGGCAUGUCGUGGAGCUCAAACGGAGUUCGUAUGACCAAAUUACGCUGGUUCUACACAUACAACCUAAACUGAUGUCACCACCGGGGCAGACCGUGGGUCGAAUUUCAAAGGUAAUUUUAUCGCGCCGGGGAGCCAUCUUUCACCACUUAGAAUGACCUAUUAUUUUUCGUGUAAACGAUAAGAGCGUAUAAGAGCUGCUAUGCACAUUUUCGUCCAAGAACGACGCAUGUUCUUGCCCAAUCAUGCGGAUGAUAGCGGGAUGGGUGAUAGAGCAUGCAAAACUUCAUUUUUCGGGUUUUGGUCAACCGAGGAGCCUCCUCCUUCUAUCCAGACUGACAUGUAGGCCUUGUUGGUGCACAGAUUGAAUUAUAUCACAUUAUUUUGUAUGUUAUUGUCCCAAUAUAUGCUCGUGGGUGAGCUCACGGAACGAUGGUAGAGGGUAGGAGUGUGCACGCCAGCGAUUAAAUCAUCAGAAACUCAAAUUUGCAAGCCGUUUUUGGUCUCCAAACGUUGGCAAAGCCAACAAAGUGGGCCACCCGGGUAUACGAAUUUUCAUUGCGGUCAUUUUGGCAGGUCGUGGAGCUCAAACAGAGUUUGUAUGACCAAAUUACGCUCGUUCUACGGAUACAACCUAAAUGGAUUUCAGCACCGGGGAAGACCGUGGGUCGAGUUUCAAAGGUAAGUUGAUCGUGCCGGGGAGCCAUCUUUAACCACUCAUAAUGACCUAUUAUUUUGCGUGUAAAUGAUAAGAGCGCAUAAGAGCUGCUAUGCACAUUUUCGUCCAAGAACGACGCAUGUUCUUGCCCAAACAUGCGGAUGGCAGCGGGAUGGGUGAUAGAGCAUGCAAAACUUCAUUUUUUGGGGUUUUGGUUCCCCGAGGGGCCUCCUCCUUCUAUCCUGACAUGUAGGCCUUGUUGGUGCACAAAUAGAAUCAUAUCACAUUAUUAUGUAUGUUAUUGUCCCAAAAUGUGUCAGUGGGAGAGCUCACAAAACGAUGGUAGAGGCUAGGAGUGUGUACGCCAACGAUUAAAUCAUCAAGAACUCAAAUUUGCAAGCUGUUUUUGGCCUGUGAAACAUUGCCGAAGCCAACAAAGUUGUCCACCGGGGUAUCUGAAUUUUCGUUGCGGUCGUUUUGGCAGGUCGUGGAGCUAGAACGGAGUCUGUAUGACCAAAUUACGCGUGUUGUACGCAUACAACCUAAAUGGAUUUCAGCAUUGAGGCACACUGUGAGUCGAGUUUCAAAGGUAAGUUGAUCGCGUCGGGGAGCCAUCUUUCACCACUGAGAAUGACCUAUUAUUUUGCGUGUCAAUGCUAAGAGCGCAUUAUAAAACUGGUCGGAAUACGCCAAAACUGCGAGUUUUGACGAGUUCCCCAUAAACGGUCCCCGGGUUUCCCGAAAUGUUUUGAUCGCAGCGGUACGCAAAAUCAAUGACUAAUAGGAUAGGAAACUGGCUGGAAUAGGCCAAAACUGCGAGUUUUCACGAGUUCCCCGUAACCGGACCCCUGGGUUCCGAGAUGUUGGGAUCACACCGGGACCCAAAAUCAGUGAGUAAUAGCAUACAAAGCUGGCCAGAAUAGGCCAAAACUGCGAGUUUUGACGAGUUCCCCAUAACCGGACCCCGGAUUCCCCGAAAUGUUCAGAUCGCAGCGGUACCCAAAAUCAGUGACUAACAGGAUAGAAAACUCACCCGAGUAGGCCAAAACUACGAGUUUUGACGAGUUCCCCAUAACCGGACCACGAGGUUCCCGUAACGUUCGGAUCGCAUUGGGAGCCAAAAUCAGUGAGCAAAGCCUACAAAACUGGCCAGAAUAUGCCAAAACUGUGAGUUUUGACGAGUUCCCCGUAACCGGACCUCGCGGUCCCAAAACGUUCGGAUCCCAUAGGGACGCAAAAUUAGUGAGCAAUAGCAUAGAAAACUGACCGGAAUAGGCCAAAACUGUGAGUUUUGACGAGUUUCGAGUAACGAGACCCCUGGAUUCCCGAAACGUUCGUAUCGCAUCGGGACCCAAAAUCAAUGACUAAUAGGAUAGAAAUUUGACUGGAAUAAUUUUGACGAGUUCCGUGUAACCGGACCUCGGGGUUCCCGAAUCGUUCGGAUCGCAGCAGGACCCAAAAUAAGUGAGUAAUAGCAUACAAAACUGGCCGGAAUAGUCCACAACUGCGAGUUUUGACGAGUUCCCCGUAACCGGACCAAACGGUUCCCGAAACGUUCGGAUCACAUCGGGACCCAAAAAAGUGACUAAUAGCAUACAAAACUCGCCGGAAUACGCCAAAACUGCGAGUUUUGACGAGUUCCCCAUAACCGGACCUCGGGUUUCCCGAAACAUGCGGAUCACAACGGGACCCAAAAUCAAUGACUAAUAGCAUACAAAACUGACCGGAAUAGGCCAAAAGUGCGAGUUUUUAUGAGUUUCCCGUAACCGGUCCUGGGGGUUCCCAAAGCGUUUAGAUUGUAGCGGGACCCAAAAUCAGUGAUUAACAACAUUCAAAAUUGACCGGAAUAGGCCAAAACUGCGAGUUUUGGCGAGUUCCCUCUAACCGAACCCCGGGGAUCCUGAAGCGUUCGGAUCGCAGCGGGACCCAAAAUCAUUGAUUAAUAGCAUUCAAAACUUGCCGGAAUAGGACAAAACUGCGAGUUUUGACGAGUUCCCCAUAACCGGACCAAAUUGUUCCCGAAACAUUUGGAUAACAUUGGGACCCAAAUUAAGUGACUAAUAGCAUGCAAAACUGGUCGGAAUACGCCAAAAAUGCGAGUUUUGAAAAGUUCCCCAUAACCGGUCCCCGGGUUUCCCGAAAUGUUCGGAUCGCAACGGUACCCAAAAACAGUGACUAAUAGGAUAGAAAACUGGUCGGAAUAGGCCAACACUCCGAGUUUUGACGAGAGCCCCGAAACUGGACCCCGAGGGUCCCGAGAUGUUGGGACCACACCGGGACCCAAAAUCAUUGAGUAAUAGCAUACAAAACUGGCCACAAUAGGGCAAAACUGGGAAUUUUGACGAGUUCCCCAUAACCGGACCACGGGUUUCCCAAAAUGUUCGGAUCCCAGCGGUACCCAAAAUCAGUGACUAAUAGGAUAGAAAACUCGCCCAAAUAGGCCAAAACUACGAGUUUUGACGAGUUCCCCAUAACCGGACCACGGGGUUCCCGAAACGUUCGGAUCGCAUCGGGAGCCAAAAUCAGUGAGUAAUAGCAUACAAAACUAGCCAGAAUAGGCCAAAACUAUGAGUUUUGACGAGUUCCCUGUAACCGGACCCCGCGGUUCCUCAAACGUUCGGAUCGCAUCGGAAUCGAAAAUCAAUGACUAAUAGGGUAGUAAAUAGCCGGAAUAGCCCAAAACUAAGAGUUUUGACGAGUUCCCCGUAACCGGACCAAAGGGUUUCCGAAAUGUUCGGAUCACAGCGGGACCAAAAAUGAGUGACUAAAUGCAUAAAAAACUUGUCGGAAUACGCCAAAACUGCGAGUUUUGACGAGUUCCCCAUAACCGGACCCCGGAUUUCCCGAAAUGUUCGGAUCGCAGCGGUACCCAAAAUCAGCGACUAAGAGGAUAGAAAACUCGCCCGAAUAGGCCAAAACUACGAGUUUUGAUGAGUUCCCCAUAACCGGACCACGGGGUUCCCGAAAUUUUCGGAUCGCAUCGGGAGCUAAAAUUAGUGAGUAAUAGCAUACAAAACAGGCCAGAAUAGGCCAAAAUUGUGAGUUUUGACGAGUUCCCCGUAAUCAAACCCCACGGUUCCCAAAGUGUUCGGAUCGCAUCGGGACCCAAAAUCAAUGACUAAUAGGAUGGAAAACUAGCCGGAAUAGCCCAAAACUGCGAGUUUUGACGAGUUCCCCAUAACCGGACCCCAAGGUUCCCGAAACGUUUGGAUCACAGCGGGACCCAAAAUCAUUGACUAAUUGCAUACAAAAUUGGCCGGAAUAGGCCAAAAAACGAGUUUUGACGAGUUUCCCAUAACCGGACCUCGGGGUUCCCAAAGCGUUCGGAUCGCAAUAAGAACCAAAAUCAGUGAUUAAUAACAUACAAAACUGGCCGGAAUAGGCCAAAACUCCGAGUUUUGACGAGUUCCCCGUAACUGGACCCCGGGGUUCCUGAAACGUUCGGAACGUAGCGAGACCCAAAGUGAGUGAGUAAUAGCAUACAAAACUGGCCAGAAUAGGCUAAAACUGCGAGUUUUGACGAGUUCUGCACAACCGGACCUCGGGGUUCUGGAAACGUUCGGAUCGCAUCGGGACCAAAAAUUAGUGACUAAUAACAUACAAAACUCGUCCGUAUAGGCCAAAAAUGCGAGAUUUUACGAGUUCCCCGUAACCGGACCUCGGGGUUCCCAAAACGUUCGGAUCGUAGCACGCUCCAAAAUCAGUGACUAAUAGGAUAUAAAACUAGCCGGAAUAGGCCAAAACUUCGAGUUUUGACGGGUUCCGCGUAACCGGACUGUGAGGUUUCCGAAACGUGCGGAUCGCAGCGAGACCCAAAAUCAUUGAUUAAUAGCAUACAAAACCUGCCGGAAUAGGCCAAAACUACAAGUUUUGACAAGUUCCCCGUAACCGGACCAAAGGGUUCCCGAAACAUUCGGAUCACAUCGGGACCCAAAAUAAGUGACUAAUAGCAUACAAAACUGGUCGGAAUAUGCCAAAACUGGAGUUUUGAUGAGUUCCCCAUAACCGGUCCCCGGGUUUCCCGAAAUGUUUGGAUCGCGGCGUUACCCAAAAUGAGUGACUAAUAGGAUAGAAAACUGGCCGGAAUAGGCCAAAACUGCGAGUUUCUACGAGUUCCCCGUAAGCGGACCCCGAGGUUCCCGAAAUGUUCGGAUCACACCGGGACCCAAAAUCACUUAGCAAUAGCAUACAAAACUGGCCAAAAUAGGCCAAAAAUGCGAGUUUUGACGAGUUCCCCAUUAUCGGACCCCGGGUUUCCUAAAAUGUUUGGAUCGCAUCGGUACCCAAAAUGAGUGACUAAUACGAUAGAAAAAUCGCCCGAAUAGGCCAAAACUACGAGUUUUGCGAGUUCCCCAUAACCGGACCACGGGGUUCCCGAAAAGUUCGGAUCGCAUUGGGAGCCAAAAUCGGUGAGUAAUAGCAUACAAAGCUGCCAAGAAUAGGCCAAAAUUGUGAGUUUUAAUGAGUUCCCCGUAACCGGACCCGCGGUUCCCGAAACGUUCGGAUCGCAUCGGGACCCAAAAACAAUGACUAACAGGAUAGAAAACUAGCUGGAGUAGCCCAAAACUACGAGACCCAAAAUCAGUGACUAAUUGCAUGCAAAACUGGCCGGAAUAGGCCAAAAAACGUGUUUUGACUGUUGGGGAACGUCGCAUGGGAAACAAAAAAUUUCCUACGCUCACGAAGACCUAUCAUGGUGAUGUCCAUCUAUGAGAGGGGAUUUGGAUCUACGUACCCUUGUAGAUCGCACAGCAGGAAGCGUUAAGAAACGCGGUUGAUGUAGUGGAACGUCCUCACGUCCCUCGAUCCGCCCCGCGAACCGUCCCACGAACCGUCCCGCGAUCCGUUCCACGAUCCGCUCCGAUCUAGUGCCGAACGGACGACACCUCCGCGUUCAGCACACGUACAGCUCGACGAUGAUCUCGGCCUUCUUGAUCUAGCAAGAGAGACGGAGAGGUAGAUGAGUUCUCCGGCAGCAUGAUGGUGCUCCGGAGGUUGGUGAUGAUCAAUCUCAGCAGGGCUCCGCCCGAGCUCCGCAGAAAUACGAUCUAGAGGAAAAACCGUGGAGGUAUCUGGUCGGGCUGCCGUGGCCAAGUUGUCUUAAAUCAGCCCUAAUACCUCAGUAUAUAUAGGAGGGAGGGGGAGGGACCUGCCUUGGGGCUCAAGAGAUCCCCAAGGGGUCGGCCGAAGGGGGGGGGGGAGGAGGAGUCCUCCUCCAAUCCUAGUCCAACUAGGAUUGGAAGGUGGAGUCCUUCUCUAUGUUCCCACUUUCCCUCUUUUUUUUCUUUCUCUUUGAUUUUUUCUCUCUCCUACGCAUAUUGCCUCUUGGGCUGUCCCACCAGCCCACUAAGGGCUGGUGCGGCACCCCUAAGGCCUAUGGGCUUCCCCUAGGUGGGCUGCCCCCCGGUGAACAUCCGGAACCCAUUCGUCACUCCCGGUACAUUCCCGGUAAUGCCGAAAACUUUCCAGUAAUCCAAUAAGGUCAUCCUAUAUAUCAACCUUUGUCUCCGGACCAUUCAGGAAACCCUGGUGACGUCCGUGAUCUCAUCCGGGACUCCGAACAACAUUCGGUAACCAACCAUAUAACUCAAAUACGCAUAAAACAUCAUCGAACCUUAAGCGUGCAGACCGUGCGGGUUCGAGAACUAUGUAGACAUGACCCGAGAGACUCCACGGUCAAUAUCCAAUAGCGGGACUGGAUGCCCAUAUUGGAUCCUACAUAUUCUCCAAUGAUCUUAUCGGUUGAACCUCAGUGCCAAGGAUUCAUAUAAUCACGUAUGUCAUUCCCUUUGUCCUUCAGUAUGUUCCGUAAUACAAGAUCCCGUGACUUACACUAAGUCACAUUGCUUGCAAGGCUUGUGUGUGAUGUUGUAUUACCGAGUGGGCCCCGAGAUACCUCUCCGUCACACGGAGUGACAAAUCCUAGUCUUGAUCCAUACUAACUCAACGGACACCUUCGGAGAUACCUGUAGAGCAUCUUUAUAGUCACCCAGUUAUGUUGUGACGUUUGAUACACACAAGGCAUUCCUCCGGUGCCAGUGAGUUAUAUGAUGUCAUGGUCAUAGGAAUAAAUACUAGACACGCAGAAAACAGUAGCAACAAAAUGACACGAUCAACGUGCUACGUUUAUUAGUUUGGGUCUAGUCCAUCACAUGAUUCACCCAAUGAUGUGAUCCAGUUAUCAAGCAACAACACCUUGCACAUAGUCAGAAGACCUUGACUAUCCUUGAUCAACUGGCUAGCCAACUAGAGGCUUGCUAGGGACAGUGUUUUGUCUAUGUAUCCACACAUGUAUUUAAGACUUCAUUCAAUACAAUUAUAGCAUGGAUAAUAAACGAUUAUCUUGAUACAGGAAUUAUACUAAUAACUUAUUUAUCAUUGCCUCUAGGGCAUAAUUCCAACAGUCUCCCACUUGCACUAGAUUCAAUAAUCUAGUCCACACAUCGUCAUGCGAAUUACAUUGUAAUAAAUCUAACACCCAUACAGUUCUGGUGUUGAUCAUGCUUUGCCCGUGGAAGAGGUUUAGUCAGUGGGUGUGCCACAUUCAGAUCCAUGUGCACUUUGCAGAUAUUCACGUCCUCCUCCUCGACGUAGUCACGGAUGAGGUUGAAGCGUCAUUUGAUGUGUCUGGUCUUCUUGUGAUACCGUGGUUCCUUUGCUAAGGCAAUGGCACCCGUGUUGUCACAAAACAGGGUUAUUGGAUUCAGUGCACUCGGCACUGCUCCAAGAUCCGUCAUGAAGUGCUUCAUCCAGACACCCUCCUUAGCUGCCUCCGAGGCAGCCAUGUACUCCGCUUCACAUGCAGAAUUAGCUACGACGCUUUGCUUGGAACUGCACUAGCUUACCACACCCCCAUUAUGAAUAAAUACGUAUCUGGUCUGCGACUUAGAGUCGUUCAGAUCUGUGUCAAAGCUUGCAUCGACGUAACCUUUUACGGCGAGCUCUUUGUCACCUCCAUAUACGAGAAACAUCUCCUUAGUCCUUUUCAGGUACUUCAGGAUAUUCUUGACCAUCGUCAAGUGAUCCACUCCUGGAUUACUCUGGAACCUACCUGCCAUACUUAUGGCCAGACUUACGUCCGGUCUAGUGCACAUCAUUGCAUACAUGAUAGAACCUAUGGCUGAAGCAUAGGGGACGGAACUCAUAUGCUCUCUAUCUUUAUCAAUUGCUGGGCACUGAGUCUUACUCAAUCUCGUACCUUGUAAAACUGGCAAGAACCCCUUCUUGGACUGUUCCAUUUUGAACCUCUUCAAAACUUUAUCAAGGUACAUGCUUUGCAAAAGUCCUAUCAGGCGUUUUCAUCUAUCCCUAUAGAUGUUUAUGCCUAGAAUGUAAGCAGCUUCUCCUAGGUCCUUCAUAGAGAAACUUUUAUUCAAGUAAUCCUUUAUGCUCUCCAAAAACUCCACGCCAUUUCCAAUCAGUAAUAUGUCAUCCACAUAUAGUAUUAGGAACGCCACAGAGAUCCCACUCACUUUCUUGUAAAUACAGGUUUCUCCAACCACCUGUAUAAACCCAAAUGCUUUGAUCACCUCAUCAAAGCUUUUGUUCCAACUCCGAGAUGCUUGCACCAGUCCAUAAAUGGAUCGCUGGAGCUUCCACACUUUGUUAGCUUUUUUAGGAUCGACAAAGCCUUCGGGUCGUAUCAUAUACAACUCUUCCUUAAGGAAACCAUUAAGGAACGCUGUUUUGACAUCCAUGUGCUAGAUUUCAUAAUCGAAAAAUGCAGCUAUUGCUAACAUAAUUCUGACGGACUUAAGCAUCGCUACGGGUGAGAAUGUCUCAUCGUAGUCAACUCCUUGAACUUGUAAAAAACCCUUUGCCACAAGUCGAGCUUUAUAAACGGUCACAUUAUCGUCAGCGUCCGUCUUGUUCUUAAAGAUCCAUUUGUUCUGAAUAGCCUUGCGGCCUUCAGGCAGUACUUCCAAAGUCCAUACUUUGUUUUCAUACAUAGAUCCUAUCUCGGACUUCAUGGCCUCCAGCCAUUUGUUGGAAUCUGGGCCCACCAUUUCUUCUUCAUAAUUCACUGGCUCAUUGUUGUCCAACAACAUAAUUGAUAAGAUGGGAUUACCGUACCACUCUGGAGUAGUACGCGGUCUCGUCGACCUGCGAGGUUCGACAAGAACUUGAUCCGGAGUUUCAUGAUCAUCAUCAUUAACUUCCUCCUCAACCGGUGUCGCAACGACAGGGGUUUCCCCUUGCCCCGCGCCACCAUCCAGAGGGAUGAGAGGUUCGACAACCUCAUCAAGUUCUAUCUUCCUCCCACUCAAUUCUGUCGAGAGAAACUCCUUCUCGAGAAAAGCUCCGUUCUUAGCAACAAACACUUUGCCCUCAGAUUUGAGAUAGAAGGUAUACCCAACUGUCUCUUUUGGGUAACCUUUGAAGACACACUUUUCCGCUUUGGGUUCCAGCUUUUCAGGCUGGAGCUUUUUUAAAUAAGCAUCACAUCCCCAAACUUUAAGAAACGACAACUUUGGUCUUUUGCCAUACCACAACUAAUAUUGUGUCGUCUCAACGGAUUUCGAUGGUGCCCUAUUUAAAGUGAAUGCAGCUGUUUCUAAUGCAUAACCCCAAAACGAUAACGGCAAAUCGGUAAGAGACAUCAUAGAUCGCACCAUCUCUAAUAAAGUACGAUUACGACAUUCGGACACACCAUUACGCUGUGGUGUUCCAGGCGGUGUUAACUGUGAAACAAUUCCACAUUGUCGUAACUGAGCACCAAACUCAAAACUCAGAUAUUCACCCCCACGAUCAGACCGUAGGAACUUGAUCUUCUUGUUACGAUGAUUUUCAACUUCACUCUGAAAUUGCUUGAACUUUUCAAAUGUUUCAGACUUGUGCUUCAUCAAGUAGACAUAACCAUAUCUACUCAAAUCGUCAGUGAAGGUGAGAAAAUAACGAUAUCCGCCGCGUGCCUCCACACUCAUCGGACCACACACAUCGGUAUGUAUGAUUUCCAACAAGUCACUUGCACGCUCCAUUGUUUCGGAGAACGGAGUUUUAGUCAUCUUGCUCAUGAGGCAUGGUUCGCACGUGUCAAGUGAAUCAAAGUCAAGUGACUCCAAAAGUCCAUCGGUAUGGAGUUUCUUCAUGCGCUUUACACCAAUAUAACCUAAACGACAGUGCCAUAAAAACAUGGCGCUAUCAUUGUUAACUCUAACUCUUUUGGUCUCAAUGUUAUGUAUAUGUGUAUUAUCACUAUCAAGAUUCAAUAUGAACAAUCCUCUCACAUUGGGUGCAUGACCAUAAAAGAUAUUACUCAUAGAAAUAGAACAACCAUUAUUGUCUCACUUAAACGAGUAACCGUCUCGCAAUAAACAAGAUCCAGAUAUAAUGUUCAUGCUUAACGCAGGCACUAAAUAACAUUUAUUUAAGUUCAUAACUAAUCCUGAUGGUAACUGAUGUGAAACUGUGCCGACGGCGAUUGCAUCAAUCUUGGAACCAUUUCCCACGCGCAUCGUCACUUCAUCCUUUGCCAGUCUUCGCUUAUUCCACAGUUCCUGUUUCGAGUUGCAAAUAUGAGCAACAGAACCGGUAUCGAAUACCCAUGCACUACUACGAGAGCUGGUUAAGUACACAUCAAUAACAUGUAUAUCGAAUAUACCUGAUUUUUCUUUGGCCGCCUUCUUAUCAGCGAGAUACUUGGGGCAGUUACGCUUGCAGUGACCCAUACCCUUGCAAUAAUAGCACUCGUUUCAUGCUUAGGUCCAUCUUUGGGUUUCUUCGUCGGAUUGGCAACAGGCUUGCCGCUCUUCUUUGAAUUACCCUUCUUUCCUUUGCCGUUUCUCUUGAAACUAGUGGUCUUAUUCACCAUCAACACUUGAUGCUCUUUACGGAGAUCUUACUCUGCGACUUUCAGCAUCGUGAAUAACUCGUCGGGUGACUUGUUCAUCCCUUGCAUGUUAUAGUUCAACACGAAGCCCUUACAGCUUGGUCGCAGUAAUUGAAGAAUUCUGUCAGUGAUAGCCUCUUGCUUGAGUUCAAUCCCCAGCUCAGCUAGAUGGUUUGAGUACCCAGAUAUUUUGAGCACAUGUUCACUGACAGACGAAUUCUCCUCCAUCUUGCAAGCAUAGAAUUUAUCGGAGGUCUCAUACCUCUCAAUCCGGGCAUUCUUCUGAAAGAUAAAUUUCAACUCCUAGAACAUCUCAUAUGCUCCAUGAUGCUCAAAGCGACGUUGAAGUCCCGGUUCUAAGCCAUACAAGACUGUACAUUGAACUACUGAGUAGUCCUCCUUGCGUGCUAACCAAGCGUUCUUAGCAUCUUGGUCAGCCGCGGCGGGUGGUUCAUCUCCUAGCGCAGCAUUAAGGACAUAAUCCUUCUUCCCAGCUUGCAGGAGCAACUUAAGAUUACGAGCCCAGUCUACAAAGUUGCUUCCAUCAUCUUUCAACUUAGCUUUCUCUAGGAACGUAUUAAAAUUCAGGGUGACUGUCGCGUGAGCCAUUGAUCUACAACACAAAUAUUUUCAAAGUGGACUUAGACUAUGUUCAAGAUAAUUAGAGUUUAACUUAAUCAAAUUACUUCCUAAACUUCCACUCAAAAAGUACAUCUCUCUAGUCAUUUGAGUGGUUCAUGAUCCAAUUCCACUAGCUCAAGUCCGAUCAUCACGUGAGUUGAGGAUAGUUUUAGUGGUAAGCAUCCCUAUGCUAAUCAUAUCAACUAUAUGAUUCAUGAUCGACCUUUCGGUCUCAUGUGUUUCGAGGCAAUGUCUGCACAUGCUAGGCUUGUCAAGCUUAACCCGAGUGUUCCGCGUGUGCAACUGUUUUGCACCCGUUGUAUGUGAACGUUGAGUCUAUCACACCCGAUCAUCACGUGGUGUCUUGAAACGAAGAACAGUCGCAAUGGUGCACAGUCGGGGAGNNNNNNNNNNNNNNNNNNNNNNNNNNNNNNNNNNNNNNNNNNNNNNNNNNNNNNNNNNNNNNNNNNNNNNNNNNNNNNNNNNNNNNNNNNNNNNNNNNNNNNNNNNNNNNNNNNNNNNNNNNNNNNNNNNNNNNNNNNNNNNNNNNNNNNNNNNNNNNNNNNNNNNNNNNNNNNNNNNNNNNNNNNNNNNNNNNNNNNNNNNNNNNNNNNNNNNNNNNNNNNNNNNNNNNNNNNNNNNNNNNNNNNNNNUGUCUCGAAACGACGAAUUGCAGCAACGAUGCACAGUCGGGGAGAACACAAUUUCGUCUUGAAAUUUUAGUGAGAGAUCACCUAAUAAUGCUACUGUGGUUCUAAGCAAAAUAAGGUGCAUAAAAGGAUUAACAUCACAUGCAAUUCAUAAGCGACAUGAUAUGGCCAUCAUCAUGUGCUUCUUGAUCUCCAUCACCAAAGCACCGGCACGAUCUUCUUGUCACCGGCGCCACACCAUGAUCUCCAUCAACGUGUCGCCAUUGGGGUUGUCGUGCUACUCAUGCUAUUAUUACUAAAGCUACAUCCUAGCAAUAUAGUAAACGCAUCUGCAAGCACAAACAUUAGUUUAAAGACAACCCUAUGGUUCCUGCCGGUUGCCGUACCAUCGACGUGCAAGUCGAUAUUAACUAUUACAACAUGAUCAUCUCAUACAUCUAAUAUAUCACAUCACACCGUCGGCCAUAUCACAUCACAAGCAUACCCUACAAAAACAAGUUAGACGUCCUCUAAUUGUUGUUGCAUGUUUUAUGUGGUGACCAUGGGUAUCUAGUAGGAUCGCAUCUUACUUACGCAAACACCACAACGGAGAUGUAUGAAUUGCUAUUUAACCUCUCUCAAGGACCUCCUUGGGCAAAUCCGAUUCAACUAAAGUUGGAGAAACAGACACUCGCGAGUCAUCUUUGAGCAACGGGGUUGCUCGUAGCGAUGAAACCAGUCUCUCGUAAGCGUACGAGUAAUGUCGGUCCGAGCCGCUUCGAUCCAACAAUACCGCGGAAUCAAGAAAAUACUAAGAAGGGCAGCAAAUCGCACAUCACCUCCCACAAAAACUUUUGUGUUCUACUCGAGAUGACAUCUACGCAUGAACCUAGCUCAUGAUGCCACUGUUGGGGAACGUCGCAUGGGAAACAAAAAUUUUCCUACGCGUACGAAGACCUAUCAUGGUGAUGUCCAUCUACGAGAGGGGAUUUGGAUCUACGUACCCUUGUAGAUCGCACAGUAGGAAGCGUUAAGAAACAUGGUUGAUGUAGUGGAACGUCCUCACGUCCCUAGAUCCGUCCCGUGAACCAUCCCACGAACCAUCCCGCGAUCCGUCCCACGACCGCUCCGAUCUAGUGCCGAACGGACGAUACCUCCGCGUUCAGCACACGUACAACUCGACGAGGAUCUCGGCCUUCUUGAUCCAGCAAGAGCGACGGAGAGGUUGAUGAGUUCUCCGACAGCGUGACAGCGCUCCGGAGGUGGGUGAUGAUCUAUCUCAGGAGGGCUCCUCCCGAGCUCCGCAGAAAUACGAUCUAGAGGAAAAACCGUGGAGGUAUGUGGUAGGGCUGCCGUGGCAAAGUUGUCCCAAAUCAGCCCUAAUAUCUCAGUAUAUAUAGGAGGGAGGGAGAGGGACCUGCCUUGAGGCUCAAGAGAGCCCCAAGGGGUCGGCCGAAGGGGGGAGGAGGAGUCCUCCUCCAAUCCUAGUCCAACUAGGAUUGGAAGGUGGAGUCCUUCUCUAUUUUCCCACUUCCCCUCUUUUUUUUCUCUUUGAUUUUCUCUCUCUCCUGCGCAUAGGGCCUCUUGGGCUGUCCCACCAGCCCACUAAGGGCUGGUGCGGCACCCCUAAGUCCUAUGGGCUUCCUCUGGGUGGGCUGCCCCCCGGUGAACAUCCGAAACCCAUUCGUCACUCCCGGUACAUUCCCGGUAAUGCCGAAAACUUUCAGGUAAUCAAAUGAGGUCAUCCUAUAUAUCAAUCUUCGUCUCCGGACCAUUCCGGAAACCCUCGUGACGUCCGUGAUCUCAUCCGAGACUCCGAACAAUAUUUGGUAACCAACCAUAUAACUCAAAUACGCAUAAAAUAUCGUCGAACCUUAAGCGUGCAGACACUACGGGUUCGAGAACUAUGUAGACAUGAACCCAGAGACUCCUCGGUCAAUAUCCAAUAGAAGGACCUAGAUGCCCAUAUUGGAUCCUACAUAUUCUCCGAAGAUCUUAUCGGUUGAACCUCAGUGCCAAGGAUUCAUAUAAUCCCGUAUGUCAUUCCCUUUGUCCUUCGGUAUGUUACUUGCCCGACAUUCGAUCGUCAGUAUCCGCAUACCUAUUUCAAUCUCGUUUACCGGCAAGUCUCUUUACUCAUUCCGUAAUACAAGAUACCGUGAAUUACACUAAGUCACAUUGCUUGCAAGGCUUGUGUGUGAUGUUGUAUUACCGAGUGGCCCCGAGAUACCUCUCCGUCACACGGAGUGACAAAUCCCAGUCUUGAUCCAUACUAACUCAACGGACACCUUCAGAGAUACCUGUAGAGCAUCUUUAUAGUCACCCAGUUACGUUGGGACGUUUGAUACACACAAGGCAUUCCUACGGUGACAGUGAGGUAUAUGAUCUCAUGGUCAUAGGAAUAAAUACUUGACACGCGGAAAACAGUAGCAAUAAAAUGACACGAUCAACAUGCUACGUUUAUUAGUUUGGGUCUAGUCCAUCACAUGAUUCACCCAAUGAUGUGAUCCAUUUAUCAAGCAACAACACCUUGCACAUAGUCAGAAGACCUUGACUAUCCUUGAUCAACUGGCUAGCCAACUAGAGGCUUGCUAGGGACAGUGUUUUGUCUAUGUAUCCACACAUGUAUUUAAGACUUCAUUCAAUACAAUUAUAGCAUGGAUAAUAAACGAUUAUCUUGAUACAGGAAUUAUACUAAUAACUUAUUUAUCAUUGCCUCUAGGGCAUAAUUCCAACAGUCUCCCACUUGCACUAGAGUCAAUAAUCUAGUCCUCACAUCGUCAUGCGAAUUACAUUGUAAUAAAUCUAACACCCAUACAAAACUCGCCGGAGUUCCCCGUAACCGGACCAAAGGGUUCCCGAAGCAUUCGGAUCACAUCGGGACUCAAUAUAAAUGACAAAUAGCAUACAAAACUGGCCAGAAUACGCCAAAACUAUGAGUUUUGACGAGUUCCCAUAACCGGACCCCGUGUUUCCUAAAACGUUCCAAUCGCAACGGUAACCAAAAUCAGUGACUAAUAGAAUACAAAAUUGGCCGGAAUAGGCCUAAAUUGUGAGUGUUGAUGACUUCCCCGUAACCAGACCCCGGGGUUCCCGAAACAUUCCGAUCACAACGAGACCCAAAGCGAGUGACUAAUAGCAUGGAAAACUGGCUGGAAUAGGCCAAAACUGCGAGUUUUGAUGAGUUCCCUGUAACCAGACCCGCAAGGUUCCCGAAAUGUUCGGAUCACAGCGGGACACAAAAUCAGUGACUAAUAGCAUACAAAACUGGCUGGAAUAGGCCAAAACUGUGAGUUUUCACGAGUUCCCCGUAACCGGAUCGUGAGGUUCCCGAAAUGUUCGGAUCACAACGGGCACAAAAUCAGUGACUAAUAGCAUACAAAACUAGCCUUGGAAUAGGCCAAAACUGUGAGUUUUGACGAGUNNCCCGUAACCGGACCCCGAGGUUUCUGAAAUAUUUGGAUCACAGCGGGACCCAAAAUCAGUGACUAAUAGCAUAGAAAACUAGCCGGAAUAGGCCAAAACUGUGAGUUUUGACGAGUUCUCCGUAACCGGACACCAGGGUUCCUGAAACAUUCGAAUCACACAAAAACCCAAAAUCACUGACUAAUUGCAUAAAAAAACUGGCCAAAAUAGGCCAAAACUGUGAGUUUUGACGAGUUCCGCGUAACCGUACCGUGAGGUUCCCGAAACGUUCGGAUCACAGCGGGAACCAAAAUCAGUGACUAAUAGCAUACAAAACUGACCGGAAUAGGCCAAAACUAUGAGUUUUGACGAUUUCCGCAUAACCGGAACCCGGGGUUCCCGAAACGUUCGGAUCACAUGAGGACCCAAAAUAAGUGAGUAAUAGCAUACAAAACUGGUCGGAAUAGUCCAAAACUCCGAGUUUUGACGAGUUCCCCAUAACCAGACCCUCGGUUUCUCGAAAUAUUCGGAUCACAGCAGGAUCAAAAAUCAGUGACUAAUAGCAUACAAAAUUGGUCGGAAUAGGCCAAAACUGCGAGUUUUGACGAGUUCCCCGUAACCAAACCUCGGGUUUCCUAAAGCGUUCAGAUCGCAGCGGGACCCAAAAUCAGUGAUUAAUAGCAUUCAAAACUGGUCGGAAUAGGCCAAAAGUGCGAGUUUUGACGAGUUCCCCGUAACCGGACCCCCGGGUUCCUGAAACAUUUGGAUCGCAGCGGGACCCAAAAUCAUUGAUUAAUAGCAUUAAAAACUGGCCGGAAUAGGCCAAAACUAUGAGUUUUGACGAGUUCCCCGUAACCGGACCAAAGGGUUCCCGAAACAUUCGGAUCACAUCGGUACCCAAAAUAAGUGACUAAUAGCAUACAAAACCGUCCGGAAUACACCAAAACUGCGAGUUUUGAUGAGUUCCCCAUAACUUGUCCCCGGGUGUCGUGGUUUUGUCACGGCAGAUGUCCUCGUGAAAGGACUUAGUGAUGGAGCCAUCGGACCUUGGUGGCGACUCAAAGGGGUUGAGGGGAAGCGAGACUCUGGUUUACCCAUGUUCGGUCCCUCCGAUGGAGGUAAAAGCCCACGUCCUGCUUUGAGCAUAUUAAUGGUGGAAUCAAUUAAAAGGAGGGCGUAACUAGCCUGACCUAGCUCUCGAUGGAUUGUAAGUUGACCCUAUCUACCCGAGGUACUCGCCUUUAUAUACAGGUCGAGGUCCUAUGUUUUACAAGAGUCCAGGCCACAUUACAAAUCGUGGCCUGCCAUAUCUCUAAACCGCCAUGUCUUCCAAACAAGGAGAAGAACACGAGACUCUUCUUCUUCGUGAGUCUUGAACCGCCAUCUAGGCUCUUGGGCCCGGCCGGCUCUUCGUUCAAGAUCUCCUUGCACCUUCCAGAUCCUGGGCCAAGGCCUAUCUUGAUUACGAAUGUUGAAUCGUCGUGCACCUAACCCGGCCCAAUAGGGCGGGUCAUACGAGAGGUAAUAUCCCCAACAUUAGGCCCCAGAUUGACUUGAAUUUAUUCAUGACAAUAAACUUGUAUAUCUGUCCACGACGACUCACACAUGAUCUUUGACCUUUCUUCUUCAAUGAGUGAUAAGCCGCCAAUCUUCAUGAUUCGCUUGAAUCGCCAGGUCUUUUAUUGGUGAUCCAUCUUCCCCAUUAUUCCAUGGAUCUCGAUGAUGUCAUUUCCAACAGAUCUUUUGACUUAUCGUGUCAUCUCGAAAAUCUGGGCGCCUUCAUUUCCGAUUUUUACUAGGCCUCCUUGGCUCCCGCGCCUCCUGUUUCAAUUUCUGUCUUAGGCCUUUAAAUAGCCGCAUGGGGAAGAGGUAUCCCCACCUACCUCUAUUCCAUCGCCCCACUGCGUCUUCUUCCACAAGCUCAUGCCACGAACGCUGCGUUGCCCGCAACCUCCGCUUCGGACCAGCAGCCUCCCAGACUGAUUUGGGCGUGGUCCUUGACGCAAACCUCUGCGGCCUGCUUGCGCAUUCGCCCUCCUUCAACAGGUAACUCAUCUUUCUUUCGGUAGAUCCAAAUCUUGAACUCCCCCAGUUCUUAUGGUAGCAUCGGAGCUCUUCGAGCAUUCUAUUUUGCAUCGUCGACCCGUAUAUGCAUUGCUUGGAUCUCGUAAUUUGGCAACGAACUGUGGUAGACCCAUUAAUACUCCUUGGUAAAUCUGUUGUUCCCCUCAUUGCUUCACAAGAUCCCCACACUGCUCCAUAGUGCACCUUUGUUCUUAGCGCUUUUAUUUUGGCAAUUUAUUUUCCUUAAUAAAUUCACCCGUAGAUCUGUAAUUUCUUGCAUCAUAUUGAAAACAUGUUUAUCGUUAACCAGAAAACUUCUAAGGGGAAUUUAGAAACGUAACCCGCCCUUAGUGUUGUGGCUAGUCACAAUGUCCUUUUAGAUAUUUCCCCAAUUUUUUACUGGCUAGUCACUCUUGACGUGCAACUAUUCCUGACUUGAUGCCUCCACGGCAACGGAGCUAGAAAAGAGCUGCUCCCAAUUUCUCAACAAUUAGAUAUUGUCUUGCAAUAGCACAACAGCGCAUGGGAUCGAGGCAGUUUUCGAGGGUAGAGUAUUCAACCCAAAUUUGUUGGUUCGCGCGACGGGAAGUGAAAGAAUAUUCUCAAGUAUUAGCAGCUGAAUGCGUCAGAUUCAACCACACCUGAAAGAUUAGUGUCUGCAAGCAAAGUGUCAACAACAAAGUAGUAUGAUAACAACGGUGCCACAAACAAUCUGUUGACGGCAGACUUUUCCUAACUGUUGUAUCAAUGGCGCCAGAAAAGUAUUGUAGCAGGUAGCAGCAGUGUAACGAGUAACAGCAGUGGCAAGCAACACAGUAGUGACAGCAGUAGCAAGUAGCAACAGUAGCAAGUAGCAGCAGAGCAAAGCAAGUAACAACAGCAACAAGUAACAGUAGCAGCAACAAUAGUAACAGCAGCAGAGCAAAACAAGUAACAACAGCAGUGGGACAAACUCGUAGGCAAUGGGUCGGUGAUUUGUCGGAUGACAUUCAUCAUGCAACAGUUAUAACACGAAGAGAUAUGUGGCUAGCUCCCGUUCGUUAAUGUGUUGUAGGCAUGCAUUCCGUGUGUCGUCAUACGUGCUUAGGGAAAAGAACUUGCAUGACAUCUAUUGUCCAUCCCUCCCGUGGCAGCGGGGUCCAAAAGGAUAUUACGGAUAUUAAGGUUCUCCUUUUAAUAAAGAACCAGACCAACGCAUUAGCACUUGGUGAGCACAUGAACUCCUCAAACUAUGGUCAUCACCGGGAGUGGUUCUGGUUAUUGUCACUCCGGGGUUGCCGGGUCAUAACACAUAGUAGGUAACUACAACUUGCAAGAUCGGAUCUGAAACACACAUAUAUUGGUGACAACAUAAUAAUUUCAGAUCUGAAAUCAUGGCACUCGGGCCCUAGUGACAAGCAUUAAGCAUGGCAAAGUAGUAGUAACAUCAAUCUCAGAACAUAGUGGAUACUAGGGAUCAAUCCCCAUCAAAGCUAACUCGAUUACAUGAUAGAUCUCAUCCUACUCAUCACCGCCCAGCGAGCCUACGAAUAGAUUACUCACGAACGAUGAAGAGCUUCAUGGAAUUGGAGAGGGAAGAAGGUUGAUGAUGACGAUGGCGACGAUUUCCCCUCUCCGGAGCCCAAAACGGACUCCAGAUCUGCCCUCUAGAUGAAGAAUAGGAUGUGCCGGCGCCUCCGUAUCGCAAACGCGAUGAAAUCUUCUCUUCUGAUUUUUUUGGGACGAAAGGGAAUAAAUAGCGCUGGAGUUGGGGGCGGCAGAGCCACGUGGGCCCCACAAGCUUGGUUGCCGUGGCCAGGGGGUGGCCGCGGCGAUAGGGCUUGUGGCCCACUAGCCCGUCCCCUCCGGUGGAUCUUUGCACAGGUAUAUUUCAUAUUUUCCAGAAAUAUUCUCCGUAAAUUUUCAGGACGUUCUGAGAACUUUCAUUUGAGCAUGAAAACAACACCAUGGCAAUUCUGCUGAAAACAACAUCAGUCCGGGUUAGUUCCAUUCAAAUCAUGCAAAUUAGAGUCCAAAACAAGGGCAAAAGAGUUUGGAAAAGUAGAUACGAUGGAGAUGUAUCAACUCCCCCAAGCUUAAAACCUUGCUUCUCCUCAAGCAACUCAGUUGGCAAACUGAAAGAGAAAGAAAAACUUUGACAAACUCUGUUUGAUCUUGUUGUUGCAACUAUGUCUAACUCAUAAACAGAAUUUCAGCAAGAUCACAAUUUAACCACAUGAGCAAGUGACACAUAGGUCUCACGGUAAACGAAUAUCAAUGGCAUAAUCAGCUAGCGAGCAAAUAAUAAUGAGUUUCAGAUACCAACAAUUCAAUCAAAAUAAGCAUGAAGCAAUAUGAAUAGGUGGUAUCUUGCUAGCUCUUUGUGAGACCGCAAAACAUAAAUGCACAGCACUUUCAAAGAUCAAGGGCUGACUAAACAUUGUAAUUCAUAGCAACGAAGAUCCAGUCAUAGUCAUACUCAAUAUCAAUCAAAAGCAAAGCAUAAAAAUGAAAGAGGUGCUCUCUAAUUGGUGCAUAUAUAAGAAGAGGAUGACUCAACAGGAAAAUAAAUAGACAGGCCCUUCGCAGAGGGAAGCAUUGAUUUGCAGAGGUGCCAAAGCUCAAGCUUUGAAAACAGAGAUAAUAAUUUUGGGUGGCAUGCUUUCAUUGUCAACGCAAUGACCAAGAGUUCUCAAUAUCUUCCACGCUACACAUGCUAUAGGCGUUUCCCAAACAGAAAAGUAAAGUUUUAACUCCCCCACCACCAAUCAAUCACACUCCACGGCUAGCUGAAUCCUCGGGUACCGUCCAUACUAAAUCAAUCCGGGGGAGUCUUUUUUACAGUUAUGUUUUCGAUUUAGGCAUGGAACUGGGAAUUCCAAUUAUCGACCCCUUUCGUGAAUGACAGUGAAUAAACACAUGUCGAGGAUAACACGCCUAACAUGGAAGAUACCAAUAGCCCCCUGUCACCACAUGAGCGGUUCGGGCAUGCAAAAUAGAUUAUUUCUUGAAGGUUUAGAGAAUGGCACAUGCAAAUUUACUUGGAACGGCUGGUAGAUACCACAAAUAGGUAGGUAUGGUGGACUCUCAUGGAAAAACUUUUGGGUUUAUGAAAGUGGAUGCACAAGCAGUAUUCCGCUUAGUACAAGUGAAGGCUAGCAAAAGACUGGGAAGCGACCAACUAGAGAGCGACAACAGUCAUCAAGAUGCAAUGAGUUUGACUAACAUCGAGUGCAAGCAUGAACAGGAUAUAAAUCACCAUGAACACGAACAUCUUAGAGGCUAUGUUGAUUUUGUUUCAACUACAUGCAUGAACAUGCGCCAAGUCAAGCCACUUGAAACAUUCAAAGGAGAAUACCAUCCUAUCAUGCUACAUCAUAGUCAUCUCAAAAUCUAUGCUGGCAUUCAAGACAAACCAUUAUGAGCUCCUAGCUAAUUAAGCAUGGCAUCAGAAACUAUGAUCUCUAAGUUGUCAUUGCAAACAUGUUUCUCUCACAACAAAGCUGAAUAUGGGACGACAAGCUAGUCAUAUUUACAAAAACAAAAUAGAUAGAGUUCAUACCAGCUUUUCCGGUCUCAGUCACUUCAUCAUAUAUCAUAAUUAUUGACUUUCACUUGCAUGAUCGAAUGAUGUGAACAAUAAUAAGAGUGCUCGUGCAUUGGACUAAGCUGAAUCUGCAAGCAAACACAAAGGAGAAGACAAAGUAAUAUGGCUCUUUGAAAGCUAAACAGGUAUGCAUGCAAGAGCCACUAAACAUUGUAACCAAUAUCUUCUACCUUGACCCAAAGAAAAAGAAAACUAUUUACACGGGAAAGCUCCCAACAAGCAAAAGAAGAAAGGAAAAUCUUUUUGGGUUUUCUCAAAAAGGACACAAAACAAGAAAACGAAAAUAAACUAGCAUGGAUAAUAAAGAGGCAAAGUGUAAACACCGACUAACAAAGUGAAAGCAUAAGCAUGAAUGUAAGGUCGGUGAGAACACGUACUCCCCCAAGCUUAGGCUUUUGGCCGAGCUUGGUCUACUUCCAAGGCGGGAAAUAACCAGCUCCGGGAUACUCCGGAGCGGACUGUGGAUGCCACUGCUAUGUGAGCUCCUCUGGCUCCCACUGAUAAACUGGCGUCUGGUACUCGACUAGCGUAUCGGGCACGGGCACCUGUGGUUGUGCCAAGCCCCAAUAUGCGUAGAUGUCUGAGGGCAUACUAGUGUACCUGCCUGCAUGAAGAUCGAACAAAGAAGGAGCAGGCAAAGUAAUAGUCUCUCGAGUACCCUGACUAAAUACCAGGUUAUAAAUCAUCCGUCUACUAGCAUCUCUAUCCAGAAAAUCAUGGCGAACCAUGCUGUCAUAAUCCACAUAUUUCUCAAGAAGAAGCAUCUCUUCUUCCUCCCCCAGUCUAAUGGGUAUCUCAAAGUGUCUGGCAAGACGGGUAGCACAGAUACCUCCAUAGACGACACCUUUGGAACGGUUUGUGUUCAACCGCUGAGCUACUAUAGCACCUAGGCUAUAAGUCUUAUCGUUAUAAAGGCCUUCGUGCAAAACCACAAGGUCUGGAGAGCUAAGUGAUCCAGCCUCCCCACGGCCAAUCAAACAUUUUCCCACAAAUAAUGAGAAGUACCGAAGCACAGGAAAAUGUAUGCUAGCAAUUCUAGCGCGAGACUAUCCUCUCUCCUCUCCAACAGCAAUAGUACCUAUGAAAUCCUCCAAGUCCUGUGGACGAGGAUCAUGAAUAUCCCCAACAUAAGGUAAUUUGCACACAUUCGAAAAAUCCUGCAGUGUCAUGCACUGGGGGAUAUCGUAUAACAUGAACUCAACCAUGGGAGGAUUCUUCCUCGGAUAAAAGUUGAAGCUUUGAACAAAAAUAUUGGUGAGGAGGAGGUAUUGUGAGCACUUAUCUUCAACGAACGCCAUAAGACCUGCGUUCUCCACCAAGUAAUAAAAGUCUUCAUAAAGCCCAGCGGCGCGCAAAAAUUCAUCACUUGGCCACUCGCACGCUCGAACUUCUGUGACUCGAGGAACCACGUACUUGAGGUGGUUCUUCUCAUCCUCCUUGGGGUUACGGCUUGAAGAGCCUCUCAAGAACCUCCUCAUCCUUUUCCUUUUCUAGCUCUGAAAAAUUCUGAAAUUUUUAGAGACUUCAAAAGAAAAGUGAAUAAAGAUUAACCCAACUCGUAGCAAGUACUCCUACUAGGGCCUAGAGACCGUAUCACACGCUAAAACUACUCAGGACCAGCUAAAAUCAACAUUUCAAGCUCAAGAACAGGGUCACCAAGGUAGCAAGAAUACGCGAAGGAUAAAGCACUAGAGCAAAAACUAAUUGGACCAAUGGAGGAGUCACUUACCAAGGAGUAAUUUCCCCAAAACAGUUCAGAGAAUGGUGCUUUGAGCAAGGAGAUCGAAAAUCACAGCCAAAUGAGCAAGAACACGGGUUUGAGCUGCAAAACGAUUUUUUUUGGAGGUAGACGAAGAGGAUGGGAGCUGGAAUGAGUGGAGGGGGUCCCUGUGCGCCCCACAAGCUUGGUUGCCGCGGCCAGGGGGAGGCCGCGGUGAGAGGGCUUGUCGACCACUGGUGUGGCCCCCAGACCAGCUCUCAGUCCCAGUAUUUUUCAAAUAUUCGAGAAAAAAUCAUACUAGAUUUUUAAGACCAUCGGAGAACUUUUAUUUUCGGGGUAUUUUUCUCCGGGAUGCUAAAACAGGAAACAUUGAACACUAAACUAAAUCUAUCAUUUUCCCUCUAAGCAACAGAAAGUGAAAGCUUAAAACAGAGGUAUGUGACUCCUUGAUUCAUCCAUUUCAUGGUCAUCGAAAGAAAUCCGUCAACGGGGUUGAUCAAAUCCUCAUGACAAAAAAUUUCGAAUCGCAAAUGGAAACGGAGAAUUGUCGAACAGCCACUAAAUCACCUCAAUGGGGAUAUGUAUCUCCCCAACAAGCAAAUCAUACUUCAUCUUGACACGAGGAAUAUGGCAUUCAAAGCUCCCAAUAAGAAUCGAUGAAGUUUUUUCGAUAGCACUGAUGCAAUGUACUUGAUAUCGUUUCUUCGGAAAGUGCACUGUAUGCUCAUUACCGUUGACAUGGAAGGUGACAUUGCCUUUGUUGCAAUCUAUAACAGCCCCUGAAGUGUUUAAAAAAGGUCUUCCGAGGAUGACAGCCAUGGCAUCGUCCUCAGGAAUAUCCAAGAUAACAAAGUUUGUUAAGAUAGUGGUGCUAGCAACCACAACAGGCACAUCCUCGCAAAUGCCGACAGGGAAAGCAGUUGAUUUGUUGGCCAUUUGCAGAGAUAUUUGAGUGGGUGUCAACUUAUCCAGUUCAAGUCUACGAUAAAGAGAGAGAAGCAUAACACUAACACCGGCUCCAAGGUCACAUAAGGUAGUUCUUCUGCAGUUUCGUUUAAUGGAGCAAGGUAUAGUGGGCACUCCGGGAUCACCAAGUUUCUUAGGAGUUCCACCUUUGAAAGUGUAAUUGGCAAGCAUGGUGGAGAUCUCAGGAUCUGGUAUCUUCCGUUUAUUGGUCACGAUAUCUUUCAUGUACUUGGCAUAUGGAGACAUUUUGAGCAUAUCAAUUAACAGCAUCUGCAGAAAGACGGGUCUUAUUUUUUCAAUAAAGCGCUCAAAAUCCUCAUCGUCCUUUUUCUUGGAUGGCUUAGGAGGAAAGGGCAUAGGUCUCUGAACCCAUGGCUCCCUUUCUUUACCAUGCUUCCUAGCAGUGAAGUCAUUCUUAUCGUAUCUCUUAGGUUGUGGGUUAUCAGGAUUAACCGUAGGUUCAAUAUCCACAUCCUUAUCAUUGCUAGGUUGAGCAUUAUUAUGAACAUCGCUGUCCAUUUUGUCACCAGGUUCAUGUUCCUCACCAGAUUGUGUUUCUGCAUCAGACGCAGAAACAUCAUUUGGUUCUUCAUGGGUGACAACAUUUGGUGAACUGACAUGUAGGUUUCUAUCAUCCUUCUUCUUAUUCUUAGGAUGACUGGGUGUAUCAACAUUAAUUCCUUGAGAAUCAUGAUCAAUUCUCUUAGGGUGGCCUUCAGGAUACAAAGGUUCCUGAGUUGUUUUGCCUCCUCUAGUAAUGACUCUGACAGAGUUGUCAUUUAAUUCAUUGAGCAAGUCAUUCUGAGCUUUAAGUACUUGUUCUACCUGAGUAGUAAUCAUAGAGGCAUGUUUACUCAGAAGCUUCAAAUCAUUGACAUUUCUGUCUACACAAGCACUUAAAUGACUAAGCAUACGAGUACUUUGUUCCAAAUGUCUGCUAACAUAAUCAUUGAAACUCUGUUGUUUGGCAAAAAAGUUGUCAAAUUCAUCGAAGCAUAGGCUAGCAGGUUUGUCAAAAGGAAUAUCACUCUCAUCAAACCUAUGCAGAGAAUUCACUUCUACUACUUGUAUCGGGUUAUCGAGACCAUGGAUCUCUUCGAUAGGUGGUAGAUUUUUUACAUCUUCAGAUAUAAUGCCUUUCUCUUGCAUAGAUUUCUUGGCUUCUUGCAUAUCUUAGGGACUGAGGAAUAGAAUACCUCUUUUCUUAGGAGUUGGCUUAGGAGGUGGUUCGGGAAUAGUCCAAGCAUUAUCAUUGAUCAAGAUGUUAUUCAGCAGGUUCUAAACUUGUUCUAUAGUUUGUUCCCUAAAAACACAACCGACACACCUAUCUAGGUGGUCUCUACAAGCAUUGGUAAGUCCGUUAUAGAAGGUAUCAAGUAUCUCGUUCUUCUUAAGAGGGUGAUCAGGCAAAGCAUUCUGUAGCUGGAUGAGCCUCCCCCAAGCUUGUGGGAGACUCUCUUCUUUGAGUUGAGCAAAGUUGUAUAUUUCCUACAAGGCAACUUCCUUCUUAUGGGCAGGGAAAUAUUUCUCACAAAAGUAAUAGACCAUAUCCUGGGGACUACUCACACAUACAGGAGCAAGAGAAGUGAACCAUGCUUUAGCGUCAUCCUUUAGAGAGAAAGGAAACAGCUUAAGGAUAUAGUAGUAGCGGAUCUUCUCCUCACUAGUGAAAAGGGUGGCUAUAUCAUGUAGUAUGGUAAGAUGGGCUACGACCGUCUCAGACUCAUAACCGUGGAAUGGAUCAGAUUCGACUAGAGAGAUUAUCUCAGGGUCGACAGAGAAUUCAUAAUCCUUAUCGGUGAUAAAGAUAGGUGAAGUGGCAAACUUCGGGUCGUAUUUCAUCCUAGCUUUCAGAGAUUUUUCCUUCCACUUGAGAAGUAAUUUCUCAAUGUCAUAGGCGCCCUUACAUGCAAGAAAAUCCUCAGCUAUCUCUCCCUCCAUAAUGUAACCCUCAGGUAUAUUAGGCAAUUCAUAUAUAGGAGAGCUAGAUCUAGCAGGAGCAAAAGCAGGUUCUAUCUCAAUAGUCUCGGCAGUUUCAGAAGCAUCACGAGCAUUGGCAGUAACUCUAGCAAUAUGAGCAUCAAGGAAUACCCCUAGUGGCAUAUCAGGCAAAGUGGUAUCUCUAGCAGUAUCAACCAUAGCAUCAUUAGGCGAAAUAGCAUCUCUAGCAUCAUCAGGCAAAGCAGUAUCAAGCAUAGCAUCUCUAGCAGUAUCAGGCAUAACAUCUCUAGUAGUAUGAGGCAUAACAUCAUCAAGCAUAGUAGCAUCAUAAGCAUCAUCAAGCACAGGCGACAUAUCAAGAUUUCUAGCAGGAGGUGGUGUCGCAAACUUACUCAUAACUGAAGGUGAAUCAAGUACAGAGCUAGAUGGCAGUUCCUUACCUCCCCUCGUAGUUGAGGGCAAGACUUUGGUUUUUGGAUCUUUCAGAUUCUUCAUAGUGAUCAGCAGAUACUUGUCACGCCCUAGAUGCGACCCUAUCCUUAAUUUGGCGCGAGGGACUCGUCAGGGAUAGAAGCGCAUCUCGUCGUUUUGCAAGAAUGGAUGUCGUCACAAGUACAUGUACUGAAUAGAAGAGAUAUAUAUAGAGUUGGUUUACACUCGCCACAAGCUACGUCAGAGUCACAUCAGUACAUUACAUAAUCAUCAAGAAUAAGAGCAGGGUCCGACUACGGACGAAAAGAAACGAGAAAAGAAGAACGACGUCCAUCCUUGCUAUCCUAGGCUGCUGGCCUGGAACCCAUCCUAGAUCGAUGAUGAAGAAGAAGAAGAAGCAACUCCAAAUGAACAAUCAACGCGCUCGCGUCAAGUAACCUUUACCUGUACCUGCAACUGGUGUUGUAGUAAUCUGUGAGCCACAGGGGACUCAACAAUAUCAUUUCCAAAGGUAUCAAGACUAGCAAAGCUUAAUGGGUGAGGCAUGGUUAAGUGGUGAGGUUGCAGCAGCGGCUAAGCAUAUAUUUGGUGGCUAAACUUACGAGUACAAGAAAUAAGAGGGGGAUGAUCUACGCAUAACGGACGUGAACUACUGAUGAUCAAAUGAAUGAUCCUGAUCACCUACCUACGUCAGACAUAACCCCACCGUGUCCUCGACAGGAGAAAGAACUCACGAAAGAGAUGGUCACGGUUACGCACAUAGUUGGCAUAUUUUAAUUUAGUUAACUUCAAGUUAUCUAGAACCAGUGUUAAACAAAGUUUCCACGUUGCCACAUAACCGCGGGCACGACUUUCUGAAAAGAUUUAACCCUACAGGGGUGAUCCAACUAGUCCAUCACAAAUUAGAACAAGCCGCAAAGAAAUCCUCAGUCACGAAGCUCACGAUCUCGUCGGAUUUCCUAGUGGAAAACCUCAACUCUGAGAUUACCCAAAGCAUCACCGGAAUCCCGAUGCACAAGAUAUCUCGUCAAAGGUAAAACUAAUCCAGCAAGGCCGCCCGGCGUGUCGACGAUCCCGAUAGGAGCCGCGUACCUCGUUCUCAGGACACGACGGAUGAGCGACUAGUACGAGUGCCAAACCUCGAGUUUCCUUGCAGUGGCCCCGCACAGUGCUCUGUUUUGGACCAGCACCAUCAGCACUGGACCUCCCUGUAUUAUGUAGAAUUACUCCUCGGGUAGCACUAACUCAAUAUGCAUUUCAGUUUAUCAAAUUAUUAUGUUGGGCAAAAUAUUAACAAUGUUGGGCCUUGCCAGACCAGCUUUAAUCUAAAACGAAUUAUCAAGGGGGUCCCCAUAACAACCCCGAUCGUGUUAGGAGCACUCAAUUAUGGAACAUAACAACGGUAGCCGAAACUAAGGGGGCAAAGGUGGAACAAAACACCAGGCUAGAAAGGCCGAGCCUUCCACCUUUUACCAAGUAUAUAGGUGCAUUAAAUUAAAUAAAAUUUAAUAGGGUGAUAUAACAAGGAACCCAUGUUAACACAUGGAAACAACUACACCUGCAACUAGCAACGCUAACAACAAGGAUAAGCAAGCGGUAACAUAGCCAAUCAGUUGUUUGCUAGGUCGAACAGGUUGAAGGUUAUCAUGGCAUUGUUGAGAGGCUGAUAUUUGAUCGGCCGGGCCCUGGCGGCGGCUGAGGGAGGAGCUGCGGGCAUGGAAAACGAUGGGGGGUUCAGGGUUUCCUAAAAAUUAGGGCAAGGCUUAUUUAUAACAAAUGGGGGGGCUAGGUUUAUCCGAAUUCGGCCCCAUUUUCGCCCACGCGAUCGUAAACGAACGAACUCGAAUGCGGGGUCGGCUAAACGACCGCGUAGAGUAGGCUAGCCGGGGAAGAGAGGGAAACGGUGUGGCACGGAAACAAAUUUUAAAACACCGACAUACGUCCGACGGUGGGCCGAAUACGGUGCCGCUACGGUCGACCGUUCGGGUACCGGAUGAACUCCGAUCACGACGAAAUUCGACAGGCGGUCUAGCGAUAACUAAUUACGACCGCAUGCCAAGUUUCACCCCGAUCAGAGAAAGUUUUACAUGCACUUCUAAAACAGGGUUUCAACGGUGCCGGGGGCGCGUGCGUGUGCGGUCGGCUCAGAAGGGACAACGACGAGAACCUGCAACUAACAACGGAUGCAAGUUUCGAAAACUGGCGGCAACAGGAUGCCGAUGCAAUGCAGAUGAUGCGCAUAAUGCGAUGAUGAUGCGACAAAAGAAAAUAGACACACGACGAAAAUGGAAUAGAAGGGGAAUCUUGUGGAACGUCGGCAUCAGGCUGUCACAAUAAAUCCCAAAUGACUCAGAGAAUACCGCGGCCUCCCUCCCCGGCAACGGUGCCAGAAAAAUGCUGUUGACGUGCAACUAUUCCUGACUUGAUGCCUCCACGGCAACGGAGCCAUAAAAGAGCUGCUCCCAAUUCCUCAACAAGUAGAAAUUGUCUUGCAAUAGCACACCAGCGCGUGGGAUCGAGGGAGUUUUCGAGGGUAGAGUAUUCAACCCAAAUUUGUUGGUUCGCGCGACGGGAAGUGAAAGAAUAUUCUCAAGUAUUAGCAGCUGAAUGCGUCAGAUUCAACCACACCUGAAAGAUUAGUGUCUACAAGCAAAGUCUCAACAACAAAGUAGUAUGAUACCAACGGUGCCAGAAAUGAUAUGUUGACGGCAGACUAUUCCUAACUAUUGUAUCAAUGGCGCCAGAAAAGUAUUGUUGUAGGUAGCAGCAGUGUAAUGAGUAACAGCAGUGGCAUGGAACAGCAGUAGUGACAUCAGUAGCAAGUAGCAACACUAGCAAGUAGCAGCAGAGCAAAGCAAGUAACAGCAGCAGCAAGUAACAGAAGCAGCAACAGUAGUAACAGCAGCAGAGCAAAACAAGUAACAACAACAGUGGGAAAAACUCGUAUGCAAUGGGUCGGUGAUUUGUCGGAUGACAUUUAUCAUGCAACCGUUAUAACACGGAGAGAUAUGUGGCUAGCUCCCGUUCGUCAAUGUGAUGUAGGCAUGCAUUCCGUGUGUCGUCAUACGUGCUUAGGGAAAAGAACUUGCAUGACAUCUAUUGUCCAUCCCUCCCGUGGCAGCGGGGUCCAAAAGGAUACUACGGGAUAUUAAGGUUCUCCUUUUAAUAAAGAACCGGACCAACGCAUUAGCACUUGGUGAACACAUGAACUCCUCAAACUAUGGUCAUCACCGGGAGUGGUUCUGGUUAUUGUCACUCCGGGGUUGUCGGGUCAUAACACAUAGUAGGUAACUACAACUUGCAAGAUCGGAUCUAAAACACACAUAUAUUGGUGACAACAUAAUAAUUUCAGAUCUGAAAUGAUGGCACUCGGGCCCUAGUGACAAGCAUUAAGCAUGGCAAAGUAGUAGCAAUAUCAAUCUCAGAACAUAGUGGAUACUAGGGAUCCAUCCCCGUCAAAACUAACUCGAUUACAUGAUAGAUCUCAUCCUACUCAUCACCGCCCAGCGAGCCUACGAAUAGAUUACUCACGAACGAUGAAGAGCUUCAUAGAAUUGGAGAGGUAAGAAGGUUGAUGAUGAGAAUGUCGACGAUUUCCCCUCUCCGGAGCCCAAAACGGACUCUAGAUCUGCCCUCCAAAUGAAGAACAGGAUGUGGCGGCGCCUCCGUAUCGCAAACACGAUGAAAUCUUCUCUUCUGAUUUUUAUGGGACGAAAGGGAAUAAAUAGCACUGGAGUUGGGGGCGGCACAGCCACGUGGCCCCCACAAGCUUGGUUGCCGCGGCCAGGGGGGUGGCCGCGGCGACAGGGCUUGUGGCCCACUGGCCCGUCCCCUCCGGUGGAUCUUUGCGCAGGUAUUUUUCGUAUUUUCCAGAAAUAUUCUCCGUAAAUUUUCAGGACAUUCCGAGAACUUUCAUUUCUGCACAAAAACAACACCAUGGCAAUUCUACUGAAAACAGCGUCAGUCCGGGUUAGUUCCAUUCAAAUCAUCCAAAUUAGAGUCCAAAAUAAGGGCAAAAGAGUUUGGAAAAGUCGAUACGAUGGAGACGUAUCAGUCACCACUUUGUAGGUCCUUACGACCCGCCAUUCAUCCUUAUGCAGAUCUCUGUUCCUGUCUUUUAAGCUUCGCAGUCAUAGGCACCAUCUCCAAAUGCAACUGGUUACCGACAGAGGUCGACGACACCUUCCUUGCAAAUUUCGUGAAGGUGGGUAAUCUCGCGCCGGAGGAAGCGGUUGGCUGGCAAACUGCCUUAGGGGAACAACGCCCACAACCCGCUGAUUGAGAGGUAGUUGUAUUUACUAAUCACAUCGAGCGAAGAUUCACGCAGCCCGGCUCAAAGUUCUUCAGGGACACCCCACAUUUCUUCAACCUCCAUCCCCAGUACUUAGGCCCAAACUCCAUCAACGUUCCAAGUAUUCUGCGAAGAUUACUUGCAAAUAGGGCCCACCGUGCUCUUGUUCAGGAAGUUCUUCUAUUUGAACCGCGAGAUAGAGUUAGCCCAUAGGCCUUGCCAAGAGUUUUGAGGAGUCAAUAUCCAGAGGCGACGAGAAUGCGGGUUCCCGGCCGCUUCACUGCCCAGUCACCCCAAAGGUUGGGCAAAGACUUGGUUUUACUGCCGGGACACCUCUCCACCCAAUGAGAACCCCUUACCAGGUUUUAGGCAGGAGGGUCUGCCCAUGGACUUUAAAUUGGAUGAGAUGCUAAUUGAUCAAGAGGAAGCUUCACUUACCCCUGUCUUUGCAAAGCUCAGGGUUUUAACCGCCAACGGCCUUACUAGCAUUGAUCUGAUCCGAUGUUGGGUGGAAUGGAGGAUUAUGCCUUUAAGCCACCGGGACGGCUUAAUGCGUGAGUACAAUGGAGACAUAAACCAUCCACAAUGCUUCUACCACGUUAGACUUGAAGAAGGGAACAUUAUUGAUAUCGUGAAGAAAUUAAGUGGCGAGCCUAUUGAGAACUGCUCCAAGAUUGGGUUAAGACCGUUCUGCGUUUCCAACCCGGCUCCAGAGGUGAACCAUCUCAACUCGCCUUUCUAGAUUUUUAUAUACUCAGGCUUGUCUCUGAUCCGGGCUUUAAUACGUCAAUCAGAAGGACUCGUCUUUUUGGAAACGAAGACCCAAAAUUUUCGUCAAGAAAGUGCCAAAACCUGCCCCAAAGAAUAAGAAAACCAGGGGCAAAGCCGCCACAAAGGAGUCAUCCAUUGUGGGAGAGUCUUGGGUCGCCGAGGAACAAUCAGAGGUAAAUGCUCUUGUCUUCAUUAUUCUAACCCGACUUGUACUCAUGCAUUGCCUCUUCUAUUUAUAGGAUGAUGACAUAGAGAGCCAAGAUGAAGACAUCGAGGUAAUUUCCAUUUCUUCCGACUCAAAAUCUUCUCCCCCAAGCCGGCAAGGCGAAUCUAUAGGAAAGUCCCACUGUCUCACCCAGAUGCUUAUGUGGAUCCCAAUUUCCUUUUGAAGAAGGCGAGUUUUACGCCAAACCGUCAUACUCGAAGCCGCUCUGGGGACCUCCUCUCCGGCUUGCCUGAGAAAACGGCUCGUCGUAAAUGACAAAGUGAGGUACAUUUUUUAUAUUAAACGUCCUUCCUUCUCGUGCAAAUUAUUUUCACAGCUUCCUCAACCUCUAAAUCUUAUAUCCAACAGGUUUCACCUCCUUCAUAUGGCGAUUCAGCUGCUUCAGCUCUUCCCCCGUUAAUCCGCCUUCAGGGGUAGGUUCCUUUGUCAACAUGCUCUUUUUGGUGCCAAUCUUUCUAUUUUAACAUAUUUACCAUAUUUUAUUGGGCUUAAGCAAAGAAGAGCAAAAACCGGCGAGUCGUCGUCCGCUCCUAAGGCGGCUGAAAUAUUUGGAAUGAGUACUUCCAUCCCAGAAGCUCAAGGUGAACCGGCUGAGAUUCACGCCGAAGACUCUGAUGAUUUCCUUGAGAUCCGGGAUGAGCUUCCGAGCCCUCAAAAGGAAACAACCGAAUACCUCAACCCGCCAAGUCCUCAAAAGGUGGCUGACGGCGUGAUGCGUGACUCAGAUCCAGUCAUCGUUGUUGGUACAAGUUUUUCCAAACCUGCAUCUGCAGUACUGACCAAGCAUGCGCCCAAUGAUGCCCCAGUAUUUGUGGAGAAGGACAUGUCCAAGUUGAAGCUUCCCAAUUUUGAGAAGCUGGAGAUUGAUGAACUGAAUUCUAGCUUUGUGAGUCACCAUGAGACGAGCGAUGAAAUGGAAAAGAGCUUGGUUAACAUGAUGAGAAGAAAACAUGAGGUAUGAUACGUUUUAACCUCCUUGACAUGUCUUCCCAUUAGCGCUCCAAAGGGCGAGUCAUCUUUGAUGAAUCGAGCUUUGUAUAAAUUUUCAACCUAUAGCCCCCAAGGGUCGGCUCAUCUUUUAAAAGAUGAGUCGGGUCUUUAAUUUGCAUUUGAAGAAAGCUUCAACUUGUAGCCCCAAAGGUCGGUCAUCUUUUUAAACAUGAGCCGGGUCUUUAGCAUAUAUUUGAAGAAAACUUCAACCUGUAGCCCCCAAGGGCCGGGUCAUUAUUUUAAAGAUGAGCCGGAUCUUUAGCAUAUAUUUGAAGAAAACUUCUACCUGUAGCCCCCAAUGGACGGGUCAUCUUUUUAAAGAUGAGUCGGGUCUUUAGCAUAUAUUUGAAGCAAACUUCAACUUGUAGCCCCCAAGGGCCAGUUUGUAUUUUUAAAGAUGGGUUGGGUCUUUAGCAUAUAUUUGAAGAAAGCUUCAACCUAUAGCCCCCAAGGGCCGGGUCAUCUUUUUAAAGAUGAGCCGGGUCUUGCUUUAAGGUAUUACCUUAGAAAAAUGAAUCGUACAUUAGCCCCCAAGUGCCAGGGAUGUUGCUUGCAAUGUGCAUGAGACUUGCUUUGCCUUGCUGUUUCACAUGAAUCAUUGACCCAGGCCGACUCAACCAUGGCCGGCCUGAAGCAAAGUCUGGCUGAACAGCAAGACGCUCGAGCUAAAUCUGAAGAGAGACUUUGCCUUGCACUGGCUGAUAUGGAAAAAAUGAAGGCAGAGCACCAGGAGCACAAAAACAAGGCCGAAACUGAGCAAGCCGCCUUACUGAAAAGGGCGGAGCAGGCCGAGGAGCAGAUGAAGGCCGCCGUGCAGCAACUGUCCAGGUUAAAACUUCAUAUCUCAAAAAUGGCCAACUCUGUGUUUGGUAAGUGUCCACCGCCACCUUUCCUUCCAAAAUCGUGUUGUAAGACCUUCCGGCGACUUAUGAUCAUUGAUUUGUACCGCAGGUCCUCGAGCCGCCACUCUUCAUGAUGAUUACGUUUUAAAAUUAAAAGCAAUAUAUACCUUGAUAGAGCAACUGUACACUGGUGGUGUGAUGACUAUGAAGGCCGUUAUGGGCAACAAAGAGCCCAUAAAAUCAAUCAAGUAUAUGCUGGGAUGCUUGUCCACGCUGCCACCCCAAAUAGAAGAGCUAAAAAGGUGAGGCGCCCGGAAAGGAGCACUAACCACCCUGGGUCGGUGCUUGGCUUAUGCACGAGAGCUUAAGCCGGAGGAAGCGACUAGGGGAUUUCCAGAGUACAGUGAUGAUGGGGCAGAAUUUACUGAAGAAGAUUACCAUCACUGUGUGAAGGAAUCUCGCUUCACGGCGAUUCAACUCGCUGCCGGUCUAGACUUAACCAAGUAUCAGGCGGCUUAUGAUGAGCACAACAAGCGGGUAACUCCUCCCUCGUAUUAAAUCAUCGUUCUGACUCCGAAUCGCCGUAAGCAUCCUUUUGACUCUAAUGCCGACCUGUCCACCAUCUUGACUGAUGAGGAUGAGUUCUGUGCCUUGACAAUUGCAAUUGAAAAUUGGGUGACUUACAGAUCCAAGAUGGCGAAAGCUCAAGGCAGGAUAAUCCGGUGGCUUGAGCCAGGAAUUACUUGAAGAUCACCGCGAAGAACAGUUUAGAAAAUCCGUUGUCGGGUUUAUGCAAAUUUUUAUGGCCUUCCAAGCCAUGUAAUUUUCUACAGAUGAAAACAAUAUUGUGGUACACCUGUACCUUUGCUGACUUUGAAGUCUUACCCUUUUGUUAAUAUGAAUCGCCUUACUAGGUCUCUUUGCCAUGUCUUUGACAGAUAAUUACCCCCUGUUGUGAGAGAAUAAAUAAUAAGUCGGCUCAGUGAGACGCAGCGGUUUAGACUGAGUUUCUAGAAAACUCUUAACUAUGCUACAAAGAUACUUUGUAGUCAUAAAGGUUCCCGGCUCAAUGAGUCACGAUAGGGUAGGACGAGCUUGCAAGGCUCUAGUGCUACCCGAGGAAGGCUUUUGCAACAACCUUAGUUGUUUAGACCGGUUGAUCAGUGAACCCAUGGCUUGUCUAUUUUCCAUAUGCCGGCUCCCGCUAGCACCCUUCAUGUUUUAACCUAGGCAAGUUCAGGGUUCAAAAGCGGAUUGACUCGCCAAGAGUACAUGGGACCAUAGGGCGAGUCGCCAAACACACAGUCCAGUAUAACCAUUGUAAUGCAUUAAAUUUUUGCUAGCCUAGAGGGUAUUCAGGCUGAACUCAGUGAGUAGAAGCCCCCAAGUGACCUAUGAUUAGGGAUAGGUCGGACAGAGGAUUGCGGAAGCGUUUACGCUCUUACUGCAAAACGACUUCGGAGCUAGUAGCCCCCAAGUAAGCCGGCUUGAUUCUCGAAACCAUAUAGGGUGUUGACUCCGUAACAGCAGACCUUCCCUUGCAACGGCACCAGAAAAUUGCUUCUAGCACUCUCCGACAAUCGAAAAUAGAAGAAUGUUGUUGACGGCCCACCAACGCGUGGGAUCGUAGCAGUUUUCGAGGGUAGAGUAUUCAACCCAAAUUUGUUGGUACGCCUAUAUGAGGUGAGAGGAUACUCUCAAGUAUUAGCAACUGAAUAUGUCAGAUUCAACCACACCUGAAAGAUUAGUAUCUGCAAGCAAAGUAUCAGUAGCAAAGUAGUAUGAUAACAACGGUGUCAGAAACGAUCUGUUGACAUGACAGACUAUUUAUAACGAUUGUAUCAAUGGCGCCAAGUUGCCUCGUUGACGGAAAUUGUCAGUUCCAUCAACGACCAGUGAACCAAAACUGUAGCAGGUAGUUGUUGGAAAUAUGCCCUAGAGGCAAUAAUAAAUUAGUUAUUAUUAUAUUUCUUUGUUCGUGAUAAUCGUUUAUUAUCCAUGCUAUAAUUAUAUUGAUUGGAAACACAGUGCAUGUGUGGAUACAUAGACAAAACACUGUCCCUAGUAAGCCUCUAGUUGACUAGCUCGUUGAUCAAAGAUGGUCAAGGUUUCCUGACCAUAGGCAAGUGUUGUCACUUGAUAACGGGAUCACAUAAUUUGGAGAAUCAUGUGAUGGACUAGACCCAAACUAAUAGACGUAGCAUGUUGAUCGUGUCAUUUUGUUGCUACUGUUUUCUGCGUGUCAAGUAUUUGUUCCUAUGACCAUGAGAUCAUAUAACUCACUGACACCGGAGGAAUGCUUUGUGUAAUGUCGCAACGUAACUGGGUGACUAUAAAGAUUCUCUACAGGUAUCUCCGAAGGUGUUCGUUGAGUUAGUACGGAUCGAGAUUGGGAUUUGUCACUCCGUGUGACGGAGAGGUAUCUCGGGGCCCACUCGGUAAUACAACAUCACACANAGUCCCGGAUGAGAUCCAGGACGUCACGAGGAGCUCCGGAAUGGUCCGGAGGUAAAGAUUGAUAUAUAGGAAGUCCUGUUUUGGUCACCGGAAAAGUUUCGGGCUCAUCGGUAGUGUACCGGGAGUGCCGGGGACCAUCGGGAGGGGUGUCACGCCCCAAGGGGUCUCAUGGGCUAUGGGAAGAGAUAAACCAGCCCCUAGUGGGCUGGAAUAAAUUCCCACUAAGGCCCAUAAGGUUUGAGAAGGAAAAAACACAAGGUGGAAAGAGUUUCCAAGUGGGAAGGUGGAAUCCUACUCCAAGUAGGAUUGGAGUAGGACUCCUCCACCUCCAAUUUCGGCCAAACCUUGAGGGUUUGAGGCUGCCUCUUCCCUCCCCCUCCCUCCUAUAUAUACUAAGGUAUUAGGGCUGAUUUGAGACAACUUUGCCACGGCAGCCCGACCACAUAUCUCCACAGUUUUGCCUCUAGAUCGCGUUUCUGCGGAGCUCGGGCGGAGCCCUACUGAGAUUAGAUCACCACCAACCUCCGGAGCGUCGUCACGCUGCCGGAGAACUUAUCUACCUCUCCGUCUCUCUUGCUGGAUCAAGAAGGCCGAGAUCAUCGUCGAGCUGUACGUGUGCUGAACGUGGAGGUUCCGUCCGUUCGGUACUAGAUCGUGGGACUGAUCGCGGGACGGUUCGCGGGGCGGAUCGAGGGACGUGAGGAAGUUCCACUACAUCAACCGUGUUCACUAACGCUUCUGCUGUGCGAUCUACAAGGGUACGUAGAUCGAAUAUCCCCUCUCGUAGAUGGACAUCACCAUGAUAGGUCUUCGUGCGCGUAGGAAAUUUUUUGUUUCCCAUGCGACGUUUCCCAACAGUGGCAUCAUGAGCUAGGUUCAUGCGUAGAUGUAAUCUCGAGUAGAACACAAAAGUUUUUUUGGGCGGUGAUGUGCGUCUUGCUGCCCUCCUUAGUAUUUUCUUGAUUCCGCUGUAUCGUUGGAUCGAAGCGGCUCGGACCGACAUUACUCGUACGCUUACGAGAGACUGGUUUCAUCGCUACGAGUAACUCCGUUGCUCAAAGAUGACUGGCGGGUGUCGGUUAUUCCAACUUUAGUUGAAUCAGAAUUGACCGAGGAGGUCCUUGGAUGAGGUUAAAUAGCAAUUCAUAUAUCUCCGUUGUGGUGUUUGCGUAAGUAAGAUGCGAUCCUACUAGAUACCCAUGGUCACCACGUAAAACAUGCAACAACAAUUAGAGGAUGUCUAACUUGUUUUUGCAGGGUAUGCUUGUGAUGUGAUAUGGCCAACGAUGUGAUGUGAUAUAUUGGAUGUAUGAGAUGAUCAUGUUGUAAUAGUUAAUAUCGACUUGCACGUCGAUGGUACGGCAACCGGCAGGAGCCAUAAGGUUGUCUUUAAACUAACGUUUGUGCUUGCAGAUGCGUUUACUAUAUUGCUAGGACGUAGCUUUAGUAGUAAUAGCAUGAGUAGCACGACAACCCCGAUGGCGACACGUUGAUGGAGAUCAUGAUGAUGGAUAUCAUGGUGUGACGCCGGUGACAAGAAGAUCGUGCCGGUGCUUUAGUGAUGGAGAUCAAGAAGCACAUGAUGAUGGCCAUAUCAUGUCACUUAUGAAUUGCAUGUGAUGUUAAUCCUUUAUGCACCUUAUCUUGCUUAGAACGACGGUAGCAUUAUGAGGUGAUCUCUCACUAAAAUUUCAAGACGAAAUUGUGUUCUCCCCGACUGUGCACCAUUGCGACUGUUCUUCGUUUCAAGACACCACGUGAUGAUCGGGUGUGAUAGACUCAACGUUCACAUACAACGGGUGCAAAACAGUUGCACACGCGGAACACUCGGGUUAAGCUUGACNNNNNNNNNNNNNNNNNNNNNNNNNNNNNNNNNNNNNNNNNNNNNNNNNNNNNNNNNNNNNNNNNNNNNNNNNNNNNNNNNNNNNNNNNNNNCUCCCCGACUGUGCACCAUUGCGACUGUUCUUCGUUUCAAGACACCACGUGAUGAUCGGGUGUGAUAGACUCAACGUUCACAUACAACGGGUGCAAAACAGUUGCACACGCGGAACACUCGGGUUAAGCUUGACGAGCCUAGCAUGUGCAGACAUGGCCUCGGAACACAUGAUACCGAAAGGUCGAGCAUGAAUUGUAUAGUUGAUAUGAUUAGCAUAGAGAUGCUUACCACUGAAACUAUUCUCGACUCACGUGAUGAUCGGACUUGAGAUAGUGGAUUUGGAUCAUGUACCACUCAAAUGACUAGAGAGAUGUACUUUUUGAGUGGGAGUUCUUAAGUAAUAUGAUUAAUUGAACUAAUUGUCAUGAACAUAGUAUAAUGGUCUUUGCGAAUUACAAUGUAGCUUGUGCUAUAGCUCUACUGUUUUUAUAUGUUCCUUGAGAAAAUUUAGUUGAAAGUUGAUAGUAGCAAACUUUGCAGACUGAGUCUGUGAAACCGAGGAUUGUCCUCGUUGCUGCGCAGAAGGCUUAUGUCCUUAAUGCACCACUCGGUGUCCUGCACCUCGAGCGUCGUCUGUAGAUGUUGGGAACAUCCGACAUACACGUUUCUGAUGAUUACACGAUAGUUCAGUACAAAAUACUUAAUGGCUUAGAAGCAAGGCGCCGAAGACGUUUUGAAACGUCACGGAACAUAAGAGAUGUUCUAAAGAGAUGAAAUUGUGAUUUCAUGCUUGUGCCCUUGUGAAGAGGUAUGAGACCUCCGACAAGAUUCUUUGUCCACGAAGUAAAGGAGAAAAGCUCAAUCGUUGAGCGUGUGCUCAGAUUAUGUGUGUACGACAAUCGCUUGAAUCAAGUGGGAGUUGAUCUUCCAGAUAAGAUAGUGAUGGUUCUCCAAAAUCACCGCCACCAAGCUGUGAGAGAUUCGUGAUGAACUAUAACAUAUCAAGGAUAGAUACAAUGAUCCUUGAGCGAUUCCCGAUGUUUGACACUGCGAAAGUAGAAAUCAAGAAGGGGCAUCAAUAGUUGAUGGUUAGUAAAACCACUAAGUUUCGAGAAAGGCAAGGGAUAGAAGGGAUACUUCGUGAAACGGCAAAGCAGUUGCUGCACUAAUGAAGAGACCCCAGAUUAAACCCAAGCCCGUGACUAAGUGCUUCUGUUAUGAGGGGAACGGUCACUGAGGCGGAGCAACUCCAGACACUUGGUAGACAAGAAGGCUGGCAAAAGUCGAAAGAAGUAUAUUUGAUAUACAUGAUGUUGAUGUGUACUUUACUAGUACUCCUAGUAGCAUGAGGGUAUUGGAUACCGGUUCGGUUGCUAAGUGAUUAGUAACACGAAAUGAAAGCUACGGCAUAAACGGAGACUAGCUAAAGGCGAGGUGACGAUACAUGUUGGAAGUGUUUCCAAGGUUGAUAUGAUCAAACAUCACACGCUCCCUCUACCAUCGAGAUAGGUGUUAAACCUAAAUAAUUGUUAUUUGGUGCUUGCGUUAAGCAUGAACAUGAUUGGAUCGUGUUUAUUGCAAUACGAUUAUUCAUUUAAAGAGAAUAAUGGUUACUCUAUUUGCUUGAAUAAUCACCUUCAAUGGUUUAUUGAAUCUCGAUUGUAGAGUUACACAUGUUCAUGAUAUUGGUGCCAAAAGAUACGAGGUAAUGAUGAUAGUACCACUUACUUGUGGCGCUGCCGCUUGAGUCAUGUUGGUAUAAAUUGCAUGAAGAGGCUCCAUGCUGAUGGAUCUUUAUACUCACUUGAUUUUGAAUCACUAAUGACAUGCAAAUCAUACCACAUGAGCAAGGCCUUGGUUUUAUUGAGAUGAAAUAAGAUAGUAACUUGUUGGAAGUGAUACAUUUUGAUGUAUGCAGUCCAAUAGGUGCUGAGGCACGCAGUGGAUGUCAUUAUGUUCUUACUUCAAUGACGAUUUGAGUAGAUACAAGAGUAUUUACUUAAUGAAUCACAAGUCUGAAAUAUUGAAAAUUUCAAUUCUGUUUCAGGAGUGAAGUUCGUCGUAACAAGAGGAUAAACUGUUUACGAUAUGAUCAUAGAAAUGAAUAUCUGAGUUACGAGUUUUGGUACGCAGUUAAGACAAUGUGGAAAUUGUUUCGCAGUUCAUGCCACCUGGAACAUCAUAGUGUGAUGAUGUGUCUGAACGUCAUAGCCACGCACUAUUUGGUAUGGUGCAUGCUAUGAUGUCUCUUAUCGAAUUACCACUAUCGUUUAUGGGUUAUGCAUUAGAGACAACCGCAUUCAGUUUAAAUAGGGCACCGCGUAUUUCCGUUGAGAUGACACAGUAUAGACUGAGGUUUAGAGAAAUCUAAACUGUCGUUUCUUGAAAGUUUGGGGCUUCGACACUUAUGUGAAAAAGUGUAAGCUCGAACCCAAAGCGGAUAAAUGCAUCUUCAUAGGAUAUCCAAAACAGUUGGGUACAUCUCCUAUCUCAGAUCCGAAAGCAAAGUGUUUGUUUCUAGAAACGGAUCCUUUCUCGAGGAAAGGUUUCUCUCGAAAGAAUUGAGUGGGAGGGUGGUGGAACUUGAUGAGGUUAUUGAACCAUCACUUCAACCACUGUGUAGUAGGGCGCAGGAAGUUGUUCCUAUGGCGCCUACACCAAUUGAAGUGAAAGCUGAUGAUGGUGAUCAUCGAGCAUCGGAUCAAGUUACUACAAACCUCGUAGGUUGACAAGGUCACGUACUACUUCAGAGUGGUACGGUAACCCUGUCUUGGAGGUCAUGUUGUUGAGCAAUGGUGGGCCCGGAUUCCGACAAAUGGCUGGAGGCCAUGAAAUCCGAGAGAGGAUCCAUGUAUGAAAACAAAGUGUAGACUUUGGAAGAACUACUUAAUGGUCAUAGGACUAUUGAGUAAAGAUAGAUCUUUAAAAGGAAGACAGACGAUGAUGGUGAUAAGUCACUAUUAAGAAAAGCUCGACUUGUCGCAAAGAUGUUUCCGACAAGAUCAAACAGUUGACUAUGAUGAGACUUUCUCACUCGUAGCGAUGUUGAAAGUCUGUUAGAAUUAUGUUAGUAGUUGCUGCAUUAUUUAUGAAAUAUUGCACAUAGGAUGUCAAAACAUUGUUUCCUCGACGGUUUCCUUGAGCAAACAUUGUAUGUGAUACAACCAGGAGGUUUUGUCGAUCCUAAAGAUACUUGCAAGUAUGCAAGCUCCAGCGAUCCUUCAAUGAACUGGUGCAAGCAUCUCGGAGUUAGAAUAUACACUUUGAUGAGAUGAUCAAAGAUUUUGGGUUUGUACAAGGUUUAUGAGAAACUUGUAUUUCCAAAGAAGUGAGUGGGAGCACUAUAGAAUUUCUGAUAAGAAUAUGUGGUUGACAUAUUGUGGAUCAGAAGUAAUGUAGAAUUUCUGUAAAGCAUACAAGGUUGUUUGAAAGGAGUUUUUCAAAGGAAUACCUGGAUUGCGCUACUUGAACGUUGAGCAUCAAAGAUCUAUGGAGAUAGAUCGAAAGCGCGUAACGGAAGUUUCAACAAGAUGCAUGCCUUGACAAGUUUUUUAAGGAGUUCAAAAUAGAUCAGCAAAGAAGGAGUUCUUGGUUGCGUUGUAAGGUGUGAAUUUGAGUAAGACUCAAAACCCGACCCCGGCAGAAUAAAGAGAAUAGACGAAGGUCGUCUUCUAUGCCUUGGCCGUAGAAUCUGAAGUAUGCCAUGCUGGGUACCGCACCUGAUGUGUGCCUUGACUCAAAGUCUGUUGAGAGGUACAGAGAGUGAUCCAUGAUUGAAUCACUAGCAGCGGUCAAAAUUUAUCCUUAGUAACUGAUGGACUAAGGAAUUUUUUUGAUUAUGGAGGUGGUUAAAGAGUUCGUCAUAAAAGGUUACGUCGAUGCAAGCUUUGACACUAAUCCGAAUAACUAUGAGUAGUGAAACGAAUUUGUAUAGUAGAGUAGAUAUUUGGAGUAUUUCCGAAUAGCACAUAGUAGCAGCAUCUAUAAGAUGACAUAAAGAUUUGUAAAGAACACACGGAUCUGAAAGUUUCAGAACCGUUGACUGAAACCUCUCUCACGAGCAAGACGUGAUCAGACCCCAUAACUAUACGGGUGUUGGAUUCGUUGGAAUCACAUGGUGAUGUGAACUAGAUUAUUGACUCUAGUGCAAGUGGGAGACUGUUGGAAAUAUGCCCCAGAGGCAAUAAUAAAUUAGUUAUUAUUAUAUUUCUUUGUUCAUGAUAAUCGUUUAUUAUCCAUGCUAUAAUUGUAUUGAUUGGAAACACAGUGCAUGUGUGGAUACAUAGACAAAACACUGUCCCUAGUAAGCCUCUAGUUGACUAGCUCGUUGAUCAAAGAUGGUCAAGGUUUCCUGACCAUAGGCAAGUGUUGUCACUUGAUAACGGGAUCACAUAAUUUGGAGAAUCAUGUGAUGGACUAGACCCAAACUAAUAGACGUAGCAUGUUGAUCGUGUCAUUUUGUUGCUACUGUUUUCUGCGUGUCAAGUAUUUGUUCCUAUGACCAUGAGAUCAUAUAACUCACUGACACCGGAGGAAUGCUUUGUGUUUAUCAAACGUCGCAACGUAACUGGGUGACUAUAAAGAUGCUCUACAGGUAUCUCCGAAGGUGUUCGUUGAAUUAGUAUUUAGCGAGACUGGGAUUUGUCACUCCGUGUGACAGAGAGGUAUCUCGGGGCCCACUCGAUAAUACAACAUCACACACAAGCCUUGCAAGCAAUGUGACUUAGUGUAAGUUGCGGGAUCUUGUAUUACGGAACGAGUAAAGAGACUUGCCGGUAAACGAGAUUGAAAUAGGUAUGCGAAUACUGACGAUCGAAUCUCGGGCAAGUAACAUACCGAAGGACAAAGGGAAUGACAUACGGGAUUAUAUGAAUCCUUGGCACUGAGGUUCAAACGAUAAGAUCUUUGUAGAAUAUGUGAGAUCCAAUAUGGGCAUCCAGGUCCCGCUAUUGAAUAUUGACCGAGCAGUCACUCGGGUCAUGUCUACAUAGUUCUCGAACCCGCAGGGUCUGCACACUUAAGGUUCGACGUUGUUUUAUGCGUAUUUGAGUUUUAUGGUUGGUUACCGAAUGUUGGUCGGAGUCCCGGAUGAGAUCCAGGACGUCACGAGGAGCUCCGGAAUGGUCCGGAGGUAAAGAUUGAUAUAUAGGAAGUCCUGUUUUGGUCACCGGAAAAGUUUCGGGCUCAUCGGUAGUGUACCGGGAGUGCCGGGAGGGGUGCCGGGGACCAUCUGGAGGGGUGUCACGCCCCAAGGGGUCUCAUGGGCUAUGGGAAGAGAUAAACCAGCCCCUAGUGGGCUGGAAUAAGUUCCCACUAAGGCCCAUAAGGUUUGAGAAGGAAAAAACACAAGGUGGAAAGAGUUUCCACGUGGGAAGGUGGAAUCCUACUCCAAGUAGGAUUGAAGUAGGACUCCUCCACCUCCAAUUUCGGCCAAACCUUGAGGGUUUGAGGCUGCCUCUUCCCUCCCCCUCCCUCCUAUAUAUACUGAGGUAUUAGGGCUGAUUUGAGAAAACUUUGCCACGGCAGCCCGACCACAUAUCUCCACGGUUUUGCAUCUAGAUCGCGUUUCUGCGGAGCUCGGGCGGAGCCCUGCUGAGAUUAGAUCACCACCAACCUCCGGAGCGCCGUCACGCUGCCGGAGAACUCAUCUACCUCUCCGUCUCUCUUGCUGGAUCAAGAAGGCCGAGAUCAUCGUCGAGCUGUACGUGUGCUGAACGCGGAGGUGCCGUCCGUUCGGCACUAGAUCGUGGGACUGAUCGCGGAACGGUUCGCGGGGCGGAUCGAGGGACGUGAGGACGUUCCACUACAUCAACCGCGUUCACUAACGCUUCUGCUGUGCGAUCUACAAGGGUACGUAGAUCGAAUAUCCCCUCUCGUAGAUGGACAUCACCAUGAUAGGUCUUCGUGCGCGUAGGAAAAUUUUUGUUUCCCAUGCGACGUUCCCCAACAGUAGUAGCAGUGUAACAUCAGUAGUGACAGCAGUAGCAAGUACCAAGAGUAGCAAGCGAGAGUAGUAGCAACACUAGUAGCAGAGCAAGACAAGUAAGAGCAGUAACAGCAGUAGUAACAGCAGCAAAGCAACACAAGUAACAGCAACAGUAGGACAAACUCGUAGGCAAUGGGUCGGUGAUUUGUUUGGAUGAUAUUCAUCAUGCAAUAGUUAUAACACGGAGAGAUAUGUGGCUAACUCCUGUUCAUCAAUGUGAUGUAGGAAUGCAUUCCGUGUGUCGUCAUACGUGCUUAGGGAAAAGAACUUGCAUGACAUCUAUUGUCCAUCCCCCCGUGGCAGCGGGGUCCAAAAGGAAACUUGCAAGAUCGGAUCUAAAACACACAUAUAUUGGUGACAACAUAAUAAUUUCAGAUCUGAAAUCAUGGCACUCGGGCCCUAGUGACAAGCAUUAAGCAUGGCAAAGUAGUAGCAACAUCAAUCUCAGAACAUAGUGGAUACUAGGGAUCAAUCCCCAUCAAAACUAACUCGAUUACAUGAUAGAUCUCAUCAUACUCAUCACCGCCCAGUGAGCCUACGAAUAGAUUACUCACGAACGACGAAGAGCUUCAUGGAAUUGGAGUGGGAAGAAGGUUGAUGAUGACGAUGGCGACGAUUUCCCCUCUCCGGAGCCCAAGACGGACUCCAGAAAGCUCCCAACAAGCAAAAGAAGAAAUAAAAAUCUUUUUGGGUUUUCUCAAAAGGACACAAAACAAGAAAAUAAAAAUAAACUAGCAUGGAUAAUACAGUGGCAAAGUGUAAACACCGGCUAACAAAGCGAAAGCAUAAGCAUGAAUGUAAAGUCGGUGAGAACACGUACUCCCCCAAGCUUAGGCUUUUGGCCUAGCUUGGUCUACUCCCAAGGAUGGUCCUUGCGAAACCCAAAAUCAUAAUGGGUGGUAUACGGGAGUGCUGCAGCCACUGCCUGAAUAGCUGCCUCACGAAGUCGAGCAGCAGUCGCCUCCCUCUCAUACUCCUCUGCCUCUCCUAUGGUUAUGUAGUGUCUUCGUUUUACCUGAAAGUCGAAGAAAGCAGGAGCAGGAAGGGUAAUAUGGAAAACACGCUGCCGGUUAAAUAUCAAGCGAUAUAGGAGGGAUCCAUGAUCUCUCUCAAGGAACUGGCAGCGUGUUAGAGCGACAUGAUCAAGGUAAGCUGUACAGAGAGGAGGGUCUUCUGGAAGGAUGGAUACUCCAAGAAAAUUUGCUAAGCGUGUAGCAUAAACUCAACCAAAGAAAUCCCCCUCACUGGCAUUUUUAUUCAGCCUCCUUUCUAUUAUAGCUCCCAUAUUGAAGCUCCUGUCACUUGUUACUGCGCUCUUAAGGAUACUAAGGUCGGAAGCGCAUAGGUGACAAUGUGCACCCUUGUCGUUAAUGCACCUAGCUAUGAAGAGGGCAAAGUAGUGCAAGGCAGGGAAAUGGAUGCUUCCUAUGGUGGCUUGCGUGAUAUCUCUGGUUUCUCCAACAGUUAUACUGGAGACAAAGUCUCUGACCGAAGACUUAGAAAGAUCAUUACUACUACCACCAUCGGGUAUCUUGCAAAUCCUAUUAAAAUCCUCCAAAUCCACGGUAUAGGAUUUAUCAUACAGAUCAAACAAUAUGGAUGAGUCACGGCCAACUGAAAAUUUAAAUCUACGCACGAAAGAGGCAGUGAGCAUAGCAUACUAUUCACAUUUAUCUGAGAGGAAUUCUUCUAACAUGGCAUUGCGGACAAGUGUAUCAAACUCAUCCUUGAAACCUGCUUCAAUCAUGAACUCGUCGGAAGGACAUUGACAUGGUUGUACCGGUGCAUCACUUAGUUGAAAAGGUUCGGGCUCCCGAAAAGAAAGACGGGGACCCUUCUUACUUGAGGAACCACCAUGAAAUUUCCUCCUGAACAUAAUUUCAUUUUGCUGAAAUUUUUGAAGUUCAAGAAAAAAGUGAAUGAAAACCAACCAUGCCUUGUAGCAACUACUCCUACUAGUGCCUAGAGACCGUAUCACGCGCUAAAACUACUUGGAACCAGCUAAAAUCGACAUUUCUAGCUCAAGAACAGUGUCACCAAGGUAGCAAGAAUACGCGAAGGAUAAAGCACUAGAGCAAAAACUAAUUGGACCAAUGGAGGAGUCACUUACCAAGGAGUAAUUUCCCCAAAACGGUUCGAAGAAUGGUGCUUCGAGCAAGGAGAUCGAAAAUCACAGCCAAGUGAGCAAGAACACGGGUUUGAGCUGCGAAACAAUUUUUUCUAGAGGUGGAAGAAGAGGCUGGGAGCUGGAAUGAGUGGAGGGGGUCCCUAUGGGCCCCACAAGCUUGCUCGCCGCCACCAUGGGGGUGACGGUGGCAGGGGUUGUGACCCACUGGUCUGGCCCCCAGGCCAGCUCUCAGGUCCAGUAAUUUUCAAAAAUUAUAGAAAAAAUCAUACUAGAUUUUCAGGACCAUCGGAGAACUUUUAUUUUCGAGGUAUUUUUCUCCGGGACGCUAAAAUAGAAAACAGGAAAAACAAAACUAAUUCUAUCAAUUUUCUUCUAAGCAAAAGAAAAUGAAAGCUUAAAAGAGAGGUAUGUGACUCUUUGAUUCAUCCAUUUCAUGGUCAUCGAAAGAAAUCCGUCAAUGGGGUUGAUCAAGUCCUCAUGACAAAACCUUCUCGAAUCGUAAGAGAGAAUGGAGAAUUUUAGAAUAGCCACUAAGUCACCUCAAUGGGGAUAUGUAUCUCCCCAACAAGCGAAUCAUACUUCAUCUUGACAUGAGGAAUAGGGCAUUCAAAGCUCCUACUAAGAAUCGAUGAAGUCUUUUCGAUAGCAUUGAUGCAAUGUACUUGAUAUCGUUUCUUCGAAAUGUGCACGGUGUGCUCAUUACCGUUGACAUGGAAAGUGACAUUGCCUUUGUUGCAAUCUAUAACAGCCCCUGCAGUGUUUAAAAAGGGUCUUCCGAGGAUGACAGCCAUGGCAUCGUACUCAGGAAUAUCCAAGAUAAGAAAGUCUGUUAAGAUAGUGGUGUUAGCAACCACAACCGGCACAUCCUCGCAAAUGCCGAGAGGAAAGCAGUUGAUUUGCCGGCCAUUUACAGAGAAAUUUCAGUGGGUGUCAACUUAUCCAAUUCAAGUCUACGAUAAAGAGAGAGCGGCAUAACACUAACACCGGCUCCAAGGUCACAUAAGGCAGUUCUUACGUAGUUUCCUUUAAUGGAGCAAGGUAUAGUGGGCACUCCGGAAUCAUCAAGUUUCUUAGGAGUUCCAGCUUUGAAAGUGUAAUUGGCAAGCAUGGUGGAGAUCUCAAGAUCUGGUAUCUUCCGUUUAUUAGUCACGAUAUCUUUCAUGUACUUGGCAUAUGGAGAAAUCUUGAGCAUAUCAGUGAACCGCAUCUGCAGAAAGAUGGGUCUUAUCAUCUCAACGAAGCGCUCAAAAUCCUCAUCAUCCUUUUUCUUGGAUGGCUUAGGAGGGAAGGGCAUGGAUCUCUGAACCCAUGGCUCCCUUUGUUUACCAUGCUUCCUAGCAGUAAAGUCAUUCUUAUCGUAUUUCUUAGGUUGUGGGUUAUCAGGAUUAACCGUAGGUUCAAUCUCCACAUCCUCAUCAUUGCUAGGUUGAGCAUUAUUAUGAACAUCAUUGUCCAUAUUGUCACCAGGUUCAUGUUCAUCACCAGAUUGUCUUUCUCCAUCAGACGCAGAAAUAUCAUUAGGUUCUUCAGGUGUGACAGUAUUUGGUGAACUGGCAUGUAGGUUUCUAUCAUCCUUCUUCUUCUCCUUAGGAUGACCUUCAAGAUACAAAGGUUCCUGAGUCAUUUUGCCUCCUCUAGUAAUGACUCUGACAGAGUUGUCAUUUAAUUCAUUGAGCAAGUCAUUCUGAGCUUUAAGUACUUGUUCUACCUGAGUAGUAAUCAUAGAGGCAUGUUUACUCAGAAGCUUCAAAUCAUUGACAUUUCUGUCUACACAAGCACUUAAAUGGCUAAGCAUAUGGGUACUUUGUUCCAAAUGUCUGCUAACAUAAUCAUUGAAACUCUGUUGUUUGGCGACAAAGUUGUCAAAUUCAUCAAAGCAUAGGCUAGCAGGUUUUUCAAAAGGAAUAUCACUCUCAUCAAACCUACACAGAGAAUUCACUUCUACUACGUGUAUCGGGUUAUCGAGACCAUGGAUCUCCUCGAUAGGUGGUAGAUUUUUGACAUCUUCAGAUCUAAUGCCUUUCUCUUGCAUAGAUUUCUUGGCUUCUUGCAUAUCUUCGGGACUGAGGAAUAGAAUACCUCUUUUCUUAGGAGUUGUCUUAGGAGGUGGUUCGGGAAUAGUCCAAGCAUUAUCGUUGAUCAAGAUGUUAUUCAGUAGGGUCUGAGCUUGUUCUACAGUUCGUUCUCUAAAAACACAACCGGCACAACUAUCUAGGUGGUCUCUAAAGGCAUCGGUAAGUCCGUUAUAGAGGAUAUCAAGUAUCUCGUUCUUCUUAAGAGGGUGAUCAGGCAAAGCAUUCUGUAGCUGGACGAGCCUCCCCCAAGCUUGUGGAAGACUCUCUUCUUGGAGUUGAGAAAAGUUGUAUAUUUCCUGCAAGGCAUCUUGCUUCUUAUGGGCAGGAAAAUAUAUCUCACAGAAGUAAUAGACCAUCUCCUGGGGACUGCUCACACAUCCAGGAGCAAGAGAGGUGAACCAGGCUUUAGCGUCGUCCUUUAGAGAGAAAGGAAAUAGCUUACGGAUAUAGUAGUGGCGGAUCUUCUCCUCAUUAGUGAAAAGGGUGGCUAUAUCGUGUAGUUUGGCAAGAUGGGCUACGACCGUCUCAGACUCAUAACCAUGAAAAGGAUCAGAUUCGACUAGAGAGAUUAUCUCAGGAUCGACAGAUAAUUCAUAAUCCUUAUCGAUGAUAAAGAUAGGUGAAGUGGCAAACUUCAGGUCGUAUUUCAUCUUAGCUUUCAGAGAUUUUUCCUUCCACUUGAGAAGUAAUUUCUCAGCGUCAUAGGCAUCCUUACACGCAAGAAAAUCCUCAGCUAUCUCUCCCUCCAUAACCUAACCCUCAGGUAUAUCAGGCAAUUCAUAUCUAGGAGAGCUAGAUCUAGCACGAGGAAAAGCAGGUUCUAUCUCAAUAGUAUCGACAGUAUCAGAAGCAUCACGAGCAUUGGCAGUAACUCUAGCAAUAUGAGCAUCAAGGAACACCCCUAGUGGAACAUCAGGCAAAGUAGUGUCUCUAGCAGUAUCAAGCAUAGCAUCAUCAGGCAUAGCAUCUCUAGCAGUAUCGAGCAUAGCAUCUCUAGCAAUAUCAGGCAAAGCAGUAUCAAGCAUAGUAUCAUCGGGCAUAGUAUCAAGCAUAGCAUCUCUAGCAGUAGCAUCAUAAGCAUCAUAUGCACACGCGACAUAUCAAGAUUUCUAGCAGGAGGUGAUGUCGCAAACUUACUCAUAACUGAAGGUGAAUCAAGUGCAGAUCUAGAUGGCAAUUCCUUACCUCCCCUCAUAGUUGAAGGAAAGACUUUGGUCUUCGGAUCCUUCAAAUUCUUCAUAGUGAUCAGUAGAUAUAAAUCCCAUGUAACUCAGAGAAUAUAGCAAUACCUCGCCGGCAACGGCGCCAGAAAAAUGUUGACUCCGUAACGUGAGACCUUCCCUUGCAACGGCACCAGAAGAAUGCUGGUAGCACUCUCCGGCAAUCGAAACUAGAAGAAUGUUGUUGACGGCCCACCAGCGCGUGGGAUCGUAGCAGUUUUCGAGGGUAGAGUAUUCAACCCAAAUUUGUUGGUACGCCUAUAGGAGGUGAGAGGAUACUCUCAACUAUUAGCAGCUGAAUAUGUCAGAUUCAACCACACCUAAAAGAUUAGUAUCAGCAAGCAAAGUAUCAGUAGCAAAGUAGUAUGAUAACAAUGGUGUCAGAAACGAUCUGUUGACACGGCAGACUAUUUCUAACGAUUGUAUCAAUUUCGCCAAGUUGCCUCGUUGACGGAAAUUGUCAGUUCCUGUCAACGACCAGCGAACCGAAAUUGUAGCAGGUAGCAACAGUGUAACGAGUAAUAGCAGCGGCAAGGAACAACAGUAGUGACAGCAGUAGCAAGUAGCAACAGUAGCAAGCGAUAGUAGUAGCAACAGUAGCAGCAGAGCAAGACAAGUAACAGCAGUAACAGCAGUAGUAAUAGCGGUAGUAACAGCAGCAGAGCAAGACAAGUAACAGCAACAGUAGGAGAAACUCGUAGGCAAUGGGUCGGUGAUUUGUUUGGAUGAUAUUCAUCAUGCAAGAGUUAUAACACAGAGAGAUAUGUGGCUAGCUCCCGUUCGUCAAUGUGAUGUAGGCAUGCAUUCUGUGUGUCGUCAUACGUGCUUAGGGAAAAGAACUUGCAUGACAUCUAUUGUCCAUCCCUCCCGUGGCAGCGGGGUCCAAAAGGAAACUACGGGAUAUUAAGGUUCUCCUUUUAAUAAAGAACCGGACCAACGCAUUAGCACUUGGUGAACACAUGAACUCCUCAAACUAUGGUCUUCACCGGGAGUGGUUCCGGUUAUUGUCACUCCGGGGUUGCCGGAUCAUAACACAUAGUAGGUAACUAGAACUUGCAAGAUCGGAUCUAAAACACACAUAUAUUGGUGACAACAUAAUAAUUUCAGAUCUGAAAUCAUGGCACUCGGGCCCUAGUGACAAGCAUUAAGCAUGGCAAAGUAGUAGCAACAUCAAUCUCAGAACAUAGUGGAUACUAGGGAUCAAUCCUCAUCAAAACUAAGUCGAUUACAUGAUAGAUCUCAUCCUACUCAUCACCGCCCAGCGAGCCUACGAAUAGAUUACUCACGAACGACGAAGAGCUUCAUGGAAUUGGAGAGGGAAGAAGGUUGAUGAUGACGAUGGUGGCAAUUUCCCCUCUCCGGAGCCCAAGAUGGACUCCAGAUCUGCCCUCCAGAUGAAGAACUGGUUGUGGCGGCAUCUCCGUAUCGCAAACGCGACGAAAUCUUCUCUUUUUAUUUUUUCUGGGACGAAAGUGAACUUAUAGAGUUGAGGUUGGGGGCAGCAGAGCCGUGUGGGCCCCACAAGCUUGCCCACCGCCACCAGGGGGUGGCGGAGGCAGGGCUUGUGGCCCACUGGCCCACCCCCUCAGGUGGAUCUUCGCGCUGGUAUUUUUCAUAUUUUCCAAAAAUGAUCUCCGCAAAUUUUCAGGACGUUUGGAGAACUUUGAUUUCUGCACAAAAAUAACACCAAGGCAAUUCUCUUGAAAACAGCGUCAGUCUAGGUUAGUUCCAUUCAAAUCAUGCAAAUUAGCGUCCAAAACAAGGGAAAAGAGUUUGGAAAAGUAGAUACGAUGGAGACGUAUCACGUGCCUAUGUUUGAACCGUGCAACGUGGCAACUUUGUCCUCUUUGGCUUACGAGUAUCCAGUUUUGAAAUAAGUGCAGCAUGGCGACUUAUGCUCUUUGAUACUGAUAGCGUCCAUGCUUGGACGGCUUAUGAAACAAUAAACACUCAUGCUCUCAAGAAGCUAAAACGGCAGAGACCCCGAAGUUCGUGGGCGCCGGCUUUAUUGCUAUAAAUAUAUAUAUAAAGAGAGUACAAUGACUAAACUAUGUACAAUGAUAAGGAGCAUGUGGCUCUAAGUGUAAUAAGGCCGCAAGUGGGCAAUGUUCCAAGGCCGGGUUGUUUCAACCUCUGUCAUUGGCCUAUCUGGACGAAGAUCCACCAGGUAGUAGGAACCAUUAUGAAGACUCUUGCUGAUGACAAAUGGCUCUUCCCAUGGGGGGAUAACUUAUGCAUACCAGUAUGAUCCUUAAUCAAACGGAGCACUAAGUCACCCUCUUGAAAAACUCGGCUUUUGACUCGGCGGCUAUGAUAGCGUCGCAAGUCUUGUUGGUAGAUCGCUGAUCGUGAUGCUGCGAGGUCACGUGCAUCCUCGAGAGCAUCCAACAAAUCUUGACGGGCCAGCUCAUUGUCUUCCUCAACAUAAGCGGCAACUCGCGGCGAGUCGUGCUUGAUAUCACUUGGUAACACUACCUCAGCUCCAUAAACCAAUAAGAAAGGUGUAUAACCAGUUGAUCUAUUAGGGGUGGUCCUGAUACUCCACAGGACAGAAGGAAGCUCUUCAACCCAACACCCCGGGGUACGUUCCAGAGGAACCAUAAGUCGGGGCUUGAUCCCUCGCAGGAUUUCUUGAUUCGCCCUCUCCGCUUGUCCGUUGGAUCGGGGGUGCGCAACUACAGAGACAUCAAGCCGGAUGUGUUCCUUUUCACAAAACUCCUUGAUGGCGCCUUUGGAUAGAUUAGUACCAUUAUCACUAAUGAUACUAUGGGGGUACCCAAAACGAAAAAUCUAUUUCUUGAGGAAAUUGACAGCCGUAUCUGCAUCACAACUACUGACCGGCUCUGCUUCAACCCACUUGGUAAAGUUUUCCACCGCCAAUAGCAGGUGAGUCUUUUUAUUGGAAGACAUCUUGAAAGGACCGACCAUGUCAAGCCCCCAAACCACAAAAGGCCACGAAAUUGGGAUCAUCCGCAAUUCCUAAGCCGGCACAUGCAUCUGACGCCCAAAUUUCUGACAUCCAUCACAUCUGUGCACUAUGUCCUCAGCGUGUGCGUGACCAAUCAACCAGUAGAAUCCAUGUCUAAAGGCCUUGGACACCAAAGAGCGUGACCCGACGUGAUGACCACAAUCGCCCGCGUGGAUCUCAUUAAGGAUCGCACACCCUUCUUCAGGUGAGACGCACCUUUGAAAAACUCCAGAAGUGCUUCGUUUGUGCAACUCAUCGUUAUGUAUGACCAUGUAUUUGCAUCGCCGGAUAAUCGGGCGGGCCAGCAACUCAUCAGUAGGUAACUCGCCCCGUGCUAAAUGCGCCAUGUAAGGGACCGCCCAAUCCCGAGUGGCACGAAGAGCAGCCACAAGUUGUGACUCCAGGUCAGGGACUGCUAUGUACUUUUCAGAAGGCAAUUUCACUGACGGGUUAUGCAAAAUAUCCAAAAAUAUAUUGGGAGGAACCGGCUUAUGCUGCGACCCGAGUCGUCAAAAGGCAUCAGCUGCUUCGAUGAGCCAGCGAUCGAUAUGAUAAACUUGAUAACCAUGAAAGUGACCCGCCACGUCUGACACAUCACGUCUAUAAGCCGCCAUCAAAGGAUCCCUGGAAUCCCAUGUUCCAAAAAUUUGCUAUGCCACCAGAUCUGAGUCACCCAGGCAUCUGACUCGGCUGAUAUUCACCUCUUUGGCGAUCCUAAGUCCAUGAAGCAAAGCUUCGAAUUUUGCCGCAUUGUUAGUACACGGGAACAUGAGUCGGAGGACGUAGCAAAACUUGUCACCGUGAGGUGAAGUUAGUACUACGCCAGCCCCCGAGCCCUCCAACUACCUAGACCCGUCAAAAUGGAUAGUCCAAUACAUGUGAUCAGGUCUGUCUUCUGCGAUUUGCAGCUCGGUCCAAUCAUUGAUUAAAUCCACUAAGGCCUGAGACUUGAUGGCCGUGCGAGGCGUAUAUUUUAUGUGGUGAGGACCAAGCUCGAUAGCCCACUUAGCAAUCCGCACGACUGCUUCACGGUUUUGUAUAAUGUUGCCAAGUGGCGUAGAGCUGACUACCGUGAUCGGGUGCUCGUGGAAGUAGUGCUUCAGUUUUUGACUCGCCAUGAAGAUCCCAAAAACCAACUUCUGCGACUGUGGAUAGCAUUGUUUGGAGAGUGUUAAGACUUCGCUAACAAAAUACACCGGCCUUUGGACCGGAUAUUCCUUUCCUUCUUCCUUGUGUUCGACAAUCACUGCAACGCUUACUGCCUUAGCGUUGGCAGCAAUGUACAGGAGCAUAGGCUCUUUGUCAAGAGGAGCGACUAAAACUGGCAACUCGGACAGUUGUUUUUUCAAGGCCUCGAAGGCUUCAUUAGCUGCAUCCGUCCACACAAAAUGGUCUGCUUUCUUGAGCAACUGAUAGAGAGGGAUUGCCUUCUCCCCAAGGCGACUUAUGAAACGACCCAGAGCCACAAUACGACCCGCCAUGCGGUAGACUUGGUUAAUAUUGGCCGGCUUGCCAAGUGAAGUAAUCGCCUUGAUUUUGUCUAGCUUAGCCUCAAUGCCUCGGUCUGACACCAAGAAGCCCAAUAACUUCCCUGCAGGAACACCGAAGACAUAGUUGGUCGGGUUAAGCUUCAUCCGAUACACGCGCAGAUUGUCAAACGUUUCCUUAAGAUCCUCCAGGAGCGACUAUUUCUUCUGAGAUUUCACCACUAUGUCAUCAACAUAAGCAUGAACGUUGCGACCAAUCUGACUGUGUAAGAAAUUUCGGAUGCAGCGUUGAUAAGUCGCCCCCGGACUCUUGAACCCAAAUGGCAUAGAUACAUAACAAAAGGCACCAAAGUGAGUUAUAAAGGACGUAUUCUUCUGAUCCUCCAAAGCCAUCUUGAUCUGGUGGUAACCUGAGUAUGCAUCCAAUAAACACAGUCGCUCGCAACCCGCCGUAGAGUCAAUGAUUUGAUCGAUACGAGGGAUGGUGAAAGGGUCUUUCAGGCAAGCUUUGUUAAGUCGGUAUAAUCAAUGCACAUGCAAAAGGAACCAUUCUUCUUGAGUACUAAAACCGGAUUGGCCAACCACUCCUGGUGAAAAACCUCCACAAUGAAGCCAGCAGCCAAGAGCCACGCUACUUCCUCUCCAAUCGCCUUACGCCUUUCCUCGUUAAACCGGCGAAGAUAUUGCCGAACUGGCUUCAUCUUGGGAUUUAUGUUAAGGUGGUGCUCGGCGAAUUCUCUUGGUACACCCGGCAUGUGAGAAGGUUUCCAUGCAAAGAUGUCCUGAUUCUCAUGGAUGAAUUCGAUGAGCGCGCUUUCCUAUUUGGGAUCCAGACCCGUCCCAAUGGUGAAUUGCUUGGAAGGGUCGCCAGGCGUGAAAUCCACCAGCUUAGUAUCAUCUGUUGGCUUAAACUUAAGGGGCGGCUCUGAAUCGAUCGUGGGCUUCUUGAGUGGGGUCAUGUCCGCUGGGUCGACAUUGGUCUGAUGAAACUUAAGCUCCUCAGCUGCACAGGCCGACUCAACAUAUGUAGCGUGUCCCUCCUCGCUCUCUUGAGCUAUCUGACGAUCUCCAUUGACCAUGAUGGUUCCUUUAGGGCCUGGCAUCUUGACCUUGAGAUAGACAUAAGAUGGGCGGGCCAUGAAGCGGGCGUAAACCGGCCGACCAAAAAGCGCGUGGUAAGGGCUUUUGAUCUUGACCACCUCAAACAUGAGAGACUCGCUCGUGUAAUUAGACUCGGUGCCAAAAGCCACAUUGAGUUUAAUCUGCCCAACUGGAUAUGCCGAUUUACUCGGGACAAUGCCGUGGAAGACCAUGGAGGAUGGAAUCAAGUCGCCUUCAGAGAAACUCAUUCUUCAAAAAGUGUCGUAGUAUAGGAUGUUGAUGUUGCUGCCUCCAUCCAUGAGGACUUUGGAGAGAGUGUAUCCCAUUACCUGUGGUGCUACGACCAAUGCUAAGUCGCCAGGGUUGUCAACCCGGGGCGGGUGAUCCUCCCUGCUCCAAAUAAUAGGCUGCUCACACCAAUUGAGAUACCUCGGGAGCGCCGGCUCACUGACGCUGAAGGUUCUGUGUUUGACCUUUUUGUCCCUCUUGCAAGUCAUGGUAGUAAACACAUGAUACUGCCCACUGUUCAACUAUUUGGGGUUGUUCUGGAAACCGCCAUUGCCAUUCUGCUGUCGUGAGCCGCCUUGUUGAAGUUGCCUCAGAAAACCGCCCUGCACAUUAUAUUGCUGGUUAUUCUGGACCAGAUACUGCCUAGCAUUGGAAUGUGACCCGCCAUGAGGACCGGGGUUGGGGAAGUCGCAGAACGGACCCCUGUGGGAGCCGCCCAACCCGAAUUUGUCCUAGUGUCCACCACUACCCCCUCCUUGGUUGCUCUUGAGCGCCUUAGCAUGAAAAUCCUGCAUCACGUAGCAGUAUUCCCAAUAAUGGGUGGAUGGACCUUCCGCUCUGGUAUGUUGCGGGCAAGGGCCCGUGUGCAUCUCGUGAUAGUUGAUACGUCUCCAACGUAUCUAUAAUUUUUUAUUGUUCCAUGCUAUGAAUCUGAACAUUCAUGCCACAAAAAAGAAGUUACAAAGAACAAAUAUGUUAGGCAGCAUUCCACAUCAAAAAUUUGGUCUUUACCACUUCCCUACUCGAGGACGAGCAGGAGUUAAGCUUGGGAAUGCUUGAUACGUCUCCCACGUAUCUAUAAUUUUUGAUUGUUCCAUGCUAUUAUAUUAUCAACUUGGGAUGUCUUAUAUGCAGUUAUUGUUGGAAAUAUGCCCUAGAGGCAAUAAUAAAAUGGUUAUUAUCAUAUUUCCUUGUUCAUGAUAAUCGUCUAUUGUUCAUGCUAUAAUUGUAUUAACAGGAAAGAGUAAUACAUGUGUGAAUAAAUAGAUCACAAUGUGUCCCUAGCAAGCCUCUAGUUGGCUAGCUCGUUAAUCAAUAGAUGAUCAUGGUUUCCUGAUCAUGGAUAUUAGAUGUCAUUGAUAACGGGAUCACAUCAUUGGGAGAAUGAUGUGAUGGACAAGACCCAAUCGUAUUGUUCGUAUGCUAAAGCUUUUCUAAUGUCAAGUGUCUUUUCCUUCGACCGUGAGAUUGUGCAACUCCCGUAUACCGUAGGAGUGCUUUGGGUGUAUCAAACGUCACAACGUAACUGGGUGACUAUAAUGGUGCACUACGGGUACCUCUGAAAGUGUCUGUUGGGUUGGUACGAAUCGAGAUCGGGAUUUGUCACUCCGUGUGACGGAGAGGUAUCUCUGGGCCCACUCGGUAGAACAUCAUGAGCUCAAUGUGACUAAGGAGUUACUCACACAAUGACGUGCUACGGAACGAGUAUAGAGACUUACCAGUAAUGAGAUUGAACAAGGUAUACGUAUACCGACGAUCGAAUCUCGGGCAAGUUCUAUACCGACAGACAAAGGGAAUUGUAUACGGGAUUGAUUGAAUCCUUGACAUGCUUCCCGAACCCAUAGGGUCUAUACACUUAAGGUUCGAUGACGCUAGGGUUAUAGGGAAAUGUUAUAUGAGGUUACCGAAAGUUGUUCGGAGUCCUAGAUGAGAUCUCGGACGUCACGAGGAGCUCCGGAAUGGUCUAUAUGUAAAGAUUGAUAUAUAGGAUGGAUGGUUUUGGACACCGAAAAUGUUUCGGGGGUCACCGGCAGCGUACCGGGACCACCGGAAAUGGUCCCGGGGGUCCACCGGGAGGGGCCACCAGGCCCAAGAGGUAGCAUGGGCCAAAAGGGGAGGGCAACCAGCCCAAAGUGGGCUGGUACGCCUCCCACAAGAGGCCCAAGGCGCGGGAGGGAGAGAAGGGGGGGAACCCUGGCGCUGGUGGGCCUAAGGCCCACCUAAGGGAUGCGCCACCCCCUCCCCCUGCCCUAGCCGCCACACCUCCCAUCUGGGGGGGCUGCCACACCACCUAGGAGGGAAACCCUAGGGGUGGCACCCCCUCCCCUCCUCCUACAAAUACCUAGGGGUUUGGGGCUGUUUUGCACACGGUUUGUUCUCCUCUCGGCGCAGCCCUGCUCCCCGCCUUCCUCCUCCUCCCAUGAUGCUUGGCGAAGCCCUGCCGAGAGACCUCGUCUUGCCAUCGACACCACGUCGUCGUGCUGCCUGAGAUCUUCCCCAAUCUCUCCCUCCUCCUUGCUGGAUCAAGGUGCGGGAGACGUCACCGGGUUGCAUGUGUGUUGAACGCGGAGGUGUCGUGGUUCGGCACUAGAUCAGAAUCUCACCGUGAUCUGAAUCGCCACGAGUACGACUCCAUCAACCGCGUUCUAGCAACGCUUCCGCUUAGCGAUCUUCAAAGGUAUGAAGAUGCACUCACCCCUCUCUUGUUGCUGGUCUCUCCAUAGGAAGAACUGAAUAUGCGUAGGAAAUUUUUUGAAUUUAUGCUAUGUUAUCCAACAGUGGUAUCAGAGCCAGGUUUUCUAUGCGUAGAUUCUAUGCACGAGUAGAACACAAAAGGUUGUAGGCGAUGAUUUGUCAAUUGCUUGCUGCUACUAGUCUUAUUCUUUUCUGGCGGUAUUGUGGCAUGAAGCGGCCCGGACCGACCUUACACGUACGCUUAUGUGAGACUGGAAGGCGUUCUUGCUAGAAAUCCAAAUCAGCCACGUAAAACUUGCAACAACAAUUAGAGGAUGUCUAACUUGUUUUUGCACGGUUUGACAUGUGAUGUGAUAUGGCCAAAGUUGUGAUGUUGCAUGUAUGAUGUAUGAGAUGAGCAUGUUAUUGUAAUAGGUUUCACGACUUGCAUGUUGAUGAGUAUGACAACCGGCAGGAGCCAUAGGAGUUGUCUUAAUUUAUUGUAUGAGAUGCAACGCCAUGUGCUUACUACUUUUACUUCAUUGCUAACGGUUAGCUAUAGUAGUAGUGAUAGUAGUAGUUGGCGUCACGACUUCACGGAGACACGAUGAUGGAGAUCAUGGUGUCACGCCGGUGACUAUGAUGAUCAUGCGAUGUCUGAAGCUGGAGAUCGAAAGAGCAAAGAUGAUAAUGGCCAUAUCAUGUCACUAUAUGAUUGCAUUGUGAUGUUUAUCAUGUUUUUCGUCUUAUUGCUUAGAAUGAAGGUAGCAUAAUAAUAUGAUCCCUCUUAAAAUUUCGAGAACGUAUUCCCCUAAGUGUGCACCGUUGCGAAGGAUCGUUGUCUCGAAGCACCACGUGAUGAUCGGGUGUGAUAGAUUCUAACGUUCACAUACAACGGGUGUAAGCCAGAUUUACACACGUGAAACACCUAGGUUGACUCGACGAGCUUAGCAUGUACAGACAUGACCUCGAAUACAAGAGACUGAAAGUUUGAACAUGAGUCGUAUGGUUGAAUACGAUCAGCAUGAAGUUGCUCACCAUGAUGACUAGUCCGUCUCACGUGAUGAUCGGACACGGGUUAGUCAACAUGGAUCAUGUAUCACUUAGAUGACUAGAGGGAUGUCGAUUUAAGUGGGAGUUCAUACUUAAUUUGAUUAAAUGAACUUAAUUGUCAUGAACUUAGUCUAAAAGUUGUCUUUAUAAAUAUUGUGGAUGGCCAACGUCAACAUCAAUUUCAACGCAUUCCUAGAGAAAAACAAGCUGAAAGAUGAUGGUAGCAACUAGGCGGACUGGGUUCGCAACUUGAAGCUCAUCCUUGAAGCAGCUAAAAAGGCUUAUGUCCUUGAUGCGCCACUAGGUGACCCUCCCGCUCCCGCAGCAGCCCAGGACAUUCUGAACGUUUGGCAAACGCGAAGUGAUGACUACUCUCUGGUUAGGUGUGGCAUGUUAUACAGUUUGGAAACGGGGCUCCAAUGGCAUUUUGAGCAACACGGUGCAUAUGAGAUGUUCCAAGAGCUGAAACUGGUUUUUCAAGCUCAUGCCCGUGUCGAGAGAUAUGAAGUCUCCGACAAGUUCUUUAGUUGUAAGAUGGAGGAGAACAGUUCUGUCAGUGAGCACAUACUCAAAAUGUCUGGGUUACACGGUCGUCUGACUUCACUUGGAGUCGAACUUUCGAAUGAUGCCAUAAUUGACAGAAUCCUCAAGUCUCUCCCACCAAGCUACAAAGUUUUUGUGCUGAACUACAACAUGCAAGGGAUGGAGAAGACCAUUCCCGAGUUGUACUCGAUGCUCAAGUCUGCAGAAGUAGAAAUCAAGAAAGAGCAUCAAGUGUUGAUGGUCAACAAGACCACCAGUUUCAAGAAGGGCAAGGGUAAGAAGAACUUCAAGAAAGACGGCAAAGCCGUUGCCGCGCCCGGUAAGCCAGAUGCAGGGAAGAAGAAAAAGAAUGGACCCAAGCCUGAGACUGAGUGCUUCUAUUGCAAGGGAAAAGGUCACUGGAAGCGGAGCUGCCCCAAGUAUUUAGCGGACAAGAAGGCCGGCAACGUUAAAGGUAUAUGUGAUAUACAUGUUAUUGAUGUGUACCCUACCGGCGCUCGUAGUAGCUCCUGGGCAUUUGAUACUGGUGUUGUUGCUCACAUUUGUAACUCAAAGCAGGAACUGCAGAAUAAGCGGAGACUGGCCAAGGACGAGGUGACGAUGCGCAUCGGGAAUGGCUCCAAGGUCGAUGUGAUCGUCGUCGGCACGUUACCUCUACAUCUACCGUCGGGAUUAGUUUUAAACCUUAAUAAUUGUUAUUUAGUACCAGCUUUGAGCAUGAAUACUGUAUCAGGGUCUUGCUUAAUGCGAGACGGCUACUCAUUUAAGUCACAGAAUAAUGGUUGUUCUAUUUAUAUGAGUGAUAUGUUUUAUGGUCUUGCUCCGCUGGUGAAUGGUCUAUUCUUGAUGAAUCUCGAUCGUGAUGUUACACACAUUCAUAGUGUUAGCACCAAAAGAUGUAAAGUUGAUAAUGAUAGUCCCACAUACUUGUGGCACUGCCGCCUUGGUCAUAUCGGUGUUAAGCGCAUGAAGAAGCUCCAUACUGAUGGACUAUUAGAGUCUCUUGACUUUGAAUCAUUUGACACAUGCGAACCGUGCCUCAUGGGCAAGAUGACUAAGACUCCAUUCUCAGGAAUAAUGGAGAGAGCGACCGACUUAUUGGAAAUAAUACAUACUGAUGUGUGUGGUCCAAUGAAUGUUGAAGCUCGCGGUGGCUACCGUUAUGUUCUCACUCUCACCGAUGAUUUGAGUAGGUAUGGGUAUAUCUACAUGAUGAAGCACAAAUCUGAGACGUUUGAAAAGUUCAAGGAAUUUCAGAGUGAGGUUGAGAAUCAACGUGACAGAAAAAUUAAGUGUCUACGAUCUGAUCGUGGAGGAGAAUAUUUGAGUCACGAGUUUGGCACACACCUAAGGAAGUGUGGAAUCGUUUCACAACUGACGCCGCCUGGUACACCACAACGCAACGGAGUGUCUGAACGUCCUAAUCGCACUUUAUUAAAUAUGGUACGAUCUAUGAUGUCUCUUACCGACUUACCUCUAUCAUUUUGGGGAUACACAUUAGAAACUGCAGCAUUCACUUUAAAUAGGGCACCGUCUAAAUCCGUUGAGACGACACCGUAUGAACUAUGGUUUGGCAAGAAACCUAAGUUGUCGUUUCUUAAAGUUUGGGGCUGCGAUGCUUAUGUGAAGAAACUUCAACAAGAGAAGCUCGAACCCAAAGCAGAGAAAUGUGUAUUCAUAGGAUACCCUAAGGAAACUAUUGGGUAUACCUUCUAUCUUAGAUCCGAAGGUAAAACCUUUGUUGCCAAGAACGGAUCCUUUCUAGAGAAAAAGUUUCUCUCGAAAGAAGUAAGUGGGAGGAAAGUAGAACUUGAUUAGGUAAUUGCACCCCGUCUCGGACAGGAAAGUAGAGCAGCGCGGGAAAUUGUUCAUGUGGCGCCGACACCAACUGAAGAGGAAGUUAAUGAUAAUGAUCAUGAAGCUUCGGAUCAAAUUACUACUGAACCGUGAAGGUCCACAAGGGCACGCUCCGCACUAGAGUGGUACGACAACCGUGUGAUGGAAAUCAUGCUGUUAGACAACAGUGAACCUUUGAACUAUGAAGAAGCAAUGGCGGGCCCGGAUUCCAACAAAUGGCUUGAGGCUAUGAAAUCCGAGAUAGGAUCCAUGUAUGAGAACAAAGUAUGGACUUUGGUGGACUUGCUCGAUGACCGGCGAGCCAGAGAAAAUAAAUGGAUCUUCUAGAAGAAGACUGAUACAAACGGUAAUGUGACCGUUUAUAAAGCUCGACUUGUCGCAAAGGGUUUUCGACAAAUUCAAGGAGUUGACUACGAAGAGACUUUCUCUCUUGUAUCGAAGCUGAAAUCAGUCCGAAUCAUGUUAGCAAUUGCCGCAUUUUAUGAUUAUGAAAUUUGGCAAAUGGACGUCAAAACAGCGUUCCUUAACGGGAAUCUUCAGGAAGAGUUUUAUAUGAUGCAACCAGAAGGUUUUGUCGACCCUAAGGGUGCUAACAAAGUGUGCAAGCUCCAGCGCUCCAUCUAUGGGCUGGUGCAAGCAUCUCGGAGUUGGAACAUUCUCUUCAAUGAGGUGAUUAAAGUGUUUGUGUUCAUACAGGUUUCCGGAGAAGCCUGUCUGUACAAGAAAGUGAGUGGGAGCUCUGUAGCUUUCCUCAUACUGUAUGUGGAUGACAUAUUAUUGAUGGGGAAUAAUAUAGAGAUGUUGGAGAGCAUAAAGGCCUAUUUGAGCAAGAGUUUUUCGAUGAAGGACCUUGGAGAAGCUGCAUACAUAUUAGGCAUCAAGAUCUAUAGAGAUAGAUCGAGACGCCUCAUAGGUCUUUUGGAAAGUACAUACCUUGACAAGAUAUUAAAGAAGUUCAAUAUGGAAAACUCAAAGAAGGGGUUCUUGCCAGUUUUGCAAGGUGUGAGAUUGAGUAAGACUCAGUCACCGACCACGACAGCAAAUAGAGAGAAGAUGAGUACUAUUCCCUACGCUUCAGCCGUAGGCUCUCUAAUGUAUGCCAUGCUGUGUACCAGACCUGAUAUAAACCUUGCCAUAAGUUUGAUAGGGAGGUACCAAAGUGAUCCCGGUAAGGAACACUGGACAGCGGUCAAGAAUAUCCUUUAGUACCUGAAGAGGACUAAGGAGAUGUUUCUCGUUUAUGGAGGUGACGAAGAGCUCGUAAAGGGUUACGUUGAUGCUAGCUUCGACACAGAUCCGGAUGACUCUAAGUGACAGACCGGAUACGUGUAUGUUCUGAAUGGUGGGGCAGUGAGCUGGUGCAGCAGCAAGCAAGAAGUCGUGGCAGCAUCUACAUGUGAAGCGGAGUACAUAGCUGCUUCACAAGUGGCUCAUGAAGGAAUUUGGAUGAAGGAGCUCAUCACCGACCUUGGAGUGGUUCCAAGCGCGUCGGGUCCAAUGACACUCUUCUGUGAUAACACUGGGGCCAUUGCCAUAGCCAAGGAGCCCAGGUUUCAUCGGAAGACAAAGCACAUCAAACGCCGCUACAACUCCAUCCAGGACCAUGUCCAGAGUGGAGUAAUAGAUAUUUGUAAAGUACAUACGGAUCUGAAUGUUGCAGACCCGUUGACUAAACCUCUUCCUCGAGCAAACCAUGAUCAACACCAUAAUGCUAUGGGUGUUCGAUACAUCACAAUGUAACUAGAUUAUUGACUCUAGUGCAAGUGGGAGACUGUUGGAAAUAUGCCCUAGAGGCAAUAAUAAAAUGGUUAUUAUCAUAUUUCCUAGUUCAUGAUAAUCGUCUAUUGUUCAUGCUAUAAUUGUAUUAACAGGAAACAGUAAUACAUGUGUGAAUAAAUAGAUGACAAUGUGUCCCUAGCAAGCCUCUAGUUGGCUAGCCUAUUGAUCAAUAGAUGAUCAUGGUUUCCUGAUCAUGGACAUUAGAUGUCAUUGUUGGAUCAAGGUGCGGGAGACGUCACUGGGCUACACGUGUGUUGAACGCGGAGGUGCCGUGGUUCGGCACUAGAUCGGAAUCUCACCGGGAUCUGAAUCGCUGCGAGUACGACUCCAUCAAUCACGUUCUAGCAACGCUUCCGCUUAGCGAUCUUCAAAGGUAUGAAGAUGCACUCACCCCUCUCUCGUUGCUGGUCUCUCCAUAGGAAGAUCUGAAUAUGCGUAGGAAAUUUUUAGAAUUUAUGCUACGUUACCCAACAUUUAUAUGCCAUUUUAUAACAUUUUUGGGACUAACCUAUUAACUCAGUGCCUAGUGCGAGUUUCUGCUUUUUCCGUGUUUUUGACCUUUUUCAGAAAAGAAUAUUAAACGGAGUCCAAACGGAAUAAAACCUGCGGGAUGAUUUCUUCCAUAACAGAAGAUACGCAGAGGACUUGAGAACCAAGGAAGGAGGUCUCGUGGGAGGUCACGAGCCCCCUAGGCGCGCCCUAGGGGGGGCGCGCCUAGCAGGCUCGUGGGCCCCCCAUGGCUCCUCUGCCUACCUCUUUCGCCUAUAAAUUCCCAAAAAUCCCGAAACCUCCAGAGAGGGCCACGAAAAUACUUUUCCGCCGCCGCAAGCUUCUGUCUACGCAAGAUCCCAUCCGGGGACCGUUCUGGUGCCCUGCCGGAGGGGGAUUCGGACACGGAGGGCUUCUUCAUCAACACCAUUGCCUCUCCGUUGAUGCGUGAGUAGUUCACCACAGAACUUCGGGUCUAUAGCUAGUAGCUAGAUGGCUUCUUCUCUCUCUUGGAUCUUCAAUACAAAGUUCUACAUGAUCUUCAUGGAGAUCUAUCCGAUGUAACUUUGUUUUGCGGUGUGUUUGUCGAGAUCCGAUGAAUUGUGGAUUUAUGAUCAGAUUAUCUAUGAAUAUUAUUUGAGUCUCCUCUGAUUUCUUAUAUGCAUGAUUUCGUAUCCUUGUAAUUCUCUUCGAGUUAUGGGUUUCGUUUGGCCAGCUUGAUCUAUAAUUCUUGCAAUGGGAUAAGUGCUUGGUUUUGGGUUCAUACCGUGUGGUGAACUCACCCAGUGACAGAAGGGGUAGCGAGGCACGCAUCGUGUUGUUGCCAUCAAGGGUAANNNNNNNNNNNNNNNNNNNNNNNNNNNNNNNNNNNNNNNNNNNNNNNNNNNNNNNNNNNNNNNNNNNNNNNNNNNNNNNNNNNNNNNNNNNNNNNNNNNNUCGGGCAAGUAACAUACGAAGGACAAAGGGAAUGACAUACGGGAUUAUAUGAAUCCUUGGCACUGAGGUUCAAACGAUAAGAUCUUCGUAGAAUAUGUGGGAUCCAAUAUGGGCAUCCAGGUCCCGCUAUUGGAUAUUGACCGAGGAGUCACUCGGGUCAUGUCUACAUAGUUCUCGAACCCGCAGGGUCUGCACACUUAAGGUUCGACGUUGUUUUAUGCGUAUUUGAGUUAUAUGGUUGGUUACCGAAUGUUGUUCGGAGUCCCGUAUGAGAUCACGGACGUCACGAGGGUUUCCGGAAUAGUCCGGAAACGAAGAUUGAUAUAUAGGAUGACCUCAUUUGAUUACCGGAAGGUUUUUGGAGUUACCGGGAAUGUACCAGGAAUGACGAAUGGGUUNNNNNNNNNNNNNNNNNNNNNNNNNNNNNNNNNNNNNNNNNNNNNNNNNNNNNNNNNNNNNNNNNNNNNNNNNNNNNNNNNNNNNNNNNNNNNNNNNNNNNNNNNNNNNNNNNNNNNNNNNNNNNNNNNNNNNNNNNNNNNNNNNNNNNNNNNNNNNNNNNNNNNNNNNNNNNNNNNNNNNNNNNNNNNNNNNNNNNNNNNNNNNNNNNNNNNNNNNNNNNNNNUAGGCCUUGAGGGUGGCGCACCAGCCCUUAGUGGGCUGGUGGGACAGCCCAAAAGGGCCCUAUGCGCAUUGGAAGAAAAAUCAAAGAGAAAGAAAAAAAGGAGGAGGUGGGAAGGGAAGGAAGGACUCCCACCCACCAAACCAAGUCCAACUCGGUUUGGGGGGGAGACCUUCCCCCCUUGGCUCGGCCGACCCCCUUGGGGCUCCUUGAGCCCCAAGGCAAGGCCCCCCCUCUCCCACCUAUAUAUACAGAGGUUUUAGGGCUGAUUUGAGACGACUUUUCCACGGCAGCCCGACCACAUACCUCCACGGUUUUUCCUCUAGAUCGCGUUUCUGCGGAGCUCGGGCGGAGCCCUGCUGAGACAAGGUCAUCACCAACCUCCGGAGCGCCGUCACGCUGCCGGAGAACUCUUCUACCUCUCCGUCUCUCUUGCUGGAUCAAGAAGACCGAGAUCAUCUCGAGCUGUACGUGUGCUGAACGCGGAGGUGCCGUCCGUUCGGUACUAGAUCGUGGGACUAAUCGCGGGAUUGUUCGCGGGGCGGAUCGUGGGACGUGAGGACAUUCCACUACAUCAACCGCGUUCACUAACGCUUCUGCUGUACGGUCUACAAGGGUACGUAGAUCACUCAUCCCCUCUCGUAGAUGGACAUCACCAUGAUAGGUCUUCGUGCGCGUAGGAAAUUUUUUGUUUCCCAUGCGAGGUUCCCCAACAAUUCUAAUGGUGCAGUAUUAUCGAACAUGUCAAAUAUGUACCCUUAGGAUCCUUGUGCAUGUAAGAUAGCAUUACGGAUUUUUGUUCACGUUUAACUCACUUUUCUUCUUCUUACUCCAUCCAUUAUAUUUGUCUCCCUUGCUUGGGUAUCUAGGAACAUCAAAAAUACAGUAUAGCCUAGAAUUUAUCGAGAUGCAUUGAAUCCUUUAACAAAGGACCACAUCACUGUAAUGAGAAAAACUCAUGCAGUCAACCUGGUCAUCUCAUCUGCAUUAACUAAAGUGUGAAUCAAAUCCUCUAGUUCAGUUGUAACCAUAAAAGUAAAAAAGAACUGUAACGGAGCAAAACUAAGACUCAUUAACUCAUGGAUGUUUACUCGGAUUUCCUUUUUUGUGGAAUCAUUGUUGGACUAACAAAAUAGCAAACAAUAGUAGCUAGCUUUCCCGAGAAAAUAUCAAAACCGCAAUCUGCACCAAUUACCGAGGAGAAAAUUGGAAAUUUGCCACUUUCAAUAUAUGGGUUCUUAAAAUUGUCAUUUUCAAGAUUGGCUUCGCACAUUUGCCACUCAGCUCGUUGGCUCCUUGAUUAUCAUGCCACUUUCCUCCUACUUUUGAUUUUCAUUUUCCUUUAACAUUUAUAAGCAUUGGAAAAGACCAAACCAGCCCUGUUGCAUAUACACGUAGUAUCCAAAUUUCACUUGACACUUUGAAGCGGAGGACAGCGUACCGGCCACCUAGAAUACCGGGUGAUCUCGUCAAUGCAGACUGCUUCACCGAUCUCCUUGACGCAGAGUGUCGCACAUCGUCUAGAGUCCAGACGUCGCAUGCCGCGGAUAUUCUCAGCGUCCCGAGCAGGACGGCGGGCUUUGCAGCUAUGGCGCACGCGGAGACGGCGCGAGCAGCAAGCAGCCUAGUGGCGCCGGCGGGGGCUGCUUCAGUAGCCACUCUUAUCGACAUCCUCAAGUAGUUGCGUGAUGUUCUCCAAUUCAGUGCUAACUGAACUUCAGAGGAGACCAAAACCUGUAGCCGCGGGCUGGCUCGAGUGCCUGCGAUGGGCCUCAUCGGCCGUGUAGUAGGCUCUCCUCACGAGCUCCUCGCGGAAGAUGGCGUGCCGCGACUGCGCGCCGGCGAGCACGGCGGCCGCGGCCAUGGGAGCGGCGGGGCCGGAUUCCUCGCGCCCCGCCACGGCGGCGCGGGCCCGUCUCGCGGACGGCGGGCUUCGGCAGGGGCACGGGAGGGCUCCCCCUUGGUCGGAGGCGCGCGCGAAGGAGAGGGAGGGCGGGGUCCGGCACCGGGUCGCUUGCAGUUCGUCGGCGAAGGCCGGGGCGCCGCGGGGAAGGAGCUCGAGCGCGGCGGGGAGCUGCGGCGUCGAGAGGCGGUGGUGGGGGCGGCACUUGACGGAGCAGGUGACCGCCGCCGGCAUGGCUGCUGGUUGGCUUGGCGAGCUGGGGUUCGGCAAGGGGACUUGGUGGACAUUGAAGAAAGAGGCCCCUGAACUGCGGGUUAGUUUGGAUUAAAUAUAGGAUGGUUUGUAUAAAAUGUAAAAAACGAUUCGUUCUUUGACUUAAAUCCGGACUGCGGGUUGAUUUUAGUAAACGGCGGGGGCUUUUUUGUAAAUGCCGUGGUGGGUUUUUCGACGGAAGCAAUAACCGCUUUAUUAUUAGAUAUAGAUAUUUGCAAUGUCCGGUUGUAGACGCUCUUGCAUUUGUUGGUCUCUUUAUCUGGUUGGGAUUACUUGUUAUGCCUUGGUAUACUAGUUGGUAGUAGUACGAUCCUACGUACGUACCUCGCGGUUGCGUGGUAUAUCCACCAUUGUUCCCGCAUACGAUCGUGAGCAGUGGCAGAAGCGACCAUCUGAGCUCAAUUUUUGUACCCCAUGCACUUUGUUCCAGCGAAGACGAACUAGCUUAGAAAAAAGGACCGGACUAGUAGCAGAAAAAUACACCGAAGAAAAGGUACGUCAAUAAAAGAAAAGGGAUAGAUAGAAAACCAUCUUUUACGAAUGUUUACUACACAAGGAUCAAGCAUGCUACACAAGGAUCAGGGAUGCGUCCCGGUACCAAUUGUUGUUGUCCGUCACAUGGGGAGGAGCAGGCAGGGUCCUUUUUUUCUCCACGCGCGAGAAGAGACAGGUUCUUCAUGUCGCCAGCAUGUACUGCUUCCCUCGUCACCCUGCUGUGAAUCUUGGAAAAUGUUGGAGCCUACGCAUGCAAGGUUGAGAAUCUUGACGAAAAAUGACUGUGAAAACAAACGACGUGACAUGUGCUGCAGGUGCGCAUCGCAGCCAAAGCCUGCUGGAUAAAUAGGCCAGUCAUCAUCCGAUAAUAAAAGGAUAAAGAAGCCGCUCGUGAAUUGUGUUCCGCAGAGAAUCUUCUCCACUUGGAUACGCUCUGGACUAGGAAUCAGCUUGUUCAUUCAGGAGAUAGUGGGAUUAGGGGAACAGUGAAGCUUAAUUAGGCAAACUGGCAUUGCAGUGCCGGGUUAGAAAAAGGCUAGAUCCGGGAACAGUUCCGGCGCUGCUGCUGCAUGCUGGUCAAAAAAAGGUGACGCAUCAACCAUCCGUCGCAUUAUUUGGACGGGCCAAGCAGGCACGGCCGGACAAGUCAGCCAGGCAGAGCCCGGCUCGCCGCCGUGCUAAAAAACUGGGAGCGAGGGAGAAGUUGGUUAUUUCGCCGGCGAGCGAGCCGUCGGCGUCGACCAAUCGAGCGGAGCGAACGGGUGCGCGUUGCUUUCGCGCGGACGAUACAUACGACCGGAGUUGAUACGCCAUGAAUGAAUGGUGAUAGUGGCACAGACCGCGGUGCCGGCUGCCGGGGAUGGAGAGAUCGAUCCGGUACGCAAACGCGUCGUGCAGCUCGUGCCCGCGUUCACUGCCCGUGCAUGCAUACAUGUUGCAGAUUAUCGUACUCCCAUGGCUUUCUUUUUCACUCUGAAAUAGCAAGUCCAAUCAUGCAUCCCAUGCUAGGAGUGGGAAGCAAGGGAACCUAGCGAUGAACAUGCAUGCACCGAUAGUAGUGCUGACAGGACUGAGGAAGAAAAAGACGAAACUCUAAGGCAUCUUUAAUAGCUGCCCUAUUUUAGGAUAUCGAAAUGGAGUAUAUGUGGAAUAAAUUUAGGGGAUCAAAAAGUGUUUUUUGGGACGACAAAUUGACAUCUCCAACUGUUGCCUUAAAAUAAGGCACCACAAACAGCAAAAUCUCUCUUUCCGUUUAAUGACUUCGAUUGAAAGUUCUAAAUAUUCAAAGCUUAAACAUGCCGACUACAAAAUAUGGUUCAACUACGACAUAGAAAUUUAAACUAGAAACAGUGAGACACUACAACUAUCCGCGAUAAUGUAUAUUUGCAACAACAGCUGUCAAAUUUUAGGGUUGCCCACAAAAUGAAUUAAAAGUUUGUGAUAGGUCAACUAUUCGAGAACUUUUGCUCCCGUAAGUGCUAUAAAAAGGUGAUGCUAUCUCUAAAGCGGAUCCUCAAACCAACCGCAACCGUCCGGAGUGUGCAGUCCUAGCGUGUUUAGCCAUCCAGAACGAGUUGUAUCGGUUCGCCGAGCAGUCUGGACGUACUUUUUUCGGCAAACCCAACAAAAUAUUGGGGGCGGGGGCUUUGCUGGAGUCCGAAAAUCUACUAAGUUAAACUCCAAUACCCCCGGCCCAAAACCACUCCCAAACCCCACGCAUCCAUCAUGCCAUUUUCUCUUCUUUCAUUUUUCUCUCCCGCCUUCGUCGCCGCUCCACCCAACCACCCCUCCCUCGUCCGCCACCUCACACCCCUCGUAGAAUCAAUGAGUCCAUCACCUCCAACACUACACUCCGUCCCGAUGUCACUUUUCCUCCGCCUCCGUUCCACCUCUCCUUCGACCGUCGUGUAAGUACCAUCCGCUCCUACAAUACUCACCAUGCGUGGCAACUGUUCGGUAAAUUUCUCAUGUUAUUUUUUGUCCUUCUUUGAAGCAACAAAUUUGGAUAUGGAGUACAUAUAUGAGCAAUAUGUUGAGUCGUCCAAUGGCUUGUCCGGCACAGAGGACUACAUAGGUGACAUAACAAUGACGCAAGCGGUCCCUGCACACGUGGAGCAUGCGGAGGUGCAUGUUAUCAAUUUCAAGGCAUCGAUCAAGGGUCAUCGAGUGCUGAAUCGCAAUAGGGCGUGCGACUAUUUGACGUUGAUGGACGACUGAUAUACUCCCAAUUCGCCGGAUGAAGGUGGCCAAGCAUGUGCGCGAGUUAUGUUAUAUUUUAUGAUUUUUAGUUUUUUACAUCAAUAGUUAUCGAGAGAAUCUUGAGCUAUUUUACCAUUAGUUAUGUUAAUUGUUGAGUGCAUCUAGCUUCAUAUAUGAAUUUUAAGAAUUUUGACUGAGUGGACUUGCAUUUGUAAGUCAAAUUUUGUAAAUCGAAUAUUUGGCCUCGGUUAGUUCAAUUCCUAGAUCCCUGACUGUUCUAUAGGGCAUGAUCGGGCUUCCCCGGCAGCCCCUCCGACGACAGAGAUGUGGGGGGAGUGGGAAAUGGAGGGCCUUGCGUUGGCGGCACUAGGGGUCAUUUGUUGAAGCUUUGAAUGGCCGAUAUGAUGAUUUCGAUCCCCGGUUUGGCAAAAGCUGCGUGCCCAGUCCUUUAUCCCUCUAGUAAUCAAACGCUACGCACCAACGGAGGAUAUAUGAAAGCCAACUUUCACUGGUAUCCCCGCUUUGCCAAAGCAAAUGUACUCAAUACGAGAGGCACUAUGAAGCAAGUAUUGGUGUGAGUGUGAGACCCGCUUCAUCAACGGUUUCUUGGCUUACUGCCGGCGUUGUCAUCAUUCCCAUGUACGUACCUCGUUGAGCAGAGAAGGAUAACGUUUGAUCAGAAAAUGCAAAAUGUGCAAAACAAAACCUACGGUUGACCUCUUUCUUUGCCGGGCUAGUACGAGACAGUGCUCAUUAACUAACCCAAACAAACACACAGAUGUGCAAACUCCAAGGCUAGCAUUUUCCGUACAUACCGGGCGGCCGCCGAGACACCCCGAACCACUCCACACGACUACACGAACGAACUACAUGCCACAAAGCCGGCUCGCCGGUGCCGGUGCCUGUGCAUGGCAGGGCAUGGCGCGCGGGUGCAGAUAUGUGCAUGCAGCGUCUGGCCUGCUGCACCCUGCACCACCCUGGACCAUGCUAAGAUAAGCUACCCCUGCGGCACGCUGCUACCUGACCGGGCCUGUGGGAACUCGAAAGCGAUCGCCUGAAUUUUCCCGAAGAAGCCGGGGGGCGCGAUGCCUCGGCUGCGAUGGCCAGCGAAUGGCCGGCAGAUCUUGCCAAGUUGCGAGGGGGUGCUGCAUAGGUCGGGGCGUAGGGGUGGUGAGUGGACGAGCGACAGCGACCACAUCACGAACACGAAAGUGAGUGAGAUGGACGGGAUUCUCGGACCCCGCGUCAAACCCUUGCUGAUGCACGUCAAAAGAUGUGGCAACCAAGCAGCUGUUGUGUUUGUUGUGCUUGGCAUGGCAUGCACAUCUUUUCGACCUCAUAGCACCACACGCUUAGGAAAUGUUUCGAGAAUGAGAAAUGCGGAAGCAGGGAAAGACAGAUUUGACUCGAAUCUUUACAUCUUUAGAUAAUAAUAAAUAGGGUAUCGCUUCUGCCGGAAUUUCCGACGCGUCAGUUUUGCAUAAAACCCCUUCUAUUUUUGGGAAAUCAACCCACAAUCCUCACUUUACAGAAACAUCACUUUUUGCUCUCAGCGUCUUAUCCACACACGCUCGCUCCGGAUCCCCUCCAAUGGCGCCCGCCACCCCCUCCUUCCUUCGGCCCCCGCAGCUGCAUCCCCACCGCAUCCGCCUGCCCGCCCCUCUUCCCUCCGCGUCCUUCCGCCUCUCCGAAAUCCUCGGUGGCCGCGGCCUCUGCAACGGCGAGGUCGGCAUCCGCAAGGAGCUCCUUUCGCCCACCCCGCCCUCACCUCCUCCGUCCACGCCCUCGGGAGACUCCUCGUCAGGAUGCGCCGAGUUGGACCCGCCGGCUGUGGACCUGGACGCGUUCGAGAAGGAGAUGAUGGGCCUCACGGACAGCUUCCCCGGCGGCGAGGUCGGGCUCAAGGACUUUGUCGCCAAGAACCCGCCUCCUCCUCCCAAGAGAGCCCAGACGGACGGGAAAGCGUCCUCCGCCGUGGUUCCGGCGGGGCGUCCUAGGCCGCCGGAGCUGCCGCUGUUCCUCCCCGGCAUGGUGGUGCUCGUCAAGAACACCAACAACGCGUCCCACAUGUACUGCAGCAUCAUGCAGCGCGUCACCGAUGGGAAGGUGGGGGUGUUGUUCGAGGGCGGGAACUGGGAUAGGCUCAUCACCUUCGGCGUCGACGAGCUCGAGGGCCGGGAGAAGGGCCCGCCCAUGGUGAACCCCAAGUCGGUCGUGCUCGAGGCGCUCGUCGAGGCCUAGCAUGCAUUAUACAUACAGUUGUGGUAUACUUUGCGUGUCGGCGAUGAACUGGGAGUUGCCCGUGUGUAGUUUGAUAGGCGUUGUCAUUUGUUGUGAUCCAUAUCACCUUGAACCGGUUUUUUAUUCUGUGGCAUCAUAUCCAUCCUGUCAUGUUCGUUCAAUGUGUCGUGUGAUGUCUACGAUUGAAUUUUCAUUUUGCUUCCUGCAAGAGCACUAGCCCAAGCCGUUUCUGAGGUUGUAUGCUUGUAGUACAAAGUAGGCUGAUUGCACGUGAAAUGCAGUCAAAGAAAGGUGCACCCUACAACACCAUCAAUUUUAGUCGGAUUGGCGACAUUUGCUGUGGUGCGUAUCAUCUUGAACCCGUUGUUCGACCUGUGGAUUCAUAUCCAUCCCGUAUGCUUGUAGUAUAUCUUUGAUUGAAUUUCAUUUUGCUUCCAGCAAUAGCAGUAGACCAGGCUGAAACUGAAACAAACAGUUUUAACCGGUGAAACUGAAAGUGACUAAUUCUCCGAUGAGACGUGCCUUGUGAAUCUACGAACAGAUUAUCCAUGUUCAGGUUAAACAGAGGGAGAUCAUCCAUGACUGCUGGUCAUGCGUAUUCUAUUCCUUCUAGUGAUGUGAUGUUACCCUGCCUGCAGAAGUGUCUUUUGUGAACAUUGUGGUCUUGCUCCACGAUUUCAGAUAGUACCGCUGAUUUUUUUUGUUUGACAAAUUACUAUUGAUUGUCGGUCAUUGAAGUCCUGCACUGUCCAUGUUGCUACUGAUGAACGUGAAACACGUAGGAGUAUGUGUAUAUUCUCUACAUAGUCCCGACAGGUAGGCCCAAAGUCUGCCUCUCCACCCUCCCCAGCGAUACGGUUCAAGCUGAGCGACGUCACAGGUGAAUCCUCAGCCUGAUGUAGCGUGGUUCGAACAAGGACCGCAGACUAGACCUCGGACCGUGCAAAGAAGCAACCUCCACGCCAUUGGUCUUCCAAGGUUCCAAUCCACGUCACCACCACUGCCAAUAACGGCGAAACCUGGAAGAAGGAAACAAUGCACUACACCGCCCUUUCGAGAUCGUCCCUCCCCUGUCAAUUUAUGAGAUGGCAGUGGGCAGCUUUAACGACCCGGUGAUCCAAGGAUCGGUACAUGGGGAAUUGGGGAUAAGAUAUUGAAGGAGAUGAAGUACAAAGAAAGUUGGGUGGGAGGAGAAGGAAACAAUGCACUACACCGCCCUUUCGUGAUCGUCCCUUCCAUGUUAUUUUACGAGAUGGUGGCAGUCAGCUCCUAUGGUCCAAGGGUCGUCGGGCGGGGAGGGGGGGUGUGAGUGCGAAUUUCCGAUUAUGUUUACAAUUCACGAAAUUGUGUUAUGGUAUUGCAUAGGCUUUGCUCUUCAGUUUCCUUCUUUUCUUCUUGACAACACAUGAGUUAUGUGUUUCUUUUGCCCCACCCCCCAUUUUCACUCCCUACUGUAUAAAAAGUUACAGAGGUAGUACUUCGGAGUUCGAUUGUGUUUUUAACUUUGAUACAAGAAUAGGUGGAUGCUGUCCAUUUUCAUCUUAAUAUUUCCCCCACUUCUCUGUUUUGCAGGGAAGGGCCGACGGAUAGGCCAGCUGCCUCGUCAAGCUCAACAACUGAUUUGCAGAUUUAGAUUAUCAUAUUCUCAGACUCCGUGGACAGCUCAAAAAGCUAAAAGGAGCAACGGUUGAUGGAUUUCUGCAACCUGUAUGAACAGAAUAUACUGUGCAUGUUACAGUAUUUGAAAUUAAAUGGAACCACUCGGGCGGCUAAAGCUUUAGCGUGUAGUGCAAUUGUGCAAUGCUGCAUGUGAUUAUUUUAGCCAUGAUGUUCCAAUGCUGAAGAUGUUAUAUGAGUUAUUUUCUUCCUUACAAGGCAUUUGUUUGGUGUUGCAGGUUGCUAAAGAGAUCAAUUCAGAGGCCAAGUCACAUAAUGAUUCCAUAUCUCAGCUGGUAAGUCUAUCCCUAAUAAUAAUAAAGUGUCGAUUGCUUAUGUUGUCCGUCGUGCCACUUUAAAAAAAAGCCCCCGACGUUUCCUAAAAUCAACCCGCGGUCCGGAUUUAAGUCAGAAAACGAAUCUUUUUUUUUUCAUUUUUCAAAAACUCCCCUAAUGUUUCAGGUAAUCAACCCACAGUCCGGAUUUAAGUCAGAAAACGAAUCGUUUUUUUGCAUUGUUUAGAAAACUCCCCGAUGUUUCGGGUAAUCAACCCGCCCUCCGUAUUUUAACAAUAAAACCUAACUUUUCAGUUAAUCAAUCCAAUUUUUAUCUAAAACAAAAUUAUCCAUAUCUUUUAAACCGUAACUCCGAUUUUAACAUGUUAUAUAUGAAAUUUGAUUAAAAAACAUGUAGAAUAUAAAUAGGAUGUUAUUUUUAGCUGUUGAAUACUUCUUAAAUAUUAUUUUGGGUGCAAACUUAAUCUGUAGUGCACGUUCCAUUUUUUUCUGUCUUUCCGGCGACGAUACGAAUUGCAAUAAACAUCCAUUAAAUUAAAACCAAAUUGAGAGGAAAGAAAACAUCAUUAACCACACAUGCACACCUUUAAAAAACCUCGUGGUGAGAAACAACAUAUUUCUCAUCUUAUUUCGAGUGACUGUACAUUCAAACGCGUUUUUGUUGUGUGAGCACUAAAGCCAUCGUCAGCAACACAAAUGUGAUGCCUUGUAAAAAUAUAUUGCGUUGAGAGCGUGUGUUAUUUUCUCUCCCGUUGCAACGCACGGGCUCUUUUGCUAGUAUAUAUAAGCGCAAAACGGAGGAUUUGCAACGGGUCGUAGCCGAUGAUAUUGGUUUCUGGACAAGUAAUAUCAUGUACAACCGAACCUUUCAAAUUACCCUUCAUAUCGCGCUCGAUCAGUGAUCAGUUAGAAGAGAAAAAAAUGAUCCAACUGAAUCGCUUAUAUUAUUCCUAUACUUGUGGACUGUUCACGAACCCUCGUAUCCCUUUCAAAUAUGACGAGUAUAUGAGCGCUCGUAGACGUGUCCGAGCGCGUCCGGUCAGUCCGUCACAUACGACGUGGCCUCAUCCGGGAUCAUCUUUUUAUUUUCUUUAUUUAUUCUUUUCUUUCUCUCCAUCAAUCACAUGUAAGUGACCGAACAUAUAAGAAAGAAAAUAAGAAGUAUGGUUGUGUGUGAGGACAAAUAAAGAACACACCGGACAACUGACCACACGCGUCCGCGCACGUUUAGUGCUCAUAUUUACAAUAUGUGGCUGUAGCUCUAAGAGCAUGGUUAAUAGUAUAGCCAACUGCUGGCUAUAAGCAUCCUUAUAGCUCAUCUUAUAGCUGGCCUGUACAAUAGUUAGCUGUAAUACUUUUUUCAUAUAUGGUCCACCUUUCAUUCUCACAAAGCACCUAGGAGCACAUGCUAGAGCCGUCUGUUCACGUAGAGUCCGCUUCCCUUCUCUCUCGUCUUCUCUUUCAUCCAACUCAGCAAAAAUAUAGUAUUUUAAUCCUUACAGCCUGCUGACUAUACCUUAUUGUACUUGUUCUAACAUGGAAAGUGUGUGGACUCUAAUGGAAUGAGUUAAAAAAUUGAUCCAAAGGAUGUUGAAUAAGUUUGUCAGACGUGAUAUUCUUUCCGUGACAAGACAACUAAGGCAAAGUUUUUCUCCCAUCGAUCUCGCACCACACACCAGCCGAUUCACCUCUGCAUGCUACUUCAGCGGCCGGUGAGAGAAAGGGGAAUCCUCGUGUUAAAGGCUAGUAGUUUCAGUGUUAGAUGCAUCCCUUCGAGUGUUAACUAAUAUAGGUGGAGGAAGUACUAGAUAUGUAAUGUUUCAUGUCAAAAAAGAAAGAUAAGUACUUUCUCCGUAAACUAAUUUAAGAACAUUUAAAUAGUUUAGUAACCUAAACUUUUUUAUAUUAAUUUACAGAGGAAGUAAUGUUUAGUCCUUGCAUAGACGACUGUCGGAAAAAGGAUGUUGUUUCUUCUUCAAACCGUUUUACAUUCUCGCAUCCUCCUCAAAUUCGUCUGACGAGAGAAAAUAGACUAAACUUCAUCAUAUAUUUCUGCCAACUUUUCGAAGCAUUGCUACAACACGAAAACACACUAUUGUUGUCUAGUUGCAGCAUCUCAGAACAACACUUUAUUUAGUUAGCUAUGCUAUCCAGACAAAAGGAAAAUGAAAUUUUGGGCAUGGCUAUACGUUAGUCAACUGAAAAAAAGUUUAGGGUCAUUUAAUUUCUUCAAUCGUAAGAUGGAAAUCAACGAUCUAGACCCUUCUUUGACCUCCGCACCUUCCUUUGAUCUCCUUCUUCCUGCCACCAGCUACCACCGGCCUAACCGCCGCUCCCGCCGCCCUCUAGCCUCGCCCGCAUCCAGUUUUGUUCUCCGGCGAAGCACUACCACCUCCGUUCACCAACGCCCCCACCUUAAACCCUAAGAUAGAUAAUGGGGUAGCCCUACGACAACCCCCUUCCUUCUUCUUCCUUCUCUCCGAGGAAUUCUCAAAAUUGACUGACCUCAAUUUGUAAUUCAGUCAGAUUGUCAUUUAACUGAUGUGUGAAACUUUCAACCUACCACAUUCCCCAUUUUAGUAGUACUCUCAAAGGAAUUAGUGUCAUAUUUUAGCGGAGGCGUGGGGGCAAGAUUAAGCGAGUGCUCUAGGCAAUCGGAUAGGGAACCUAAUCUAGCUAGCUAUUCUGGAUGAUGAACACGCCAUGGAGAUGUCAGCUUGGGGCUUUUCCAUUUUCCAGCUGAACAUUUUGUCCAGUAGCAUCUUGAUUAGCCUACCCCCCCUACACUUUCCCGUCUUAUAAGGAACACGUAUGGACAGCCUGAGAUGAAUAAAGUGUGAUGGAAACAUGUAGCUCUAACCAAUAUUUGUCUACUGUCCAUGAUGAAACUUGCCACACCUCAAUUGUGGGUAGCUCCGUAGCUGUACACUUAAUAUCCUUUUUUUUUGCGGAUAUCUAUAUAUUUCCUCAACUAAAAGGUGAUCGAUUUAGCAUCGCACCCCGACCAAAUGGCGUGUGUGAGAUUCUGCUGCAAAUGGUUCUACGUAAAGAGAGAAACCCAACCAUGGUUGCAAUUCCGGCAGGCCCACAUGGCAUUUCUGAAACCAGCUUUUGCUAAUCUGGAAAAGAUGGGACAUGACCGAGACAGGUUUGGUUACUAAUGUGACUUGGUGCUAAUCUAAGAUGCAAGUUUGGUUACUUGAUCGCAAGUCAAAAAGUGAAUAUGAUUGCGAAAAUUGCUUUUGCAGUCCGAGCUACAUGAAUGCAUCCUUUUGCAAAAAUUAAAAUUCAUAUUUUUAUAUUACAAAAAAUUCUAAAAAAUACAGAUGUACAUGGACGCAUAAUGUACAUGUGUAUAAAUUUUCACGACAAAAAACGUUGUAAUAAGGUAUGUGUAAGAAAAAUAACGAGGUAGGGCAUAGCCAAAUGAUGAGGGCAUAGGACGAAAAUAGAAAUCCUAUCUACACUCAUUGCGUCGAGUGAGAUAGUUUAUGUGUUUUUAGGGGAUUGCGUGAGAUGAUUUUCUUUCUUUCUAGACGGUAGUUGAGCUGGACAAAGGGCAAGCGAUCAAGGCCCGAGCGAACUGUACAAUCACAGAACCCAUUUUUCGUACGGUUUUGCGGAUUUCAGAGUUUAUGUUGUAUGCUUUUUAUUUGCCCGUAGUGCGCAAUUUUCCUUCUUUUUUGUUUCUUUGAUCUUUUCCAUACUUUACAUUUUUUCAUGUUUUCCUUUUCACUUUAUUGUACUCAUUUUUCUUCUCUCCAUUACUUUUGUUCAGAAGGAAUAUACAUAUUUUCCUAUUUUUUAUCUUUUUCUCCCAGUUUAUUUGACGUCUUUUUUCCUUUUAUUAUAAAUUUAUGAACAUUUGUGUCUUAUAGAAGAAAUAUUUUUCAAAUAUAUGUUAACCAUUUUGUUAAAUGAUGUGAAUAUCUUUCCAAAUUCAGGGCGAAUAUUUUUUAAGCAUGCGGUGAACAUUUUUCAGCAGUCCUUUUUUUGCAGGACGACUUGAUGAGAAAUCUAUAAAUUCAUGGUAAAUAUAUAAAAUACGCAACGACCAUUUUCAACAUGCAAAUCCCAUUUUUUAAAAUACAUAGUGAACAUUUUUCAAUACACGCUAAUGUUAAAAAACAUUAACGAAGUUUUAAAAACUGUUCAUGCAUUUUCAUAAGUGUUUGUACAAUUUCACAGAAUGAACAUGCAUUUCGGUAUAUUCUUGCCAGUUUUGCUAUUACUCACUCAUUUUGAGUCCCGAUGUGAUCCGAAAGUUUCGUAACCCUUUGUGCAUUUUACGGGAAAUUCGUCAAAACUCGCAGUUUUGGCCUAUUCUGGCCAGUUUUGUAUGCUAUUAGUCAUUGAUUUUGGAUCCCGUUGUGACCCGAACGUUUCGGGACUGUGGGCGUCCUGUUAUGGGGAACUCGUCAAAACUCAUAGUUUUGGCCUAUUCUAGCCAGUUAUGUAUGAUAUUAGUCACUGAUUUUGGGUCUCGUUGUGAUCCCAACAUUUCGGCAACAUCGGGGUCCGAUUACGGGGAACUCGUCAAAACUCACAGUUUUGGCCUAUUCCGGGUAGUUUUCUAUCCGAUUAGUCCUUGAUUUUGGGUCCCGAUGCGAUCCGAACGUUUGAGGAACCCCGGGGUCCGAUUACGGGGAACUCGUCAAAACUCGCAGUUUCGGCCUAUUCGGGCGAGUUUUCUACGCUAUUACUCAUUGAUUUUGGGUCCUGCUGCGAUCCGAACGUUUCACGAACCCUCGGUCCGGUUACGGGGAACUCGUCAGAACUCAUAGUUUUGGCCUAUUAGCGCCAGUUUUGUAUGCAAUUACUCACUGAUCUUGGGUCCCGCUGUGAUGUGAACGUUUCGGGAACCUCGUGGUCCAUUUACGGGGACCUCGUGAAAACUCGCGGUUUUGGCCUAUUCCGGCUAGAUUUGUAGGCUAUUAAUCACUGAUUUUGGGUCCCGUUGCGAUUCGAACGCUUUUGGAACCCCGAACUCCGGUUAUGGGGAACUCGUCAAAACUCACAGUUUUGGCCUAUUCUAGCGAGUUUUUUUUGCAAUUAGUCAGUGAUUUUGGGUUUUCCUGUGAUCUGAAUGUAUUAGGAACCCGAGUGUCCGGUUACGGAGAACUCGUCAAAACUCGCAGUUUUGGCCUAUUCCGGCUAGUUUUCUAUGCUAUUAGUCACUAUUUUGUGUCCCGUUGUGAUCCGAACGUUUCGAGAAUCCCGGGGUUCGGUUACGGGGAACUCGUCAAAACUCACACUCUUCGCCUAUUAGGGCUAGUUUCCUAUCCUAUUAGUAACUGAUUUUGGGUCCCGCUGAGAUCCGAACGCUUUGGGAACCCCGUGGUCCGGUUACGGGGAACUCAUCAAAACUCGCUGUUUUGGCCUAUUCCGGCGAGUUUUGUAUGCUAUUAGUCACUUAUUUUGGGUCCCGAUGUGAUCCAAAUGUUUCGGAACCCUUUGGUCCGGUCAUGGGGAACUCGUAAAAACUCGCAGUUUUGCCUAUUCUGUCCAGUUUUGUAUGCUAUUACUCACUGAUUUUGGGUCCCGCUGUGCUCCGAAUGUUUGAGGAACCCCAGGGUCUGGUUAAGGGGAACUCGUCAAAACUCGCAGUCUUGGCCUAUUCCGGCCAGUUUUGAAUGCUAUUAAUCACUCAUUUUGGGUCCCGCCGCGAUUCGAACGCUUUGAGAACCACGAGGUCCGGUUACGAGAAACUCAUCAAAACUCGCUGCUUUGGCCAAUUUCGGUCAGUUUUGUAUGCUAUUAGUCACUGAUUUUGGGUCCCGCUCUCAUCGGAAUGUUUCGGGAGUCCGGUUAUGGGGAACUCGUCAAAACUCGUAGUUUCGCCGUAUUCCACCCAGUUUUGUAUGCUAUUAGUCACUUAUUUUGGGUCCCGAUGUGAUCCAAACGUUUUGUAAACCCUUUGGUCCGGUUAUGGAGAACUCGUCAAAACUCAUAGUUUUGGACAAUUCCUGCCAGUUUUGUAUGCUAUUACUCACUUAUUUUGGGUCCUCCUGCGAUCCGAACGUUUCGGGAACCCCAGGGUCUGGUUACACGGAACUCGUCAAAACUAUUCCACCUAGUUUUCUAUCCUAUUAGUCGUUGAUUUUGGGUCCCGAUGCGAUCGGAACGUUUCGGGAACCCCGGAGUGUGGUUACAGGGAACUAAUGAAAACUCGUAGUUUUGGCCUAUUCCGACCAGUUUUGUAUAAUAUUACUCACUGAUUUUGCGUCCUGUUGUGAUCCGGACGUUUUGGGAACACCGGGGUACGGUUACGGGGAACUCGUCAAAACUCGCAGUUUUGGCCUAUUCUGGCCACUUUUGUAUGCUAUUACUCACUAAUUUUGGGUCCUGCUGCGACCCGAAUGCUUCGGGAACCUCAGGGUCCGGUUACAGGGAACUCGUCGAAACUCGGAUUUUUUGGCUAUUCCAGCCAGUUUUGUAUGCUAUUAGUCACUGAUUUUGGGUCCCGCUGUGAUCCGAAUGUUUCGGGAAGUUCGGGGUCCGGUUACGCGGAACUCGUCAAAACUCGCAGUUUAGGCCGAUUCCGGCUAGUGUUAUAUCCUAUUAGUCAUUGAUUUUGGGUCCUCUUGCGAUCCAAAUGUUUUGGGAACCUUGGGUACGGUUACGAGGAACUCGUCAAAACUCACAUUUUUGACCUAUUCGGGCGAGUUUUGUAUGCUAUUAUUUACUGAUUUUUGGUCCCGCUGUGAUCCGAACGUUUCGGGAACCCCGGGGUCCGGUUGUGGGGAACUCGUCAAAACUCGCAGUUUUGGCCUAUUCUGGCCAGUUUUGUAUGCUAUUACUCACACACUUUGGGUCCCGCUGCGUUCCGAACGUUUCAGGAACCCCGGGAUCUGGUUAUGGGGAACUCGUCAAAACUCGCAGUUUUGGCCUAUUCCGGCCAGUUUUGUACGUUAUUAAUCACUAAUUUUGGGUCCUGUUGCGAUUCGAACGGUUUUGGAACCCCGAGGUCCGGUUAUGGGNAACUCGUCAAAACUCGUAGUUUUGGCUUAUUCUGGCCAGUUUUUUUUACGCAAUUAGUCACUGAUUUUGGUUUUCAUGUGAUCCGAAUGUUUCAGGAACCCUAGUGUCCGAUUACGAAGAACUCGUCAAAAUUCGCAGUUUUGCCUAUUUCGGCUAGUUUUCUAUGCUAUUAGUCACUGAUUUUGGGUCCCGCUGUGAUCCAAACAUUUCGGAAACCCCGAGGUCCAGUUAUGGGGAACUCAUCAAAACGCGCAGUUUCGGCCUGUUCCGGCCAGUUUUGAAUGCUAUUAAUCAUUGAUUUUUGGUCCCGCUGCGAUCCGAACGCUUUGGGAACCCCGAGGUCCGGUUACGGGGAACUCGUUAAAACUCGUUGUUUUGGCCUAUUCCUGCCAGUUUUGUAUGCUAUUAGUCACUGAUUUUGGGUCUCGCUGUGAUCCGAAUGUUUCGGGAAACCCGAGGUCCGGUUACGGGGAACUCAUCAAAACUCGCAGUCUUGGCCUAUUCUGGCCAGUUUUGUAUCCUAUUAGUCACUGAUUUUGUAUCCCGCUGUGAUCCGAACAUUUCGGGGACCUCGGGGGUGUGGUUACGGGGAACUCAUCAAAAUUCACAGUUUUGGCCUAUUCUGGCGAUUUUUGUAUGUUAUUACUCACUGAUUUUGGCUCCCGAUGCGAUCCGAACAUUUCAGAAACCCCGUGGUCCUGUUAUGGGGAACUCAUCAAAACUCGUAGUUUUGGCCUAUUCGCGCGAGUUCUUUCCUAUUAGUCACCGAUUUUGGGUACCGCUGCGAUCCGAACAUUUUGGUAAACCCGGGGUCCGGUUACGGGAACUCGUCAAACUCUUGGUUUUCGCCUAUUCUGGCCAGUUUUGUAUGCUAUUACUCAUCGAUUUUGGGUCCCGGUGUGAUCCGAACAUUUCGGAACCUCGGGGUCCGGUUACGGGGAACUCGUCAAAACUAGCAGUUUUGGCCUAUUCCUUCGAGUUUUCUAUCCUAUUAGUCACUGAUUUUAGGUACCGCUGCGAUCCGAACAUUUCAGGAAACCCAGUGUUGGGGUUAUUACUUGCGGUAUGACCCGCCCUACUGGUCCGGAUCAGGUGCACGGCGAUUCAACAUUCAUAAUCAAGAUAGGCCUUGGCCCAAUAUCUGGAAGCCGCAAGGAGAUCUUCAACGAAGAGCCGGCCGGGCCCAAGAGCCUAGAUGGCGGUUCAAGACUCAAGAAGAAGAUGAGUCGCCGUGAUCUUUUCCUUGUUUGGAAGACACGGCGGUUUAGAGAUAUGACAGGCCACGAUUUGUAAUGUGGCCUGGACUCUUGUAAAACCUAGGACCUCGACCUGUAUAUAAAGGCGAGUCCCUUGGGUAGAUAGGGUCAAGUUACAAUCCAUCGAGAGCUAGGUCAGGCGAGUUACGCCCUCCUUGUAAUCGAUUCCUCCAUCAAUAUACUAAAAGCAGGACGUAGGCUUUUACCUCCAUCGGAGUGGCCGAACCUGGGUAAACCCGAGUCUCGCUUCCGUUCAACCCUUUGAAUCGCCACCAAGGUGCGAUGGCUCCAUCACUAAGUCCUUUUACGAGGACAUCUGCCGUGACAAAACCUCGACAGUUGGCGCCCACCGUGGGGCUAGCGCACGGUGGAGUUGAGUUCUCAAAGGGAUCCCUUCUGGGGUUUGGGAGCUACGUGGUCGGCCUCAUGACUAAAAGCCACCGUGGAAAGUACUACAUCGACAACUCUCAGUGGGGGCCUGAUGCCGAUUCAAUCGAGUCUGGAUACAGGGUCCCCUUCGGCAAGAUUCAUGUCUUCAUUGGCAAGUUUGGGGCUCCCGUACCUGAGUCAGACACCUUCACCGACAUCGUCGAGCCGGCCCGGUACGCCCAUCCCGCCAAACAUCAGGUCAGGACACACCACGCCUUCGUUGGUUUUACAUAGGGAAUCGACCUACCGGAUGAGCCGGUGAUCCAGAAGAACACCCCUGUCAACUCGGACGACGAGUCGUCCAUUAGCGACACAGAUUCAAUCUAUCCUCUGCACGAAGGGAGGCUUGGGGAAUUUCCUGAGGCGGCAAUCUUCGAGGACGUUGAAGGACCCCAUCGUCAGGUCGCCAUCUACAUGGCGGGAGCAGCAGCGCCUCAGCCGACCGCAACCGGCAACAAUGAAGCUAGCGGAUCAGGAAAGACUUUGGCUCAAGCCAUGGUAGAUUUGGUAGCAGAGAUGGCAAAACUCACGACGAUUACUGUGACGACGGAGAACCAAGAACAUGUCAACGCCGAGUUAGCGAAACUAAGGGAGGAGAUGGCCAAGAUCCAAUGGGACAUUGAAGGCGAGGCCGCCAGAAUGGCGACUCAACAAGCCCAGUUCGCCGUGGAGACAUAGCGACUAAGUGUUGAGGGAUGGCGGCUUGAACGACAACAAUGCGCUUCCGAUGCGAUUCAACAAAGGAGGCAUCGCAAUCGUCUGCGAGUCGAUCUGAAUCCGACUCGACUCUUCGACGGCCCAAAUACACGUGGGAUGGAGCCUAACCGGCCAUGGCAAGUGACCCAGCGCAUCGACCCGACCCAGCCGCCGCCCAACGGCAGGUGCCUCAGCCAACACCGACUCAGGCGCCAUGCUUUCAGACGCCGCGGGGUCACUUUUCAAACCCCGUUGAUAACGUACUGGUAGCGACCCACAACCUAGAGUCCCUUCCCAUCCAUCGAAACUCUCUAGCUCAGGUAGAGGCAAGAAAUGCCAUCGAGAUGUUGAAAACGGCGGUGGUUCAACGGGUGCAGUAUUCAUACAGCCGUGAGCGGCUGCACUCCACACCCCAAGCAAGUCAUACCAGGAGCCGUCAUGAUGACCCGCCUGCGGUGUCCAGCAGCGAUCGGCGACAACAUCCACUAAUUAACCUGCCCGGGAUGCCUGACACCCGGGCUCAGGACCUCGUGGAUGUAGCACGAGCCGCCUGCCUUACGGAGAUGGCGGCCGCGGUAGGUCAAGGCUAUCCGGCUUACGUGUCGCCUUCCCUCGUGCAGGCCGAGUCACGCGACAGGAACAUAGGGAUACCCUGUCUGUCACUGGCCCUCUGCAACGAGCGUAUGCCAAAAGAUUUUAAAGGACCACACAAGGUUCCCAAUUACAUGCCGGAUCUCGAGCCAGGGGCGUGGAUUGAAAGUUACGAGCUUGCGAUGGAUAUGCUUGAUGUUAACGAGGUAGUAUGUGCCAAGUACUUUAUAAUGAUGCUUGAAGGGAGGACACACACUUGGCUGAAAAACCUGUCGCCCAACUCCAUCAACACCCGGGCCGAGUUAAAUGAGUGUUUUAUCAAAAACUUCCUUGGGACUUGCAAGCGCUCAAUGACUAUCAUCGACUUACAGCAUUGCAUCCAGCGCCCACACGAGUCGGCCCAUCAUUGGACCCGGCGGGUUGCGAAGGUGAUCUACUGAUCGGAUGGUAUUUCGGCGGCUUAGGCCGUGCUAUUCCUGGAGAAAAACUGUCACUACCAGCCUCUGGUAUUGAAGCUUGGGCGACUCAAGCGCAAAGUGCAGGAUAUGGGAGAACUGAUGGACACACUUACCAGGUACGCUGAGUAUGAUGACACCAAAGAUCCCGAGGAGGACGACGAUAAGGUCAGCAGUGCCAGGAGAGGGGAGUCAUCCAAAGGCAACUCACAGUCCCAGGGACGAAAUAAUUACAACCCUAGGGACCAAGGGAGGAAAAGGUAGCAGGAAGGCGUAACUGAAUUCGUUGCCAAUACCAACACGGGGAUCGGGAACCAGCGUCCGAAGAAAAGAGGUUUUAGUGGCAAGAAGCCACGCAACUAUUGCUACUUCUUGAGCUUGCGUUGGUUUUUCCCUUGAAGAGGAAAGGGUGAUGCAGCAAAGUAGAAAUAAGUAUUUCCCUCAGUUUGAGAACAAAGGAAUCAAUCGAGUAGGAGUAUCAUGACGAGGCACCAAUGAACCUGCGCAAAAACAAACAAACUUGCACCCAACGCGAUAAAGGGGUUGUCAAUCCCUUCACGAUUACUUGCAAGGUGAGAUCUGAUAGUGAUGAAAGCUAAAUAGAUAAAAGUGCAGCAAGGUAUUUUUGGUAUUUUUGUAUGUAGAUCUGAAUAUAUGAUGUGUAAAAUAGACCCGGGGGCCAUAGUGUUCACUAGAGGCUUCUCUCAUGAUAGCAAGUAUUACGGUGGGUGAACGAAUUACUGUCGAGCAAUUGAUAGAAUCGCGCAAAGUCAUGACGAUAUGUACGGCAAUGAUCAUACAUAUAGGCAUCACGUCCAAGACAAGUAGACCGAUACUUUCUGCAUCUACUACUAUUACUCCACACAUCGACCGCUAUCCAGCAUGCAUCUAGUGUAUUAAGUUCAUAAGAAAUGGAGUAACGCCUUAAGCAAGAUGACAUGAUGUAGAGGGAUAAAUUCAUGCAAUAUGAUAUAAACCCCAUAGUUUUACCCUUGAUGGCAACAACACGAUGCGUGCCUCACUACCCCUUCUGCCACUAGGUGAGUACACCGCACGGUAUGAACCCAAANGAACCCAAAACCAAGCACUUCUACCAUUGCAAGAAUUAUAGAUCAAAUUGGCCAAACGAAACCCAUAACUCGAAGAGAAUUACAAGGAUACGAAAUCAUGCAUAUAAGAAAUCAGAGGAGACUCAAAUAAUAUUCAUAGAUAAUCUGAUCAUAAAUCCACAAUUCAUCGGAUCUCGACAAACACACCGCAAAAGAAAGUUACAUCGGAUAGAUCUCCAUCAAGAUCAUGGAGAACUUUGUAUUGAAGAUCCAAGAGAGAGAAGAAGCCAUCUAGCUACUAGCUAUGCACCCCAAGGUCUGUGGUGAACUACUCACGCAUCAUCGGAGAGGCAAUGGUGUAGAUGAAGAAGCCCUCCGUGUCCGAAUACCACUCCGGCAGGGCACCAGAACGGUCCUCAGAUGGAAUCUUGCAGAGACAGAAGCUUGCGGCGGCGCAAAAGUAUUUUCGUGGCUCUCUCUGGAGAUUUCGGGAUUUUUGGGAAUUUAUAGGCGAAAGAGGUAGGGCAGAGGAGCCACGGGGGGCCCACGAGCCUGCUAGGCGCGCCUACGGGGCUCGUGACCUCCCACGAGACCUCCUGCCUUGGUUCUCAAGUCAUCUGCGUAUCUUCUGUUAUGGAAAAAUCACCCCACAGGUUUUAUUCCGUUUGGACUCCGUUUAAUAUUCUUUUCUGAAAAAGGUCAAAAACACGGAAAAAACAGAAACUGACACUAGGCACUGAGUUAAUAGGUUAGUCCCAAAAAUGAUAUAAAAUGGCAUAUAAAUGCAUAUAAGACAUCCCAAGUUGAUAAUAUAAUAGCAUGGAACAAUACAAAAUUAUAGAUACGUUGGAGACGUAUCAAGCAUCCCCAAGCUUAACUCCUGGUCGUCCUCGAGUAGGGAAGUGAUAAAGACCGAAUUUUUGAUGUGGAAUGCUACCUAACAUAUUUGUUCUUUGUUACUUCUUUAUUGUGGCAUGAAUGUUCAGAUCCGUAAGAUUCAAAACAAUAGUUUAAUAUUGACAUGUAAACAAUAAUACUUCAAGCAUACUAGCAAAGUAAUCAUGAACUUUUGACAUAACAAGGCCAAAGAAAGUUAUCCCUACAAAAUCAUAUAGUGUGGCUAUGCUGCAUCAUCCCCACACAAUGAAUUUAAAUCAUGGACAACCCCAGUAUUCGCUAAGUAAUUGUUUUCGCACUCUUACUUUCUCAACUUUUUGAACUCUCACGCAAUACAUGAGCGUGAGCCAUGGAUAUAGCACUAUGGGUGGAAUAGAGUGUGGUGGAGGUUGUGAGGCAAAAAAGGAGGAGAUGGUCACAUCGACUCGGCGUAUCAAUGGCCUAUGGAGAUGCCCAUCAAUAGAUAUCAAUGUGAAUGAGUAGGGAUUGCCAUGCAACAGAUGCACUAGAGCUAUAAGUGUAUGAAAGCUCAAAAAGAAAACUAGUGGGUGUGCACCCAACUUGCUUGCUCACGAAGACCUAGGGCAAUUUUGAGGAAGCCCAUCAUUGGAAUAUACAAGCCAAGUUAUAUAAUGAAAAUUCCCACUAGUAUAUGAAAGUGACAAAAGAAUAGACUCUCUAUCAUGAAGAACAUGGUGCUAUUUUGAAGCACAAUUGUGGAAAAAGAUAGUAGCAUUGUCCCUUCUCUCUUUUUCUCUCAUUAUUUUUUGUUUGGGCUCUUUGGCCUCUUUUUUUUAUUUUUUUGGUGGGCAUCUUUGGCCUCUUUUCCUUUUUUUUAUUUCCUCUCAUCGGACAAUGCUCUAAUAAUGAUGAUCAUCACACUUUUAUUUACUUACAACUCGAUACUUAGAACAAUAAUGACUCUAUAUGAAAUGCCUCCAACAGUGUACCGGGAUGUGCAACGAUCUAGCUUAGCGUAUGAUGUUGGAACAUCUCGCUAGCUAUCUUACGAUCAUGCAAUGGCAAAAAUGAAAAGGACGGCACAUGUCAUGAGACAGAAUGGUGGAAGUUGCAUGGCAAUAUAUCUCGAAAUGGCUAUGAAAAUGCCAUAAUAGGUAGGUAUGGUGGCUGUUUUGAGGAAGGUAUAGGGUGGGUUUGUGCACCGGUGGAAGGGUAGAGUGCAUCUAUACCAUGGACUCACAUUAGUCAUGAAGAACUUAUAUACUUAUUGCGAGAGUUCUAUUAGUAAUCGAAACAAAGUGCUAAACGCAUACUCCUAGGGGAAGGGUUGGUAGGUGUUAACCAUCGCGUGAUCCCGACCGCCACACAAAGGAUGACAAUCAAUAAAUCAAUUAUGCUCUGACUUCCUAACAUAGCGGUUCACCAUACGUGCAUGCUACGGGAAUCACUAACCUCAACACAAGUAUUUCUAGAUUCACAACACCCUACUAACAUAACUCUAAUAUUACCAUAUCGAUAUCUCAAAACUAAUUAUGAGGAAUCACACUUCUCUUACUAAUAAAUGCACUUGAAUAUGAAAGUUUUUAUUAUAUCCUCUUUGGAUGCCUAUCAUAUUUAGGACUAAUUUCAUAACACACGCCAAUUACCAAGUUAGUUAGAGAGAGCACUCUCAAAAUGAUAUAAGUGAAGAAUCGAGAGUUUUUAUUUCUACAAAAUAUGACACCACCGUGCUCUAAAAAGAUUUAAGUGAAGCACUAGAGAAAAAUCGUCUAGCUCAAAAGAUAUAAGUGAAGCUCAUGGGAGCAAAAUUAUCUAGCUCAAAAGAUAUAAGUGAAGCUCAUGGGAGCAAAAUUUCCUAGCUCAAAAGAUAUAUGUGAAGCUCAUUGAGUAUUCUUACAAAUUCACGAUGAGUGCAUGUCCCUCUCAAAAAGGUGUGUGAUACGUCUCCAACGUAUCUAUAAUUUUUGAUGGUUUCAUGCUAUUAUCUUGUCAAACUUUGGACGUUUUGUUUGCCUUUUAUAUCUUUUUUGGGACUAACUUAUUAACUCACUGCCAAGUGCCAGUUCCUGUUUUUUCCGUGUUUUUGACCCUUUUCAGAGGAGAAUUUGAAACGGAGUCCAAACGGGAUAAAAUCUGCGGAAUGAUUUUUCCAUAACAGAAGACACACCGGAGACUUGAGAACCAAGGCAGGGGACCUCAGAGGAGGUUGAUACGUCUCCAUCGUAUCUACUUUUCCAAACUCUUUUGCCCUUGUUUUGGACUCUAAUUUGCAUGAUUUGAAUGAAACUAACGUGGAGUGACGCUGUUUUCAGCAGAAUUGCCUUGGUGUUGUUUUUAUGCAGACAUGAAAGUUCUCAGAACGUCCUGAAAAUUUACGGAGAAUAUUUCUGGAAAAUAUGAAAAAUACCUGCGCAAAGAUCCACCGGAGGGGAUGGGCCAGUGGGCCACAAGCCCUGUAGCCGCCACCCCCUGGUGGCGGCUAGCAAGCUUGUGGGGCCCACGUGGCUCUGCCGCCCCUAAACUCAGCUCUAUAAAUUAACUUUCGCCCACAAAAAAAUCAGGAUAAAAGAUUUCGUCGCGUUUGCGAUACGGAGGCGCCGCCACAUCCUAGUCUUUAUCUCGAGGGCAGAUCUGGAGUCCGUUUUGGGCUCCGGAGAGGGGAAAUCGUCGCCAUCAUCAUCAUCAACCUUCUUCCCUCUCCAAUUCCAUGAAGCUCUUCAUCGUUCGUGAGUAAUCUAUUCGUAGGCUCGCUGGACGGUGAUGAGUAGGAUGAGAUCUAUCAUGUAAUCGAGUUAGUUUUGACGGGGAUUGAUCCCUAGUAUCCGUUAUGUUCUGAGAUUGAUGUUGCUACUACUUUGCCAUGCUUAAUGCUUGUCACUAGGGCCCGAGUGCCAUGAUUUCAGAUCUGAAAUUAUUAUGUUGUCACCAAUAUAUGUGUGUUUUAGAUCCGAUCUUGCAAGUUGUAGUUACCUACUAUGUGUUAUGACCCGACAACCCCGGAGUGACAAUAACCGGAACCAUUCCCGGUGAUGACCAUAGUUUGAGGAGUUCAUGUGUUCACAAGUGCUAAUGCGUUGGUCCGGUUCUUUAUUAAAAGGAGAACCUUAAUAUCCCGUAGUUUCCUUUUGGACCCCGCUGCCACAAGAGGGAUGGAAAAUAGAUGUCAUGCAAGUUAUUUUCCCUAAGCACGUAUGACGACACACGGAAUGCAUGCCUACAUCAUAUUGACGAACGGGAGUGUUGGAGCAUAUAUUGAGCAUAUAUCUCCAUAUGUGGUUUUGGUACUUGAUGACAAUUCCUAUGGACUAAUGGUUGCCUUAAGUUACAUUUAUAGGAUUUGUCCAUAGGCACUUCUUGAAGUCCAUCUAUUGGGUUCAAGGAGUUUAUAUGAUGACCAAGAUGGUAUUCAAGGUAUUAUCCAAAGAAUGGUCAUAGAGACACAUGGUUGAUCAAGAUCUCAGACAAAGAGUAAAUCAAGAUGAUCAACACACAAAGCGUACAAGAUGUAUCGAGAGGGAUCAAGUGANNNNNNNNNNNNNNNNNNNNNNNNNNNNNNNNNNNNNNNNNNNNNNNNNNNNNNNNNNNNNNNNNNNNNNNNNNNNNNNNNNNNNNNNNNNNNNNNNNNNACAGUAAUUUGUUCACCUAUGUUAGGUAGCAUGAAAGCAUCAAAAAUUCAUUCUUAUCACUUCCCUACUCGAGGUCGAGCAGGAGUUAAGCUUGGGGAUGCUUGAUACGUCUCAAACGUAUCUAUAAUUUUUGAUGGUUUCACGCUAUUAUCUUGUCUUCUUUGUAUGUUUUAUGUAUCUUUUUAUAUCUUUUUGGGACUAACUUAUUAAUUCAGUGCCAAGUGCCAGUACGUGUUUUUCUGUGUUUUUGACUCUUUUCAGAUCUCAUUUUGGAACGGAGUCCAAACGGAAGAAAAACCCCAAAAUGAUUUUUUCCCGUACGAAAGAAGUCGAGGGGGAUUUUGGGCCAAGCCACGUGGGCUCCAGGGAGCCCACAAGCCCCCACUCCGCCACCAGGGGGAGGCGGCGGUGGGCAGGCUUGUGGCCUCCGUGGCCGCCCCCUGACCUAGGUCUUGCGCCUAUAUAUUUUGAUGGUUCCCUCGAAGCAGAAAGGGUGAUGUAGCACAGCGACGGUAAGUAUUUCCCUCAGUUUGAGAACCAAGGUCUCAAUCCGACGGAAGAGUAUCUCAAGAUCCUGCAUAAACACAAAAGCUUGCACCCAACGCUAUGAAGGGGUUGCCAAUCCCUUAUAGAUUGUUUGCCAAGUGAGAACUGAAAGCAACAAAGUAACAAAGCAAACAAAAAGCGGAGAUGUAAACGAUGGAUGUGAAUAGACCCCGGGGCCGUAGUGUUUACNNNNNNNNNNNNNNNNNNNNNNNNNNNNNNNNNNNNNNNNNNNNNNNNNNNNNNNNNNNNNNNNNNNNNNNNNNNNNNNNNNNNNNNNNNNNNNNNNNNNAAUAGGUAUGCGGAUACUGACGAUCGAAUCUCGGGCAAGUAACAUACCGAAGGACAAAGAGAAUGACAUACAGGAUUACAUGAAUCCUUGACACUGAGGUUCAAACGAUAAGUUCUUCGUAGAAUAUGUAGGAUCCAAUAUGGGCAUCCAGGUCCCGCUAUUGGAUAUUGAUCGAGGAGUCUCUCGGGUCAUGUCUACANNNNNNNNNNNNNNNNNNNNNNNNNNNNNNNNNNNNNNNNNNNNNNNNNNNNNNNNNNNNNNNNNNNNNNNNNNNNNNNNNNNNNNNNNNNNNNNNNNNNNNNNNNNNNNNNNNNNNNNNNNNNNNNNNNNNNNNNNNNNNNNNNNNNNNNNNNNNNNNNNNNNNNNNNNNNNNNNNNNNNNNNNNNNNNNNNNNNNNNNNNNNNNNNNNNNNNNNNNNNNNNNNNNNNNNNNNNNNNNNNNNNNNNNNNNNNNNNNNNNNNNNNNNNNNNNNNNNNNNNNNNNNNNNNNNNNNNNNNNNNNNNNNNNNNNNNNNNNNNNNNNNNNNNNNNNNNNNNNNNNNNNNNNNNNNNNNNNNNNNNNNNNNNCUGCACACUUAAGGUUCAACGUUGUUUUAUGCGUAUUUGAGUUAUAUUGUUGGUUAUCAAAUGUUGUUCGGAGUCCCGGAUGAGAUCACGAACGUCACGAGGGUUUCCGGAAUGGUCCGGAAACGAAGAUUGAUAUAUAGGAUGACCUCAUUUGAUUACCGGAAGGUUUUCGGAGUUACCGGGAAUGACGAAUGGGUUCCGGGAGUUCACCGGGGGGGACAACCCACCCCGGGGAAGCCCAUAGGCCUUGAGGGUGGCACACCAGCCCUUAGUGGGCUGGUGGGACAGCCCAAAAGGCCUCUAUGCGCCAAGAAGAGAAAAUCAAGAGAAAAGAAAAAAAGGAGGAGGUGGGAAGGAAGGGAAGGACUCCCUCCCACCAAACCAAGUCCAACUCGGUUUGGGGGGGAGUCCUCCCCCCUUGGACUCGGCCGACCCCCUUGGGGCUCCUUGAGCCCCAAGGCAAGGUCCCCUCCCUCCCACCUAUAUAUACGGAAGUUUUAGGGCUGAUUUGAGACGACUUUUCCACGGCAGCCCGACCACAUACCUCCACGGUUUUUCCUCUAGAUCGCGUUUCUGCGGAGCUCGGGCGGAGCCCUGCUGAGACAAGGUCAUCACCAACCUCCGGAGCGCCGUCACGCUGCCGGAGAACUCUUCUACCUCUCCAUCUCUCUUGCUGGAUCAAGAAGGCCGAGAUCAUCGUCGAGCUGUACAUGUGCUGAACGCGGAGGUGCCAUCCGUUCGAUACUAGAUCGUGGGACUGAUCGCGGAAUUGUUCGCGGGGCGGAUCGAGGGACGUGAGGACGUUCCACUACAUCAACCGCGUUCACUAACGCUACUGCUGUACGAUCUACAAGGGUACGUAGAUCACUCAUCCCCUCUCGUAGAUGGACAUCACCAUGAUAGGUCUUCGUGUGCGUAGGAAAUUUUUUGUUUCCCAUGCGACGUUCCGCAACAAUGGUAUCAGAGCCAGGUUCAUGCGUAGAUGUCUUCUCGAGUAGAACACAAAAGUUUUUGUGGGCGGUGAUGUGCGUUUUGCUGCCCUCCUUAGUCUUUUCUUGAUUCCGCGGUAUUGUUGGAUUGAAGCGGCUUGGACCGACAUUACUCGUACGCUUACGAGAGACUGGUUUCAUCGUUACGAGUAACUCCGUUGCUCAAAGAUGACUGGCAAGUGUCGGUUUCUCCAACUUUAGUUCAAUCGGAUUUGACCGAGGAGGUCCUUGGAUGAGGUUAAAUAGCAACUCAUAUAUCUCCGUUGUGGUGUUUGCGUAAGUAAGAUGCGAUCCUACUAGAUAUCCAUGGUCACCACGUAAAACAUGCAACAACAAAAUUAGAGGACGUCUAACUUGUUUUUGCAGGGUAUGCUCGUGAUGUGAUAUGGCCAAUGAUGUGAUGUGAUAUAUUGGAUGUAUGAGAUGAUCAUGUUGUAAUAGAAAUAUCGACUUGCACGUCGAUGGUACGGCAACCGACAGGAGCCAUAGGGUUGUCUUUAUACUAACGUGUGUGCUUGCAGAUGCGUUUACUAUUUUGCUAGGAUGUAGCUUUAGUAGUAAUAGCAUGAGUAGCACAACAACCCCGACGGCAACACGUUGAUGGAGAUUAUGGUGUGGCGCCGGUGACAAGAAGAUCGUGCCGGUGCUUAGGUGAUGGAGAUCAAGAAGCACGUGAUGAUGGCCAUAUGAUGUCACUUAUGAAUUGCAUGUGAUGUUAAUCCUUUUAUGCACCUUAUUUUGCUUAGAACGACGGUAGCAUUAUGAGGUGAUCUCUCACUAAAAUUUCAAGACGAAAUUGUGUUCUCCCCGACUGUGCACCGUUGCUACAGUUCGUCGUUUCGAGACACCACGUGAUGAUCGGGUGUGAUAGACUCAACGUUCACAUACAAUGGGUGCAAAACAGUUGCGCAUGCGGAACACUCGGGUUAAGCUUGACGAGCCUAGCAUGUGCAUACAUGGCCUCGGAACACAUGAGACCGAAAGGUCGAUCAUGAAUCAUAUAGAUGAUAUGAUUAGCAUAGGGAUGCUUACCACUGAAACUAUACUCAACUCACGUGAUGAUCGGACUUGAGCUAGUGUAAGUGGAUCAUGAACCACUCAAAUGACUAGAGAGAUGUACUUUUUGAUUGGGAGUUUAGUGAAUAAUUUGAUUAAGUUAAACUCUAAUUAUCUUGAACAUAGUCUAAGUCCACUUUGAAUAUAUUUGUGUUGUAGAUCAUGGCUCACGCGACAGUCAUCCUGAAUUUUAAUACGUUCCUAGAGAAAGCUAAGUUGAAAGAUGAUGGAAGCAACUUUGUAGACUGGGCUCGUAAUCUUAAGCUAAUCUUACAAGCUGGGAAGAAGGAUUAUGUCCUUAAUGCUGCGUUAGGAGAUGAACCACCCGCUACAGCUGAUCAAGAUUUUAAGAACGCUUGGUUAGCACGUAAGGAGGACUACUCAAUAGUUCAAUGUGCAGUCUUGUAUGGCUUAGAACCGGGACUUCAACGUCGCUUUGAGCGUCAUGGAGCAUUUGAGAUGUUCCAGGAGUUGGAGUUUAUCUUUCAGAAGAACGCCCGGAUCGAGAGGUAUGAGACCUCCGAUAAAUUAUAUGCUUGCAAGAUGGAGGAAAACUCAUCUCUCAUUGAACAUGUGCUCAAAAUGUCUGGGUACUCAAACCGUCUAGCUGAGCUGGGGAUUGAACUCCCGCAAGAAGCUAUCACUGACAGAAUCCUUCAAUCACUGCGGCCAAGCUAUAAAGGCUUUGUGUUGAACUACAACAUGCAAGGGAUGAACAAGUCUCCCGGCGAGUUGUUUGCGAUGUUGAAAGUCGCAGAGUCUGAACUCCGUAAAGAGCAUCAAGUGUUGAUGGUGAAUAAGACCACUAGUUUCAAGAGAAACGGCAAAGGCAAGAAGGGCAAUUCGAAGAAGAGCGGCAAGGGUGUUGCCAAUCCGACGAAGAAACCCAAAGCUGGACCUAAGCCAGAAACGGAGUGUUACUAUUGCAAGGGUAUGGGUCACUGGAAGCGCAAUUGCCCCAAGUAUUUGGCAGAUAAGAAGGCGGGCAAAGAAAAAUCAGGUAUAUUUGAUAUACAUGUUAUUGAUGUGUACUUAACCGGCUCUCGUAGUAGUGCCUGGGUAUUUGAUACCGGUUCUGUUGCUCAUAUUUGCAACUCGAAACAGGAACUGCGGAAUAGGCGAAGGCUGACAAAAGAUGAAGUGACGAUGCGCGUAGGAAAUGGUUCCAAGGUUGAUGCAAUCGCCGUCGGCACAGUGUCACUUCAGUUACCGUCAGGAUUAGUGAUGAACUUAAAUCAUUGUUAUUUAGUGCCUGCGUUGAGCAUGAACAUUAUAUCUGGAUCUUGUUUAUUGCGAGACAGUUACUCUUUUAAGUCAGAGAAUAAUGGUUGUUCUAUUUCUAUGAGUAACAUCUUUUAUGGUCAUGCACCGAAUGUGAGAGGAUUGUUCAUAUUGAAUCUUGAUAUCGAUACGCAUAUACAUAACAUUGAGACCAAAAGAGUUAGAGUUAACAAUGAUAGCGCCAUAUUUUUGUGGCACUGCCGCUUAGGUCAUAUUGGUGUAAAGCGCAUGAAGAAACUCCAUGCUGAUGGACUUUUGGAGUCACUUGACUUUGAUUCACUUGACACGUGCGAACCAUGCCUCAUGGGCAAUAUGACUAAGACUCCAUUCUCAGGAACAAUGGAGCGCGCAAGUGACUUGUUGGAAAUCAUACAUACCGAUGUGUGUGGUCCUAUGAGCGUGGAGGCACGUGGCGGAUAUCGUUAUUUUCUCACCUUCACUCACGAUUUAAGUAGAUAUGGUUAUGUCUACUUGAUGAAGCACAAGUCUGAAACAUUUGAAAAGUUCAAGCAAUUUCAGAGUGAAGUGGAAAAUCAUCGUAACAAGAAGAUCAAGUUCCUACGGUCUGAUCGUGGGGGUGAAUAUCUGAGUUUCGAGUUUGGUGCUCACUUAAGACAAUGUGGAACUGUUUCACAGUUAACACCGCCUGGAACACCACAGCGUAAUGGUGUGUCCGAACGUCGUAAUCGUACUCUGUUAGAGAUGGUGCGAUCUAUGAUGUCUCUUACUGAUUCGCCGUUAUCAUUUUGGGGCUAUGCAUUAGAAACAGCUGCAUUCACUUUAAAUAGGGCACCAUCAAAAUCCGUUGAGACGACACCAUACGAACUGUGGUAUGGCAAAAGGCCAAAGUUGUCGUUUCUUAAGGUUUGGGGAUGUGAUGCUUAUGUCAAAAAGCUUCAGCCUGAAAAGCUGGAACCCAAAGCGGAAAGGUGCGUCUUCAUAGAUUACCCAAAAGAGACAGUUGGGUACACCUUCUAUCUCAAAACCGAGGGCAAAGUGUUUGUUGCUAAAAACGGAGCUUUUCUCGAGAAAGAGUUUCUCUCGAGAGAAUUGAGUGGGAGGAAGAUAGAACUUGACGAGGUUGUCGAACCUCUCAUCCCUCUGGAUGGUGGCGCAGGGCAAGGGGAAACCUCUGUCAUUGCGACGCUGGUUGAGGAGGAAGUUAAUGAUGAUGAUCAUGAAACUCCAGUUCAAGUUUCUGUCGAACCACGCAGGUCGACGAGACCACGUGCUGCUCCAGAGUGGUACGGUAAUCCCGUCUUAUCAAUCAUGUUGUUAGACAACAAUGAACCUGCGAAUUAUGAAGAAGCAAUGGUGGGCCCAGAUUCCAACAAAUGGCUGGAAGCCAUGAAGUCCGAGAUAGGAUCCAUGUAUGAGAACAAAGUGUGGACUUUGGAGGUACUGCCUGAGGGCCGCAAGGCCAUUCAGAACAAAUGGAUCUUUAAGAGGAAGACGAACGCAGACGGUAAUGUGACCGUUUAUAAAGCUCGACUUGUGGCAAAGGGUUUUUCACAAGUUCAAGGAGUUGACUACGAUGAGACUUUCUCACCCGUAGCGAUGCUUAAGUCCGUCAGAAUCAUGUUAGCAAUAGCUGCAUUUUUCGAUUAUGAAAUCUGGGAGAUGGAUGUCAAAACGGCGUUCCUUAACGGUUUCCUUAAGGAAGAGUUGUAUAUGAUACAACCCGAAGGUUUUGUCGAUCCUAAGAAUGCUAACAACGUGUGCAAGCUCCAGCGAUCUAUUUAUGGACUGGUGCAAGCAUCUCGGAGUUGGAACAAACGCUUUGAUGAGGUGAUCAAAGCAUUUGGGUUUAUACAAGUGGUUGGAGAAUCUUGUAUUUACAAGAAAGUGAGUGGGAGCUCUGUGGCGUUUCUAAUAUUAUAUGUGGAUGACAUAUUACUGAUUGGAAACAACGUAGAGUUUUUGGAGAGCACAAAAGGUUACUUGAAUAAAAGUUUCUCUAUGAAGGACCUAGGAGAAGCUGCUUACAUUCUAGGCAUUAAGAUCUAUAGGGAUAGAUCAAAACGCCUGAUAGGACUUUCACAAAGCACAUACCUUGAUAAAGUUUUGAAGAGGUUCAAAAUGGAACAGUCCAAGAAAGGGUUCUUGCCAGUUCUACAAGGUACGAGAUUGAGUAAGACUCAGUGCCCAGCAACUGAUGAAGAUAGAGAGCAUAUGGGCUCCGUCCCCUAUACUUCAGCCAUAGGUUCUAUCAUGUAUGCGAUGAUGUGCACUAGACCAGAUGUUAGCCUGGCCAUAAGUAUGGCAGGUAGGUUCCAGAGUAAUCCAGGAGUGGAUCACUGGACAGCGGUCAAGAAUAUCCUGAAGUACUUGAAAAGGACUAAGGAGAUGUUUCUCGUGUAUGGAGGUGACGAAGAGCUCGCCGUAAAAGGUUACGUCGAUGCAAGCUUUGACACAGAUCCGGACGACUCUAAGUCGCAAACCGGAUACGUAUUUAUUCUUAAUGGGGGUGCAGUAAGCUGGUGCAGUUCCAAGAAAAGCGUCGUAGCAGAUUCUACAUGUGAAGCGGAGUACAUGGCUGCCUCGGAGGCGGCUAAGGAGGGUGUCUGGAUGAAGCAAUUCAUGACGGAUCUUGGAGUGGUGCCAAGCGCACUGAAUUCAAUAACCUUGUUUUGUGACAACACGGGUGCCAUUGCCUUAGCAAAGGAACCACGGUUUCACAAGAAGACCAGACACAUCAAACGACGCUUGAACCUCAUCCGCGACUACGUCGAGGGAGAGGACGUGAAUAUAUGCAAAGUGCACACGGAUCUGAAUGUAGCAGACCCGCUGACUAAACCUCUUCCACGGCCAAAGCAUGAUCAACACCAGAACUGUAUGGGUGUUAGAUUUAUUACAAUGUAAUUCACAUGGUGAUGUGAGGGCUAGAUUAUUGACUCUAGUGCAAGUGGGAGACUGUUGGAAUUAUGCCCUAGAGGCAAUAAUAAAUAUAGUUAUUAUUAUAAUUCUUGUAUCAAGAUAAUCGUUUAUUAUCCAUGCUAUAAUUGUAUUGAAUGAAGACUCAUUUGCAUGUGUGGAUACAUAGACAAAACACNNNNNNNNNNNNNNNNNNNNNNNNNNNNNNNNNNNNNNNNNNNNNNNNNNNNNNNNNNNNNNNNNNNNNNNNNNNNNNNNNNNNNNNNNNNNNNNNNNNNAGAAGGAGGAGGAGGAGGAGGAGAAGGCCAAGGACCUUCUAUCCUUCUCCUCCUCCUCCUCCUCCUCCUCCUUCUUGAUUUCUUCUUCUUCUCCUCCUCCUCCUCCUCUUUCUUCUCCUCUUUCAUAUUAUCCUUGCUUUAAUUAACCCAACAAUGACAUAGUUAGCCCAUUUAGCUCCAAAAUACCGUAAUAAGAUCAAAAUGGCAUAAGAACCUUGGUUAGCUCAUGAAUAUUAUAUACUUAGCUUCUUUUCCUCUAAAAUGACAUAAUUGGAAUAUUUAGCUCAAAAAGACAUAAUUAGGUAAUUUAGCUCCAACAAGAGGAUAAGAGGAGAAGAAAUAGGCAAAAUGAAAAGAAAGAAGAAGAAGAGAUGAAGAAGAAGAGAAGAAGGAGGAGGAGGAGGAGGAGGAGGAGAAGGGAGGAAGAGGAGGAGGAGGAGGAGGAGGAGGAGAAGGCCAAGGACCUUCUAUCCUUCUCCUCCUCCUCCUUCUCCUCCUCCUCCUCCUUCUUCUUGAUUUCUUCUUNNNNNNNNNNNNNNNNNNNNNNNNNNNNNNNNNNNNNNNNNNNNNNNNNNNNNNNNNNNNNNNNNNNNNNNNNNNNNNNNNNNNNNNNNNNNNNNNNNNNAAGAGUUCUCCGGCAGUGUGACGGCGCUCCGGAGGUUGGUGAUGACCUUGUCUCAACAGGGCUCCGCCCGAGCUCCGCAGAAAAGUCGUCUCAAAUCAGCCCCAAUACCUCCGUAUAUAUAGGUGGGAGGGAGGGGACCUUGCCUUGUGCAAUUGCGCUUCCAGUGACCCAUACCCUUGCAAUAGUAACACUCCGUUUCUGGCUUAGGUCCAGCUUUGGGUUUCUUCGUCGGAUUGGCAACAGCCUUGCCGCUCUUCUUCGAAUUGCCCUUCUUGGCUUUGCCGUUUCUCUUGAAACUAGUGGUCUUAUUCACCAUCAACACUUGAUGCUCUUUACGGAGUUCAGACUCUGCGACUUUCAGCAUCGCAAACAACUCGCCCGGAGACUUGUUCAUCCCUUGCAUGUUGUAGUUCAACACAAAGCCUUUAUAGCUUGGCGGCAGUGAUUGAAGGAUUCUGUCAGUGAUAGCUUCUUGCGGGAGUUCAAUCCCCAGCUCAGCUAGACGGUUUGAGUACCCAGACAGUUUGAGCACAUGUUCACUGACAGAUGAGUUUUCCUCCAUCUUGCAAGCAUAGAAUUUAUCGGAGGUCUCAUACCUCUCGAUCCGGGCGUUCUUCUGAAAGAUAAACUUUAACUCUUGGAACAUCUCAAAUGNCUCGGUCAAUAUCCAAUAGCGGGACCUGGAUGCCCAUAUUGGAUCCUACAUAUUCUACGAAGAUCUUAUCGUUUGAACCUCAGUGCCAAGGAUUCAUAUAAUCCCGUAUGUCAUUCCCUUUGUCCUUCAGUAUGUUACUUGCCCGAGAUUCGAUCGUCAGUAUCCGUAUACCUAUUUCAAUCUCGUUUACCGGCAAGUCUCUUUACUCGUUCCGUAAUACAAGAUCCCGCAACUUACACUAAGUUACAUUGCUUGCAAGGCUUGUGUGUGAUGUUUUAUUACCGAGUGGGCCCCGAGAUACCUCUCCGUCACACGGAGUGACAAAUCCCAGUCUUGAUCCAUACUAACUCAACUAACACCUUUGGAGAUACCUGUAGAGCAUCUUUAUAGUCACCCAGUUACGUUGCGACGUUUGAUACACNNNNNNNNNNNNNNNNNNNNNNNNNNNNNNNNNNNNNNNNNNNNNNNNNNNNNNNNNNNNNNNNNNNNNNNNNNNNNNNNNNNNNNNNNNNNNNNNNNNNUCCCAUGGUAUGGUAAGCAUUGUCCAUUACGUGUUUGUGUACUAACCCAUGGUCUUCGUGAGAGUUCUAUGUGGGGGUUAGGUGUGUUUCCAUGGGCUUGCGUCAAAGGGAAGAUCUCAUACAACCCAUGGAGUAUGACGUCAAGUUGUGAUCAUCAUCAAUGGUUGAUCAAGAUCUCAGACAAAGAGUAAAUCAAGAUGAUCAACACACAAAGCGUACAAGAUGUACCGAGAGGGAUCAAGUGAUCCCAUGGUAUGGUAAGCAUUGUCCAUUACGUGUUUGUGUACUAACCCAUGGUCUUCGUGAGAGUUCUAUGUGGGGGUUAGGUGUGUUUCCAUGGGCUUGCAUCAAAAGGAAGAUCUCAUACAACCCAUGGAGUAUGACGUCAAGUUGUGAUCGUCAUCAAGAUUGCGAUCUGCAAGUUCAAGUGGAUCAGCACGAAGAUAGCAUGCUUGAAGCUUGCCGUCCAUUGUGGUGGCAAUGGACUUGUGAAGAUAUGCUGAAGAGUGGCUCACCCAUAGUGAGUAUGGGGGAGCAAUCAACUAGUCUUCAUCAAGCCAACACAAUCAAGAAAGGUGGUCCAUCUUGAGGAAGCCAAGAUCAUCAUCAUCUAGCUCAAGAGGACGAGGUGCAAGGUAUAGGUUUGCCCUUGAUAGGUUUUCUGGUUAGGAUAGAUUGCUGUUCUAUCAAGGGGGGCUCUCAAGUGAGUAGCUUGAUCGUAUCGUUCGUUGAGAGCUCAAACCAUUUGCAUCCUUGCAUCAUACUUCUUGGUUCUUGUUUGGUGUUUCUCUUUGUGAGUUUUAGAGCUUAUGGUCAUCUUCGUGACAAGCUCGAGUUCAUCGAAAAUGGAGUCCAUAUGCAUCUACUAUGAUGUUUUCGAUGUUGGAGUUUUUGCCGGUUCUUCAUUCAUAGAGAUCUCACAUCUCUAUAUCUUUGGCAUAUUCAUAACCGCAUGGUUAGCCCUUGUCGUCCUGAAUCCAACAAGCUUGGGUUUGCUCGAUUCGGAGCUCGUAUGCGAAAGUUAUGGCUGUUUCAGUGGCGAGCGGUAGUACCGCUGGACCUAGCGGUAGUACCGCUAGAGUUGGCGGUAGUACCGCUGGCCCUAGCGGUAGUAUCGCUGGCUCGCGGUAGUACCGCCCCUGGUCAGCGGUAGUACCGCUCCAGGAGCUUAGUACCGCCUGCCUAGCGGUUGUUCGUGGACGGACCUUUUUGCGAAGACUUUCUUGGCGGUGGUAGUGCCUUUGCACUACCAGGGGCCCAGCGGUAGUACCGCUGGGGCCAGCGGUAGUACCGCUAGCUGGCGGUAGUACCGCUGGAGUGCCAGCGGUAGUACCGCUGCAGCCAGCGGUAGUACCGCUGGAGCUCGGGCAGAGAGUGGGGGUAACGGUGUGAUUCUUCCCCCCACUAUAUAAAGGGGGUCUUCUUCCCCCUUGCCUUAUCCAUCUGUUGAUCUCUUGUUCUACCUCCAUUGUUGACAUUCUUAGAGCUUGAUUACUCUCAAUCCCUCCAAUGAUUCUUGCUUGCUCUUGAGGGAAAAGAGAGAGGAGAUCUAGAUCCACAUCUCCACCAAUCACUUUCUCCUCUACGUGAGGGGAACCCCUUGGAUCUUGAUCUUGGAGUUCUUUGUGAGCUCCUUGUUCUUCCUCUCAUAUUUCUCCAUAGCUUUUGUUGUUGUGGAGGGAUUUGAGUGUGAGGGACUUGACCACUUCGUGUGUUCUUGCCAUUGCAUUAGUUGCAUCGGUUUGAGUUCUCCACGGUGAUACGUGGAAGUGAGAAGUUGAGAAGCUUACUACCUUCGGUACUUAGUACCCUUGAUAUUGUUCUUCGUGGAUGCUUUGGCGUCCUAGAAGCUUGGUGGUGUCUCGGAGCUCAAUCAUUGUGGUGUGAAGCUCCGGGAAGCGUCGGGGUCUCCAAUAAGGUUGUGGAGAUUGCCCCGAGCAAUUUGUACGGGUGCCGGUAACCGCCCCCAAGGGUUGCCACGUGUACGGGUUCGGUGACCUCCCCCAAGGGUUGCCACGUGUACGGGUUCGGUGACCGCCCCCAAGGGUUGCCAUUUGUACGGGUUCGGUGACCGCCCUCAAGGGUCCCUUAGUGGAAUCACGGCAUCUUGCAUUGUGCGAGGGCGUGAGGAGAUUACGGUGGCCUUAGUGGCAUAUUGGGGAGCAUUGUGCCUCCACACCGCUCUAACGGAGAUUAGCAUCCGCAAGGGUGUGAACUUCGGGAUACAUCAUCGUCUCCCUGUGCCUCGGUUAUCUCUUACCCGAACCCUUUACUUAUGCACUUUACUUUGUGAUAGACAUAUUCUUUAUUGUAAUAUAUCUUGCUAUCACUUAGUUGUUUAUCUUGCUUAGCAUAAGUUGUUGGUGCACAUAGGUGAGCCUAGUUGUUGUAGGUUUUGUGCUUGACAUAUUAAACGAUUAGUUUUAUUCCGCAUUUGUUCAAGCCUAAACCUUAACUAUUUUAAAGCGCCUAUUCACCCCCCCCCUCUAGGCGACAUCCACGUCCUUUUCAGGGAGCUAGCCACAUAUCUCUCCAUGUGAUAUCUGUUGCAUGGUGAAUAUCAUCCAAACAAAUCAGCGACCCAUUGCCUACAAGUUUGUCCCACAGCUGCUGUUACUUGUUUUGCUCUGCUGCUUACUUGCUACUGUUGCUGCUGCUGUUACUUGCUCUGCUGUCACUUGCUACUCUUGCUACUUGCUACUACUGUCACUAGUGCUGCUACUCGUUACACUGCUCCUACCUGCUAUAAUUUUGGUUCGCUACUCGUUGACGGGAAAAGACAAUUUCCGUCAACACGCAACUUCUGGCGCCAUUGAUACAAUUGUUAGGAAUAAUCUGCCGUCAACAGAUCGUUUGUGACACCGUUGUUAUCAUACAACUUUGGUGUUGAUACUUUGCUUGCAGAUAUUAAUCUUUCAGGUGUGGUUGAAUCUGACUCAUUCAGCUGCUAAUACUUGAGAGUAUCCUCUCGCUUCCUAAUUGCGCACCAACAAAUUUGGGUUGAAUACUCUACCCUCGAAAACUGCCUCGAUCCCACGCGCUGGUGGGUAAUUGCAAGACAAUUUCUAAUUGUUGAGCAAUCGAGAAUAGCAUUCGUCCAACCAUUGCUAGAGAUGUGCUAAACAACAUUUUUCUGGCACUUUUGUUGGAGAUUGCUGAUACGUCUCAAACGUAUCUAUAAUUUUGAUGGUUUCACGCUGUUAUCUUGCCUUCUUUGUAUGUUUUAUGUAUCUUUUUAUAUCUUUUUGGUACUAACUUAUUAAUUCAGUGCCAAGUGCCAGUUCCUGUAUUUUUCGUGUUUUUGAGUCUUUUCAGAUGUGAUUUUGGAACGGAGUCCAAACGGAAGAAAAACCCCAAAAUGAUUCUUUCCCGAACGGAAGAAGUCCAGGGGGCUUUUGGGCCAAGCCAGGUGGGCUCCAGGGAGCCCACAAGCCCCCACUCCGCCACCAGGGGGGAGGCGGCGGUGGGCAGGCUUGUGGCCUCCCUGGCCGCCCCGUGACCUAGGUCUUGCGCCUAUAUAUUCCAAAUAUUCCGCAAAAAAUCAGGGGAGCCUCGAAAAUACUUUUCCGCCGCCACAAGCUUCCGUUUCCGCGAGAUCUCAUCUGGAGACCCUUCCCGGCACCCUGCCGGAGGAGACUUUGGAGUUGGAGGGCUUCUUCAUCAUCAUCAUCGCCCCUCCAAUGACUCGUGAGUAGUUCACUUCAGACCUACGGGUCCAUAGUUAGUAGCUAGAUGGCUUCUUCUCUCUCUUGGAUCUUCAAUACAAAGUUCUCCAUGAUCUUCAUGGAGAUCUAUCUGAUGUAAUCUUCUUUGGGGGUGUGUUUGUCGAGAUCCGUUGAAUUGUGGACUUGUGAUCACAUAAUCUAUGAUAUAUAUUUGAGUCUUUGCUGAUUUCUUAUAUGCAUGAUUUGAUAUCCUUGUAAGUCUCUCGGAGUCUUGGGUUUUGUUUGGCCAAUUAGAUCUAUGAUUCUUGCAAUGAGAGAAGUGCUUGGUUUUGGGUUCUGCCAUGUGGUGACCUUUCCGAGUGACAGUAGGGGCAGCAAGGAACACAUCAAGCAGUUGCCAUUAAGGGUAAAAAGAUGGGGUUUUUAUCAUUGGUUUGAGAUUAUCCCUCUACAUCAUGUCAUCUUGCUUAAGGCGUUACUCUGUUCUUAUGGACUUAAUACACUAGAUGCAUGCUGGAUAGCGGUCGACGUGUGGAGUAAUAGUAGUAGAUGCAGAAAGUAUGGGUCUACUUGUUUCGGACGUGAUGCCUAUAGAAAUAAUCAUUGCAUAGAUAUCAUCACGACUCUGCACAGNNNNNNNNNNNNNNNNNNNNNNNNNNNNNNNNNNNNNNNNNNNNNNNNNNNNNNNNNNNNNNNNNNNNNNNNNNNNNNNNNNNNNNNNNNNNNNNNNNNNNNNNNNNNNNNNNNNNNNNNNNNNNNNNNNNNNNNNNNNNNNNNNNNNNNNNNNNNNNNNNNNNNNNNNNNNNNNNNNNNNNNNNNNNNNNNNNNNNNNNNNNNNNNNNNNNNNNNNNNNNNNNNNNNNNNNNNNNNNNNNNNNNNNNNNNNNNNNNNNNNNNNNNNNNNNNNNNNNNNNNNNNNNNNNNNNNNNNNNNNNNNNNNNNNNNNNNNNNNNNNNNNNNNNNNNNNNNNNNNNNNNNNNNNNNNNNNNNNNNNNNNNNNNNNNNNNNNNNNNNNNNNNNNNNNNNNNNNNNNNNNNNNNNNNNNNNNNNNUAAACACUACGGCCCCCGGGUCUAUUCACAUCCAUCGUUUACAUCUCCGCUUUUACUUUGCUUUGUUACUUUGUUGCUUUCAGUUCUCACUUGGCAAACAAUCUAUAAGGGAUUGACAACCCCUUCAUAGCGUUGGGUGCAAGCUUUUGUGUUUAUGCAGGAUCUUGAGAUACUCUUCAGCCGGAUUGAUACCUUGGUUCUCAAACUGAGGGAAAUACUUACCGUCGCUGUGCUACAUCACCCUUUCCGCUUCGAGGGAACACCAACGCAAGGCUCCAAGUACACGGGGGAAUUCCUUUGCAUACUUGCCUAGGAAGUCCCUUAAGGCGUAGCCGUAGCUGAAGGAUUCCUGGUGCCGUCGACACAACUAUUUCUGGCGCCAUUGCAAGGGAUACACAGCAAAACAUCAGAAGUAUUUCUGGCGCCGUUGCGGGGGAGGAGAAAUAAAGAUCUAUCCAAGUAGGUCUCACAAACUCUUCUCUUGCAUUUACUUUUGUUGCCAGUUGCCUCUCGUUUUCCUCUCCCCCACUUCACAUUUGCCGUUUUCAUUCGCCUUUCUCCUUCGCCGUUUUCUCUUGCCCUUGCCAUUUUCCUUUGUAGGUUUCUUGCUUGCUUGUGUGAUUGUUUGUUUGUUGAAGACAUCAUGUCUGAAAACACCAAACUUUGCGACUUCUCGAGCACUAAUAAUAAUGAUUUUAUUAGUACUCCGGUUGCUCCUGCCACUAGUGCGGAAUCGUAUGAAAUCAACGCAGCUCUGCUGAAUCUUGUUACGAAAGAGCAAUUCUCUGGCCUUCCUAAUGAAGAUGCCGCAGCCCAUCUCAAUACCUUCAUUGAGCUUUGUGAUAUGCAAAAGAAACGAGAUGUGGAUAAUGACGUGAUUAAGUUGAAACUUUUUCCUUUCUCGUUGCGAGAUCGCGCAAAAACUUGGUUUUCUUCUUUGCCUAAAAAUAGUAUCGAUUCUUGGGAUAGGUGCAAAGAUGCUUACAUAUCCAAGUAUUUUCCUCCGGCUAAGAUCAUCUCCUUACGUAACGAUAUCAUGAAUUUCAAGCAACUUGAUCAUGAACACGUUGCACAAUCUUGGGAGAGGAUGAAGCUUAUGAUUAGAAAUUGUCCCGCUCAUGGCUUGAGUUUGUGGAUGAUUAUACAAAUCUUUUACGCUGGCUUGAAUUUCGCUUCUCGCAAUAUCUUGGAACGUUCAUGGAAAUCAUGUUAGGAGACGCUACAAAACUCCUAGACAAUAUCAUGACCAACUACUCUAAGUGGCACACUGAAAGGUCGCCUGCUAGCAAAAAGGUGCACGCUAUAGAAGAGAUUAACUCGCUUAGUGCUAAGAUGGACGAGUUGAUGAAUUUGGUUGCUAGUAGAAACGCUACCGUAGAUCCUAAGGACAUGCCACUAUCUUCUUUGACUGAGAGUAGCAACGCUAGUUUGGACGUGAAUUUUGUUGGUAGGAACAAUUUUGGCAACAAUAAUGCUUUUAGAGGAAACUAUGUUCCUAGGCCUUUUCCUAGUAACUCCUCUAACAAUUAUGACAAUUCCUACGACAACACUUAUGAAAUCUUAACAAAUUAUCCUCUGAUCUAGAGAGUAAUAUCAAAGAGUUCAUCAACUCUCAAAAGAUUUUCAAUGCGUCCAUAGAGGAAAAACUACUCAAAAUAGACGAUUUGGCUAAGAGCGUUGAUAGGAUGUCUUGUGAUAUUGAUGCUUUGAAAGUUAGAUGCGCUCCUACCAAGAUCAACUUGGAUGAAACUUUGAAAGCUAUGCGUAUCUCCAUGAAUGAGGGCAAAGAAAGAACCGCCCAAAUUCGCGCUAGACAUGAAUGCUUUAAAAGGGUGCGUUCUAGUGAUGCAAAUCAUGAAGAUCUUAAAGUGCUUGGUGUGUCUCCUCUUGAAUCUUUGUUUUCGCGUGUCAAACCUACUUAUGGAGGGGCUGGAUAUGAAUCCACUUUGGUUGAAAAACGCCCCAAUGAUUCAGAGUCCACCUAUCUUGAUGAUAAAGGUGUGGAGAGUGGAGUAGAAGAAGUCAAAAUUUUGGGUAGUAAUGAAACUCCCACUUUGGAUUUCAAGGAAUUCAAUUAUGAUAAUUGCUCCUUGUUUGAAUGCAUUUCUUUGAUGCAAUCCAUUGCAAACUCUCCACAUGCUUAUAGCCAAAGCAAAGCGUUUACCGCGCAUAUCGUAGAUGCUAUGAUGAAAUCUCUUGAAGAGAAGCUCGGACUAGAAGUGUCUAUACCUAGAAAACUUCAUGAUGAGUGGGAACCUACUAUCAAAAUCAAGAUAAAAAACUAUGAGUGCAAUGCUUUGUGUGAUUUGGGUGUUAGUGUUUUCGCGAUUCCAAAGUCUUUAUGUGAUAUUCUUGGUUUUCAUGAGAUUGAAGAGUGUUCUCUUAAUUUGCAUCUUGCGGAUUCUACCGUCAAGAAGCCCAUGGGGAGGAUCGAUGAUGUUCUUAUUGUUGCAAAUAAGAACUAUGUACCCGUGGAUUUCAUUGUACUUGACAUAGAUUGCAAUCCUUCAUGUCCCAUUAUUCUUGGUAGACCUUUCCUAAGGACUAUUGGUGCUAUCAUCGAUAUGAAGGAAGGGAAUAUUAGAUUUCAAUUUCCCUUAAAGAAGGGCAUGGAGCACUUUCCUAGAAAGAAAAUAAGAUUGCCUUAUGAAUCUAUGAUGAGGGCUACCUAUGGUUUGAGCACCAAAGAUGACUAUACGUGAUUCCAUCACUUUCGCCUAGCUAAGGGCGUUAAACAAAAGCGCUUGUUGGGAGGCAACCCAACGAAUCUAUCCUUUUUCUUUCUGUUUUGUGUUUUUCACACUUUCAUAAUUCUGUUAUGAUUGUGUUUUUUGUGUUUCUUUUUGCGUUUGUGCCAAGCAAAACCGUUAUGAUUAGUCUUGGGGAUGAUCGUUUGGUCACGCUGGAAAAGACAGAAACUUUCUGCUCACGAAAAGAAUUUUCAGUUUUUUAUGUAAGAGCUCUGCUGUUAACAGAUUCUGUUUUUGUUGUGUUGGUUGCUUAUUUUGAUGAAACUAUGGAUAGUAUCGGGGGGUAUUAGCCAUGGAAGAUUGAAAGUAAAGUAACCCAACAUCAGCACAAGUAGAAUUUAAGUUUGCUACAGUACCUAAGGAAGUGGUGGUUUGCUUUCUUGUACUAAUGUUAUCACGAGUUUCUGUUUAAGUUUCGUGUUGUGAAGUUUUCAAGUUUUGGGUGAAGUUCUUAUGGACAAAAAGAUAAAGAGUGGCAAGAGCUCAAGCUUGGGGAUGCCCAAGGAACCCCAAGAGAUUUAAGGAUGCCGUAAAAGCCUAAGCUUGGGGAUUCCCCGGGAAGGCAUCCCCUCUCUCGUCUUCAAUCCAUCGGUAACGUUACUUGGGGCUAUAUUUUUAUUCACCACAUGUUAUGUGUUUUUGCUUGGAGCGUCUUGUAUCGUAGGUGUCUUUUUUUUGUGUCACAAUCAUCCUUGCUGCACACCUAGAGAGAGAGACAUGCACUCACCGUGAUUUUGUCGAGCUUCACUUAUAUCUUUUGGUAGACAAUUCAGCUCACAUGUGCUUCACUUAUAUCUUUUGAGCUAGAUACCUUUUGUCUAUGUGCUUCACUUAUAUCUUUUAGAGUACAGUGGUGCGUGGCUUGGUAGUGGAUCUAUGCUUUGAAAGUAGUCUCAAAAGGGGUAGUUAUCCAAAGGGAUAUGAAAACUUCCACCUUCAUGUGCAUUGAAUAGUUAGAGAAGUUCGAUUCAUCUCAAUUAGUUUUGAGUUGUGGUUAUGGUAAUAUUGAAGUCAUGCUAGUAAGGUGUUGAGGAUCUAGAAAUACUUGUGUUGAAGUUAGUGAUUCCCGUAGCAUGCACGUAUGGUGAACCGCUAUGUGAUGAAAUCUGAGCAUGAUUAGUCUAUUGAUUGUCAUCCUUUGCGUGCCGGUCGGGAUCGCGCGAUGGUUUAUACCUACUAACCCUUCCCCUAGGAGUAUGCGUUGAAUGCUUUGUUUCGAUUACUAAUAAAACUUUUGCAACAAGUACAUGAGUUCUUCAUGACUAAUGUUGAGUCCAUGGUUUAGAUGCACUUUCACCUUCAAACUUCACUAUCUUUUUAGUCCCGCGCAACUUUCGCCGGUGCACAAAACCCACCAUUAGCCUUCCUCAAAACAGCCACCAUACCUACCUACUAUGGCUUUUUCAAAGUCAUUCCGAGAUAUAUUUCCAUGCAACUACCACCAUGAUAUGUGCCACCACGUCUACAUUGCCUUUGCACGAUCGUAAGAUAGCUAGCAUGAUGUUUCCAUUGAUGUCUAUGCCAUGCUAGAUCAUUGCCACGGUACACUACCGAAGGCAUUCCAUAUAGAGUCAUAGUUGCUCUAAGUUUUGAGUUGAAAGUGUGAUGAUCAUCAUUAUUGGAGCAUUGUCCCAUGUGAGGAAAUAAAAGAGUCCAAAGAAGCCCAUAAAAAAGAGGCCAAAGAGCCCACCAAAAAAAUGAGAGAAAGAGAGAAGGGACAAUUCUACCACUUUUUCCACACUCGUGCAUUUUGAGCACCAUGAUCUUCAUGAUUGAGAGUCUCUCGUUUUUUCACCACCAUAUAGCUAGUGGGAAAUUCUCAUUAUAUAACUUGGCUUGUAUAUUCCAAUGAUAGGCUUCCUCAAAAGUUCCUUAGGUCUUAGUGAGCAAGCAAGUUGGAUGCACACCCACUAGUUUUCUUUAAGAGCUUUCACAUACUUGUAGCUCUAGUGCAUCAUUUGUAUGGCAAUCCCUACUCAUUCACAUGGAUAUCUAUUGAUGAGGAUCUCCACAGCUCAUUGAUAUGCCUAGUUAAUGUGACUAUCUUCUCCUUUUUGUCUUGCAACCCCCACCACAUUCCACACCAUCUAUAGUGCUUUAACCAUGGCUCACGCUCAUGUAUUGCAUGAGAGUUGAAAAUGUUUGAGAAAGUAAAGGUGUGAAACAAUUACUUGGCCAAUACCGGGGUUGUGCAUGAUUUAAAUUCGUUGUGCAGUGAUGAUAGAGCAUGGCCAGACUAUAUGCUUUUGUAGGGAUAACUUUCUUUUGGCCUUGUUAUUUUGAAAGUUCAUGAUUACUUUGCUAGUUUGCUUGAAUUAUUAUUGUUUCCACGUCAAUAGAAAACUAUUGUUUUGAAUCUAAUGGAUCUGAACAUUCACGUCACAUAAGAGGAAUUACAAAGGACACCUAUUCUAGGUAGCAUGAAAGCAUAAAAAUUCAUUCUUAUCACUUCCCUACUCGAGGACGAGCAGGAGUUAAGCUUGGGGAUGCUUGAUACGUCUCAAACGUAUCUAUAAUUUUUGAUGGUUUCACGGUGUUAUCUUGCCUUCUUUGGAUGUUUUAUGUACCUUUUAUAUCUUUUUUGGGACUAACUUAUUAAUUCAGUGCCAAGUGCCAGUUCCUGUUUUUUCCGUGUUUUUGACUCUUUUCAGAUCAGAUUUUGGAACGGAGUCCAAACGGAAGAAAAACCCCAAAAUGAUUUUUUCCCGAACGGAAGAAGUCCAUGGGGCUUUUGGGCCAAGCCAGGUGGGCUCCAGGGAGCCCACAAGCCCCCACUCCGCCACCAGGGGGAGGCGGCGGUGGGUAGGCUUGUGGCCUCCCUGGCUGCCCCCUGACCUAGGUCCUGCGCCUAUAUAUUCCCAAAUAUUCCGCAAAAAAUCAGGGGAGCCUCGAAUAUACUUUUCCGCCGUCGCAAGCUUCCGUUUCCGUGAGAUCUCAUCUGGAGACCCUUCCCGGCACCCUGCCGGAGGGGACUUUGGAGUUGGCGGGCUUCUUCAUCAUCAUCAUCGCCCCUCCAAUGACUCGUGAGUAGUUCACUUCAGACCUACGGGUCCGUAGUUAGUAGCUAGAUGGCUUCUUCUCUCUCUUGGAUCUUCAAUACAAAGUUCUCCAUGAUCUUCAUGGAGAUCUAUGCGAUGUAAUCUUCUUUGGCGGUGUGUUUGUCGAGAUCCGAUGAAUUGUGGACUUGUGAUCACAUUAUCUAUGAUAUAUAUUUGAGUCUUUGCUGAUUUCUUAUAUGCAUGAUUUGAUAUCCUUGUAAGUCUCUCUGAGUCUUAGGUUUUGUUUGGCCAACUAGAUCUAUGAAUCUUGCAAUGAGAGAAGUGCUUGGUUUUGGUUUCUGCCAUGUGGUGACCUUUCCCAGUGACAGUAGGGGCAGCAAGGUACACAUCAAGCAGUUGCCAUCAAGGGUAAAAAUAUGGGGUUUUUAUCAUUGGUUUGAGAUUAUCCCUCUACAUCAUGUCAUCUUGCUUAAGGCGUUACUCUGUUCUUAUGGACUUAAUACACUAGAUGCAUGCUGGAUAGCGGUCGACGUGUGGAGUAAUAGUAGUAGAUGCAAAAAGUAUGGGUCUACUUGUUUCGGACGUGAUGCCUAUAGAAAUAAUCAUUGCAUAGAUAUCGUCACGACUCUGCACAGUUCUAUCAGUUGCUCGACAGUAAUUNNNNNNNNNNNNNNNNNNNNNNNNNNNNNNNNNNNNNNNNNNNNNNNNNNNNNNNNNNNNNNNNNNNNNNNNNNNNNNNNNNNNNNNNNNNNNNNNNNNNACUAUGUAGACAUGACUCGAGAGACUCCUCGGUCAAUAUCCAAUAGCGGGACCUGGAUGCCCAUAUUGGAUCCUACAUAUUCUACGAAGAACUUAUCGUUUGAACCUCAGUGUCAAGGAUUCAUAUAAUCCCGUAUGUCAUUCUCUUUGUCCUUUGGUAUGUUACUUGCCCGAGAUUCGAUCGUCGGUAUCCGCAUACCUAUUUCAAUCUCGUUUACCGGCGAGUCUCUUUACUCGUUCCGUAAUACAAGAUCCCGCAACUUACACUAAGUCACAUUGCUUGCAAGGCUUAUGUUUGAUGUUAUAUUACCGAGUGGGCCCCGAGAUACCUCUCCGUCACACGGAGUGACAAAUCCCAGUCUUGAUCCAUACUAACUCAACUAACACCUUCGGAGAUACCUGUAGAGCAUCUUUAUAGUCACCCAGUUACGUUGCGAUGUUUGAUACACACAAAGUAUUCCUCCGGUGUGAGUGAGUUAUAUGAUCUCAUGGUCAUAGGAACAAAUACUUGACACGCAGAAAACAGUAGCAACAAAAUGACACGAUCAACAUGCUACGUCUAUUAGUUUGGGUCUAGUCCAUCACGNNNNNNNNNNNNNNNNNNNNNNNNNNNNNNNNNNNNNNNNNNNNNNNNNNNNNNNNNNNNNNNNNNNNNNNNNNNNNNNNNNNNNNNNNNNNNNNNNNNNAGUAGGGAAGUGAUAAGAAUGAAUUUUUGAUGCUUUCAUGCUACCUAACAUAGGUGAACAAAUUACUGNNNNNNNNNNNNNNNNNNNNNNNNNNNNNNNNNNNNNNNNNNNNNNNNNNNNNNNNNNNNNNNNNNNNNNNNNNNNNNNNNNNNNNNNNNNNNNNNNNNNNNNNNNNNNNNNNNNNNNNNNNNNNNNNNNNNNNNNNNNNNNNNNNNNNNNNNNNNNNNNNNNNNNNNNNNNNNNNNNNNNNNNNNNNNNNNNNNNNNNNNNNNNNNNNNNNNNNNNNNNNNNNNNNNNNNNNNNNNNNNNNNNNNNNNNNNNNNNNNNNNNNNNNNNNNNNNNNNNNNNNNNNNNNNNNNNNNNNNNNNNNNNNNNNNNNNNNNNNNNNNNNNNNNNNNNNNNNNNNNNNNNNNNNNNNNNNNNNNGUGGGUGAACAAAUUACUGUCGAGCAAUUGAUAGAACUGUGCAGAGUCGUGACGAUAUCUAUGCAACGAUUAUUCUAUAGGCAUCACGUCCAAAACAAGUAGACCGAUACUUUCUGCAUCUACUACUAUUACUCCACACGUGGUCGCUAUCCAGCAUGCAUCUAGUGUAUUAAGUCCAUAAGAACAGAGUAACGCCUUAAGCAAGAUGACAUGAUGUAGAGGGAUAAUCUCAAACCAAUGAUAAAAUCCCCAUCUUUUUACCCUUGAUGGCAACUGCUUGAUGUGUGCCUUGCUGCCCCUACUGUCACUAGGAAAGGUCACCACAUGGCAGAACCCAAAACCAAGCACUUCUCCCAUUGCAAGAAUCAUAGAUCUAGUUGUCCAAGCAAAACCCAAGACUCGGAGAGACUUACAAGGAUAUCAAAUCANNNNNNNNNNNNNNNNNNNNNNNNNNNNNNNNNNNNNNNNNNNNNNNNNNNNNNNNNNNNNNNNNNNNNNNNNNNNNNNNNNNNNNNNNNNNNNNNNNNNNNNNNNNNNNNNNNNNNNNNNNNNNNNNNNNNNNNNNNNNNNNNNNNNNNNNNNNNNNNNNNNNNNNNNNNNNNNNNNNNNNNNNNNNNNNNNNNNNNNNNNNNNNNNNNNNNNNNNNNNNNNNNNNNNNNNNNNNNNNNNNNNNNNNNNNNNNNNNNNNNNNNNNNNNNNNNNNNNNNNNNNNNNNNNNNNNNNNNNNNNNNNNNNNNNNNNNNNNNNNNNNNNNNNNNNNNNNNNNNNNNNNNNNNNNNNNNNNNNNNNNNNNNNNCAAGGAUAUCAAAUCAAGCAUAUAAGAAAUCAGCAAAGAAUCAAAUAUAUAUCAUAGAUACUCUCAUCACAAGUCCACAAUUCAUCGGAUCUCGACAAACACACCGCCAAAGAAGAUUACAUCGGAUAGAUCUCCAUGAAGAUCAUGGAGAACUUUGUAUUGAAGAUCCAAGAGAGAGAAGAAGCCAUCUAUCUACUAACUACGGACCCGUAGGUCUGAAGUGAACUACUCACGAGUCAUUGGAGGGGCGAUGAUGAUGGUGAAGAAGCCCUCCAACUCCAAAGUCCCCUCUGGCAGGGCGCCGGGAAGGGUCUCCAGAUGAGAUCUCGCGGAAACGGAAGAUUGCGGCGGCGGAAAAGUAUUUUCGAGGCUCCCCUGAUUUUUUGCGGAAUAUUUGGGAAUAUAUAGGUGCAAGAACUAGGUCAGGGGGCGGCCAGGGAGGCCACAAGCCUGCCCACCGCCGCCUCCUCCUGGUGGCGGAGUGGGGGCUUGUGGGCUCCCUGGAGCCCACCUGGCUUGGCCCAAAAGCCCCGUGGACUUCUUCCGUACGGGAAAAAAUCAUUUUGGGGUUUUUCUUCCGUUUGGACUCCGUUCCAAAAUCAGAUCUGAAAAGAGUCAAAAACUCAGAAAAAACAGGAAUUGGCACUUAGCACUGAAUUAAUAAGUUAGUCCCAAAAAGAUAUAAAAAGAUACAUAAAACUUACAAAGAAGGCAAGAUAACAACGUGAAACCAUAAAAAAUUAUAGAUACAUUUGAGACGUAUCAGAGUUCAUGUGUUCACCAAGUGCUACUGCGUUGGUCCGGUUCUUUAUUAAAAGGAGAACCUCAAUAUCCCAUAGUUUCUUUUUGGACCCCGCUGCCACGGGAGGGAUGGACAAUAGAUGUCAUGCAAGUUCUUUUCCGUAAGCACGUAUGACGACACACGGAAUGCAUGCCUACAUCAUAUUGACGAAUGGGAGCUAGGCACAUAUCUCUCCGUGUUAUAACUGUUGCAUGAUGAAUAUCAUCCAAACAAAUCACCGACCCAUUGCCUACGGGUUUGUCCCACUCCUGCUAUUACUUGUUUUGCUCUCCUGCUGUUACUUGUUUUGCUCUGCUGCUGUUACUUACUACUGUUGCUGCUGCUGUUACUUGCUCUGCUAUCACUUGCUACUGUUGCUACUUGCUACUGCUGCUACUCGUUACACUGCUGCUACCUGCUAUAACUCUGGUUCACUAAUCAUUGACGGGAAAAGACAAUUUCCGUCAACGGGCAACUUCUGGCGCCAUUGAUACAAUCGUUAGGAAUAGUGUGCCGCCAACAGAUCAUUUCUGACACCGUCGUUAUCAUACUACUUUGCUGUUGAUACUUUGCUUCCAGAUAUUAAUCUUUCAGGUGUGGUUGAAUCUGACACAUUCAGCUGCUAAUACUUGAGAGUAUCCUUUCGCUUCCUAUUGGCGCACCAACAAAUUUGGGUUGAAUACUCUACCCUCGAAAACUGCCUCGAUCCCAGGCGCUGGUGGGUUGUUGCAAGACAAUUUCUAAUUGUUGAGCAAUCGAGAAUAGCAUUCGUCCAACCAUUGCUAGAGAUCUGCUAAACAACAUUUUUCUCGCACUGUUGUUCGAGAUUGCCAUCAGAGGUCACAAGCCCACCAGGCCCGGCGUAGGGGGGGCUAGCAGGCUUGUGAGCUCCCCGUGGCUCCCCUGCCCUAGGUCUUCCGCCUAUAUAUUCCCUAAAAUCCUAGAAAAAAACAGGAGAUCAUCGAAAAUACUUUUCCGCCGCCGCAAGCUUCUGUCUCCGCAAGAUCCCAUCUGGGGCACGUUCUGGUGCUCUGCCGGAGGGGGGAUUCGUAUACGAGGGCUUCUUCAUCAACACCAUGACCUCUCCGAUGAUGCGUGAGUAGUUCACCAUAGACCUACGGGUCCAUAGCUAGUAGCUAGAUGGCUUCUUCUCUCUCUUGGAUCUUCAAUACAAAGUUCUCCAUGAUCUUCUUGGAGAUCUAUCCGAUGUAAUCUUCUUUUGCGGUGUGUUUGUCGAGAUCCGAUGAAUUGUGGAUUUAUGAUCAUAUUAUCUAUGAAUCUUAUUUGAGUUUCUUCUGAUCUCUCUUAUGCAUGAUUUUAUAUCCUUGUAAUUCUCUUCGAGUUGUUGAUUUUGUUCGGCCAGCUUGAUCUAGGAUUCUUGCAAUGUGAGAAGUGCUUGGUUUUGGGUUCAUACCGUGUGGUGAACUCACCCAGUGACAGAAGGGGUAGCGAGGCACGUAUCGUGUUGUUGCCAUCAAGGGUAAAAAGAUGGGGUUUUCAUCAUUGGUUUGAGAUUAUCCCUCUACAUCAUGUCAUCUUGCUUAAGGCGUUACUCUGUUUGUCAUGAGCUCAAUACACUAGAUGCAUGCUGGAUACCGGCCGGUGUGUGGAGUAAUAGUAGUAGAUGCAGAAAGUAUCGGUCUACUUGUCUCGGACGUGAUGCCUAUAUGUAUGAUCAUUGCCUUAGAUAUCGUCAUGACUUUGCGCGGUUCUAUCAAUUGCUCNNNNNNNNNNNNNNNNNNNNNNNNNNNNNNNNNNNNNNNNNNNNNNNNNNNNNUAAUUUGUUCACCCACGGUAAUACUUGCUAUUUUGAGGGAAGCCUCUAGUGAACACUAUGGCCCCCGAGUCUACUCCACACUAUAUUUUCAGCCUUACUCUUUUUGUUCGUUGCACUUUCCGCCUUCAGAUCUCACUUUGUAAUCAAUCUUGAAGGGAUUGACAACCCCUUUAUAGCGUUGGGUGCAAGCUCUUUUGUGUUUGUGCAGGUACUCUAGACUUGACGAGAUUCUCCUACUGGAUUGAUACCUUGGUUCUCAACUGAGGUAAAUACUUACUGCUCCUGUGCUGCAUCACCCUUUCCUCUUCAAGGGAAAAACCAACGCAAGCAAGUCUCCGUCAACGUGUCAAAUUAUGGCGUUGUUGUUUGAGAAGUAGCAGUGUGCAGCAAGGAUGAUUUUGAUAAAACAAAAAGCAAAGACUCCUAUAAUACACGAAGCUCCAAGCAAAACACAUAUCAUGUGGUAAAUAAAAAUAUAGCUCCAAGUAACGUUAUCGAUGGAUUGAAGACGAAAGAGGGGAUGCCUUCCCGGGGCAUCCCCAAGCUUAGGAUUUUUGGUGUCCUUGAAUUUGGCUUGGCAUGACUUGUUCAUCCCCAAGCUUAGUCUCUUUCCACUCUUCAUUCCAUUGUCCAUAAGAGCAUCACCCAAAACUUGAAAACUUCACAACACAAAACUUAAGCAGAAACUCGUGAUAUCAUUAGCAUAAAAAAACAAACCACCAACUUUAUAGGUACUGUAGCAAACUUAAUUUCCAUUUAGAUUGAUGUUAUAUUACUGUAUUCUUACUUUUCCAUGGCUCGUACCCCCCAAUGCUAACCAUAGUUUCAUCAAACUAAGUAAUCAACACAACAAAAACAGAAUCUGUCAAAAACAGAACAGUCUAUGGCAAUCUGUAUAUUUCGUAUACUUCUCCUAUCCCAAAAAUUCUAAAAACUUAUGAAAAUUAGGGCAAUUUGCGUAUCAAUCAUAAGCAAAAAGAAUUAACUCAAAAUCUCUUUCUAUAUAGGAACUAAAAAUAAUUUCGUGAGCACAAAGUUUCGGUUUUUUAAGCAUGAUUAAACAACUAUCACCAAAACUAAUCAUAAAGGUUCUACUUGGCACAAACUCUAAUUAAAACAUAAAAAACACAACCAUAACAGAAUCAUGAUGGUGUGGACUCAACAAAACAGAAAGUGAAAAGCAAAAAUAAAUUUAUUCAUUGGGUUGCCUCCCAACAAGUGCUUUUCUUUAAAGCCUUUUAGCUAGGCAUUGAUAAUUCAAUGAUGCUCACACAAAAGACAAGAAUUGAAGCACAAGGAGAGCAUCAUAAAGCAUGUGAAAAUCACAUCUUAGUCUAACAUACUUCCUAUGCAUAGGAAUUUUAUAGGAAAACAAAUUAUCAAGACAACCAAUAGUUACCAUAUACAAGGAAGAAGAAAGAGACAAUAGCAAUCUCAACAUAACGAGAGGUGAUUUAGUGAUAUGAAAAUUUCUACAACCAUAUUUUCCUCUCUCAUAAUAAUUACAUGUGGUAUCAUCUUCAAAUUCAACAAUAUAACUAUAACAUAGGAUAUUCUUUUCAUGAUCCACAUGCAUGCAAAGUUGGCGCUCUACAAAAAUAGGGGGAAUAUCAUCAACUAAAGUCAUGACUUCUCCGAACCCACUUUCAAUAUUAAUGCAAACAUUAUUAUAAAUAUCAUAUUCAUCAUGAGGCUUAACCAAAUUUUCAAGAUCAUAAGAAAAAUCAUCACCCCAAUCAUGAUCAUUGCAACAAGUAGUGGACAUAGCAAAACUAGCAUCCCCAAGCUUAGGGUUUUGCAUAUUUUUAACAUGAUUGACUUUAAUAGAAUUUAUAGUGAAACCAUUGCAAUCAUGCUUUUCAUUCAAGGAGCCCUCGUGAAUCACUUCAUAAAUUUCUUCAUCACAAUUUUCAGAUUCACGCAUCUCAAGAAAAACUUCAUAAAGAUAAUCUAGUGCACAAAACUCACUAGCAAUUGGUUCAACAUAAUUGGAUCUCUUAAAGAGAUUAGCGAGUGGCUGAGGAUCCAUAAGUUUAUUCUUUCUGUUAUUUGAGUGCCAACACCAUCAUGCAAAGAAAAUGAGCAAGCAAACUAAGUAAGACAUAAAGGCAAACGAAAAAGGCAAAUAUUUUUGUAAUAUCUUUUUUAGAAGUGGGGGAGAGGAAAACGAGAGGCAAAUGGCAAAUAAUGUAAAUGCAAGAGAUGAGUUUGCGAUAGGUACUUGGUAGAUAUGCUUCCCUUGAAUACUCCCCGGCAACGGCGCCAGAAAUUCUUCUUGCUACUUCUUGAGCUUGGAUUGGUUUUUCCCUUGAAGAGGUAAGGGUGAUGCAGCAAAGUAGAAAUAAGUAUUUCCCUCAGUUUGAGAACCAAGGUAUCAAUCCAGUAGGAGUAUCAAGAUGAGGCACCAAUGAACCUGCGCAAAAACAAACAAACUUGCACCCAACGGGAUAAAGGGGUUGUCAAUCCCUUCACGAUUACUUGCAAGGUGAGAUAUGAUAGUGAUGAAAGGUAAAUAGAUAAAAGUGCAGCAAGGUAUUUUUGGUGUUUUUGUAUGCAGAUCUGAAUAUAUGAUGUGUAAAAUAGACCCGGGGGCCAUAGUGUUCACUAGAGGUUCUCUCAUGAUAGCAAGUAUUACAGUGGGUUAACGAAUUACUGUCGAGCAAUUGAUAGAAUCACGCAAAGUCAUGACGAUAUCUAAGGCAAUGAUCAUACAUAUAGGCAUCACGUCCGAGACAAGUAGACCGAUACUUUCUGCAUCUACUACUAUUACUCCACACAUCGACCGCUAUCUAGCAUGCAUCUAGUGUAUCAAGUUCAUAACAAACGAAGUAACGCCUUAAGCAAGAUGACAUGAUGUAGAGGGAUAAAUUCAUGCAAUAUGAUAUAAAAAACAUCUUUUUACCCUUGAUGGCAACAACACGAUGCGUGCCUCGCUACCCCUUCUGUCACUAGGUGAGGACACCGCAUGGUAUGAACCCAAAACCAAGCACUUAUCCCAUUGCAAGAAUUAUAGAUCAAGCUGGCCAAACGAAACCCAUAACUCGAAGAGAAUUACAAGGAUACGAAAUCAUGCAUAUAAGAAAUCAGAGGAGACUCAAAUAAUAUUCAUAGAUAAUCUGAUCAUAAAUCCACAAUUCAUCGGAUCUCGACAAACACACCGCAAAACAAAGUUACAUCGGAUANNNNNNNNNNNNNNNNNNNNNNNNNNNNNNNNNNNNNNNNNNNNNNNNNNNNNNNNNNNNNNNNNNNNNNNNNNNNNNNNNNNNNNNNNNNNNNNNNNNNAUGUAUAUGCGUAUCGCUAUCAAUAUUCAAUAUGAACAAUCCUCUCACAUUCGGUGCAUGACCAUAAAAGAUGUUACUCAUAGAAAUAGAACAGCCAUUAUUCUCUGACUUAAAAGAGUAACCGUCUCGCAAUAAACAAGAUCCAGAUAUAAUGUUCAUGCUCAACGCAGGCACUAAAUAACAAUGAUUUAAGUUCAUCACUAAUCCUGACGGUAACUGAAGUGACACUGUGCCGACGGCGAUUGCAUCAACCUUGAAACCAUUUCCUACGCGCAUCGUCACUUCAUCUUUCGCCAGCCUUCGCCUAUUCCGCAGUUCCUGUUUCGUGUUGCAAAUAUGAGCAACAGAACCGGUAUCGAAUACCCAGGCACUACUACGAGAGCCGGUUAAGUACACAUCAAUAACAUGUAUAUCAAAUAUACCUGAUUUUUCUUUGCCCGCCUUCUUAUCUGCCAGAUACUUGGGGCAAUUGCACUUCGAGUGACCCAUACCCUUGCAAUAGUAACACUCCGUUUCUGGCUUAGGUCCAGCUUUGGGUUUCUUCGUCGGAUUGGCAACAACCUUGCCGCUCUUCUUCGAAUUGCCCUUCUUGCCUUUGCCGUUUCUCUUGAAACUAGUGGUCUUAUUCACCAUCAACACUUGAUGCUCUUUCCGGAGUUCAGACUCUGCGACUUUCAGCAUCACAAACAACUCGCCGGGAGACUUGUUCAUCCCUUGCAUGUUGUAGUUCAACACAAAGCCUUCAUAGCUUGGCGGCAGUGAUUGAAGGAUUCUGUCAGUGAUAGCUUCUUGCGGGAGUUCAAUCCCCAGCUCAGCUAGACGGUUUGAGUACCUAGUGUUGGAAUUAUGCCCUAGAGGCAAUAAUAAAUGUAUAGUUAUUAUUAUANNNNNNNNNNNNNNNNNNNNNNNNNNNNNNNNNNNNNNNNNNNNNNNNNNNNNNNNNNNNNNNNNNNNNNNNNNNNNNNNNNNNNNNNNNNNNNNNNNNNNNNNNNNNNNNNNNNNNNNNNNNNNNNNNNNNNNNNNNNNNNNNNNNNNNNNNNNNNNNNNNNNNNNNNNNNNNNNNNNNNNNNNNNNNNNNNNNNNNNNNNNNNNNNNNNNNNNNNNNNNNNNNNNNNNNNNNNNNNNNNNNNNNNNNNNNNNNNNNNNNNNNNNNNNNNNNNNNNNNNNNNNNNNNNNNNNNNNNNNNNNNNNNNNNNNNNNNNNNNNNNNNNNNNNNNNNNNNNNNNNNNNNNNNNNNNNNNNNNNNNNNNNUAUAGUUAUUAUUAUAAUUCCUGUAUCAAGAUAAUAGUUUAUUAUCCAUGCUAUAAUUGUAUUGAAUGAAGACUCAUUUACAUGUGUGGAUACAUAGACGAAACACCGUCCCUAGCAUGCCUCUAGUUGGCUAGCCAGUUGAUCGAUGAUAGUCAGUGUCUUCUGAUUAUGAACAAGGUGUUGUUGCUUGAUAACUGGAUCAUGUCAUUGGGAGAAUCACGUGAUGGACUAGACCCAAACUAAUAGACGUAGCAUGUUGAUCGUGUCAUUUUGUUGCUACUGUUUUCUGCGUGUCAAGUAUUUAUUCCUAUGACCAUGAGAUCAUAUAACUCACUGACACCGGAGGAAUGCUUUGUCUGUAUCAAACGUUGCAACGUAACUGGGUGACUAUAAAGAUGCUCUACAGGUAUCUCCGAAGGUAUUAGUUGAGUUAGUAUGGAUCAAGACUGGGAUUUGUCACUCCGUGUGACGGAGAGGUAUCUCGGGGCCCACUCGGUAAUACAACAUCACAUAUAAAGCCUUGCAAGCAAUGUAACUUAGUGUAAGUUGCGGGAUCUUGUAUUACGAAACGAGUAAAGAGACUUGCCGGUAAACGAGGUUGAAAUAGGUAUACGGAUACUGACGAUCGAAUCUCGGGCAAGUAACAUACCGAAGGACAAAGGGAAUGACAUACGGGAUUAUACGAAUCCUUGGCACUGAGGUUCAAACGAUAAGAUCUUCGUAGAAUAUGUAGGAUCCAAUAUGGGCAUCCAGGUCCCGCUGUUGGAUAUUGACCGAGNNNNNNNNNNNNNNNNNNNNNNNNNNNNNNNNNNNNNNNNNNNNNNNNNNNNNNNNNNNNNNNNNNNNNNNNNNNNNNNNNNNNNNNNNNNNNNNNNNNNGGUUUCCGGAAUAGUCUGGAAACGAAGAUUGAUAUAUAGGAUGACCUCAUUUGAUUACCGGAAGGUUUUCGGAGUUACCGGGAAUGUACCGGGAAUGACGAAUGGGUUCCGUGAGUUCACCGGGGGGGGCAACCCACCCCGGGGAAGCCCAUAGGCCAUAAGGGUGGCGCACCAGCCCUUAGUGGGCUGGUGGGACAGCCCAAAAGGGCCCUAUGCGCCAUAUAAAGAAAAAUCAAAGAGAAAGAAAAAAAAAGGGAGGUGGGAAGGAAGGGAAGGACUCCCACCCACCAAACCAAGUCCAACUCGGUUUGGGGGGGAGCCUUCCCCCCUUGGACUCGGCUGACCCCCUUGGGGCUCCUUGAGCCCCAAGGCAAGGCCCCCUCCCUCCCACCUAUAUAUACGGAGGUAUUGGGGCUGAUUUGAGACGACAUUUCCACGGCAGCCCGACCACAUACCUCCACGGUUUUUCCUCUAGAUCGCGUUUCUGCGGAGCUCAGGCGGAGCCCUGCUGAGACAAGGUCAUCACCAACCUCCGGAGUGCCGUCACGCUGCCGGAGAGGCCGAGAUCAUCGUCGAGCUGUACGUGUGCUGAACGCGGAGGUGCCGUCCGUUCGGUACUAGAUCGUGGGACUGAUCGCGGGAUUGUUCGCGGGGCGGAUCGAGGGACGUGAGGACGUUCCACUACAUCAACCGUGUUCACUAACGCUUAUGCUGUACGAUCUACAAGGGUACGUAGAUCACUCAUCCCCUCUCGUAGAUGGACAUCACCAUGAUAGGUCUUCGUGCGCGUAGGAAAAUUUUUGUUUCCCAUGCGACGUUCCCCAACAGUGGUAUCAGAGCUAGGUUCAUGCGUAGAUGUAAUCUCGAGUAGAACACAAAAGUUUUUGUGGGCGGUGAUGUGCGUUUUUCUGCCCUCCUUAGUCUUUUCUUGAUUCCGCGGUAUUGUUGGAUUGAAGCGGCUUGGACCGACAUUACUCGUACGCUUACGAGAGACUGGUUUCAUCGUUAUGAGUAACCCCGUUGCUCAAAGAUGACUGGCAAGUGUCGGUUUCUCCAACUUUAGUUGAAUCGGAUUUGACCCAGGAGGUCCUUAGAUGAGGUUAAAUAGCAACUCAUAUAUCUCCGUUGUGGUGUUUGCGUAAGUAAGAUGCGAUCCUACUAGAUACCCAUGGUCACCACGUAAAACAUGCAACAACAAAAUUAGAGGACGUCUAACUUGUUUUUGCAGGGUAUGCUUGUGAUGUGAUAUGGCCAAUGAUGUGAUGUGAUAUAUUGGAUGUAUGAGAUGAUCAUGUUGUAAUAGAAAUAUCGACUUGCACGUCGAUGGUACGGCAACCGGCAGGAGCCAUAGGGUUGUCUUUAUACUAACGUGUGUGCUUGCAGAUGCGUUUACUAUUUUGCUAGGAUGUAGCUUUAGUAGUAAUAGCAUGAGUAGCACGACAACCCCGAUGGCAACACGUUGAUGGAGAUCAUGGUGUGGCGCCGGUGAAAAGAAGAUCGUGCCGGUGCUUUGGCGAUGGAGAUCAAGAAGCACGUGAUGAUGGCCAUAUCAUGUCACUUAUGAAUUGCAUGUGAUGUUAAUCCUUUUAUGCACCUUAUUUUGCUUAGAACGACGGUAGCAUUAUGAGGUGAUCUCUCACUAAAAUUUCAAGACGAAAUUGUGUUCUCCCUGACUGUGCACCGUUGCUACAGUUCGUCGUUUCGAGACACCACGUGAUGAUCGGGUGUGAUAGACUCAACGUUCACAUACAACGGGUGCAAAACAGUUGCGCACGCGGAACACUCGGGUUAAGCUUGACGAGCCUAGCAUGUGCAGACAUGGCCUCGGAACACAUGAGACCGAAAGGUCGAUCAUGAAUCAUAUAGAUGAUAUGAUUAGCAUAGGGAUGCUUACCACUGAAACUAUACUCAACUCACGUGAUGAUCGGACUUGAGCUAGUGUAAGUGGAUCAUGAACCACUCAAAUGACUAGAGAGAUGUACUUUUUGAGUGGGAGUUUAGCGAAUAANNNNNNNNNNNNNNNNNNNNNNNNNNNNNNNNNNNNNNNNNNNNNNNNNNNNNNNNNNNNNNNNNNNNNNNNNNNNNNNNNNNNNNNNNNNNNNNNNNNNUUGGAUCCUACAUAUUUUUCGAAGAUCUUAUCGUUUGAACCUCAGUGCCAAGGAUUCAUAUAAUCCCGUAUGUCAUUCCCUUUGUCUUUCGGUAUGUUACUUGCCCGAGAUUCGAUCGUCAGUAUCCGUAUACCUAUUUCAAUCUCGUUUACCGGCAAGUCUCUUUACUCGUUCCGUAAUACAAGAUCCCGCAACUUACACUAAGUUACAUUGCUUGCAAGGCUUGUGUGUGAUGUUGUAUUACCGAGUGGGCCCCGAGAUACCUCUCCGUCACACGGAGUGACAAAUCCCAGUCUUGAUCCAUACUAACUCAACUAACACCUUCGGAGAUACCUGUAGAGCAUCUUUAUAGUCACCCAGUUACGUUGCGACGUUUGAUAUACACAAAGCAUUCCUCCGGUGUCAGUGAGUUAUAUGAUCUCAUGGUCAUAGGAAUAAAUACUUGACACGCAGAAAACAGUAGCAACAAAAUGACACGAUCAACAUGCUACGUCUAAUAGUUUGGGUCUAGUCCAUCACGUGAUUCUCCUAAUGACGUGAUCCAGUUAUCAAGCAACAACACCUUGUUUAUAAUCAGAUGACACUGACUAUCUUUGAUCAACUGGCUAGCCAACUAGAGGCUUGCUAGGGACGGUGUUUUGUCUAUGUAUCCACACAUGCAAAUGAGUCUUCAUUCAAUACAAUUAUAGCAUGGAUAAUAAACGAUUAUCUUGAUACAGGAAUUAUAAUAAUAAUUAUAUUUAUUAUUGCCUCUAGGGCAUAAUUCCAACAGUCUCCCACUUGCACUAGAGUCAAUAAUCUAGNNNNNNNNNNNNNNNNNNNNNNNNNNNNNNNNNNNNNNNNNNNNNNNNNNNNNNNNNNNNNNNNNNNNNNNNNNNNNNNNNNNNNNNNNNNNNNNNNNNNGAUCCAGCAAGAGAGACGGAGAGGUAGAAGAGUUCUCCGGCAGCGUGACGGCGCUCCGGAGGUUGGUGAUGAUCUUCUCUCAGCAGGGCUCCGCCCGAGCUCCGCAGAAACACGAUCUAGAGGAAAAACUAUGGAGGUAUGUGGUCGGGCAGCCGUGAGAAAGUCGUCUCAAAUAUGCCCUAAAAGCCCCAUAUAUAUAGGAGGAGGGAGGGGGACCUUGCCUUGGGGUCCAAGGGAUCCCCAAGGGGUCGGCCGAGCCAGGGGGGAGGACUCUCCCCCCCAAACCGAGUCCUACUUGGUUUGGUGGGAGGGAGUCCUUCCCCCUUCCCACUUCUUCCCUUUUUUUUCCUUUCCUUUGAUUUUUUCUCUCUUGGCGCAUAGGGGAUUGGUGGGCUGUCCCACCAGCCCACUAAGGGCUGGUGUGACCCCCCCAAAUGCCUAUGGGCUUCCCCGGAGUGGGUUGCCCCCCUCCGGUGAACUCCCGGAACCCAUUCGUCAUUCCCGGUACAUUCCCGGUAACUCCGAAAAACCUUCCGGUAAUCAAAUGAGGUCAUCCUAUAUAUCAAUCUUUGUUUCCGGACUAUUCCGGAAACCNNNNNNNNNNNNNNNNNNNNNNNNNNNNNNNNNNNNNNNNNNNNNNNNNNNNNNNNNNNNNNNNNNNNNNNNNNNNNNNNNNNNNNNNNNNNNNNNNNNNGGAGUUUAGCGAAUAAGUUGAUUAUGUUAAACUCUAAUUAUCUUGAACAUAGUCUAAGUCCACUUUGAAUAUAUUUGUGUUGUAGAUCAUGGCUCACGCGACAGUCAUCCUGAAUUUUAAUACGUUCCUAGAGAAAGCUAAGUUGAAAGAUGAUGGAAGAAACUUUGUAGACUGGGCUCGUAAUCUUAAGCUAAUCUUACAAGCUGGGAAGAAGGAUUAUGUCCUUAAUGCUGCGUUAGGAGAUGAACCACCCGCUACGGCUGAUCAGGAUGUUAAGAACGCUUGGUUAGCACGUAAGGAGGACAAACUCAAUAGUUCAAUGUGCAGUCUUGUAUGGCUUAGAACCGGGACUUCAACGUCGCUUUGAGCAUCAUGGAGCAUUUGAGAUGUUCCAGGAGUUGGAGUUUAUCUUUCAGAAGAACGCCCGGAUCGAGAGGUAUGAGACCUCUGAUAAAUUCUCUGCUUGCAAGAUGGAGGAAAACUCAUCUGUCAGUGAACAUGUGCUCAAAAUGUCUGGGUGUUGGGGAACGUCGNNNNNNNNNNNNNNNNNNNNNNNNNNNNNNNNNNNNNNNNNNNNNNNNNNNNNNNNNNNNNNNNNNNNNNNNNNNNNNNNNNNNNNNNNNNNNNNNNNNNUGAUCGCGGGAUUGUUCGUGGGGCGGAUCGAGGGACGUGAGGACGUUCCACUACAUCAACCGCGUUCACUAACGCUUCUGCUGUACGAUCUACAAGGAUACGUAGAUCACUCAUCCCCUCUCGUAGAUGGACAUCACCAUGAUAGGUCUUCGUGCGCGUAGGAAAAUUUUUGUUUCCCAUGCGACGUUCCCCAUCAUAUGGGUUGGCACACGUGGAUUCAUGUGAGUACUUGAUGUGUGUUUUGGUGAUCAAAUUGUGGGUUCGUGACAUUGGGAACCUAUGCAUAGGGGUUGGCACACGUUUUGACUCUCCGGUAGAAACUUCGGGGCACUCUUUGAAGUCCUAUGUGUUAUUUGUAUAGAUGAUUCUGAGAUUGUGUGAUGCACAUCGUAUAAUCAUGCCCACAGAUACUGUAGGUGACAAUGGAAUAUCUAGGUGACAUUAGGGUCUUGGUUGAUAUGUAUCUUAAGGUGUUAUUCUAGUACGAACUCUAUAAUAGAUCGAUCAGAAAGAAUAACUUUAUGGUGGUUUCAUACCCGACAAUAAUCUCUUCGUUUGUUCCCCGCUAUUAGUGACUUUGGAGUGACUCUUUGUUGCAUGUUGAGGGCUAGUUAUAUGAUUCAAUUAUGUUAUCUUUGUUGAGAGAACUUCACUAGUGAAAGUAGGAACCCUAGGCCUUGUUUCCACGCAUUGCAAUACCGUUCGUGCUCACUUUUGUUACUAGUUACCUUGCUGUUUUUGUAAUUUCAGAUUACAAAAACCUAUAUCCACCAUCCAUAUUGCACUUGUAUCACCUUCUCUUCACCGAACUAGUGCACCUAUACAACUUACCAUUGUAUUGGGUGUGGAGACUCUUUGUUAUUUGGUUGCAGGGUUGCUUGAGAGAGACCAUCUUCAUCCCACGCCUCCCGCGGAUUGAUAAACCUUAGGUCACCCACUUGAGGGAAAAUUGCUACUGUCCUACAACCCUCUGCACUUGGAGGCCCAACAAAAUCUACAAGGAGAAGGUUGCGUAGUAGACAUCAAGCAUUUUUCUGGCGCCGUUGCCGGGGAGGCUAGGUAAGCGGCACUCACCUCCCGUCAACGAAGCAUUUUUCUGGCGCCGUUGCCGGGGAGGUUAGCGCUUGAAGGUAUAUCUUUAGAUCUUGCAAUCGAAUCUUUUUGUUUCUUGUUCUUUCGCUAGAAAACUACAAAAAAAAUGGAAUUGAGGAUGCCUCAUAUGCUCCAUCUUUUCAAUGUCUUUCGUGAGCAUGAUGGGAAGGAAAAUUGUGCUGAGGUGCUGAAAGAAGAAUUACAUAGAAUUCUUGGAAUAGAAUAUGUGAAUGAUGAGCAUGAUUGCAAUGUUCUUAGCAUGAAUUCUUUGAAUACCCAUGAUGCUAAUGAUAUGAAAAGCCACAAGCUUGGGGAUGCUAUAUUUGAUGAAGAUGAUCUUUUUAGUUCUUCCAGUUUGAAUGAUCAAAAUCAUUUUGAUGAAAGCAUGCCCCCUAUCUAUGAUGAUUAUUGCGAGGAUACUUAUGCUUUGAAGAAGAGGGAUGAUAAAAUUUGUCAUACUUUCGAAAACCCCUUUGCUAAACCUUGCUUUUUCAUUGUGGACACAAUUUGUAGUGCUCAAGUCUUUCACGAUACUCCCACUACUAUUCUUGAGAAUAGAUUUCCUUAUGUGGAGAGUAGUAAAAUUCCUAUGCUUGUACAUCAUGAAAAGAAAGCCUUAGGUGCUGGUUAUAUUGUUGAAUUCAUUCAUGAUGCUACUGAAAAUUACUAUGAGAGAGGAUCAUAUGCUUCUACUUAUUGCAAUAGUAUCAAGCUUCCUCUCCAUGUGUUGAAAUUUUUGAAGCUAUGAUUGUUUUGCCUUCCUAUGCUAGUUGAUUCUUGCUCCAACAAGUUGUUUGUUCACAAAAUCCCUAUGCAUAGGAAGUGGGUUAGACUGAAAUGUGCUAGCCAUAUGCUCCAUGAUGCUCUCGUUGUGUUUCAAUCCUUACCUUUUAUGUGAGCAUCAUUGAAAUCAAUGCCUAGCUAAGGGCGUUAAACAAUAGCGCUUGUUGGGAGGCAACCCAAUGAAUUUAUUUUUGCUUUUUUGCUUUUUGUUUUGCUUUUUCCACACCAUCAUAAUUCUUUUAUGAUUGUGUUUUUCGUGUUUUAAUUAGCGUUUGUGCCAAGUAAAGCCUUUAUGAUAGCUUGGGUGAUAGUUGUUUGAUCAUGCUGGAAAAAGACAGAAACUUUCUGCUCACGAAAUUAUUUUGCAUUUAUCCAGAAAGAGCUUUUGAGUUGAUUCUUUUUGCUGCUGGUAGAUAUGCUUUUUGCCCAAUCCGUCGUAAUUUUUCAGAUUUGUUGAGCUACCAGAAGUAUACGAAGUAUACAGAUUGCUACAGACUGGUCUGUUUUUGACAGAUUCUAUUUUUGUUGAGUUGGUUGCUUGUUUUGAUGAAACUAUGGUUAGUAUCGGGUGGUACUAGCCAUGGAAAAGUGAGAAUACAGUAGCCCAACAUCAAUAUAGCUAGAAUUCAAGUUUGCUACAGUACCAAAGGAAGUGGUAGUUUGUUUUCUUGUGCUAAUGUUAUCACGAGUUUUUGUUUAAGUUUUGUGUUGUGAAGUUUUCAAGUUUUGGGUGACGUUCUCAUGGACGAUGAGAUAAGGAGUGGAAAGAGCUCAAGCAUGGGGAUGCCCAAGGCAUCCCAAGCCAAAUUCAAGGACACCAAAAAGCCUAAGCUUUGGGAUGCCCCGGGAAGGCAUCCCCUCUUUCGUCUUCAAUCCAUCGGUAACAUUACUUGGAGCUAUAUUUUUAUUCACCACAUGAUAUGUGUUUUGCUUGGAGCGUCUUGUAUCAUAGGAGUCUUUUCUUUUUGUUGUGUCACAAUCAUCCUUGCUGCACACCUUUUUGAGAGAGAGAGAGACAUGCACUCAUCGUGAUUUUGCUAGAAUGCUCAUAGUGCUUCACUUAUAUCUUUUGAGCUAGAUACUUUUGCUCAUAGUGCUUCACUUAUAUCUUUUGAGCUAGACACUUUUGCUCUUGUGCUUCACUUAUAUCUUUAGAGCACGGCGGUGCGUGAUUUGGUAGUUGGCUUACGCUAUGAAAGUAGUCCCAAAUGUGCUAGGUACCCAAAGAGGAUGCAAAAAACUCCAUCUUCAUGUGCAUUGAGUAGAAAGAGAAGUUUCGAUUCCUCUCAAUUAGUUUUGAGACAUGGAUUCGGUAAUAUUAAGAGUUAUGUUAGUAGGGUGUUGUGAAUCUAGAAAUACGUGUGUUGGAGUUAGUGAUUCCCGUAGCAUGCACGUAUGGUGAACCGCUAUGUUAGGAAGUCGGAGCAUAAUUGAUCUAUUGAUUGUCAUCCUUUGUGUUGAGGUCGGGAUCGCGUGAUGGUUAACACCUACCAACCCUUCCCCUCGGAGUAUGCGUUUAGCAAUUUGUUUCGAUUACUAAUAAAAACUUUCGCAACAAGUAUGUGAGUUCUUUAUGACUAAUGUUGAGUCCAUGGAUAUUAUGCACUUUCACCCUUCCACCAUUGCUAGCUUCUCUAGUACCGCGCAACUCUCGCCGGUGCACAAAAUCACCAUAUGCCUCCCUCAAAAUAGCCACCAUACCUACCUAUUAUGGCAUUUUCAUAGCCAUUCCGAGAUAUAUUGCCAUGCAACUUUCACCGUUCCGUCUCAUGACUUGUGCCAUCAUUGUCAUAUUGCUUUGCAUGAUCAUAAGAUAGAUAGCAUGAUGUUUUCAUGGCUUGUCCGUUUUUUGAUGUCAUUGCUAUGCUAGAUCAUUGCACGAGGCAUUUCCUAUAGAGUCAUCAUCGUUCUGAGCUUUGAGCUGUGAGCAAAUAAAAGUGUGAUGAUCAUCAUUGUUAGAGCAUUGUCCCAUGUGAGGAAAUAAAAAAAAGAGGCCAAAGAGCCCAAAAACAAAAAAAAGAAAAGAAAAGAAAAAAGAGGUCUAAGAGCCCAAAUAAAAAAAGAAAAAAGAGAGAAAAAGAGAGAAGGGACAAUGUUACUAUCUUUUUCCACACUUGUGCUUCAUCAUAGCACCAUGUUCUUCAUGAUUGAGAGCUUCUUGUUUUGUCACCACCAUAUACACUAGUGGGAACUUUCAUUAUAUAACUUGGCUUGUAUAUUCCAAUGAUGGGCUUCCUCAAAAUUGCCCUAGGUCUUCGUGAGCAAACAAGUUGGAUGCACACCCACUAGUUCUCCUUUAGAGCUUUCACAUAUUCAUAGCUCUAGUGCAUCUUUUGUAUGACAAUCCCUACUCAUUCACAUUGAUAUCUAUUAAUGGGCAUCUCCAUAGCCUUUUGAUACGCCGAGUCAAUGUGACCAUCUCCUUCUUUUGUCUCACAACCACCACCACACUCUAUUCCACCUAUAGUGCUAUAUCCAUGGCUCACGCUCAUGUAUUGCGUGAUAGUUAUAAAAAGUUUGAGAAAGUAAGAGUGGGAAAACAAUUACUUGGCCAAUUACGGGGUUGUGCAUGAUUUACAUUAGUUGUGUGAGGACGAUGGAGCAUAGCCAGACUAUAUGAUUUUGUAGGGAUAACUUUCAUUGGCGUUGUUAUUUUGAAAGUUCAUGAUUACCUUGCUAGUUUGCUUGAAGUAUUAUUGUUUUCAUGUCAAUAGCAAACUAUUGUUUCGAAUCUUACGGAUCUGAACAUUCAUGUCACGUGAAAGAAGUUGCAAAGGACAACUAUGCUAGGUAGCAUUCCUCGUCAAAAAUUCGGUCUUUAUCACUUCCCUACUCGAGGACGAGCAUGAGUUAAGCUUGGGGAUGCUUGAUACGUCUCCAACGUAUCAAUAAUUUUUUGAUGGUUCCAUGCUAUUAUCUUGUCAACUUUCGAUGUUUUAUAUGCAUGAAUAUGCUAUUUUAUAUAGUUUUUGGGACUAACCUAUUAACUCAGUGCCAAGUGCCAGUUUCUGUCUUUUCCGUGUUUUUGACCCUUUUUCAGAUGGAGUCCAGAUGGAAUGAAACUUUACGAUGAUUUUUUUGGACAAAAAGAGACCCCCAAAGCUUUGGAAGAAGGCCAGAAGAGCCACGAGGGAGUCAUAAGCCCAUGGGGCGCGGCCUACCCCCUGGUUGCACCGUGCGGGCUUGUGACCUCCUCGUGGGCCCAACUGACGCAAUUCCACCACCAUAAAUUCCUAUAAAUUCAGAAACCCUGAGAAAUAAACCUAGAUCGGGAGUUCCGCCCCUGCAAGUCUCUGUAGCCACCAAAAACCAAUUUGGAGCCCGUUCCGGCACCCUGCCGGAGGGGGAAUCCAUCUCCGGUGGCCAUAUUCAUGAUCCCAGCGAUCUCCAUGACGAGGAGGGAGUAGUUCUCCCUCAGGGUUGAGGGUAUGUACCAGUAGCUAUGUGUUUGAUCUCGCUCUCUCGUGUUCUUGAGAUGUCUUGAUCUCGAUCUACCGUGGGAUUUUCUACUAUAGUUGGAUCUUAUGAUCUUCUUCCCCUCUCCCUUCUUGUAAUGAAUUGAGUUUCCCCUUUGAAGUUAUCUUAUUGGAUUGAGUCUUUGAGAACACUUGAUGUAUGUCUUGCACGUGUCUAUCUGCUGUGAUCAACUUGCGGGUUUGUGACAAUUGGGAACCUAUGCAUAUGGGUUGGCACACAUGGAUUCAUGUGAGUACUCGAUGUAUGUUUUGGUGAUCAACUUGCGGGUUCGUGACAUUGGGAACCUAUGCAUAGGGGUUGGCACACGUUUUGACUCUCCGGUAGAAACUUCGGGGCACUCUUUGAAGUCCUAUGUGUUGGUUGAAUAGAUGAUUCUGAGAUUGUGUGAUGCAUAUCGUAUAAUCAUGCCUACGGAUACUUGAGGUGACAAUGGAGUAUCUAGGUGACAUUAGGGUCUUGGUUGAUAUGUAUCUUAAGGUGUUAUUCUAGUACGAACUCUAUAAUAGAUCGAUCAUAAAGAAUAACUUUAUGGUGGUUUCGUACCCGACAAUAAUCUUUUUGUUUGUUCCCCGCUAUUAGUGACUUUGGAGUGACUCUUUGUUGCAUGUUGAGGGCUAGUUAUAUGAUUCAAUUAUGUUAUCUCUAUACCUAUUUCAAUCUCGUUACCGGCAAGUCUCUUUACUCGUUCUGUAAUACAAGAUCCCAUGACUAACACUUGAGUCACAUUUGCUUGCAAGGCUUAUAUGUGAUGUUGUAUUAUUGAGUGGGCCCCGAGAUACUUCUCCGUCACACGGAGUGACAAAUCCCUGUCUUGAUCCAUCCUAACUCAACGGACACCUUCGGAGAUACCUGUAGAGCACCUUUAUAGUCACCCAGUAACGUUGUGACGUUUGAUACACACAAGGUAUUCCUCCGGUGUCAGUGAGUUACAUGAUCUCUUGGUCAUAGGAAUGAAUACUUGACACGCAGAAAACAAUAGCAACAAAAUGACACGAUCACAUGCUAUGUUCAUAGUUUGGGUCUUGUCCAUCACAUCAUUCUUCCAAUGAUGUGAUCCCGUUAUCAAGUGACAACACUUGCCUAUGGCCAGGAAACCUUGACCAUCUUUGAUCAACGAACUAGUCAACUAGAGGCUCACUAGGGACAGUGUGUUGUCUAUGUAUCCACACAUGUAUUUGAGUUUCCAAUCAAUACAAUUCUAGCAUGGAUAAUAAACGAUUAUUAUGAAAAAGGAAAUAUAAUAUUAACUAAUUUAUUAUUGCCUCUAGGGCAUAUUUCCAACACGCAACAAACUCUGGGCUGCUCCAUGUGGGGCCGUUGAAUUGGGCGUCGCGCUAGCGCGUCUACUGGAGAUGCUCCGGUCCCCGCGCAUUAAAAAUGCUACAGUUGCAUGCUAAAAAAUUUAUUGGGCGUGGAAUUUUUAUGCGGCCGUUGUAGAUGCUCUGAGGGUGUUCUCCCAAUCCAACCCCACUCCUUGGGUCGUGCCCUACGCAUAGGGAGUUCCUUAUAUACGCAACUCAGAUUGGCUAAGCAAUACACAACAAGAUUUACUAAUCAUCCAAUUCAUGCACGUCCAUCAUAUACAACAAUGCCGCACGUAAAUAACAAAUGUUGUCAGCAAAAAUAUAUAGUUCUAUGAUAAAGAUCAUAUUAAGUGCGCAACUCAAACAUUAGCUAUUUGGUUUCCAUUGUGGGUGCACAUAUGCUUCACAAGAUCACAUGGUAGUUGCACAUGCACCAAAUGAUCUCGUAGAUCCUGAUGGAUGUGCGGAAAGUUCAUAACCAGAUUUAAAUCUUAUGGGAUUUGGACUUGUUCUUCAAGAACAUUAAAAUCAUUGAUUUGGGCUACCCUAUCACCCUCAUCCGCAACAAUCAUAUUGUGCAAAACAAGACAACAUGCCAUCAGUUGCCUCAAAGUUUCUGAUUCCCACAUCAUAGCAGCUCCACAAACAAUUCCACAACGAGCUUCAAACACUCCGAAUGCCCUCUCCACAUCCUUCCUAGCUGCUUCAUGCAUUGUUGCAAAGUGGCUUUGUUUGUUGCCUUGUGGUUCAGAUAUUAUGGUCUUCACAAAUGUCGUCCACUCUGGAUAAAUGCCAUCGACAAGAUUUAUUUCAUGUUGUAGUCGGGGCCGUUGACAACGUAGUUGCACGUGAGUGAUUCGUCAUUACAAACCCUCCUCAAAACGGGGGAUCCUUAAAGCACAUUGAUGUCAUUGUAAGAACAUGACAUUUCAAAGAAAACAUGCCAAAUCCAUAAGGCAUGCGAUGCCACUUCUUCGAGUAUGAUGGCGUCCUCUUUGGGGCGACCUUGACAUAUUUCAUGCAAACUUUUGGGACAGUUCUUCCAUUGCCAGUGCACGCAAUCAAUCGAUCCAGACAUAUAUCAAAAACCUCUUGCCUCUCCAAUAACCAACACCUUUUAUGUGCCCUCCACAUUUGGUUCUCUCACAUACUCUGGCCCAAACUCACACACCACGACGCGGACAAACGUGACAACAGUCUUUAGACAUGUGCUCUCUCCAUCCGUACCAUCUCAGUAAUAGCACCGACUGCAGUACCAAGUGCAAGCACCCUCAAAGCAACCGUGUACUUUUGCUUAGCAGAGAAAGAAGAUUGGACGCAGCGAUCCCUCGUGAGCUUGAAGCAGUCAUCGUGUGCCUCUACUCACUCCACAACGCACAAAAACAAAGAAUUGCACAUACGGAAAUAUCGACGAAACCAUGGAUCAUCGAGGAAAGAUGGAUCUGGAGCAAAGUAGUCCUUGUACGAUAACUGUGCUCCAGAGACCCCUAUCGCGAUUAAUAACUCCUCUCCCUUUGAUUGAGACCUUAAAGUUGGAAAUAUGCUCCACCCGCCGGUCCGUUUCUUUUGCAUGCUCAUGAGCAUGAUCAUAUUCACUUCUUCGCUUUAAUCCGACGAAUUCAAUAAGUCAUUCUCAAUUGUUUUAUCAAGCUCCGUUUGUCAUGCACCUCCGUGUUGAAGCAUCAAAAUCCAUCACUAACCGAACCGUCCACCGUGCGUUUGAGAGCGUGGUUUGAGAUGCCUCGUUGUAGAUGCUGUAUAGAGGAAGGAAAAUAUCACGCCCGUGUUGUGCUCGCGACCGCACAAUCAUCGGCAUGCAUGCAUGAUGAUGAGGUGAUGCAAGGCGGGCAGAGGCAGACGAUCCUGGUUGUCACUGUGCCGUCCGUUGCGCUGCUCGACGAUCGGAUGCUUUUUGGCUGCACGCGCAUGCGACUGUGCGACGGAUGGCCUUGAUGAUUACCCGUGUGAUUGGCAAGUAUCGCUGUGUGCUAUCCCUUGGACUCGGGACCCUGAACGACGCCGUUGCAUUUCUCUUCGUAGAGUAGUCUCGUACCUUUAGAACGGCCGCCGGAGUGGCACAAAGAAGCACCCAAAAAAGCACAGACCUGAAUAAAACAUGGUCUCUCUCUCGUGCAAGAGAGAAAGAAAGGGAUGGAUAGAUAGAUAGAUAGAUAGUCCGUCACACUGGGACAGACAGAGCAGCGCAGCACUUUUUCUUUCUUUAUAAGCGCACGAGAAGAGACAGGUUCAUUUAUGUCGGAAGCAUGUGCGCCACCCUGCCCUGCCAGCUGAAUUUCGGAAAAUGUUGCGGUAGUGAGAGCAUGGUUAAUAGUAUAGCCAACGGCUGGCUAUAAGGAGUCUUAUAGCCCACCUUAUAGCUAGCUUGUACAAUAGUUAGCUAUAAAAGAGUACUAUUUUUAUCAUAUAUGGUCCACGUUUUAUUCUCACAAAGCAUCUAGGAGCAUGUGUUAGAGUUGACUCUUCACGAAAAGCCCGCUUCCCUUCUCUCUCCUCUUCUCUCUCAUCCAACUAAACAGAAAUAUAGUAUUUUAAUUCUUACAGCCUGCUGACUGUAUUUUAUUGUACUUGCUGUGAGUGAAGCUACGCCUAUGCAAGAAGAGAAUCUUGACUAAAAAUGAAAGAGAUCCAAACACAAACGAUGUGACAUGCGCGGUAGGUCUGAGCGCGUGCCAAAGGCAAAGCCCGCUGGAUAAGUACUAGGUCAGCCGACAAAGGAAACUAGACGUUAAUUGUGUGCAGAAUCUUUGUUCCUUUCGACUCACCGCGGGGUAGGAGUAACAUAGGAAUGAGCAAAUUCCAUUCCAAUAGAGAGAUGAAUCAGCUCAUGCAGAAGACACAAGGAUUUAGAGCAACUCCAAAGUGCUAACCCAUUUCGUCGGUAUGCAUCUGUUUGGAUUGCGCCGGACAAAAAAGUUGGUUCAACGUGCCGAUCCAAACGUACGCGCGUCCGUUUUUCGUUCGCUCGCGACCCAUUCUGAACGUAGAUUCAGACGUCAUUUGCAUCGUCGCGGACACGAAUCGGACACGCGCCUCGCCCGCGUGCUCCUUCCCGUCUCUCCUUUUUAUCCUCUUCGCCCCAUCCGUCAUCCGCAAGCACACAUACCCUAGGACGGCGAUCCAUUUCCCACCGGACACCAUAGCUCUCCAGCAGCAAAUCCACCGACAGGGUGCCUCCUUCGUCCCGGUGUGCGAGGUCUAUUGGUGGAUCUGCGGCGGCGGUGGGAUUUGUCAAAAUUUUGCGCAUCCUUCACACGGGAUUUGGCGAAUCCGGUCGUCGACGGACUGCGCUUGCCAUGGACUGGUCGGGUGUCGGUUCAACAGGUCCGGGCAAUCCCUCGGUGCCACAUGCAGGCGCUCAAUCCGCCUCUAACCGCUCGGGACUGACCCGACGCAGGUUCGCCGGCAAGGCCACGGCCAGCCGCCGCCCUGGCUCGGCGUUGCCCCAAAAGCUUGCCGGCUCACCUUUGUCGUUCAUACAAUGCGACGACUGCUCGCUAUAGGUCAUCCGAUGCGUUUCUUGGACGUCGGAAUAUCCCGUUUGAGCGUUUGUGAAGUGCAAAAACGAUGGGUACGAUUUCCGUUCGGUCUUUUGCUCUUUGCUUGAUGCAAUUUUGGUAGCUUAUUAUUUGUUCAAUACUGUGUGUAGGAUGGAUGCAUUUUUUGGUAUUGGGAACAAGAAUACAUCGAUCUAUUAAUUUCAUGAAAUUUUCUAGAUGUUCGUGCACUUUUAUCUAAAAUUGAAGGUAUAGAUGAGACUAAAUAAGAGAUCAAAGGGGAAGCAACAUUUAUUCAUUAACAUUGAAGAAGAAAUACGUUGUGCUCAAGAAUCCACAGAUCAAGAACUAAGACAUAGAGAAGAUCUUAGUCCAAGUAUGAGGUGCAGCUAAGGAAGUCGGACUUCUUUUAAAAUGUUUCAUUGUGGUUCUUGUUUUUUAUAUUAUAUUCUUGUUUUCUAUAUUAUAUUUGUACUGAAAAAAUGGUAAAAUAUAUAUUCAUUAAAAUGCAUUUGGUAUAAAAAUAAUGUUCAAAUCUGAAGCAAAAUGAAUAUUGACCGACCUUGGGAACGAAAAAUUGGUCGAUGUGUUGGACGCACGGCAGACCCAUUAACAAAAAAGGGCGGACAUGUCGAUCCAAACGGAUAAAAAACGAACAAAACGCGCGUCUGCUUGGGUCGCGCGGUUGAAGUUGCCCUUAGAUCUACAUUGCUCGGGAAGAGUGACACGACAUGAGCGAGCAUAACCAUAAUAAUUACCUAGACAUGCAUUGUUGUGCUGAGUUAAUUAGGAAAAGGGGAGUGCUCUGCAUCGGCGCGCCGGCCGAAACUUUCGGCCGGCCGCGCGCGGGCCGCCCGAUCCACCAAACCCCCGUGCGUCCGCACCGUUUGGAUCUUCAUGCAACAUUUUUCCUUCGAUGCAACAAAUUUUCGAUGCGAUGCAACAAUUUUUUCAAUGGUUGCAACAAAAAACAAAAAAUUGUAGCAAAAAAAAAUCUACGUGAUCGUAGCAAAAAAACGAAGCUGAUGGUACGUGGUAGCAAAAGCCAAACGCGAGUUGUAACAUAUAUUUACGUGACGUGUAUGCAACUUUUUUAGUGAACGGUUGCAGCAAAAAAUGAUGCCGGUUGUAGCAAAAAUUAACACGGUUGUAGCAAAAGUAAAAACAUCAAUUGUAAUGAAAAAUUCGAAGAACUGAAGUUGCAACCAAAUGUAUAUACAACAAAUAUGACGCUGGUUGCAACAAAUUUACACGAGAAAAAAGUUGCAUGAAAAACGUUCGUAUCAAAAAAAACACGGUUGCAGCAAAACUGACGGAAAAGUGUUGCGAGCAUCUGCCAACGAGGCGCGCGGCCCGCGCGCGACCGGCCGAACGAUUCGGCCGGCGCGCCGGGUGGAAACGAUUCCCUUAGGAAAAAGGCAAGAUCCGGGAACAGUUCUAGGGCUGCUCAGAGAGCAAACCAAACACGCCCAGACAUGCCGCGCUGCUAAAUAUCUGGCCACGCCGCCGGGGGGGGGGGGGGGGNNNNNNNNNNNNNNNNNNNNNNNNNNNNNNNNNNNNNNNNNNNNNNNNNNNNNNNNNNNNNNNNNNNNNNNNNNNNNNNNNNNNNNNNNNNNNNNNNNNNNNNNNNNNNNNNNNNNNNNNNNNNNNNNNNNNNNNNNNNNNNNNNNNNNNNNNNNNNNNNNNNNNNNNNNNNNNNNNNNNNNNNNNNNNNNNNNNNNNNNNNNNNNNNNNNNNNNNNNNNNNNNNNNNNNNNNNNNNNNNNNNNNNNNNNNNNNNNNNNNNNNNNNNNNNNNNNNNNNNNNNNNNNNNNGGGGGGGGGGGGGGGGUGGAAACACGUAGUUGUGAUUUAUCUCGCCGCCGUCCGUCAUCGUCCGACAUCUGCCUUAUUAGAAAUAUGAGCUUUUUGUUAUGUCAUUUUACUAACACAAAAGGUAGAUAAAACAUGACUACCAUAUUAAUUAUAAGACAAGUCAUGAAAUCGUACAUAGAGUAUGAGAAUAUUAUCUGAAGUGGUGAGUAGUGUUGGGAUAUCCUCCCCAUGUGGGUUGUGAGGAGAUGAUCAUUUGAGGCCUUUUAGGNNNNNNNNNNNNNNNNNNNNNNNNNNNNNNNNNNNNNNNNNNNNNNNNNNNNNNNNNNNNNNNNNNNNNNNNNNNNNNNNNNNNNNNNNNNNNNNNNNNNNNNNNNNNNNNNNNNNNNNNNNNNNNNNNNNNNNNNNNNNNNNNNNNNNNNNNNNNNNNNNNNNNNNNNNNNNNNNNNNNNNNNNNNNNNNNNNNNNNNNNNNNNNNNNNNNNNNNNNNNNNNNNNNNNNNNNNNNNNNNNNNNNNNNNNNNNNNNNNNNNNNNNNNNNNNNNNNNNNNNNNNNNNNNCAUUUGAGGCCUUUUAGGCAGCCCAAAAGAGGUGCAGAAGACUACUACCCAUUAGGGUUAUGAUCUAGGGUCAUUUUGGUCGUUGCACGUGAGUGGAUGGCGAUGCUUUAUCCUCCAUCUAGCAGCCACCACCUAGAGGGACAAGAUUAGUUUGGCCUCCAUUGGAGAAGAAGAGAGAAAGCCAAGUGAGAAAGGAAAGAAGAGAAAGAUUGUAGCAAGUAGCAAAGGGAGCUCGUCCCCAAGGUUGCGAUGAUCCAGAUCCACUACCUAGAAAAUUACUCCUGCCACAAGACACUUGCCUCAGGAGUGUUUUGCCUGCUGAAUAACAUUUUCUCCUCCAUAUAUGAUGUUGCAUAUGUUUCCUUUUGUGCUAAGCAACGAUCCUUGAGUUAGUACAUAAUGUGGUGCUGAGCUUACUUUGUUUCCGUUGCAGUUUUCACUUAACCACAAGUGUAUUUGUGUGCUUCCUAAGAGAGUGGCAUGAGAGCCUUGGUUGCUUAGAAGGUUGCUAAUCCAAGUUGCUUGAUUGUUGCUCGAAGUGCUGCUCACAAUGGCUUUGGAAGAAAGCGCUACUACAAGUGGCAUGAUAAAAGUUGAUUUUUUUCAACUACUCAUUAUGGAAGCUCAUGAUGGAAGACAUCCUUUAUUGCAAGGAUUUGUAUGAGCCAAUUGUGAAAGACAGGAUACCCAUAGGAGUCACGGAAGAAGAAUGGAGAGUGUUGCAUAGAAAGGCACAAUGUAUGAUUUGGUUGUACAUCAACCACAAUAUAUUUCACCAUGUUGCAAAUGACACAAAUGCAUAUGAGAUGUGGCAGAAGUUGGAGUCUAUGUAUGAGAGGAAGACAUCAAUGAACAAGGCCUUGGUGAUAAAAAAAACUUGAAAAGCUUGAGUACCGAGAUGGCACAAGUGUGAUUGAGCACUUGAAUUUCUCCCAAUGCCAUAUAAAUCAACAUUCAGCCAUGAAGAUUAACUUUGAGGAGGAGGUGCAAGCAUUGUUGCUGCUGAGUUCCAUGCCUCAUUGUUGGAACACGCUUGUUGUGUCACUUAGCAAUUCAGCUCCGCACGGGAAGCUGACUUUGAGAUGGUGAAGAACAACAUGCUGAAUGAAGAAGUGAGAAAGAAGGAAAAAUGUGAUGCCUCUCCUUCUGAUACGUAUGUGGCUGAAACCCAUGGGAAGAACGAGAAUGGUGGACGCGGUCACACUCGAUUUUAGCAUGACAAAAUGAAUCGAUGGGGAGAUCAAAGUCAAAACAGAGAAAAUAUAUUACUUGCUUUCAUUGUGGCAAUCCAGGACACAUAAAGAGUGAGUGGAGGAAAUAUAAAAAAGAGCUUGCACAGGGAAAACUUGCAAAGAAAAUUGAGUAAAAGGCUGAGAGCAGCUCAUCCAUGACUACAACAAAUGAGGACUAUCUAGUCAUCGAAGAUGAUGAAUGCUAUAUUGUUGUUCGUGAUGAUGCCAUGAGUUGGGUUGUGGAUUCAGGUGCAUUCUUCCACAUCACAUCACACAAAGAGUAUUUCACAUAUUACACCACUGGUGCCACUAGCUAAGUAAGGAUGGGAAGUAGUGGUUUGUCAACAAUUGUUCGCAAGGGCGCUAUAUGCAUUGAAACAAAUACAUGUUGCAGGUUGGUGCUCAAGGAUGUGAGGCACGUUCCCGACAUAAGGCUGAAUUUAUUGUUAGUAGGCAAGCUUGAUGAUAUCAAACAUCCUAGUUAUUUUGGUGAAGGAAAGUGGAAGCUCACCAAAGGCUCUUUGACUGUGGCUCGAGGAAGCAUGCAAGGUAAUCUUUAUGUGACUAAAACCAAGUUGUGCAAUGAGGUGUUGAACAUUGUUGAAAAAUACACUUCGGUGGAAUUGUGGCACAAGAGGCUUGGGCAUAUGAGUGACAAGGGAAUGCAUGCUCUUCCUCGCAUGGAGUACCUCCGUGAGUUGAAAGGUAUAUCCUUGAAACCCUAUGCACAUUGUUUUGCUGGCAAACAACAUAGGGAUGCAUUUCGUACACUCCCUCCACACCGUGCAGAAAAUGUUCUUGACAUUGUGCACUCAGAUAUUUGCUCCAUGACUGGAAAAUCUCUUGGUGGAGCAUUAUAUUUUGUGACUUUUAUUGAUAACCAUUCCACAAAGGUUUUUGUUUAUGUGUUGAAACACAAAUACCACAUGCUUGAAGCCUUUAAGGAGUUCCUUGCCAAAGUUGAGAGAGAAACUCGCAGGAAAUUGAAGUGUGUGAGAUCAGACAAUGGUGGUGAAUAUCGAGGUCCUUUUGAAAGGUAUUGCAGGAAGUUUGGCAUCAGUCUUGAGAAGAGUCCACCAAAUAUACCUCAACUCAAUGGUCUUGCAGAGAGAAUGAACAUGACACUCACAAAGAGGGUCACAGCUAUGCUCUCUCAUGCGCAUUUACCUAAUUCUUUUUGCGCCGAAGCAUUGAUGUAUGGUAUGUAUGCGGUUAACCUAUCUCCCUCAGUUACUCUUGCAGGUGAUAUUCCUCAGAGAGUUUGGUCAGGGAAUGAGUAUCAUACAAGCACUUGAAGGUAUCUAUGGUUGCAGGGCAUUUGUACAUGUCCGAAGGGGUGCAUGUUGGGAAAGAGUUUGGCUACAUGUUGUGGGAUCGAGUCAACAGGAAAAUUGUGAUAGCAAGACAAAGGAGUGCAUCUACCUCAGCCAACUAAGUGAAUAGUUUGGCUACAUGUUGUGGGAUCGAGUCAACAGGUAAAUUGUGAGAAGCCGGGAUGUGGUGUUAAUUGAAGAUGAGAUAAUAAAAGAUAUUGGGAAACCAGAGAAGCCAAUGACCAACACACCUCAGGUUGACAUGGAUCCAAUCUUGUCCUCCUCUCGUGCAUGACAAUCAUGGGGGAGAUGAUGACACUGAAGACAAUGGAGAUGAUGAUGAAGUUGGUAAUGAUGAUGCCCACAUAAAUCCACCCGAUUCACCACCAGUGCAACAACAAAGAAGAAGUGAUAGAGGUUGCAUUCCUUCUUGUGAGUAUCCAGCACAUCAAUAUGUGUUGAUGACUAAUGCUGGUGUUCCCUCAUGCUAUGAGGAGGCAAUGUGUGAUGAGAAUAAGGAAGAAUGGUCAGAAGCCAUGCAGGAUGAGAUGGAAUCCCUGUAUGAGAAUGAUACUUUUGAGGGCAAGAAAGCACUCAAGAACAACUGGGUGUACACAGUGAAGACUGAACAAACACCUCACACCCAAGGUACAAGGCCAGACUGAUUGUGAAAGGUUUCAGUCAAAAAAUGGGCAUUGAUUAUGAUGAGAUAUUCUGUCUAGUGGUUAAGAUAUCUUCAAUCUGAGUUGUGCUUGGCAUAGCAACCACCAUGGACUUGGAAAUCGAAUAAAUUGAUGUGAAGACUGCAUUCUUGCAAAUUGAAUAAGAGCUUGUAUAGCUUGAAGCAAGCUCCUCAGUAGUGGUACAAGAAGUUUGGCUCUUUUAUGACUAGGCUUGGUUACCAUAAAGCACAAUCUGAUCACUAUGUCUUUAUGAAGAGGUACGUCGAGGGUGACUUCAUUGUUCUCUUGCUGUAUGUUGAUGAUAUGCUGAUUGUUGGAAAUGACACAAAGAGGAUUGCUCUCCUCAAGAAGGCAUUGAGUAAAUCAUUUGCCAUUAAGGAUUUAGGACCAGCUAAGCAAAUACUUGGUAUGAAGAUCUCCCGUGAUAGAUCAAAGAAGCUUCUUUGGCUAUCGCAGGAAAGAUACAUUGAGAAUGUACUUGAAAGGUUCAAUAUGAAAGAUGUAAAAUCUGAUAUCUCUCCACUUGCAGGCCAUCACAAAAUGAAUUCAAAAGAGUGUCCUACAAGUAAGAAGGAGAAAGAAGAAAUGAGGAAAGUGCCUUACCAAUCUACUGUGGGCAGUUUGAUGUAUGCCAUGGUAUACACUAGGCCUAAUAUUGCCUAUGCAGUUGGAGUUGUUAGCCGGUUCAUGACAAAUCCAGGUAAAGCUCACUGGGAAGCAGUGAAGUGGAUUCUCACGUAUCUCAAGGGAACUUCUACAUCUCGUUCAUGCUUUGGAAGUGGCAAUCUUGUAUUGUAGGGAUAUACAAAUGCAGAUUAUGCAUGUGACAAGGAUCGUAGGAAGUCCACAUCUGGAUACCCGAUGACCUAUGCAGGGGGAUCAAUGACAUGGCAAUCAAGAUUGUAGAAAUGUGUUUCUAUAUCAAAUACAAAAGCUGAGUACAUAGCAGUAGUUGAUGCUGGCAAGGAAGUUUUGUGGAUGAAGAACUUCUUGCAAGAGCUCGGCAAGAAGCAAGAGAAGCAUGUGUUGUUUUGCGAUAGUCAAAGUGCUAGCCACCAUGCUAAGAAUUCAAGUUGUCACUCUCGAACCAAGCAAAUUGAUGUGAGGUAUCAUUGGAUUAGAGAUGUUGUGAGUUGCAAGUUGGUGAAACUUGAGAAGAUCCAUAUCGACGACAAUGGUUCGGAUAUGAUGACCAAGAUAUUGCCAAAUGACAAGCUACAAGCAUGUUCCAAGGUAACGGGCAUGGCGGUGCCCCCUCAUGAGUCGAAUGGGGAGAUUUGUUGGGAUAUCCUCCUCAUGUGGGCUGUGAGGAGAUGACCAUUUAAGGCCUUUUAGGCAACCAAAAAGGUGCAGAAGCCCACUACCCAUUAGGGUUAUGACCUAGGAUCAUUUUGACCUUUGCAUGUGAGUGGAUGGGGAUGCUUUUCCUUCCAUCCGGCAGCCACCACCUAGAGGAAUAAAAAUCGGUUCAGCCUCCAUUGGAGGAAAAGAGAGAAAACCAAGUGAGAAAGGAAGAACAAAACAUAUCUUGAAGAGAAACUAGAACAAGAAGUUGCGGCAGGAACUCAAACAAAAAGAACACGAACACGUACCGAGUUGCAGUAGUAGCAGCAAUAGUGGAAUUGGCGUUGACGUCGCCACCCGCCGUUUCUGAAUCUUGGAUGAACACAACAAGAUUUGGGGCUCAAGUGCUAGGGAUUGGAACAAUCUCACAAAAGAUGGUGGAACCACAGCUUGAAGGAGACAAGGUAGUUGAUGUGGAUCAUCACAACCUUGGGGAGGAGCUCCAUUUGCUUCUUCCUUCAAUCUUUCUCUUCUUCCUUUCUCACUUGGUUUUCUCUCUUGUUCUCGAAUGGAGGCUGAACUGAUUUUUGCCCCUCUUGGUUGUGGCUGUUGGAUGGAGGAUAAAGCAUCCCCAUUCACUCACGUGCAAAGACCACAAUGACCCUAGGUCAUAACCCUAAUGGAUAGUGGGCUUGUGCACCUCUUUUGGGCUGCCUAAAAGGCCUCAAAUGGUCAUCUCCUCACAGCCAACAUGAGGAGGAUAUCCCAACAAGUAGGAACAUGACAUAUCUAGAAUAGAAACUAGAACAAGAAGAUGCGGCAAGAACUCAAAUAAAAAGAACGCGGACACGUACUGAGUUGCAGCAGCAACAACAGUGGGAUUGGCGUUAACGUCGUCACCGGCCAUGUUGUCGAAGUGGUUAUUGACGUCGGGGAAGAAGUCGUCGUCUGGGAAGUGGCGUCCGUGAUGAAGAAGCCAGUAGUCACAUAGAACGCCCCCCAAAAACCUUAUCAGCCUUCUUCCAUAAAGGACGCUAAGCGACGGGGUUUUGGUGGCCUACUGUCACAACCUGCGAUGCACACCGCAAGUCGGGAUGGGAAGAACCUAGCAGCAACUCAGAGAAUGGAACUUGAUGACGAGAGGAAGACAAUGUUUUCAUGUGUCUAUUUGGAGAGGAACGACCUCCUUUUAUAGGCACAUGAGAAGGACGCGAAUAGACAACAACGAAAGGCAAAUCAAAAGAGGGAGACGAAAUGAACAUGCAGCAAUUGAAGGGUACAACGUUCGUAUUCAAUCUCGAAUACAACAAAUCUUUCCAGCUCCAAAGCGACCUUUCAUAUAUCACUCGUGCAUGGUAAAAAUUUAGUCAUCAACUCGGCUCAUUGACGGAUGGCGAAGGAGGAGCACUCGUGUAUGUCUCUUUUGUUUUCAUGCUUAUACACGUGGGAAAACAUCCUCCCUUAUAAAAAGGUUCAACUUCUACUAAAUUAGCAAUGUGAGACUAAACUUUAGCUUCACUUUUUUUUGCCUUGCACUAAUAGGCUUAAUGAAUUUUUAAGACUUAUCACAAAUUCUAAAACUGGUUAUUGCAUUGGGUCGGAUCAAAUUCUAGCAUGCCUCUCGUCUCCACGAUCCGUCCUCGUCGACACACCAAGCCAACGGUACCCAUUGCUUUCGCGCAUAUGAUACGACUGGAAAUUAAUAUGUCAUCGAGGUUGCCAUAAACCACACCGCUGCCUGUCGGGAGAGGAUAGAUCGUGCGUCCACCAACUAGGGGAACGCAUCGUGUCAUAGUUUUUCCCUCUCCGCCUCUCUGGUGUAGACGCAAUCAUGCACACGGCCAUGUGUACGCAUGCAUGUGCCAUAUGGUGAAGCUGGGACGAUGGAUAUGGACUAUGGACGAAGCCCAAUAUUAUGGAAUGGUUGAGUAGUUCCGUUUUGGAGCGUGACAUGUGAGAAGAAGAAAGAGACACCGCGAGUGUCAUGUCAAUUUAAGGUACUACACUAGCUAGCUGGCCUUUUUAGACAGGAGACAUGCUGUUUGGCCUUUGCUAGCAGUAGUACGGUCGUGGAUGAUAACUACGCGCGCCUUUUGAUUUGUGGCAACCGUGGAUGAUAGCUACAACAGUGAUUAGGUACCGUAGCUGGCUAGCAACAUUGUUUCAUGGAGAGACGCUCGUGUAGUUCGCAGCACGGCUUGAGUGACGGGAUUCCGCUCUUGACGGGUUCAAGGUUUCUCUUUCUGGGCAAGGCCGCAAAGAAACAAGGGGACCUGUUAACCGAAAAACAAAUGUACUAUGCCUUGUAUUUUUCUGAGUCAUGAUCGUACGUGCUUCCACUGUUGAGUGAUGCUAUCAUGAGAGCCAUCAUUCAAGCGAAUCUUCAGGCAUCAAGGUCAGUAGUACACUGGCACUGCGAUGAUUGUGGAACUUCAUUCCAUGGAAAUAUCUGUCUUGGCUUCGAGUUUGAGGUGAAUGCCCGACCUCAUGAUUUUGAUUUCCGGUUUGCCAACAGGCUGUGUGUCUAGUCCUUGUAGCCCUUUGGCAAUCGAUCAAACGCGGCACACCUACACCCCCUCUUUGCCCAAGAAAAUCAAUAGGACAGCACCAUGCCAUGCAUCGAGGUGUAAAGUGUGUUAGAAAGGACAAAGUGAAAUUGAUAGGAUCGAUGGAUACUGUAUUGAGCCUCACGAACGAGUAUAUACAUGAGUACAUAUUUAAAGGGUAAGAAGUCUCUUCUAUAAAUAAGGUAGAAGACAUAUUGUAAAUCUUAGAUUACGAAAUUCAUGUACAUUGAACAUAUCUCUAACAUCCCCACGCAGUCGUAACGCGGACGGUCGGACUGUAGAGAAUAACAUUCGACGCGCAUGCAACUGACUGAUCAGGUCAGUCGGACGACGUUGAUGGAAUGGAUCAUGUCGGGCGGGUGACCAAUCCAAUUGCACACAAGGGCCAUGGCACUACUCGAUGAUGAUGAUGAUGGCAUCGUAGACAAUGAAGUCGGGUCGUCGACUAGACCAAGACGACGACGGUCGGCGUGGAACGACGUGUUGGAGGAGGCCGAUGAUCCGGGGGCAGUCGACGAGGGGGCCGGCAAGGCCGAGGUAGCCGGUGAGCCCGACGCAGCCAGCAACCGAUAGGCCCGAGGUAGGCUGCGGGUCCUACAGCGAAGGAUCUUGACGCAGGCGGCGAGGGCGGCGGAGGCGGUAGGUGAUGCAGGGGUUCUGUUCGGAGCAGGGUGGCGACGAUCGACAUAGAGCGGUGGGCAGGUAGACGCAUGGACGAUAGACGUGACGGGUCGGAGUAGAGGACGGGUGGUCACACCGGUGUCGAGUAGAGGCGCGAGGUCAACAACGAAGGCAAACGACGCAAAUCGAUAUUAGAUCAGGAAAAAAACACCGAUCAUAGCUAGAGGGAGACAGAAAAAUCCGGAUCAAAGGAUUGAAAAAAGGACUAGGGCAGUCGGUCAACACGACCGACGGACGAACCCUAAGUACGAAUAGCAUGGCCCUCGAUGGCGAUCAUGAAGACCGAUCGCUCUGGGAGCGAUCAUGAAGCGACGACCGAAACUAGGAUUAGAUCAGUUCGGUCGAUCCAUAAGUGAACUGGUUAGAUGCAUAAGCUUGCAAUCAAGAUGUUCGUAGUUCAGAACUCAGGAAAGCGUAAUAAAUAAUUAUGGUCUAUCCCCUCUUUCGCUUUCUAUGUCAUAAACUUUAAAAGAGCAUAGAGCGAGGGGAAUGUUAAAGUAUAAUGUUCGAUCUUCUCCCACAGACUACAGUUUGAACUUUAGAAUGAAUUAACUGGUACAUAAAUUCAAUAAAGUGAGUACAUACAGUGAUACAGAUAUGGCCGGUAUCACCCACCUCAGCAACGGCUCAUUGCAAGCGUUAUGUUAUCAUCUCCAUUUUUGGUGUUGGCCAAGAGGGGCAUUGCUUAAUUAGAAAAUUCAAAACUGUGCAGACAUACUUGACCUCCUUGCCUGCCUAAUACGCGACAGUCCUUAACUAACCUGAUAACAAAAACCCAAAUGUGCAAACUCCAAAGCUAGCACUUGCCGGACAUACCGGCCGGCAACCGGGACACCCCCAAACCGCUCCGCGAACCACACUGACUUGCUAGCACGAUGGGUGAUCUACGGGUCUCCGCGAACCAAGUCGCCUAGUCAGUCUCGCAACCAGAGCAUCGACGAAGACCGGGCCUGCGCCAACUCGAAAGGAUUCGCCUGAUUUUUCCCCAAGAAGCCGGGGGGCGCGACGCACACGUAGGAGUGGCGAAUGGCCGGCAGAUCUUGCCAAGCAGGAGCAGUGAGUGGUCACAUCCCAAACACAAAAGUGAGUGCGAUCGACGAGAUUCUAGGACCCCGCGCGCGGCCUCAGACUGAUGCACGCAGAGAUAAAAAGAUGCGCGUCGACUAGCUGCCAUGGUUUCUACUGAAUGGCAGGCCAAUACGGGCACGCGCAUGGCUUCCAGCGACAGCACCAACUUCCUGCCGUUUUGUCCGCUAGAACAAGAAAAGUCUGGCUAGCUUACAUGAUGAAGUUUUUUUUUUUUCAAAAGUCAUAGAUUUUUAUUCCAUAAUAACAGAAUUACAAUCCUUAGCAACGAGAUCACUUGCAAAAGGGGGAGGGUGACCCAGCCAACAUGCUGUACUAUCCCCACAACGACCAUAGUUUGUUAGGAGGAGCUUAAUUUCUCUAAUCAUAUGAUCAUAAACGGAAUUAUCUAAAGAUACGUCAGCUAGGGCAUUGAUGGCCGCAGCACAAUCUGAUUGGAGCAUGAUAGUGGCAUCCGAGCGCUCGGUAGCAAGCUUGACUCCCUCUCGAAUAGCUUGUAAUUCCGCUUCCAGAGCAUCGUUGCAGUGAAAAAGCUUGCGGUAGGCAGCAAAUAUUACCUCGCCCGUUGGUGUUCUCAAGAUCAUCCCCGCGCCAGCUGAACCAUCAGAUAUAGCAUAAGAUCCAUCCACCGACAGCGCCACCAUGCCAUCUGGAGGGUGAGGCCACGAUAACCCUGGUGUCGAUUUGCAUGGGGGGCUGAUCUGAUCAGGAACCGUAGGAGAUUUCCCUUUAAUAAUGUCCUCCACACUACUUGAGAUCUGGGAGAAGGUGUUGUGGUAACUCUGCAAGAACGACGAAGAUACAUCUUGCGGUGGAGGGGCCUUCCCAUGUAGAAUCUCGUUUCGAACAUACCAGGAACGCCAUAGGACCAUGAUAAUUCUGCUACGAACCGAUACUUGGGCUUCAUCGAGGAGUUUAAGGAGCCAUUCCUUGCCUGUCCAGUUGAUCAACAAUCUGUCAGGUAAUGGCCAAUAAAGGCGCAUUCUGUCCCACAAGUCGGCUGCAUGUGGGCAAGCGAGGAGAGCAUGAAAUGAAGAUUCCUGCUCCCGAUCACAGACCUGGCAGAAGCCAUUCAGAUCAAAAUGCCGUCUCUUCUUCUCAGCGUCGGUAGGAAGGGAACCCGAGACGACUUGCCACGCAAGAUCUUUAGCUUUGGAGGGACCUUUGUAUCCCAUAUUAGCUUCCAAACUGGUCUGUCACCAGUAGGGUUUGCACUAGCUGAACCUGGAUUGAACUGAUCGUAGUGAAAUGCCAUCGCUACAUGAUAUGCACUUUUAACUGUCAAAACCCCUGAUUUCUCCCAUGGCCAAGAGAUAAAAUCCUCCCACCUCGGCGACGUUCUUAUCUUUAGGAUGGACUCCACAUCCGGUUGCUAGAAGUGUUGACGAAGCAUCUCAACCCUCCAACAUCCCUGAUCAUCCAGGAAUUCGCUCACUCUUUUUAGCGUGCAAUUCCGCUUUGGUGUGAUGGGUAUAAACGGCAUCCCCCUCGGUAUCCAAGGGUCUCUCCAAACCUUGACAUUCAUACCAUUGCCCACCCUCCAUAACAUUCCUUUCUUAACGAGUUGCAACCCAUGUUCAAGGCCACGCCAUACAGCCGAGGCAUUCCCAGUGAAGACCGUGUCGACCAAGUUGCCAUUAGGAUAAUAUUUAGCAUGGAGGAGAGAUGCGCACAACGAAUUUGGUGUCAUUAGUAAGCGCCACACCUGCUUGGCCAACAGGGCUUGGUUGUAGCCCGCAUGUCUCGGAACCCUAGACCCCCUUGAGCUUUUGGUAGGAGUAACUUGUCCCAAGACAUCCACGCCAUUUUCCGCUUCCCCUUCUCCACGCCCCACCAAUAUCGCCGAAUCAUUUUGGUAAGUUCAUCACACACCGAGAAGGGGAGUUUGAAAAUGCUCAUAACAUACACCGGAAUAGCUUGUGUUACUGCCUUAAUCAAAACUUCCUUACUUGCUUGUGACGCAUACUUUUCGCUCCACUCAACUAGCCGCUUGCUUAGGAUCGCUUGUAAGGAUUCAAACCUGCCUUUGUGCAUACGUCCAUCCGGAACCGGAAGCCCCAGGUAUUUAGCUUCGAACUCCUGUUGGGUUACUUGCAGAAUACCCUUAAUCUCAUCGACCACCAACGGCUCGCAACUAUCUUUAAACAGGAUCGAACAUUUGGAGCGAUUGAUAAGUUGGCCCGUAGCGACUGCAUAUGUAUGUAACACAUCCUUGAUGAUCGCAGCUUGGUCUGCCGCAGCGCGGAAGAACAAAAGAGAAUCAUCCGCAAAUAAGAGGUGAGAUAUAGCAGGCGCCCCUCGGCAUAUUUUCAGCGGUACAAGACCACGUUCCUGAACCGCCUCAUGCAGUAGAGAAGAUAGUGCAUCAGCGACGAAUAGGAACAAAAGGGGGGAUAGUGGGUCACCUUGCCGAAGACCCCUUGAAGGGGUAAAUUGAUGCAGAGACUUCCCGUUAAACUUCACCGCAAAUUUUACCGAUCGCACCGAUGCCAUGAUCCUGGUGACCCAGGCACUUGCAAAACCCCACUUCAAUAAGGCACGUUCCAAGAAGUCCCAAUCAACACGAUCAUAUGCUUUGGAUAGAUCCAGCUUGUAAGCGCAGUAAUCAUUCCUUGCAGAUCCUGUUUGGAGAUGGUGCAAACAUUCGAAAGCAAUGAUGGAAUUAUCUGAUAACAGCCUACCAGGGAUAAAGGCGCUCUGAUUUACCGAGAUGAGCUCAGCUAAGCAAGGUCGGAGCCUGUUCACCAUACACUUGGAUACCACCUUGUAAAUGACACUGCACAACGAGAUAGGACGGAACUCCUUCAGGGAGGCAGGGUGCUGGACCUUAGGUAUAAGAACAAUGAGAGUUUCAUUUACACCCUCCGGCAUUACCCCCGACAAAAAAAAAUCACGAACUGCCUUCACAACAUCCUCUUUCAACACCCCCCAGUUCCGCUGAUAGAAUCUUGCAGGGAAUCCAUCCGGCCCUCGGCUUUAAAUGGUCCAAUCUGAAACAGAGCGUCUGAAAUUUCCUUAACUGAGUAGGGCGCAAGUAGUUUCUCGUUCAUAUCGUCUGUAACUUUAGGCACAAUUUUGUUUAACAUAACCUCCGGUGUUAACGUUGGGUCCUUGGUAUACACCUCCUUAAAAUAAGAGGAUGCCAUCCGUUCCAUCUCCGAUGGGGACACACACCAUGAUCCAUCAUCUUUUUGAAGACGUCGGAUGUUGUUUCUCCUGGCACGCCAUACCGCGUGACGGUGAAAGUGCUUAGUAUUGCGAUCGUCUUCCUUCAACCAGGUUAUGCGGCUACGUUGAAGCCACAUCAUUUCCUCCCUGUAAAGCAAUUCAUCCAACUCUUCCAUUUUCUUCUUUACUAGCAACCGAUCGGCAUCAUUGAGCUGCAAAGCCUCGAGUUCCCCGCGAAGCUUCAUGAUCUGUUUCUCCACAUGACCAAAGUUGUCCUUACUCCACUUACGAAUGUCAGACAUGACCGAUUUUAAGGAAGCUGCCACAUUCCCAAGAUCACCAGUAGGUUUUACUUUCGCCCAAGCUGCCGCGAUAACCUGGGAAAGACGGCAGUCGCGUUCCCACAUAAUUUCAUACUUGGGAUGCCCCAUCCGCCGUACGUCAACCACCUCCUCUAGAUGCAAGAGCUGUUGGAAUGAUGCCCUAGAGGCAAUAAUAAAUAUAGUUAUUAUUAUAAUUCCUGUAUCAAGAUAAUCGUUUAUUAUCCAUGCUAUAAUCGUAUUGAAUGAAGACUUAUAUACAUGUGUGGAUACAUAGACAAAACACUGUCCCUAGCAAGCCUCUAGUUGGCUAGCCAGUUGAUCAAAGAUAGUCAGGGUCUUCUGAUUAUAUACAAGGUGUUGUUGCUUGAUAACUGGAUCACGUCAUUAGGAGAAUCAAGUGAUGGACUAGACCCAAACUAAUAGACGUAGCAUGUUGAUCGUGUCAUUUUGUUGCUACUGUUUUCUGCGUGUCAAGUAUUUGUUCCUAUGGCCAUGAGAUCAUAUAAAUCACUGACACCGGAGGAAUACUUUGUGUGUAUCAAACGUCGCAACGUAACUAGGUGACUAUAAAGAUGCUCUACAGGUAUCUCCGAAGGUGUUCGUUGAGUUAGUAUGGAUCGAGACUGGGAUUUGUCACUCCGUGUGACGGAGAGGUAUCUCGGGGUCCACUCGGUAAUACAACAUCACACACAAGCCUUGCAAGCAAUGUGACUUAGUGUAAGUUGCGGGAUCUUGUAUUAUGGAACGAGUAAUGAGACUUGCCGGUAAACGAGGUUGAAAUAGGUAUGCAGAUACUGACGAUCGAAUCNAUGCGACGUUCCCCAACAAGAGCAGGGGACAAUGAUCAGAUCUAGGAGAAGUUAAGUGUUGUACUUUUGCAAAGGGAAACAUGUCCCGCCAGUCAUCCGAGGCACACACCCUAUCCAGACGGACUCGUGUGUUACCAAUUCCCAGGCGCCCAUUAUCGUAUGUGUAUGGCACACCCGAGAACCCUUAAUCAAUCAACUCACAUAGUUCUAGUGUAUCCCGGAAGGCUUCCAUUUGAUUUUCACGCCUAGCCGUCCUGGAGAAGUGCUCGUGCUGCCAAAGGGCUUCAUUAAAGUCUCCCCCACCAUCCAUGGCAAAUUGGAUAUGCCCCUCAGUCUGAUCAGGUGAUUCCACAUACAAUGCCGAUUCUCUACACGUGGUUCCCCAUAAAUAAAGGUUGAUCUCCACUGCUUUCCUGAUCGUUGAACAGUGAUAAGAACAUCAAUGUAGCGCUAGCAGGAAUCUAACACAGUGACAUGAUAGGAUUCCUCCCAGAACAAGGCCAAUCCACCACUAUGACCAAUGCAAUCAACACCACUAAAACCCUUUAAACCUAUCCUCCACUUGAGACUCUCAAUUUUUGCACAGGUUUGUCUUGUUUCCGCAAGGAAGACAAAGCUUGGGGAGUGGACUUUUACAAGAGCCCCAACUUCACGAACUGUUCGGCGGUUCCCCGCCCCCCGGCAGUUCCAGAAUAAAUGACUCAUUAGGCCUGGCGGCGCUCCACCUGGGAGCCCGUCGAUAGAUUAUCCGAGUCUGUUUGAGCAUCAUCUUUCUUAGCACGUUUACUAUCUGAACUGGUGGAUGGAGAUUCUAAGUUUGUUGUGUCCUUCCCAUCUGUUAUCAACAGAAGUUUCCCAUCCUGAGCAGGUUCCACCACUUCAUCUUGUUCCACUAGUAGACGCUUGCAAGCAGAUUUAUCGACCUCCAUGGCCAGCGGGGGGUUCUUCUUAACAGGGCUAGAGGCAGUGCCUUUCAACUCCCUGUCAAGGAACGAUACACCUUUGACCGUCGACACCUUGGCAGCAGGGGGAUCUGGGAUAGUUUUGUCAGAACGGCUCUGAUCCCAAUCGCCUUUGAACUUCCCCGGGGGAUCGGCAUACAGAUAGUCACCGAAUUUGAGAUCCCGUUUCUCAUACACGCCAUUACCACACUCCUUAUGAUCAUGACCAAUGAUACCACAGGCUUUGCAAAACCUUGCUAGCUUCUCAUACCUGACGGCAUAGACUGAUCUCACUUUACCUUUGACAAUGCUCACAAAUUUCGUGAGGGGUUUCCUGACAUCAUGUUUUACCCUAACCCGGAUGUAAUCACCCCUGGAAUUACCUGCUAUUCUUGUUUCCAAUAUCUCCCCUGAUGAUCGAAGCAAUUUCUCAACCACAUCCACUCUACAAUAUCCAUCCGGGAGUUUAUGGAUCUGGAGCCAUAUGGGCAUAUGCACCAUAAGAACAUCUGUUGCCUCAGAGUAGCCAUCAUAUGGAGAAAAAAUCACAGCCAUAUUGCGAAAAAGCCAUGGUCCUUGGGACAUGAUCCGGUCCCAAUCCCCAAGGCACUGUGCUUGGAUCACAAAAAGGUUGGUGCUGAUGGGGCGGAACCUGACGGGUUUAGCCGUGUUCCACACAACUCUCAUAUCCUUGAAGAAUGCAGCUUGACUAAAGUUCUUGUAAGUUUGGACCCUAGCUAGGGCAAGCCAUGGGAUCUCAUCCGCGAGAUCUGGAGCUUCCUCUUCCACGAUCACAUCAUCGAAUUCUUCCUCAUGCAGAUCCAGCUUCUCGAAGAAAUCUCCGAGCUCCUCGUCUUGUUUCCCCUGGGAACCUAGGUUCGUCGAUGAGAACGCAUCUGGAGCCGAUGCCAUGGCGCAGCACUGGAGCAGAACCCUCGCCGAGAACAAGGCGUUCGGGACGAAGGGGAGAAGGUCGCGGGAACGGACAGGACGCCGGCAAAGCCGACGGUAAAAACUAGGGCGGGCGGAGGACCUACGGUGUGGAAUCGCCGAAGGGAUGUAAAACCCUAGCUCACGCUAGGGGAAAAAAUAGUACAUGACGAAGGAAGUUAAAAUAAUGAAGAUGGACUUCAACAUGAUCUCUACGAGAAAACGGUAUUGGUUUAAGAAGAUGUAGGCUGAUCUGUUCAAACUCGAUGACGACUGAUCCAUGACAUGGUGUGCGGACAGGAUCACGGUCGAUAUGGCGUGGUCGGACUACAACCAUGUUUUGUGUGCUCACAUGUGUGUCGGUCACUGAUAAAUGCGCCCAGAAUGGAAACUACAUACUUUUCUUUGUAGAUAGACAUAUGUGUGCCGGCGCUUGCAUAUCGUCAACGCAAACUCUUGACACUGACAUGAUCUAUCGCCAUGCACCCUUUUUACAUAAAAAAAUGUUGUACGUAUACGAAAAAUAGGUCGCUUCGUUGGACGCACAAUCGGUCCAUUUAAAAAGAACGGGCAUGUCGACCUAAACGUAUAAAAUGCAAACAAUAGGUGCGUCCUUUUAAAUCGUCCGCGUGUGUUUGAUUCCAAGGAAGUAGACUUUUUUUAGUUCGACAGGCUAAAGAAAAAAAUCUCUCCAACACCUUUUUUAGUCUUUUAAAAAAAGUCUCUCCUGUUUGGUUACAUAAAAACUAAAAAAAGUUAAAUUUUUUUAAUCUGGUCCUUAUAAACAAACAGGGCUGAAGCUAUUUUAACUCAGCUGUUUGUCCGAACCUUUUAAGGGCGGGUUUUGAGUUGCCUCGUGUAGAUGCUCUAAAAAAGAAGGGAAAUCUCACGCCCAAGUUGUGCGCGACAGUCCAAUCAUCGGCAUGCAUCCAUGAGGCGAGGCGAGGCCACGCGGACAGGUAGACGACCCCGGCUAUCACUCUGCCGUCCGUUGCACUGCUCGACGCUCGGAUGAUUUGGCUGCAUGCGCAUGCAUGCGACAGUCGCAUGGAUAGCCUUCAUGACUACCCAUCUCACUGGCAAGUAGUAUCGUUGUGUGGUUCCGCUCAAUGAAAACAAAGGGUGUGUUCAGUUUGAGGAUAAGGUGUCAUGGGAUGGGUUGAUUCCGUCCCUGGCAGCCCAUCCUCAUGUUCACUUGUGUUUUCAUCCGGAACCGGACCGUCCGCAUGCAAUGGAUAUUCCUUUAAGAUGCUUCCUCUACCGAUGCGUGGGAAAUGUAGGAACCGGAUCGUUAUUCAUCGAUUGAACGCAAAAAAAAAACAAAGCCUCACCGCUCACCCCUCACCCCCGAGGACGUCCCACCUCCGAACCCUAUCCUCUCCCUCUCCCUCUCGUUCUUCCCUCCCAGCCGCCACUCUCCCCUCGCAUCUGCUCUCCACCGACGGUGAGACGACGGCCAGCGACGGGGAAAGAACCGGACGGCCAGCGGCGGGAAGGAACCUGCAGCGCCCACCCCAUCUUCCUCCCGUUCGACCUGCAGCAGUUCCUCCCCCAGCUCGUCCUGUGCAGCAGCCCCUCCUCCUCCCAGCCCGACCCGCCGCGCCGAUCCCAUCUUCGUCGAGCUGCAGCAGCCCCUCCUCCUCCUGAAGGUAUGCAUCUCGUUGGCCAGCACCAUCCCUUCCCCGUGCCACUUUUCUUGUACUAGGAAAAACUAGGCUUCUUGCUGCUGUUAUGUUUGAUAGAGUCCAAUUUGGCAGUGUGAUGUGAAGUGUAAAAACAUGUUGAGGUUUGAGAGAGCUCCUUUCUUUCAUUUGUGUGACAUAUUGAGGGAUCGCAAGUUGCUCAAACCGACUAUACAUUUAGAUGUGGAGCAACAAGUGGCAAUGUUUUUGCAUACUAUUGGACAUAACCUUCGGAAUAGGGUUGUGGCAACAAACUUUUGUAGAUCAUUUGGGACAAUUAGCAUCUACUUUAGACGUGUCCUUCAUGCCAUAGGUCAGCUGCGUAAUGAUUAUAUCAGGCCCCCUUCAUUGGAGAUCCCAACAAAAAUAGAAGGAAAUCAUCGGUUUGACCCAUAUUUCAAGGUAUUUUAAAAAACUAUUCCUUAGCUAUUUAGGAUAUAAAUCAGGCCAUUUACUAUUUUGUCAAUAUAUAGGAUUGCAUUGGAGCUAUUGAUGGUACCCAUGUGCGAGCAUCGGUUACAAAAGAUGUUGAAGCCUCUUUUCGUGGUAGGAAGGGAUUCACCACUCAAAAUGUGAUGGCAGCGGUAGAUUUUGACCUCCGCUUCACAUAUGUGUUGGCUGGUUGGGAGGGGACAGCCCAUGAUGCGACUGUUUUAGCUGAUGCAUUAGCACGUGAGAGAGGGUUACAAGUGCCAGAAGGUAAGAGAUUGCCUUAGAUUUGUCCAUAUAUUAGUGCAAGCCUUAUCACCAUUUUUCUUUUUCUUUUUUUAGGAAAAUUCUACCUAGUUGAUGCGGGAUAUGGAGCCAAACCCGGUUUCUUGCCACCUUUCCGUGCCGUGAGAUACCAUUUGAACGAGUGGGGCAACAAUCCAGUUCAAAAUGAAAAGGAGUUGUUCAAUCUGAGACACUCAUCACUACGGGUGACGGUAGAGCGAGCUUUCGGAUCUCUCAAGAGGCGAUUCAAAAUUUUAGAUGAUGCCAAACCAUUCUUUCUAUUUCCGGUACAAGUAGACAUUGUCAUAGCUUGUUGCAUCCUUCAUAAUUAUGCACUAUCUCAAGGGACUGAUGAAUUCAUUAUGCCGGAGGUGACGUGGACCACCCAACCAGUUCGAACACAAAGGCAACAAGCAAGUGACCAUAGGGCCACGAUUGACCGUAGGCAACAAAUUGCUACACAAAUGUGGGUGGUUAGGCAGGCCAUGUUUGGAAAUUGAGUAGUAUGGCAUAUUACAUGUCAAAACCAUGUAUCUUUGAGUUUAUGUAAUGGCUCGAUAAUUGUACCUUUUGUUCUGUUGAAACAAUCUAUUACUAUCAUUGUUAUUCCUUUAUGGCUGGAGAGAAUGUUACUUACUAUAUUUGAUAUUUGUGAUGAUCCAUUCAAUUUUUUUAUGGCUGGACAGAAUGUUAUUUACUAUAUUUGAUACAUNNNNNNNNNNNNNNNNNNNNNNNNNNNNNNNNNNNNNNNNNNNNNNNNNNNNNNNNNNNNNNNNNNNNNNNNNNNNNNNNNNNNNNNNNNNNNNNNNNNNNNNNNNNNNNNNNNNNNNNNNNNNNNNNNNNNNNNNNNNNNNNNNNNNNNNNNNNNNNNNNNNNNNNNNNNNNNNNNNNNNNNNNNNNNNNNNNNNNNNNNNNNNNNNNNNNNNNNNNNNNNNNNNNNNNNNNNNNNNNNNNNNNNNNNNNNNNNNNNNNNNNNNNNNNNNNNNNNNNNNNNNNNNNNNNNNNNNNNNNNNNNNNNNNNNNNNNNNNNNNNNNNNNNNNNNNNNNNNNNNNNNNNNNNNNNNNNACAUUUUCAUGGCUGGACUUGUGAUCAUAUAAUAUUAAAUUGCUUGUUGAAAAUACAAAGAAAAUGCUGUCAAAAUUUUAAAUUAUAUGUUGUCCAAAUCUGAGAUAUAUAUGAGCACAUUAGAGGUAAUAUCACCAUUCAUAUGAAGAGGUGAGUGGAAUGAAAUUCUUCUCAUUUUACCUCCCAAACCAAACACAUGGACGGAAUUAACCCAUGCCAUUUUUUAUGUCCAACCGAACACAAGAAUGGAACCAACCCAUGCAUCCGGAAUGGAACCAUGACAUUUCAUACAUUUUGAUCCUCAAACCGAACACACCCAAAAAGUAUCCCUGCGUGACACUGCUACACCCCUCGGACUCGGGACCGUGAAUGACGCCGUUAUAUUUCUGUUCGUAGAGUCCACCUUGUACAACGGUGCAAUCAUAUAUACUGCUUGAUAUGUAUAUAUACGUACGUCCUCCUUGCAUCGUAUCCGCACGGUUGUGUCGUGAGCAGUAGAAGCGACUGUGUGAGCUCCGUUUUCGACCACUGCGCAAUAAUGUGCACUCGUAGCAGUACGUUAGAGCAUCUAUGGUCACAACUCGUAAAUCUAACAUCUCAAACAUUUGCAUAUGUUCAUGAACACUCAUCGAUCAGAUCUUAAAUAUUGUAUUUUAUAAUUAUACAUUUUAAAUUAAAAAAAUUAAAUUCAUAUUAUUACCUGCAACAUAAAUCUAAUAUUAAGCGGAGCUCGUCCGGCUCUGUUGUGCCCUUGUCUUGCGGCCGUAUGAGUCCCUGACAAUGUCGGUCCGGUCAUCGAUGAGGUAGAAUAGGACAUGGGACACUAGCAGGUUCAUGGGAGUCGAGCUCUCGCCGUCUCCCGUGCCCACUCUUCCUCGUCGGAGCCCGUGACUUGAACGGUGCCCAUGGACGUUAGUUCGGUGACGGAUCCUUUUUGGAAUGAGACGAUGUCGACCACGGCGCAUUUACGGCGCCCGUACCCGUGCAUUAUAUGGGACACCGAAGAGUGCGACUCCGCCUCUCCAAUGUCCACCACCGCUAAGGCCUCUGCCACCUCCCGCGUCCGCUGCCUCGCACGACGAGCAUGUCGCGUUAUGUUAGCGCCCGAGGACGCCCAAGAUGCAUCCUCUACGUGCAAACAAAGGGGUUGCGCGUGCGCCACGACGUUCGAACGCCAGAUGGACCGCACCGUCUCCGAUGAGGCAACGACGUCAGAUCCAGGCACCGAAUGAGUCGACGGAAUGGAUUCCCGGUGCUGCGAGUCCCGACCCUACUGUUAGGCGGCCGCCUCCCGGAAGCGGCGGAGUGCAAACCAGACAACCAUCUCGUCCUCGGGGCCGCAUGUGAUGAGCUCGUUGUUGAUGGAUCUGGAGGUGAAGGACUCAGAUCCGCUGCUCGUCAUGCCGGAGAAGGUCGAAGAUAGUAGGAGGUGUGCUUGGAUGGCGGAUGGGAACGAAGGAGCGUGGAGUGAAGUAGCUAGGAUUUGGUCCGACAAACGAAUGAGGAUGAAUAUAAGUGGGGUCAAUGUGGGCGCGUCCAGACUAUCUUAAAUCCGUCUCAUAUUUCAAUUAAAUAUGAAAGGUGCCGGUUAGUUCACACGUUUGAGGUUCGUUUGAGAGGUUCAGUUAGAUCAAAAUUUUAUGACCAAUUAAUGACUAGGCGGCUUACAGUACAUUUAAAAAAUAGGUGCGGCUCUAGAUGCUCUUAAAACGGACGCCAGAGUGGUAUAAAAUAAAAGAAUUCCAAAAAUACACACGUGAACGUGAAUGAAGCAUGCUCUCUCUUGUGCAAGCCAGAAAGGGGAGCGGUGUUUUGCUCCCGGGUUAACAAUAAUGUAAAUAAAUAUAUUAAAUGUUUAUAGAAUAUAUAUAUAUAUUUAGAUGAUUGUAUUAGUGUCAGAAAUAUGCAUGAUAAUUUUUGUGUAAUAAGGAACAUUGGUGUUUAGUCGAUAAAAAAAAUUGGGUUGACAUUUUGAUAUAACUUUUGAUAUUCAAUUUGUUUUUUUGGGCACAAGCCAAAAUAUUUUAUAUUUUUGCCUCAAAAUUUGCAUAUAGCAUUUUAAUGUAACUAAAUACACAAAUAAAUUUUAUCUUAAUUUUUUUAUUUUAAACCUUUUCAUGCUCCCCGAGAGCCAAAUUGCAUUUCCGAUAAACAACGCAGAGGUCUUUUCCUUUCUUCAUAAACGCACGAGAUGAGAUAGGUUCAUUUAUAUCGGAAGCAUGUGCGUACUGCUUCCGUUGUCACCCUGCCCUGCCAACAGAAUUCAGAAAAUAUUGUGCUACUGACGAUACACUAGUGGGGACAGGGCCUUUAGUCCCGGUUCCUGUCACGAACCGGGACUAAAAGUCUACCCUUUAGUCCCGGUUCAAGACACCAACCGGGACUAAAUCCUCCAAACCCUUUAGUCCCGGUUCGAGACACGAACCGGGACUAAAUCCUUCAAACCCUUUAGUCCCGGUUCGAGACACAAACCGGGACUAAAGGCUCCUUACGGGUCGGGACCAAAGCCUCGUGCGAUUUGGGACGACGUGGCCGGGCCUUUAGUCCCGGCCCAGAGGCAGGUCGGGACUAAAGGGUCCAGGCCAAAGGUCCUUUUUCUACUAGUGAUACAUGCAUGCUAGUGUUGCGAACCCGAGCUAUAUUGUGUAUCACAGUCCGUGAGUAGCUUCAAAUAAAUCUAAAGAGACGAUUUCCCGGUUGCGUAUGUGAAGACUCAUUUGGUUAGUACAUACCAAAGUUAGGCCCGAGCAUAUUGCUGCACAACCAUCUCAUCGGCAUUCGCAGGGCACAGAUUGUUUGCUCAUCUGACUUCUUUAAGCCAAAAAUGCUUCAGUUUAGAGCUAUCAGCCUUGCCUGACAGAGGGGAAGGGGGCUGAACACCAAUUACAACUUUAACCCGGUCCCGCCAGUUAACGGCACUCACAUGGCCAGUAAGAGCAAAUCAGUUGAUAGGAAGGCCACUUAUCAUGACCCUGUCCUUUAGGGUCAUCGUCAUCUCCCCGCACGCAAGGUGAAAAGAGUGUGUAUCGGACCUCCAACGAUUCGUAAGUGUGGUGAGUGUUGCAUGGUUCACCGGUGAUGGGGUUCAGUUGAAUUGCAACACAAAUGGGAGAAGACCCAAUCUUGCAAUGUACGACUCGUACCGCACGUCAUAUGAAAAAUCAUUUGCACCAUGACCCCUCAUGCGCAUAGCUACUACAGGCUGUAAACAAUGUGAACUUCAUAUCAGUACGAGAAACACACAUGAAAAACAUGAAUAAUUAUUAAGUCAAACUUCUUUUCUUCCGAUUCUUAAUGGCACGAGCACGAUGCUCUCUGUCGAACUAUUCGAUUAACCCGUCAUACCAAGGGGCCAUCAUCAUCCACCAUCCUACCAAUAAAUAACAUCAUCACCUUUUAAUAUAUGAAUAAUAUAUACAAUAUUUCAUCCUAUGAAAUACCUAUCUAAAACAUUCUAGCGACAAAAUAUGCAACCACAUAUCAGCUGGAGUACACAAACAAAUCUCUUGAACAACCCAUUCAUAACACAAACAUCAAAUUUCAUCAUCUUUUUUCGAAAAAAAAUUUAUCAACAAUAUGUCCAUCCAUAUCAUCAUCCAACAAAUUGAAUAAAAUCUACUAUAUACAAAUCAUCUAUAUAAUUUAACAAGCACACAAAAAUCCAUAAAACUAAGAAAUAAUCUACUAAUUGAACAUCACCCAUUCUUUGAAAGUGUUCUCUUAGUUGGAAGAAUUGAGGAAGACUACCUCAAGGAUGCUUGGGGACUUAGAUUCACGGAUUUUGGUGGAGGAUGGAGUAGAUAGGGGGGUGUGAGAGGGAAGAGGGGCUAGAGAGAGUCUGUUCGGUCGCUAGAGGAAGAAGAUGUGAAAGGGUGGGGCGGCCCCGCGCGGCUGUGUAACUUAUCAGGGCCAAAUGUCAAGGUCUGCGGCGUCUGAGUCUGGAGACCAGACGCCAGGAUCCCUGUCGUCUGGUCCUUUGCCACGUCAGCCCGUCAAUGAAGUUGUUCGUCGUGCGGUCCCGUACCACAUGUGAUGGUCCCUCGCCUUUGUCGUGCAACCCAUACGUCAGACAUGUUGACGUCACGAAAAUAUGUUAGAUUCAUUUUUUAAAAAAAUGAGACCAAAUCUGGAUUAAGUUAGCCUUUUAGGUAAAAAAUUGUCCACGCACUUUGGAAGGACACAGAAUCUUGACGAAGAUGUAGUAAAAGGCAAGCGGUCAAGAAACAAAGAGUUGAUGUGACAUGUGUUGCAGGUUUGAGUGCGUGCCAAACCCAAACUCAAAGCCUAUUGGAUAAGUACUAGGGCUCUGUUUGUUUCAGAAGUCCCCGGACUUUUUUAGUGCUAACUUAAAAGUCUAGUCCCUAUUCAUUUGUUUUCAGGGACUAAAUAGAGACUAAAGGUCAUUCAAUAACAUGUAAAAAAAGCAUGUUACCUUUAUUAAUGUAGUAUCCAUCCGUCCCAAAAUAACUGUCUCAACUUUGUACUAGUUCUAGUACAAAGUUAUACUAAGCUUAAGACAUUUAUUUUGGGACCGAGGAAGUAGUAGUUAUUAAAUGACAUGCUAAAAGUAGGGGAUUUGUUGGAAAAAGUGCCAAAAAAAUCCCAAAAAAACCCUCCCAUAGGGGCUUCUCCAAAUAGUCCCAAAUACCACCUUUUAGUCCCUAAAAGUCCCUUCUGUUUGUUUCACAUGGGACUUUUUGAGACUUUUUUUAGUCCCUACACCAAAAAGUCCCUGGAAACAAACGCCCCGUAGGUCACCCGAUAGAAUAAACUACUCGUGAAUUGUGUGCAGAGAAUCGUUGUUUCUUUGGAGUCGCUGCAGGGUAGGCGUAGCGUAGGAAUGAGCAAAUUCCAUUCCAAUAAAAGAGAGUUAAUUGCAAAAGACNNNNNNNNNNNNNNNNNNNNNNNNNNNNNNNNNNNNNNNNNNNNNNNNNNNNNNNNNNNNNNNNNNNNNNNNNNNNNNNNNNNNNNNNNNNNNNNNNNNNNNNNNNNNNNNNNNNNNNNNNNNNNNNNNNNNNNNNNNNNNNNNNNNNNNNNNNNNNNNNNNNNNNNNNNNNNNNNNNNNNNNNNNNNNNNNNNNNNNNNNNNNNNNNNNNNNNNNNNNNNNNNNNNNNNNNNNNNNNNNNNNNNNNNNNNNNNNNNNNNNNNNNNNNNNNNNNNNNNNNNNNNNNNNNNNNNNNNNNNNNNNNNNNNNNNNNNNNNNNNNNNNNNNNNNNNNNNNNNNNNNNNNNNNNNNNNNNNNNNNNNNNNNCUAGCUAGCUGGCCUUUUUAGGCCAACGACAUAGUGUUUGGCGUUUGCUGGCAGUACGAUCGGACUAUGAUCGGACUAUAAGCGCGGGAUAAUUUUACUGUUCUAACCUGUAACUGAAAUAUUAUGUAGGCCAAAGACAUAUUUGAAUCUGACUUCUUUAUCACGUCAACAUCCUGGCGUCCAAUUUACACGACGAACGACGGGGGCAAUUCUGACUUUUUUAUCAACGGGGGCAAUUCUUAAAUUUGUUUCAGCAAAAGGUCCGAACAGUAAAACUUUCCAAUGCGUGCGCCUUUUGAUUUGUGGCAACCGUGAUGAUAACUACUACAACAGUGAUUAUAGGUAUCGUCUACUAUCCAAAUUUAUGCAGGCCUUUCGAUUGUAGCUAGCGACACUAUUUUAUGGAGGCACGCUCCUGUAGUCGUGGUAGCACGGUUUGACGGGAUUCCGCUUUGACUGGUAUACGCCGCGCUUCGGGUUGAAAGUUUCUCUUUGUGGGAAAAGAAAGAAGGGGACCUGUUGAUGGGAAAUACUAACAGAAACACAAAUGUGUGCCUUGUAUUUUUCUGAGCCAAGUAGUACGUGUGUGCACUGUUGAGUGAUGCUAUAAUGAGAGGCAUCAUUCAAGCGAAUCUUCAGGCAUCAAGGUCAGUAGCACUGCGAUGAUUGUGAAAUUUCAGUCCAUGGAAGUCUUGGCUUUGAGGUGAAUGCCCGACCUCAUGAUUUUGACUUCCUGUUCGGCAAAAGGCUGCGUGUCUGGUCCUUGUAGCCCUUUGGCAAUCGAUCAAAUGCUGCGCACCUACACCCCUGUUUUGCGGAAUCAAAUCAAUAGGACAGGACAGCACCAUGCAUGCAUCAAGGCGUAAAGUGAGUACAUAGUACAGUGAUACAGAUGUAGCCGGUGCCACCCACCUCAGCAACGGCUUAUUUCUAGCGUUGUGUUAUCAUCUCCAUGUAUGGUGUUUCUUUAUUUUUAAUAGUAUAACAAAUUCGAGAAAUGUAUGUCUAAGAUCAAAAUUUCAAAACUACGACCCCGUGGAUCUAGCUGAAAUCAAAGAGGACCUUCUAGGUCUUACGUGGGCCCAAGAGUGGUCUUCGGUGUAGCACAGCCGAAGGGUUCCAGAACUCGGAUGACGAGCAUUCUUUGGAUUUUCAUUGGUUGAAGGGGAAUCUUCUGUUUACUUUAGGUCCAAGAAUAUUCAGGGCUCAUCUGUGCACGUAAACUUCAGGCCGAAACUGCAUUGAUCCACUCUUUGAUUUUUAUUAGGUCCAAGUAUCAUUUAGAAAAAAACGGGUUUAUCAAUCAGUACAACCAUUCCCUACCUUAGCCAUGAAAAAAGUGUACUUUCCCGCAACCCUUCCUCUUCAUCUGUUCCCGCCAUUAUCCUUCCCGCCAACCCUUUUCCUCCAAUUCUUUCCUCACAUUCUUUCUGGCCAUUUUCUUUCCCGCCCAAUUUUCGUGCCAACCACUUACCAUCAUUCUAUAAAACCGCCCCAUGCCUGAUUUCUUCUUCAUAUUUCCUUAGCAAUAUUUUCAGUCAUGUCCAGCGACAGUUCCUGCGGUUUUGCUUCACUGAUGUCUCAUUUACUCUUGUGCAAUGCCGCAAGAAUGUAGAUGCAAAAUACAUGAGGUGUGUAUUUGGAAGAAUUAGUCAGUAGUGAUAGGCAUGUGACGGAGUUGAGUAAGUGUUUUCCCCGACCCGAUCUCCUGGAGAAGUGCUUGGAAAGGAACCGAUAGGAGAUUCAACAAGAAAUUUUCCGUUUACUUGUUAGGUGGAAUAGGAUUGUUGAACUCAAGCAUAUGGCUGCGCGCAUUGUUGGUAGACUCUAUCAUGACUAAUCAAGAAUAAAAUUUGCACAGAAGCAAUACGAAGACCACGUUAAGGUAAUUCAUAUUUCAUUUCAUCUUGCACACUGUUAGACCAUAUGUUGGUAUGUAACUAGGUUAUUAUUGUUGCUUCUAAUUUUUAGAGGUACCUUGCGGACGCGGAACUAAUGAACAAGGAUAUCUUCAACUUUGGAUAGAUGAAGAUUAUUUGGGGCCAUAUACCUAAGGUACCUCAACAACGUGCUGCAUCGGCAAGGGGUGGCGCUAGCUCCAAGAGAGUGAUUGAAGACGAUAAUGAUGACUUCAUGCCAAGCAAACGAGAUCAUGACAGAGGAAAGGCCCUUGUGGCAUGUGAGAGGGGUGGCGGUAGCUAUAAAAAAGUGAAGAGCGAUGAUGAUGACUUUAUGCCAAGCAAGAAACCUCACAAAUAAUCCAAUGUUUCCGCCAGCUCAAAGAGUGAUAAAUCAAGAAAGAGUGUAGCAUCAUUGAAGGGGGCUGAUGCUGAUUACAAUUCCAUAGAUGAGUUUAUGCAAGGGAAACAUGUUCAAGUAACAUUUGGACGCAACCGUGAAGACCUCUCGAAGGCCCUUAUUAGUGAGAAUAGUAACGAUGACUUCAUGUUGUUGUUGCACGAUGUUGUAGAAUUAGUUUGUAGUGUUUUAUUGUAGGAGCAUUACGUUGUAUCUUAAUUUUCUAUUGUAGUUGUUGCACGACAUUGCAUAAUUUAUUUGUAGUAUCAGAAUUCUAAUAUGAAGUAGGAAACUAGAAAAUACAAUGAAAACAAAUAUGUAUCAUGCAUACUUAAUGGCUCACACAUGUAAGCAAGUGCGAUAGUAACACAUACAUGAAAGCAUGUCUCAUAGAUAGAUAGUAACUCGCACAGGAGAAAAGUGUGAAACUAACAUGGAUGGACAUAUGUGUCAUAUAUAGAUAAUCAUAUCACUACUCGGGAUGACGACGAAGUUGUGGCUUCAUCGGACGAGGACCGGAAGGCGAUAAGCGCUGAGACGGAUGAAGACACACAUUUCUUACUCGUGAUCCGCUUCUAGCUUGACUGCCUCGACCAUGUCCGCCUAUUACUCCUCUUGUCGCACUUGACGAUGUCAUAGGACCAUCUUCCUUGAGGUGAGGACACUAUUUCAUCCUAUGUCAAUACUUCGUGCAUAGCAAAAUACUUCGUGCAUAGCAAACAUUGACAGGUUGCUCCACCAACUUCAGAUUGGCCCAUAUCGUUGUGGAUGCGAGGUACCUUACGUCUACCCCUACUUGUUCGCUGAAGAACUGGAUCCUUGAUGUAUACUAUCUCACCACCGUUUACCUUGUUGAAAUUGUCGAUGACUCUAAACCGUGAUAUCUCACCGGCCAUGUGUUGAGUACUACCUCUUUUAAAUAAUAUGGGGACACGAAGGGGAUAGCGUCUAACUGAAUCUGGCCAUAGGCAACCAACACAUGUGAGCAAGGCAAGUGCAAGUACUUCGGUUUGUUGAAAUGGUUGUGAUUCGGAUAAAUCAAUCUCGUUAGCCACUUGACUACCCUGGCAGGGUUCCUGCCCCCCAUCGACUUGUAUGAUAUUCUCCUCCUAAGUCACAGGUUGCACUAGGUCAUAUGGGUCGAUUCUUCGGUCUUUGCAAUGCCUUAACAGGGUCAACCACUUUGUGGCCCAUGGUUAGAACCUCUAAGGGGCCCCAACGGCUUGGACUUGAGAUGGUUGAAAAAAGACAUAAAAGCUUGGCAAGAACGAUGCUUAUGACUCCUAUCUACCGACAUCAACUCCCACGGUGCAUUUUUACAUGAGUUCGUCCACAAAGCAUGAAUACUCAUGGAACAUACUUCGGAAUCCAUCACAAAACUAGUAGUCAACCAAUACUUCAACUGUCUAAUGUCCACUCUUUCUCGGUCUCGAAGUGUCAUUACACAAUUUUUAUACUCGCUAAGAUGAGCCCCCAAUUCAUUAUAUCGAACAUUACAAGGGCAAUAUUAUACGGUCAAAUUAACCGAUUCAGACAUUUUCACACGUAACACAUUUUCAUCUUCUCAUCAAUCAUCAUGAAAAAAUAAUCCCAGCUUAACUAAUUAAUCACUAGAAUAUCACCACACAAAAAGUAAAACUACAAGCACGCAACAUGAAUCAUCUACACUAACUGAAACACUAAAACAUAAUAUGCACAUAGCAGAAUAAUUAGAAAAAUAUACAACGACAUGGUUAUACCUUCGAUGCGUGCGUCCGCUGCCUUGCUCCUCUCUUCCAUUCAGCGGCACCGGCCACCUCCCAGAGUUCUUGCACCAUCGACACCACAACUGCGUCCACCUCGGCUCCCGGAGCUUGGACUCCAGCUACCUCCCACCAAGGUAAUUCACCACCAACCACACCUCUUCCACCCGAGGCCGCACCUCCUCCCCACCCCCACCUCCACCUCACCAUGACUCCUCCUCACCUAUGCUCACUUCUUGAAAAAAAGCUACCUGAUACGUCGAUUUUGCAUCAUGCUUUCAUGUUGAUAUUUAUCGCUUUUUGGGCUGUUAUUUCACUUCACGGUACAAUACUUAUGCCUUUUCUCUAUUAUUUUGCAAGGUUUACAUGAAGAGGGAGAAUUCCGGCAGCUGGAAUUCUGGCCUGAAAAAGGAGCAAGUUUGAGAUGCCUAUACCGCGCAACUCCAAAAGCCGUGAAAAUCAAGGUGGAAUCUUUUGGGAUUAUAUAAAAAAUACUGGGCGGAAGAAGUACCAGAGGGGCACCACGUGGAGGCCACAAGCCUGCCGGGCCCGGCCUACCCCCCUGGUCGGUCCUGGGAGGCUUGUGGGCCCCAUGUUGCCCCUCCGGCGCUCAUCUUUUUCUAUAUGAAGGGUUUCGUCCGGAAAAAAAAAUCAUAAGGGAGCUUUUCGGAGGUUUCGCCGCCGCCGCGAGGCGGAACUUGAGCAGAACCAAUCUAGAGCUCCGGCAAGACGAUCCUGCCGGGGAGACUUCCCUCCCUGAGGGGGAAAUCAUCGCCAUCGUCAUCACCAACACUCCUCUCAUCGGAGGGGACUCAUCACCAUCAACAUCUUCAUCAACACCAUCUCAUCUCCAAACCCUAGUUCAUCUCUUGUAACCAAUCUCCGUCUCGCGAGUCCGAUUGGUACUUGUAAGGUUGCUAGUAGUGUUAAUUACUCUUGGUAGUUGAUGCUAGUUGGAUUACUUGGUGGAAGAGUUUAUGUUCAGAUCCUUGAUGCUACUCAUUACCUCUCUGGUCAUUAAUAUGAUUAUGCUUUGUGAGUAGUUACUUUUGUUUCUGAGGACAUGGGAUAAGUCAUGCUAAUAGUAGUCAUGUGAAUUUGGUAUUCGUUCGAUAUUUUGAUGUGUUGUAUGUUGUUUUUCCUCUAGUGGUGUUAUGUGAACGUCGACUACAUAACACUUCGCCAUUAUUUGGGCCUAGAGGAACGCAUUGGGAAGUAGUAAGUAGAUGAUGGGUUGCUGGAGUGACAGAAGCUUAAACCCUAGUUUAUGCGUUGCUUCGUAAGGGGUUGAUUUGGAUCCACUAGUUUAAUGCUAUGGUUAGACUUUGUCUUAAUUCUUCUUUCGUAGUUGCGGAUGCUUGUGAGAGGGGUUAAUCAUAAGUGGGAUGCUUGUCCAAGUGAGGGAAGUACCCAAGCGCUGGUCCACCCACAUAUCAAACUAUCGAAGUAACGAACGCGAAUCAUAUGAACAUGAUGAAAACUAGCAUGACAGAAAUUCCCGUGUGUCCUCGGGAGCGUUUUCCCUCCUAUAAGACUUUGUCCAGGCUUGUCCCUUGCUACAAAAGGGAUUGGGCCACUUUGCUGCACCGUUGCUACUUUUGUUACUUGUUGCUUGCUACGAAUCAUCUCACCACACAACUACUUGUUACCGAUAAUUUCAGUGCUUGCAUAUAUUACCUUGCUGAAAACCACUUGUCAGAUCCUUCUCCUCCUCGUUGGGUUCGACACUCUUACUUAUCGAAAGGACUACGAUAGAUCCCCUAUACUUGUGGGUCAUCACUACCCCAUGGAUAGAUCGGACCCUAGAUAGCCCGCCGGGGAUGGCUAUCCUAUACCAUUUCUACGGGUCGGAUGAAAGAAUCGCUAAAAAAUGGAGGAGCUCAUCGGAAUUUCGCGAGAGGGAGGAGAGAGAGCAAACAGAGGAAGAACUGGAUCGAGGAAGAAGAAGCUUGGCCUUAUCCUGACCUCUCCGGUCGUGGGUUGGCUGAAGAUCUUCGGUCAUUUGUAGGCCCCAAAGGCCCUCUUCGGUCUGGGCUGAGCCUAAGUUAAUCUUUUCGGUUGACGGGUCACCCACAACUGUUUUUCGGUUCGUGUAAACAUGUCUUCGGCCUCUGGUUAAUCGAAGUUAUGUCUUUGGCCAAUGCUAGGCCGAAGAGUUGGUUUUCGGUCGCAGCUAUGAUGACGUGGUCGUAGUUUUGGAAAUUUUAUAUUAGAGCAUAUACAACGAGAUCCUUCAAACCCUCAUCAAAUGCCCGGGUAGGCCGCCCGGUCACUGCCCGAUCACAAAAAUUCGACCCAGACCGGCCUCUAAAUGGCCUCAAACGCCCGGGCAAACCGGACCUCCCAUUUUAUCACACCCCAAAAAUUCUUUCCAGCACAGUGGNNNNNNNNNNNNNNNNNNNNNNNNNNNNNNNNNNNNNNNNNNNNNNNNNNNNNNNNNNNNNNNNNNNNNNNNNNNNNNNNNNNNNNNNNNNNNNNNNNNNGUUCGAGAACUAUGUAGAUCAUGGAUAAUAAACGAUUAUUAUGAACAAGGAAAUAUAAUAAUAACUAGUUUAUUAUUGCCUCUAGGGCAUAUUUCCAUCAUGCAACAAACUCUGGGCUGCUUCAGGUGGGGCUUUGAGUGAGACAUGUCUACAUAGUUCUAGAACCCGCAGGGUCUGCACACUUAAGGUUCAGUGACGUUUCAGUAUAAUUGAAUUAUAGGUGUUGGUGACUGAAGGUUGUUCGGAGUCCCCGAUGAGAUCAUGGACGUCAUGAGGGUUUCCGGAGUGGUCCGAAAACGAAGAUUGAUAUAUAGGAUGGUUUCAUUUGGUCACCGGAAAGAUUUCGGGCAUUACCAGCAGUGUACUCGGAGUGAUGAAUGGGUUUCGGAUAUUCACCGGGAGGGGCCCACCCACCCGGGAGUGAGCCGAGUAGCCCUAGGGUGGCACACCAGCCCUUAGUGGGCUCGUGAGGCCAACCCAAGUGGGCUAUGGCGCCACAAGGAGAAAAAAACAAAAGAAAGGAAAAAAAGGAAAGAGGGAGGUGGGAAGGAAGGAGUGGACUCCUUCCCCCAAACUGAAUUAGGGUGGGAGUCCACCUCCUCCUCUCGACCGGCACCCUUGGGGCUUCCUUGAGCCCCAAGGCUAGCCCCUCCCCUCCUCCUAUAUAUAUUGGUGGUUUUAGGACUUUUGAGACACAACUUUGCCACGUGCUGCCCUCUCCUCUAGAUCAUAGUUCUUCCUCUAGAUCGGUUUUCUACGGAGCUCGGGCGGAGCCCUGCAGCAAUAGAUCAUCACCAUCACCGGCGCGCCAUCACGGUGUCGUAGAACUCAUCUACUUCCCCGUCUCUCUUGCUGUAUCAAGAAGGCGGAGAUCGUCAUCGAGUUGUACAUGUGUUGAACGCGGAGGUGACGUCCGUUCAGUGCUAGAUCGGAACGGAUCGUGGGACGACGGUGAUUUGAAUCACGAAGUUGUAGCACUACUUCAACCACGAUUCUUAACGCUUCCCGCUUAGCGAUCUACAAGGGUAUGUGGAUCCGAUCUCCCUCUCGUAGAUGAACAUCGCCUUGAUAGGUCUUCGUGUGCGUAGGAAAAAUUUUGUUUCCCAUGCAACGUUCCCCAACACUGCGUGCGCGAGCCGGCGCCUCAAAUAUAAUGCGUGCGAUAGCGUUUUUCAACCCGUGUCCAAAACUUUUCAGCGCGCACAAUUUUGCAGCCUUUGUUGGAAAUGUUUGGCGCCCAAAAAACGAAUAAUUUAACGCGUGAAGCAUUUUUUGGGCAGUUGUUUAAGAUGCUCUCAAGAAUAGGACUACUGGUUACAACAAACAUAACAAGAUAUACAUCACAUAGUGUACAUAACGUGACAGUUCACCCUCCCCCCUGCCCCGCCCCCCUCCGGCAGUCCAAACUGGGCCAGGCAAGACGUUGGACUGAAGCUAAAGCCACACAAAAAAUGACAAUGACAACACCUUGGUGAAGACAUCAGCAAACUAGGACGUCGUGGGGACAUGCAACGCCUUGACCUCAAGAAGUACCACAAGAUCACGAACAAAAUGCAGGUCGAUCUCCACAUGCUUGGGGCACUAAUGUGUUGUGUAUUUCAUAAGAAAUACUCCCUCAGAUUCAAAACAGAAGGGAAGCAAAAUUAAGAGAAGGUGAGACAAGCCUGGCCAAGUGAUGUACUGCAAUAACUAAUUUGUGGACAUGUUGACAUGAUUCAACCAUAACCAAACGGAUACAUGUCAGAAAGGUUACUAUUCCCUAACAGCUUGCAAACCAAACUUAUAUUGUGGGACGGAGGAAGUUGUUGGAAUUAUGCCCUAGAGGCAAUAAUAAAUAUAGUUAUUAUUAUAAUUCCUGUAUCAAGAGAAUCGUUUAUUAUCCAUGCUAUAAUUGUAUUGAAUGAAGACUCAUUUACAUGUGUGGAUACAUAGACAAAACACCGUCCCUAGAAAGCCUCUAGUUGGCUAGCCAGUUGAUCAAAGAUAGUCAGUGUCUUCUGAUUAUGAACAAGGUGUUAUUGCUUGAUAACUGGAUCACGUCAUUAGGAGAAUCACGUGAUGGACUAGACCCAAACUAAUAGACGUAGCAUGUUGAUCGUGUCAUUCUGUUGCUACUGUUUUCUGCGUGUCAAGUAUUUAUUCCUAUGACCAUGAGAUCAUAUAACUCACUGACACCGGAGGAAUGCUUUGUNNNNNNNNNNNNNNNNNNNNNNNNNNNNNNNNNNNNNNNNNNNNNNNNNNNNNNNNNNNNNNNNNNNNNNNNNNNNNNNNNNNNNNNNNNNNNNNNNNNNNNNNNNNNNNNNNNNNNNNNNNNNNNNNNNNNNNNNNNNNNNNNNNNNNNNNNNNNNNNNNNNNNNNNNNNNNNNNNNNNNNNNNNNNNNNNNNNNNNNNNNNNNNNNNNNNNNNNNNNNNNNNNNNNNNNNNNNNNNNNNNNNNNNNNNNNNNNNNNNNNNNNNNNNNNNNNNNNNNNNNNNNNNNNNNNNNNNNNNNNNNNNNNNNNNNNNNNNNNNNNNNNNNNNNNNNNNNNNNNNNNNNNNNNNNNNNNNNNNNNNNNNNNNNNNNNNNNNNNNNNNNNNNNNNNNNNNNNNNNNNNNNNNNNNNNNNNNNNNNNNNNNNNNNNNNNNNNNNNNNNNNNNNNNNNNNNNNNNNNNNNNNNNNNNNNNNNNNNNNNNNNNNNNNNNNNNNNNNNNNNNNNNNNNNNNNNNNNNNNNNNNNNNNNNNNNNNNNNNNNNNNNNNNNNNNNNNNNNNNNNNNNNNNNNNNNNNNNNNNNNNNNNNNNNNNNNNNNNNNNNNNNNNNNNNNNNNNNNNNNNNNNNNNNNNNNNNNNNNNNNNNNNNNNNNNNNNNNNNNNNNNNNNNNNNNNNNNNNNNNNNNNNNNNNNNNNNNNNNNNNNNNNNNNNNNNNNNNNNNNNNNNNNNNNNNNNNNNNNNNNNNNNNNNNNNNNNNNNNNNNNNNNNNNNNNNNNNNNNNNNNNNNNNNNNNNNNNNNNNNNNNNNNNNNNNNNNNNNNNNNNNNNNNNNNNNNNNNNNNNNNNNNNNNNNNNNNNNNNNNNNNNNNNNNNNNNNNNNNNNNNNNNNNNNNNNNNNNNNNNNNNNNNNNNNNNNNNNNNNNNNNNNNNNNNNNNNNNNNNNNNNNNNNNNNNNNNNNNNNNNNNNNNNNNNNNNNNNNNNNNNNNNNNNNNNNNNNNNNNNNNNNNNNNNNNNNNNNNNNNNNNNNNNNNNNNNNNNNNNNNNNNNNNNNNNNNNNNNNNNNNNNNNNNNNNNNNNNNNNNNNNNNNNNNNNNNNNNNNNNNNNNNNNNNNNNNNNNNNNNNNNNNNNNNNNNNNNNNNNNNNNNNNNNNNNNNNNNNNNNNNNNNNNNNNNNNNNNNNNNNNNNNNNNNNNNNNNNNNNNNNNNNNNNNNNNNNNNNNNNNNNNNNNNNNNNNNNNNNNNNNNNNNNNNNNNNNNNNNNNNNNNNNNNNNNNNNNNNNNNNNNNNNNNNNNNNNNNNNNNNNNNNNNNNNNNNNNNNNNNNNNNNNNNNNNNNNNNNNNNNNNNNNNNNNNNNNNNNNNNNNNNNNNNNNNNNNNNNNNNNNNNNNNNNNNNNNNNNNNNNNNNNNNNNNNNNNNNNNNNNNNNNNNNNNNNNNNNNNNNNNNNNNNNNNNNNNNNNNNNNNNNNNNNNNNCGUCGAGCUGUACGUGUGUUGAACGCGGAGGUGCCGUCCGUUCGGUACUAGAUCGUGGGACUGAUCCCGGGAUUGUUCGCGGGGCGGAUUGAGGGACGUGAGGACGUUCCACUACAUCAACCGCGUUCACUAACGCUUCUGCUGUACGAUCUACAAGUGUACGUAGAUCACUCAUCCCCUAUCGUAGAUGGACAUCACCAUGAUAGGUCUUCGUGCGCGUAGGAAAAUUUUUGUUUCCCAUGCGACGUUCCCCAACAGGAGUAUGUUGUAGAUCACGCCGAGUGAUCGAGGUGAACUAGGGUAUAUUUGGAUUGUGGCUAAAAGCUUCCGUAUGAAUAGUUUGGCUAUCACCAAAAACUUGUCUUUGUUUGGAUCAUGCACAAUUCAUUGGCAUUGCCAAUUAUCCUUUAGAUAGACAAAAUACUCCCUCCGUUCCAUGUUACUCCCUUCAUCCCAAAAUAAGUGUCGUGAUUUAGUACUGAAUUAGUAAAAAAUUUAUACUAAAUUAAUGACACUUAUUAUGGAUCUGGGGUAUUAAUACUUUGCAAUAAAUGAGGUUGCUUGUAUCACUUAGAGCAUCUUCAACAGUCCGUAUGUUCAAUCGUUGGUAUAAGUAUCCACAUCAACAACCAACAGCACAUCAUACAAGCUUUUCAAUGGAGUGUAUGUUAAUCGUAUGUAAAAUAACUAAGCAGGUCCACUAAAUAGUGAAGAAAUAACCAUGCUUGCCUCGGAGCUUGUGCGUGAACCGUUGCUUCAAGUUCAUACGAUUUCAUUAUCUCUCUUCUUUUAUUAUGUGCCAUGUCAUCAAAAUCAUUUAUGUAACAAUUUUACCAACGAUGAUCAUACGACCAUUGGAGAUGCCCUUACCGGCCAAGAGAUGUACUGCAAUAACUAAUUCGAGGACAUGUUAACAUGAUUCAACCAUAACCAAAUGGAUACAUGUCAAAAAGAUUACAAUUCCCUAACAGCUUGCAAACCAAACUUAUAUUGUGGGACGGAGGGAUUAUGUUGUAGAUCACGCCGAGUGAUGGAGGUGAAGUAGGGUAUAUUUGGAUUGUGGCUAAAAGCUUCCUUGUGAAUAGCCUGGCUAUCAUCAAAAACAUGUCUUUGUUUGGAUCAUGCACAAUUCGUUGGCAUUGCCGAUGAUCCUUUAGAUAGAAAAAAAAUACCCCCUCUGUUCCACGUUACUCUCUCUGUCCUAAAAUAGGAGUCGCAGAUUUAGUAUAAAUUUUAUACCAGAUCAACAACACUUAUCUUAGGCUGGCCAUAGUGGGGAUAUCAUAGCUAGUAACAUAGUUUUGGGACUAGCAAACAUGAUGAUGUAGCAAAUCUUUACCUAAUAAUAAAGAGGCUAUCGCUUCCGUCGGAAAACCCACCGUGGUGAUUUUACAAAAAAGCCCUUACUGUUUAUGACAUUAAACUCGUAGUAUAUAUUAAAUAUUUUUUAAAAUACUCAUAUCUUUUAAACCGUAACUCUAAAUUUAACAUAUUAUACAUGGAAUUUGAUUAGAAAAAUAUGUAGAAUUUAAAUAUGAUAUUAUUUUAUCUGUUAAACGUUUAAUAAAAAUACUAUCAGGGUGCAAUCUUAAUAAAUAAGUCAUUAUUCGUCUUUCUUUCAUACCGGUACUCAUCCGGAUUGGGAAUGAACACGUCAACAAAAUCAGGAUUAGAGAUGAAACUGAAGGUCACUUGACUGAUUCUUUGUACGUAUUAAAUCUACAUGCAAGCCGUGUUAAAAUAGAAGACCUGUGAAAUUUUGAACUGCAUUUUUGUAGGAUAAGACCAUCUUUAUUUGUAUCGUAACUAUAAAUUCUCAAAUUAUAGACAUUUUUUAUAAAUUAAGAGCGUGUGCCGUGUGGUAUUUCUUUCUCCCGUUGCAACGCAUGGGCCCUUUUGCUAGUAAUUAAAGAAGAGAGAGAGGGUUAGAGUAACAUAGGUAGAUACCGUAUCAUGUUAAAUGCUAUGCUACUAUGUGUCAUGCAUGUCAAUAAAUGAGAUCAUCUAUGAUACUAAUUUAUGAUACUAUGCAUAUGAAGGUAGUAUCAUACAAUAGUAACAUAUGCAUGAUACUACUAUAUGUUACUCCCCAUUAUGAGCAGCCUUAGGACGGAGGGAGUACAUACUAAAUCAAUGACACUUACUAUGGACCAGAGGAACUACUUACCAAGACUAAGAGGGUGCUUGGAUCCAAAAGACUAAAACUAGUCUCUUUAAGAGGCUAAAGUUCCAAGCACCCCUGAUUAAACAGAGGCUAAAACUAGUCUUGAGGCUAAAAUCUUUUAGUCAGGGGUAUCCCUACUAAAAUGUGCAUUAGUCAUCUCUCUCCUCAUACAAGUUCUGGAUUGGAGGGUUUGAAGGAUAAUAAAUGCUCAUUAACUUGAUUUUAGUCUCUUUACUACUUGGAUCCAAGCAUGGGUGAGGCUAUCAAGUUUUAGAAGGUGCUUGGAUACGUUUUAGUCCCAUGACUAAAAGUAAUGAGACUAAAACUUGCUAGCCUCAACCAUGCUUGGAUUCAAAUACUAAAGAGACUAAAAUCAAAUUAAUGAUCAUUUAUUAUCCUCCAAACCCUCCAAUCCAGAACUUGCCUGAGGAGUUAAAUGAAAAGAGAGAGGACUAAUGCACAUUUUAGUAGGGGUACGCCUGACUAAAAGAUUUUAACCUCAAGACUAGUUUUAGCCUAUGUUUAGUCAGAGGUGUUUGAAACUUUAGCCUCUUAAAGAGACUAGUUUUAGUCCCUUGGAUCCAAGCACCCUCUUAGUCUCGCUACUUUUAAUCAUGGGACUAAAAACGUAUCAAGCACCCUCUAACUAGGCUAGUCUGGUCUGAUAUCAGGGCACUGGCCCAUCACCGGCCAACCACAUCCUCACAAGUCAUAUGGCAACACACAAGAAGAACUGGUAAAACUGGGAGAGAAAGACAGGAGCAAAGCAAGACAUUGAAAUUUGGGCUAAAUGGCCUCCCACAGCAUACAUAUUAAUGAUAUAGGGUAGUUCCAGCAGCCAAAAGUCACGGCUGAUGAUGGCCAACUAAGUACUAGGUCACCGAAUAACAACAACUCCACCGGUUAUCAUACGACUACUCAAAGAUACACAAGGUUCGACUGGAAAUGGUCAGAACAGACGCUUCUCUGCUUCCAAAUCAAGAAUCACCAGCAGAUGACGAUGAUCGACUCGCGCAUCCAGCCCGCCUGCCCGCCCCCUAGAUCAGAGCUUCAUAUCCAUUGCUGGACGUCAAUCGCCCUGCCAACAACAGGCCUCUGCUCAUGAACCUGCAUACAAUGAUUAGUUAGCAGCUAGUUUUGUUUUCAUACUAGGAAGGCAUGAAGGUUUACAGGCAGUAGAAGUACUUACAGUGGCACAACUGUUGCCGAGGGAUUUCAAGGGCUGGGUUGGAGAUGAGUAGUUGGCACCACCAUCAUCACAAACCAUCUCAUCCCUUGCUCGGACCUUUUCAGCCAGGGAGAUGCCAAAUAUCUUGCAACUGUUGGUAGGUGCAGCACCCGUAUUCUCAACUGCAACACGGCUAUCGAUCACUUCUCCCGAACCAAGAUGAGGCCGGAGCGACGAUGCUUGCUCUGCCCUUCCAACGCCUUCAGCAGAGACAAACCUAGCAUACCAAUCAUCCUCAUUCUUAUCCAUGUGCCCAUGCCCGAACUCAAAUCGAGAGACCUUUGGAUCAGCCUUCUGAAACAUCAGAACAGAAGGUGGUGAUAACGAUGGCUGAGACGGCAGAACUUGUGCUGGUGGCCCGUAACCGAAUGCAUGCUGUUGUUGCGCGCGCCAUUUAUCCAACAGGGCAGAUGCAUAAGGACCAUCCUGUUGAUGAAAGCCGCCACUUCUCAUGCGCGCAUCAACCAGACUUCCUCGGUACGGACGGAAAACUUCUUGACCUUGCAAGACCUUUUGGAAUCUCUGAGACUCCCCAAAGCCAGAGCAAUGGUAGGGAAUCCCAAGUGGUGUUCUCACACCAUGGCUUGGGACCCCCCCUAGGACAUUGUUACUCCCAUUAUUAGAGCAACCUCGUUCAUCGAUGUACUGCAAGUUUCUUGCUUCACAUGGCUGUGAAGUAGCAACAGCAGUACCAUCAUGAGUUCUAUAACCCAAUAAUUCUUGACCUUGCAAGACCUUGCGGAGUUGUGCAGACUCUGCAAAAUCAGGGCGACCACCUCCAUCUAUGAAAAGGAAAAGGAUAGUUUCAGGUUAGAUGCGACAGAAAAGAAUUUGAUCAAGUGUUGUUUCAAACUACAAUAAGAAACAUACACGGGACCGUGUACUCUGGAUUAGCAUGCGGAAGAUAUGGUUUCAUCCGCUUAGAAGUUGGUGCAGCCAGAUGGGAUCCUGAAGCUGCACUGGUCAGCUCAAUCUCCCAAGGAGACAACCUGUUUGGCCGACGGAAUUCACCAUCAUCAUCCCACCUUACCUGUCAAGAUGGAAGUAGGUUAAUUAAAUAUAGGUACAUUCCAGGCAAUGCAAAACGCUCUUAGGGAUGAAGACCAGAGCAUAUAGUAGUGUAAAAACAGUAUAAUGCAUUUUUUCCUUACAACAUUGUGACUUCAUUAACCCUUAUGACACACAUCUACGGCCAAAUUUAAACUAACAUGAAAGAAUGGCAUGAAUAGUAAAUGUAUAUAAGAUAUUUUUCAUGAUGUUAAAUGUGACCUAACUUUGCAGAGAGUGCAAUUGUCCGUGUGAAACAAAGCAGACUUUACUGUUAAGGAAUUACGAAUACAACACUUAAAAGUCUUGCAGAACCAUUUCUGGUUCCUUGAUUAAAUUACUUAAUACUCCCUCCGUCCCAAAAUAAUUGUCGGAGAUUUAAUACUAAAGUGGUACAAAUUUUGUACUAGACCAACAUCACUUAUUUUGGGAUGGAGAAAGUACUAAAUUAUUAUGACUUCUGAGUUCCACAAUCAUAACUUAAUGACUUUGGUUUCUUUCAUAAAAGUAAUGCUAAUGUAAUAUCUUAGAAAGCCAAUUUGGAUUCAGUAAUUUGGAAAUCUUUAUACACUUCAGACAAAACCUGACAUCAGUAUAAAAUAAUGUGAGACGGCUUCUUGACAGCACAUUUUAAACCAAAUCGCACAUCAACAUGUCCAUGUUUGCUUCUUCUUGUUGUAUAAUACAGUGUCUAAGCAAUAAGGGCACGUCAAGACAGAAACAUAAAUACACAAAGCAAACAUCACAAUGCACUCAAUGGAUAAAAUCAAGAAGGUAAAAAAAGCGUCCUCGGCAAGGCGUGCUACUUUUGGCUGUAGGGGCAUUCGUAUUGCACUCAUAACAGCAUAAGUUACAAUGGGUGUCUAGAUUAGAUAAAAUCAAUAGACAUUCAAUUCAUAUUGCAUCUGUUACAACAUUUGAUCAGCCACUGCUUUCUACUAAAUGAGUUCCCGUUCGCUUAGAAGGUAAUCAAUAUGUCCAGUUGUGUACCCUCACCAUUAAAUACAUUAAUCACUAGCUGUCGCCAGAAUAAUAGGGGAGGAAUUCUGGUACGCUUUUGCACCUAGUGUGUGGUUAAGUUGCAUCAUAACUAGUUGGUGGUUAAGUUGCAGUGUUACUUUGACAGUACAAAACAGAAAGGUGUACUGCAAAAUUCCAAACGAAGCAUAUACGGUGAACAACUACUGUGAGAGACAUUAAAUUACGGCAUACCAGCAGGCAUUUCCAUUUUGAACCACGCCACCUAGGGUCUGCAUCAACAGUUCCAGUAAUUAUCCCUGUGUACCUGUAGGAUAAUCCCAUACAUUAGUAAACCAGCUGAAUUCAGUUCAGAUAAUACGAGUUAUUAGUAGGGCAGUUGCAGCAACAAACCUUCUUUCAGCAGCAUCCUCACUUUCAUAUCUCAUUUUGAACCUCCAGCCAACAGAAAAUGGUUGACUGAUGCUUUUGGUAAACUUCCAGUAGGGUACGAUGAAUUCAGAUUGACUUAACCUGUCAAUUAUUUAAGAAACAAUAUCAAACCAGAACUACUGUACGUUGCAUCACGAAAAAAAUGGAGUAGCAGCAAAGUACUAUAGCAGUAUUUACAAUUCUACUUUCAAAUCAAUUUAGCAUCACAAAUACAUGAUUUUACAAGGCAAAGAACAAAAAAAGCAUGAAGGCGAACUAGCACUCAAAACAGCGUCGCAAAACUAGUUUAAAAUCAAUUGUCAAAAGGGACACCACUCAAGUUUAAACCUUGAAAUUUCAGCAAAGACACUUAAGUAGCCAAGAAUCAUUAAAUAUCAAAACAUCAAAAAAAUGAUACUGUGUGUCAUUGAGAUACACAUCAGUCCACCACUAAAUAGUUCUAGCCCAGCCACAACCUCCAUGUAUAUCAGACCUUAUGCAAGCACAAGGUAUUCUAUUUUUCUAAGAGUGACACGGUAGUAUAAUUUAAAAAAAAACAAGCAUCAACUUCCGAAGGCAUUAAUAAAAUGACAAGCAAGCUGAUUAUUACCUGGGGUUAUAGAAGAUCUGGAACAUGCUCUUUGUAGACACAGCAUGUGUGACAUUAGCUAGUGUACCAAGGUUCGAGCAUUGGCUAUAUAGCGCCGGAAAAGCGGAUCCAUUUUUCAGCUGAACCGCACGGCGUACUCCCAGUCUAAGCUCCCCAUCGUCGCCCCUGGGAGUUGAUGAAAAAUGAUUAAAAUGGACCAACAACAUCUUGAGCUGCUUAGAUGCAUGAUCAUGUUAGCCUACCGCAGAAAGAGGACAGCAUCCCCGGAGACAAGCUUCUUCUUGUUGACAAAUGCACUCCAUCCGGUGGUUAGAAGGUGCCUGCGCGGCUGGCCUGCAUCACAUUCAGUUAGAUGUGGAUGUAUCAGCAAUCAAGACACCCUUAACUUGAUAUGGUUGUCCUUUGCAUGUCUCGAAAGUGACCAGACUCCCCGGCAAAAAAGCUGUCUAGCAAAUGAAUAAUGCAGCUGGCAUUUCUACCAAGUGAUGGUAGUAGUACUAUUUGUAGAGCUACCCUCCAAGGUACUGAGAGCAUGUGGUGAAACACAAGAAAGCAAAAUAAGGGAGUGCCAAGAAUACUGAAGCCAUACUUCAGAAGUGUACAAUCAUAAGCAAUGAUCACGCAAAAGCUCAGAUGGGCUUUCAAAAAGGCCAAGUGGUCAAACAUAAGUACAAAUCCAGGUCCAAGAUGAGCAAAGACGAUGCAAAGUUGUAAUACUUAAAGUGUUGUGCUCAGUAAGAACCAGGAGUGCUGGUGCUCAGUGAAGAAGUGAGCGCGCUCGCAAAAAUCGAUGUAUGAUUACUCAAAAUCUCAAAUGAAAGGACUCAAGCUUGCUUGCUGGUGCAGCCACAGCAUCAACUCGAAAUCGAUGUAUGAUCACUCAAAAUCCCAGAUGAAAGGAUUCAAAGCCAUAGCUGGUCCAGCCAUGGCAUCAACUCAGAACCGGAAAAUGAAUGCUGUGUGCAGGAGUUGGAAUGUACCAAGUGCACAGCCCAUAUCUAAGUAUCUUGCUACCGAACCAAGGUAAAAUCAUGAAUGUGUUUGUUCAGCUGUGGUGGUACCUCGAUAGAUGUGGCGGAACUUCCACUCGGUGCCGUGCAAAUCCUUGGCGACCAGCUCCUGAGACGGCCGCUGCUGGUUGUAGUCCUGCGUUCCCGGAACCAAACCAGAGAGCUUGAGCAAACAAGCUGACUGAAAGCGCAAUGGCAGAAAUGAGUGGAGAGAGGGGUUGACGGGGCCAGGCCAAUGCGCGCACCAGAUGGGGGAAGCAGUCCUCGGCGGCGCGGCGCGGCACGGAGAAGCCGCCGUGGGUGCUGGUGUCGGAGGCGGUGAGCGUCUUGCAGAACAUGUGCGGCAUCCUCGCGAAGCGCUGCUUGACGGUCUCGCCGUCCUCGCCGCCGCUCACGUCGUCCGUGGCCUCGCGCAUCCGCCGGACAAGCUCCUGCGGAUCAAGCCGGGGCUCGGUUAGCAAAACGCCGCAUGGAAACCGAACCGAACAGAGCCGCCAUUGCGGGCCUCGGAGCACCGGCACGCACCUCGUUCUCGGGGAGCAGGGAGAGCUGCGCGUACACCUCGUCCGUGGUCGCGUCCGCCUGCGAGCAAGCGCAAAACCAACCAACGAAUAACGGAGUGAGCCCGGCGGCAUGGUCGCGGGUGAAAGGAGAUACCAUCGAGCAGGGGAGCGACAGACGGACGGACACAUUGAAGCACGGAGGCGGCUGGGGGGCACUUACGUGGAGCGUGACGUCGACGACGCGGCAGAAGACGUGGGGCGGCACGGCGGCGGCGGGCGAAGCCGCGGCGUGCGCGGGCGCGUCGCCGAGGUGGUCGAGGUGGCCCUGCGGGAGGUAGACGACGACGCUGCCCUUGCGCGGCAUGGGUGCCACCGGCCCCGCGCAGGCGUGCCAGAGCUCGAGGCACACCGCGCUGGGCCGCGACGGCGGCGUCGCCACGGGGGAGCUCGCCUGGCCGUUGUAGCCCGACUGCGUCUGCGAGUGGGAGUGGGAGUGGGACUGGGAGGAGCAGUCCCCGCCGCAGCCGGUCCCGGCGAGCAGCGGCUCAGCGGACGACUCCUCCUCGUCCUCCUCCACGGUGUUGAGGUCGAUCCCCGCCAUCCGAGGCAGCGAGAAGCUGGAGCGCAAGGCGGUGUGGACGGUCGGAGACGGAUGGACGCAGGCGAAGAGGUUAAUGAAGCGGGGCGGGCGGGCGGNGGGGGGAGACGGCGCGGCGCGGCGGGGCAUGGCGGCAAUGGCCAUGAAUGAUGGAUGGGUGUGUGUCGAUGGUCUGGAUGGCCGGGGGGGCGGGGGGCGGGGGGCUGCUGCUACUAGUAGUGGUAGUGGCCAAAACAAAAGGUGGGAGAGGGAAGCGGCCAAGGCCAAGCGGGACUGCAACGGCGUCCGUCCGUCCGUCCGCGUGAAAAGGGGCGGGCGGGCGCAGUAGAAAUCAAUACUCCGUCGAUUUCUGCGUGCGUGCGUGGAUAUUUUCGUUCUUCUCCGUGGGAGGGGAAAGGGGGGGUGGGGGUGGUGGAUUAAAGAAAGGGGAAAGGUGAAAAGGAGAGCGGAAGAGGCGGGAGGCGGGCACAGUCAUGCAGCAGCAGCAGNNNNNNNNNNNNNNNNNNNNNNNNNNNNNNNNNNNNNNNNNNNNNNNNNNNNNNNNNNNNNNNNNNNNNNNNNNNNNNNNNNNNNNNNNNNNNNNNNNNNNNNNNNNNNNNNNNNNNNNNNNNNNNNNNNNNNNNNNNNNNNNNNNNNNNNNNNNNNNNNNNNNNNNNNNNNNNNNNNNNNNNNNNNNNNNNNNNNNNNNNNNNNNNNNNNNNNNNNNNNNNNNNNNNNNNNNNNNNNNNNNNNNNNNNNNNNNNNNNNNNNNNNNNNNNNNNNNNNNNNNNNNNNNNNNNNNNNNNNNNNNNNNNNNNNNNNNNNNNNNNNCAGCAGCAGCAGCAGCAGACCGCAGAGGUGGGUGUGUAGCGUGGGGGAUGGAUGGAGUGGAUUGACGGGAUGGGUGGACGGCAGGGAGGCAUGUACCCCUACUCCUACUCCACCUUCUUGUUGUACUAGAUAGACGACCGUAUUGUGUAUUGUAGACCGUGCAGGAGUACUAGCAGGAGUAGAAUUGCAAACGGUAAAUAGGAGAGCAGUAAUAAUGAGGGCUCCUAUACGGUGUUCCGAGGUGGUGCUUCCAUCUGUUCCACCCACCGGGCCUGUGGUUGUGCCUACUCGCUCCACUCAUUGGUCCUGUUUGGAUACUCUAAGAGCAAAUACAAUAGGUUGAUGUAGACGGAUUGUAAGACUUAAAAUAAUAUAUUUGUGAUGAGUUGGAAGAAAGAGAAGAGGAGCGGGCUACAAACUAAGAGUCGGCUGUAACACGUGCUCCUAGGCAUUUUGUGAGAGAGAAUGGUGGGCCUUGUAUCAAUAAAAUAGUACUUAUUUACAUCUACCUAUUAUACUUGCGGGCUAUAAGCUUGGCUAUAGAUGACGUGUCAACAUCAUAUAGCCAGCAGCUGGUUGUACUAUUAACCAUGCUCUAACCUGGUUAGAGCUAGAGUUAGAUUCUAACCCUUGAACUAACCUAAACCAACUUUAACUCUAAGGCUGGCCAUAGUGAGAGUAACUUAGGUAGUAUCAUGUACUUGGGACUAGCAAACAUGCUGAUGUGGCAGACAAUUAAAGACGAGAGAGAGGGUUAGAGUAACAUAGAUAGAUAUCAUAACAUGUCAAAUACUAUGCUAUUAUGUGUCAUGCAUGUCAAUAAAUGAGGUCAUCUAUGAUAGUGCUCCUCACUAUGACCAGCCUAAAGGUUUUUGGAUUGAAGGGUUAGAUGGACAAUAAAUAUUUUUUCUCGAUCAUUUGGCUACUUUGGACCUCUCUCUUUCCCUGGACCCCACCUACUCUAACCCAAAAAAGCAUCUCUUCGAUGGGUUAUUGUUUUUGGUGGGUUAGAUGCAUCUAACCAACUCUAACCCACUUGUUUGGAUCUUUGAAGGUUAGAUGGCUCAAAUCUAACCCACUCUAACUCUAACCCUAAGAUCCAAACAGCCAUUCAAGUGAGGUGUGGUUGUUGUUUUUACUACUACCAAGUUCUACAUUUUACCGGUUCCAAUGUUAGGCCCCUCUUUCAACCGAAGAAAGGGUUGAGCACACCGUAUAAAGUAGUGAUGUAACCUGGUUAUUUCAUCAUAUCUUAUGACAAAAGCUAAACUAGUUGAGAUUUGCUUGAAAAGAGAGAGAGAGAGAACCAAAAAAAAUUCGAGAUAUGGAAAAUUGAUGAGUUUGGAAUUGAAGGUUGGUAUUCAACAAGAUAUGGAAAAUUGAUGAGUUUGGAAUUGAAGGUUGGUAUUCAACAAGAAAUGUCAAAACGGUUACCGCUGAAAAAUGGUCAUAGAGAGACUUUUCAUGGAUAAAUACAUUGCUAGUCUUGUUGAUGAAGAUUUGCAUGCUCACAACAUCCAUGAAAAACCUCAAGAUGGCGGUGGUCAUUUCGAACGAGUUGGCUACAACGGCACUAACAACACCAAUGGGCCCAUAUAGAGUUAAAAUGGCUAGGCCUCAGGUGGAUCGCGAGGGGUCUCCGCAAGACAAGGAUGUACCCCUACUCCUACUCCUACUCUACCUUAUUGUUGUAUAGACGACCGUGUUCUGUAUUGUAGACCGUCCGGCUGCAGGAGUAGAAUCGCAACUGGUAAAUAGGAGAGCAAUAAUAAUGAGUGCUCCUCCGGUGCUCGGAGGCGGUACUUUCAUUUGUUCCACCCACCGGGUGGCGGUGUCACCGUGUCGAUCCAUUGUUGAAUGAUCAUCGGUGGUGUAGGGGUACUUGUGUGCCUGCUCGCUCCACUCAUUCAAAUCAGGUGUAGUUGUUUCAACUACUAACAAGUCCUACAUUUUUUACUGGUUCCAAUAUUAGGCCCCUCUUUCAACGCAUGAAAGGGUUGAGCAGACCGUAAACUGGUGCAGUAAAAUGGUUAUUUGAUCAUAUCUUAUGACAAAGCUAAACUAGUUGAGAGUAUGGGAAUGCUACUUUGAGAGAUGUUGAAGAGAGAGAGAACAAAAGAUGCAGGAUAUGGAAAAUUGAUGAGUUUGGAAUUGAAGCCCGCUAUUCAAGAAGCAAUGCCAAAACUGUUAUCGUGGAAAAAUGGUCAAAGAGAGACUUUGGAUGGUUAAAUACAUUGUUGGUCUUGUUUAAGAAGAUUCGCAUGCUGACAACAUCCAUGCAAAACCUGAAGAUGACGGUGCUCGUUUCGAACCAGUUUGCUACAAUGGCAGCAACGACACCAAUGGCCCCAUUGGGUUAAAAUGGCUAGGUUGCAGGAGGAUCGUGAGGGGUGUCGACAAGACAAGGAUGGUGAUGGUCCUCCGAGAAUAUGAUAUGAGAGUGGAAGAUUUGGCUAGGGACGGAGUUGUUGAGAAAAAACAAUCAUGGUAGAAACCUUCCAUUUUACAUAAACGUGGUUUGCCGGGAAUGAUCUUUGGUGUUCUAUUGAAAUGGUUGAACAUAAUUUUGACAUUAGUAGUAAGAUGGAACAAGUGAGGAAGAAUUUUUUAUAUGAAAUAUUGUUCAAAGGAAUAGUGUACAUGAACCCGGCUCUCCAAAUCCAAUUGACAUAGCAGAUGUUGAUAAUAUUUCUCAACUCUGCUCUCAUAAUGAUCAUUCAUAUGCUCAUAUUAAAGAAGAUUAUUCUUUCCAAUUGAAACGUAUAUGUUUCUAGUAGGAAAAAGGGAACGUGGCUCACGAGUGAUGGUAUAUGUGAAGCACACUAUUUUCGUUGGAGGGAAAAGGCAUAGAAACAAAACUUGAUCUUUACAAAUAUUUGUAGGUGUUUCCUAGAAUAUCCAAGGGAUUGGGUAGGAUAUUGAGAAGAGAUUUUUCAAAGAGUUGAUAUUUGUGAGAAAACUUGUCUUAUUGCUCUAUAGAAGAAUAUUAAAGCUUAAUCACAUAAAAAAUAAAUUCAUAACUUGUGUGCUGAAAAAAUUGUUUGGAUUUGCUCACCUGCUAGAGGAAGAUCUUGAGAUAUCUUGGUAGGUGUCAAUAAUGACAUGUUGGAUGUGGUCCAUGUUGAACUUGGAGUUUAUUUUGUUAGAAUCACGGUGUUUGAUUUCAAAUGCUAAAUUUCACUUGAAUUUAAUCUCUUUUUUAUGGUGCAUCAUGACAGUCUCAUGGCACGUUUGGUGGGUGGAUAUUUGAAGAUCAUUAGGAACAAUUAUGAAAAAAAAACAAACCUAAUGAAUGUGAUGAUUGGAGUUCUGUAUUCAAUGCUAUUAUGGAGAAUAUUGAAUGAGAAAAUUACGUCACAAUGGAAGAAAAAUACUUGGGCUAAUAAUAUGGUAGACCCACUUAUGAAAAAUUGGAUGGAGUUUCAUUUUGUACUAAUUGGGAAGAACAUUACCCACUCCCUUUCUCCUUCAAUCUAUAUAGGGAGAGUUUUCUGAUCACACUCCUCUCAUUAUUUGUAUACCAAUUCUCAUAAUACUUCUCAACACAUUUCUAGGUUUGAAAAUGCUUAGACAUCCAUAAAUUAUUUUAUAGAGUUUGCCACUUCUACCUAGAAUGAACAUUAUGACAUUUCCGGUAUAAAUAGACAACAAGAAUGAUCGAGAAUCAUUAGGAGAAAAGUUAAGGGCGCGGAAUAAGAAUAUUGAUGCUUUUUGUAGGAAGGUUACAGCGGUUCUCGUAGCUAAUCUAGACAUCAUUGGUAAAGAUACAUGGAUUAAUUUCUUGACUGCUCAUGACGAAAAUGAGCAAAAAGAAAUUUGAGAUCAAUUGGGGAGAAUUCUGAAACUAGAAGAGAUGAAGUGGUUGAGAAAUACAAAAAAAGAGAAAUUAAAGGUGGGAGAUAGUAACACUAGAUGCUAUCAUGCUAAAGCCAAUGGCACAAAGAGGGAAAUAGGAUUGUUUUCUUAGAGCAAGAUGAAUGGGCGAGGGAGGGAGAGGGUCAUUUUUGAACUACAAUACCAAUUUGAAUUAAAAAAAACCUUUGGAUGUGUUGAAUGUUCAUGAGUGUUCCAAAAUCCCUCAUAGAGAUGGUGGAACAUUAAUGGAACCUUUCUUUGUAGAAGAGUUUAAUUUGUAGUGUUUCAAAUCAAAGGAAAGAAAUCCUUAGUCGUGAUGGUUUACCUAUUGCUUUUUAUCAACAUUCAUGGGAGGUUGUUAAAUGGAAAUUGAAGGAAUCGCUAAUAUGACUUCUACACAGGUGUAUUAGAUAAUGUUGGAUUGAAUUAUGUUAUUAUUACGAAGCAAAUUCAAAAUCCUAGGCCUAAAUUUUUAUUGAGUGUGAGCUUAAAACUUAUUACUCAAGUUCUCAUGAAAAGACAUAGCGAAGUGGUGAAUCAUGUUAUCUCACAAAGUCGAACUGAUUUUGUUAAAGAUAUAUAUGUUAAUAUGUUAUGGAAGCAAUGGUUAUUCUUCAUGAAGCUUUGCAUUCUUUUUUGUAACUUUUGUUUCGAGGGUAACUCACAUAUAUAUGUUCCCUCUUGAUCCUAAAUUUUUUUCAAGGGUAAUUUAUGUUUUUCGCCGUGAGUAACAUAUGCAACACAUCCUAAUACGUUGUGUGGUAUGUAUGGCACAUGCAAAAACAGGAAGAUCUUCAAGUAUGGACACGAACGCUAGAGGCACAGGGGUCGGUUUCGGUUAUGCGCGUGCAGAUGAGAGGAGUUUCCACGAAUGGAAUAACUUGCCAUCUUAGUACGUAUGAGAUUAGUAUGGGCUUGUGAUUGUGCCAAAAAAAAUUCAUAUAAAUUUGAAAUGGAUGAACAUCUUUGUAAGAAAACUUGAACAAAUGAAUCCUAUAGAAAAGCGUCCCUCGAUUGUGAUCUUAAAUCUCACAUCCACAUACUCCCUGUGUUUCUUUUUAAUCCGCAUAUAAAAUUUAUCUAAAGUUAAACUUGAUUUUUUUGACCAACUAUAUAAAUGAAAAAUUACCAACAUUCCCAACAUAGAAUCAAUAUCAUUAGAUGCAUCAUUAAAUUAAUUUCAUACUAUUAUAUGAUUCUUGCAUUGUAAAUGUUGAUGUUUUUAAAGAUAAGUUUGAUCAAACCUUUUUUUUAGAUAAGUUUGGUCAAACCUUACGUAGUUUAACUUCAAAAAUAAAUUGUAUACGUAGAGUAAAAAUAGACGGAGAGAGUACUUGUUUUUGUUAAGGAUCAGAAUCCUCCAAAAAAUUCUUAGGAAGUCUCUGAAUGGAAGAGGCCCUAGGUAGGGGUAGUCAAAGCAGCAGUGGGGUAUUGACUUUCAUUUCUAGCGUACAUCUUUUUCAGUGUGACACACUUAUAAAUGGAUUGAGCUCUUAAAUAGCAUUUUGAAAACGUACCCGGCAUCGAACAUGCUACGAGUAGUUACUAUAUUUACCGUACGGGCUAUGAAUAGCAGCCACCUUAUCCGUGCUUCUUAUCAGAAAUACUUCUUCUAGCUCGAAACCACGAAUUCUCGACUACUCCCUAGCAUUUUUAGCCAGUAGGAGCAGUAGAUUUUCUACUAUAGUCAUGCCUCGAAUCCACCUCACUGAACUCGGAACGGCUGACGACACCGAGCAAGACCAGCAGCAGCAGUACAUCACAUCACAUCACCGAUCCCUGUCUACUCACCGCAAUACACGCACUCAUCCUGUCACCCACAUUAACACUACCACCAAUACUCCUACAGUAGAAUAGCUGGGUUUUUAGUAGUCGUCGUGGCAGGUCGCCCUGCGGCGCACGGCACUGACCGUAUUUUAUAAUUUAUUUACCUAUAUACGCCCGUACGUACGUGGUAGUACUAUUACUACUACGUGCGUAGCCAACCACCCGCGCCAGUCUGUCUGCCAGGGCCACCCCCACUCCCACUCCGGCGCCGUGCCAUGCCGCCGUCCCCGGACCUGUAUUCGCAGCUUCUUGUUUCGUGUAGUGUACAUCCGUACUGUACAGCCAGUAGAGUAUCCUCACAAGCUACUACUGCAUCGUGCGGUGAGUCGUUAAUGGCGGGCUGGGAAGACGGAGGCGAAGACGGAUGGGGUCAAAGCGCAUCGAAGGCGGAGCCGUACCUCCUGCAGCCCGGGCGUCCAUUACUCUACUCGUGCCCUGUAGCCAUCUGCCCGUGUCCCCUCACGAUCCUCAGCCCCGCUGCGGCUACUAGACUAGCACCGUAGCAGCAGCACCGGCGAUAUUAACACGGCGAGUCUUGUCUCGUCCCGGUUCGAGCUCGCUCGAGACGUUAAUGUCCGUGCGGUGGCACGCCACCUCGCCAUUAUUGGCCCGGUCCGGGCAAGCCACCGUGGUCCAGCCCGGCCCAGCCAUCAUACAUCGUCGUCGAUGGAGCAGCACAUAUCACCGGUCCGGAUCACAAGCGGAUGCGAUACGUGGUCCUCUCCUCGCUCGCCGGCCGGCCGCCCGGCCGGCUGGGGUUUAAAGGCCACGAUUCGAUUUGUCUGUCCCUCCCGUUCUUCUUUAAACUCCCCGUCCCGUCCACGGCGGCGCCACGCACAACGUUGGGCAGGGCCGCCGCUACCGUUAGAUCAUUUAUUGCUUGCCUUCCACCCUCCAGGACGCGUCGUGCAUGUCGGCCUAUGAAUCUCGGCGCGUGACCCGCCCUAUGCGAGCGGCGUGUACUUGGCGUACCGUCGGUCGAUGCAGAUAUAUACUAUUUGGUGUGUAGGGGUCGUAUCUUCGUACGUGAACUGUGCGUGCCCAUGCACGUACGUACGUACGUGCGUCCAGCGCCAUGGCCGUGCAGGCAGGAUCGGCUCGUCGGUGCGCGUAUUUUGGCGUUUUUUAUUUAUUGUUUGGCGUGACCGUCCGGGCAGCGGAUCACGAAAUGCGGAGUAGGAACAAAGCAUCCAUGGCCUUGGCUCCCCAUGCCUGGCUCAGGGCUCGCUUCUGUCUACUCUACUGAGCGCGGCUGCCGAGUUUGAUGGCGCUGUCGCUGCUGGGUGCUGCCAUGGCCAUGCCAUGCCAUGCCACCGCUCCGUCGAAAGCGCAGACGGAAAACGACCAAAAGCGGCUCGCAGUCACCACGCCGGGCCGCCAGAUACAUCCAUCCAUCGACCCCGCGCAUGCAUGCAUGCAUGCAUGCAUGCAUGUGUCUGUAUCAGUAUCACUGUAUAUAUGUAUCUAUGCAGAGAGAGAGAACACAACGCACAGCUACUCUAUGGCCGUGUUGGAAUCCUAGGGUUAGAGUUAGAUUGGGUUAGAGUUGAGCUAUCUAACCCUUAAAAAUCCAUUGGGUUAGAUGCAUCUAACCCAUCCAAAAACUCUAACCCUCUCAAGAGGUGCUUUUUUGGGUUGGAGUUAGGUGGGGACAAAAAAAAAAGAAAAAAAAAUCACUUCUACUGCAUCCAGCCCGCACCAGAUCCCACCAACCCCCCGUCCCUCCCGUCGCCCUCCCUCCCGCAGCCCCAGCCGCCGGCCGCUGCGCCCUGCCGCGCACCGCCGCCGGGACGCCCCGCAGCGCCCCGCCGCCGGCCACACAACGAUCGGCCACACCAAAUCCGGCAGUGAAUAUGGACAAAAGUUAUCAAAUGGUUGAGAAAGGGCAUUUAUUGCCAAUCUAACCCUCUCAUCCAAACACCUCUUGGGUUAGAGUUAGUUUAAGGUUAGUUGAGGAUUAGAAUCUAACUCUAACCUCUAACCGGGUUAGAGUAUCCAAACAGGCCUGUAUAUCUAUAGCGACGUGGUGAUCACUGAUUACAGCGACGUGCGGCCUGCUAGAUAGUAGUAGGAGUAGAUGCGAUGAUGAUGAGCAUCAUCAUCGUCUACUCAUGGCAGAGGCCCAGGACACAAUCGUGCAUUAAACAAACGUGUAUGCUGGGACCCCCGGUGCAGCUACAGCUACUAGGCGACAUCGGAGGGCAAGCAAAUAAAUCUCCUCCUAGUAAAAAAAAGGCCUGCCCAUAGCCUAUAGGGAGCGCACAGCUACUACGUACUACCAGCGCCCAGCGGCGACUGUAGCUAGCUGCGAAACUGAAACGGGCUAGGCCAACUUUCUCCUCGCUUUUAUCGGGCGUGGGGCAGCGCACGCAGUCGUCGUCGUCGUCGUCGCCGUCCAGCGGCAGGCAGCCUCUGCGCCGCGCGCUCCUGGGGACCCGGGCGCCCCUCCAUCGCCAGCUCCGGUUCCGCUCCAUGGAUCACGAGCGCCCCGCUCUGCUGCUGACGACGCUGUUGCCUGCCUGCCUGCCGCCAUCGCACGGCGCUGCCACCGCGCCGUGGUAAAUGUGCCCGUGCUGUGCGCGCUCCGUUGACGCCGGGGACGAGCAACGUCACCGCCGGUGGCCAUGGUAAUUAAGACCGGCACUGUGGAAGAUCGCACGCAGCAUCUCCUCGAGUCCGGGCGGGAUUGAUUGAUGGUGCACUGUGGGUGUGUGUGUGGGGGGGGGGNNNNNNNNNNNNNNNNNNNNNNNNNNNNNNNNNNNNNNNNNNNNNNNNNNNNNNNNNNNNNNNNNNNNNNNNNNNNNNNNNNNNNNNNNNNNNNNNNNNNNNNNNNNNNNNNNNNNNNNNNNNNNNNNNNNNNNNNNNNNNNNNNNNNNNNNNNNNNNNNNNNNNNNNNNNNNNNNNNNNNNNNNNNNNNNNNNNNNNNNNNNNNNNNNNNNNNNNNNNNNNNNNNNNNNNNNNNNNNNNNNNNNNNNNNNNNNNNNNNNNNNNNNNNNNNNNNNNNNNNNNNNNNNNNNNNNNNNNNNNNNNNNNNNNNNNNNNNNNNNNNNNNNNNNNNNNNNNNNNNNNNNNNNNNNNNNNNNNNNNNNNNNNNNNNNNNNNNNNNNNNNNNNNNNNNNNNNNNNNNNNNNNNNNNNNNNNNNNNNNNNNNNNNNNNNNNNNNNNNNNNNNNNNNNNNNNNNNNNNNNNNNNNNNNNNNNNNNNNNNNNNNNNNNNNNNNNNNNNNNNNNNNNNNNNNNNNNNNNNNNNNNNNNNNNCCGCGCCCGCCUCGCCUCGCCGCGCCGCGCCCGUCCCCUCCGCGCCCCGCCCCGCCGCGCAUGAUGGUCACGGGAGAGAAGACGGGGAGAGAGGGUGACAUGUGGGCCAGACGCGGACGAAAAGGACGCGAAGGCUGAUGUUUUUUGUCUGCUUUGGUCCCAAACCCAGACAAACUUUGGUCUGGAUAUAGGGUAGAAACGGACACGGACAUGGCAAAAAGUGGGUAUGCUCCCGUGCGGUGGGUCGUCUAUUUUGUCCGUUUUAUCUCAAACGAACACACCCAAAGGAUUUGGGGUCGCGCGAUGGAGUUGGCCUAAGGGGGCUGUGCAAUCCGAAUAUGAUCCUGUUUGAACCAUUUAGAUUACAUAAUCUAAUUUCUAUAAUAUAUUAUGUUCUCAAAAAAGAUCAAUUAUGGUGUAAAUUAUAAAAAUUAUAUGAACAGAUUAUUUAAAAUCGCAAUCUAUUCUACCCCAUCUAAAAUCGGAUUAUGGAUUGUUAAUGAGCGUAUCCUGAUGGUAAGAAUUAUACUNNNNNNNNNNNNNNNNNNNNNNNNNNNNNNNNNNNNNNNNNNNNNNNNNNNNNNNNNNNNNNNNNNNNNNNNNNNNNNNNNNNNNNNNNNNNNNNNNNNNNNNNNNNNNNNNNNNNNNNNNNNNNNNNNNNNNNNNNNNNNNNNNNNNNNNNNNNNNNNNNNNNNNNNNNNNNNNNNNNNNNNNNNNNNNNNNNNNNNNNNNNNNNNNNNNNNNNNNNNNNNNNNNNNNNNNNNNNNNNNNNNNNNNNNNNNNNNNNNNNNNNNNNNNNNNNNNNNNNNNNNNNNNNNNNNNNNNNNNNNNNNNNNNNNNNNNNNNNNNNNNNNNNNNNNNNNNNNNNNNNNNNNNNNNNNNNNNNNNNNNNNNNNNNNNNNNNNNNNNNNNNNNNNNNNNNNNNNUUGUUCCUAAUUUUUCUGACCAAACCCCCGCUCCGACCCAACGAUACAAUGAAUUUUUCUGUUCACAUAACACAUUACCCUUGUAAAGUUGGAGAUAAUUACAUUUCUGCCACUAUCAUCCUCCUUUUUAAAGAAAAACAGAGAACAAACAGAUGAUUAUACAAUGUAAAACUUGGAUUAUAUUCUGACCUCCAAACAUGUUCAUCAAAAUUAUUUUUAUAAACCAAAUUAUAUAGUCUAUCUUCAUAAUCCAAAUUAUCAUAAUCUAUUAUGGUUUCAAACAGGGUCAUACCAUUAAAUUAUAUCGGUUUGUAAGACGAUUUAAACAUACUUUCUUCUAUAAAUCCAAGAUAAACAUGGGCUUUGUGGGCGUACGGACAUCAUGCAAGCCAAGCCCGUGUCUCACUACUGUGACCCAUCAAAAUCCCUUUUUUUGUCUGUGUUCAUUUCGUCUAGCGUCGGCUGCCCGGAUUCAUAAAGUGUAUAGCGCCGCUCCACAUUGAAAUCGAUCAAAAGCGGCGCGACAUUCCACUCGCUUUGCCAUUAAAAUGAUGUGCCGAUCGAGGGUGUCGCUCGCGAUCUGUCCCCAAUGUCCAUGCAUGUUCAAUGCCGCCAAUGCAUUACUCCCUCUGUUUCGGUGUAUAAGUCAUCUUAGGUUGUGCACCGUGAUCAAGACGGAGAGUAAAAUGAGAGAAAUCAAUGCUAAUUUACAAUUAAUACCAUUGCAUGCAAUGGAUUGACCAAUGUAUGUUGUGUUAGUUAGUCUCAAGUCAUUAAAAACAUACGUGCCCCACGUCUCCUAUUGGUUGAUUCCUUUAUUCAUGUCAGAAAACAAGAAACGAGGUGAAAGUUAAUGCAUCGUGCCUAACUGUUUUGGGAUUAUUUGGUUUCGUAAGGUGACUUAUUCACCGAGACGGAGGGAGUACUAACGAGGUCGGCACAUAUAUCUACCAAGCCCGUUUAAUGUUUGGUCUGUCUGUAUGUUGCUAUUAAGUAGGCUCGCCGAUCGAGAAACCCAUUUCAACGCUUGACCUCAUCGCAAUGUGUUAUUCAAAGGCCGCCACACUUGACUAACUUUACGCCACAACACAAGUCGCUUCUCGUCCUCCUGACUUGCAUUGCAUCUGCCAUGACUGCAGGCUGCUGCGAAGUUUGUGGGUGAGCCUUUUCAUUGAGAUGAAGCACGAGGUGGCCGCCCUUGCAGCCGCCUGACACAACAUCCGUGACAAAGCAGAUCGAGGCCGAGGUCUCCGACGACGAAGACAAUCCCACACUACGGAAGAGCUCCGACGACACCGUCCCGACGCCUGUGACUGUGGAGGUCGGCUUCACCAUGGAGCGGGCGCAUUUGCACUACAAUGUGAUCGUGGUGGAGGUGCAACCUUGGUCGACGCCUAUGUCGGCGUUCCAUCAAACACGGGAGGAACAUGUUGUAGGAGCACCGGCUGGAGUGAGGGGGGACAGAUCAACGACGAGCGCUUGAGCGAGGAGUCCAUGGCGUCUAUGGAUGCGGCAAACCCCAACUUCGUCACGGAACAACGUAUGCUUUACGAUGCCCUCCGUGUUGAAGCUGUCUCUCGCAAGGAAGCGGUCACCACGGAGGCGCAGUUGCACGCUAUGAAAGACGAGAAUAACGCCAGCUGCGCCUUGUACGCCCCGUCGACGAACUAUCGGGUGGGCCAGUUCAAAUAUGAUAGUACACGCAGCCUCGUCUCUAUCGUGGAUCUCAUGUUCACCGGCAACGAACAAGGCACGGACUCCUCUGAGCCUUUUCAUUGAGAUAAAUAGGGCAUAAGAGGCGGCAGGGCGUGUUGUUCCAUAUGAACCAGUCCGUCUUUCGUGUUAUACUCUUCCUUGGUAGAGACUGUAACUUUACUUUAUUUAUUUUAUUGCCGGUGCUCAUGAAGACAAGGGCUUGGACGUCGAUCGCCACCGUAGCAUAGGUUUAGGGUCGGGUCGAACGGGCUUUUCAUACUAAAUGUUGGAAAUCUUAUGAAAAUCCAUCCUAUUUGCACGAAUGUCAUCCGGUUUGUAUAAAAUUUGUCUAUCUUAACACACAUUUCAUACGAUUGAUUCAUAAAGUGUUUGAAAUGUAUGUGAAAAACAUUAGAUGACGACCUUACGUAUUCAUGCUCACAAAUAGAUGCAUGCCAAAAUUUACAAGUCAUCGGUUAGAGAUAUACGUGGACAUUUGUGGGGCCGGGCCAAAAAAGCUCAAUGCUAAAAACCUCGGCCAAGCCCAAGCCUGACCCGAUCGUCGGGCCUAAUACAUUGGGCCUGAACCCGAGAAAGCCCGAGAAGGCUUGACUCACCCGGUCCAACACGACUAGAAUUUUGUUUUUCACAAGCCCAUGCUUGGCCCAUACGACCACGAGGCGUAACUUUCAGGCCCGAGCCCAGCCCGAUGGCAGGAUUAGGCCCGGCCCAACCCGGGAUUUUCUGUUCAGGUCGGGACGCGCCAUCCAUGCCGGGCUGUUCAUGACCAUGGCUAGUUAAAGACACUCUAAAGUCUAGUGUGGUUAGAAUAUCUACAACCAGACGCUUUAAACGAUCCCUUAUAUGCCUGCGGACGCGUUCGGUUAGUGACCGGACAGAAAAGAAGAAAAAAGUGAUCCAACCGGAUCCUUCGUAUCAUCCCUAUACAUGCGGGUUGUCCACGAACCCUAAUAUCCAUCUCAAAUAUGAGGAGGAUAUAAGGGCUCGCGGACGCGACUGGGCGCGCCCGAUCAACCACCCACGUAGGAUGUGGCCCACUCCGGACCAUCCUUUUCUUUUCUUUAUUCAUUCUUUUUUAUUUCUUUCUCUUCCUCUUCAUUAAUCACGUGCAAUGAUCAGACAUAUGAGGAAAAAAAAUAAAAAAAGUGACUGCGCAGACAGAUAAAUAGGGGACACGCCCAGUAACUAACUGGACGCGUGUGCAGGCGUUUAGAUGCUAACUAGCAAAAGAGCCCGUGCAUUGCAACGGGAGAAUGCAAGGCCUCAGAAUCGGACUCGAAGGCAUAGAUAUUCUUAUUGGAAUUAUGCCCUAAAGGCAAUAAUAAAUAUAGUUAUUAUUAUAAUUCAUGUAUCAAGAUAAUCGUUUAUUAUCCAUGCUAUAACUCUAUUGAAUGAAGACUCAUUUACAUGUGUGGAUACAUAGACAAAACACUGUCCCUAGCAAGCCUCUAGUUGGCUAGCCAUUUGAUCAAAGAUAGUCAGUGUCUUCUGAUUAUGAACAAGGUGUUGUUGCUUGAUAACUGGAUCACGUCAUUAGGAGAAUCANNNNNNNNNNNNNNNNNNNNNNNNNNNNNNNNNNNNNNNNNNNNNNNNNNNNNNNNNNNNNNNNNNNNNNNNNNNNNNNNNNNNNNNNNNNNNNNNNNNNNNNNNNNNNNNNNNNNNNNNNNNNNNNNNNNNNNNNNNNNNNNNNNNNNNNNNNNNNNNNNNNNNNNNNNNNNNNNNNNNNNNNNNNNNNNNNNNNNNNNNNNNNNNNNNNNNNNNNNNNNNNNNNNNNNNNNNNNNNNNNNNNNNNNNNNNNNNNNNNNNNNNNNNNNNNNNNNNNNNNNNNNNNNNNNNNNNNNNNNNNNNNNNNNNAAAGAGAAAGAAAAAAAAGGAGGAGGUGGGAAGGGAAGGAAGGACUCCCACCCACCAAACCAAGUCCAACUCGGUUUUGUUGGAAUUAUGCCCUAGAGGCAAUAAUAAAUAUAGUUAUUAUUAUAAUUCCUGUAUCAAGAUAAUCGUUUAUUAUCCAUGCUAUAAUUGUAUUGAAUGAAGACUCAUUUGCAUGUGUGGAUACAUACACUACAGGAAUCACCUGCUUUGCCGUCUGCCAUCACAGACGGCAAAGACAAAUACCCGGACGGCAAAGACAGUACCACAGACGGCAAAGAUUGUCACGGCCGGCAAAUUUUCCGCGUCAGCCUAUGACGGCAUAGGACAUUCUUUGCCGUCUGCCCCCCAAAGCGGACGGCAAAGCUCUUUGCCGUCAGCUUUCCUGAGGAGCAGUCGGCAAAGAGCUUGAGACGGCAGCCGAGAGGCGUUGCCUCCGUUAGGGGUUAACGGAGGCUCUUUGCCGUCUGUCUGCUGGUCAAUCUUUGCCGUCUGCCCUAUUGAAUAUCUUUGCCGUCUGCCUUCUGGUCAAUCUUUGCCGUCUGCCGUGUCCUCCCCUCCCCCUCUCUCCACUCCUGCCCCUCCUCUGUGCCCUCUUCUCUGCCGUCUGCCCCCCCCAGCAGGCAGACGGCAAAGAGCCUAUAUGGCCAGCUGCUACUGCCCAGGAAGCACAGCUGGGUGCCAUGUGGCACCUUUGCCGUCUGCUGGCUGAUGGUAAAGGCCUUUGCCAUCAGCUGGCAGACGGCAAAGAGCCCAUAUUGUCACUGUUUUGUUUAUUUUAUGUUAUUUCACAGCAAUAUUAUAUAUAAUUCAUAGCAAUAUAUACAAAGUUUGUUCAUCAAUGGACAUCCAUAUAUCGAAAGAACCAACAUAUACAAAGUUUCAUCCAUAUAUAUAUACAUAUAGUUCCACAUAUAUUGUUCAUCAACACAUUGUUCAUCAACACAUACAAAGAACCAACACAUUGUUCAUCAACUCAAAUAAAAAAGGAAACUAAAGCACUCCAACGCCAGCUUCCAUGCAUGUAGUACAUCCAAUCUGCAAAAUGGGAAUAAGAAAGUAAGUAGAAGAAGAACAACAACAUAUAUGACAAAUAAGCUAAAUUGAAGAAGAAAGAGAAGAAGCAAUAAGAGAACAAGGAGAAGAAAAACAAGAAGGAGGAGGAGGAGGAGGAGGAGGGGAAGGGGAAGGAGAAGGAGAAGGAGGAGGAGAAGAAGAAAAAAGAAGAGAAGAAGAAGGAGAAGAAGGAGGAGAAGAAGGAGAGAAGAAGAAGGAGAAGAAGGAGGGCUCCUUCUCCUUCUCCUUCUUCUUCUCCUCCUUCCUUCUCCUUCUUCUCUUCUUCUCUUCCUCCUUCUUCUUCUUCUCCUCCUCCGCCUUCUUCUUCUCCUUCUCCUUCUAUUCUUCUUCUCUUCUUCCUCUUCUUCCUUCUCCUUCUUUUUGAGCUAAAUAUUCCAAUUAUGUCAUUUUAGAGGAAAAGAAGCUAAGUAUAUAAUAUUCAUGAGCUAACCAAGGUUCUUAUGCCAUUUUGAGCUUAUUACGGUAUUUUGGAGCUAAAUGGGCUAACUAUGUCAUUGUUGGGUUAAUUAAAGCAAGGAUAAUAUGAAAGAGGAGAAGAAAGAGGAGGAGGAGGAGAAGAAGAAGAAAUCAAGAAGAAGGAGGAGGAGGAGGAGAAGGAGGAGGAGGAGAAGGAUAGAAGGUCCUUGGCCUUCUCCUCCUCCUCCUCCUCCUUCUUCUCUUCUUCUUCAUCUCUUCUUCUUCUUUCUUUUCAUUUUGCCUAUUUCUUCUCCUCUUAUCCUCUUGUUGGAGCUAAAUUACCUAAUUAUGUCUUUUUGAGCUAAAUAUNNNNNNNNNNNNNNNNNNNNNNNNNNNNNNNNNNNNNNNNNNNNNNNNNNNNNNNNNNNNNNNNNNNNNNNNNNNNNNNNNNNNNNNNNNNNNNNNNNNNNNNNNNNNNNNNNNNNNNNNNNNNNNNNNNNNNNNNNNNNNNNNACUAUGUCAUUGUUGGGUCAAUUAAAGCAAGGAUAAUAUGAAAGAGGAGAAGAAAGAGGAGGAGGAGGAGAAGAAGAAAUCAAGAAGAAGGAGGAGGAGGAGGAGGAGGAGGCCAAGGACGAGAAGGUCCUUGGCCUCCUUCUCCUCCUCCUCCUCCUUCUUCUCUUCUUCUUCUUCUUUCUUUUCAUUUUUCCUCUUUCUUCUCCUCUUGUUGGAGCUAAAUUACCUAAUUAUGUCUUCUUGGAGCUAAAUUGGCUAAUUAUCUCAUUUUAGAGGAAAACAAGCUAAGUUUGGAGGAGAAACUUACCGUAGUGGUCAUCAAGGAGGAGAAACACCACGGUUGCUCGCGCCGGCUUCGUCUGGAGACGGUUGCCCUGGAGAAGGGUCGUGCGAUGCCGCUCGGGAGUUAUUCUGCAGAAAAGAUAUUUUGCAAUGUCUCAGUUAGCAUGAUGACACUCAAUUAUUAAUACUAGUUUAUAAUGGAACUCACCGUGCCAAUCGAAGAGAAGACGGGCAUCGGCGGAGGGACUUGACCGCUCUUCUCGCACAGACCUUGAAGAGUGGGUCGUAUUAGUUAGUAUUGAAACAGACAUUACACACAUGAUUUGGCUAAUGUGAAAAAAAACAUACCACAAAAAGCUCGUAGAGGGCCCGUUGACCCGCCUCAUUCCGGGCCCUCUCCUCCUCAAGCAAUCGUGCCGUGCUGUGGUCCCUCUCAUCAAGAGCAGCCUGAAGAGCAGUCUGGCUUGCCAAUCUCUCUUUCUCAAGAGCAGCCUGGUUUGCCGCUCUCUCUUUCUGAAGAGCAGCCUGAAAAACCAUUCCUCGUUACCACAGUAAUGAUCUAUGGUGACACACAUAAUGAAAUGGAUGAAAGUGUUCUUAGUCCGUACAACUAACCUCGAUGGCAAGUUCGACUGGCCGUGGACGACGCGUUAUCUCAGGACAGUUGCUCGACUGGCGCGCCUUGAUCUCCGGAAGAGUGAGUGGACAACGUAUUAUCCCAUCUCCAAUGGCUAUCGAGCCAUGGGGCCUCCCGCCACCAGAUAUCAUCACCAACUCUGGAUACAAAGGUUCCUAGCUAGGGUUAAAGUCAUCCCCUUUCGUAGCCUUCCCCGCGUCCCUGUAUGCCACGAGCAUCUGGUGGGAUGAUAUGUUGGUGAAGUUACUGGGAUCAUCCAGGUCAGACUCAGAGAAUGCCUUCGCCUUCUUGUACGAGGCAGUAUGGGCCAUGCCAUAAACGUCGUACAAGUGUGGCAUCUCAGUCUUAUUGUGAUGCGCCUAAAAGAGAGGAACAAAAUAUUAGCAUAAGAAUGAAUUGCAUGAAUCAUGAAGCAAAUCACAUACCCAGUUUCGUCCAAACUGAAGUAAGUUGGCGCUGCCUUGAUGGUGUGGCAGACCAACCAUUUGGCUACGCCGAUCCUUCGCAUUAUCGUGGACGGCUCGCCAGCUGCCUGUGCACCACUCAUCAACCAACGCCUCCCAACAAUCCAUCUUAUCCGCACACCAUCUCGGGGGCACCUGUAAGUUAUUAGAAAGAAUUUUCAGCGCUAUGCCUAUGAAUGAAAUCAAGAAAACUACGUAGAAGGACUUAAGAAUAGGUAAUUACCUUCAUGUAUUGCUCCUUCUUCAGAAACUUUCCGCGGCAAUCCUUCUUCUCCUUCUUAAUACCACGCGUGGCGUAGUAAUCUCGAAUAGCCUGCGGCCGAGCCUCGUGGCGCAAGUUCUGUAGUAACCGCCUACACUCGACCUCGAGAACCCUGGCCGCCGCCUCCUCAUAUCCAUCCUCACACCUAUAGAAGGUCUGCAAUCAAACGUGAAAACACCGAUUAGUACAAUAAUUAGGUAUAUUGUUAAUUUUAGAUUCUGUAAAAGGAUAAUUUACCCAAAAGCUGUUGAUCACCAUCUCGGCCCUCGUGUGGCACAAGACACCGUCUAUAAUCUCCUCCGGCGGGGCCUACGCAGCCUGGUAGUGCUCCCAAGUAAAUCCUAGUGUAGGAACCUGACCCUCACCAGGCAACGUGACAAACCCCGGGAAAUUUUUCCGGCAAAGCACACCAAGGACGGAGUUCGGCCUGCAGACUCCAAGAGGUUGUACCCAUCCCCUGCAGUAUGAUAAGGUCAGCGCAUUAGAUAUUUGAACAAACUUGAAGGCAAAAGCUAAAAAAAGGGUAAAUGUACUUACCUAUCUCCUUCAGGUUUAAUCACCGGCCUCUGCUCGCGGGUAGCCGGGGCGACCGGGAGACGUGUACUACCACGCUUGUACACGGUAGCCGGGGCCCCGUCCACCUGCACAUCGCCCGCGCUAUCCGUAAGCUCAUCCCCGCCAUCCCCGCCCCCUGAGCCACCCGGACCCUCGGUCCAAUCCGGCAACUCGGUACGAUCCGGCCAAGGCGCCCAUCCGGACCUCUCCACGUCGGGUGAAGCCUCCGGAACCGUAGUCUCCUCCGGCUGCUCCUGGGCCGAGUGCACCUCGACCCGAGGCUGCUCCUGGACCGGAGUCUCAUGGGACGAAUGCCCGUGAAAACCAGGCUCCUGGACCGGAGUCCCCGUAGCCUCCUCCGCAAACAGGUCGACCAUACUAGUCCUAUGCUCGGGUGAAUGAGCUGGUGGUGGUGGCGAGGACGGCUCAACAGUCCUCCUGGAUCUUCCGCGGCCACCACCUCUCCCUAUACCGUUCCCCUUCUUCCCUACCCGACCAGCACCUCUACCAGCGGGCAAUGCCGCCGACGAAGAAGAACCCCCGGCUGGUGUCGAAAGACUGUCUGCCAAGGCUCUACGGAGAGAUAGGGGUGGAAGGGAAGUACCACCCCUCGUGUGGGGCGCCUGGGAAGAACCCGUCGAGCGCUCUGGACCCGCGCCCACCAUCUUUCAACACCUGCCAUGAUAAAGAUUAAAAGAAAUUAGUACAACAUAAAAAAAUUGAAUGACUGACAUGAAUAAUAAUACGUACAUGAAUAAUAAAUAUUAAAAUAUAUAUAAUUUAAGUUGUGAAUCUUACAAACUAAUAAUCAUCAUCAAUAAAUGCAUCAUCAUCAUCACUAUCACGCAUGUCUUCAUGAAUGACGUGCUCAUCGGGUUCAACGGCGUGAAGUUGUGAAAGGCCUUCCUUUAAUCGUUGAAGCAUUGACAGGUCAUCCGCAUCAGUAACCUCUACGAGUUCCAGGUCUUCUGGUUCCGGCUCGAGGCUGGAGUCGGAUUCAUUGUCGCUGUCUACUUCCAUGUUCUUGGAUGAAGCACGGCGGUUCUUGAAACGUUUCUUGGAAAGACGUGCUUCUUGGAAGAAUUCUCCAUCAUAUGUGUCUGGGUUAAUGUGAGGUUCAUAAUCCUGUUCAUUUGGGAGAGGUGGUCUGACAUGUGGCGGCACUUCAUAAACAACAUACCAACCUUCCAGAUUCUUUUCCGUUUGGCAUGCCCACGGUAGGUAGAAAACUUGGGUCGCCUGUCGAGCCGUAAUAUAGACAUCGGGAACAUCUAAAUGGGUGUUUGGAUUGAUUUCGACUAGUCCUAUAUGUUCAUGAGUCCUUCUAGUCUCCUUCGGCUGGAACCAAUAACAUUUGAAGACUACGACGUUCGGUGGGUUUUCACCAUAGAAUUGAAGUUCAUAAAUUGCUUCAACUCUUCCAUAAUACUCGAUAACACCUUCGCCGAUAGCAGAGACACCACAAUUUGUAGAUUUCCGGUCGGACAUAGAUAGCUCUUUGCCAAAGGUACGAAAGAGAUACCCGUUGAUGUUGUAUUUCUCAAAUGAACGGACCUUAUAGUCAAAACCAUUAGCGACUUGUCUCAAUUCGGCGUCCAUAGACUCUGAAUUUGCCUACAAGUUUAAUACGAAACGGUUGUUGCAUUAGCCGCAAGUUAGACCAAAAAUGAAAUGGUCCAUUAUUGAUAAUUACCGUUUGUUUGAACCAAGAGAUGAAACCGGGAUAGCCGCCUCCUGUCUUUGACAGAAGCUCAUACUCUUCGACGGAAUCAUUUUCGAUCACCGCUCCAUCCGAGAAUUUGACGACGUAACGGCUGUUUGAAAUAUCCGGGAAUAAGAGCAGUUCAAAUGAAUUAGAAGUUACGGGAAAAUGUGUCGAGAACUCACUCGAUGUACGGCCGCACUUUUGUUAGGUUGUUGAAGAUAUACAAAGAAAUGUUCCGCCAUUCUUCGAUAUCCAACGUUAUUGGUUUCGAAGCACCGGCUGGUGCGAGCUUCCCUUUGAAUAGGCUGAGGUUGGACCCACCUUUUUUAGGGUCUCCAUCAUUGUGCCGAGGCUUCGGAUUAUGCAAAUGAUGAUUUUUGGCUUCGUAGUAUGCUGUCACAAAGUUUGCCACCUCCUCAGUAAUGAAUGCCUCAGCCAUCGAUGCUUCAAUUCUACGCUUAUUUUUAUAUUUAGCUCGAAGGGUCUUGUGCAUCCUCUCAGUUGCAUAGCACCAUCGAUCUUGCACCGGCCCACCCAAUCUUGCCUCGGUCGGUAGAUGUAAAAUCAAAUGCUGCAUUGGAUUAAAGAAGCCCGGUGGAAAGAUCUUCUCUAACUUGCACAACAACUCCGGUGCAAACUCCUCCAUGCCUUCUACCACGCCAGGCGACAAUUCUUUCGCACAAAGAACACGGAAGAAAUAGCUCAGCUCCGCCAGUACUAGUCAUUCAUCCUCAGGAAGAAAGCCACGUAACAUCACCGGCAUUACCCGCUCUAGCCAUAUGUGCCAAUCAUGACUCUUGAGACCAAAGAUUUUUAAUUUUUCAAGACUCACUCCCCUCUUUAGAUUCGCUACAUACCCAUCGGGGAACAUCAAGUGCAUUUUGACCCACAAGAUAAUUUCCCUCAUAGCUGGCCUUCCAAGAUUGAACCAGGCCUUUGGCUUCGACCACUUCUGCUUUCCUUUGCCUUCUCGCAUGUUUUGUAACGGUCUAGGACAUAGUGUCUCUUGAUCGACUCUAGCCUUAAUAUUAUCCUUUGUCUUCCCAUCUAUGUCGAACAAUGUACCAAAAAUAGCCUCUCCGAUAUUCUUUUCAGUGUGCAUCAUGUCGAUAUUGUGUGGAAGAAGGAGGUCUUUGAAGUACGGCAGAUCCCAGAAGCAUGGCUUGUGAGUCCAGGCGUGUUUUGAAUUAUACCCCUUGAAAUACCCUGGACGCUCUGGUUCAGGCUCGAGGGCGUUUAACUGAUCCAGGAUCUGUUGGCCUGUGAACGCAUGUGGUGCCAAGUUUUUGACAACUUUACCUUUGGUAACGUUCUUCUUGUCUUUUCUGAACUGAUGGUCAGGAUCCAGGAACUGUCUAUGCAAGUCAAAGCAAGAAUACUUCCGACCCUCCUUCAACCAAUGAAACUGAAGAGCUGCCUUGCAUUGGGGGCACGGGAACCUUCCAUGCACACACCAUCCAGAGAAUAGCGCAUACGCUGGCAAGUCAUGCAUAGAGUACAUGUACCACACAUGCAUUUUGAAGUUUUCUUUUCUAGCGGCAUCGUAUGUCUUGACCCCAUUUUCCCAAGCUUCUUCCAAUUCAUCCUUAAGCGGUUGCAGGUACACAUUCAUAUUCUUCCCCGGAUAAUUGGGCCCUGGAAUUAUCAACGUCAGAAAUAUGUUCUUUCUUUGCAUAAUCUGCCCGGGGGGGAGAUUCAGUGGAAUGACAAAUACAGGCCAACAACUGUAUUGGGUUGCCGUCAUGCCGAAGGGAUUAAAACCAUCCGUGGCGGCGCAGACUCGAGGAUUCCUUGGAUCUGCCGCUUUAUCCUGAUGCAAUCCAUCGAAAUGUUUCCACGCUUCCUCAUCCGAUGUGUGUACCAUCAUCUUAUUCCCAUCCGCAUCUAGUUCGGUUCUUUUGCCCAAUUUGUGCCAUGUCAUCUGUCUGGCUGUCUCUUCGACCAUGAAAAGACGUUGAAGUCUUGGUACGAUUGGCAUAUACCGAAGAACACUAACUGCGAUUUUGGUCUGCCUCUUCUCACCCAUACCGUUGUCUACCACAAGAUACCUGCAAGACUCGCAAUUGGGACAAUAGUCCAAGUGUGCAUACUCCUUCCUAAAUAAGACACAUCCUUUCUCACAUGCAUCUAUCUUCUCAUAGGGCAUCUUAAGUACACGAAGUAUUUUGUCCGACUGGUACAGGUUUGCAGGCAUGACAUGGCCUUUCGGUAGGAAACAUCCAAAUAGUGUCAUCAUCGCGUCGUAGCAUUCUCUUCCCAAGUUGAACUGAGCCUUCAGAACCAUUACUCGUGCAAUUGCAUCCAGCUGACAGAGCUCGGUGUGCUCAUGGAGAGGACAUUUUGAAGACUCCAACAUUUCAUAAAAGGCCUUUGCAGAUUCCUCCAUCUCAUCUUCCGAAUCCCGAGCAUCAUCAAAGUCUUGCACCAUGUCUUCGAUCCCAGUACCAUGCUCGUCCAUGCGACGACGGACCACCUCAGCUCUUGUGCAUUGUAUAGACUCACCAUGAAAUGUCCACACCGUAUAAUUAGGCUUAAAACCCCUCCUCUGCAGGUGUUUAAUCAUUACAGCCUCUGUUGUCUUUUUAUAGUUGUCGCAUCCAGGACAGGGGCAAUAGUUUCUUUCCUCGCCAUUUGCGAAUGCGGCUUUCACAAAUUCCUUUGUUUUUAAAAACCAUUCUUUCGUCAUCUCUUUCUGACUAGGAUGACCGGUAUACAUCCACGCACGAUCACUCAUCUUGCGUAGCUACUAAAGACAGAAGAAAUAUAUUUAUAUAUAAUUCAUCAUCUAUAUUCAUCGGUUAAUCAGGUUCGCCAUUUUUAUUACGUCCAGGCAACCUACACGCUAAUAUGUAAAGAUAGGUCCUAAUCCCACCCGAGUAUGUGUAGACUGGGUUCAUUUUCCCAUGCUCUGCUCCGGAUCCAACGCAAAAUUUCGGCAGCACCUCCCCGCUGUUCUCCUCACACACGUCUCCGCAAUAAACAGAGAGGAUGUGCAUCCGGAGAACAACAGGGAGGCACUGACGAAAUUCCGCAUCGAAUCCAGAGCACAGCAUACGGGAAAACGAACCCAGUCUACACAUACUCGGGNNNNNNNNNNNNNNNNNNNNNNNNNNNNNNNNNNNNNNNNNNNNNNNNNNNNNNNNNNNNNNNNNNNNNNNNNNNNNNNNNNNNNNNNNNNNNNNNNNNNNNNNNNNNNNNNNNNNNNNNNNNNNNNNNNNNNNNNNNNNNNNNNNNNNNNNNNNNNNNNNNNNNNNNNNNNNNNNNNNNNNNNNNNNNNNNNNNNNNNNNNNNNNNNNNNNNNNNNNNNNNNNNNNNNNNNNNNNNNNNNNNNNNNNNNNNNNNNNNNNNNNNNNNNNNNNNNNNNNNNNNNNNNNNNNNNNNNNNNNNNNNNNNNAGUCUACACAUACUCGGGCUGUCCAUGGAUAAUGUUGGAAAAUUCUAAAGGAUGGCGGUUAUAAAUAUGCAAAGACAUGCAUAUUUAUAGAUGUCGCCCUUUCGAAUGGGAGACGCAUACUGGUCACNNNNNNNNNNNNNNNNNNNNNNNNNNNNNNNNNNNNNNNNNNNNNNNNNNNNNNNNNNNNNNNNNNNNNNNNNNNNNNNNNNNNNNNNNNNNNNNNNNNNGGGGGGGGGCGGGGACGGGGGGACGGCGGUGUUUUGUCCGGGCCAUGGCCAUGGGCCGGGCGGGCCUACGGGAGCCGCUCCCGUGUCAUCGUAUGCUUGCUUGCUUUAAGCCUGGCCGGUCUGGCUCCCUUUGGCUGCCUGCGUAGGAGGAGGGCCGAGCCGGUCCCGUAGGGCCGGCAUCCACGGGCCCGCCGACCAGCCAGCUGUUGCAGCGCAGUGCUUGAACAGUCAAUGGGGGGGGGGGGGCCUUNNNNNNNNNNNNNNNNNNNNNNNNNNNNNNNNNNNNNNNNNNNNNNNNNNNNNNNNNNNNNNNNNNNNNNNNNNNNNNNNNNNNNNNNNNNNNNNNNNNNNNNNNNNNNNNNNNNNNNNNNNNNNNNNNNNNNNNNNNNNNNNNNNNNNNNNNNNNNNNNNNNNNNNNNNNNNNNNNNNNNNNNNNNNNNNNNNNNNNNNNNNNNNNNNNNNNNNNNNNNNNNNNNNNNNNNNNNNNNNNNNNNNNNNNNNNNNNNNNNNNNNNNNNNNNNNNNNNNNNNNNNNNNNNNNNNNNNNNNNNNNNNNNNNNNGGGGGGGGGGGGGGGCCUUGUUGGCUUGCGGCGAGAGGCUAGCUACGAGCUCCGAGUUGUCAUUAAUGGAUGUCUGGAGUCUGGGCGAUAUCUACGAGCACGCUCGACGUAGAGGUAGCGGUAGAGAGACACCCGGGAUGGGGCUGACGAUGACAUGACGGCCCGGGGGCGACGCCCCUCUGCUUUUCCGGGCGCCAGCUGAAACGGAGACCGAGACGCAGGGGCAGCCACGUCAUUUCCACGCACUAGAGAGAGAGAGAGAGGAAGAGAGAGAGAGAGAGAGGGGCAUGGUGAACGGGGCAGCCAUGUCAUAUCGAGAUCGCGGUUGCGUGCGCCGCUCUGCUCCCGUGUCCCCCCGACCGUGAUCACCGCCCCCGUGCGUGCUCUGGACAACACAACACGCUUGGCCAAAGCCAGAGAUGUGCAGCGAGUAAAGCUAGCAGCGCGUGAGAAAAAGUCUAUGGGAAAUCUCGCCCGUGCCGCGCGGGGGGCAAGCCGGAGGUACCCCACGGCGUCACGUGGUGGGGCGAGGGUAGGGUCGUCUCGUCGCCGUCGGCGCCCUCCUCCUCGCCGGACCCGUCUCCUCCUUCCUUCCUUCCCUCUUGCCCGGGGCCUGGCAUGGGUGGGGCUCGACCGGUCCCAUGCAUGCACCAUGCAUCGUCGUCGUCGAUCGGGUGGACGUUGCUCUCGUACGUACGACGCGACCGGACCUAAUGCUGCCCCAUAAAUGGGUGCUGUGGAUCGCGCGGCCGGCCGCCGGGAGAGGCGGAUCGGUCGACCGGCCACCGUCUAUGGGUGUGGCUGGCAAGGCUAGCUAGCGGAAUUGAAAGAGGAUCGAGCCGAUGCGCCGCGCUGCAAAUAGACAUGUUAUAGUUGUAUAUAAGGGUUAGGGUCAGGGGCGGUUCCAGCAAUCUGGCUAGCCUUGCCGAUCGUCAUACCUAAAAGUUUCUGCAAAUAAACUUACUAGUAGCAUAUACUACACUGAUAAUCUUGAUACGUGUCUGUGUACAUCUUAAGUAGACGAGCUAAUAUUAUUUUAGCACACGACAUGCUUCGAUAUAUUUGUUAUUCCUGUAAGCUCCUGGGUAAUUACAUUUUAUGUACAUAGUUUUCUCAUCCACAAAUUUCGUCACACCUAACAAUUAUUUCCGGCUCUGCCACUGGUUAGGUUAAUCCUGGAUAGUAGAUAUUGGAAAAUGAACUAAAUUGAUGUAGAUGGAUGCAACUAAAAUUGUGUAUAUACUCCAAUGAUGGGCCUGAGAUCUCAGAGAUGAAUAGUAAAUAAAAAUGCAAAGAAUGCAUAAUGACCAUAACUAAUAUGGAAAAUCAAUAAAUAAUGUGAUUCCCCACCAUGAUGUGCGAGAUUGAAACUUAUAUAUUUUAAAAUCUAGUGAAAGAUUGUAAAGAUAAAUGGUGUAGGCAUCCUAUAUGGUCUAUAAUUGAAGAUGCUAUUGUUGCUGGUCAAAAUAAGCAAAAAGCAUGUUUUUGGUCCCUCAAGUUUCUUAAAAGUAUAGAUUGGUCCCUUAAUUAUAUAUAUAUAUAUANNNNNNNNNNNNNNNNNNNNNNNNNNNNNNNNNNNNNNNNNNNNNNNNNNNNNNNNNNNNNNNNNNNNNNNNNNNNNNNNNNNNNNNNNNNNNNNNNNNNNNNNNNNNNNNNNNNNNNNNNNNNNNNNNNNNNNNNNNNNNNNNNNNNNNNNNNNNNNNNNNNNNNNNNNNNNNNNNNNNNNNNNNNNNNNNNNNNNNNNNNNNNNNNNNNNNNNNNNNNNNNNNNNNNNNNNNNNNNNNNNNNNNNNNNNNNNNNNNNNNNNNNNNNNNNNNNNNNNNNNNNNNNNNNNNNNNNNNNNNNNNNNNNNNNNNNNNNNNNNNNNNNNNNNNNNNNNNNNNNNNNNNNNNNNNNNNNNNNNNNNNNNNNNNNNNNNNNNNNNNNNNNNNNNNNNNNNNNNNNNNNNNNNNNNNNNNNNAUAUAUAUAUAUAUAUAUGGUCCUUUAAAUCUAAAAACCUAAUAAGUUUGGUCCAAAAAAAAGAUUUUAAGCACGUUGACCAAGUUUGACCAUGUUGACCAGGUUUGACUAAUGAAUAGUAUUUCUUUUGAAAGAUCUUAAUAUUUGUGGCAAAUACAAAUUGUGAGGUGUUUUGACAUUUGAGGAGAUUGUGAAAAAAAGACAAAUUUUGACUCACAAAAAAAGGCAAUUUUCAUUUGGUAGAGCUCCUGUGGAGUUAUUUCACCACUAAAAUUUGUGUGCACCUAGCACACCCAAGCAUGUUGGUUGUCACAAAAUUUCAAUGUUACUUUAUAAUAUAAAACGGGAGAAAUCCUAUCUCAUCGACUAUUGUAGUUGCUACAUGUUCCAUGUUUGAAUGUUCAUAUUUCAUAGGAGUACCUCGCUGUUAUCAUUAUAUUUUAUAAAAACAGUGGCAAAAGGAUUUGUUCCGGUCUGUUGAGUAAGAAAAAUGGCUGAUUAGUUGGUUAACGUGACACUAGGCAAAUUGUUUAUGAGUCGCUAGGUAAAUGUAUUGAAGCUGAGUACUUGACCUUGUAUGAAUAAAAGGAGGGGGUAACGUAAAUGCUGAAUGGAGGACGAGUUCCAUGAGCCCGAUUUUUUUUUUAAAAGAAUCAAAGUUCAUACUUUUACAUUUGAGUUUUUUAAAGAGUACACACACACCGAGAGAUAUUCCUAAUGGCCAUGUGUAAAUUUUAGUGGAGAAAUACUUAAAAAUGAGAGUUAAACAGUAUAAACAAAUAUGUGGCUUUUCAGCACUCCAAGUGUAUGAAUUUGUUUUAUUUGAGCAGCUUCCAAUUCAAGUAUUUUAUUGUGAAAAUUAUACGCGUGUAUACAUUAGAUCUUUGUAAAUGUGUAUACUGAUUGCAUAACUUCUUUAAACUAAACAAUUGAAUUGUGAUAGUACUCGAUACCAGCGGGAGCAGUGCUAUUCUACUUCUAAGUAAUAGAUGUGACCAAGACCAAGUGGUACAGUACGUGAUAACGUGAAGAAAGACUAACUCAGUUAAAGAUUAAAAUUAAAUUUUAACUCUGGAUUAAUUCUAAGCUAACUCUAACAAAAGGAGUGUUGGGAUGUCAGAAUUAGAUUGUCAAUAAAUACAUCUUUUUUAAUCAUUUGACUCUUUCAACAGGAUUUGGUGUGGUGGAGGCAUAGAAAAAAGUAUUUUUUUUCUGCAACCCACAUAACUCUAAUCUAAAUAAACACCUCUUCACCGAGUUAAUUUUCUAAAAUGAGUCAGAUGCAUCUGAUCAAAAUUAAUCCUUCUGUUUGAAUGUUCUUGAAUUAGUUGAGUUCAAAUUAUUUCUAACCAUGAUCCAAACAGGGUCUAAAGGUGUAUGCAAACAGUGAAUAUGGCUAGCUAGGCGGCUAGCCCGCACAUAGCUUUCUGCGCGGGUCAAACAAAGCUGAAUAAGCAGAUUGAUUGAUAACGCCAAGACUUGUAAUACGUCCUACUAUGGCAGACCAUUUUGUUCACCUCACGGGCACAACAUUGACACCUAGUCGAGGCUGCCCACGCCCCUGUCGUCGCUGUGCCGUUGCGUUGCAUACGCCUCAUUUUUCUGACCGGGAGGAUGCUUUGGCUGCACGUCGCAUGCAGCCCGGUCCAAACGCGCAGCAGCAGCGCAUGUGACGGAGCGAUGGCGACGCCCCGAGUGACAGUGCGCCCCCCGCCCGGCACGGAGAUAUCCUUGAUGAUGCCCCGUAUGAUUGGGUGCGCUCCGUCCGUUUUGCACCACCCCAACGCGACGGACCGACCCCUCCAUCGGUCACGGGUCCGUGAAUAGCAGGGACUGGGAGACGCGUACGUCCACAUUUCACGCGCGCAAGCAUGCACCGACACGUGCAGCCUUGUUGACCAACUCCAACGACGUCCGAUUUGGUACGAAUUUUGUCCGUUUGGUUUAAAAAAAGCACAGCGGCCGCCGGACACAGGCCGGACAAAUUUCUUCCACCCAACUGCUAUCCCAUUUCUACCACAUUUGAUUAGAUCCGACAGGCCCCGCCCCUCCCUGCUGCGCCACGCCCGCCCCUCCUCGCCGCGCCCGCGCCCGCCCACUGCCCCUGCCCGACGCGCCCGNNNNNNNNNNNNNNNNNNNNNNNNNNNNNNNNNNNNNNNNNNNNNNNNNNNNNNNNNNNNNNNNNNNNNNNNNNNNNNNNNNNNNNNNNNNNNNNNNNNNUUCCACAUUGUCUUAAGUGAGCACCAAACUCGAAACUCAGAUAUUCACCCCCACGAUCAGACCGUAGGAACUUGAUCUUCUUGUUACGAUGAUUUUCCACUUCACUCUGAAAUUGCUUGAACUUUUCAAAUGUUUCAGACUUGUGCUUCAUCAAGUAGACAUAACCAUAUCUACUUAAAUCGUCAGUGAAGGUGAGAAAAUAACGAUAUCCGCCGCGUGCCUCCAAGCUCAUCGGACCACACACAUCGGUAUGUAUGAUUUCCAACAAGUACUUGCAUGCUCCAUUGUUCCUGAGAAUGGAGUCUUAGUCAUAUUGCCCAUGAGGCAUGGUUCGCACGUGUCAAGUGAAUCAAAGUCAAGUGACUCCAAAAGUCCAUCAGCAUGGACUUUCUUCAUGCGCUUUACACCAAUAUGACCUAAGCGGCAGUGCCACAAAAAUAUGGCGCUAUCAUUGUUAACUCUAACUCUUUUGGUCUCAAUGUUAUGUAUAUGCGUAUCGCUAUCAAUAUUCAAUAUGAACAAUCCUCUCACAUUCGGUGCAUGACCAUAAAAGAUGUUACUCAUAGAAAUAGAACAACCAUUAUUCUCUGACUUAAAAGAGUAACUGUCUCGCAAUAAACAAGAUCCAGAUAUAAUGUUCAUGCUCAACGCAGGCACUAAAUAACAAUGAUUUAAGUUCAUCACUAAUCCUGACGGUAACUGAAGUGACACUGUGCCGACGGCGAUUGCAUCAACCUUGGAACCAUUUCCUACGCGCAUCGUCACUUCAUCUUUCGCCAGCCUUCGCCUAUUCCGCAGUUCCUGUUUCGUGUUGCAAAUAUGAGCAACAGAACCGGUAUCGAAUACCCAGGCACUACUACGAGAGCCGGUUAAGUACACAUCAAUAACAUGUAUAUCAAAUAUACCUGAUUUUUCUUUGCCCGCCUUCUUAUCUGCCANNNNNNNNNNNNNNNNNNNNNNNNNNNNNNNNNNNNNNNNNNNNNNNNNNNNNNNNNNNNNNNNNNNNNNNNNNNNNNNNNNNNNNNNNNNNNNNNNNNNNNNNNNNNNNNNNNNNNNNNNNNNNNNNNNNNNNNNNNNNNNNNNNNNNNNNNNNNNNNNNNNNNNNNNNNNNNNNNNNNNNNNNNNNNNNNNNNNNNNNNNNNNNNNNNNNNNNNNNNNNNNNNNNNNNNNNNNNNNNNNNNNNNNNNNNNNNNNNNNNNNNNNNNNNNNNNNNNNNNNNNNNNNNNNNNNNNNNNNNNNNNNNNNNNNNNNNNNNNNNNNNNNNNNNNNNNNNNNNNNNNNNNNNNNNNNNNNNNNNNNNNNNNNNNNNNNNNNNNNNNNNNNNNNNNNNNNNNNNNNNNNNNNNNNNNNNNNNNNNNNNNNNNNNNNNCGGAGUUCAGACUCUGCGACUUUCAACAUCGCAAACAACUCGCCGGGAGACUUGUUCAUCCCUUGCAUGUUGUAGUUCAACACAAAGCCUUUAUAGCUUGGCCGCAGUGAUUGAAGGAUUCUGUCAGUGAUAGCUUCUUGCGGGAGUUCAAUCCCCAGCUCAGCUAGACGGUUUGAGUACCCAGACAUUUUGAGCACAUGUUCAAUGAGAGAUGAGUUUUCCUCCAUCUUGCAAGCAUAUAAUUUAUCGGAGGUCUCAUACCUCUCGAUCCGGGCGUUCUUCUGAAAGAUAAACUCCAACUCCUGGAACAUCUCAAAUGCUNNNNNNNNNNNNNNNNNNNNNNNNNNNNNNNNNNNNNNNNNNNNNNNNNNNNNNNNNNNNNNNNNNNNNNNNNNNNNNNNNNNNNNNNNNNNNNNNNNNNGUCCUCCUUACGUGCUAACCAAGCGUUCUUAACAUCCUGAUCAGCCGUAGCGGGUGGUUCAUCUCCUAACGCAGCAUUAAGGACAUAAUCCUUCUUCCCAGCUUGUAAGAUUAGCUUAAGAUUACGAGCCCAGUCUACAAAGUUGCUUCCAUCAUCUUUCAACUUAGCUUUCUCUAGGAACGUAUUAAAAUUCAGGAUGACUGUCGCGUGAGCCAUGAUCUACAACACAAAUAUAUUCAAAGUGGACUUAGACUAUGUUCAAGAUAAUUAGCGUUUAACUUAAUCAAAUUAUUCGCUAAACUCCCACUCAAAAAGUACAUCUCUCUAGUCAUUUGAGUGGUUCAUGAUCCACUUACACUAGCUCAAGUCCGAUCAUCACGUGAGUUGAGUAUAGUUUCAGUGGUAAGCAUCCCUAUGCUAAUCAUAUCAUCUAUAUGAUUCAUGAUCGACCUUUCGGUCUCAUGUGUUCCGAGGCCAUGUCUGCACAUGCUAGGCUCGUCAAGCUUAACCCGAGUGUUCCGCGUGCGCAACUGUUUUGCACCCGUUGUAUGUGAACGUUGAGUCUAUCACACCCGAUCAUCACGUGGUGUCUCGAAACGACGAACUGUAGCAACGGUGCACAGUCGGGGAGAACACAAUUUCGUCUUGAAAUUUUAGUGAGAGAUCACCUCAUAAUGCUACCGUCGUUCUAAGCAAAAUAAGGUGCAUAAAAGGAUUAACAUCACAUGCAAUUCAUAAGUGACAUGAUAUGGCCAUCAUCACGUGCUUCUUGAUCUCCAUCACCAAAGCACCGGCACGAUCUUCUUGUCACCGGCGCCACACCAUGAUCUCCAUCAACGUGUUGCCAUCGGGGUUGUCGUGCUACUCAUGCUAUUACUACUAAAGCUACAUCCUAGCAAAAAUAGUAAACGCAUCUGCAAGCACACACGUUAGUAUAAAGACAACCCUAUGGCUCCUGCCGGUUGACGUACCAUCGACGUGCAAGUCGAUAUUUCUAUUACAACAUGAUCAUCUCAUACAUCCAAUAUAUCACAUCACAUCAUUGGCCAUAUCAUAUCACAAGCAUACCCUGCAAAAACAAGUUAGACGUCCUCUAAUUUUGUUGUUGCAUGUUUUACGUGGUGACCAUGGGUAUCUUGUAGGAUCGCAUCUUACUUACGCAAACACCACAGCGGAGAUAUAUGAAUUGCUAUUUAACCUCAUCCAAGGACCUCCUCGGUCAAAUCCGAUUCAACUAAAGUUGGAGAAACCGACACUUGCCGGUCAUCUUUGAGCAACGGAGUUACUCGUAGCGAUGAAACCAGUCUCUCGUAAGCGUACGAGUAAUGUCAGUCCGAGCCGCUUCGCUCCAACAAUACCGCGGAANNNNNNNNNNNNNNNNNNNNNNNNNNNNNNNNNNNNNNNNNNNNNNNNNNNNNNNNNNNNNNNNNNNNNNNNNNNNNNNNNNNNNNNNNNNNNNNNNNNNGUCGAUCCUAAAGAUACUGAAAAGUAUGCAAGCUCCAGCGAUCCUUCAAAGGACGGGUGCAAGCAUCUCGGAGUUGGAAUAUACACUUUGAUGAGAUGAUCAAAGAUUUUGGGUUUGUACAAGGUUUAUGAGAAACUUGUAUUUCCAAAGAAGUGAGUGGGAGCACUAUAGAAUUUCUCAUAAGUAUAUGUGGUUGACAUAUUUUGGAUCAGAAGUAAUGUAGAAUUUCUGUAAAGCAUACAAGGUUGUUUGAAAGGAGUUUUCAAAGGAAUACCUGGAUUGCGCUACUUGAACGUUGAGCAUCAAAGAUCUAUGGAGAUAGAUCAAAAGCGCUUAAUGAAAGUUUCAAUAAGAUGCAUGCCUUGACAAGUUUGGAAAGAGUUCAAAAUAAGAUCAGCAAAGAAGGAGUUCUGGGUUGCGUUGUGAGGUGUGAAUUUGAGUAAGACUCAAAACCCGACCACGGCAGAAUAAAGAGAAUAGACGAAGGUCGUCUUCUAUGCCUUAGCCGUAGAAUCUAAAGUAUGCCAUGCUGUGUACCGCACCUGACGUGUGCCUUGACUCCAAGUAUGUUGAGAGGUACAGAGAGUGAUCCAUGAUUGAAUCACUAGCAGCGGUCGAAAUUUAUCCUUAGUAACUAAUGGACUAAGGAAUUUUUCUCGAUUAUGGAGGUGGUUAAAGAGUUUGUCGUAAAGGGUUACGUCAAUGCAAGCUUUGACACUAACCCGAAUAACUAUGAGUAGUGAAACGGAUUCGUAUAGUAGAGUAGAUAUUUGGAGCAUUUCCGAAUAGCACGUAGUAGCAGCAUCUAUAAGAUGACAUAAAGAUUUGUAAAGAACGCACGGAUCUGAAAGCUUCAGAACCGUUGACUAAAACCUCUCUCACGAGCAAGACGUGAUCAGACCCCAUAACUAUAUGGGUGUUGGAUUCGUUGGAAUCACAUGGUGAUGUGAACUAGAUUAUUGACUCUAGUGCAAGUGGGAGACUGUUGGAAAUAUGCCCUAGAGGCAAUAAUAAAUUAGUUAUUAUUAUAUUUCNNNNNNNNNNNNNNNNNNNNNNNNNNNNNNNNNNNNNNNNNNNNNNNNNNNNNNNNNNNNNNNNNNNNNNNNNNNNNNNNNNNNNNNNNNNNNNNNNNNNUCCAUCACGUGAUUCUCCUAAUGACGUGAUCCAGUUAUCAAGCAACAACACCUUGUUUAUAAUCAGAUGACACUGACUAUCUUUGAUCAACUGGCUAGCCAACUAGAGGCUUGCUAGGGACGGUGUUUUGUCUAUGUAUCCACACAUGCAAAUGAGUCUUCAUUCAAUACAAUUAUAGCAUGGAUAAUAAACGAUUAUCUUGAUACAGGAAUUAUAAUAAUAAUUAUAUUUAUUAUUGCCUCUAGGGCAUAAUUCCAACAGUCUCCCACUUGCACUAGAGUCAAUAAUCUAGACCUCACAUCACCAUGUGAAUUACAUUGUAAUAAAUCUAACACCCAUACAGUUAUGGUGUUGAUCAUGCUUUGGCCGUGGAAGAGGUUUAGUCAGCGGGUCUGCUACAUUCAGAUCCGUGUGCACUUUGCAUAUAUUCACGUCCUCUCCCUUGACGUAGUCGCGGAUGAGGUUGAAGCGUCGUUUGAUGUGUCUGGUCUUGUUGUGAAACCGCGGUUCCUUUGCUAAGGCAAUGGCACCCGUGUUGUCACGGAACAAGGUUAUUGGAUUCAGUGCGCUUGGCACCACUCCAAGAUCCGUCAUGAAUUGCUUCAUCCAGACACCCUCCUUAGCCGCCUCCGAGGCAGCCAUGUACUCCGCUUCACAUGUAGAAUCUGCUACGACGCUUUGCUUGGAACUGCACCAGCUUACUGCACCCCCAUUAAGAAUAAAUACGUAUCCGGUUUGCGACUUAGAGUCGUGCGGAUCUGUGUCAAAGCUUGCAUCGACGUAACCUUUUACGGCGAGCUCUUCGUCACCUCCAUACACGAGAAACAUCUCCUUAGUCCUUUUCAGGUACUUCAGGAUAUUCUUGACCGCUGUCCAGUGAUCCACUCCUGGAUUACUCUGGAACCUACCUGCCAUACUUAUGGCCAGGCUAACAUCCGGUCUAGUGCACAGCAUUGAAUACAUGAUGGAACCUAUGGCUAAAGCAUAGGGGACGGAGCGCAUAUGCUCUCUAUCUUCAUCAGUUGCUGGGCACUGAGUCUUACUCAAUCUCGUACCUUGUAGAACUAGCAAGAGCCCUUUCUUGGACUGUUCCAUUUUGAACCUCUUCAAAACUUUAUCAAGGUAUGUGCUUUGUGAAAGUCCUAUCAGGCGUUUUGAUCUAUCCCUAUAGAUCUUAAUACCUAGAAUGUAAGCAGCUUCUCCUAUGUCCUUCAUAGAGAAACUUUUAUUCAAGUAACCUUUUAUGCUCUCCAAAAACUCUACGUUGUUUCCAAUCAGUAAUAUGUCAUCCACAUAUAAUAUUAGAAACGCCACAGAGCUCCCACUCACUUUCUUGUAAAUACAAGAUUCUCCAACCACUUGUAUAAACCCAAAUGCUUUGAUCACCUCAUCAAAGCGUUUGUUCCAACUCCGAGAUGCUUGCACCAGUCCAUAAAUAGAUCGCUGGAGCUUGCACACCUUGUUAGCAUUCUUAGGAUCGACAAAACCUUCGGGUUGCAUCAUAUACAACUCUUCCUUAAGGAAACCGUUAAGGAACGCCGUUUUGACAUCCAUCUGCCAGAUUUCAUAAUCGAAAAAUGCAGCUAUUGCUAACAUGAUUCUGACGGACUUAAGCAUCGCUACGGGUGAGAAAGUCUCAUCGUAGUAAACUCCUUGAACUUGUGAAAAACCCUUUGCCACAAGUCGAGCUUUAUAAACGGUCACAUUACCGUCAGCGUCCGUCUUCUUCUUAAAGAUCCAUUUGUUCUGAAUGGCCUUGCGGCCCUCAGGCAGUACCUCCAAAGUCCACACUUUGUUCUCAUACAUGGAUCCUAUCUCGGACUUCAUGGCUUCCAGCCAUUUGUUGGAAUCUGGGCCCACCAUUGCUUCUUCAUAAUUCGCAGGUUCAUUGUUGUCUAACAACAUGAUUGAUAAGACGGGAUUACCUUACCACUCUGGAGCAGCACGUGGUCUCGUCGACCUGCGUGGUUCAACAGAAACUUGAACUGGAGUUUCAUGAUCAUCAUCAUUAACUUCCUCCUCAACCGGCAUCGCAAUGACAGAGGUUUCCCCUUGCCCUGCGCCACCAUACAGAGGGAUGAGAGGUUCGACAACCUCGUCAAGUUCUAUCUUCCUCCCACUCAAUUCUCUCGAGAGAAACUCCUUCUCGAGAAAAGCUCCGUUUUUAGCAACAAACACUUUGCCCUCGGUUUUGAGAUAGAAGGUGUACCCAACUGUCUCUUUUGGGUAACCUAUGAAGACGCACCUUUCCGCUUUGGGUUCCAGCUUUUCAGGCUGAAGCUUUUUGACAUAAGAAUCACAUCCCCAAACCUUAAGAAACGACAACUUUGGCCUUUUGCCAUACCAUAGUUCGUAUGGUGUCGCCUCAACGGAUUUUGAUGGUGCCCUAUUUAAAGUGAAUGCAACUGUUUCUAAUGCAUAGCCCCAAAAUGAUAACGGCAAAUCAGUAAGAGACAUCAUAGAUCGCACCAUCUCUAAUGGAGUACGAUUACGACGUUCGGACACACCAUUACGCUGUGGUGUUCCAGGCGGUGUUAACUCUGAAACAAUUCCACAUUGUCUUAAGUGAGCACCAAACUCGAAACUCAGAUAUUCACCCCCACGAUCAGACCGUAGGAACUUGAUCUUCUUGUUACGAUGAUUUUCCACUUCACUCUGAAAUUGCUUGAACUUUUCAAAUGUUUCAGACUUGUGCUUCAUCAAGUAGACAUAACCAUAUCUACUUAAAUCGUCAGUGAAGGUGAGAAAAUAACGAUAUCCGCCGCGUGCCUCCAAGCUCAUCGGACCACACACAUCGGUAUGUAUGAUUUCCAACAAGUACUUGCAUGCUCCAUUGUUCCUGAGAACGGAGUCUUAGUCNNNNNNNNNNNNNNNNNNNNNNNNNNNNNNNNNNNNNNNNNNNNNNNNNNNNNNNNNNNNNNNNNNNNNNNNNNNNNNNNNNNNNNNNNNNNNNNNNNNNACUAUACUCAACUCACGUCAUGAUCGGACUUGAGCUAGUGUAAGUGGAUCAUGAACCACUCAAAUGACUAGAGAGAUGUACUUUUUGAGUGGGAGUUUAGCAAAUAAUUUGAUUAAGUUAAACUCUAAUUAUCUUGAACAUAGUCUAAGUCCACUUUGAAUAUAUUUGUGUUGUAGAUCAUGGCUCACGCGACAGUCCCCCUGAAUUUUAAUACGUUCCUAGAGAAAGCUAAGUUGAAAGAUGAUGGAAGCAACUUUAAAGACUGGGCUCAUAAUCUUAAGCUAAUCUUACAAGCUGGGAAGAAGGAUUAUGUCCUUAAUGCUGCGCUAGGAGAUGAACCACCCGCUACGGCUGAUCAGGAUGUUAAGAACGCUUGGUUAGCACGUAAGGAGGACUACUUAGUAGUUCAAUGUGCAAUCUUGUAUGGCUUAGAACCGGGACUUCAACGUUGCUUUGAGCGCCAUGGAGCAUUUGAGAUGUUCCAGGAGUUGAAGUUUAUCUUUCAGAAGAACGCCCGGAUCGAGAGGUAUGAGACCUCCGAUAAAUUCUAUGCUUGCAAAAUGGAGGAAAACUCGGCUGUCAAUGAACAUGUGCUCAAAAUGUCUGGGUACUCAAACCGUCUAGCUGAGCUGGGGAUUGAACUCCCGCAAGUGGCUAUCACUGACAGAAUCCUUCAAUCACUGCCGCCAAGCUAUAAAGGCUUUGUGUUGAACUACAACAUGCAAGGGAUGAACAAGUCUCCCGGCGAGUUGUUUGCGNNNNNNNNNNNNNNNNNNNNNNNNNNNNNNNNNNNNNNNNNNNNNNNNNNNNNNNNNNNNNNNNNNNNNNNNNNNNNNNNNNNNNNNNNNNNNNNNNNNNAAAGGAUUAACAUCACAUCCAAUUCAUAAGUGACAUGAUCUGGCCAUCAUCACGUGCUUCUUGAUCUCCAUCACCAAAGCACCGGCACGAUCUUCUUGUCACCGGCGCCACACCAUGAUCUCCAUCAACGUGUAGCCAUCGGGGUUGUCGUGCUACUCAUGCUAUUACUACUAAAGCUACAUCCUAGCAAAAUAGUAAACGCAUCUGCAAGCACAAACAUUAGUAUAAAGACAACCCUAUGGCUCCUGCCGGUUGCCGUACCACCGACGUGCAAGUCGAUAUUAUCUAUUACAACAUGAUCAUCUCAUACAUCCAANNNNNNNNNNNNNNNNNNNNNNNNNNNNNNNNNNNNNNNNNNNNNNNNNNNNNNNNNNNNNNNNNNNNNNNNNNNNNNNNNNNNNNNNNNNNNNNNNNNNNNNNNNNNNNNNNNNNNNNNNNNNNNNNNNNNNNNNNNNNNNNNNNNNNNNNNNNNNNNNNNNNNNNNNNNNNNNNNNNNNNNNNNNNNNNNNNNNNNNNNNNNNNNNNNNNNNNNNNNNNNNNNNNNNNNNNNNNNNNNNNNNNNNNNNNNNNNNNNNNNNNNNNNNNNNNNNNNNNNNNNNNNNNNNNNNNNNNNNNNNNNNNNNNNNNNNNNNNNNNNNNNNNNNNNNNNNNNNNNNNNNNNNNNNNNNNNNNNNNNNNNNNNNNNNNNNNNNNNNNNNNNNNNNNNNNNNNNNNNNNNNNNNNNNNNNNNNNNNNNNNNNNNNNNNNNNNNNNNNNNNNNNNNNNNNNNNNNNNNNNNNNNNNNNNNNNNNNNNCACAACGGAGAUAUAUGACUUGCUAUUUAACCUCAUCCAAGGACCUCCUUGGUCAAAUCCGAUUCAACUAAAGUUGGAGAAACCGACACUUGCCAGUCAUCUUUGAGCAACGGGGUUACUCGUAGCAAUGAAACCAGUCUCUCGUAAGCGUACGAGUAAUGUCGGUCCAAGCCGCUUCAAUCCAACAAUACCGCGGAAUCAAGAAAAGACUAAGGAGAGCAGCAAAACGCACAUCACCGCCCACAAAAACUUUUGUGUUCUACUCGAGAAGACAUCUACGCAUGAACCUAGCUCAUGAUGCCACUGUUGGGGAACGUCACAUGGGAAACAAAAAUUUUCCUACGCACACGAAGACCUAUCAUGGUGAUGUCCAUCUACGAGAGGGGAUGAGUGAUCUACGUACCCUUGUAGACCGUAUAGCAGAAGCGUUAGUGAACGCGGUUGAUGUAGUGGAACGUCCUCACGUCCCUCGAUCCGCCCCGCGAACAAUCCCACGAUCAGUCCCACGAUCUNNNNNNNNNNNNNNNNNNNNNNNNNNNNNNNNNNNNNNNNNNNNNNNNNNNNNNNNNNNNNNNNNNNNNNNNNNNNNNNNNNNNNNNNNNNNNNNNNNNNGGAAGCCCAUAGGCCUUGGGGGUGGCGCACCAGCCCUUGGUGGGCUGGUAGGACAGCCCAAGAAGGCCCUAUGCGCCAUAGGAAGAAAAUCAAAGAGAAAAAAAGAGGAGGUGGGAGAAGGGGGAAGGACUCCUCCUUCCAAACCUAGUUGGACUCGGUUUGGAAGGGGAGGGUUGCUCCCCUUGGCUCGGCCGAAGUCCUUGGGGGUCCUUGGACCCCAAGGCAAGGCUCCCCCUCUUCCCCCUAUAUAUACGGAGGUUUUAGGGCUGAUUUGAGACAACUUUGCCACGGCAGCCCGACCACAUAUCUCCACGGUUUUUCCUCUAGAUCGCGUUUCUGCGAAGCUCGGGCGGAGCCUUGCCGAGACAAGAUCAUCACCAACCUUCGGAGCGCCGUCACGCUGNNNNNNNNNNNNNNNNNNNNNNNNNNNNNNNNNNNNNNNNNNNNNNNNNNNNNNNNNNNNNNNNNNNNNNNNNNNNNNNNNNNNNNNNNNNNNNNNNNNNNNNNNNNNNNNNNNNNNNNNNNNNNNNNNNNNNNNNNNNNNNNNNNNNNNNNNNNNNNNNNNNNNNNNNNNNNNNNNNNNNNNNNNNNNNNNNNNNNNNNNNNNNNNNNNNNNNNNNNNNNNNNNNNNNNNNNNNNNNNNNNNNNNNNNNNNNNNNNNNNNNNNNNNNNNNNNNNNNNNNNNNNNNNNNNNNNNNNNNNNNNNNNNNNNNNNNNNNNNNNNNNNNNNNNNNNNNNNNNNNNNNNNNNNNNNNNNNNNNNNNNNNNNNNNNNNNNNNNNNNNNNNNNNNNNNNNNNNNNNNNNNNNNNNNNNNNNNNNNNNNNNNNNNNNNNNNNNACGCGGAGGUGCCGUCCGGUCGGCACUAGAUCGUGCGACUGAUCGUGGGACGGUUCGCGGGGCGGAUCGAGGGACGUGAGGACGUUCCACUACAUCAACCGCGUUCCCUAACGCUUCUGCUGUACGGUCUACAAGGGUACGUAGAUCACACAUCCCCUCUCGUAGAUGGACAUCACCAUGAUAGGUCUUCGUGCGCGUAGGAAAUUUUUUGUUUCCCNNNNNNNNNNNNNNNNNNNNNNNNNNNNNNNNNNNNNNNNNNNNNNNNNNNNNNNNNNNNNNNNNNNNNNNNNNNNNNNNNNNNNNNNNNNNNNNNNNNNAGAGAGGAGUGGCUCUCUAAUUAAUGGCAUGGGGCUAUAUAUAGACAAACGGGGGGGCUCGGUUAACCGGAAUCGCGCUCCGGAUCCAACCGCGGGGUCGGAUUCGGACGAUUCCGAACGCGGGAAUGGGUACGUGGCCGUGUAGAGGGGAUAUCCGGAGACGAGAGGGAGAACGGGCGACGCGGCACGAAUUUUAAAACACCGACACACGUCCGACGGUAGCCUGAAUACGAUGCCGCCACGAUCGACCGUUCGGGUACCAGUUGGUCUUCGAUCGCGACGAAAUUCGACAGGCGGCCUAGCUAUAUCUAAUCGCGACCGCGUGCCAAGUUUCACCUCGAUCAGAGAAAGUUUUAAACGCACUUUAAAAACAGGGUUUCGACGGUGCCGCGGGCGCGUGCGAGUGCGGUCAGGCUCGGAACGAACAACGACGCGAACCGGCAACUAACAACGGAUGCAGGUUUUGAAAACCGGCGGCAACGGAGAUGCCGAUGCAAUGCUGAUGAUGCGCAUGAUGCGAUGAUGAUGCGACCAAUAUAAAGAGACACACGAUGAAAACGGAAAGAGAGGGGAAUCUUCUGGAACGUCGGCAUCGGGCUGUCACAAGUCAUUAGGGCAUGCAUGUAUCUUCUGCACGUCUAAUCCUAGAGGGCAGACAAGCUUCUUUGCUUCGUACGUGCUGACGGGCAAUUCGUUCUUUCUUGGAAGCAUCUUCUUCAUCAGUACCAGCAACUUUUCGAAUGACGAGUCAGUCACACCGGUCUCUGCCUUCCACUUCAGCAAUUCCAGUGUGCUACCCAGCUUCUUCUGGCCAUCUUCACAAGUUGGGUACAACAAUUUGUUGUGGUCCUGUAACAUCGGCUCGAACUGCAACCUCUCCUUUUCUGUGUCGCAACCUCGCCGUGCAUCAGAAAUGACCCGGCCAAGAUCAUCAGCGGGCUCAUCUGGUUCCCGUUCUUCAUCCUGAUCUUCUUCUUCAUUGUCUUCCAUUGCGGUAUCAGCAUACUCAGGGAACAUAGAUCGGUAGUUGUCAUCAUCGUUCUCUUCUUCUUCAUCGUCGUCUUCCAUCAUAACCCCUCUUUCUCCGUGCUUGGUCCAAACAUUAUAGCCCGACAUAAAACCGGACCGAAGCAGGUGGCUCUGAAUGACUCUUGAGGAAGUGUAAUCCUUCUCAUUCCGACAUUCAAAACAUGGACAAAACAUAUAGCCACCACCAUGCUUGUUCGCAUCGGCUGCAUCUCGAAAAGAAUGCACGCCUUCUCUGUAAGCGGUUGUGCGUCGAUCACCGUACAUCCAUGGAUGGCUCAUCUGUGUUAUACGACAGUAUAUCAAAUACAAUCACGAUCCUAAAAAUUAGUACCGCACGGUCUAAACGAGGAAAUAUAGUUGCUAACCUUUUAGAAUAAAUAGAAAUAAAGAGGAAGAGGUUUAAGCGUGGCUCAGGCAUCUGAUAUCGUAGUUGUGUUCGGUGAACUAAAGCGGCAUCGCUCUAACACACAUUUCAACAAACACCUCUAGUGCAUCAAAAAAAGUGGAGAGCUAGCACCCACCCACAAUCCUCCAUCCAAGAAAAAUGCAAGGAAGAGGGGAGAGGGGGGUUGUGCUAUAUAUAGGCAGAGGACUUUAGUCCUGGUUUGAGACACAAACCGGGACUAAAGGUGGCGCACAUGCGGGCUGCCCACCGCAUAGCUCUUUAGUUCCGGUUUGGGACACGAACCGGGACUAAAGGCUCCUUACGGGCCGGGACUAAAGCCUCGAGGGUGGCAUUGAGAAUUGGGGCGACGUGGCCGGGCCUUUAGUUCCGGCCCAGAGGCAGGCCGGGACUAAAGGGUCCCGGCCAAAGGCCCGUUCUCCACUAGUGACGAGCAAGCGACAGCGGUUGACGAGAGCGUCCGCUUGCCUCCACCUCAUACCCAUUUCUUCCCAUUUUUGCGUCAGGUUGGGAUCAAGACGGACAACAAGCGGGCAGCAAGCGGACACAUGCGUCCGUUUGGGUCAUCCCGUUGGACCAAUUUUUGUGUCCGGAUGACCCAAACGGACAAAAUGGGUCGCUGCGUUGGGGUUGCUCUGAACUAUGGUUGACAUCCUUGCCUGGCUAAUACGCGACAGUCCUUAACUUACCUGAUAACAAAAAACCAAGUGUGCAAACUCCAAAGUUCGCUAGCAUUUCCCGGACAUACCGGCCGGCAACCGGGACGGGGACACCCACAAACCCCUCCACGAACCACACUGACUUGUUAGCACGGUGAGUAAUCCACGGGUCUCCGCUAGCUACCGCAUUCCGGUUCUCGUCGAGCCACCGAGCCAGUAAACAAUCCUUCUCCUGGCACAAAUUAAGCAGAAACUAUGCAGUCUGCGAUUAGCAGGGCAUGGCGGGUGCAUGCAAAUGUGCAGUCACGCAGCGGCUGUUUGCUUCUGCUCGCCCUGGACCAUGCUAAUAAGCUAGCCUAAUCAGUCUCGCAACCAGAGCAUCGACGAAGACCGGGCCUGCGCCAACUCGAAAGGAUUCGCCUGAUUUUUCCCCAAGAAGCCGGGGGGCGCGACGCACACGUAGGAGUGGCGAAUGGCCGGCAGAUCUUGCCAAGCAGGAGCAGUGUGUGACCACACACAGACACAAAAGUGAGUGCGAUCGACGAGAUUCCAGGACCCCGCGCGCGCCUGAUGCAUGCAGAGAUAAAAAGAUGCGCGUCCACUAGCUGCCGUGCAUGCGUGUGUUUCUCCUGCACAUUUUCUCUCGGAAAAUAAUAACAUUAUAGCUACUUGUAAGUCCUAAGUCGCCUGAAAAUAAUAUUUGGGUGGGUCGUUUUUCGCAUAAGGCUGGUUGUAAUGGGUAGUAUCAUAUACUAGUAUCAUUCAUAUGAUAUUAGUUUAUGAUACUACAUCCGUAAUGCAUAGUAUCAUAUGUUAAUAUUGUAGGAUAGUUAUUUUAUUGUCAUGCAAGACACAUAGUAUCACAUCAUUUAAUAUGAUACUAAAUUCUCUCUUUCUUCAUUUAAUUCUAUGCCACCUCAUUAAAAUUGUUUAGUUGACAUAUAUGAAAUUACCUAUGAUACUUUCAUUAGGAGCAGGGUAAGGAAGCAGCUACAGGCUCGCCGAAGAAGUCGGCCACACGCGGUGGUUGUUGGCGGUUCUACAUAGGAAUAAAACUCCAUUCCUACUAUAAACCAAGGGGCACCAUAUUUCUUUUUCUUAUGAAAAUUAUUUUUUUUUAAAAGAAGGUUAAACCCCCGGCCUCUGCAUCAAUCGAUGCAUGCAGUCAUUUUAUUAAUUAUUCCACAAAGGUCUAACAAGAGUAUACAUCAGUCCAUCCAAAGCCACCACUCACACCUACAAACUCGAUAAUGUGGAUUGCUCUCACUCCACAUAUCUAAGACCGGUGUUGUUUCCAAUCCAUCCACAUAACGUAUCGAAAACAACAGCCUGUGCAGCACACCUAAAACGCAUACCUCACGCACACGUUUUACCAGCCGCCAUCAUCCUCGAACCACUGAUCCAUCUUCAGGAAAGAGAUUUGCAUCAUUCUUGCCAGUCCAAUCAUCUGUCGACGCCACCACGGCGCGUAGCACCUGCCAACCAGGCAUGACUCAGCAUAGCACAUGUCGGCCAGGCAUGACUUGACAGCUCCACCGAAAUUUCGUGCAAGACGAAGCCGCUCCACCUCCUGCCUCAGUCUGACAGCGCUGCUCCACAAACGAUUGUCCCAAGAGAGAAACGGCACCGCAGUACCGCCAUCGUCCGAUCUAGAAGACCAGAUCCUAGGGUUUCCCCCGAAGCAGUGCCCACCACCAGCAACCGUUCAGGACCCACACAGUGCCCACCACCACUCAGCCCUUAAGGCGACGCCUUCAGGAAGGUCACGACAUCAAGGACGCCGCCGCCGCCCACCGGAGUUAGGGUUUUCACCCGAGAGGCAAGGAAGGGGAGCAGAGGAGGAGAUGUAUACCGACGUCUCCAAAAAGAAUAACGGCGCCCUUGAGCGGCGUCGUCGGCGUGGCCGGCCUGGGCCAACCAAGGGGUUUCCCCCAAUUCGAAUCUCCUCCACCGGCUUCACCCGCAGGUAGGUCCCUGGAAACCACGCCAGCACCGUUAAGAAUCCGCAGGAGAGAAGCCCACAUAUCAGGACCUGAGGGGCGCAGGUGGCGGUGCGGGCAGCGGCCGACGAAGGGGAACAACACACCUCCACAACGACGCUUCCAAGAAAGAUAAGGGCACCCACGAACGUCUUAUGAAAAUCAUAACCUUUUGAAUUCAUAAAAUAUUGGUAUAAACUAAAGAAGGCCUAAUCCUAUGAAAUUCGUACAAUCAAGAGAGAUCCCUAAGUAACUUCUUUUGAUAUGCUAAUAUAUGACUGAAAUAAAUCAUAUACAACAAGGGUCUCUCUAGUUCGAAUGAAAUUUCAUAUUAAUCUGAAAUAUCUCCGAUUUCCUUUUUCUUCCGAAACCUGUUUGGUUUGCAGGAAUCUAUGGAGAAAAGUUCAAUGGUCUUGCACGAGUUUCAAUGAUAACAAGGACAUACAACCUUUCUUUCAGGAUAUUCAUCUGCACUUCUGAUGAGGCAACCAAAUACCAUAUAUCACAUAUCCGAACAGUCAUGAUUUGCAAAUUCGGACCCUCAAAUGUUCGCGGACGCGUUCGGUCACUGACCGGGUGUGUUCCCUAUUCGUUCAUCCAAACAGUCACACUCAUUAUUUUUUUCCUCGUAUGUCCGGUUACUUGCACAUGAUUGGUGGAGAGAAAGAGAGAAAAAAUAAUGAAUAAAGAAAAGAAAAAGGUGGUCCGGGAUGGGGUCGCGUCUGAGGUGGCAGACUGACUGGGCGCGCCCGGACGCAUCCGCAAGCCCUCAUAUCCUCUUCAUAUGUGAGAUGGAUAUGAGGGUUCGCGGACAGCCCACACAUAUAGGAACGUUAUAAGGGGUUCGGUUGAGUCAUUUUUUCCUUCUCUUUCUUGUCCGGUCAUUACUGGACGCGUCCACGGAUGUAUGUGGGGUCAUUUGACGGGUGCGGCUGUAGAUGCUCUAAGAACAUCUACAAGCGGACUUGGCAAAUAUGACCUCAUAAACAACUGUGGACUUGAGCGCUUAUAUUUUCGUCCGCACAGCCGCACUUUUCAUUUUUUUUCUCAUAUGUGUGAUCACUUGCAUGUGAUUGAUGGAGAAGUAGAGAGAGAAAGAAAAAUAAUAAAUAAGGAAAAGAAAAGGUGGUCUGGGGUAGGGUCGCGUACUACGUGUCGGACGGACCGGGCGCGUAUGCGAGCCCCCGUAUCCUCUCUACAUUUGAGAUGUAUAUGAGGGGUGUCGGUCAGUCCAGGGAACUAGGGGGCGUGUUGAAUUAUUUUUUUACCGGAUACUGACCGAAAGAACGGUUCACACGUUUAGAGAGGAUAUAGGGGUCUGAUUGUAAAUGCUCUAAUAUCGGUUGUUCAAUGAUGCCUCGUGGUUAGUUACUAUGAUCGAGCUUAAUACAUGAUCCAGCUUUAGCACGUGCUCCUGAAAGGUGGACCAUAUAACAAAAAACAUACAUUGCCUAUGAAAUGAGCUAUAUAUGACAUGACAAUACCUUAUAGCCAGCAACUGGCUAUAAGGCAUUGUCAUGUCACCAAUAACCAUCUUAUAGCACCAUAUAAAAUAGUUGGUUAGAAGAGUGUACUACUUUUUUUAUUAUAUGAUCCACUUUUCACUUUCACAAAGUGUCUAGGAACACGUGCUAGACCUGACUCUUAACUAAGAGCAAUUAUAAUAAGGUACAGUCAGCACGCUAUAAGGAUUGAAGUAUUAUAUUUUUGCUGAGUUGGAUGAGAGAGAAGAGGAGAAAAAAGGGAAGCGGCUGCAGAUUAACAGUCGGCUGUAGCACGGGCUCCAAAAAACAUUGUGAGGAUGUAAGGUGGAUCAUGUAUUUAUAAAGUACUACUUCUUAGCAACUUGUUACUAUACGUGUUAACUAUUAGGUUGACUAUAUAUGAUACGGCAACUCUUUGUAGCCAUCAGUUGGCUAUACUAUUAACCAUGCUCUAUGAGUCCGCUUACCUUCUUUCUCUUUUUUUCUUGGGAAAAACUAUUGAGAGGCGUUGCACCUCGGGCCUCCCGUGAGGCGGGCGGCUCGUAAAGAUUCGUACAGAAUCUUGCGGUUGCGAGCGCGCGACCGUCCGCCCCGACCCCGCCCACCUUUUUUACGCCCCCAGGCAGGGGACUGUUCAAAUUUCAUUUUUUUUUAUUAUCCGCGCCCCAUUCUCCUCACAAGUCGUUGCCCCCGAGAGUCAGUCUGGCGAAAGCGGAGGCGGAUCCGGCGAUCCCCGCACGAAGAACUGCGGAUUCGGCGUGAGGAAAGGGGGGAUCCGGUGCGGCGUAGGGUGGAUCUGCAACCGUCGCCGGCGCUGGAGGGCGAGGAACUCAGGUGAGUGCUUUUCUACCCGGCAGUUACUGCUCAUUAUCGGUAGGGAUCCAUCGUCGGGAUCCGUCGUCGGUGGCGAAGACGCCCGCGUUGAUGUCCUCCGUCUGGGCGGCGGCCGAGUCGGAGGAGGCGGAGGAGUAGCUCUUCUUGGUGGUCCUCCUGGAGGUGAUGGCGUCCGCCGGCGAGGAGGGAGGAGGAGUUUUUGUUGGUGGGGCUAGUGGGGAGUCUGUUUGUGGUGAUGGUGGGGAGGGUGAUGGUCGAGUGCGAGGAGGGGGGAUGUUGAUGCGCCGGCGCUGAGGAGGAGGCAAGCGGCGUGGGGCGGGGAGGGGGCGCGGCCCUGGUGGCCGAGGAGGAGCGGGGUGGCGCCAUCGGAGGCAGAGGCGGGGGCAUCGAAGGGGGCGAUGGAGAGGACGUAGGAGAGGACGGUGGUGCUUCUGUAGAGUGCGGCGACAAUGGCGGGGGGUGUGCAGGUGGAGCGCGAGAUGGGGCGUCCCCCUGUUGCUUGAUUUUGCGGAUGGGCCGUGUUGGGAAACGUCGCAUGGGAAACAAAAAAUUUCCUACGCGCACGAAGACCUAUCAUGGUGAUGUCCAUCUACGAGAGGGCAUGAGUGAUCUACGUACCCUUGUAGAUCGUACAGCAGAAGCGUUAGUGAACGCGGUUGAUGUAGUGGAACGUACUCACGUCCCUCGAUCCGCCCCGCGAACAAUCCCGUGAUCAGUCCCACGAUCUAGUACCGAACGGACGGCACCUCCGCGUUCAGCACACAUACAGCUCGACGAUGAUCUCGGCCUUCUUGAUCCAGCAAGAGAGACGGAGAGGUAGAAGAGUUCUCCGGCAGCGUGACGGCGCUCCGNNNNNNNNNNNNNNNNNNNNNNNNNNNNNNNNNNNNNNNNNNNNNNNNNNNNNNNNNNNNNNNNNNNNNNNNNNNNNNNNNNNNNNNNNNNNNNNNNNNNNNNNNNNNNNNNNNNNNNNNNNNNNNNNNNNNNNNNNNNNNNNNNNNNNNNNNNNNNNNNNNNNNNNNNNNNNNNNNNNNNNNNNNNNNNNNNNNNNNNNNNNNNNNNNNNNNNNNNNNNNNNNNNNNNNNNNNNNNNNNNNNNNNNNNNNNNNNNNNNNNNNNNNNNNNNNNNNNNNNNNNNNNNNNNNNNNNNNNNNNNNNNNNNNNNNNNNNNNNNNNNNNNNNNNNNNNNNNNNNNNNNNNNNNNNNNAGCGUGACGGCGCUCCGGAGGUUGGUGAUGACCUUGUCUCAGCAGGGCUCCGCCCGAGCUCCGCAGAAACGCGAUGUAGAGGAAAAACCGUGGAGGUAUGUGGUCGGACUGCCGUGGAAAAGUCGUAUCAAAUCAGCCCCAAUACCUACGUAUAUAUAGGUGGGANNNNNNNNNNNNNNNNNNNNNNNNNNNNNNNNNNNNNNNNNNNNNNNNNNNNNNNNNNNNNNNNNNNNNNNNNNNNNNNNNNNNNNNNNNNNNNNNNNNNNNNNNNNNNNNNNNNNNNNNNNNNNNNNNNNNNNNNNNNNNNNNNNNNNNNNNNNNNNNNNNNNNNNNNNNNNNNNNNNNNNNNNNNNNNNNNNNNNNNNNNNNNNNNNNNNNNNNNNNNNNNNNNNNNNNNNNNNNNNNNNNNNNNNNNNNNNNNNNNNNNNNNNNNNNNNNNNNNNNNNNNNNNNNNNNNNNNNNNNNNNNNNNNNNNNNNNNNNNNNNNNNNNNNNNNNNNNNNNNNNNNNNNNNNNNNNNNNNNNNNNNNNNNNNNNNNNNNNNNNNNNNNNNNNNNNNNNNNNNNNNNNNNNNNNNNNNNNNNNNNNNNNNNNNNNNNNNNNNNNNNNNNNNNNNNNNNNNNNNNNNNNNNNNNNNNNNNNNNNNNNNNNNNNNNNNNNNNNNNNNNNNNNNNNNNNNNNNNNNNNNNNNNNNNNNNNNNNNNNNNNNNNNNNNNNNNNNNNNNNNNNNNNNNNNNNNNNNNNNNNNNNNNNNNNNNNNNNNNNNNNNNNNNNNNNNNNNNNNNNNNNNNNNNNNNNNNNNNNNNNNNNNNNNNNNNNNNNNNNNNNNNNNNNNNNNNNNNNNNNNNNNNNNNNNNNNNNNNNNNNNNNNNNNNNNNNNNNNNNNNNNNNNNNNNNNNNNNNNNNNNNNNNNNNNNNNNNNNNNNNNNNNNNNNNNNNNNNNNNNNNNNNNNNNNNNNNNNNNNNNNNNNNNNNNNNNNNNNNNNNNNNNNNNNNNNNNNNNNNNNNNNNNNNNNNNNNNNNNNNNNNNNNNNNNNNNNNNNNNNNNNNNNNNNNAAAUAUAAUAAUAACUAAUUUAUUAUUGCCUCUAGGACAUAUUUCCAAUAGGUCGUACCAUGGGGAGGCGGUGAUGAGGGAGAGGUUGUCCUCCUGGACUGCCUGACUGUGAGACCGACUGGUCGAACAGAGACGUAAGUAUGGCCAUAGUGACGGUCAUACUGACUGCAGACGAAAGUAUCUGCCAUUGAGUGCAGGUCAUCGGUGGCGGCCAGCUCGAGCAGGUAGGAGGAGGGGUUUGGGUGGGGGUGGUCGUGGGCGGAGGGGGACAUGGUGGCGGCGGCGAGGUUGCGCAGGCCCCGGGCACAUGCUUUCGUCUGCAGACGUUAGUUAGUUAGCUAGUUAGUUAAUUACAGGUGUUGUCCACAAGACAUCAGUACAUCUUCAGUUAAUGUCAGCAUACAUACAUCGAUGAUGGAUCACUUCACUUGACAGGUACUAGUAGUAAGCAAGCAAGCAAGUAAAGGAGGGAGUGACAAGUGUGCCAACACUGUCCAGUAACCUCCCUCUCAAUCAUCUCAUCCGUGGAUAGGAUACACUACUGACUGUCUGGUCAGUUUGAGUUAGAAUCGAGUACAUGAACUGUUGUUGCCUGUUGCUUCACUGCUGCUCGACCAUCCCUCCUCGUUGAAGCAGCAAGCAGGGUCCCCUUUCCGAAUAAUGGCAUCCUGCAUGAUCCCACUGCAUGAUCUGCCUGCCUCCCUGAAAUCAUGCAUGCGGCUUACUUCCUUGAGAAUGGCCUUUUUAUGUGACAACUGAAUAUAAAUAAUUUGGCAAGUAAGCAUGUUAAAAUUGACGAUCAUUUUUUUUGCAGAUGGACAUUUGAAUGGACAAAUGGCCUUUUUAUGUGACAACUGAAUAUAAAUAAUAUCCUCUACACGACAACUAGAUAUAAAUAAUGGACGCUACUACAAAGAGGUGCCGCACCCGCGCCUUCCUGUGCGGCGGCCGCUAUCGAACCUUUUUUGUGAGGAUCGUGCUCCCCUGCUCGUAACAGAAGCCUGUGUUAAAACCGAAAAGCAGUUCAUGCAUUCAAAAAGGAACGACAAGGAGCAGAAAAGUUAAAAAAAUAUAGCAUGGUAGACACAGCAGUAGGCACUCGGUACUGUGGUAGGCACUAUUCACCCCAUAGUUCAAGCCCAACUGCAUGCAUCAGUUAUUAUUGUCCGGUUUAAAGUGUUUUAGUUGCCAAAUUAUAAUAAUUAGUUCCAUUAUUUAGAGAAUUUAAUUGCCAUACUAGACAUGUUUAGUCACCACAUUUUUUCUGUCAGUUGUUUAGUCAUCACAUUACAGUUACUUAGUUGUCAGAUUACAAGUAUUUUUAUUGUCAUAUUAAUCAUGCUUAAUCACCAGAUUAUUUUAUACAUACUUACUUAUGUCAGUACUAAGCUAGCGAUUCCACUACACAGUUACAACAUAUGUGUUUUCGAGUUUUCAUAUAGGUUUGCCUUAAUAUUACCAUUUUUUUGUUUUUUUAAAUGAAACAGGGAUUUCUGAAAAAUGCCAAGGAGAAAGAGGAACUCGAGGAACACGCUGUAGGUGGUAGGGGAGCAGUCAAUAAGGUUUCUAGUUUUACAUUUUUAUUACUCGCCUUUUAUUUUUCUUACGUCAGCACAUUGUUUUGUAGUAGUUGCCACUUUUUUUCCUAUAGUAUUUGCCAAAACAAUAGUUCAUAGUUAUCAUUUUUUAUUUGUUUUUCUCAGGGCCACAUUGACGGUACUGAGCGAAAUAGGGCAUCACCACAGGCUAUUUGCAAGCUAUACAAGCACAUAAAUGAAGAUCAACGUGCUGCUAUCAAAGACAUGGGUACUGGAGCGUUCCUUGAUAUCAAGUGUGGUUACUUGCACAACACCCUCGUGACAUGGUUCACUAGGUUGUACCACUCAGGGAGGAAAGGUUUUGUUGUGCCUAGACGUGGGUUCAUCCCACUAACCGAGGAAUCUGUUCAUAAGAUUUUGGGCAUUCCUCGUGGAGAUAUCGAAAUCAAGUAUGAAGCUGACUACGACAAUGAAGAUGAAAUUGCAAGUUCUUUGUUUCCAGGCGAUGGCAGCAGGUCAAAGAUCACGACAGUUGCUACUGCAAUCAUCAACAACAACUAUGAUGAUGCUAGUUUUAAGAAGUUAUGGCUUAUUUAUAUCGUCUCAACCAUGUUGGCUCCUACAACGGAUACAAGGAUCAGCAACAAGUGAUACCCCAUGCUGGUAAAAGUCUACUUUAUGAGAGUUUUUUCUAUUCUUUUGCUGAUUUUUUUGCUAACACUCUGUUUUGUUUUGUUUUUCAAAAAGGAACACAUUGACCAGGCAAACAGGCUCAACUUGUGCAAAUUUGUUGUGGCCCAGCUACAUGAGCACCUCUCAAAGGGCAAGUUCACAAAAGGAUGCCUUCUUUACUGCAUGGUGAGUGACAGUCCAAAAUCAAAAGUACAAACCGAGCGAAUAAUUUUGUUGUGGCCCAGCUACAUUUUGUCUCUUUUUUGUAUCUGUUUUUGUACCCAAAAACCAGGCAACUAUGGUUUUUUUAAAAUCUGGCAGUUAGUGUGUAUAUAUCUGACAACCAACUUAUAUAUAUUUGACAACUAUGUUUACUUGAAUCUGGCAAUCAGCUUUAACUGAUUUGUGUCUUUUUGUAUUAUUGUUGCAUCCACAGCUACGGUAUCUUGAUGCUUUGGAUUGCGAUAGCAUGGAGCUUGAGUUACCUGACACCCGUACACAGUGAAUGCAUGGUCCAAGACACAUGUUGAUGUUGUCGCUAAGAUGGACAUGCUGGAGCAUGAUCCACCCAGUUUUGGCAACUUUCAGGUUCUUUUUUUGUCUCCUCCCACAUUUAUGACAAUAGCUUCAGUUUUAGAAUAGUACUUCCAUAGGAUAAAUGUCUCAUGGAAAAUCAACUGUUUUUCCGGUUUUUUAUGCACGCACAUGCAGUUGAAGGGAGAAUUUAGAGAGGAGAGUCACAGCAGAUUUGAUCUGUUUGGGGGACCUGGGGGCUUCGAAACCUGGAUGAAGCAAAAUAUACAUCCUAGUUGCUCUGAAAGUGUAAGAAUUUUUUUUGUGUAUAUGGAUGUGCAUUUUUUCUCUGCGGAAAGGGCUUUUGGGUUCAUAUGUAUGUGUAUUUUUUUUGUAUUUUUUGCUCUAAGAAUAACGCUUUUUCUGUAUUUUUUUCUCCUCACAGGAUAAGCUUAAAGCUACACAGUUAUCACCAAGUUUGCAUCAGGGGUUGGCACAUUGUUUAAUCAUUUUGCAUCAGGGGUUGACACACUCCUUACUGAGUUCGUGCAGGGUAUGACGGCACCCGCAACCAGAAAUACAACUACAAGUAGAAUAAAAAGGGGCACCGAGGCAAGAGAAAGUGAUGAUACAUCGUCCGAAGAUUCAGAAGAAUCUGAUAAUGACACAAAUGAGCACAACGUGGAUAUUGAACGUGACAAAAAGAAUAGGGUGACAAGGUAAAGUAACCCGACAACUAGCCAUAUAAAAUGUGUAAGUUGUAAUUAGUGUGCCACUUGUCAUUUUCACACUUACCAUUUUUUUCCGCGAAACACUAAUGCAGAGAGGAGGACAUCACCAGAGGCAAUGUCGAAUCACCAUUGACGAAAAAUGUGAGAGAUGUGGCAGGUGAAAUGGAGAACACGACGUAUGAUCCAUCUCAGGGAGCAAAUUUCUUCGGUGGUGCUCGCGAGACAGAAGUUUGUGACAACACAUCAAGUGGGGAUCCAUCUGCACAGUUUGACACCAAGUCUCCAUCAAGAUCAACAUCACAUCUGAACCUCCCAUCUGACAGCGAUAUGUCCAGUCCAGAUAACAAUUCCCCCACAGAUAUACUUGUUUCACUUAUAUCCGAGGGGAACAGUCAGGAGUUGGAGGAAAAGAUUAGAGGCAGCGCAGCAGGGCUUGCUAAUAGGCUGUGCGAACUGAAAAGCACAAGACCGGCUGAUAUAGAACAGGGUGAUGGCAGCACACAUGAAGAGAUUAACGCAUCGUUGUGAAAGAGCUUGGACUGCUGAAAGAAAAAUGUGGGCAGCAAUUCGAGGAGAGAAAUACUCGCAAAGACUUAAGGAAGAUCAAUGCACGUCCUAUAAAGAUGACGCCAAGGAGGUAGUUUUUCUUGUGUUUACUUGUCAUAUAUAGAUUUUAAUUCGCUGAAGCAUGCAUGGCAGACUGCAUGCACUUGUUUACUGUAGGCAACAGCGAAGGCAAGUCUGAACUUGCCACAUUGUUUAACCCACUUUCCAUAUUAUCAACCACUUACUUGCCUGAGAGAAAUGACUUAAUUACCAUAUUUUUCAGUGUUGUUUCAUACAAAGCUUUGUUGGUUCUUUUAAAUCUAGUUGCCACAAAAAAAAUGUGCUUGUCAUUUUUUAACGCUACCUAGAUGCCGUGUAGUCUUAUAUAAGCUUUGUCAAUGCUUAUAAACUCGCUUUUGCCACAAUGUUUUUUUAUGUGCUUUUUGUCAUUUUUUAAUGCUACUCAGUUGCCAUGCUUAUAAACUCACUUUUUUGUUGUCUCAUAAUGCUUUUUCAUUGCUUAUAAAAUCCAGUUGUCACAAACACUUUGUUUGUAAUUUCCAUUUUAAUAAUAACUAGUUGUCAUAUUUUCUCAUGAAGCUUGUCAAUGCUUUUUUUAUAAACUCCACUUGCCACAAAUGAUUUGUUGUACUUGUUAUCUUAAUUGUACCAAGUUGUCAUAUUGUCUCAUAAUGCUUUGUCACUUGUUUUUGUAAAAAAAAACUAGUGGUUUGCGGUGUUUUUUGCUGGAUUAGUCAAUUUUAGUUCUAUCCAGUUGUCGUGUUGUCCCAUAAAAGUCUUUCUCGGGUACUCUAUUUGUUAUGUUUAUCGGUAUUAAUUACACUCAGUUGUCUUAUAUAAGCUCGUAAGUCGUUAGCUUACAAAAGCUUGCCUGAAUCUGCUUUUUAAGGCAACUUAUAUUUUUUUCCUUUUUUUAUCCGACAGGAAGUGUCCUGAAUCCACGCAAGAAGAUGGGGAGAAGAAGGGCAAACAUGCACAACAAGCUGAAGUGAAUGUUUCAAUAAAGAGGUCAGCAACACUAUUUUUUCGAAAACCACGUAUAGUUUUCCAUCAACUAAAAGAGGUGUUUUCAAAAUGCAUUUGACUAUCAGUUUCUUCUAACACUUUUUUCUCUUUCUUUUUUGCAUGUUUUUGUUUUACAGAAAAAGCACUGCAACAUUGAAGCAGCCUUCACCAAAACGACAGGCAACAAGGAGAUCACCACGGCUUGCACGGAUAACAUCCUCAAACGUCACCGGCGCUGAUGUCUCUCACGCACCAAUGGAACAAUCAUCAUCACGUAGCAGUGCAAACAAAGCAACAGGUUUUUUGGCUACAACACUCUCAGGAAGGAUCCGAAUGCGCUCACCAGUCAAAGAUGGAAGCAGCAGCAACACACCUAUUACAAUUUCUCCAAAAAUGAGCCCAAGAACGCAACCAAGCACUGGAAUUGGAGAAAGUAAGUGCACCGCCAUUAUCUUGUAGCCAACUGUUGAUACAAACAUGCACAGCGGGAACAAAGUAGCAGUUGAUGUGGCUACAACACACUUAGCCAGAAUCCGAAUGCGUUCAUUAGUCAAAGAUGGAAGUAGCAAUAGCACAGCUAUUGUAGUUUCUCCAGAAAUCAGCCAAACAACACAACCCGCAGAAAUCGGUGAAAGCAAGUCCACAGCUAUUAUCUUGUCUCCAGCAGUCAAUACAAAUGUGCAUGUUGGAUCCGGAUCUUCUUUAAGCUCAACUAGGAUAUCGCCACUUGGUAAAAGGAUCUCGCGGCACAUGACUAAUGAUGGCAACUCAACUCCCAUUCCAGAACAUGUAUUAAAUGUAAUAAAAGAUCUUUCAGAAUCUGCAAAAAGGCUAGGGAUGUUUCAAGGCAAGAAAUAUGAUUCAACAUGAGCUAUUCCGAAGACGCAAGCAGCGAAUGCAAACAAGAGGAGUCAUGGUUCUUCAUCAGACAAGGCUAGAGAUAACCGGCCUGGGGCAUUUACACCUCCUUCGUUCUCCCUUGGUCUGUCACCUAUUCUAUCAAAUCCAAGCAAUGAAGUGAACAUAGAUUAUGAGCACCUUGAUGUAGGCAAUCCUUUAGAAAUAAUGUCAUUAUCAUGGGCCCAACCAACACGUAUUCGGAACAUGAUCAUACAUAAUUCACUUUUUGUCAGUUUUAUUUGUGCUGAGUCGCCAUUUUUUAUUUUUCAUCAAAAAAUAAGCUAAAAAUUUGCUUAGUUGCCAGAUUACAAACGCAUCCUACUUUCCAGAAUUAAUAGCUUGUUUUUCCAGAUUAAAAAGUUCUUAGUUGCCAGAUUUAAUAGCUUGUUUUUCCAGAUAAAAAAGUUCUUAGUUGCCAGAAUUAAUAGCUUGUUUUUUCAGAUUUAAAAGUUCUUAGUUGCCAGAAUUAAUAGCUUGUUUUUUCCAGAUUAAAAAGUUCUUAGUUGCCAAAAAUAUGUAGUUUCCAGUUCUAAAAGUUCUUACUUCCCAUGCUACAAAAAUACGUAGUUCCCAUAUUAAUAUUAUGCCUGUCCUGCUAAAAGUUCUUACUUCCCAUGCUACAAAAAUACCUAGUUCCCAUAUUAAUAUUAUGCAUGUCCUGCUUUUUUUUGUUCCUUGUAGUAGUUGAAACAGGCCUGCAGAUGGUCGAGUAUCCAUUGUCAGACAAGCUGACUGCAUUUCUAGCCACUGGAGAUCAGGACGAAAUCGAUGCUGGUCUAGCUGAAGAACUUGACGACUAUGAGAGGUAUCUCGAAGAUUUCUUUAAGAAAAAGCAUGCAGCAGCAACAACAGCUGGAGCAGCGAGAAGCAAUAACAUGGCAGGCGAGACUGGUGUUCAAAGUGUGACACCAAAGACCAACCCCCAUAAGGGAAGAGUGAAGAAGCCGUCUCGCUUUAAGCUAUCGCCAUACGAUGAUGAUAUCAAUGUCACCAGCGAAGAAGAAGAUAUCUAUAAGAAGCUAAUGUUGAGCAGCAAAUAUAAAAAGAAUGGAAAUUCAUCGAUCAAAAAGUAAUUGUCUACUUCUUUUUUUUUUGCUUCUCCAUUUCUGUUUUUCUUGCUUUUCUCACUCUUUUUAUAGUAUUUUUUAUGCUGCUUUUUUGAUGAUUGCUUCACCACAAAUAUGCAGCGUGAUGAUCAUCAAGUAUGAAAAAAACUGGGUGUACACAUGGGAUCUCGCUGAUUCAACCUACAUCACACGGGGCUUGUCUACUAAUUGUGCUGAAGUUGGGAUAGAGCAUCUGCAGGAAACAAACAAAGUUGAGGGCAAGUUGAUACUCUCACACUUAGUGGCCAAAUUCUUGUUGCAAGGCGCGCAUAGUAAAAAGAUAGUGACUAACAUUUUCGAAAGGAAGAAGGACUUUGCUCUUAGCUGCCAGAAUUUAGUAAGUAACUCAUUUUUUUCAUCAACCUGAAACAAAUUCUACAUGAUGUGGGACUAAAAUGCAUGUGUUUGCAAAAUUUUACUUUUUAGUUAGCUGUAUAAAAUACAAAUGCUAUAUGUUAAUGUAUUUUUUUGUUCUUCUUCAUGUGCUCCCACAGAUCAUGUUCCCUGUUAUUGAAGAAAUGGGAGGGAAAGAAGUGUCAGGACAUCACUGGUAUGUUUUAUGCAUCAACAAUACUGCUCAAAGGUUUGAGGCGUUAGAUUCACUUCGCAGCAAAGGAAACAUUGGUCUCAUCUACCAUGCAAACGCUGUAAUGAGAAGAAUCAAGGAAGCAUGGAAGUUAUACUACCAUAAGUCGAGGGUUCAGAUUGAAAACUACGAACUCGAGAUCAUUGACGCCCCAAAACAGGCUGUAAGGUGAGUAAAAUGUUUUUUUAUCUUUUUAUUUUUAUAAUUUGGAAAUUAAGGUUUUGUUCAAAUCUGGUAACUGAACAAUCGCAGUAUGCCAAACUUUUUUGGCAACUAAGUAGUUUGUUAAGUGUAAAAUGUUUAAUGUAAAAUCUGACAACUAAGAAUAGUAAUCAGUUAACUAUUAUUUUAACAAUAUGACAAUUAAUCAAUUUUGAACUUGGUAUAUCAUGAGCGUAAAUCUUGAGCCCUUCAUUUUUUUCAACUACAAACUGCAAAUAUCAUUUUCACUCAUAAGUUUGGAAAAAACUAUCUCUCACUGGGUUUUUUAACUGCAAGCACAAAUAGGAGUGUGCACUGUGGCUUCUACAUGCUGGAAUAUCUUGAUAAGUGGGAUGGUGUAAAUGUGCCUCGAAUUCGGAAAGAGGACAUCCAAAAAAUAAAGAAGAUAACAGCCAACAAAUGGCUCACCGCUCCUUUCAACAAAAACAAAAAGUGGAAACAGCAGCUUGACAACAACUGUCCGGGAGGUAAGUAAAACACAAUGUACGAACUAGUACCUUUUUUAUUUUGGAAGUAAGUAACUCAUUUAAAUUCUUUACAUGAGUUGACUAGUAAUCAUCUAUUUUUGUUAAAACUGUCAUGCACCAGAGUAGACAACACUUGCCACAUUGUUCCAUUCGCUUUUGCCAUAUUAUUAUGCACUUACUUGCCUGAAAAAACUAAUUUAAUUGCCAUAUUUUUUUGAUGUUAUCGCAUAAAUCUUUUGUCGGUGCUUACAAAUACUUGUCACGGAAAUUUAAUGUGUUUGUCAUUUUAAUUCUAAACUAAUUAUCGUGUUUGUCUCGUAAAGCUUUGUCAUGUGAUGCACGAGUGCUUACACUCAGCCACCAAGUGGUACUUGCUUGCCCGCUGAAAAAUAUUUAUCAGAUUACAUGGCUCGCGUACGCCAUGCUACAACCAUCCAGAAUAGGUUCGAUCCCCUCGCAGAACAUAGUGCAUUCAGAAUUACAUAUAUAGACAACAUCCAGAAUAUUAUAUAUAAAUAGAAUGAAAAUUACACAAUGCAUCUAGAAAAACAUGUCUUCUUCAGUUUGGAGGGGGCGGGUUUUUCCCUCGUUAAGCAUGUCCUCGCAUCAUGCGUGACUGAUCCACACAGCCGACAAGUCCUCUUCUCUCUCUUCACAAUGUUCAAUGGGUGUUGGAACGACUUCUUCCUCUUGCCGCCUUUUGUGUUUGACUUCUCUGGGUCACGAAUGAUAGGCUCAGGAGCAACUACAUGCGAAGAAUGGUGCUGGUUGUUCGAGCCACCAACUGGGGUAGAAAUAACAGUUGUAGCAGGAGCCAUUGGCCAAGCGGAUGCACUCUCACUCAUAACACUAAUGGAUGCAUUUUGGCAUUGAUUUUGGGUUUUGAAUGCAGCUGCACGAGAAGAAUGGCCUUUGUUGUUGUAGCCAGGAGCAGCUUGGGCAGUAUAGACUCCUGGAGUAGCAGAUCUCGACAUAGGUUGCAUAGCUGACGCACUUGCUGCAGCCGGCAAAGCACUUCGGGCAGAAUAUGCACCUAGAGCAGCAGAUCUCGACACAGGUUGCGUAGUUGCAGGUGUUGUUGUAGCACCGUAGCCUAGAAUGUUUGGCUCGACAGGAGCUACAUAGGUUGAAUGCCCUUGUCUUGUGGAGGCACCAAGUUGGGCAGAGUAUACACCCGGAGCAGCAGGAUUUGGCAUAACUGGUGCACUCGUAGCAGCCAGCGAAGCACUUUGGCCCUGAAUUUGAGGGUUGAACGCAGCUGCAUUAGAAGAACGGCCUUGGUUGUUGGAGGAACCAGCAGCUGGGGCAGUAUAGACUGAUGGAGUAGCAGUGUUUGACAUAGUGUGUGUACUCGCAGCUGUAGCACCGUGCCCCAUAAUGCUUGGCUCGAAAGGCACUCCACAGGAAGAACGGCAUUGGUUGUUGAAGCCAUGAAUUGGGGCAGAAUGAGCAGGUUGAGCAGCAUACUUUGACAUAGAUGGUGCACUCGCAGCAGUUGCUGAAGAAACUGCAGCAAAAUCAGCCCUUGAUCCUCUUUUUUUCUGUUCUUUCGCAAGCGCAACAAGUUCCCUCUUCAUCUCCUUCAAGUGUGUACCUAUUAUCUUCCGACCAUCAGGUGUUCAGCACCCAACUUUAGCAAGCAAGGCAAACUCAUUCUUCAUGAGGGUUGUUUUCAUGAGAAUCACCGACUCCUCAGGCAUCUCAUGCACCUUGCCAUGGACUUGUGAUGACAUAUCAACGAGCAUUUCCUCCGCAAGCCAUGUCCAUUUCUUGAGUAUGUAUGCCGCUGGCAACGUGGUAACACCAACCUGGACCAUGGUCUGCAAAAAUGUACAAUAUAGUAAAUACAUAAGUCAUUUUUGGAAAACCUAGCAAAUCCCACAAAACAGCCUACAAAAUCUGACAAGUAGGAAAACAAGUGGGGGAACAUGACAAUUAUGGAAAACAAAACGCAGCAAGCAGGAUGUGUUUUACCCUUAGUAUAUGGCAACAAACGAUCCCAUCACGCUCAUACUUGCAGCAUUCACACAUAUAAAACCCUUCUUCAACAUUUGCAUGAACCUUAAAGGACUUGUUGCCAUAUCCUGGGACAAACUUAGCAAUGCAGUCAACCAUGUAUUCUUGGGCACCCAUUUGCUUACAGCUAUAAGACAACAGUGACUGCAUCUCCCCCUGGACCCUAACAAAAAUAUUGCACGUAUAGAUACUUGACAUUUGGAGCUCAAUUGGGUUGUAACUCCACUUCCUAGCUGUUGUGAUUGUUGUGUCUGCAUCCUGCUUGCUCUUAGCACACAUUAUCUUCUCUUGUAUGGCAACAUAUUGGCGAAUAAAGUCCAUUAUUGAUUUUUGUGGGUUGACAUACUUUUUUACCACAGCAUUGAAGCCUUCACUCCUUUGUGUGGUUUGGAGAAAGGGGUAGAACUUGUGCAUAAAGUAGGCAGGCACCCAACACCUUCGUUUCUCAUACAAAUAAACAAAGUCUGGAUGUUCUGCAACCCCAUGUUGUUGAACCAUUGCAAUCCACCUUGCUUCAAACUCCUCAGGAGCGUAGCUGUCGUUGACACAAUCAUUAAACUCAGCUUGCAACUCUGGUUGUUUCGCUAGGAACGCACCAAGCUUCUCAGUUGCAUUUUGCAUUAUGUGCCAACGACAGUUUCGGUGCGUUGUAUUGGAAAAACAUCCUCAAUAGCAGACCUCAUGGAAAAAUCUUGAUCAGUUAUGAUAUUGGUUGGAGCCAAACCAUCCAUUGCCUCUAGGAAUGUCUCAAAUAGCCAAACGAAGCUUGUCGAUAGCUCGUUCCUAACAAAACCACACCCAAACUGAAUUGACUGUCCAUGGUUUUUUAUACCAAUAAACGGGGCACAAGGCAUCUUGUAUAUAUUGGUCAAGUAUGUUGUGUCAAAAGAGACACAAUCAAUGAAAGACUUGUAAGCCCUUCUCGCUGAACCAUCAAUCCAGUAAAUGCAUUGGACCUUAUCUUCAUCAUCAAGCUUGUACUUGUAAAAAAAGUCUUUAUCAAGUUGUUGACUGCUUUUGAAGUACUCAAUCGUGUCCUGCAUAUCAGUGUAUUUGUGCUCAGCCCGGAACUUUGCCAGCAAAUUUGCCAAGUCUUUGUCAGUGUAACAAAUGGCUUCACGUUGGCCAUGCAACUCUGUCAACAACUCCAUCUGUCUAGAAGGUUCUAGAUUGCACGAAUGAAGCAACUUCACAAACUGUUGUUCUUCUUCAGGGAUAUGUCUAUGUGAUCGUAGGUACCCUGCCAGCGACCAUUUCUUUAUGAGAGGGUGGUUAUGGUAGUCAUUUAUUUCUGUUACAACCCAGGCAUUAUCUCUCCGCUUCACAAACAUACGGGCUGGGCAGUUUGUUCUUUCAGUUGUAUUCCUCCUCCUCUCAGGGGCAAUAGGUUGCGGGUUUUGGGUGUCUACUUUCCUCUUGAUCUUCAACCCAGCUCUAUGGCAGACAAGUGAUGCUCUUAUCAGUUCAGCACUAGCCUCUGACUUUUUUCGGAAACAAUACCUUACUCCAAAACCUUUCUGCCUCACAUACAUUUUGUAGUGUUUCUCAGCAUCCUCAAAAGUGUCAAAUCUCAUCAUGGUUGUGGGUUGCUGUGGCGUGGACAUCACCUCCGGCAUGCCUUCAUCCUCAUUUGCAUUGUCAUCAUUUGGGGUGUGAUUAGACGAUGCAUCCAGCGUUUGGUCGGUGUUUGCUGGCAACACAAUGCGUGAUGUACCGACAGUCUCACGAUCUGCAUAACAUACAGAACCAAUUUUAAUUACAUUUCUUUUUAGGAAAUUACAGUUUGUGCAUAUAUUUUUUCUCGAAAACUGGUAAUCAGUAACCUGACAACUAAGUAAUACUUAAUCUGAAAACUAAGCUUUUUUUAAACGAUAACCAAGUACUUAGAACAUGGCAAGUAAGCACGGUUAAUCUUGGUGAGCAGGCACGGUUAAUAUGGCAACUAGCGCGUAACCCAGGCAAGUAAGCAGUUGUAAUCUGGUAACAAAAAGUUUUUUUUCCCCUGUAAUAUGAUGAGUAGCUACUUGUAAUUUGGCAAGUAGACAAUUUAUAAAGGGACAAGAGGUCAACUUAUACAUGUAGCUAGAGCUAGGCCAUGGUGUGAAUUUUUUUUGGGCUAGGCCAUGUGUGUAUUUUUGGCAAUCAGGUAACCUGACAACUACCUUUAGCAAACCUGAUAAUUAAGCAAUACUAAAUCUGGAAACUAUGCUGCCUAAAAUGAUAACUAAGUACUUAGAAACCUGGUGAGUAAGCAUAGUUAAUUUGAUGAGUAGGCACAGUUAAUAUGGCAACUAACGCGUAACCCAGCAACUAAUUACAUUUGGACAACUAAGUAAUAACAGCAUGCUUUUGUAUCAGGCAAGUAAGCAGUUUUAUACAGGACAAGAGGUCAAGUCAUCCAUGUAGCUAGAGCUAGGGCAUGUGUGUAUAUUGGCCAGGCUACUAUUUUUUUUUACUAGCUAACACUGCAAGAAACCUUCCUGAUUGGAACUACGGUAGCCGAAUGAAACACAAUUAGAUGGCGGUGGUUUAGGUGGAAAAUGUAGGAAUUAUGGUAGCAACAAAAACACUACAAAAACACAACUAAUUUGGAAACUACAGGGAGGGAGGGGACAAACCUGUGUCAUGAGCAGCCACAAAGUGAGAAUCCAUCUAUAUAUGAGUGAUGUCCCUUGUUUGUUUUCUUUUUUGUGAAGAUCUUGCUCUCCCUGCAUGUUUUGUGUCAGAUGGAGACAUUUUUAUCAGUGUUUUUUCUGACUUUUUUGUUCUGUAACAGGGGAUUUGAGAUCAGAAGCUGAAGAUCCAGAGGGAGAAAGAGAGGUGGAUAUCUGAAGGUGCAAAGAAAAGAGAGAGGGGGUUGUCUUUUUGAGUUGGAGAAAACAAGAGAUCUGAGGGAAAACAACAGAUCUGAGGGGGUGCUGUUUUUUAGUCCUUUUCUGUAAGCAAAUUCAUAUUUGUGGGAAACUCCAGAAUUUAGAUGGAGCAGUUGCAUACCUGUAAUUUUUUACUGCUUCGGAUCACUUGGACAACUCCAGAAAUUGUCUUUUUCUUGAUGCUUUUCUGUUGGUAUUGUUUCUUGCUGGUAUGUUCAUGCCAAUGGGCUUUUGUGAAGGAAGGAAGAAGACAGGGGGAAGAGAUUACGGUGGUGGGGGGUAAGGGGAUCUGAGAUGGGGUUGGGAUUGGUCGUGGGAGGUAGAUAUUUAUGAUGCUGAUGGGAGCUUCAGACAGAAAAGGAGGAAAGGGUGGGUUGCGGCACCUGCCCCGUGCGGUGUGUUUGGAUGCCAGGCUGGCAACCUGGCCGCCGCACGGGAAGCCCUGGGUGCGGCGCCGCUCGGUAGUGCGGUCCUUUUUUCUUUCCUCCAACUAAGUAAAAACAUACUAGUUUGUUUCUUAUAGACCGGUGACUCAGCUCUAUUGUAGCGCUUUUCUUUGAAUAGGCCUACGUAUCCGGAAAGUGCUCUUGUACACCCGAGCUCAAUAGUAAAUUCGAAAAAUGUUUUUAAAAAUCUGAUUUUUUUUUAAAGCAAACUUUUACAGAUGUUUUAAUAAAUUGUAAAAUUUCAGUACGAAAUCACAUUCUUUGAAGUCGCGGCAAAAAACAAAAUUUGUGCUCCAAAAUGCUUUUGAAAGUAGCAUUUUUAGAGUUUUAAUUUUGUUCUUUUUCUCACGACUUUCACAAAUGUGAUUUCAUGAUAAAGUUUUAUGAGCACUUAAAAGUUAAAACAUUUGUCAAAGUUUGCCCCCAAAAAAUUCAGAUUUUUCUGAGUAUUUUAUAAUAUUUUUCGAAUUUACUGUUCAUCCGAGCUCAUUUCAACUCGGGUUUAAAAACAUCACGUCCUACAUACCCACACUUUCCCGGCAUACAAGGAACCCAUAUGUACAAGUACUAAUCACUUAGCAGCAUUAACACCUAUGUUUCCCUAAUAAAAUUAUGGAGGUCUAUUGAUCGGAGCUAGCAAAAUAGUUUCAUGCAAAGACAUUGGUGAACUUCGCACGGUUUCAUUCUUGACCGAUGGCAAAUAACUGGAACACAAACAUAUGAUUUGUAGUUUUGUUAGCUGCGAGAGUUUCACUGUUGAGUGAUGUUUGUUAUGGUUAGAGGCAGGGGAAUCUUAAGGCGGCACCAAGCUCGGUACGAUGAUUGUGAUCUUCCGAGUGCAUACAACGCAAAUGCCUAUCGUGGCGCAGUAGCUCCAGUAGGUGAAUGCCCGACCUCAUGAUUUUGAUCCCCGGUUUGGCAAAAGGCUGCGUGCAUGCCCAGCCAAACCCUUGUAGCCUUAGUUAGCAAUCAAAUGGUGAGCACCUAGGCUUCCUCGCUUUGCAAAAGCAAAUCGGCAGGAGGCACCACAAAGGCAUAAAGCAAGUAUACAUACAUGUACCUCGAUCAAUAACGAUCCGUUGUUGGCUUAUCGCUAGCCAGUGGUAUCAUCUCCAUAUACGCAUCAUGUGUGCAUGCAUGGUGUUAAGCGAGAGGAGUGACGCUUGGUUGGACGAUUCAAAAUUGUGCAAAAUAUUAGUAGUACGCGUAAAUCAUUGUUGACCACCUUUGCCAUUGCCGGGCUCAUACAGGACAGUUCGUAUAUAACUAAUCCAAACAAACAAGCAUUGUGCAAACUCCGAAGCUAGCUAGCAUUUCCCGGACGCUCCGCACCAACAACUUUGCUGCUGGUCUAGCACGGUGAGCGAUCUACAGGUCUGCUAGCGCACGUCAGGACGGAGAUAAUAAGCUUGAGCCCUCGCCGAGUCACCGCACCAGUAAACAAAUCAUCCUCAGGCCUGCUGCAUGCCGCUGCGUUUUACAGGGCACAAUGCUGGCCGGGCCUGGGCGGUAAUUGACAGGGCAUGGCGGGAGAAAAUGUGCAGCUGCACCGGCGUGGACCAUGCUAAACCUAUGGUAGGCUAGUCCGCCAACCAUGAAAUUAAAGCCGGGCCUGUGCGAACUGGAAGGGAUCGCCUGAAUUUUCCCCAAGAACACGGAGGUCGCGCUGCCCACGCAGGUACCCUCCUGCGACGGCCAGCGAACGGCCGGCAGUUCUAUGGCAGGCAGGGUACUAGCGCUAGUGAUGAGUGGAUGAGUCACCACAUCACGAACUCAAAGGCUAGCGUGGUCGACGAGAGAGGUUGGAUUCCAGUCUAGGACCCCGCGUCAAACUUUGCUGAUGUGCGUCGGUAAGCUGAGCGUCUGAAGCAGUUGCUUGUGUUCUUCUAUAACUAUGAUGCAACCAAAUUACAUAUAUUACCAAAUCCACAAUCUUUUAAUGUUUUUUAGGGUUCAACAUAGGAGUAGAAUGCAUGGUAUUCUCCUUGAUUUUGAACUCCUGCAAACCAGCAAAACGUAUACUUUGUUUAGUAAUGCGUAAUGGCAGUCGCUUUAAUCAUUUCAUUAACGCAAACAGAGGACAAGAUUCUGAAUCCAAUCCAACAAGUACCGAUUACUACAACAGGCAAACGCACUAUCUAGCUGUUGGAUUGCAGAAUGACACAUUAGCUAGCUAGCUAGCUAGCUAGCAAAUGCUCUAGGCAAUCAGAUAGGGAACCUUUUCUUUUUUCAGCUUGGGCUGUUUUGGAUGCUGAACAAUAUGAAAAUGUCUGCUUGGGGCUGUUCUUUUUUCAGCUGAAACCGUUUGUCCCGUAGCAUCUUGCUUUCACUUUCUCCGGAUUGGCCUACCCCCUACACACUUCCCCGGCUUAUAAGCAACACCAUGAGGCAGCGUGUAGAUCAGUUCUUGCUGUUUCAGUGCUGCAGAUCAACACACCGUGAUGGAAACAUAUAGCUGUACCUGUAAGAAAUAUAUGUUUGCCGUUCAUAAUGCGACCAGCCAUGCCCAUCCACAGGAGCAGCACACAUGAUCUCCAGUUUUAUUCCGUUGUAAAACCCAACUGAUUGAGAUUUCAGGGGCGCGCGCGCAUAGCACCCGACCAAACGGAGUCUUUGAGAUUCUGUUGCAAAUGGUCCUGCAUAUGUAGAAGAGAAAACCAACCAGGGGUGCAACUCCGGCAGGGCCACAUGGCAUUUCUGAAACCAGCUUUUGCUAAUCUGGAAAUGAUGCGACGUCUCUUUGGUUCAGUCCUCUGUUAAGCCAAUAAUGGCUGCCUGAAAAUUGAGAACAAACCAUGUGUAUGAUCUAUGACGACUAGAUGCAGAACAAGAACGUCUACAUCCACAUUAGUUAAUCCAAGACGUAUACAACCUUUCCUUUUUCCGAAUUGAAGAGCAUAUAUGCAGCAAUGUCUACAUCCAACCUGUCUGUUUCCCUCUUUGGAGCUAAUGUGAGAUGCAAGUUUGGUCACUUUGGUUGGAAGAAUUUUUCUAGGCAAGCAAGUUGGACAAAACUCUACAGUUCCGUUCUUCUAAUCUUGGUACGAGCCUGAAAUGUACUGAUUUUUUUAGCAUAGCCUGAAACGUACUGAUGAGCCAGCCUAUAGGGGCAGCCUUCGAUGAAGAGCUCAGUUGGGCCUAUGUUAAAAGCCCAUGAUACCCGUAAAGCACAGGCCCAUUUUCAGCACUACGUGUACCGGUUUUCUGGUCUUCAUUUUUUUUUUCACUUCCCAUUCCCUGCUUUAGUUGCAAGUUUGGUAACUUUGAUUGGAUGCUUUUUUAAAACAAAACUUGAGUACGCAGAACUAUGAAGAGAGCAAUCAAUUGGAGGUUACCCCUUGCUGGCGACCUCUAGAUUCCUUGAAAGCACGUCAAGUGAUGUGUUUAGGCGUCCAUCAUGUGUUGGCCCUCCUUCUCGAUUCCAUUCUUUGUUUUAUCAUACUCGUUUUCGUGUUUUAGACGGGUUUUUGUGGGCUUUUUGAUUUUUCGGUUUUCGCCCGCUUUUCCCAAGGGUUUGGAGAACAAAAAACCUUUUUUGCACGAAAAACAUAAUUGUUUCCGUGAGAAGUACACAUCCACACUUUGAAAAAAAAAAUAUGCACCUUUUCAAGAAGCACGUAUGAGUUAAUCGUGGAGGCACAUAUUUACUUCCGAGAAAAGCACAACAUAUAUUUGAUUCUCGUGGAGGCACGUAUUUAUGUGCGCGAUAAACAUAGAAAAAAUGAAAAAAAAUAUUGGCUCUAGGACUUUCAUCAUUUUUUUGUUGGCAUUUUUUCGGUUUGGUUCUUGAUGUUUUUUUUAUAUAUUUUUUCUGUUUCUUUUAUCAUUUUAACAUGAGAUCUAGUUCUAAAAAUUACGAUGCGAGAUAUUCAACGAUGAAACCGGUUCAGGAUUAGACACAUGAUUCAAGAGAUCAAACAUUUUGAAUAAACAAAUCUUCAAGGAAAAUGAAAGAAUCUUAUGUUGCAACAAGUGGCGUACAUGCAGAGUGACAACAAUCAGCGCCAAAAAACAUGAACAUGUCUUGAAAAAAUGUGAAUAGUUUUUGUAUUCAUGACCAAAUUUUAAAUUAUAACAAACUUUCAAAAAUAGUAGAAUUUUAGUAAAAUUUCAAACAUUUAUCGAAAACACUGAAAAUAGCAAAGAAUGUUUGAAAUUCCUUUUUUCAAAAUUAGUGACAACUUUCAAAAUUGUGAUUUUUCUUUAAAAAAUGAAUAACCUUUUGAAUCCGGAACAAUAUUGAUACGUCUUCAACAUAUCGAUGAUUUAUGAAGUAUUCAUAUCUUGUUUGUCUAUGUUUACAAUACGUUUAUAUGAUUUGGAUGCACUUUAUAUGAUUUAUUAAGAACUAUCUCGGACUAAUGUAUCUCGGACUAAUGUUCUUUUCAACACAACUAUUCUAGUACGAACUCUACGACUGUUUGUGACACAUAUAGGAAUAUCCCAAAAGAUUGAUCGGAAAGAAUAAAUUUGAGGUGGUUCGCUCCCUACAACAACUUCUUAUUAUGUUCUCCGCUAAUAGGAACUUUUGAGUGAUUCUUUGUUUGCAUGUUGAGCUAUGAUCAUACGAUUCUACUAUGUUAGCACUCUCUCUCUCUCUCGCCCUCCCCCUCCCCCUCCCCCUCUCUCUCUCUCCCUCUCCCUCUCCCUCCCUCCCCNUCUCUCUCUCUCUCUCUGGUAAUUAUAAGGAUUUAUGGAGCUAAGACCUGCCUGAGGAAGUGCAAGGGGGGCACAAGCCAACAGGGCACCCCCAAGGCCAUGCCCUCAUGGCUUGUGGGGCCACGUGGCUCCUUUGACCCUAAUUUAGUCCUAUAAAAUCACGUCUUGAGAUAAAAAAUCAGAGAAAAGUUUUCAUUGCGUUUCACGAGACGGAGCUGCCACCGUCUCAUGUUCUUCCUUCGGAGGACUGAUCUAGAGUCCGUUUGGGGCUCGGAGAGGGGGAUUUGUCGUCGUCGUCAUCACCAACCCAUCUUCAUCAACGCUGCCAUGAUGCUCACCACCGGCAGUGAGUAAUUCCUUUGUAGGCUUGCUGGACGAUGGUGGGAUUGGAUGAGAUAGAUCAUGAAAUCGAGUUAAGUUUGAUAGGGCUUGAUCCCUAGUAUCCACUAUGUUUUGAGAUUGAUGUUACUAUGACUUUGUUAUGCUUAAUGCUUGUCACUAGGGUCCGAGUGCCAUGAUUUUAGAUCUGAACUUAUUAUGUUUUCAUAAAUAUGAGAGUGAUUUCUAUCCUAUCUUCCAAGUUGUAGUUACCUAUUACGUGUCUUGAUCCGCAUACGCCAAGGUGACAAUGAUUGGGAUUCUUUCCGGUGAUUGCCAUAAUUUUAGGAGUUUAUGUAUUCACCAUCUGUUAAUACUUUGUUCCGGUUCUCUAUUAAAAGGAUGCCUUGAUAUCCCUUAGUUUCCAAUAGGACCCCGCUGGCACGAGAGUGUAGGACAAAAUAUGUCAUGCAAGUUCUUAUCGCAAGCAUGUAUGAUUAUAUACGGAAUACAUGCAUACAUUAUAUUGAUGAAUUGAAGCUAGUUUUGUGUCGCCCUAGUGUGUAGCUGUUACAUGAUCAAUGUCAUCUAAAUCAUUAUCCCUCACCGAUCCACGUGCCUACGCUUUACAUAUAACGAAUCUUGCUAAGUUACUACUAUUGCUACUGUUGUCACACCCGCUACUAAAUUGCUAGUGUUACUACUGUUACAAAAUUACUGCUAUCGGUAUUAUUGUUACUACUAUCAUUUAUUGUGCUACUAAAUCCUUGCUACAUAGAGGUAUCCCACGUGAGAUUGAAAUGACAACUUAACUCAUACGACCAAUAAAUAUUUUUUGGCUCCCCUUGUGUCGGAUCAAUAAAUUAGCAUGAAAUAAUAUCCGUGAAGAUUGUCGCAAUCCCCUAUACUUAUGGGUUAUCAAGACCUUUUUAUGGCUGUCUGGCUUACAUGCUUAGUGGCUUUAUUAGGAUCAGUUAGGAUGCCUAUUAAAAAAAUAGCCAAAAUCUCAGGUAUUCCACAGAAGUCCGAGGAAUAUCCCCCGCGUCGCCACUGAAGCUAAUAUAAAAUGCAAGUUCAGCCACUUGAUAGGAAGCUUUUUCUAGAAGUUGGUUAGCGAUUUCACAUUUGGGAGUGCUCCAUUUCAUCAAAAUCAGUUUCACUUCAUCAAAUUCAUUUUAGAAUAGUUUCAUACACAAGCCAUAGCACUAUCAAGAGAAUAUUUGACUUCCAUCUAGCUCCAACUUCAAAAAUAAAAAAAUGGUGAAAAUUAUCUAUUUGAUUGGUUGAGGAGGGAGAAAUUAAGGGUGGUAGUGGUGAGUAAUUUUUCCUCAACUCCAGCUUCUAGAGUUUUUUGAAACACCCUCUGAAGAGGUUCAUAAAAACUUUCUAGUUUUUCUACGGAGCGGCAUAUCAUGAAACCAUCAAGUUUGGCUUGUCUUUUUGAAGCAAAGCUGAAUUUAAAAGAGCAUGGCAGUCCCAAACAGGCGCUGCCCUAAGUAUGCUGAUCAAUCCAACUCAAAAAAUAAAGUAUGAUUGUCAAUGGUUUUUUUUAAUGGAAAUAUAUGAUGGUCAGUGCUCAUCUUCUUCGUCCAAGACUCCAAGGCUCAAAAUUUACAGGCCGUGGAGCACGGCCCUUUAGAAGGCCGAAAGGGGAUAACAAGCCCUAGAAUGAAAGACCGGAAUGAAGAAAAGACCAAAAGCAAAGUCAUGGAGCCACAUCCCCGGAUUCCACACACGACGACAUGGAGAUCACGAGUGCGACCUGAUAACAGAGUACCAACACCUAUCAUCAUCCCUACCUAAAGAAUACUGAGCAUCCGACACGAUCCAUUUCCCCCGAACACCUAUCACUCGUCAUCGUCGUCGUCCAUCGGGUCCUCGUCCUCAUCAUGGUCCGAGAUAUCCUCUAUCUCGGAGGCGUUUGGAGCGUCCGGGCCCGACGCUCGCUGCUCCUCAAUCUCCAUGCGAAGGAAGGUGUCGCAGCUGAUCUUCGCCGCUUGUAGUACCGCCGGGCAGCCUGGUUGAGCAGAUGAACUGAAGCUGAGGACGGCCUCAUGAAACAAAGGAACAAGGGGGUGCGGGGAACUACUGUGUAUACCUGCAACGGGGCAAUUCGGAGCUUGGUUCGCCCGGAUGUACCUCAGGAUUGGAUCCCUGUCAUAGAUGUGCCUGCAAUCGGUGCUGCAGAGGGAAAGUUAACAUCAUCAUGUCAGUAUUUCUGAAAUUGAACUUUUGCGCAUAAUUUAGCUGCUGUGAUUUCUAGCGUUUCUGAAAACAAAGGUUCUUUUUUUGAGGGUGAAAACAAAGGAUCUGUUAACAGAAGGAAAAAAGCUUUUCUUAUAGCACCCCGAUCCUAGACAAUGGGGAAACAAAUCUAUUUGCAAUUUAGCACACAGAUAUUUUAGCUGUCUGCACUCUCUAGCAUUUUUGUUAUUUCAUCAAGUGGUGAAACCCCUUACUUGAGCAAAUAAAUAAAAAUUAAUAGUUAGUUGUUUUGACCGACACCAACUCCAGUGGUUCGAUUCACAGUUGCAAACUAGUUCUACUGACACACAGGAUUAAGACCAAGCUUUUCAUAUACCAUGCGGAUCCUACACAGUGGGCCUACAGAUCUAUUUGGAAUUCAACAUCCGCAGAUAUUUGGCUGCGUGCAUUUUAUAGCAUUUUUUGCAUACUUCGUCCAGUGGUGAAGCCCCUUGCUUGAGCAAAUAAAUCAAAAUUAAUAGUUAGUGGUUUGAUAGGAUACCAAUUCCAGUUGUUCGAUUUACAGUUGCCAACUAGUUCUACUGACACACAGGAUUAAGAGCAAGCUUUUCAUAUAGGAUGCAGAUCCUACACAGUGAGGCUACAAAUUCUAAUAAUUUACUAUAGUAUGCACAUAAAAAACAAGGACAACCAAAUCUGGUGGUUUCAAAGAUACUGAAACGGUAUUUAGAGGCAAAUACAAACAUAAGUAGAAGUGCACUAUGAGGUAUUGAAUUGUGCCUACAAACUUUGCUCCUUUUUCAGUUUGAAAACAAAACUUCAAUCAGUUUUUAUUUGGUGGGUGUUCUUUCAACAAACAUUUACAGUAACGAGUGGUGCUCAAGCAUGUUCACAGACAACACAAAUUUCAUAGUAGAGUAUGAAAAUAAAACCAGGCACUGACUGCUUACCAGCGAACUGGAUUUUCCAACUCAACUAUAGGCUUCAAAGUCAAUGGGCAAUGCAUAUUUAGGAUGCAGUUCUGGGUGCUAGUCAUAACAAGUUCCUCUUGUUCAUCACCAGGCAUCGGUUGACCUGCAUGGUGAACCUCCUGGCAGAGACAGAACACAAGCACACAAAAGGUCAGGCACUUCGAAAUCAUGCACAAACAGACACAUUCCUUGCCAUUAGUAUCCCAACAAAAGUUAAACAACUUUUGCGCGCAGCUCUGGGCAAUACAUCAGCACCUGGCAAAUGCACCUACAGCACACAAUUGCAGAUAAUCUUCACGACAAUCAGAAAUAAGAGUCUCUGAAUCGCAUACCCAAACAGCCUCUUUGAACUGCCGUAUGAGCUGAUCCUUGUGUCCCGACGACCGCGAGGUCCCCUUGACCUUGGCAACCUCCCCCUCGAUGAGCUUUCUGAAAUCCGUCGCCUUCCCAAACCAACAAACAGAGUGCAGACAGUUAGCCCAAAUUUGCCCCCAAUCCGAACGCCCCCACCACACAGAAGCGCCACGGCCCGCACCUGGUCAGACGGCUGGUACGCGCCGGGCACCUGCUUGACCGCCUCGGCGAGGUACGCGCACUCCUCGUACGAGGCCACGAGCUCCUGCACCGCGUCCUCGAGCUGCUUCACCUGCAGAAAUCCACGCGGUUCGGGGGGGUCAGGGGUUUCGAGGGGAGGCGGGAUUCGGGGGCUAAUGGGGAGCGGCGGCGUGCCUUGUCGGACUUGCCGGCCCUCUCGUACUCCACGGCGAGGGCCUUCAUGGAGCUGAGCGCCUUGCGCAUGUCCUGCGGGUUUGGGAAUUUUGGCAGGGGUUAGGGUUUUGCGGGAUGAAAUCGGAGGGAGGAUUGAUUGGUGGGGGAGACUGGAGAGGUGGGCGGGGAGAGGAGUUGUUACCAAGACGAGGGUUUGGGCCUCCGCCGAGGUGGCGUCGGCCGCGGUGGCGAGCUUCGUCGCCGCCGACGACAUCUCCGGCGAACUCCCGCGGUUCCCCUUUUUUUUCUCCGCGGGGGAAUGGAGGGAAGCUGGACUGCUGGAAAACCUAUUUGACGCUCUUUGCGUCAAAUAGUCGGGCAAACGCACAGUGCGAGAUCAACUGGACAGCCCCAUCUCCCUCUGCAGGCUGUUUCGUUUUUUGCUUUAUUUUGUCCUUUUAACUGUUUCGUUUUUCUGCUUUUUCUUUUCGUUUUUCUGUUUCUGUUUCAAUUUUUUUUAUUUUUUCUAUGUUUAUUUUCAAAAAAACUAAGUUCAUGUUUGAAAAUUAUUUUUGAAAUUCAGAAAAUAUUGUUGCUUUUAUAAAAGUGUUCUAAAUUUCAAAUAAAUGUCGUGUACCAAAAACAUUCAUAACUUCAAAAAAUGUUCGGGAUUUUACAAAAAUGUUCAACAUUUUCAACAAAUGUUCGUGAUUUUAGAAAAAUGUUCCUUUUUUACAAAAUGCCAUUUACCGGGGCUUCCAUUCAAAGCUUAUCACAUUUCUCCUUCCGACUUUCCAGCACCGGGCAGGUGUCAGACUCUAUACAUCGUGUUACCACUUAGCAGAGUCCUCUGUUUUUAAUAAACAGUCGCUACCCCCUGGUAUGUGCCGCUUAAUUUUGCUUUUCCGUUUUUCAUUGCUUUAAUUCGUAACAGGUUUUCCUUUUUUUUCAAAAUGUGUUUAUUUUUCAAAAAUGUUCGUCUUUCAAAAAUUGCUCUCAUAGUAGAAAAACUGCAGGUAAUUAAAAAAAUGUUUUUUCAUAAAUUGAACAGAGUUUACAAAAAAUGUUCUUGCUUUCAAAUUUUUAUAAAAUAUGUUCCUGUUUUACGAAAAAUGUUUCUCUUUUAUAAUUUUUGUUCACAAAUUGUAAAAAAAUUCAAAUUUUGUUCACCAAUUCUUAAAACGUUCAUGAUUUGAAAAUGUUGAUUAUUUUCUGAAAUAUAUUUACCUUUUAAAAAAUGUAUGUAAGUUCAAACUGUGUAUGUAAGUUGAAAAAUGUUCACGCUUUAAAAUUUAUUUACAGAUUUUUUAAAAUGUUCCUUUUUCAUAAAGUUGUCACAAUUUUCAAAAAAAUGUUCUUGCUUUCACAUUUUAUAAAAAAUGUUAUUGUUAUACGAUGAAACAAAGCCCCUAUUAUGUCCCCCAGAUUUGCACAUUCUUCAUCCCGUUUUGCCAUUGUGCAUUAAGUAAUCCAACGUUUGUGGAGGAAGCUGCAAUGCACCACAUGUUAGCUUAUAGGCCAGAUUUGGGUCCUACAUUCUUCACUACCUUAACUACUAUAUUUGUUGAGGUGAAGGUCUUACUUAGUAGGCAAAUUCGAGCUGUUGUUGUCUCUCUUUUAAAAUCUGUUCACAAAUUGAGAAAAUGUUUCAGUUUUUUUCACCAAUUCUAAAAAAAAUCAUGACUUGAAAAUGUUUUGGAACUUUCAAAAUUGUUCUACUUUUCCUAAAAAAUGUUUGCUUUUUCAAAAAGUGUACGCCAGUUCAAAAAAUGCCCGUGUUUCAUAAAGUGUAAAUAAGUUGGAAAAAAAAUCCGCUUCAAAAAUUGUUUACAUAUUUCAAAAAAUGAUAUUUUUCCAUAAAUUGGUCAAAUUUUAAAACAAAUGUUCUUGUUUUGACACUUUUACAAAAAAAUCUUAUUUUAAAUAAAAUGUUUCGCUUUUUCAAAAUUUUCCUCACCAAUUAAAAAGUUGUUCAAAUUUUGUUCACCAAUUCUAAAAAUUUUCAUAAUUUAAAAAUGUUUAGGAGUUUUAUAAAAUCUUCUUCAUUUUCUAAAAUAUGUUUCCCAUUUUAAAAAAUGUCCGUAAGUUCGAAAAAUUUUCAUGUUUCAAAAAGUAUACAUAAGUAGAAAAAAUGUUUUUGCUUCAAAAAUUGUUUACAAAUAUUUAGAAAAGUAGUUUUUUUUAAAUGUUGUAUGCUUUCAAAUGCUCCUGUUUUCAAAUUUCUUGUUUUUUUGAAAAUUCUUCAAAAAAAUUUAAAAAAAUCAUCUAUAAUUUUUAUCUGAAAAUACAACAGUUGAUUAAGUUUGAGAAACUCAAAAAAAAUCAAAACAUAAAACCUUUUAGGAAAAAGAGAAAGAGAAACACAAAUGAAAAUAAAGAAUAAGACAAAAAAGCAAAACAAAUAAAUAAAAAGAAAAAAAAACGAGCUGGUUACCUGGGCCAGCCUAGUUGCCUUGCUUGCGGCGGCGACCUAGUGGCUUGCCUAUGCGAAGGUACCCUAUCGGACGCAAAAUGCGUCCAAUAGUAGGUUCCGGAUUGCUAAAUCUUGUAGACCAUGGCAUGUAUACGCAGUCGUGGCCAAACGGGCCAGCCUGGCACGACACGGUGUGCCCAGAUCACUGGUAGAAAACAGGGCUAUCGUUCGGCCCUGGCCAGCCCAUUAGUCCCGGUUCUUGAAGAACCGGGACCAAUGGGGGUAUAAGACCCGGUUCGUGAGCCCAGGGGGCCGGCGGGGGCCUCGUGGGCAUUGGUCCCGGUUCGUGUAGAACCAUUUGUCCCGGUUCGAGCCACGAACCGGGACCAAUGGUCCUCGCUGCUGGCCCACAACCAUUGGUCCCGGUUCGUGGCAUGAACCGGGACAGAAGGGGUGGCUUUAGUCUCGGUUCAUGCCACGAACCGGUACAAAUAAGUUGCCUAUAUAUACCCAUCGUCGCGGCAGAGCACUCUGUUUUUUUUUACCGGCGAGGGGAGGGCAUUUUGGUGCUCUAGCUCACCUCCUAUGCACAUGAGGUGUUCGAUGAAAUGCCCGAGCCACAGUAGUUAAGCUUUCUCCUCUCGAAGCUCGACCUAGGAGCUUCAUUUUUCCCGAGAUUUGUCUAGAUUUAGGGGUCCGUCACGCCCCGUCCCCGUUUUCACCGUCGUUGAUCGCCCGCGCCGAUCUCGUCGCCGGCACCACCGUGGUGAGCCUCUUGUUCUUAUCUUCUUUAUGAUACUUGUCUGAUUUUCUUACUUUAGAUAGAUAUUUGUCUGAUUUUCUUAAUUUUGACACACAUAAUUAUAUGUAAUGCACGCGGAUGAACCGGCAAUGGAUGUAUGGUGACAAACACACCUCCGAGUACAUUAAGGGCGUGCAUAUUUUUCUCCAAGUGGCUCAGGCAAACAAGCAGAAUGGUUUUAUGUGUUGCCCAUGCAGUAAAUGUGGGAAUACGAAGUCUUACUCUGACCGAAAAAUCCUUCACACCCACCUGCUUUACAAGGGUUUCAUGCCACACUAUAAUGUUUGGACGAGGCACAGAGAAAUAGGGGAAGAAGAGGACGAUGAGAACUAUGUGCUCCCUGAAUACGGUGAUGCUGCAACGGGGGGAGCUGCUGAAGAUCAAGAGGAACCAGACGAUGUGCCCGAUGAUGCUGCAACAGGGGAAGCUGUUGAAGAUCAAGAGAAACCAGACAAUGUGCCCGAUGAUGAUCUCCGCCGGGUCAUUGUCGAUGCAAGGACGCAAUGCGAAAGUCAAAAGGAGAAGCUGAAGUUCGAUCGCAUGUUAGAGGAUCACAAAAAAAGUUGUACCCCAAUUGUGAAGAUGGCAACACAAAGCUGGGUACCGUACUGGAAUUGCUGCAGUGGAAGGCAGAGAAUGCUGUGCGUGACAAAGGAUUUGAGAAGCUACUGAAAAUAUUGAAGAAGAAGCUUCCAAAGGAUAAUGAAUUGCCCGACAGUACGUACGCAAUAAAGAAGGUCGUAUGCCCUCUAGGAUUGGAGGUGCAGAAGAUACAUGCAUGCCCUAAUGACUGCAUCCUCUACCGCGGUGCGUACGAGGAUUUGAACGCAUGCCCGGUAUGCGGUGCAUUGCGGUAUAAGAUCAGACGAGAUGACCCUGGUGAUGUUGACGGCGAGCCCCGCACGAAGAGAGUUCCUGCGAAGGUGAUGUGGUAUGCUUCUAUAAUACCACGGUUGAAACGACUGUUCAGAAACAAAGAGCAUGCCAAGUUGAUGCGAUGGCAGAGUGAGGACCGUAAGAAAGACGGGAAGUUGAGAGCACCCGCUGACGGGUCGCGGUGGAGAAAAAUCGAGAGAGAGUACUGGGCUGAGUUUGCACGUGACCCAAGGAACGCAUGGUUUGGUUUAAGCGCGGAUGGCAUUAAUCAUUUCGGGGAACAGAGCAGCAAUCACAGCACCUGGCCCGUGACUCUAUGUAUGUAUAACCUUCCUCCUUGGAUGUGCAUGAAGCGGAAGUUCAUUAUGAUGCCAGUUCUCAUCCAAGGCCCUAAGCAACCCGGCAACGACAUUGAUGUGUACCUAAGGUCAUUAGUUGAAGAACUUUUACUGUUGUGGAAUGGAAACGGUGUACGUGCGUGGGAUGAGCACAAACAGGAGGAAUUUAACCUGCACGCGUUGCUGUUUGUAACCAUCAACAAUUGGCCCGCUCUCAGUAACCUUUCAGGACAGACAAACAAGGGAUACCACGCAUGCACGCACUGUUUAGCUGACACCGAAAGUAUAUACCUGGGAAGCUGUAGGAAGAAUGUGUACCUGGGCCAUCGUCGAUUUCUUCUGACCAACCAUCAAUUUCGAAAGAAAGGCAAGCAUUUCAAAGGCGAGGCAGGUCACCGGAAGAAGCCCGCCAUGCGUACCGGUGAUCACGUACUUGCUAUGGUCAAUGAUUUACACGUAAUCUUUGGUAAGGUCCCGACGGACUAGCUGUUCUGAGUGACGCUGGGGGACACGCAUCCAUGUGAAUGAAGAAAUCUAUAUUUUGGGACCUACCCUACUCGAAAGACCUAGAGGUCCGCUCUUCGAUAGACGUGAUGCACGUGACGAAGAACCUUUGCGUCAACCUGCUAGGCUUCUUGGGCGUGUAUGGGAAGACAAAAGAUACAGCUGAGGCACGGGAGGACCUGCAACGUUUGCACGAAAAAGACGGCAUGCCUCCAAAGCAGUAUGAAGGUCCUGCCAGCUACGCUCUUACCAAAGAAGAGAAGGAAAUCUUCUUUGAAUGCCUGCUUAGUAUGAAGGUCCCGACUGGCUUGUCGUCGAAUAUAAAGGGAAUAAUAAAUAUGGCAGAGAAAAAGUUUCAGAACCUAAAGUCUCAUGACUGCCACGUGAUUAUGACGCAACUGCUUCCGGUUGCAUUGAGGGGGCUUCUACCGGAAAACGUCCGAUUAGCCAUUGUGAAGCUAUGUGCAUUCCUCAAUGCAAUCUCUCAGAAGGUGAUCGAUCCAGAAAUCAUACCAAGGCUAAGGAGUGAUGUGGUGCAAUGCCUUGUCAGUUUCGAGCUGGUGUUCCCACCAUCCUUCUUCAAUAUCAUGACGCACGUCCUAGUUCAUCUAGUUGACGAGAUUGUCAUUCUGGGCCCCGUAUUUCUACACAAUAUGUACCCCUUUGGGAGGUUCAUGGGAGUCCUAAAGAAAUAUGUCCGUAGCCGCGCUAGGCUAGAAGGAAGCAUCUCCAUGGGCCAUCAAACAGAGGAUGUCAUUGGGUUUUGUGUUGACUUCAUUCCUGACCUUAAGAAGAUAGGUCUUGCUGAAUCGCGGUAUGAGGGGAGACUGACUGGAAAAGGCACGCUUGGAGGGGAGACAAUAAUAUGCACGGACGGAUAUUCUUGGUCUGAAGCACACUGCACAGUUCUACAGAACUCUACCUUGGUGACCCCUUAUGUCGAUGAACACAAGAACAGUCUGCGCUCCAAACACCCGGAGCAGUGCGACGACUGGAUUACAUGUGAACACAUCAGGACUUUCAGCAGUUGGUUGGAAACACGUCUCAGAGAUGAAAACACUGUUUGUGAUGAGCUGUACUCGUUGUCCAGGGGACCAUCUUCGACUGUUACGAUUUGUAAACGAUACAAGAUAAAUGGAAUACAUUUUACACGAUCGCCCAAGAUCAAAAGAGCACCAACCAAAACAGCGGUGUCCACUUUGAUGCAGCCACCGAGAGGGGAAAGGACAUAUAUUAUGGUUACACAGUGGACAUAUGGUAACUUGACUACGGAGUAGAUUUUAAGGUCCAUUUGUUUAAGUGCAAAUGGGUCAAUCUGUCAGGAGGCGGGGUACACGUAGACCCACAGUACGGAAUGACAACAGUGGAUCUGAACUAUCUUGGGUACACUAACGAACCGUUCGUCCUAGCCAAUGAUGUGGCACAGGUUAUCUAUGUGAAGGACAUGUCUACCAAACCGAGAAAAAGAAAAAAAUAAGGAAGCGAAUACAUCAUACGAUGAGCCAAAGCGCCACAUAGUUCUUUCAGGAAAAAGGGACAUCAUGGGAGUGGAGGGCAAGACAGACAUGUCCGAAGAUUAUGAAAAGUUUUAUGAAAUUCCUCCCUUCAAAGUCAAGGUUGACCCAAGCAUCGUGAUAAAUGAUGAAGAUUAUCCAUGGUUACGACGCAAUAAGGAAAGGACACAAGCGAAGAAAAAGUGAAGAAUUUUCUCCACAACUAUUAUGAUGAUACCAUGCCAACUUUCAACCUUUUUGUAGUUCAUUUGAAAUGCAUGUUGUAACAGACAGGUGAGUACUGUGCUUCUCCAUUCAUCGUCUCUACACUCACGGCUUAUAAAACCACUGCAAGUGCCUCUCGCUUGGAGAGGUGGGACUAAAAAACAGGUGCAGAAAUAAUCAACUAAAAAACUCUUUUACUGGUUCAUGCCACGAACCGGUACUAAAAGGUGCUCGUGGGGCCCAACCUUAAAAUCUGUACCAAAUAAAAUGCCUUUGUACUAAAAUUAUAUAGAAUUUUGUUGAAAACAUUAAAAGCAAAAGGAAUUAUCAUAGAAGAAAAUAAAUAAGUAAUUAAAAUUUUGUUACAAACUUUAAUAGCAAAAAGAAUUAUCGUAAAAGAAAAUAAAUAAGUAAUUAGAAACAAAAAAAGCAAAAAAAUUGGGGGAAAAUUAAAAUAAAGAAAUCAACUAAAAAGCUUUUAUAAACCUCUAGUAUUAUUGAAACUAAAAUUAUAUAGAAUUUUGUUACAAACUUUAAUAGCAAAAAGAAUUAUCAUAAAAGAAAAUAAAUAAGUAAUUAGAAACAAUAUAAAAUAAAAAAAUAAGUAUUUUGUUGUAAGUAGAAACAAAACAAAAUAAGCUAACUAGCACUUUAAAUUUAAGUAGAAACAAAACAAAAAACAAAAUAAAAAUAAUGAAAAAAAAAUAAAAAAAAUAGAUUUGAAUUUAGAGAGAAAUUCAACCUAAAUUCAAAGUGCUAGUUAGCCUAACUAGCUCUUUGAAUUUAAAGUGCUAGUUAGCCUAACUAGCUGUUUGAAUUUAGGUUGAAUUUUGUCUCUAAAUUCGUACGCUCGACAUUGCAGCCGCGGCGGAGCUUAUAAACAGGCUCGGAGCCCUUCGCUUGGCGAGGUGGGACUAAACAUCCAACCGCACCGCGGCUGUGGCAGACACAUGCCUUUAGUCCCGGUUGGUGGCUCCAACCGAGACUAAUGCCCCUCCUUAGUCCCGAUUGGUGGCACCAACCGGGACCAAAGGCCUCUGCUUCCCGCCCUUCGGGCUGCCGAAAAGAGGCCUUUGGUACCGGUUGGUGUCACCAACCGGGACCAAUGCAACACUUUAGUCCCGGUUGGUGCCACGAACCGGGACCAAUGCUUCUCCUAUAUAAGCCAACACUUUGGAAAUUUUCAGAUUUGACGGCGCUGCGAGCUCAUCCACGCCCUACGAUGCCGCGAGCUCAUCCACGGCGCCGUCAGGCUGCCCCGUCGCCGUCGUCCGUCACCCAUCGCCCUCCUCUCCCAAGCCCAUGCCGCCGCCCGUCGCUGUCGCCCUCCGCCCCCCGCCGCCGUCGCCGUCGCCCUCCGCCGCCCCCAAGCCGUCGCCAGUCACCGUCGCCCUCGCCCUCCGCCCCCCACCGCCGUCGCCGUCGCCCUCGCCGCCCACGCCGUCGCCCCGGUCGCCCCCAAUGUGAGUCGCCGCCGCCAUGGCUCUGUUUUUUAUUUAUUUAUUGUUUUUAAUUUUUGAUUUGUAAUAUUUGAUUUCUAUAUACAUAUAUAGUUGUAGAAUGCUCAUUUCAUGCAUGUAUGUUUGCAUUUUUCAUAUAUGUAUGUUUGCAGAGACCGGGGGUCUUAACCUCCUUUUCAAACAAAAAUAUACCCAUAUGACCAUCGUCUGAUGGGUAGCGUGAGUCGUUGCCUUCUUUGUGCGCGAUAUUUGGCACAAAUAUGGCCUCAAAUCAAAACAGGUUCAACAAGAAAGUUGUUUGUAUCACCCAUAUAUAUAAAUUUGAAAUUGGGCGCACCUCCAUCCGAGAUCAUAUGUGGACUGUGGUACCCAAAAAUAAAAUUGCUGUCUCAACCAUACUUAACUCCGAGUUCGGUUAAUUUUUAAUGAAUGUUUAGAGGAUUUGCAAUACUUCCAUUUUAUGGGAAGUCCACCAACAUCAUAAAUAGAUGUGAGGUCACGGUGCAUUGAACAACACAUAGCAAAAUAUUCGAUCAACCACUUUUUACAUUUAUAUACCUUUUUAUCUCUCCCUUGUUUAUACGCUUUCACGUUCUUCAUUGUUCGUCAUUCUUGCUAUGAAUAGAUCAUCAGCAUGUGUUUGUUAUCCGAUAUACCCAACCACUUUGUGUAGUGGCCAAUAAUUCAUAUGAUGUUUCUAGAUCGUUCAGUGAAUAUACUCUAUCAACCAUCCCUAGUUUUCUCAUUCAUGCAUCUAAUUACAUGCAAAGGACGAUUCAAACUAAUAUCCACUAGUCAACAACCCGUGCAUUUGCACGGGCUAGUUUUAAUGCAUGGUUACUUAGCAAUGGUCUCGUGAAAGUAUAUUGAUUUUGGAAAUAGUGGUUAGUCUUAUACUUGUCAGAUUUUUUUGUUAUGUGUGUAGUUCCUUCAAAACAAAUGUGAAAACCAAAGUGCUAAUUUUUGUGGGUAUCUUAAAACGAAAAUCAAAUGCUUUAUAAUUUGAACAUUGAAAUAAAAUAUAAUGAAGCAUAGAAUAGUUCCAUUCAACGUAUUGAUUUUGUUUUUUUAGUUCAUUUUACGAUACCUAUCCCGCAUCCUCGUCGUCGACUCGGAGAAGGACACCUGCUUGAUCAGAGGGGCCAUGUCCGGGACUGGGCUCCGCCCGGCUGGUAUUGGGAGGUGCUACCUUCCGGGGGACGUAGGUUGGUGAGGAGGCAGCCCGUUGUUGACCCGAUCCUUGUUUGGUGGCGGUCGCGUGGGCUAGUGACGGUGCCGAGGCUUCCGGACACCGCGGAGGUGGUACGUCACCGUGUCAGCGAGGAGGACGAGCACGUCCGUUGCUACAUGGUUGCAUUGGAGGACAGGUUCGACAAUACCUGGCAGGUUCUUCAGGGAUCUCACUGGAGCUAUGAUCCUGUGAUGGUUCCUUCUCUUUGGGUGUCCACCGCCCGCGACGAUACCCGUCGGGCGCUAUAGUUCUAGCUAUAUUAAUGAUGCUUUAUGUAUGAUAGUAUUCGAGGAGUAUUAAUUAGUGAUAAUAUUCGACGAUGUAUGGACACAAGAGAUCGAUGAUGUAGUCUUGCUUAUAAUUGAAUGCGUGCUAAUUUGAAUACUACUUUAUUUUAUGAUUUGUUUUGCUUAUUGAAUGUUCAAAUUGGAAAAGUACUCCUACUUUGAAUGCUAAAAUUAGAGAGCACUAUGCAGAUAUCUAGGAGCCCCCCUUCAUCAUCCGCGCCGUCGUCCCCGUCACCGACCCCCUCCGACCUCGAGUCAGGGUCUAUAUUGUUUUACGCUAUUUUACCUUAAAUAGGGUAUUUAAUUAGGUACUCCCUAAUACUAAUGAUCAUGUUGCUAUAAAUGUUGUAUGACAAUGUUGUAAAGGGUAGUAAUUGGUCUCUUCUGCUGCUUUUCAGAGAUGGAGUUCUUCACGGUUAUACUUGAGAAAUCCUCCAGGCUGGUGCUGCCACACAAUUUUGUGAAGAUGUUGGACGGCCAUCGGCCACAGAACCUGAAGCCGAGGCAGGCCGGCAACGGGCUUCGCAAGCUGUGGGACGUGGAGGUGGUGUUCGACGCCGAUGGCCGCAUGUACCUAGAUCGUGGCUGGAAGCAGUUCCUUCGUGCCUACGACCUGGGGAUCGGGUACUUCCUUGUCUUCAGGUACGACGGCAACGCCACGUUCGUCGUGAAGGUGUUCGACACGACUAUGUGUUGGAGGCGCUACCAGGACGACGACGAUGCCGGUACGCUCUGUCUCUUCUUCCUCUCCAUUAGGCUAUCUCUCACACCCAUUUUUAAAAAAACUUUUUUGCAUUUGGCAAGGCAAUGGGAGCAGGAGCAGCGAGUACUGCGACAGGUGCUAUGUCUACGGCAGCAACGACUCUGGCAGCAAAAGUAGCAACGACUCUGGCGACAGCAAAAGUAGCAGCGACGAUGGCCUCGCGAUGGAUGUCCCACAGCUGGGCAACAGGGCCAUGCCAAUUGUGGUAGAGGAGUACAUCCCACAGCCUGGCCUGGGGCUUCGCCGCUCUAAGCACAUCAAGAUGAUGAAGGAGAAGGUGAAGAAGCAGGAGUGAAUAUCUUAAGAACCUGAUGGCUUUAAUCCUUAUAGUAUAAACCUUUUAAGUACGAUAGUGUUGAACUGCUACUGCACUUUUAAGUAUGAUGGUGGUGUGCCUGAUGAAAUUUUGUGCAUGCUCAUGGAUGCUCCUUGUUAUUAUGAUGUAUGAUGAUGCAUGAUUAGUAGGACUUGUUAUUAUAUAUGAUGAUGUAUGAUGCGAGCAUGAAGAGUUAUUAUAUAUCAGCGGGUGAAAUGAACAUAGCAGUAGCGUUGGUAAACCAAGCACGAAGAUAAGAGAGGACACUUCUCUCUAUUAGCUAGCUAUAAUAACAACCUAAAUUAACCCCCAAACCCCUAAAUUAGCCACUUAAAAAAAAACUCAGCUGCACCAGUUUUUGACGCAUGGAUGCCUUUUGUUCCCGAUUUAUGUCACCAACCGGGACCAAAGGCCCCCCUGCCUGGGCUGUCCGCAGCGGCCACGUGGAUGCCCAUCUGUCCCGGUUCGUGUAAGAACCGGGACUAAAGGGGAAGGCAUUAGUAACGACCAAUUAGUCCCGGUUCAGGAACUGGGACUAAUGGCCCUUAGGAACCGGGACAAAUGCCCUGUUUUCUACUAGUGAGACACGAAUAUUAGACGGGCUGUGAUGUGUCGACCCACGUGCACAGCCUUCGCGCCCAAAUACGGAAUGGGAGUUAUACGAGCUGGCCCAUUGGCACGUCAGCCGCUGGCCUGCUAGGCUUUCGACUUUUUAGGCUGAUUUUGGGUCGAUUUUGUUUUGUUGGGCUAUUUUAUAUUGAUUGCUGGGGGAGACUGGAGAGGGGUUCUUACCAAGACGAGGGUUUGGACCUCCGUCGAGGUGGCGUCGGCCGCGGUGGCAAGCUUCGUGGCCGCCGUCGACAUCUCCAGCGAACUACCGCGGUUCCCCUUUUUUUUCUCCGCGAGGGAAUGGAGGGAAGCUGGACAGCUAGAGCUUGUAGACUAUGGCAUGUAUACGAGGCCCAGGUGGUAUAUAAGUGGGCUGCAUAUAGUAUAGGCCUUGAGGGAAAUAUUUUUCGUAUGAAGCCACUAAGCCAGCUCAAAAAUGCUCACAAAUAAGACCAAGGCCAGCCCAAAUUGGCCUUCAUAUUAUUCUAUGCAAGAAAUUCUUGGCAUGUUCUAAAAAUAUAUGUCAUUGGCAGCCGAUUUAAAAGUUUAACUUCAUCACUCAAUCAGGCAUUUCGUAAAUUAUCUUGUAACUCCAUUUGGUUCCUCGUUGCUAGUCGGUUGCUAGUUGGAACUAGCAAGCGGCACCUGAGGACUUGGGGUUGGAAAAACAAGUCACACACCCACGAGUUCAAAAGUGACUCAAAAAAUCAGCUUGACAUCUACAAAAACUUGGUAGUACUCAAACACUGAUGAUCCUGGUCGAGUUUCACAUCUCUUUUUUGGCGGGGAACCAUUCAAGAACUUGUAUCACGGAGUACUCGUUACGUUCGUGUAGGUUGAAAUAUAAUGCAAAAUGGCAGUGUUAGAUCUUCCAUGUUUCAUGCAAUAUUGCUGAUUGAUCAUGUUUCUGAAAUAAAUUAGCAUUUGGUUGCCCUAUAGUAUGGAUAAUAAUAUAUAUUUUUACAUGGAUGACUAGACCUAUGAAUAAACGUACUGUAUAUACCAAGAAAUUAUGAAGCUUGAAUCAAACCAGCUCACCCCGGCUUUGAACUCAUUAAGUUGAGGAGUCAAGUUGAGCAGGCGCGUUCACUUAUGAAACCCUUUUCAUCCUUUCUCAUUCACGAGUGUAUGUCCUCGCCUCCCGUUGGCAUCACCGUCGACCUGCCUCGGCUCUGCUGGCCUUCGGGCCAUGGGAGUGCAGUGGUAGUGGCGGUGGUAGAGCUUGCGGUGUUAUGCUGGACAAACUACAAGAGAUUGUUCAUGUUUGGCUUUCCUAUGCACAUAGAUUGACUGCAAUAAUUGGGGAAAUGCUAUCAAUCUGGAUGGGUCGUGCUCCAUUUAAGACGUCUUUUAGUUUUUUUAGGUUUUACGUCUGAUUCAAGGAGAGGCGGCGUCAACUUUAUGAAGAUGGAAUAAGGUUCUGCCUACCUAGCCCUCGGUGCCGCGAUGCCUUUAGCGUCAAAGGAGGACGUGUGAAGGCGUGUCUUCCACAUGUCUUGCGGGUUGCGGUCUAUGUUCACUUUGGUGGAUUCACUUGAAUCUAGUCUUCAUUUUUCGCGUUCGUAUGUCAAUAGGUUGAAUCCUUUCGAUCUAAGCUUUUUUAUUGUCUACUAUAACAAGAUUUGUAUGAUUACGGUGAGAAAGGGACAUUGAAGACGACAAGGUAUAGUCAUUGUAGUCAUUGCUAGAUGGUCUACGAACAUGAAGUAAUUUCUACUACUUCUUGUGGUUUUUUUUUUGCAAUGACAUAAUGUUUGCUAAAUUAUUUGGUACUAAAAAAAUCUGACUUGUUCACUCAAUGAGCCCAUCCAAGGAACAAGACGUGAUCGCCUCUAGGACGCACCAAAUGGAUCGGCCCAGUGUGGAAACUGUCGUUGGCUCCCUAGCGCACAUUUUUCCUCUGUUUGAUUACUUUUAUGUAUGUUUCCAAAAUGGAAGCAUGUUUUCCUUUAAUUUUUAAGAAAGUUCAUCACAUAUUUUUAAAACAGUCAUGUAGUGUAAAAAUAUGUCCAUGCAACUUGUAUUUUUUUCAUAGAAUUAAAAAAAGGUAUUUGACAUUUAAAAAGUAUUGACAUAUUCUGAAGCAAUUUCCUUACAUUUUUAGAAAUUGUUUCUACAAUAUAAAAAAUAAUUUAAUUCCUAAAAUGUUUUGUACCAUUCAAAAAAAUGUAUCUGACAUUAUAAGAAGUUUUCGCACGUCUCAAAACAAAUGUUCAUGACAUAUUUAAAAUUAAGCAACGUAGAAAAAUGCCAUGUGGUUUAAUAAUAUAUUUGAUGCCAUUAAAAAUACUGAACAUACCUGGAGUAAGCAAAGGAUCAGGUGUCCGAGUCGAACUCGUGUAUCCUGGACGUUAGGGCAUCUACACCUGGGCUGGGCAAAUCCGGCACCUUACGCCCGCGGACGCGUCCGGACAUUUUCGCGGACGCAUCCGGACAGCCAUUUAUUUUAUUUUUCCAUGCAUUUACAUACCUCAUGUAAGGAUGCAAUGUACAUGUGUGUAAAAAUAUACGAUGAAAUACUUUCAAUAGUGACAUGUGUAAAAAAACAAAUUCAAGGUCUGGAAUAAUGAUUAGUAUCAUCUGUUAAAAAACCUUGGAUUUUUUUUUUGCACAACCUUCAUUUCAAUAUAUUUGGAUAUGAAAAUUCACACACUUAUGAAUUAUGUGAACUGAAAAAGAUGAAUUUUCAUAAAUUCUAGAUUUCAAAUUUUAAAACUACCAUAAAGGCCGAGAUCAAAAAGCAAUUUUUGUAUUGCGGCUUGCCAGGAUAUACUGCAUGAAGCUGACAAGCUAGACACAAGAUUAAGAAUGGGACGGUUCAGGCACCCAUGACUGCCAUGUCUGGACCGACCAUGACGGGGACGGUCGAGAUGUGUUUGAUAGCCUUGGUGGACUUGUCCUCGUGUCAAUUUAGUACAUUGAUGAAGGGGUUGCCUACUUUUUACUCCCUCCGUUCCUAAAUAUAAGUCUUUAUAGAGAUUCUACUACUAGACUACAUACCGAUAUAUAUAUAUAUAGACAUAUUUUAAAGUGUAGAUUCACUCAUUUCGUUUUGUAUGUAGACUCCUAAUGAAAUCUCUUAAAAGAUUUAUAUUUAGAAACAGAGGGAGUACAAAGUAUAAGCACGAAUUUGCUGAUCUCCCCUCACUGAUAAGAAGCUACGUACUACUCAACAUCCAAAAUCUUCAGCAGCUGCUAUGAAUGUGACGAACUCUAGGACUCCAUUCCUGAGCGAGCGAAACCGAAAGCCACAUUGGUUCGUGCUCCCAACAGUCUGGCUCGAAAGAUGCAAUGCAACUUGGCAUGUGGAUGGAUGCCACAAGCCAGCGACAGCGAGCAAGGGGCGGGCACCAGCACGUGAUGAUGAUGGAUGGAUCUAUCACGGGGGUCAACUGGCAAGCUCUCCCCAGGCAUCAAAUGCUGGCUGCUACUACAACGGUACUUUGAUCAGCACGGCCCUUGAAUGCAGCCCAACCAUUCAUACGGUUCCGUAUUGAUACCGCCGUGCAUGCAUGGCGCAGGAUCCAGAUACCCAUCAAAUCCCUCUGUUCCUAAAUAAAUUUUUUCCCAAAAAUAAUAUAUAUUAAAUAUGAGUAUAUAUAUAUAUAUACACACAUAUUUUAAAGUAUAGAUUUAAUUAUUUUACUCUGUAUAUGGUUUAUAUUAGAAAUUCUUAGAGUAUCACUAAUAAAAAAUGUAGAUGCAAAAGUAACUACCUUUUACAUCUCCGAGCCCCAAAAACAAUGUUCCAACAAAUGAUUUAGAUGCCAAAAAAAUUACAUCUCCACCACCACCCAGAGAUGUAUCGUAUAUCACUUCACUUCUGUUGGAAACGUUGCAUAGGAAAUAAAAAAAUUCUUACGUACAAACAAGAUUUAUCCAUGGUGAUGGUCAUCUACGAGAGGAGAGAUCGGAUUCACAUAUUCUUGUAGAUCGCUAAACGGAAAUCGUUAAAAAAUAAGGUUAACGUAGUCGAACAUCUUCGCGAUCCAAAUCACAAGUCGUCCCGCGGUCCAAUCACGAUCUAGUGCUGAACGGACGUCACCUCCGCUUUCAGCACACGUACACCUCGAUGACGAUCUUCGUCUUCAUGAUCCGGCAGUGGAGAGGUAGAUGAAUUUCUCCGACAGCACGACGGCAUGGCGGCGGUGUUGGUGGAGCUGAUUCGGCAGGGCUUCACUGUGCGCUAGCGAAUCGAUCAAGAGGUGGAUCGAACUAGUGGAGGAACACAGAGUUGCGUCGUGGCUUGGGGUCGACUGCCUCUCUCCUCUCCACUAUAUAUAUAGGAGGGAGGGAAGGGGUGGCGCCCUAGGAAAAAAACCCUAGGAUUGGACGGCGGCGGGCCGACGACCCAAGAGGAGGAGGAGUCCUCCGAUUGUGGAGGUGGAGGCGCAAGGAGGAGUCCUCCAAUUCGGAUUCCCUCCCCUACUCACACUUCGGCGCAUAGGCCCAUACGGGUCAGCCGCCCAGCCCACCAGGACGCGGUGUGCCACCUCUUAGGCCUAUGUGCCCCCCAGGGUGGGUUGCCCCUCCCGGUGAACACUUGGAACCCAUUCGUCACUCCCGCUACUUUACUGGCAGUGCCUGAAACCUUUUCGGAACCCGUAUACUUCUUUCCUAUAUAUUAAUCUUAGUCUCCGGACCACUCUGGAACUCCUCGUGACGUCCGGGAUCUUAUCCGGGACUCCGAACAACCUUCGGUUACCAACAUACAUAAUUCAACUAUACCAAAACUUCAUCGAACCUUAAGUGUGGAGACCAUGCGGGAUCGAGAACUAUGCAGACUUGACCGAGACACUCUCUAGUAAUAACCAAUAGCGAGACCUGGAUGCCCAUGUUGGUUCCCACAUAUUCUUCGAAGAUCUUUAUCGGUUGAACCUCUAUGUCACGGAUUCAGUUAACCCCGUAUGUUUGUCCAUCGUUAUGUUACUUGCCCGAGAUUCGAUCGUCGGUAUCUCAAUUCCUAGUUCGAUCUCGUUACCGGCAAGUCUCUUUACUCGUCCCAUAAUACAAGAUCACGUGACUAAAUUCUUAGUAACAUUCCUUGCAAGCUUCUUGUGAUGUUGUAUUAUCGAGUGUGCCCUAUAGAUACCUCUCCGUCACACGGAGUGACAUAUCCCAGAAUCGAUUCAUGCCAACUUAACAAACACCCUUAGAGAUACAUGUAGAGCACAUUUAUAGUGUCCCAGUUACGUUGUGACGUUUGAUACACACAAGACAUUCUUCCGGUGUCCGGGAGUUGCAUGAUAUCAUGGUUAUAGGAAGAGAUACUUGACAUGCAGAAAAUAAUAGCAAUAAACUAACACAAUCACAUGCUACGUCCAUAGGGUCUUGCCCAUCACAUCAUUCUUCUAAUGAUGUGAUCCCAUUAUCAAAUGACAACUCCUGUCUAUGGCCAGGAAACCUUGACCAUCUUUGAUCAACGAGCUAGUCAACUAGAGGCUUACUAGGGACNNNNNNNNNNNNNNNNNNNNNNNNNNNNNNNNNNNNNNNNNNNNNNNNNNNNNNNNNNNNNNNNNNNNNNNNNNNNNNNNNNNNNNNNNNNNNNNNNNNNNNNNNNNNNNNNNNNNNNNNNNNNNNNNNNNNNNNNNNNNNNNNNNNNNNNNNNNNNNNNNNNNNNNNNNNNNNNNNNNNNNNNNNNNNNNNNNNNNNNNNNNNNNNNNNNNNNNNNNNNNNNNNNNNNNNNNNNNNNNNNNNNNNNNNNNNNNNNNNNNNNNNNNNNNNNNNNNNNNNNNNNNNNNNNNNNNNNNNNNNNNNNGACCAUCUUUGAUCAACAAGCUAGUCCAUUAGAGACUUACUAGGGAUAGUGUUUUUGUAUAAUAAUUCUAGCAUGUAUAAUAAUCAAUUGUCUUGAACAAAGAAAUAUGAUAAUAACUAUUUUAUUAUUGCCACUAAGGUAUAUUUCCAACAAAAUCGCGGUACAAAUUUGCAUCUUCAACUCCACGAGAUGUAAAAUCACGUCCGCGUGCGAACCGCCCAACCGCCACUUCCCUCCCCUUUCGCGUGACCGGCCAUUGUCGCCCGACUUCACCGCGGCCAAAUCCACUUCAAAUGUCGUCGCCCACCGCCUGAGCGCCAUUGGGCCCGCCAUGACUUCGCCCCCCUUCCCUGUCGCCUGCCUCACCGGUGCGGUGCCCGAUCGAUUUAGUUUGCCCCCCCCCCCCCCNNNNNNNNNNNNNNNNNNNNNNNNNNNNNNNNNNNNNNNNNNNNNNNNNNNNNNNNNNNNNNNNNNNNNNNNNNNNNNNNNNNNNNNNNNNNNNNNNNNNNNNNNNNNNNNNNNNNNNNNNNNNNNNNNNNNNNNNNNNNNNNNNNNNNNNNNNNNNNNNNNNNNNNNNNNNNNNNNNNNNNNNNNNNNNNNNNNNNNNNNNNNNNCCCCGGCGAAUCGAAGCUUCUUCGGCUGCUGCGGCUUGCCUAAACGCCUUUCCCAACGAGGUUUACGGUGGGGGCAUGCCACUCUUCCGCCCGACAGCCGCGAGCCUCGGCUGUUCUUCCGAUCAUGCGAAGCCGCCCGCAUGCCGCGCGGAGCUCCCGACGACAUCCGACCGUCUCUUCUGUUGUGAAGUCGCCGCCACCAACGGCUGGCCAACCCAUUCCGCAUGGCGCCCGGCCUGUUUUGCAUCUAACAUUUACAUCACCUAUUGGAGUUGACUAUUCAGAUCGUCGUUUUACAUAAUCCGUUGGAGUUGGGUCUUUCUAAAUAUGUAAAAAAACACCUAUUUUUACAUCUUUAAAUUUACAUCUUCUAUUGAAUAUGCUCACAAUAACUAUUCCAUGUGUAAACUAAGAUAAAGAGUGUUUAAAUAAUUAAAAUAGUGAUUUAUAUGUUUUUAUAUUAGUUNNNNNNNNNNNNNNNNNNNNNNNNNNNNNNNNNNNNNNNNNNNNNNNNNNNNNNNNNNNNNNNNNNNNNNNNNNNNNNNNNNNNNNNNNNNNNNNNNNNNNNNNNNNNNNNNNNNNNNNNNNNNNNNNNNNNNNNNNNNNNNNNNNNNNNNNNNNNNNNNNNNNNNNNNNNNNNNNNNNNNNNNNNNNNNNNNNNNNNNNNNNNNNNNNNNNNNNNNNNNNNNNNNNNNNNNNNNNNNNNNNNNNNNNNNNNNNNNNNNNNNNNNNNNNNNNNNNNNNNNNNNNNNNNNNNAUGUUUUUAUAUUAGUUUAUGAAGAAAUUUAUAUUUAAAAACAGAGAAUUAGUAAUUAAAUAAAAUCUCGUUAGGAAGCAAGCUCCCGUAUCGAAGGGAGCACUCCGUAACGGCUACUCACCGGCACCGCUGUUGUCGUACGCGAGCGAUCUCGAUCCCUCUCACCGGCUCUGAUUUCUUUAGUGCUCUCAGGUUCAGAGCCACAAGGUGGCAUGGCAGCCGGUGCUUGCUUUUGUGUUACUACUGUUGUGAGAUUCUUUUAGCUGGGUCAAUUAGUUUACCUCGCGUGGCUCAAGGAGAGAUCGAUCUUGCAGCAGUUGGGAAGCAAAGUCCACGACCACCACCACCACCACCAGAUGCUAGUCCUGCACCCGCUAAAACCGAUCAGGUGAAGUAGAUUGUUGUCAAACAAGUCAAAGAAUCGCAUUGCUCGGGAUCGAUCCAUCCCGUGAAGGGUGAAGCCGAUCGAAGAGCAAGCAGCCUAGUUGAUGGGCGCGGUAGGUGAGUGCGUACGUACAGGUACAGUUGAAUCCUGCUCCGGCAAAUUAUAUGCCCAGUCACAUCGCCGGGCUCCUCUACGCUGCCUCUCUUCUUUUUCGUUUUUCAGGGAAAGCAAGUGGCUGGGCAGCCCACGGGGAGAUACAACACAUUUCUGUCGGUAGAAGGAUGGAACGAGCUGCAUAUACUGGUCGAGCAAACACUACACAUUUCUGUCGGUCGAGCAAGAACUGCUAUAUGCUGGCCGAGCACCAGCCUAUCUGUCUGCCUGCCAGUGCCAGAUAGAGUUUAGCCAAGUUUCGAUCAUUCUUGCUCCUGUUUGAAGUCGUGCAAACGAUUCAGAGGAAGAGACCACACAAAAUUGGAGGAGCGAGCACUGUGCAUGGCAACACGGCUGGAGGGAGGAUCAUAUUUCAGUAUUUCCUUCUUUACCUGCCCGUCGCAUGCAGCGGCGGCACGCCCAGUCGUCUCUGCUGGAUUACACACGCUCGUCUCGAUCCAUCUAUCUGUAUGAAUCUACCCAUGUGCAGAUCAGCAGAUGUGCUGUGGCGCAGUGUCACUGAGCGAGUGAUAUGAUCACGGCAACGGCAACGGCCUCUUUCACCACCAACCAACGUAUCUGCGGCACAUGCCAUUUUGUCAUGUCAUGUCAUGGCCAUGCUAAUAUCAGGUCCGAAGAAACUGGCCAUCACGCACCACAACUGCAUGCAAUGCAAGGCUGUACUUUUAAAAACCGGUGCCCUACCUGGAUUAAAUUGCAUUCAACACCUACAUCUGAAGACUUGAUUUCCUGCUUCUGCUUCUUUUUUGUUUUGUUUUGUUGGAAGAGAAGAAGGCCUUGAUUGAUCCGAUCGACACUGCGUCUUGAAAGACGCCGUACUUCAUGGAGAAAGAGAGAGAUGAUGUACAGUAGGUUUUUCUGUUCUUGGAGCCGUAUCCUCUAACUUACAGAAGGAUCGUCAGGAUGCUACAGUGCUCAAUCGGUCAAUUAGUUUAGGUCACGCGAUUUGAGGACAGAUCUUGCAAGAAGGCAGUGGCAAAGCCCAGGCUCAGCCAUCAUCAUUUUUCAAGAAAUCCCGCAGUCAAUCAGACAAUAAGCACCUGACGACCCAGAAGCUAGCAAAUGGACAGGCCUUGCGAGAGCAGAUCCUUCGGCCAGAUUAAUCAGCCCGAGAGAUUCGUCAAAAUUUCCAGUGAUAAAAGAAACGGAAGCGAAUCAUUGGGGGGUGAUCGAGCGAGGGCCGAGUUUGAUGAGCGGUAGCUGAGUACAGCUCCAUCCUGCUAUUCCCGGCGGGCAACUGUAUCUGUAUACGCCCAUCAUCACAGACAGCUUCUUUUCGUUUGUUUUCUUUUUCGGGCUCCCCACUACAGGUGUCGCCACAUUUCUCUGUCGGUCGAACGAACGGAUCUGCUGAUGGCAUGGCGGAGCACGCAGUCCGUCUGCCAGAAGAAAGAAUCAUAGUCAUGUUCAGUCAGUGCACUCCCUUUUCUUCUUCAUUCAGGUUUGGCCUCCGCUGGCGAUUUCAGAAUCAGAUCGUGGCAACAAUUUCAGAGCAAGAGACCUCAAGCAGCAGCAGCAGCAGCAGCAGCCCAUGUGAGUGACACAGUGUGAUCCCUGCAGCUGCAACGGCCUCUUUUCACCAGGAACGAGCAUUUCUUCACAUGCCAUUUUGUUCGUCACGGCCAUACUAACAGUCGGCCCAAAUAAAAGAGAAACAAAAACUGCCCACACUGUCCUGCAUGCAGUGCCCGCCCAUCACGCACCGCCACACCUGCAACCAAAGGCUGCAGCAGAUUGGAUUCAGCGCCAGCAUCUCAAGACCCUCCUUUUAAUUGUUUUGCUUACUUUUUCAAAAGAGAAGAAGAUCGACUUGAAGCUCAUCUGGCAUGUCUACUUCUACUUCAUAAAUAUUUUGGCAAAGUCGAUCUGCAUCUCGAACGAUUCCGCAGCUGUAAUCAGCUGAUGCCUCUUGUUAAUAGGAAUAUAAUCUGCGGAUCGCCACGGCCAACUUGGCCUUAAUCUUCUCCCCAAUCCAUGCGCCCCCACUACUAUCAUGUCGGUAGCCAUAUCACCCGGUCAUGGUCAACACUAUUACCAUCUUCCCUUCCGAUCUCACCUCGUCACCGUGUCCGUCCAUCUCCAUUUAUAUGUCACAUCACCCUCCCUGCUUUCAGCACUCCACACUCUCAAGCUAAGCUAGCCAGCACCUCGAUCUAGCAGCAAUGGCGUCGUCCAGGAGAGCCGUCCUCGUCCUGCUAGCCGUGGUGCUGCUGGCGGCGGCAGUGCCGGCGGCGCUGAGCCAGAAGACGACGGCCCCGGCGCCAGAAGAGGCGGCGCCGGACGCGCCGGCGGCGGGGACGACGACGCCCAAGGUGGCGGCGGCGCCGAACGUGACGGCGGUGCUGGAGAAGGCCGGGCAGUACACCAAGUUCAUCCGGCUGAUGGCGUCGACGCAGCAGGACACGCAGCUGAACGCGCAGGCCAACGAGUCGGACACGGGCUUCACGGUGUUCGCCCCCACCGACAACGCCUUCAACAGCCUCAAGCCGGGCACCCUCAACUCGCUCUCGCAGCAGGACCAGGUGACGCUCGUGCAGGCGCACAUCGUCCCCACCUUCUACUCCAUGGAGUCCUUCGAGACCGCCAGCAACCCCGUCCGCACCCAGGCCUCCGGCACCGACGGGCCCUGCACCGUCAACGUCACCGCCACCAGCAACAGCGCCGUCAACGUCUCCACCGGCAUCGUACACACCACCGUCGGCACCGCGCUGCGCGCCACCAGGCCGCUCGCCGUCUACUCCGUCGACAAGGUGCUGCUGCCCAUGGACCUCUUCGGCCCCAAGCCGCCGGCGUCCGCGCCGCUGGCCCCGGGAAAGAAGCCCUCCUCCGCCAAGGGGGCAGCCAAGGCGCCCUCGGGGUCGGACGAGGACGAGGACGACGAGACAACCCCGCCCGCCGGUGCGGCCGCAGCCGUCGGCGCCGGAUGGAGGAGCCUCGUCGCCAUGGUGGCUGCCGCCGCCGCCGCCGCGUGCCUCUUGUAAGAAGAAGAAAAUUCAAGCUGGGAGGAUCAUUCAUGGUCCAUGAGACCGACGGAUCGAUGGAGACUAGCUGCGUGCGUGCAUGCUGUGCAUGGAUUUGGAUAGGUUACUACUACUUCUUGCUGGCUGCUUCUUCUUCUGAUCUUCUUCUUUUGUUGUUAAAUGUCCAUUUUUGUUCUCUUUCUUUUCUCCCCCUGUUAAGAUGGGCUUAAGAUGUGAUAAGAUUCCUCGAUGUUCCACUGUUGAAUCAUGGCGUUGUUGGACGGUUAAAUUCUACUGCUGCAUUUGAUCUUAGCUACUGUAGUUCAUUAGCAGUGCAAUUAUCUUCUACGUAACACUCAUCACACGGAAUCCGGUGGUCGGUGCUGAAAAUGAACAGUUAAUGCUCCCACGAGGAGGAAAGAAAAAUGUUGUUGAAAAAGUGAAGCCACAAGUAGAUUGAUCUUCCAUCGAUCUGAAACACUGUAAAGGAAAAUAAGAUUUGGUGCUGGUAUUUGUUUUUCAGGGAGAGAAGGAGCUUUUUUAGAGCAACUUGGUGUCAGUAGUUGUUUUAUUGAGAGCAACUUGGUGUCAGUGGAUCUGAGCAUUUAUCAAAUUUUUUUGUAAGACAGAGCAUUUAUGAAUCCAGAUACUCCAGCAGGGAGUCGACAAAUUAAGCCUGGUUGUAUCUAGGCCAGAUGGGCUUGGUCUGGGCCCUGUCUUUCGGGUGGUUGGAUCCUGUGUGAUGACCAAUGAAUUUUAUCAUGGGCUAGCUCUGCCAGGCCUCCUGGUGCGAAUGCAGCAAAGGUUGGGCUUCCACUAAAUAGACGGACACACCUAACAUAACACUCCCCCUAAAAAAACUAACCAACAUAAAACUAAAUUAACGUCAAAAUUUCCAUCAAAAUAAGGCCGUGUUUGGAACCGCUCUGCUUCAUCAGAAGCAGUUUCGCUCCAUCAAAUUUAAUUUGGAGCAGUUUCAUGCAGGAGUUGUAGCUCUUUUAAAAAGAAUGUUUGGCUUUUAUUCACCUGCAGUUUCACGAAUGGAAAAUUUGGUGAAAAUGAUCUAUUUGAUUGGAUGAGAGAGGAGAAACGAAGAGGUAUCCAUUUACUGGUGGCAGUGAUGGGUAAUUUUGCUCCUACUCCAGCUUCUAGAAUUUUAUUGAGCACCUCCUAAAGAGCAUCAUAAAAACAAUAAGUUGGACGUCAGAUUCUAGUUUUUUGUGGAGUUGUAUAUCGUGGAGUUACCCCGUUUGGAUUAUCUUUUCUAGAGCGAAGCUGAAUUUUCUGAAAUAGAGCAGUACCAAACAGGCCCUAAAUCAACCCACACACAAUCCGACUCCGGCAUCCUCAAUGGCGUCGGGUGUCUCUCGGGGGCUUUGAUCUAAGUUUGAGUGGUAUAAAUAGGUACAUUAGGUUGCCUAAGGGAGGGAGUUGAGAAGGUGACGACGGCCUCUUUGAUGAAAAGUCGUCUCCGUUUCAACGAUGUACCUUCUACAAUAGCACGCGUGAAGGUUGUCCUUGCUUGUUGGAUCUUCUACUUGACCGUGCGCAGGGCCGGGCCGACAAAAUUCAAGGUCCUAUGCAAAACUAAAAAAUGAGGCCCUAUCUCACAAAAAUAGAACUAACAAGUUAUUAUAAUGUAUACAUAUCUUAGAGAAAAAAUUAUAAUGUACUUCAUUUGUUCCUAAAUGUAGAUCUUUUAGAGAUUUCAUUAUGGACUACAUACAAAUGUGUGUAUAUAUAUAUUAAAGUGUAGAUUCACUCAUUUNNNNNNNNNNNNNNNNNNNNNNNNNNNNNNNNNNNNNNNNNNNNNNNNNNNNNNNNNNNNNNNNNNNNNNNNNNNNNNNNNNNNNNNNNNNNNNNNNNNNNNNNNNNNNNNNNNNNNNNNNNNNNNNNNNNNNNNNNNNNNNNNNNNNNNNNNNNNNNNNNNNNNNNNNNNNNNNNNNNNNNNNNNNNNNNNNNNNNNNNNNNNNNNNNNNNNNNNNNNNNNNNNNNNNNNNNNNNNNNNNNNNNNNNNNNNNNNNNNNNNNNNNNNNNNNNNNNNNNNNNNNNNNNNNNUGUAGAUUCACUCAUUUUGCUCCGUACGUAGUCAGUACUAAAUUUUUUAAAAAACUUAUAUUUAGAAACGAAGGGAGUAUAUAAUAUAAUGUCUUACAUAACAUUUGAAUUUUUCCGAAAUCUAAUAAUCCGAUUGAUCUAAAGUAAUGGUGAGGGGCCACGCGAGGAGACAAAGGCAAACUCACCAAGGCCGAGUGCUUAUAGUCACGAGGGCACGAGCGAAGAGACGAGGGCACGAGGCGACGAGCAUACAAGACGAGGCAACUAUUUUUCAGUUCCUAUCUUGUAGCUUUGUUUAGGUGAAUCUCGAUCCCUGCAGCCGUGUAGCGAAGGGAGGAGGUCGGGAGUAGUGUGCUCGAUCCCUGCGCUCGAUGACUCGAUCGAUGUCCUGGUCCCCUCGACUCAAGACUCCGAUGGCCCAACUUCAGUGUCACCAUGCCCAAUAACUCCGAGUUUUUUCUUUCUAGUACCAGGCCUAUAUAAAAAAAUUGGGCCCCUAGAAUUUUGGGCCCUAUUCGGGCCAUACUUUUGGCACAACUCUCGGCCCGGCCCUUAGAGUGUGAUGUGUUGGUUUUCCUCUUCGAUGGGGUUUCUACCAAUAUAAAAGGGAGGUUCAUGUGAUCCUUCGCAAGACAGGGACAAUUAUUCUUCUUUCUCGAUGGCAGCGGGCGGCGUCUUCCUUCCUCGUCACAUCAAGGUGAGUUCGUCGACAUCAGAACCGAACAAGCGGGGUGGUCCUUGUGGUUUCUAAAACUGCGAGGAGGAUUCCAUGGCCAUGUGGCAGCGUUGAUUGGCCCUUUCUACGCCAAAGUUCUUUUGAAUGUGCACGGAUCUCACCGAUGGCUUCCCGUGUGUUGGGGGGNGGGGGCUCUUCCCGUUUUGCAGCAUCUUCUUUGUAAAACUACAUCUACUGUGUCACUAACUAACUAAAGUGUUUGCUCUUUCUUUUAUGAAAAAUGACUGAUAUCUAGAACAUAUUAGUUACACUUUUGCACCAAUAAGAAUCAAGAGCUACUCAAGAAAUCGAAGAUGCACUCAACCAAAUUAUACAGAUGAAGAAAAAAGUGCCCAACAGAGCAACCACAUCAAACAUCAACAACAACCAUAAAUGAUAGCAACCCUAUGUAACCACAUAAGAUGUUCCAAAAACGAUGCCUAUAGGAAGAGAACAAUGUAAGAGUGCCAUCGUCUCUAGACCCAACCACAGAGGCCACAUCAUGAGCUUUCACUCCACACAGGAGUCUCGAUGACCUUCAUGCAAUGUUUUCAACAAAAGAUAUUAUGGUGAGGUCAUGGCCAAGUUCAACCAAUGAAGGUCAGGCCUAGACAUUUCACCCCUCGUACAUGAGCCCCUGCACUAAAAAAGACCGCAUGUCUCACAUCGCCUUGUGUUGUGACUACCGUGCUUAUCCAUCUUCUACAUCCUUGCACAUAAACGGUCCUCAUGGACCUAGUCAUAGAAUUAGAACUAGACUCAUGUAACACACGCUUUCGAGCAGUGUGUGUCGUCUGUCAUCUUUACCGAUGCCGGUGAGAAUCCAGACUGCCAACGCAACCAAUUUAGGCAAGUCAUAUGGGACACCUCGACAAUGGCGAUACCCAUGCAUCAAGCAAAAAUUGAGUUGUUUGGUCGUCUCUUGCAAACGCCAUCUUGGACCUUGUCGAGGACUCCAAAUCUCUACACUAAGUGGAAGACACCCAAUCAUCGAAGCGCACCGUCAUGACCCUCCAAUAUGAAGGCUAAAAACCCAUCAACUUUACGCCUCGUAGAGACAGUUAACAACCUAGGGUGCGCAACCAAGAGCAUAAUAACUGAUAUGGGAACAAUCACACCGGUUCGAAAUCGCCUUCGUACAUGGAUCACGAAGAUAUGCAGCCACCUUCACCAUCGGGAACUAGAACCAGGUAAAUUCAUAGUCAUCGCGAAUGGAGGAUUUGAAAGCCUCUGCUACAAAUCAUUGUCGUUAACGUCAUGAUCGGUCGCCUUCAGUGCCCUUGGAGCCAUUGCUGCAUGACUACACUGAGAUGUCCUAGUGGGCGCCACCUUGAUGUCCGACCUCCGAUGACGCACGCCGUUCGUGACCGUCGCAAAUCUUAGCCAUGAGGACUCCUGUAACAUAAGGAGAUGAGACUGAUGCCGCCGUCAGCCAUCCUUGCAGAGCGGCGACAAGAUGGUUGGGGAGAGGAAAGGAAACAGAGGCAGCGGUUAGGAUUUCUCUCGAGCGGUAGAGCAUCUCUCGUGUAACUACGCAAUCUCUACCUAAUAAUAAAGCAAAGGUUACGGUCAAUAUGAUGUUGGUGUUUUUACAGAGAAUUCCCUGCCUUUUGCAGUAAUUAACCCACAAUCCAUUUUUAAGUCAUAAGUAAAUGUUUUUUGCACUUUUCAGAAAAAUCCAAGAUGUUUUAGGUAAUCAACCCGUUGUCCAUACUUAAGUCAAGUGAAACUUUUUUUCCAUUUUAACGGAAAACCCGCUGACUUUUCGGUUAAUAAAUCCAUAGUUUAUAUGAAACAAAGUUACCCAUAUCUUUUAAAUUGUAACUGCUAUUUGAACAUGUUAUAUAUAAAAUUUGAUUAGAAAAAUCUGUAGAAUCUAAAUAUAAUGUUAUUUUUAGCUGUUAAAUAUCUAUAACAUAUUAUUUUGAUCCCAACUUAAUCUAUAGUGUACAGUCCAGUUUUCUGAAUGACUGUGUGCGCGCGCCCUCGCGGGAGGGAGAGAGAGAUAAAGACAUUUAGAACUGACCACAUUCAAACACAUUUUAUUUAUGUGAGCACUGAGGCCAUCAUCGACAACCCAAAUGUGAUGUCAUCUGAAAAUAAAGAACGUAAAUCUAUUAGCAUCUUAAGUCAGGGCUAUUUCAUUAAAAACGUGUGUUAUUUCCUCUUUCGUUACAACUCACAAGCUUUUUUGCUAGCAAGAAAUCAUUUAUAAGCUAAAUACCACAUAUCUUUUAAGAAAAACGAACGAUAACCAAUGUGUUUCUCUCUUCCCGCAAUUUUGGUUCCCUCAUUUGUGGGAAAUCCAACAGUUUACCAUGCAUGAAGUUUGUCCUGAUUGCGCCGGUGUGAUUCUCGUGGGUUACGAGGCCACGGGGGAGGUUUGGUGGGGCGGCGAGACUGCAGAGUAGAGUACGUACUACAUGCUAGACAGAGCGGAGGAGAGAGACGGGGUGACAGCGACACGCUCCCCACACAUGAUGCCAGCCAGGUUCCGCUGGCCAAUCGCUGUUGCUAAAUCGGAAGCUUGUGCAUGGCUGCGCUGGUAAAAAGAGAAACCAUUUCUUAUCCACCACAAGCGCCCCGGGCCACGUACCCACAGGUGCGUGCUCCGUCACCUGUCACCCGCCCGUUUUUCUCUCUCUCUGGUAUAUGUAUACGUACGUACGCACAUGACAUGAUGACAGUAUAAGAGUAUCUGCAUGUAUAGUGUACAUAUACGUCUGCACAUGAUAUGACAUUCAUGGCAUGGCAGCCGCCUCGGGCCAUGUAGAGGAUGUGGCCCCGUCGAGUCAUUUCGUGCCUGUGCGGUGCUGCGCUACGUGUCGUCCAAGAUUACUGCUCGGCGUGGGGAGGAAGCGGCGGAUCGGACGUCGUGUCGGGGCCGCUCCGCCGUCGCCGUCGACGCCGAUCUCUUUCUUCUCCCCCUGCUGCUGCAUGCUGCGUACGCCACUUUCGCGUCGGCCACCGCGUUCUCGCCCCUCAGCAGGCCAAUAUAUACAAUAUAUUACGGCUACCUGAUCUCCGUCGACCAGCACCCAAAAAUCCUGCCGAAAAUAAAAUACAGAGCACCCGAAUUCAGAGUUAGUAAGUACGACUGGGAAGGAAGCAGUGUGGCACACGACGACGUGACGUGAGGUGAGGCGGGCACGACCCCAAAAACCCAAAGUGGCAAGCGUGAGUCGAAUGGUGGUGCUUCGUGGGAGUGCGUUGGGCGGGCGCUGUCGAUGCAUCGAUGAUUGGACGUGGACAGCCGGAUUGCAGUAGCGCCAACCACGACUCUCUUCUCUACGCAGCGCCAUACUGUCGGUGCGGUGCGAAUGAGCGGAGCAGCGGCUUUGCGUGCCGACGAUUUAUUGUGUUUUCUUUUAAAGAUGUGCAUAUAUAUUCGGCAUCAUGUUGCCCCCGAAAGUACACAUUUCCUAGUGCAAUCAUUCGUACGAGUACCAACUGAUGAAGAUGGCGCUUAUUAUAUGCGUGGUGUCCAACUGGGCUUUUUCAGAUCGGACAUACUUACGAGCCACUCACCCGGCCGACAGAAAGAAAUGCCAUCAUACAUACAUGCAUCCCAUUCAAGGACUGAUUGGGAACAUGUUCUACCUACAGUCCUUUGGCGAAGCUUGUGCUUGGAGGUAAAGCAUCCGCAUCCAACAUGCCUGCCUGCCUGGCUUCACCGCCACAUGAGGUGAAGCCACUAGCUAGUUAAUUACUUCCUCUUUAAACUAAUUAUAUAAAAGUACUUGGAUCAUUACAUCUAAAUGUUUUUAUAUUAGUUUAUAGAAAGAGUAAUGAGUAAGUCCAUUCCACUGGUGUCGAUAGCUUAUUUUGGUCAUCGUACUCAGAAUUGCAUCCAACUUAUGUUGAACGCUCAGUUUGUUCAUCGUACUCAACAAUACUUCCAAUAUGGCAAGAAGUAAAUAUAUGAUCAUUGUUCAGCAUGUAUAGUCCAUGAGCUUCACAUUAGUGAAAUGUCCCCCGAGUCAAUCCUAAAAGCAUCUACAGCCGGACUUGGCAAAUCCCCCUUCUCUAUACGCCCGCGUCCGCAGACAGCCCCGUCAGCCCCUCCUAUGUUGUGCCGCAUAUUCACAUAUUUUAAACGAAAUCCUUAAAUUCAUAUACUCCAUGCACAAUCAUCCGAUACAAAGUGUUCGAAUUCAAUAGUUUCAAACAAAACCAAAUAAAAUGAUAGUUCAACAAACCGACAUGCCAAAAUAAAAUCAUUGUCCCAACGGCAAGAGAGCUUCUUCGAUCACUGUCUAAAUGAGUUUGUCCAUGCAUCCUGCUCGUCCAGCUUCUCCUGUUCCGUCUGGGCAGCCAUCUCCGCCUACAUCCGGCUACGUGCUUCGCAUGCAUCCUGGCCGCGUGAUCCGUUGCUGCAGCCGCCCUCGCCGCCUCCAACGCCCUACGGUUGUUGUUCUCCUUCUUCUUCUCCGUAAGACAUUUCUUGGCAUGCUCAUUCAAGACGGAUUCGUCCGACAAUAUGAUCUUCGCAUCCUCCCCGUGCGAGUUACAACUUUUCCUUCUCGAGCUCAGUCUCUCCAAAUUUCUUGGCCUUCUGGAGUUCUCAUUUUAUCGCCGCAUCUUGCUUCUCCAACUCGAUCUUCUCCCUCUCAAUUUCAAGCCUUCUCUCUACCCUCAUUAGGUCCAAGUCCAUCCUCUUCUUUUGUGCAUCCAACAUGAGCUUGUACCUCUUCUCUUUCUUGUUCUCCCUUGUCAAAAAAAUGCCCGUCCAUGUGGACGACAUUUUAGUAGACUCGGCGUCACGGAAGAUCCUUGCCUUCUCCCACUUGUUUCCCAUGACUUGUCGGUUAUCCUUUGUCACGAUAGCUCUUUCAUUGAUGACGACAACAUCGUUAUCCUCAUCGUCUAACCUAAUAAAUUGGUGGGAGUUUUUGCCAUCAUUCCUCUUUUUGCCGGCUUUGAGAUCGAUCGCAACUUGUGUCCACUUUGGUUCGCCAUUCAACAAGAGCCAACAAUGAUUAAAUGUGAAAGCCACACCUCUUGCUUUAGCCUUCUUGCUCUCUACUUCUUCUUGCUCGAAUUCGGAUAAGAUGUUGCCCCAACUACAAAUGUGGUGGUCUCCUCCAAAUCAUAACCCAUUUCAUUCGGAUCUUCAUUGUCAUUGAUUAUGCUUGCCAAGUACACCUCAUAGAUGUUCAUGGUUUGCAAGCAUUCCUCAUGUGUGAACUAGUGAUAUAUUCAAAACUUGAACAUUUGCUCGGAGAGGAGCAAACAAAAUGUACCCGGUCUUGUUCAGACAUUCCGUCAAACAUGUUGAGUGCAGCCUGGGCGGUGGCGGUGCCCGUGCUCAUCCACUCCCGAACGAGCGGCGUCGACUCACAUUCAUCGACCGCCGGUUUCUGCGUGGGUGGAAAGCUGUUCGGAAUGGCCCAGCCGACCGCCGCAUCCUCCUCCAUCCCAAGGGUGCCGGCCAACACAAUCCACAUCAGCACUUGGAUGGAUGGGGUGCGGGGAGCCGGGUGUGGCGGGGGAGACAUCUCCUUGACCAUGUUCGCACCUACCAGCGACCCCGCCUCCGCCUCCCUCUCUUGCUGCCGGUGACGCUGCAACUUUUGGGCGACAUUCUCUGUCUUGCAAGAUACCGACAAACGAGGUGGGUUGCGUCUCCGUCGCGGCAGUCGGGGACGAGCUAGAAGACAUCACGACGGUGGAUCGAGACCGGUAGUGAGGAUGAGGAGGAAGGGUGCCGGACGGCGAGGGCUUGGGCGCGGGAAAUGUUGGAGGGCGGCGAGAGGACGACGAAAGGUUUGGAGAAUUUGGGGCAAUUUGUGGUGGGGUUGGGCUAUGGGGGCAGGCGUGAUGGGUGUGCUCGGGAUCCCCCUGUUCGCCUCAUAUUUGGGCUGGAUAUGAGGGGUGUUGGGGAACGUUGCAUGGGAAAUAAAAAUUUUCCUACGCACACGAAGACCUAUCAUGGUGAUGUUCAUCUACAAGAGGGAAAUUGGAUCCACAUACCCUUGUAGAUCGCUAACGGGAAGCGUUCAGAAAUGCGGUUGAUGUAAUUGUACAGCUUCGUGAUUCAAAUCACCGUCGUCCCACGAUCCGUUCCGAUCUAGCGCCGAACGGACGACACCUCCGCGUUCAGCACACGUACAGCUUGAUGACGAUCUCGGCCUUCUUGAUCCAGCAAGAGAGACGGGGAAGUGGAUGAGUUCUCCGGCAGCGUGACGGUGCGCCGGUGGUGGUGAUGAUCUACUCCUGCAGGGCUCCGCCCGAGCUCCGCAGGUAUCCGAUCUAGAGGAAGAACUACAUGGUAUAGGUUUGAGUUGCACGUGGUAAAGUUGUGUCUCAAAGGCCCUAAACCACCAAUAUAUAUAGGAGGAGGGGAGGGGCUAGCCUUGGGGCUCAAGGGAGCCCCAAGGGCGCCGGCCGAUUGGGAGGAGGUGGACUCCCACCCCAAUUUGGUAUGGGGGAAGGAGUCCACUCCUUCCUUCCCACCUCCCUCUUUUGUUUCCUUUGGUAUUUUUCUCUUUUGGCGCCAUAGCCCUCUUGGGCUGGGCUGGUGCGCCACUCUAGGGUUACUGGGCUCACUCUCGGGUGGGAGCCCAACCCGGUGAAUACCGGGAACCCAUUCGUCACUCCCAGUACACUGCCGGUAAUGCCUGAAAUCUUUCCGGUGACCAAAUGAAACCAUCCUAUAUAUCAAUCUUCGUUUCCGGACCAUUCCGGAAACCCUCAUGACGUCCGUGAUCUCAUCCGAGACUCUGAACAACCUUCGGACCAUGCCCGGCUAUAGAUGCUCUAAUUCCACUCGUUUUCUCCAUCGCCACUGCCACCGUGUCAGUCCAUUGUUGCGUGUGCGUUCAUCCUCGCCAUGUCGAUGAGCUAUAUAUGUCACGUCAGCUCUCAGCGACCGGGCUGUGCUGGUGCAACUCAUCAGAUGCCCUCACCGUUGCACUUGAGUGAAGUUUUGUGUCUCGAACACCGACAAACAUGACAGGUAUGUCUUCUAGAAGUGCAUGCAUGACGGUGUAAGUCCCCCAUGACCCUUGUUCUCCAUGUUGUUGGAUUUUGGUGCAUGAUGUGCAAAAAUAAUUGUUACUUUUUUGGUUAUUUGGUUGAUAGGAUUGAGUUGUGGCACUAAAAGUUGAAUUACAUUGAUAUAUUAUAUAUAAACGGUUCCUUCUUAGUAAUGAAGGAAUAGAUGCAAUUGGUGUUGCAAAGGAAAAGAGGGAAGAGUUGAUUCGAGCAAGGGAAGAAAGGGCUGGCUUGCAGGUAAUGUCAGAGGCACUGGAGAUAGAAGAAAUGAAAGACCGAGGCUAGUAGGCAGUAACAAGGCCAUUGGAGUUGUAGGUAGCAUGAUCAAACAUCAUGGAGCUGGAAUUUUAGGUUUAAGUAGGGAAAUGCUGAUGGUUCCGAGGGCAACGAUGGCAACAGUCGUUGUGUUGUAUGUGUUGUUUGUUGUAUCACUUUUGAAGAUGUAAUUCUUCAUGUAGCAAUAGUUACUUUGUUUAGGCGAAAAAUCAAGUUUCCAAGCUGGGAAGGCCUCUUUUUCAUAUGUUGUUAUGAUUCCUCUUUUGGUUUGUAUGAGCUGAUGGAAGACAUGAUAUUGGUUCUGAAAUUUCAAUGAGCAUGUGUGCUUGUGUUGUGCACCUUUUUUUGUCAUUAAUGUGUUCAUUUAAGUUUCUUUUAUAAGGAAAGUUGUUGGUGCUAGAUGAUCGUAUACUUGUCAUGUUGGUGCUAAAUGAGCAUAUAAUGUCGAUGUUGGUGUUAUGAUUGUUACUUAUUUGUGAUUAAUUGGUGCAAGAUGACCAUGAAAUGGUAACAAUUACAACAAUUUGAAUGAUAUUGACCAUGUAUUGGCUAAUUUUGUAACUAUAACAAUUAGAUACAAAAAAGUUCAUGCUAUUUGAAGCAUGAUGGCGAAAUUAGUAACAUUAUAGCUGAAAGAAUAACAAACACUAACAUUUGAAGCUAUUGCAAAAUAUAUAACGAUAACAGGCUUGAUAUUGCAAAAAGGAGGAUUUAUUCAUUAUGACAAAGAUAGUAAAAUGUAGGGCAUACAUGUUCAAACAAUUGAUCCAUAUUGACAAACUAAGAUUAGUAUUGAUCAAUUAUAACACUUCCCAACAUUGUAAGGUUCACAGUGUUACGAGAAAGAGACAACAUCUCGACAUAAAAACUACUAGGAGUCCUAGUCCUACUCCAUGGAUAUAUCAAACAUAGAUGCCCUAGUGGCGUUUUUAGGAAGCAUCUCUUCAUCACGUUAUGGUUGCUCUGUCUCAACUUGUCUCUUACAAGUAGCAACAACUCUUCUUCUCAUUUCAUCUUUCCUUGCAACAUCAGCAACAACUUCCCUAUCUACUUCUCUGUGUUGCAGCAGCUUGCCUCUCCGCAAGUUCUUUUGCAGCAGUUGCUUCUCUCUUAACCUUCUUUUAAGCUUCUUGAUUUGCUCUUUUCCAUGCCAUGAAAGGAGGAGCGAAAGCUUUGAUGUGUCCACUUCUUAGGCAUGUGUGUUCAACCACGAAGCAUUUGGUCAUGUUGCCAUAAGAAUCCCACAGAUACCUAGUACAUUCAUCAUCACAUUUGGCCUUCAAGCUUUUCCUAUAAUUCACGAGCAACUUGACAUCAAUUCUAUUUUGCAACAAUAUUCAAGAGUUCAACUGUUUGGAAAACUUGGGCAACAUGUAAUUUUUGACAGUGUAGGUCCGUUGCCGUAAAAGCCUUAAACAUCAAGUAAAUUUCUUCACCAUGUGAGUUUGCUUGCCAUAAAUCAUCACCUUGAGAUUCAUAUAAUGCAUCUUCUUGCUACUCUCUUUCUUUAUCUCCAGAUUUCUCCUUUCCUUUAUUUGAGCCCUUUUCUUUUUCAGUAUCUUGAACUCUCUAGUUCUGCUAGUCCUUCCUCUUCCGAGGUUCAUUCAUAUCCACAUUGUCAACAUACAGAUCAUCAUCACCAUCACUAAUGUCAUAGUCACUCUCCACUAUGGCACGAGGAUCAAAGUUUGAAUCAUCCAAAUCACUAUAAGUUGCUGCAUCUUCUGCCCCUGUUUCAUAAGAUCAAUUGCUCUUUUUUCUUCUCUUUAUGCACACUACCACUCUACCACCAACAUUAGCCUCGUGCCAACUAACACUUUGCUGAAUUAGCUCUCAAAUAGACUCUUACUGUGAUGCUUGUAUCAGAAUAGGGCGAUUAGCAAUCGGAGAAUCACAAAGUUAAUCAAAAAGAUUGGAAUUUACUGUAGUUUAGGGCGGAGCACCAUUAGAUCGACGAACAGGGACCAUCGUCGCGACGCCUCUCCAGCGAGAAGGUGUUGUGCCCCGCAACCGCGCGACUCGACCCUCCCGAUGCCUCUCCACCGGCGAUGAUCGCCUUUCUCCGCCAUGCGUAGCGUCGCGCCACACGCCCACACCCUCCUUCGGUUUGAUCAAAGAUAAAGAGGCGAUGAGGAUUUUAUCCAUUUGUAAUUGACACCAUGGGCGUUUUGUACAAAAAAACAUGAAAAUCGAUGAGCUUUCUUCGAGAUGACGCCUUGGCAUGGUCAACACGUGGUCAACAAAGGCGCGUACCGCUAUACGCUCAACGCUGAAGGGUGAUCGUUUGAGAUGUACUCCCUCCGUUCCUAAAUAUAAAUCUUUUAAGCGAUUUCACUAGAUGUCCAUAUACGGAGCAAAAUGAUUGAAUGUACACUCUAAAGUAUGUCCAUAUACAUUCAUAUGUAGUCCACUAGUGAAAUCUGUACAAAGACUUAUAUUUAGGAANNNNNNNNNNNNNNNNNNNNNNNNNNNNNNNNNNNNNNNNNNNNNNNNNNNNNNNNNNNNNNNNNNNNNNNNNNNNNNNNNNNNNNNNNNNNNNNNNNNNNNNNNNNNNNNNNNNNNNNNNNNNNNNNNNNNNNNNNNNNNNNNNNNNNNNNNNNNNNNNNNNNNNNNNNNNNNNNNNNNNNNNNNNNNNNNNNNNNNNNNNNNNNNNNNNNNNNNNNNNNNNNNNNNNNNNNNNNNNNNNNNNNNNNNNNNNNNNNNNNNNNNNNNNNNNNNNNNNNNNNNNNNNNNNNNNNNAGACUUAUAUUUAGGAAGGGAGGGAGUAUAGUAUAGUGAACAGCAAUGCAUUUUAAACACAAACAACGCAGACACGGUUCAAAAAUGCAGCGGAAUUUCACCUUGGUUGCCUAAAAAGAUGUUGAAAUCUUGCCUGCGGUGCAGAUUCACAUUCGGUUCGGGUUCAGGCUCUCAAGUUAGUUCGUGAAUCACAUCACUCACGCAGCGUAAAUUCGAGAGAAAGUUGCUGUCAGAUUAGCUAGCUCGCAAGAAUUUCCACCGCGCGCAUCUUCCCAGCUCACGCUCUCACCAGUCUCGUCUCAUCUCGUCGCCACCCACCGCCACUAUAAGUCUAUUAAACACACACUGCGAGAUCGCGCUCCCUCUCAGAUCAGCCCCCAUCCCAGCCCACCAACCCCGUUGCCCGCCGGUACACCACCACGGCAAUGGCGUCGGCGUCGCGGAUCCUGCUCGUGGCCGCGCUGCUCUUCGCGGCGUCGGCAAUGACGUCGGCGCAGAAGGCGAAGGCGCCCGCGAAACCCGCCCCCGCGGCCGCCGACGCGCCCGCGGCCGUCNACGUGACGGCGGUGCUGGAGAAGUCCGGCAAGUACUCCAAGUUCUUGGCGCUGCUCAAGGAGACCCGCGUGGAGACGCAGAUCAACGCGCAGCUGACGGACAGCUACAACGGGCUGACCAUCUUCGCCCCCACCGACGCCGCCUUCGACGGGCUCAAGGCCGGCACCUUCAACACGCUGACGUCGCAGGAGCAGAUCCAGAUGGUGCUCUACUGCGUGCUGCCGCGCUUCUACUCGCUCUCCAUGCUCGGCACCCUCAACGGCAAGGUGAGCACGCAGGCGUCCGGCCACUCCGGCCCCUACACCUACAAGAUCAAGCCCUCCGCCAACAACGUCAACGUCUCCACCGGCGUCAAGGGCAACAACAUGCUCCUCGGCAGCGUCGUCAGCAAGGACUUCCCGCUCGCCGUCUACUCCAUCGAAAAGGUGCCGCUCCCCUACGAGCUCUUCGGCCCGCAGCCGCCCACC